rnacentral:lncRNA from 1 species
UGGAUCCGGCCGCGAUCAGACCCAACACCACGUGAAUCGAGAGCGGCGAGAACACCAAAUUCUUAUCCUUGGCCUCAGUCGAAACCAAGUAAUGUGCAAGCUGAAGUGAUGCUUGUGUUUGGUUCUUGAUGGAUUCUCUUAGGUCCAUUUCUGUCUGCGUCUGCGUGUGGAAGAGGUGAUUGAAUCAAAAUUCGUGCGCGUUUGGACGUUCUGAAAAUCUGCACUGUGUUCACCGACCCAUCAGAGGCAAUUUAUAUGUGCCAUUUGUGAUGGUUGACUCAAGCGUGUCUUUCAAUGUCUACUCAACACGUUAGGAUUCGUUUCUUCGAGAUAAAGAUUACAAAUUGGGGGAAUCCAUUGUUCAUCCAAACGACCUUGAAGAAUACUUCGACGUUGAUGUUUUGAAAUUAAUUUUGUGAAUAGUGAUUAAUUUAUAGGCUGUAGGGUUAAAAUAGAUAUAAUUAUUUACGUGUAAAAUUAUUUUAUCAAAAGAUUGUGUAAGAAAAAUUAGGUUUGAGGAAAAUAUAAUUUUUUUAGUAUCAUAAUCAACCAUCCUAUAAACUUCUCUAGGGUCUAAAAAUUUAUUAGUAUCGUAACCAACCAUCCGAUAAACUUCUCUAGGAAUUUAGACUCUGUUUGUCACCCAUCAUUUGAGAAAUUAAAAAGUUAUGAAUAGUAUUUUUUUGAAAAAUAUGUUGUUAAAAAAUAAAGAAAUUUUAUAAAUUUGUGUGUAUAAUAUUUUAUUGUGUGAAUAUGAGGAGUAGAAUGGUACUCUAACAAACAAUUUUAAAUUUUAAAUGGGGCAAAACAAGUUUCUUUCACCGCGGAUAUUUCUUGCUUGUUUGACUUUCUUUAAUUUAUUUUAUAGAUUGUUACGUGAUCAUUUUCAACAUAUUUACGCAAUAAAAUAUUAUACAUAUACACUAAAACUUUGUCUAUUUUAAUCACACAUUCUCUUAAAAUUACUAUUUAAAAAUCAUUUUUCUGCCAAAACAGUUGUCAAACAGGCUUCAUCUUGUGUGAUUUUUUGAAAAUUACUUUUUUUGAUAUUUAUUUUCAAUAUACAUUCUUUAAAAUUAUUUUCCAUAUUUUUCAAUUUUUAAACUUUUUAACUACACAUUUUCAAGAAAAUCACAUUUCAUAAUCUCUAUCCCACACACACACACACACACACACACAUAUAUAUAUAUAUAUAUAUAUAUUUUUUUUUUUUUGUAAUUUUUUUUCUCUAAAAGCAUCUUCAAUAGCAUAUUGUAUAUGAUUCAUAACUUUUUCUUACUUUUUAACUAUACAACCUCUAAAAAAAUAUAUGUCACUUGAAAAAUCCAUGUCAAACAAACUCUAACAGUGACAUGAUUGAGGGGAAUUCUUCAAAGUAGAAAUGCCAAUUUAAACCGUCAAAAUCGAAAAUUGUGACUAACCGAACCAAAUAGAGCGAAAAAAAUCGAAUCGACGGUGCAAUGGGGCGGAUAUGGUAUUUGAUUUUAAUGAAUCGGUUCGUGACGGUGCGGGUAUGAUAUUUACGCCGUCGAACCGAAACCGAACCGAUAACUCGCUAAAAAAAGCAAAAAAUAAAUAAAUAAAUUGAAUUGAUUAUUGAGCUUUACACUAUAUUUCUAUCUAGCCGAAAACAAAAUUUCCCCAUUACAUCUACUUGACCUAGCAGGCCAGCUCACUUAUCAUUAGCCCAUAAUAAUAGCAUUAGUAUGAAAGUAUAUAAAUGCAAACCCCAUUUUCCACAAACCACAAGCUCACGCACGCUCCACUACCUCUACGGUCCAAGCCGUCGUCACCUCCAAAAAAUUUCCCACACGACUUCAGUUUUAAAGAAAAGACAGGACCUCCCUUCUUAAUCAAGAUUAUUGGAACAAAAAUUUCAUCUCAAUCAUUUUUGUUGUAUCUGUAAACUGAUUGCAUUUUGCAUCCAAUUCCAGGGACGCAUUUUUCAGGAUUUGAUGCAGAAAUUGUUUCAAAUUUUGUCGAAAAGAGGAUAAAUUCAAUCAGUACUGAUUUAGUAUAGACUUGAGCCAAGUCCGAGGCGUGGUCGAAUAUAAUAUAUUGUGUUUUUGUUUUCAUUGAAUUUUUUCAUAAAUUGUUUUAUAUCAAUUUGAUGGAUGAACCUAUAAAAAAUAAUUUAUUUUCGUGGUUAUUAAUCGAACCGAACCUAUUUACGUGAUUAUGGUGCGGUUAUAGUAUGGUCAAAAAAUUGAUCGUGCGAUUAUGAUUUUGGCCGAACCGACCCAUAACUGAACCGUUAUCAACCCUACUUCAAAGCAUGUUCACAAGAACAUGGAGAGGAGCUGUGGGCUUUAGCUCCAGGACUGUACCCAUUUAUUAUUUUUGUAUUAAUUCUGUGCAAAUAGUUUUUUAUUAUCCCUCGACUCCACCUCUAAUAUCAACCCAUGAUGCGCAAAUCUAAAUAUUCUCACACUAUGCAAAAAUCUCUUUUUGGUUGAGACAUUUCUCACUUCUCAGUUGUAGUAUUCAGAUUUAUAUGAAAAAGGAGCUCAACAAUAGUUUAUACUUUUCCUAAAAAUAAGACAAAAUAAUGCAAAAUUUUGGACAAAAAAUGAUGAAUGAAGUAAAAUAACAAGAUGUAUCUCUUCAACGAAUUAUUCUACUCCAACAUGUCUUCCUGAAAAAACAAGGCCUAUGUGGCCCUGUUUGAGAAGUAGAACCCCUCGUAUAUAGUGUUUUCUACCUUGAAAUGCCACUUCUAAAAAUGCACUUACUUGACAGUUGACACCUCCUUAUGAUAUUUUGACUAUGCUUAGGAAGCUCAAUUUAAAAAAAAAAAAAAAAAGCAGCUUCUAAAAUAAAAUUUUUAUUGGUAAAUGUUUAAAAUAAUUAUAUUAUUUAUUAUAAGUUUUUGUAUAGAAAUGUGUGGAGGGUAAGUUGUUCGUCGAUCAUGAUUAACGAGGUAGUUUCGACCCUUCUCUAUCUCUUUCUCAAAACCGUUAAAUUUGAUAUAUUUUUCACUUGUAAAAUUUGUUUUCAUUUUUUUUCCUUUUUUUUUUUUUGUGCAUUUACGCAUUUUACAUAUUGUUUAUCUCAUCAUCUUCAUCUCACAAAAUAUUUACAAGUUCUUGGAGAUUUCAGAGAUCCAACGAAAUGAAAAUUUGGGUUACAAUGUUCGAGAAAAUGAAAUAAUAAUUAAAAGUAUUCUUCCUAAACUAUUAAUAUAGUAUUUUUAUUUUUUUACAUUUGAUUCUACUUAUUCUUGUGGACAUCAUUGAUACGUGUUUUUAGUAGUCAUGGGCGGACCAACUGUUGAGAUUCUCCUCCCUUUUUUUUUUUUAAAGUCAUGUUUGGCAUCGAUUGAAAUUUAAAUUUAAAUCUAAAUCAAAGUUAAUAAUUAAUUUUAAUAACAUAUUUCAUGGAUUCUUGAGCUUCUAAAAUUUUAUCAAAAUUUACUAAAAAUCGGACUUUAGUCCCCACCAAACAAAGAUACAAUCUCAAUAAAUUUGAAUUUUUUCUCUUUUUUAUUGCUCUAUCCUAUUCUCUCCCUAAAGCCUUUUACCAAAAUCUUAACUCUUCUAAUUUUUUAUAAUUUAUUUAUAAUUCCUCUACGAUUGUCACAUUUAAUAUAAAUUUUCACUUUUCAAUCAAAUUUUUAACUAAUUAGAACCUAAAAAUUUGCAUUUUCUCCUAUUCUAUUUGUGUAUAUAGCACGUGUCUAAACUGAUGAUAUAAAAUUGAACUUAUAUCUAACGAAUUGUGCUUAUCUGACUGAUUAUUAGUAUUGAAUAUUGGUUAUUUGCUAUUACUUUCAAUUACUUGAAUUGAUUGUUUGUAUCAAAUACACAAUUUUUUAAAACAUAAAUAUAUAUUUUCUUGUGAUGAGCAAAAUAUUAAUAAAAUUAUUAUUCAAAAUCAAAUAGAUGAAAAUAAUUAGCAAAAUAUUAAUGAAAAAAUAAUUUUGAAAUGUAAAUCUACAUUUUUUCGGGUCAAAUACGAAUCAUUCAAAAAUAAAAAAUAAAGUAAUCGAUUUGUACAAAGUUUGAUUGUGCCACCUAACUCAAUUUCUCUACGUCCGCCUUUGUUAAUAUUAUUAUAUUUUGAUGAUGAUGAUUUGCUCUUCAAAAGAAACUAUUUUAUUUUAAAUCACCUCCAUCAAAUGAACCCAAUGUAUAUAGUCACGUUGCACAUACUUUACAACAGUAUUAUAUAAUUAACAAAAUAUUUAACCUCUUUUCUUUUGAUUGCGUGCUUAAUAAUAUUUUACGGCACCUGCAACAAUUAGUUAUUUUAUUUUAUUUUAUUUUAGUUUUAAUUAGGGUGGAGCUUUUGAAUACAUUUGUUAUGUUUUGUGUUAUAAUAAUGAGAGAAUUAAAUGCUCAUUUAUUGAACGAUCAAUUAGGUAAACUAGGAAGGACAAAAUUAAAAAUAUGGAUACAUAAAUGCCGAUUAUAGCAUAAUUUUUCUAAUAUUCUAGAAAACAUAACAAUCUCUCCUAAACUAAUAUUGGAUUUUGCUUGUUGUAUGUCGGGCUGUACAUCAACAUGUCCAUAAUGCUCCUGUAGCAAUAUAUUGGAUUUCAAUUUCUCGUGUCCAUUGAAAAGGACGAGAUAUUUACUGGAAAGCCCCUGCCUUAUCUGAUAUUUGAAAACCUUCUCUUUGGAAGCCAAAUUUAUGCAACAUUAACCAUCUUUCUCUAGGAAUGUCAAUUUGACUUACCAGCUCGAGCAGCCCAAGAAAAGUCCGAUCAUGCCCAAUUCGCGGAUCGUUAUAAUCCAGCUGAGGCUUGAGCUGAGCUUCAUUUUGGAGUUUCGGCCGAAGCUCAAGCUAGCCAGUGUGGCUUGACGAACCACAUGGGCCAUUUUCGGCUUGUGAGCAAAUUUGUGAAAAAAAGAUAUUUUGGCUGCUGUAGCUGCCUGUGUAUUACAGGCAGCUAGUAGCUACUGUUGCUGUAGCUCCAGCAGCGAAUUUGCUUGUGUAUUGCAGGCAUCAAUACAUAGUAGGAAGUCACGCGGUUGCCUUUUCAAAAAAAAUAAUAAAAAAUAAAAAAUCACGAGCUGUCUCGGUUCGAUUGGAUUCCAUAAGGCCAGAGCCAAAGCUCAGAUUGAGCGUUGAUAUUUUGACCGAACACAAACUCGACUCGACUCGAGCUAAAGAAAGCUUGAACCAUUUUUACUCAAAUCGAACACGAGCUUCAAAUUAGGCUCGCGAGCCAGUUCAACUUAGCUCGUUGACCUCCGUAUCUCUCUCAGCAAAAUCUUCGACAAUCUUCGACAACUGAUGAUGAGUAGAUCGACUAGAGACAAAUCGGCGGUGAGCAGAUCAAACAGGGCAACAACAAUAUUUUUUACUUGUAAGAAAAUGGAUUUAAAUUUCUUUUUGGGUGAAUUUCUUCAUUUGUUGUUUAAGUGUUAAUUUCUGGAGUUCUGUACUUGCCGUUCGUCGGACAUUAAAUGGGUAGAUUUUAGUUUGUACCUGAAAUGGGUGGAUUUUAUACUAUAAACUCGGUGUCUUGUGAAAUGCGUAUAAAAUAAUUUUUUAAUCUUGUGGAACAGGGUAGAUUUAAGUUUUGAGCUCUUCUUUUGUGACUACUAUAUGCAAUUUCAUGUUACAAAAAAUUCUCGGAUCGGCUCAAGUAAAGAAUGCUUGAACUAGUUUUACUGGAGAUGAACCAAAGCUUCGAAUUUCUGCUCACGAGCUGACUUAGCUCAACUCGUUCACAUUCCUAUCUUUUUCUCAACAAAAUCCCUAGAUGACUAAUGACAAUGGAUCGAUUGGAGACAAAUCAAAGGCGAGCUGAUCUAACAGGGUAACGACGAUAUCUUUUACUUGUACUAAAAUGGAUUUAAUUUUUGUUUGGGUGGAUUUCUUCAUUUCUUGUUUAAGUGUUAAUUUCUGGAGUUAUGUACUUUACCGUUCACCAAACAUUAAAUGGGUAGAUUUUAGUUUGUACAUGAAAUAGGUAGAUUUUAUAUUGAGAACUCGAUAUCUUGUGGAAUGCAUCUCAGAAAAUUUUGAAAUCUUGUGGAACUGGAUAGAUUUUAAUUUUGAGCUCUUCUUUUGUGACCACUGCAUGCAAUUUCAUAUUACAGAAAAUCAAGGGAAUUUUAUCUUUACACGAAGUCCCGAAAACCCAACUUUUUUUUUUAAAAUCAAGAUACGAAAGUGAGGGCAGAAAACAUAUCAUGGUUGGAGUGGUGGUGAGAAUUGAUGAUUCUUUAUUGGAAUCCACACUUUUAAAAACUGAUAUUGGAUUUAAUUGUUGCUUCGCCAAGAGACAAACCCUUGUCCCGUUCCUUCUUUAUCACAUGUUUCUACAAAGUCUUAGCUGCCGGAAGAGUGUGAUUUUCUUAUCCAGACAUUUUCUUUUGGAAGCCUCCAAAGUGUAAUUACAGUCUACGAGUGGAGAUUCAAAAUCCAUGCUCCAAAUACUUGAGAUGUCAAUUUCAAGACACCUUGGAUCAAGUUUUCAUGUAGUAUUUUUCAUUAAGCAUAUAACAAGGAUUUUUUUUUUUUUUUUUUUUUAAAAGUGAUAUACACAAAUGGCAUGAAAUUAUAAGGAAAAAAAAAAAUAACAACCACACAUGAAAUCAAACAAUUAAUAUUUUACCCCUCAAACUUAAAUUAAAUAUUGUCCCCAAUGUAAAAUUAAAGACAAAGGAGGAUGAGGACUUUCUUGAGUGAAGACAUCAAUUGGCUUCAUUGCUAUCGGCAUCAUGGUGGGGGCAGUGAUGGAUGUUGGUUCUAGUUUUGCCCCCAAACUUGAGCCUCGACCUACAAGAAGAGAAAAAUGAUUAAGAAAUUAUAAACAAAAAUGUAAACUAAUAUCUAAAUAAUUAAAAAGAAAAAGAGCUUGGGUUGCCUCCCAAGAAGCACUUAUUUAACGUUGUUAGUUUGAAGUUGUCGGAAUGCCUUAGGUUAGGUCACCAAGGGCACUUCUUCUAUAUUCAGCUCGUCCUUUCCAUAGUAUUACUUAUGUUGCUGGACAUUAUUUUAAAAUAUGAACCUAUUCUUGUCCUUCAACUUCACAGCACCAAAAGGAAAUAUGUUGUGGCUAAUGGUCGUGGCCAUCGUGAAUUAAGAUUAUUCACCGUCAACUUCUAGCGGGACUUAUGGACAAGUACUUGUUUCGGAAUUGGCUUUCUUCUCCAUAUAAACUUUUGCACAAGAUAAUUAGUACUGAAGAUCUCUUUGGAUUCAAAAGAGUUGACAGGCUUCACAAGAUCCUUUUUCUAGUUCUCAUUACUCUCAAGUGGCAAAGCUUCACUAGCCAAGAUAAAAUCAACCAAUUUCCUGCUCUCCCUGUAUAACUUUUUGUAGCAGUUAUGUCUAUUCUUGAAGCACUUGUUACAAUAUACUACAGUAAAGUGUCAUCAAACAAUUCCUUUUUACAUUUUUCUCCCACUGAUGCAACAAUUUCUUAACUUGGUAUAUAGUGAACCUGACUUCUUCUUUAUUAACCCAAAGUGUUAGUUGUCCUCUUUGUACAUUAGUAAGUGCUCUACCAGUUGCUAAGAAAGGUUGACUAAGAAUUAAUGGUAUUUCUUGAUCUUCCUCCAUAUCCAACACCAUAAAAUCAAACGGAAAGAUGAACUUCUCAAGUUUAACUAACACAUCUUCCAUAAUUUCCUUAGGAUAUGUAAGAGAUCGAUUAGCAAACUACAAAGCGAUGGUGGUUGAUUUCGUUUAUCCAAGACCCAACUUCUUGUAUAAACAGAGGCAUUAAAUUAAUGCUAGCCCUAGAUCACAUAAUGCUUUGUUAAUGUUAGAAUCGCCAACUGUGCACGGAAUUGUAAAGCUAUUUGGAUCCUUUAGUUUCUAAGGAAGCUUCUUUGACAUUAGUUUUUUUUUUUCAAGAAUUUGGCAUAAUUCUGCAUGUGUGCUAAAAUAUCUACAAUAGAGAAAAUUAUAUGGAUUUUCUUGAAAAUUUCUAGAAAUUUUGCAACCUGUGCAUUAAACUUUUUCUUUAGGAAUUGCUGUGGAUAUGACAGUGGUAUCUUCAAGAUUGGUGGAUUAUCUAGGAAUGAGACUGAAUUAGGCUUAGAAGCCUUCUUUGUUUUCUUGUCCUGCAACCUACUUUUCUUCCUCUUGUCUGGAAUUUGAGUAGAAACUAUAGCCUCUUUAGGCUUACUUUCUCUAAUCUCCUUACCACUUGUAAAUGUGAUAGCAUUGCAAUGUUCCCUUAGAUUUACCUUUGUAUCACUAGGAAACUUUCCUUUAGGUUAAGUAUUCAUUGCAAUAGCUAGUUGACCAAUCUGUAACUCAACAGAUUUCAUAAUGGCCUCCAUGUUGGUUAUAUGAGUCUCAAUGUUGUCAGUCGUGACUCAUCCUUGUUGAAUCUUGCCCUAGUCUCUGAAAUAAAGGCUUUCAAGAUGUCUUUUAAUGAUGGUUUCUCUUAAAAGGAUUGAUUAUUGAACCUAGGAGAAUGCUAGAGCACAUUCCUAUUAUUACCAUAAGUGAGUUUUUAUAUCAAGCAGCCGCUUGGCAGAUUGGUACAGAAGAUUUCCAGUGGGGCGUGAAGAUGCUUCUUUGGUGAAUGAGAGGCUGGGUGCCUCGUAUACCUGCGUAGCGCGGCUCUCACCAGGCUGACCUUUUCGAGUUGGUCAGGGCGAUCCACCAAACUAGUUAGUAGAAGAUUUGACCAAAUGGAGCGUCAGCUUACGCGCUCCAUCGCCUUUGCUAUUAGUUGGGACGACAUGGCGUGGACUCUGUAGGCUCUGGGACUACCACGUGGUUAAUGAUUUGGCAUCUCUCUGGACGCGUAAGAACAAUCCUCUAAGUCCAUGUAUGGAAUAUUUAUAUCGUGUGCGGACUUUUAGUGUUGGACUAGAAGUAGAUUGUUUGUUGGGGCUACCCAUUGGCAUGGAGAAUUGGUGCAAAGGUGAUUUGGCCGAGGUGUAACAAUAAUAGUCCUCCAAGUCCAUGUAUAGAUUAUUCAUAUAAUGCGUGAACUUUUGGUUGAUGAGGUGUAGGCAUAGUUUCUAUUUGGGCAAGUUUUUUGUUGUUGAGAGCUUUGAGAGAAGCUGUUGAGGCAGAAGCGUGGUCCCUGAAUCAUGAUCGCUAAUAAUUGAGUCUGACUCUGCCUUGAAUCUUGACUUGGAUCAAAAGAUUCUUCAUACCGUAUGAAGAAUACGUAGCUAACAAUAUCUCAAAUACGUAGCUAACAUAUAGCUAGAUUUUAAGACGGCAAUUGAUAUACUUAUAGGAAGAGGAUUCAGAUUUUCAGGUCAAUAAUUAUAAUUACGUUUGAUUCAUUGAUAUCUUGUAUCAAAGAAACGAUGUCUUUCUUUUGAGUUAAAACAAAUUAUUUCAGCAAAAAUUUAUUCUACUUCCACAACUUUCUAUGUUUUUCUUGUUGUGUCACUUAAACUUUCUCUAGUCUUGUUUGUAAAGAUUUAUUUUUAUAGGUUUUCAAAAAUAUGUUAUAGAAAUGGUUAGUACCAUCAGUGGUUAUUAAAGUUUGUUAAAAACUUUAAAAUGAUCGUUGAAGUAUUUUUCUAGCUAUAAUGGUAAUUUAUUCUAAUAGUUACAUUAAUAGUUGGCUGGAAACAUUAACCAAAAUCUUGUAUGUCACCAUUAAAUGUCAACUUUGACGCAAACAAUGCUAAUUAUUACAUAAUGCAACGUAUUCCUAAAUUUUGUAGAAAUUAAUGGAAUAAACACUUUUAAAUUUAAAUUUUCAUUUGGGUAAUAUGUUUUAAAAGCUGAAUGUUUCUCCAUCAAAUUUUCAUGAUAAGGAUUGAUUAUAAGGAUUUAAUUUCUUCAAAUUUGCUCUCCCAACUGUCUUCUCUCUUCUGUUACGUUAUCUGCUUCUUUCUUUUUUGCUGUCCUUCCACUGCGUUUUCUAUUUUUUCCCCCUUCUAUUCUCCUAUCUUCAGCUUCUGUUUGCUUUCACAAAGGAUUCUAAUUCCUUUGAAUUUGAUUCCCAUCUAAUUUCAUGUUUCAAGGCCCAUUAAUGUAUUAUUUAUCUCAAAGGCCUCACGUCUUUGAAAUAAUGUAAUAUAGUCCUUGAUAAAAAUUUGUUUGUGUGUCUCAUGUCUUCUUUAAUUCAAUCAAUCACUUCAAUUAUAAUAAAAAUGUGGAAUUUGAUCUCAAAGCUACAGAUUUUAUUCAAUUUCAUAAUUCUUGAUCAAUAUUUUCUCCGAUCCCUAGUUUCUCCUAACAUAAUAAAAAAAUAUAAAUAAUUAACCAUCAAGUUUACAAUACUACUAACUAAAGACACUUUGGCGACUUAGAUAAGUGUAACUUUAAUACUUAUCAAAUACCGCCAAAUUUGAGCAUUUGUUAGUAUUCAAAUAAAUGAUAAUAGAUACUUUACUAUACUCUAAGAAAAAUACUCAACUCGAUAUAUGCAUCUCAAUGUUUCCUCAAAUACCUAUCACAAUCACAAAAUUUAAACAGGUUAAUGAGACACAAGAACCAAAAAUUAUUCUAAAACUCCACAUAUCGUAUAGUGUUCGUGUGUGUGUGUUGAACAUUCUCAUAUCUACUGAUGUUACUCAAAUCAAAUAAUCUAUUUUAAUUUCCAAACUCUCUUUUCCCAGAUAAAAAACUAAGUCCCAAUAAUGUUGAUAUACUCUUUCAUCACUCGUGUUUUUCUAUUUAUUUUUCAAUUCUCCCAAAGACAAAAUAACUAUGAGAUAUGACUUGUUUUCAUCAACCACUCAGUCACCUUCCAAUUUGUAAUCAAUGAGCUGGACUCAGCUGGACAGAGGUAGCAUUUAUAUAGUUGUUUUGGUACUAGCGCAACACACUUUAGUGUGUUUUACUUUUCUUUUUAUUUUAUCCAUUUUUCUAUUUUUUUGUGAGUAGGGUCAACUUACUCAAUACCAGCUUCAUACUAUAGUUUAGGUAAAUUUUUCCCUAUGUGUCAAAACUAGUGCAAUGUCUUUUACGUUUUAGGCUAACAAUAGGAGUUAAAAGAUAAUUAAGUGGUGAUGUUUUUGGUGUCGAAUGGAUCUAAUCAUUCCUAAACUUAUUCUAAAAGGAUUUUCAAUAUGGUUCUAAACGAAUGUUGGUUUAAUAAAUAUGUUCUAAGGUCUUAAAAAAUUCUGAGGUGAUUGACUUGUACAACUCAAUUUUUAAUCAAUUAUAAGUGUAGUCAAGAAUGAGUACGUGCUUGAAUUGUUCAAAAGACAAGUAUAAAAUAAUAGGAUUCAUAAAUAAUUAAAAAUCUGAGUGUCCAAAGGAAUCGAUUUACAUUUUGCUCUUAUUUGAGAAUCAUCAAUUGAUAUAAAUUACUUUGUCCAAGUCAAAUCACACACAAGCAUACAUAAUAAAGCUAAAAAGUUUUUUUUUUUUUUUUUUUUUUUUUUAAAAAAAAUUUUUAUGGGUUUUUUACAACAAAAGCCCCAAACCUUUAAUCACACCCAAAUUAUUCGUGUAGAAUAAAUUAAAAUAGAACCUAGAUUUUCUCCUCGACGUAAUGCUAUAAAGCAGAAAAUAUCAAAAUUAAAUAAAAGAUAGAAAAUUUAGACUUGACUGAUAAUUUUUGCAAGAUGGAGUUAGCCUUGAAACUAGAAGAAUAUUUUCCUUCUCUUUAUCUUCUCUCCUCCUUCAAAGGAAUUUCUCCUUCUUUGUGCCUUUUUUCUACAAAUAAGAUUAAGUAAUUAUAAUCAAGAUUCCAAUAAAAGAGCAACACAUCAACUACUUAAUCCAUCUAUCUCAAUUCGAUUUUGCUAGUGGUACAUUGAGAUGUAACUAAUGGUGUACACUCCACUCACAUAGGUGAGGGACCCAAUCGAAUAAAAUAUCAUUUCUUUCACAUGGAUCCCACACCCAUGUGAGUGGGGUGUACACCAUUCGGUACAACCCAUUAUAUACCACUAGACAAAUAAUAAGUAAUUAUAAUCAAGAUUCCAAUAAAAGAACAACACAUCAACUACUUAAUCCAUCUAUCCCAAUUUAGUAUAACAAAAUUAGAAAAAUUCCAAGAAAAAAAAUCUCAUGUAAUACUAUUGAGUGAAACUUGAACUUUUCAUGAUUUUUAAAAACAUUGAACAUAUUGAUGAUGAAUAAGUUGGUGAUUAUGUGAAUUUGGGUGUCAAAUAUAUGGAGGAGGGAGAGAAUUUUGAAAAUUUGAAGUUAAAACUUAUUAAAGUUAAAAACUAAAAUAAAUAAAAAAAUUAGAUCUCUUAGUUCUUUUUCUAUGUUUGACCACGGUUGACCACGACGAACAACAAACAUUUGGCGACUGUAUGUCAUCGCAGUUGACUGCGGUCAACCGUAUUGUUUAUUUUAAUUUUUUGCAGUGGUAAUAGAAUGACGACCCCAAAAAUAAUAAAAUAUUUAAAACAAAAUUUAUUUUUAGCUAAAUAAUAAUUAAACAUGCCUAAUCCUAAAUGCAAUUGUAUCAUUUAUAUGUCAUGCAGUAAUAGGAUGGCAAUUCAUAUCGCUGGCUCGAGCCACCCGUGGCUCGGCCUGGGCUAAGCCCGAGCCAGCCCGCAGGCAUUAUUUAAAAAAAAAAAAAAAUAGAAGCCCCAAAAAAUGCUGCCUUAAUAGGUAGUCAGUAGCUGGCUGCCUUUUACGACAACCUUAUAUAAAUAAAAAAUAAAAAUAAAAAAAUAAAAAAAAUAGAAGAACCAUAAAAAAAAUGAGCCUACCCUGCUCGAGCCUAAGCCCGGCUAAAAGCUCGUACAUUUUACUUGAGUCAAGUCUGAACCUUGAGUUUUGGCUUAGGAGCCGGCUCGGCUCGUUAGAAAAGUGGUUUACUUCCCAUUAAAUUCUUGGUCUAUAGUCCGAAGCUAGACUUUGGUCAAGUCUUAAUUAUGAUGGCUCAAGUCGAAAUGUUUUGGCCUUGUAAUCCUUCCAAUUUCUAGCUUUGCAUUCUCUUCUUGCUCUCCAAACUUUGAAUUUUUCAUUCUUAUCUCUACCAAGAAUUUCAACAAAUUUAGGUUUCUCUUCUGAUAGCUUUGUUGAAAUGAUAAAUCAUCCUCAUCAACACAGUUGCACUCCUCAUAUUCAGAUGGUUGCUUGCACUGCUCUCUUCUGUCAUGCCACAAUUUUAAAUUUUGGCAGCUCUCUCUUCUUUAAUAUAAUGUCUUUCAAGAACCUUACAUAACUUGAAAUUUGCCUAAUUGCAUCAACGAAUUGUAUGUUGAUGUAAAGCUUCUUCAGCACGUCCAGGAACUUUUCAAAUUGAUGGUCUAGCUCGUGUUACUUCAACCUUUGUGGGAACGGGAUGAGAAGUACAUAUUUUCUGACAGAAACGGCCACCUUAGCAUGUUGGUUAUCUGAAUUCUCUUUCAAAUUUUCAUCAGUUGAUGUUUUAGAUUCAUCUAAUUUCUCUUCUUCAAUAGUUGUUACUUAAUUUAUCUUUGCUAUUGAUAUUUUGAACGUAAUCCCAAGCAGUUGUACCUCGCUUCUUAUUGUGAUUUCUUUGAUCCUCUCCUCCUCUCUCCACUUUGAAAUCCUUACGAAAAAGGAAUGGGAGGCAUAUGUUCUCAUAAUUUUGGAGCUGCCAUCGGUUGCAGGGUAUUUAUUUGUUCAUCUUCAAUAACUCUGAUAGAUAUUACCUACUCCUUUGAAUUAGUUUCUGUAUAGAAAGGUAAAGCUCCUUGUAGCCUUUCAGAGAUAUCAGGGGGCCAGCUGACCUAUUUAAGUUUCCAAUUCUGUUUAAUGGUUGUCGAAUGACUUUGUAAGGUUGUUUCAAUCUUAGCCAUGUAUUGGUUAGUCUUCUGUAUGAGUUUACCCAAUAUAUCCUCCAAAGAAGCUCUCUUUUCUUCUUGUUGGAAACUAGGAGUUGGGGAUCUGCUGAUGCUUAUUUUGGUUGUUGCUUCAGGAGAAGUUAUGAUGAUUACGUGAUCCUCAGUUAUAUGCAUUGCUCUAUUGGUUAUUUUGCUGGUGUUAAUAAUUAUGUGCAAUCCUCUCUCUAUUUUGAUGCAGCCUAGCAUUCCAUAUUGUUGUGAGCUCCCCCAAAUGUACUACAAAAUUGAAAUCCAAAUUUUUUUUUUAUUUUUUAUUUUUUAUUUUUUAUUUUUGGCAUUUGAUGAAUUUUUAAUGGCCAGAUGGCCUAUAACCUUCCUUUCUAAAGAAGAUAUUUGUGCUCAUAGUUUGUAGAUGGCAUCUAUUUCAUGCAUACCUGAUGAAAUCUUGUAUAAAGAUCUUUCGAAAGGCCACAAGGCAUUGUCGGCUGCAAUUGUCUCACAUCCUUAACUUUAUUAGGUGACCUCAAUGUGAUAGAUCCAUUAGCACUGAUGUACGACAUGCUGGGUUCAAUCCGGUCUAGAAGUACAAAACUUGCAAGGAUUUCUUAAUAUCAUGGUUAGGACACUUUCUGAUCAUGUUCUUGCAUCUUUUACAUGCUUCAUGAAAACUCUCUAAAUCUGCCGGUUGAAAUGUCGAGAUCUCAUGACUUUUAGUUACCUUUGACGUUGGAAAGUAUUUUGUGACACACUUAUGUACUAUAUCAUCAUCCUAAUGCUUUCUUCGCCCGGGGAAUCCAACCAUUCUCUUGCUUUAUCACGAAGAGUAUAUAGGAAGAGUCUCAACUAAUUGCUUCAUCGGAUACUCCAUGAAAAUUGUAGUUUUAGUAGAUGUCCAAGAAGCGUGAGAUAUAAUUAUGUAGAUUCCCAUAAUAUUGAAAUAAAACAAAAAAGGUUAAAAGAUAUCACCAACUUUAAUUACAAUAAACAAGAUAAAAGUUACUCCUGGCUUUCGUUGAUUUUUGUCAUACAAUUCCAACAAUAUUUUUCAUUUCCUUCCUUGCGUAUUGUAAAUCUCACGAUAAUUAGUUGAUGGAAUAUGAUAUAUUUUCUUCAAUUUUGCUCUCCUAGCCAUCUUUUCUCUUCCAUCACAUUUUCUAUUUCUUGCUUUUUGUCAUCCUUCCUCGGUGUUUUCUGCAUUUUUCUUUUAUUUGCCUAUAGCCAGCUUCCGUUUACUUUUAAAAAAAAGGAUUCUAAUUCCUUUGAAUUUGAUUCCCAUCUAAUUCUAUGUUUCAAGGCCCAUUUUUUUUUUUUUAUGUAUUAUUUCUCUCCAAGGCUCACUUUUUUUUGAAUAAUGUAAUUUAGUCCUUGAUAAAAAUUCAUUUGUGCAGCACAAAUCCUCUUUAUUUCAAAUCAAGCCCUUCAAUUUCUAAAGUGUUGAAUUUGAUCUCAAAGCUGUAGAUUUCAUUCAUUUUCGUCAUUCUUGACCAAUAUUUAUUCCAAUCCCAAAUUUUCUCGUAACAGAAUCCAAAAAUACAAAAAAUUAAGUAUUAAGUUCACAAUAAUACUAACAAAAGACACUUUAUGUGGCUUAAAUAAGUGUAAAUUUAAUACUUAUUCAUAUCCACCUUCACAUCCACUCCCUUUUCAAUGAAUUUUGUCAUUUUCGGUGUGUCUUCGAGUUCCUAGACCUAAAGAAAAUGCAUGGAUACAAUUAUAGCAUUUAUAUCUUGUUGCCGUAAAUCUGCGUUGACAUAAUCUAUAGCCUCCUCAUAUGAAGUCUUAUUAUCUACUUGUAUUGUGGACAUCAUCUGUUUGGACUGUCCAACCAACAAGUAUGUGAAAAAUCUCAUGAUGACCUUAUAACCUUAUCUAAGUGGUUGUAGCUCCUAGAUCGUGGCGUUAUUAAGGAAUCACAAUGUUUUCAUCAAAGCUAGUAUCACCAUCAAGUUGACUCCAUUACUUUUGACAAUUUUUUCAUCUAUAGGAUCAUAUGAAAGAUCAUAGCUCCUACUCUGGUCAUGAUGUCUUAAUAUUCCUAAAACUGUAGUUUGGUUUUCAUCAAAAAUAGCAUCACCAUUAAGUCGAAUCCAUUACAUCCUCAGUUUCAACAAUUUCUUCAUCUAUAGGAUCACAUGAAUGAUCAUCCCUUCUACUUUUAUCAUGUUGUUUUAGUAUUCCUAAACUGUAGGUUGUUUGUCACCGGGGUUGUGUUUCUAGAAUUGAUAUCGUAGAUUUAUUCUCACUCAUUUCUUUGAAAACAACCUUAUUUUGGUUUGAAAAGACAUAUAUUGAACACAUUAAGUCAUAAAUAUUAGUCUAGAAUUUCAUGUUAAAACUAAAUAGUGACAUUACAAAUAUUACAAAUCAAAGUUUACUUAUAAUUAUUACAUGCAAUAAUAUGAUACAAAUAUUUUAGUGCUAACCUAUUAGUCGAUGCUAAUUUGAGCCACAUUUGCAGCUGUAACACGUUAUUGAUUCUUUAUAUAAAGAUAAGAAUAUAGCCAAUUUAUUCAUUAAUUACAAUCACAAUAUAAAGCAAUUAAUAAAAAACGAAUAAGAAGAUCAAAUACGAUAAUAUAUUCUACAGCUUUCUGUGAAUCAUCCAAUACUUCUACAUUAUUCAAAUAUUGACGAAUUAUUAUAGGUUCCUUAAUACAACAUUUUAGGACAAAUCAUCGCCUCAACAUCUUUAAGAUCAACCAACGCCUAAAAGAAUAAAAAAAUUCAACAACUAAUAGGGAUUAUAAAUUCAGUAAUUUUGAAUAUUUGAAUAGCUAACACAUAUUUGACAAUUUUCGAAGGUAAUCUCAUACUUAUUUGCAUUCAAUUUCCACCAAAGUAAUAGGUUGAAAGGCUCAUUAGUCAAAUCUUGACAUAACCAUUUAAGAAAUCUAUCAAAUUAUUCUAUCGAUUAAAUAGUAAAAUUUAACAACUAAGUUUAAAUAUAAAUAAUAAAUCGUAUGAUCUAACCAGAAAAUUGAGAAGUAAAUAAACAAAUAGUAUCGUCUAAAAAAAUUAAGGGCUUCGAAAAAUCACAACAAAACAAAAAAAUUAUCAAUAAAAUAUAAUAAACAAUUACAAAAAAUAAGAAAUUUUGGAUAAACUUACAUGGAAAUUUCGGCAAAAUUCGAGAAAAAUAUUAGUAGAAGGAAAGGAAAUGGUGUGAGUUUAUUAAAAUUUAAUUGUCUACUCAAUGUGAUGGACAUUCGAUGAUUAUGGUUUCAAAAAAGUUCAAUACUUCAGCCAAUUUGAGAAUUUUUCUUUCACAAUUUUGAUGACUUAUGGUUAUUUAUUAUUUAAUUAAUUGGAAUGGAUAGUUGUCUAAUUGUGUGUUGAAUUUAACUGGGUUGGAUAUAAUAUGAAUGUAUAUUUUGAAUUUGGAUGCUUUACGUUUUAGUUGGGUUGAAUAAAAUUUAAAGUAACUUAUUUUUCAAUUAUUUUUAUUUUUUGUAAUAAUUUGAUAAUUUGAAAUGGUUUGCAAAAAUUGAAAUCUAAACAAAUCUAAUUUGAAACGAUUUGGUUCGAUUCAAAAUAAAAACAUUGAGGGAUCUAUGUGAACCCAAAUCAAUGAUUUCAAAAACUAAUUUUAGUUCGAUUUCAUAGUUUGACGAUUUUGCUAUCUGGCCCUAGUAAUAGCUGUUUUUAUUAAAACAAUGGAUUUUUGUUUAAAGUUUAAAAGUUCUUGUUGAUCAAUAAAAUUUCUUUUUAAGUUAUUUUAAAGAAGCUCAAAUUUUUCAAAAAGCUUUGUAUCCAAGAAAAUUGAAAUAUGUAUUUAAUAAAACUUUUCAAUAAACAAAAUUAUCCUUCAAACUAUCUUAACAUCGAAAUAACAAUGGACUAAUAUAGCCCCCCAGGGCACAUCCGAGUUGGUGGAUCAAUAACUUUGGCGGGCUCGCAACUUCAGCGUGGAGAGUUCGAUUCCUGGUGGGAACCUGUAAUCCAACAAAUGGGCAACUUUGUUGGUGGAUCAAUCACUAUGGAGGAAAGCUCUCUUGAGGCCAAGAGUAAAAAUCGGGUGGGAACCUGUGAUCCAACAAGGGCACAUCCUGCGGUUUACCUCCGCUAGUCACUGAGGGGCCGAUGGCUAGGGGUUCAGGAUUUAGUCUGGCGAAGCUGGGACACCUGGGUAUAAAAAAAAAAAAAAAAAAAAGGAAAAAAAAAAAAACAAUGGACUAAUAUAAUAAAUUUUAUAAUUUAAAGUUUCAUUUUGAAAGGUUAACAAAUAUGUUUCUAUCUUAUUUUUAGUAUUAUUUAUCAUUUUAACUAUGAAAUGUCACAUACAAUCCCCAUUUCAAUUAGUUAAAAUAUAUAAUAAAAUAAAUAAUGUGAUCUACACAAAUAAAUAACUUGAUAUUCAUUUAAAUAAUAAUACUUCGUUAUUUUAGUUAAAAUAAAUUUUAAUAGUUUCAAUGAAUGGAAAUAAAUAUUAUAUACAAAUAAAUUAUUAAAAUUUAGCCACAUAAGUAUGUGGUAAGCACUUUUUAGUUACACUACCAAACAAUCUAUUUAGUACUCACAACAUUUUUCAGAUUGACUAUCAAACGAACAACUUUUUAUUAAAAGCUUUUCUUGAAAAGGCUCUACUAGUAAAAACUCUAUUGAUAAAGUUCUACACACAAUAGUUGUACUUAAUGGACCCUAAAAAGAUUAGAUGCAACAUCAUUCUCCAAUUUGACACAACAACAAAGAUGUUGAUUUUUCAUUAAAUCUUAGUAGAUGGAAUGGCUGGGAUAUAAAAAGCAACAGUGGCUUAUUUAACACAUUUGAAAUUUAUUGACCAAAUAGUAACAGGUGGGAAAGUUUAGUGACCAUUUCGAUAAUUAACCCGACGUUACUCUAAAACAGAGUAUUAUUAUAUAAUUUUUGACCACUUAUAAUAAUGUUUUGUGUUUCUUGAUAGAUCCUUCUAUGACCAGUUUUAGUACUUUUCCAAACUAAAUAUUCUAUGACAUUUGUGGGACAUAGGAAAGAUAAUUGACAAUUGAUAUAUACAAAAUGACAAUUAGAGUUGUUAGGGUGAUCAGUGGUUAAAUGUGAACAUUACGGGAAGUCUAAAAGCUAAAAUAUUUUUUUAUAGAAGUCUUACCAAAUGUUGAACGGCUUAAUUGCAAUUAAAUUACUUGUGAAAGGAGAAUUUGACUCUUCAGGAUCAUAUUCUCAAAAAAUUCUCCACGACUAGGGAAUUAUUUUCAUUUUAAAUAUAACGGAGAGAUGUCUAAUAAAUAAUAUGUCAAGGUUCGGGAAUUUUAUUGUGUGAGAGAUCUUAACUUUGUGAUUCUCGCCUUAUUUUCAUAUAUAGUAAAAUUUUCUUGCAACACUAUUUUGUCUAAGAAUAUUUGAUUAAUUUUCUCACCACCUUUGUAUCUGAAAUUGAAAAAUUCAUAAAAUUGAAAAUUAUCAAACAAUAGAAGGAUUGGUGUGCAAUAAAUAAAUAUUAUUGUUCCGGCAUAAUCCAUUAUUUUUCUUUCCGUAGCAGUAAUAUUAUGAAACUUGUACAAAAUAUUUUUCACAAAGUAAAUCGUUAGUUUUUGGUUCCUUUCAAGAAAAAUAGUAGUUAAUUUUAAUCUAGAAUUAUUUAAUAAAAAAUUAGAAGUAAAUAACUUUGGGGACCAAUUUAGAAAUCUCUAAAAAAUUCCUCUCCAAUUUUAACAUUUUAAGAUUUAAACGGGCCAGUUACCAAAUACGUUCAUUUCUUUAAUAACAAACAAACGUGGAACUGUGGAAGUCAAAUAUAAUAAAAAAUACAUAUCUAAUAAUUAACAUUCAAGGUUGAAUGUCAAAUGUUGAACGAAAUCUUAACAUUUUAUAAGAAUUUAGAGGAAAGAUAAAUUUAAGUCAAAUCUUGGUUGUUAAAAGGGAAAAUUUCAAAUAAUUAAAUCCAUCCUCUAUAUAUCUAAUAAUUUAAGAAUUUAAAUUAAAUUUUAAUAUAUAGUGUCGAAAAAUUAGACAAAAUGUCAUCAAAUAAAGCCUCAUUGUUACUUUUAAAAUUUGUAUAUGUAUAAGAUCUUUAAUAAAAAAAUUAAUCCGAAAAUUGUGAAGAAUUUGGUCAAGUAAAAUGAAGAACCCAUUUUGCAAACUCAUAUAUUGUAAAUGCAUGUUUUAUAAGAACCAGAGGCGGACCCACAUGGUGUCAUGUGAGAUCAAAUGACCUCACAAUUUUAUUUUAUUUUUUUUCCCUGCUGAAAACGUAAUUUCAUGCCAAGUUGGUGAGCCAACCCAAUUAAUUUUCCUAGCCCAAUACUCAAAAAGCCCAAAUCCUAAAUCUAUAUCCAUAUCACAUUGUCCAUAUCCAUUAGUUUGUCCAUAGAUAUAUCAUAUAAUUCACCGAUUUCUUCUUUUUGUUCAUGAUACGUUGUUCUAAAUAAAUUUCAUUUUUAACUCCACAGUUUGAACUGUCUAGAUCCGCACCCGAUAAGCACGUAUAAUGAAGAUUGAGAUGUAAACAAACUGGUGCAAGCCUCAUCCUAACUGUAAAAAAAUUGAAACUUCGACAAGGGAUCCCAACAAGUUGGUCCCACUUCUUUUUCCUAACUUUCCUUGGACGAUAACAAUUAAUAGUGCAACACUAACGAAAAGUUACGGACCAACUUGAAAAAUGAGGCAAUAGGUUGGGGACCAACGGUGAAAUUUUUGCAGAUUUUGACAACUAUAUAUACAGGUCACAAGUGACUCAUCUGAUAUUCCAUAAAUUUCUCAAAGCUAGUUGUCCCCUGCAUUCAUUGUCUCUUUAUUCCACGGAAGGAUGAAGGUAUGCACACACACAGUUGAAAUGCAAGAAAUGGAAAGAGAAACCCUUGAAUCUUCUUAUAUGUAUAUUUACUCUUUCAAUGUUUUUCAUCAUCAGCAAAAGGUGGUCAUUGAGGUCUCGUUAAAUGGCCAUAUCUCUCAAGGCAUCAUUGAGAUGUUGAUGUGCUGCGUAAAUCAAGAGUCGAACGAAGCUACGAAGAUUAGAACGAGGGCCAUGAAGAUUGCAGUAUGCAUCCCAAGUAAGUUAAAUCUUUUUUAUGAGUAACAAAGCCUGUGUUUGAGCAUUUUUAUUUAUUUAUUUAUUUAUUUGGUGAAAAUGAGCUCAAAGACCGGCAAAAAUAGCUUGUUUGGUACUUGAGACUUACAUAAUUAUAUCUAGGACAUCAAACAAGGUUCCUUUUUUUUUUUCCCCCAAUAUUGUCUAGUCAACUUUAUCAGACAUGCAAUAAGAAGACUUCAAUUUAGAUGGUGUUAUUUACGUUAUUCUAUAGGGGUAGAGUCUGCAGCAAUGGAGGGGGAGGAAAGGAACAAGCUAACAGUGAUUGGCGAAGAUAUCGACACGGUGACUCUUGUCAAAUUGCUUAGGAAGAAUGUGUGCUUCGCGAAGAUCGUGAGUGUUGGCCCUACAGAGACUGUCAAAACUGCCGAGGACAAGAAUCAGGCGGCUGUGCAUCCCAUAUGCUAUAAUCAUGUGCCUCAUUAUCAAUUAUUGGAAAUCAGAGAACCCUACUAUACCCCCUCAUGUUUCAACUUUUGAAUGCUUAUUGGUGUUGAAUUUGUCCAAAAAAUUAAUAAUAAUGAAAAAAAAAAUUAUGUUUUGCAAUGGAAAUGAAUAAAGUGACAAAUUUUGUUUGAAAUAAUCUUACAGAUAGAACAUAUUGUAUAAUUAUUGUUUGUUGUGGAAGCUCGCUUCAAGAUGUUCAAACGGUGAUUUUCUAGCUCAGUUUCACAUUAACUUUUUCUACCAAACAACCAAUCUAAACAUCUCUGACUCACAAGCAAUCUAUUUUCCUUAAUUGCUUCUCAAUCUUACCCAUAGAUGACAAGAUAACGGUGUUGAUUUGUAAGUUACAAUGAAACAAGAAAAAUAAUGAAUGAGGCACAAAGAAGAGACCAAAACGAAGGAGGAAGUCACCAGCUUUCACUCUCAAUUGCACACAUUUUUCUCCAAUAGUAGGCAGCCAUGUUCUCUCUUUACACACAAACCACACACUAAAAAAUGCCUAGCUCAAUACACCAUAUAUAUAGAUAUAGGUUAGGUUUUAGUCUGACCAAGAAAGGGGUUAAAUUGACUAAGAUUUAAAAGCCAUCCAAUAGAUAAAUAUAUGGGCCGUGAAUAGCAUUAAUUUCUUAAGCUACUUUCAACAGUCCACGUUGUUUUCGUGUUGAGCCUUUAGACUUGGUUGUUGGUAAUCAAUUCAUCAUUGUCCAAGACCUGUGAAAAUAUAUUCAAACGUUUUACAUCAUCGCCAAAGAUUUAUUGGUUAUGAAAACCCAACAAAUUUUCACCUUGAUACACAAUCAACCUGUAAGCUAUCAAAACCCAAAAUCAAUACUCACAUAAUAAAUGUAACCNNNNNNNNNNNNNNNNNNNNNNNNNNNNNNNNNNNNNNNNNNNNNNNNNNNNNNNNNNNNNNNNNNNNNNNNNNNNNNNNNNNNNNNNNNNNNNNNNNNNNNNNNNNNNNNNNNNNNNNNNNNNNNNNNNNNNNNNNNNNNNNNNNNNNNNNNNNNNNNNNNNNNNNNNNNNNNNNNNNNNNNNNNNNNNNNNNNNNNNNNNNNNNNNNNNNNNNNNNNNNNNNNNNNNNNNNNNNNNNNNNNNNNNNNNNNNNNNNNNNNNNNNNNNNNNNNNNNNNNNNNNNNNNNNNNNNNNNNNNNNNNNNNNNNNNNNNNNNNNNNNNNNNNNNNNNNNNNNNNNNNNNNNNNNNNNNNNNNNNNNNNNNNNNNNNNNNNNNNNNNNNNNNNNNNNNNNNNNNNNNNNNNNNNNNNNNNNNNNNNNNNNNNNNNNNNNNNNNNNNNNNNNNNNNNNNNNNNNNNNNNNNNNNNNNNNNNNNNNNNNNNNNNNNNNNNNNNNNNNNNNNNNNNNNNNNNNNNNNNNNNNNNNNNNNNNNNNNNNNNNNNNNNNNNNNNNNNNNNNNNNNNNNNNNNNNNNNNNNNNNNNNNNNNNNNNNNNNNNNNNNNNNNNNNNNNNNNNNNNNNNNNNNNNNNNNNNNNNNNNNNNNNNNNNNNNNNNNNNNNNNNNNNNNNNNNNNNNNNNNNNNNNNNNNNNNNNNNNNNNNNNNNNNNNNNNNNNNNNNNNNNNNNNNNNNNNNNNNNNNNNNNNNNNNNNNNNNNNNNNNNNNNNNNNNNNNNNNNNNNNNNNNNNNNNNNNNNNNNNNNNNNNNNNNNNNNNNNNNNNNNNNNNNNNNNNNNNNNNNNNNNNNNNNNNNNNNNNNNNNNNNNNNNNNNNNNNNNNNNNNNNNNNNNNNNNNNNNNNNNNNNNNNNNNNNNNNNNNNNNNNNNNNNNNNNNNNNNNNNNNNNNNNNNNNNNNNNNNNNNNNNNNNNNNNNNNNNNNNNNNNNNNNNNNNNNNNNNNNNNNNNNNNNNNNNNNNNNNNNNNNNNNNNNNNNNNNNNNNNNNNNNNNNNNNNNNNNNNNNNNNNNNNNNNNNNNAAUUUUACUACUUUACAACCAACACUAUUCACUAAUCUCCAAUAACCAUGCCAACCAAUAGAGAAAAAAAGGGAAUCCUAAGUGCACAAGGGGCAAAAUUGUCCAGAAUCUCAAUUUUGCCUAAGGGGUAAAAUUGUCCAGAAUCUCAAUUUUGCCUAAGGGGUAAAAUUGUCCAGAAUCUCAAUUUUGCCUAAGGGGUAAAAUUGUCCAGAAUCUCAAUUUUGCCUAAGGGGUAAAAUUGUCCAGAAUCUCAAUUUUGCCUAAAAUAGAAAUCGAACACCACAAGUCUAUCUCGUCAUCUGGAACAAUCUGUUAGAAGAUAACGUUAUCGAAAUCACCUCUACGCUCUCUCACAUGCAUCUGGUUGAGUUUCAUGCGCUGUCCGACCACUUCAUGAGCUGAUCAUGCAGCUGUGCCUCCACCUAUACGUCACGCCAAUAGUUUUCGUUUCACCAACCAAUCAUUGGAUUAGCUCGAAACACAGAAAUAUGUUCAGUAGCCUUGAAGAAACUGGGCAAAUUUGGUUUCUAUUUUGAUUCUAUAGAUUUUCUAGUUAGUUGUUAGUCAGAUUUUUGAGCCACCUUGAAGCUCUAACCAAUUGUUGCAGAAGCUCGCUCCAAUAUCAAAAUUGUUAUUUUUGAGCCCAGUCUCACAUUAUCUUUCUCCAAUUCAAAUGGCACUAACCACAAUCAAUCCAUUUACCACAGUUGCUUCUCAAUCUCACCCAUACAAGAUAAAUAACGGUGUUGAUUUGCAAGCCAAGAAGACAUGAGAAAAAAAAUGAAUAAGGCACAAAGAUGAGACCAAAACGAAGGAGGAAGUCACCGAUUUUUUACUCUCAAUUGUACAUGUUUUUCUUCAACAAUAAGCAGCCAUUUUUUUCUCUCUUUACUCACAAAUCGCACACUAAAAAAUGGCUAGGGAAAUACACCAUAUAUAGUGAUAUAAGUUACGCUUUAGUUGUACCAAGAAAGGGGUUAAAUGUGCCAAGAUCAAAGAGCCAUCCAAUCGGUAAAUAUAUGAGUCGUAAAUAGCAUUAAUUUCUUAAGCUACUUCCAAUGGUCCUUGUUGUUUUCGAGUUGAGCUGCUAUACUUGGAUAUUGGUAAUCAAUUCACCAUUGGUCGAGGUAUAUGAAAAUACAUUCCAACGUUUUAUAUCAUUGUCCGAGAUUUAUUGAGUAUCAAAAUCCAAUAUUGUUGAAAGAUAAUGAGAAAUAGGUAAAAGAGAGAACUCAACAAAUUGCAGAACCUAUAGGUUUUAAUACGUAAUUGUUGUACUCAAAUGGUAUAGGAUGUUUUAUGGUGCUUAAAGAGAUUCGCCAGCAAAUGAUUUGUAGAAUAAACAAGUAUUUAAAAAAAUUAAAUACGUGUGUUUUCUUCCAAGAACUUGAUGAACAUUAAAAACAUUUAAUAUGUAUAAAAAUGGGAGAAAGAAACACUUAAGUGGAUUUUAAGAAUUGAUAUCUUAUGGUUAUAAUUGAAAACACGUAUUAUAGUUUUCCACAAACAGUCCACAAAUUAGUAAAUAACUUUUAUGAAAGUUGUUAAUUUUCAUGAGAGCUGCCAAGAGAUCAAAAUUGGAAAUUAGACUAAUGACUAGUUCUUGUAACCAUGUAUAUGCAUUGUUCAAGGAAUACAUGGCACAAAGAACAUGGGCUUAAAGUUGCCCACCCUCCAAUUUCUUCCCAUUUUGAUCUCAUAUUGAUUUUUCUUUUUCAAUGGUAAUUAUUUUUUCAAUUCUCCCUUCCAAUAUAAUUUUUGAACAAAAUAUAACAAUCCUCCAGCUAUUCAAAAUUAUAUAGAUCACAAAUAUAAAUUAUCAACACUUACACAUAAGUUUAGAUAUCUUUUGAUUUGAAUCUUACUUUAGUAUAAUUCCCACAAAGUAUAAUCAAAAUUUCAGGUAGCAUAAUAGCUUUGAAACAAUUAUUACUUGUGAUGAAAUCGAUAAAAAUAUACGCAUAAGUGCCGUGUUUCAUAGUUCCUCAAACUCGCUUAGAGCUAAUAUGGACUUAUCCUUAUCCUAUUUGUUGAACUUUUAAGAGAGAAACUCUAAUUCUCUAUGAGUUGCCUCAAAGUUCAUUUAGAUGAAGUUCUUUCUGUUUCUUUGUUACUUUUAAAGAUACUUGUACUUUGUAUUGAAUUUCAUUAAGAGCUUAAAGCUUACCCCUCCUUUAAGUAAUAACCAACAUUAUUACAUUUUAGGAUAGGGUUCUCGCAAAUAUAAUAAUGCUGAAACUAUCCACUUAUUGAAUAACUUAUUGUUACCUUUUGAGCCCAUAGUUACUAUUUUGAAAUGACAAAUAAGAUUGCCUUCAUUGGUGGAUCUUUUAAUUUAAGAGUUUUAACCCCAUCCUACUCAAUGUAGAUAUUACCAGAUCUCUAUUAAGAGGUUUAGUAAAACGAUCCACCAAAUUCUCAUUUAAAUUAAUGUAAUUUGGGGAAAGUAUUCCAUUUUUGAUCAAUUUUCUUAUGUAGUCAUGUUUUAGACUUAUAUAUCUAAACUUUCUAUUGUAUACCUCAUUGUAUGCUUUUAUUAAUGUGUCAUGACUAACACACAAAAUAAAUAUCAAAAAAUAUAUUCGUUAUUCCCAAAGACAUCUCAUAUAGAUCUUUUCUUAAGCAACAUAACCCCUUUCUAGGUGUUGGCUAAUAACACUAAUUUAGAUUCCACGAUUGAAUGUGUUAUACAUGUUUGUUUCUUAAACUUUCAAGAAACUACACCGCUUCUAAGAAGAGAAACCCAACUCGAAGUAGAUUUAUUUUAUCGGUGCUAGGUAUCCAACUAAUGUCAGUAAAUCCUUUUAAUACAGUAAAAUAUUUAGAAUAAUGUAGAUCUAUAUUUUUGGUUUCCUUUAAAUAACAAAUAACCCUCCCGAUGACCUCCAAUGUUCCAUCCUUGGAUUAUUAGUAAACCUACGAAGUUUACUAAUUGCAAAUGUUAUAUCAGAUCUUAUGUAUUAAGCUACAUAAUAAGGCUAUCUAUAGCCCUUGCAUACUCUAGUUGAACAAUUGCUCUUCCAUCAUUUUUUUUAUAAGUUUGGAGUUUGUAUCAAGAGGGGUAUUGAACUCUUUUGUCUUCAAGUGAUUAAACUUAUUAAUUACAUUCUCUAUUUAAUGUAAUUGACUUAAAAUUAGCCCUCACUAGUUUUUGUAACCUUAGUACCUAAUAUGGUGUCAAAUUGUCCAAAAUCCUUUAUCUUGAAUGUGAAAAAUAGAAACUUGUUUUUCUUUUAUUUCAUUUAUGUAAUUACUCAAAAUCUACACAUCGUCAACAUAAAAGGCAAAUAAACACAACAAAUUCAUCAUACACUUUGAAAUAUAAACGCUUAACUACACUAUUAUGUGUGAAACCAAACUUUUCAUGCCAUUUCUUUGGUGCUUGUAUUAAACCAUAUAAUGAUUUUACUAACUUGCACAUUUUAUGUUCAUUACUAGAGUGGCCAAAGCCUUUCGGUUGUUCUAUGUUGAUCUCCUCUUCAAGAUCCCCAGUUAGGUUUUUAUAUCCAUUUAAUUUGAUGAACAUUCAAGUUAUAUAUGGAAGCUAAUGUAAAUAAUAUUCUAAUUGAUGUAUUCUAGGUACCUAUGCAUAUUUAUCAAAAUAACCAAUUCUUUUUUUUUUGUCAAUAAUCUUUAGCCACUAAUCUUACUUUAGCGGUAUUAAGAGUACCAUCUACAUUGUAUUUUCUCCUAAACACCCAUUUACAACCAAUAUGUUUAAAUUCAAGUGGUAAAUCGACAAGUUCCUAAGUAUUGUUUGACAUAAGUGAAUCCAUUUUGUCUUUUGUGGCAUCUUUACAAAAUAUAAUAUCAUAAGAAGCCAUAUUUUCUUUACAAGUCUUAGAAUCGGUCUCUACAUGUGGAAUAAAAGGCACUGUCCUAAUAAAAAUUUUAUUAUUUUUCUCUACCAAGUAAAGUGAAAAGAGUUCAGAAACUAUCUCAUUCUGUCUGAAGGUUUUUUCUUUCUAAGUUCUUUUGCUUCUUUUAAACUCACAAGAUUUAUCAACAUCUUUAGAAGAUGUUUCCUAUUGUUUUCCACCUAACACUAGGAAUCUCUUCUUGAGUUUUCUUAAGUCAUUAUCCAAAGAUAAUAAAUUCUCAAAGAAUUCAACUUCAUUUGAUUCGAUUAUUACAUUUGGUCUCCAAAUUUAACAAUAAAUAGGAUUUGCUAUUACUAGCAUAUCCAACAAAGGCAAUUUUGUUGCCUCUUGGUCCCAAUUUGGUCUUUUCUAGGUCUAUGUUCUUAUAAUAAUCAAGACACUCUCACACUUUAGAAUAUUCAAUGUUUCGAUUUUCUUCUUUUCCACAAUUCAUAAGAAGAAAUUUUUGUGAUUUUUAAAGGAAUUCUAUUAUAGAAUCUAUAUGCACAUAACAAAACUUAACCCCACAAGUUAAAUAGCAAAUUAACAUAUGUUAAUAUGGCAUUUAUCAUUUCAACAAAUUUUCUAUUUUUUUUUUCCAAUUUGGUCUUUUUUAGGUCUAUGUUCUUAUAAUAAUCAAGACACUCUCACACUUUAGAAUAUUCAAUGUUUCGAUUUUCUUCUUUUCCACAAUUCAUAAGAAGAAAUUUUUGUGAUUUUUAAAGGAAUUCUAUUAUAGAAUCUAUAUGCACAUAACAAAACUUAACCCCACAAGUUAAAUAGCAAAUUAACAUAUGUUAAUAUGGCAUUUAUCAUUUCAACAAAUUUUCUAUUUUUUUUUCUUUCCAUCGAAUUGUUAUGCCCCUCACAUAGGCACAGAGGCGUUUUCAUGUGCCGAAGCACGUAAGGAAGAGGUGCUCCCAAAAUAUGAUAUCGUCUGAAGCGUCUUCACGUGCCAAGGCAUUGCUUUCGAAAUAUGAGGCCUGAGCCGCAUUGACAAAGGCACUAUGUCUGAGGGGAUAUGUCGGGGAGAAAAGGAUAAGCACCUCUUCAUUGCCAAUUUCAGAGAUCUUCUGGCCAAGAUCUUCUAUGUGUCUUUAGAAAUGAUUGAUGUGAUGUCUCUGCCAUGUGUCAACCCAGAAUCAGUAGAAUUAAUUGCCCACCCACCUAGGAAGCGAUUGGUGGAUGCCUACUAGUGACACCUCGUACCGUUGGAUGAUUUCACGUGUCACGCAUCUAGCGGUGCUCUUAAAAAUCUUAAAAAUCAUCUAUGAAGGUGAUAAAAUACAUAUUUCUCCCAUGUAUAACGUGUCAUUUAAUUCACAUAUUUUCAAAUGGACAAUUUCUAAAUAUGUAAAGUCCUAUUCACACAAUGAUAAAGUUUCUUAGUCAUUUUCGGUUCCACACAAUUUCUAUAUUUAUGUGUAUAUUUUAUAUUGUAAGAUUUAUAUUGUAAGAUAUCAUAUCAUAGUUUAACAUAAGAAAGAAAAACUUGAUUACGAGAACUUCAUGUUAGGCCGAUUACAUUAGUACAAAUAUACCUAAACUGGAUUGAGAACGUUGGAGUGAGAGUGAAUGCUAAGUUCCUAUUCAUGUUGGAAACAUGUAAUAGAUUUAUUAGGGCAAUUGUUUUUCCGAAAGUGAAGACAAUAUCAACAUUUCAUUUACCAACCACUUUGAAGUAGCCUUCAUUACCCAUUUGCAUCCCUUGCUCACCAUUCGAUUCGUGACAAGUCUUGAAAAAUAACUUAUCAUAUGAUACAUGAAUGUUGUUGCACAUGUAUCAUACUUCCAGUCAGGAAUAUUUUAUUUGAUAGCAUUGAUUUCACUCAUAGUAGAUGCAAUGUUAUCAUCAAAUGAGUUUAUUUUGCUCUCAUUCUUGUUUUGUUUUCGAUGCAAACAAUUUUUCGCAUAAAUUUCGGGUUUUCGUCCCAUAAAAAAAUCUCUCUUGGACUUUUUGUGAUCCUUAUUAAAAGAAUUCCUUUCGUUUAUGUUGACCUAUGGUUGAUUGUAACCUUAAGCCUUUGAUUUAUAACAAACAAGUUAAUUUCGUUUACUCAUAAAUUGAAUUCAAGUGAUUAUAGUCUUUCAAAGCAUACAAUGAAAAAUUGAUUGAUGGUGAUUGAAAUAUCAAAAGCUAUUAUAAUAAUCGGACUUCUAAAGGAGGUCAAGAUCGAAGUCACAUACUCAAGAGCUUAAGAGCCAAACUUUGAAAUAGAUCAAUGAUUAGAUUUCUUAGAUAAAGUGCAAAGAUAUUGGUACUUUGAUAUUUAGCAAUGACCAUUUAGGCUCCAAAUCCUUCUAUGUAUUAAAAAUAAUUUUAUGCAUUAAAAGUUAUUUUUGAUAUAAUUUUUGAUUAAAUAUAAAAAUGACUUUUAAAAUGGUAUUCUAACUGGAAAAAUAUCUUUUAUCUUGAAAAGUUAUUUAAAAAUACUUUUCAAAAGUCAAACGCUUUUCAAAACCUUCAAAUUGGAUCAAAUAAGGCCAAAACGUAAAAAUAUCGAAACUGUUAGACAGUUUACAAGCUAGAAGAAGCGAUCAAUCAAAAAUUUUCAAAGGUCCAAAAUUUGACCAUUUUGACCUCUAUAUUUUACUAUACAAAAAGCUAUAUUUAUCAUCCGAACAAGAGACUGUCGAUCGGACAUGUCAUCCGAACAUACAAUUUUGACGUUUUGAACUAUAUAAAUACCUCCAUUUCUUGCAUUCAUUAUAGCAAUGUUGGAGAGCAUUGAAAGUGAAAAAUGACUAAGUAUAUCUCUUGAGCUUACAUCUCAUUUAUUCUAUCAAACAAUUACUUAAAAAUCUUUAAUUUAUUAAACUUUUUAAAAUCAUCUUUUUAUCAAAUCUUUUUCAUCUAAUACUUGAGCUUCAUUUAUUGCUAUUCAAUUGAAGUGUUGAAUUCAUCCUGUGUUUUUUCUUUUCCAUUCACUUGGAUUUCUGGCUUUGGUUUUUUCAUAAAAGUGCAGCCGUGGUAUUCAGAAAAUAGAGAUCUUUUUUAGUGUUUUUACAAGAAAUCUCUAGCCAACCCAACGCGUUUUGAACUAUUUAAAAUUAAAAUAUCUUAAUUUCCAAUUCCAUUGGACUCCUAUUUCUCUCUUAGCACUUAAUUUAUUUAUAUCAUUUAUUAAGAGAGAAGUUUCAAAUUGUAAAAUCAUUUCUUAUCAGAUUUGUGGGUCUUAUUGAAGUCCUAUAAAGCUCAAUAUUAUAUAAAGAACGGAGCUUCUUGUUUGUAAGGCAUCAAAAGUAUUGUAAGGAUUUGGAUUUUACCAUAAGUUAAUCAAAUAUAGUGAAUGGGUCUUGCUCGUAACUGGGAACUUGGUAACGUAGGAUAUAGAUAAUUGUUUUGGAUCAAACCUCUACAUUUAUAUCAUUUGCAUUCUCUCUUUUAUUUUAUUUAUUGCUUUCGUAUUUGUGCAUUUUGUUUGAUUGAUUUAUUCAUUCCCAAUUUGCUUGAAUUUGAAUCAAUUUUUCGAAAACAUUUUGAAAACCAAUUCACUCCUCUCUUGAGCUGUCAAUUUGAUUUGUUGGAUGGUUCGUUCUUUUUCAUGUCAUUGGCUUUCAACAUGACUUCGCAAGAGUUUUCAUUCUUGUCUCUUGCCCUCAAUUCUUCUUCAUUUUGGAGAUGCUUUUGAAUUUGGAGCAAAGAAAAUGAAACGAUGAGGGUUCUAUUUAUAUAUUUCAAUGCAUCUAUCUUAAUAGUUACAUCUUUGUACAAAAAUUCAUUUUGACCAUUAAAUCAUACCUUUUUAUUGGAACAUGGUCUGAUGAUCUAUAUCGCACACUUUAUAAAGGUAAUGACUCUUCGCUAUGCACCAAUAACAUAUGAAGAGUCAUACCUAAUCAUCAUAACUAUUAGAGACUUAUUCCAAUUCAUAUAUUAAUCAUUAAAUAACCCGAUAAUUCCAACAAUCGCAAACACAAACAAAAUAAGUGACUCAACACAAGCAAAAAUAAGAAAAAUUCUAUUUGCGAGAUAAUGAAUCAAGAUAGGUAAAUUUUCCUUUGAACCUCCCUUAGUAAGAAAAUUCAUCAGACUUGCUUGGGUAAUAAGUGAAACAACAUUUCAAACUAUCAACCAUUAUCACAAGUUUAAACAAUAGAGCAAACACAUUAUUUCUUAUAUUAGACUUGAUUCUUCAUUAUAUUCAUUAAUUCGAUCCUAAACUCUCUUGAGUUCUAAGUACUUUGGAGAAUUCGCCUAAGUAAAAUUCAAAAGAACCUACCAAGUUUUCACUUUCAUAUGUUAUGUUCAUUGAGAUAGUUAAUGAUUCAUUUAGUGUAAAUUGAGUUCUUUGACUUCAAUUGGUCAACAUUCAAAGUAAUUACAAAGCAAGUUAAACUAACUAAUUAUCUACAUUCCCUUUUGUGUUUGAGACUUAGUUUGCCCUUUCCUUAUCCUCAACAAUAUUUGUAGACAUCACUUAUUUACAUUAUAAAAAUAAGGAGAAGUUAAACUCCUAAGUGCUUCUUGUCAAGUCAUUCAUAGUUAGUUUAACUUUUAAAUCCAGUGUUCUGAAUAGUGUGUCUAGGCAUGAGACGUGACAAAAACUCCACGCUUAAGACCUAUGUGCUAAUUUUUUGGUCAAUGGAAGCGUUGGCCGCUUUAAGGCAUGCAUUAUCAUUAUUUUUUAAUUAAAUUUUUGAACAAUUUUUAAUAAGCUCAUUUGUCCUACCCUACAUAAAGUUUUCAACUUUUAGGCCAAUAGAUUGAAAGAUCUAACAAGUUGCUCACUUAUUAGUCCACUAAUUUAUAGAGGGCAUCUCCAACGAUUUUGCUACAAACUUUCGAUGUGGGAUAAAAAAUCCUUCGUUUUGGCUACAGUGCAUUAUAUCUUUGAUUUGGUUGUAAUGUAUUGUACCUUCGAUUUGACCGUAAUGUAUUGUACAAUUGUAUAAAUAGUUAUUUAUAUUUUAUUAAGUUAAUUAAUCAUUUUCCUAUCUUUUACUAAUUAAUAAAAAUUUAAAAAUCUCCAAAUAUUUCAGUUAGCACUAUAUAAUAUAUCUUGUUUAUUGUUUGAAAAUAUAUUUGCUUCGUUGAACUCUUAAAACUACAUUUGGUAAUAUAAUUUGUAUAUAUUAUUAAAUUAUUUUUAAAUUGAUUAAAAAUUUAAAAUAAUAUUAAUGUAAGAAAAUACUUUUUUUACGCCUAAGACUCAUCUAGGUAUGCAUCAAUCGAAGUUUGACCUUCACACAUCGUCAUGCAUGACAUUUUUUUGGAACACUGAUUAAAACUAGUUCGUGAGAUCUACAGUAGUUAGGUUAGGUUUUUUUAGGAUAUCUCUUUAAGUUUUAAACUCAUUUCCCUCGAUGUACGAUCUAUUUGCUUUCUAGAUAAUCCUUUUAUAAAUGAAUUGCUAGGUUUUCUCUUGAUUUAACAACAUCAAACGAUAUUGUUCCAUUAGAAACAAAAGGUUGAAUGUCAUUAUAUUUAUACCUAUGAUGUAUGAAUCUUGACUUAACGAUACACGAAGUUUUAUGUUGUAGCUAUUGUUCGGUUAUUUCUAUAUGCAAUAUGGUUAGCAAUUCAAAGGAUUGGUGGGUCGAUAAUGGUGCAACCCAUUAUAUUUGUGUAGAUAAAGCCAUGUUCUCAGAUUAUCAUGAAUCAAAAGGAAAACAAUUGUUCAUGAGGAACUCUACGAGUUCGAGCGUUGAAGGACUUGGAAAGAUCACAUUGAAAAUGACUUCCGGGAAAGAACUAAUCCUCAAUAAUGUUCAUGUACCAGACAUUUGCAAGAAUUGGUUUCGAAGUCUUUACUUAGCAAGAAUGACUUUACAUUUGUAUUUGUAUCGGACAAAUUUGUACUUACCAAAAAUAAUAUGUAUAUUGGUCAAGGUUAUCUUUGUGAAGGAAUGUUGAUGAACGUUCUAACAAUUGUACGAAAAAGUAUUAUAAAUAAAAAUUCUAAUUAUGUUUAUAUGCUUGAAUUGUCUUGUUUAUGGCAUAGUCGAUUAGAACACAUCAAUUACAAAUCUAUGUUCAAACUUGUGAAUGAAAGUUUAGUUCCGAUGCUUAAGAUUGAUCUUAAUCAUAAGUGUGAAGUAUGUGUUGAAACAAAGUUGACCCAAACACAUUUUCAUUCAAGUCAAAAAGUGAUUAAAGUAUUAUUUUCACGAGGACUAGCUAAAUAUCCAAUUCGAUUUUUAAUUAACAUAUAACUAUCUAAAUGCAAUGCUAAGAAACUAGUAUGAAGCAUUUAUGAACUUGAUUAACAACAAGCAAUAGGACUUCGAAUCUCUCUUUAUAUUAUGUUUUAACAACCAUCAAAGAUAUUGACAACAUGCUUAAACUUGAUGAUUAAUGUACUUAUUUUGUUUAGUAAUCUUUCUCGAUGAAUACUAAAUAUAUUCUCAUAUGUGAACCUACAGUAUGUCUAUGAAAAUUGUGAACGUGUGACAAUGCAUUUAAUCACUAUAUAAUAAAAUCAUGCAAGAUAUAUGGUAUGGGUAUAUAUCUCUAUCACAUAUAGAACCCUACAAAGAUUAUCAUGUGUAUAAUACUUAUUCUUUCUCUCAGACAUAAUAAAGAUCAUUAAUCUGUUCAACUAAUGAUCAAUUAAUUGAAGCAUUAAACAUGUAACAUACUGUUCAAGCUUAACAAGAAUUAAUAGUUAGUCUCGAAAUUAAAAUUAAAACAUCAUAGUCAUAGGCUUAUCGUCAUCCUAGUGACUAGGAAUUUAGUCAAGCAUCAUAAAGUUACAAAAACAAAUGCUUGCAUAUUUAGCCCCGUCUCUUAUUUUAAUUGUAGGAAAAAGAAGGGAAAAUGUCUUGAACUCAUGAAUUUCUUCAAUUCUUAAAUAAUAUCCGUGUAUGAAGAAGCCAAAAUCUAAAUUAUAAUCUUCAAUUUUGGGUAGAUGAUUGUGAGUUCUUGUAUCAAGCUUCUUGAUUUCUCUCUAACGAAUGGUCCCCCAAUGUUUGGUUAAAAAUGAGACUAGAUUUUAUUCCAUGUACAAGUGAGUCAAAUUAGGAAACAAAAUUUUUGUUAUCGGACACUACAAUACAAUCGUACGGUGUCAUGUUUCCACUUGCUAGAAUUCAUGUACCUUGUGAUUUUCGGUCAUAAUGCCUUACUUUUCAUUCUUGGUUAAUUUUUGUUUUUGAAUUCCUUCUUCGGCUCAACUUGAUUCCUCUUCUAUUUUCACCAUAAGUUCUUCAACUUUCAGUUCUUCUCAAUUUAACCAAUGUUAUCCACUAUUACCCAUUCUUGGUCUGUCUCAAGUUUUGGAGAUUUACAAUUCAGUCCCCAAACUUUCACAAUUGUUCUUCUUCGUCCUCUUCAACCGACUUUCACUUCUUUUUUAAUCUACAAUCCAAUAUCAGAACUUUUACAUAACAAUCAAUAUUUAACUAAAAUUAAGUGGAAAUUCAAUUAAUGUGACUCCCAACAUCCACUUUUAAAAGCUUCGAUAAAUGUUAAAUUACGCUUAUCAAUAACAAAAAUCAUGGGUUUGAGAAUUUUAAAAUUUCAGGAAUUUUAUAGAUUGUCUUUCAUGAUUCUAACUUAUUAUAUUCUUAAACUCAUUAAUUUAAUUCUAAAAAUUAACUAUUUUUAAAAUGUUAAGGAACAUAUAUUGAACAACACCAGUACUUAAAAAUAAAUGGAAAUCUUAUAUACCGUAGAGUUUAGUAAUCUCCGACGUUUGAUUUCAUUUGAAUACAUCCCAUAAAUACAUGACUCGGUCCAACACGCUAACGUAAAGUAUCGGUAUGGAAUUUUCGACCACUUAUAUAAUUUUUUGGGUGUCUUGUUGAUCAGUUUUACAGCUUUUUCACAUUAUGAAAUUUGUGGGACAGUGUUUUUAGGUUGAUUAAUGUAGUUACAUGUAAACACUAGGGCCUAGGGAAGUCUUAAAAGGCAAAAGCUUGGUUAUAAACGUCUCGUCGAGGGUAGUGGAAUGGCUUAUUAUAAGUAAAAACUUGAUUAUGACUGGAGAAUUUGAACCUCAAAUGCACGUUCUCAAUUAUUUCUGACUUUUGAAUUAUUUUCAUUUUAUUUUAUUUUUAUUUUAUUUUUUUGUGAGUCAGGUGCUCGAGUUUUGAUUGAUUAAUCUUGAGGAGUGGUUCCUCCCGGUUUGGUUCACCACCUGGGUAAAUUCAAAUGCAAUUACAGCGUAUAAACACUUGGGUCAAACAUUCGGGAUGCGGUUUUCAUGUGCGGACAAGACUCCAGAAGGACAACAAAGCGUAUCAUAACUUUGCCUUCACAGGACAUCUACCUUCCAACGUAAAUGUUGACUUCAAGCUAUCGCAUGGAUCCAAACCUCCGAUACUCCAUAGAGAACUCUCCUAUUUUACUACUGUGCCUUGCCCCUGGGGCUAAUUAUUUUCAUUUUAGAUACUUCGUAGAGAACUUUAUUGUUUUACUACUGUGACAUUCCCGUAGGGCUAAUUAUUUUCAUUUUAGAUAUAGCAUAGACAGGUGUAAUAAGCUAUCAUGGGUCCAUUGAGAGCUGGGAUAUUUUUUGAGUACGAGAGAGACAGUGUCAACCUGAAUUUUCCGUUGGUAAAGAUGAUAUCUCUUUACCAACCGAUAUUCCGUGUCUAAUGUAAUCGUUUAACAUUUAGAUCUUCUUCCAAUGGAUAUUCCAUAAGUUAUGUACCGAAUAUUACCAACGGAUUGCAUCUGUUAGUAACUAGAAACAGAUUAUCCGUUGGUAAAAGUAAUUCACUUUUAGCUACAAUAAUCAGUAACAAAUUUUUCGUUGGUAAAAAUGAUAUCUUUUUAUCAACGAAUAUUCCGUGCCUAAUAUAACCGUUUAACAUUUUGAUCUUUCAGCAACGAAUAUUCCGUUGGUAAUUAAAAACGGAUUAUCCGUUGGUAAAAGAAAUUCACUUAUCCCACAUCGGAAGUUUACAACAAUAUCUUUGUAGUUGCCCUCUAUAAAUUUGUAAUCCAAUAAGGAGUUAAACAAUAUUUUAGCUUUUCAAUUCAAUUGGCUAAAAAUUAAAAAAAAUUAUAAUUAUUAAAUAAAUAAUAAUAAUAAUAAUAAUAAUAAUAAUAAAUAAUUAAAUAAAUUAAUUAAUUAAUUUUUUACCAUACGGUUAUUUACAACAUUGAUUUUUACCAAUUGUAAUGGUAGACAUUUACCAACGGAAAGUCGAUUGGUAUUGGUUAAUACUUUUCCCAACGAAAAUUUCAUUGGUAAAAGAUUCACACUUUAAUAACGAAAAAUCCGUUGGUAAAAUGUUUACUAUUUACGUAAGACAUGAUCUAUUGGUAACUAUUAGCGACCCUCAAAUUACCAGCGGAUUUGUGAUUGCAAAUAUUCCGUUGGUGAAAAUUAUUAGCAACGAAUAUUGAGGUUUUAGGAACGAAAAAUCCGUGCUUGAAACUCUAUUUUUUAAUAGUGUAUAUAAUGAGAGAAUCUCUCACAUUGAGAGGUAUCGAGUUUUAUUGAGUAUAUUUGACAUGGUAUCAGAGCGUGCUUAAUUUUAUUUAGGUUAAACUUACAAACUUCUGUUCUCCAGUGAGCGGCAUUGUGCCGCUCGUCCAGUCAAAUUUUCUUGUUUUUGUUUUACUUUUUUAGACCUUCCAUGUCGAUGUAUUCUCGAGCAUCACCAAGCAUGCAAAUCUUUAGCUUGGACUGAGGGAUAUGAAACCCUUGUCCUUACGAUCAUACUUUUUUUUUUAUCAACCCAAUAUGGAGCUCAAUUGUCUAGUCAAGUUUUAGUUGGAGUUAUUUUGGAGAAGAUUUUGUGUUCUAUUGACUGACCAAUUGGAGUAAUACCCAAUUGCUGGUGACGUGAUUAAUGGCGAUGUUGGUUUCGGCUAUCGAAGGUUCAAGUUACAGAUUUAGGAGUUGGCAUCAUCGACGCCAGAUUGUGGUCGAACUGGCGCCGCUUUUGGAAAUAGCUUGGAACACCCAAACAGAGUGGUGAGACACAAAGGCACGGCCGCUUUCACUAUAAAUCACGGGAUGCUUCACACCAUUACGUUCACACACGAAUUUUACCGCCCGAGCAACAAUAUAAGCAUAAUCUUCAACACUGUAACCAACAAAAAUUUUAGAGUUCUUCCAAGACCACUGCCAUUGUCAAUGACUUUCAUACAAGUACCGAGGUAGAUUAAUUCACAGUAGAUUGGGAAAGCUUCACGUACUCCUUCAGAUGUUGUUGAACUCGUUGUGGAUCUGCACUCGCUAAGAAUGGAACAGUGGAGAUGGAGGCUAGCAUCAUGGAUGGUUCCAGCAAGAGAUGAGGCGUCGUUUCUGGUAUCACCACCGUGAAGAACCCUAUUUCCCUUGCCCAUCUCGUCAUGGAAAAGUCUCCCUAUUCUUAUCUUGCAUUCUCUAGAGCCGAAGAAUAUGCUAAACAACAGGAUUGUGGUGUCGAAUAGAGGUUUCGAUGAAGAACAGAGGCAUUGAUGCAGAUCUGUUUAAGGACUUGGGCUAAUUCUAGUGGGCUUCUAUUGUCUUGGGUUAGCUUUGCAAUUAAAUCUUUUGGGCUGUAUGUUACUUGAGGGUGUUUAUUUGAAGUGGGCUUAUUUUUUUAUUUUUUUGUUGUGUGGGCUGAUUUUGGAGUGGGUUGAAUUUAGGUGGAAAUUUGUUUGGCUUGGAUCUGAUUCGAUUGGGACUUCAUGUGGAUUGUGUCUAUUAGUUUUAAGCUUAGUGGGUUUACAUAUAAAUUAAAGAUUGUUGGGCUUCAAAGUUUUAUAAGGCCUACUAUCAUUUGGGGUUAUUGGCUUUAAGUGAUUGGGUUGUAAACUGUGGAAGCAUGGGAACUUAAGGAGUUGAUGUCUGCUAGUUUUGAAUUGUGUGGAAAAUUCUCUAAUAUGUAGCUCAUGAUUUUCACAAAGGCGCUGCUAAAAAACAAGGCUUUUCGUUUUUUGAUUGAAGAGACAGAGACAUAGGAGUGCAGAGGAUUGAGUUCUUUGGUUGCUCGGAUAAUGAGCUAAAGUUUUGGAUUCUUGGUGGAGGAUUAUCUUUGAAGUUUUUAGUAUUGGCUGUUUUGUGGAAUUUCUUUGAACUACAGCACCUUGGCCAGCAAUAUAUUGCUGAAAUUUUGGCUAGUGUAUUGGCGUUAGAACUUUUGUCGGAGCAUGAAUUAUGUGUUCAAUCGAGUUUUCCCGACAAAUAGAGCUCAUUGUGUAUCGGCACACUUCAUGAAUUUCUUUUGGAAAUUUUUCUUAGGGUAUGAGCUUUUUGGAGUGGUUUUGGAGUAGUUCUUAAUUAUUUCUACACUAUUUGUUAUUCUUGGUUUCUAGUCGUUACUAAUUUUUGUAGAUGGUUGCUCUGAUUUGGGCUUCUUCUUCGUGGGCACAAGUAUUGUCGUUGUCAUCAGUUCAUGAUUGCAAAUUGAUACUUUUACCAACAUCAAUUUGAGGGUGAUGUCAAUGAGAUUGAAUAAGAUUAUAGAGAUUUUCAAAGAUUACGACUUGAAGUCUAUUUUAUCAUUAUAAUUAUAUUAUAUAUAGAUAGAUUAUUUUUACCAUAUUUAAAUUAUAAGUUACUAUUAUUUAAUAUUGUAAUAGAUGCUACAAUAUUUAGUGGUGAUUUUGAUCCUAUAUAAUGAGAGAAUCUCUCACUUUGAGAGGCAUCGAUUCUUAUUGUCUGACCUCUCCUAUGUUCAUACAUUUAUCUUUUGCUAUUCAAUAAAUUAUGCCACCAUGCGUGGAUUUAAUUUUUAAGAAAAAUAAAAGAUGACGCCUGAAUACUGAUACGAUUUCGGCACAAUAAUAGUGAUUCUUCAAUGAAAAUAAUAUUUUGAAACUUCUUGAAUAUAUUUAUUUUAUGUUUUGUAAAGUAAAUAUGAGUUUUUGUCUCUUUCAAGAAAAUAUUGGUGGUGUUUCAAAUAAGGAAAUAAUAUUAUGUUUUUAUUUACUUAAAAAAUGAUAAUAAUUUUUUAGACCAACAUAGAGAUAUCUAAAUAUUGUACUUCCUUAACAUUUUUUAAGAUUACUAAGGUUGAAAUGUGAAUUUCAAAUGUUGAUGAAAUCUUUAAAUAUAGAAUUUAUGAUUGAUUUGAUCGAAGUUCUGGUUGUUAAAAAGAUAUAUAUAUAUAUAUAUAUAUAUAUAUAUUAUUUUAAACUUUUAGAUAAAAUAAUCUAACAUUGUAUUUCCGUAACUAAAAUUUUCAAUUUACGUCUCUCUUUGCUUAUUUAUAAAAUUUGUUCGUGUAUAAGAUCUUCAGUGAACUAUAAAUUUACUUGCACAUUGGUGGCGGAUAAUCUACUUUUGUGGCUGUUGGAUAAGUAAAGCCACUAUUUUUUACCACAAAAGGAUAACUUUGCAAUUUCUUAAUUGUUAAGCUAAGUACAUGCAUGCAAUGGAACUUGACAAAUUCAAGUUUUCUUUCUCCAACAAGUGGCAGCCGAAAUGCUUGAAAAAUUCCAACCACUUGACAGGCCAAAUGUGUAGAGAAUUCUAGCAAAUGAAGGUGGUAGAACUUUGAGUCUUUGAAGCAGUUAAAGGUGGUAAAACUUCUAGCAAUAUCCAACCCACUUACAGCCAAGUUUAGCCAUUAUUUUUGACAAUUGAAGGCGGUUCCUACAAAUGACCAGCCAAGUUGCAGAUAAUUUUCUUGAAUUUUCAAACAAUUAUGGUGACCAAAAAUCUUUAUAAAUAUGGGUAAGACUUUGAGAGAAAAGUGUGUGGUAUGGAGAAGAAAAAUUGAGAGGAAUUAAAAGUAGAGAGUAGAGGGAAAAUUGUGAGUGGAACGAUAAAAUUAUAGAGAGAAAAUUGUGAGUUUUUCUCCCAAGUAUUUCCUACUUGUUUUCUCUUAUUACAAGAGAGACUAAUUAUUGUUAUUGUGUUGUAAUUCUCCUACUAUAAUGAAAUCUUCAUAUACUUGCACGUAGACAUAGUCUAAAUUAGGUGAACCACGUAAAUACUUAUGUCUAUUUUAGCUGCAUUUUCUCAAUUCUAUUAUUUGUCACCCAAACUCGACCCACAUUUUUCCUAAUAGUGGGUACAAAGGUUUCCAUGGUAUUGACUUUUAUAAUGGCUUAAUAGCACAAAACAUUCCUGUGUUUAUCUAUAGUAUGCAAUAUGUCCCCACAUUUCAAUUUUUUGCAUUUUCACCCCAAUUUUCAUGUUUCAUUGCGAAAAACAUUAUUUUUACCAAUUUUUAAUGUAAAAUGACCAAUAUACCCUCCUAUUUAAAUAAAACAAAAAUAAAAGAAAAUAAAGAUGAAAUUGCAACUACAGGCCCAAAUUUUUCAAAAGGCUUAAUAGCACAAAAUGUCCUUACUUUUUUCUCACACCCUAUCCCACCCCAUGCCAACCUAACCCAACCCAGCCCAACCCAAUCCACUCAUUCUUUUGAAGAUUCAAGGAACUGUCGGACUCUAUCUCAUCAACUUUCACCUAAUUGCCACCUAAAACACUAGAACUCAUAUUACAAAUAGCUGUCAUCAACACCCAAACACUUUCUUAUAAACAAAUUGAACAAACAACAAAUUUAUAUGGUUAAAUCAACAAAAAAUGCAGCUUAUCGCAUGAGCAACACGCUGCCUUUUUUCGUCAAUUUCGACACAGGUAAUGGUUCCCACUGUCGCGAACCAUCCAUUCCGACUUCGCCACAUCUUGCCACACUGCUACAACAAUAGGUUACCAUCAAUUUCAUCUAUUAUGCCCCAGAAUAUGUGCCCAUUUAUUGCCCAAUAAGAAAUUGAAAGAUGUUGCUAUAGAUUUUGAUUUUGUGCACCUGUUCAAGUUUUAAGUCCAUGAAGAGAGGUGCUUUAAUGAAUAUAGUUGACUGGUAUGUUGGAAAUGAGAUGGGUCUUGUCGGAACAGGUGGUACCGCCAGUAUUUACAUUCACGAGUUGGGUAUUUUGGCUUGCAAUUCUGACAAAAUCUAUUGGCAUGAAGGUUGGAUGUUGGGUGGUAUGUGUAGAGGGGAGUGAGACCUUUCUAGUGGUAUGGAGUUCCAGUGGUUUAGGCGAUGGUCAGUUGACAUUUUUUGGUUUCUAAGGUGGUGACCCCAUUCAAAUUUUAGGGCUUAGUGAUGGUUUUUUCAAAUUUGUUCCUUUAAUUGUACUCCUUCACCGGUAAAAUAUGUCGUAGAAAUGACAAUGGAGAAUUGAAAUUUCGAGGAUUUUGGCAGCGAUGGCGGUGGUAAAGGAGGUGGAGGAAAAGAAAAGAAGAGAAAAAGAAUUUUAUUUUUUUUUCCAAAAUUUUUUAUUUGGACUCAUUUAUACUUUUUAAAAAGUUGAGGAGCAAGAUUACAAUUUGUUCUUUAUUUGUCGUUUCUUCUCUUUUUGGUUUUAUUUAAAUAUGAGGGUAUAUUGGUCAUUUACAUUAAAAAUUGUGAAAAUGAUGUUCUGCAAUGAAACGUGAAAAUAAGUGUGUAAUGCAAAAAAUUGAAACGUACGGACGUUUUGCAUACUACAAGCGAAACAUAAGAAUGAUUUGUGCUAUAAAGCCUUUCAUAAUUUCUUUAUGACUUUGGUAGAGGGCCUAGAGGUGUAAUUGGUCUAGUCUUCAAUCUGUUCACAUCUAAAAUCAAACGACAAAAUCAGACAUCAUAGGCCUACAAAUAUAGAUAAAUCACACCUUUGGUCUUGAACCAUUUUUCGAAUCUUGAACAAAAUUUACAAGCACCAAAAUAUCCAUUUAUGCUGCACCAAAAUCAAGUCAAGGAAGAAUCUAUUUUGCAAAUCUAUAAACAUAAUUUUUCACUACACAUGCCAACGAGUUGGUCAAGUUUUUUUCUUCUUGAUCUUGCUAUUAAAUAAAAAAUUUGUUGGAGUCAUCUAGUGGGAUUAAGCUCUUGUUUGACAACCUUUAAAGCAAACGCUUUUUUUCUUAAACUAAAUUUUUAAAAUAAAAUAUUCGGUACAUAAAUCUAAAUUUUUUCCUACUUUUGAUUAUAUAUUCCUCAAAAAAUCACUAUUCAAAACCUUGCUUUCUCCAAAAUACUCAUUUUAAUGAUUGUUAAACGGGGGCUAAUAUUGCGACACUAAUGAAAGGUUGAGGAAAUAUUUGCUCCUAUUCAUAGGCUGGUGACUAACAUGCAACUAACACAAUAGAUUGGGGCUGCUAACUUACAACUUUCACAAUAGGUUGGAAAGGAAGGGAGAAAUUUUUGAAUUUUUCCACAAGUAUAUAUAGGACGCAAGUCACUCAUAUUUUAUUAGAAUUAAUUGUAGGCAUUGUAUGUAAUUGCACAAUAGCUUCUUUUCUUUUCAAUUCAUUAGUCGGCCAGCUGUGUUUUCUUUCUUUCAUUUUUGGUGCCAAGCUCCAUUCAUUUUCAAUUGAUUGAACGAUCAACAGAGUUUCAAUUCAUUUUCUCUCUGUAAAUUGAAUAUGGUAUCAGAGCAAAAUCAUUUCCACGCUCUUCUCUCAUCAUCACAGAUUUAAUCUGUUGCUGGAUCUCGUCUUCAUAUAUAUAUAUAUAUAUAUAUAAAUUAAUCUGUUGUUCGAUCUAAUCUCUACAUAGAGUUAUUACAAUCCGGAAAUUGGUUUGAUUCAAGGUCAUCAAUGAACAAUCGGCCAUUGAUGAACCUUCAAGUCCUUACUCCUUACUUCAUUCAAUGAGUAAUUUCCAGAUCUCCUCCAGAUCUGCACCGAAUGAAGAUAAAAUGCUUAAUUCACAACAACCUGUGAUUGGAAGUUUAAUUCAGAGUUUGAAUCCUGCUCAAUAUCAACAAUUGAUGACGAUAUUGUCCACUCAUCUGGCAUCAAGCUCAAACACAGCAGCUUCUGAUUAUCAGGGCAACAAAAUUACAUCAUAUAAUGCAGGUCUAUGCCAUUUCAUAUCCGUUAAUCCAGUCUUGUAUUCCAAAGAAAUUUGGAUAGUGUAUUCGGGAGCCACUAAGCAUGUGUGUUUUAUUGCUGCCUCAUUCAUGAACAUGAGGAUUAUUGAUGGUUCAAAUGUGACUUUACCCAAUCACACACAAAUUCUAGUUAGAUUGUGUGGGAAUAUCAGGCUGAGUCCAAAUAUUUUGCUGCAUGAUGUGUUAUUUGUACCACAAUUCAAGCUAAACUUACUGUCAGUUAGUCCGUUAACUGCUGAAUUACAAGUUUCAUCAAGUUUCUCUCAUGAUAGCUUCAUUAUUCAAGAUGCCAAAACCAAGAAGAUGACUGGUAGGGGUGGUCAAAUGCAAAAUUUGUAUGUUCUAGAUACCAGAAUUCUGAAUUCCAUUUCUAAUGUAUUUGUUAAUACUAUGUCUAUCCAUGUAUGGCACAACAGACUUAGGCAUCUUUCAUUCAAAAGGCUAGACUGGUUGAAGGAACAAUUAUUGUGUGAUGUUACAAAAUUUCGGAGACAUAUGCCUUGUUAUGUUUGUCCACUUGCUAAACAGUGGAGAUUGCCUUUUGAAUCGAAUAAUAGACUGUCAAAUAAUCCCUUUGAUCUCAUUUAUUGUGAUGUGUGGGGACCUUACCAUGUUACUUCACACUCAGGAUACAAUUAUUUCUUGAUAUUGGUGGAUGAUUGUUCAAGGUUUACAUGGGUCUAUUUGUUGAAGCACAAAUCAGAUACCAAGAUUGUUAUUUCCAGAUUUUUCAACAUGAUUGAUACCCAAUUCAAUGCUAAAAUAAAGACAUUCAGAUUUGACAAUGCUUAUGAAUUAGCCUUUAUAGUUUAUUUUGCUGAAAAUGGAAUAAUGCAUCAGUUUUGUUGUGUGGAAAGACCACAACCCACACAACAAAACUCCGUCGUUGAGCGCAAACAUCAACAUUUGUUAAAUGUGGCUAGGUCUCUGUACUUCUAAUGACGAAUCCCCAUCAGUUUCUGGUCUAAAUGUGUUUUGACAGCCACAUUCUUGAUAAAUAGAACUCCAUCUUCUGUGUUGAAGCACAAAAUGCCAAAUGAAGUUCUAUAUGGAAGACCUGCAGAUGAUUCCUCACUUAGAGUUUUUAGAUGUCUAGCUUUUGCAUCCACUCUAACUACGCAAAGAAACAAAUUCCAGCCACGAGCUAGGCUAUGUGUGUUCUUGGGAUAUCCAUCUAGAGUUAAAGGUUACAAACUCUAUGAUGUUGAGUCAAAACAUUUCUUUGUAUCACGUGAUGUUGUGUUUCAAGAAAAAAUCUUUCCUUUUCAUACAGUUAUGGCAAAUGAUCAACUGAUAGAUCCGUUCCCUGACUUAGUCUUACCAAAUCCUUUUUUACACCUUCAUCAAGACUCACAUGCAUCCUCAACUCAGUAUAACUUACCGCCUAUUCCUUCAGCUAAAAGUCAUAAUUUGCAUCAAGAGUUAUUCCCUACUUCACCAUCCCUUGAUACAAUGUCUGCACCUGAUAGUCCUGAUAAAAAUGGUAUUCCACAUACUAACAUUAGUCACACAUGUCAACGUACUACUGUCACUAAUUUGAGACGUUCACAAAGAGUUGCUAGACCACCACAAUACCUUAGAGAUUUUCAUUGCAACUCCUUUCUCAACAAGAUCAACUCCCAUCUUCAUUCACUCAAUCAUAUUAGCCAAUUUAUUUCCUAUAAUCAUUUAUCCCAAAACCACCGGCAAUUUGUAUUGAACGUAUACUCUCAAUUUGAGCCUCAACUCUUUCACCAGGUGGUUAAAUAUCCACAAUGGCGUGAAGCCAUGAAAGCUGAAUUGGAGGCUAUGGAAGCCAAUCACACUUGGUCAGUAGUUCCUUUACCAGUUGGUAAACAUGUUGUUGGAUGCAGGUGGAUCUUCAGGGUAAAACAUAAUUCUGAUGGGUCUAUUAAAAGGCACAAAGCAAGUCUUAUAGCUAAAGGUUAUACACAAAAAGAGGGCCUUGAGUACUUUGACACUUUUUUCCCAGUAGCAAAGAUUGUCACUGUCAAAGUAUUGUUAGCUCUUGCAGCCUCUCAAUGGUGGCACUUGUUCCAAAUGGAUGUAUAAUGCCUUCUUGAACAGUGAUACGUUCGAUAAAGUUUACAUGGAUCUCCUGCCUAGUUAUGAGGUUCUCAAUGCUGUCAAACAAGGGGAGAAACUGGUUUGCAAAUUGCAAAAGUUAAUUUAUGGCCUCAAGCAAGCGUCAAGGCAGUGGAAUUCUAAAUUCACCCAAGCACUGGUCCAUUGUGGUUUUAAUCAAUCAAAGGCUGAUUAUUCCCUAUUCACUAAAGGUUCUGGGAAUGACUUUGUGGCAUUUCUUGUAUAUAUAGAUGACAUUGUCACCACUGGACCAAACAUUCAAGUCAUUGAUUCUUUAAAGAAGUUCUUAAAUUCUCAGUUCAAACUCAAGGAUUUAGGGAAGUUGAAGUACUUCUUGGGCAUAGAAGUGGCUCGUUCUAACUCUGAGAUUGUCAUAUCACAAAGAAAUUAUGCCAUAGAUUUGCUUGAGGAUUCAGGUUACCUGGACUGCAAAUUAACAAAUACUCCUAUGGAUCCAAAGGUUUCCUUAAGUAUUCAUGACGGAGACCUUCUGCCCGAUGCAUUUUCUUAUCGCAGGUUGAUUGGAAAACGGAUUUACCUGACAAUAUCACGACCAGAUAUUACUUUUGUUGUCUACAAACUGAGCCAAUUUUUGUCAUAGCCUCCACUAUCUCAUCUCAAGGUAGCUCACCAUCUUCUUCGAUAUUUAAAGGGUAGUCCAGGUCUGGGACUAUUCUUUCUGUUCACGAAAUAUUUUCUUUCGAUUUAAAUCACCACAAGUGUACGGUUAUUCAACAAGUAAUAAAGUGGAUUAAUUGAGUCCGAAUAUCAUCCCACAGAGAUUGAUUAGUUUAAUUUUACCUAACUUGGCCUUAACCGAAAUUGAUUUGUCAAACGUGAAUUGUAGUAACUUAAAUUAACCUUACUUGGACUAAAUAUGCAAAUAUGUAUGAUUUGAAUGAACUAAAAUGCAAAGUGAAUGUGUUGAUUGCAAGUUGGUGUACUCAAUCAAUGAAUAUAAAAGCGUACUAGGCUCAUGAAUCCCCAAGCAAUGCUCAAUUUAACCUUAAUUCAACACUUUGACAACACGAUGACAUUUUGAAGAAUCAAUAUUCCUAAAUCUAUCCAACACUCUCUUUCGAGAUGAAUUGAACCUAUUCUCAUACACCACCAGCCUAUAUCUCUAUGACGGAUGCAAAUAUAUGAGAAUGCAUGUAGUUUUGUGAAUACUUAGAGAUUCACACAAAGCAUAGGGGUAUAUUUCUAUCCCCCUAUCAAAUCCUACGAUGAUUUAUACCUUAUCGAAUUUAUUCCUCUUCUUUCGAGUAGAUGAAACAAACCACUAAAACUCACACAAUUACGAGCCCAUAAUCAUGGAAGCAAUUAAAUGCAUAUAAAUCAUUCAAAACAAUCAAUACGUGUUUUAGUGUCAAAAUAUGGAACAAAGAAUUAAAUAUCACAUUAUAAGAUUCACUGAUCUCCUAGUAUAGAUUUUUCUAGCCUAACAUGACGGGAAGAAAAACAUAACAACAAGAAUCAAGAAAAGAGAUCACCCAAUCGCCCUUUGAUUUGAAAUCUUGAAUCUUGAAUCUUGGAAUGAAUCCUCUCGUUCUUGCCUUCUUUUUGCUCUUCAAAUCCUCCCAAAAUAAUGUAUAAUACGUGGUGUCUGUUUUUGGACGUUCCUAGUGCUUUAAAAGACUCCCAAGAUUUGUUUCCAUAAGAGUUUUAAUCAGAAAAUGAAACCAGAAAAUUUUCGACGCGAUUGGCCUGGGCAACAUUUUCUUCUCGGUAAUAAGAAAAACAUAUGGGGCGAUCACCCGAUUUUUAUAACUGGGCUGUCGCACAGGCAAAAUUUCUUCCAUAUGUUGCAUUUUAGCCCUCGAAAUCGAUUUUUGAUUCUUUUAGGCCCUUUCUCUUGCAAUUUCAACUCUUUGACUUUCAUUUGCAUCCAAUUGAACCCGCAACAUCUUUAAUCUUCAUUUUGUGAUCCGAAUCAACUAUUAAAAUGUUGCAAUUUAGUCCUCAUACUUUGAAUUUUCUUCCUUUUUGGCUCUUUUUCAUUUCUUUUCUCUUGAAUUUCAUCACAUUCAUCAAUAUAGUCCUACAAAACAUAAUUACAUAGAAUUAAGUCAUAAUUCAAACUCUUUGAUCAUAAUUAAGUCAUGUUUAUGAACUAAAUAAGUGUGUAAAAACACACUUAUCACUUUCCUUCAUCAUCUGACCCACAUUCACUUCUCAAGCUUUAGGCCUUUUCAGAUGCAGGCUGGGGAACUUGUCUUGACACAAGAAAAUCAACUACUAGUUUUUGUAUUUUCCUUGGAGACUCGUUAAUAUCUUGGAAAGCUAAGGCGACGGUCCACUGUUUCUCGAUCUUCAGCUGAAGCAGAAUAUAGGGCUCUAGCUACCACCAUCAGUAAAGUCAUCUGGAUCAACCAAUUGCUCAAGGAUUUUCAGACAUGCGCUAUCUCUCCAGGUGCCUUAUUUUGUGAUAACCAAGCUGCCAUUCAAAUAGCCACAAAUCCAAUUUUUCAUGAACGAACAAAACACAUCAAAUUUGAAUUUUCUUCCUUUUUGGCUCUUUUUCAUUUCUUUUCUCUUGAAUUUCAUCACAUUCAUCAAUAUAGUCCUACAAAACAUAAUUACAUAGAAUUAAGUCAUAAUUCAAACUCUUUGAUCAUAAUUAAGUCAUGUUUAUGAACUAAAUAAGUGUGUAAAAACACACUUAUCACUUUCCUUCAUCAUCUGACCCACAUUCACUUCUCAAGCUUUGGGCCUUUUUAGAUGCAGGCUAGGGAACUUGUCUUGACACAAGAAAAUCAACUACUAGUUUUUGCAUUUUCCUUGGAGACUCUUUAAUAUCUUGGAAAGCUAAGCGACGGUCCACUGUUUCUCGAUCUUCAGCUGAAGCAGAAUAUAGGGCUCUAGCUACCACCAUCAGUAAAGUCAUCUGGAUCAACCAAUUGCUCAAGGAUUUUCAGACAUGCGCUAUCUCUCCAGGUGCCUUAUUUUGUGAUAACCAAGCUGCCAUUCAAAUAGCCACAAAUCCAAUUUUUCAUGAACGAACAAAACACAUCGAAAUCGAUUGCCACUUUAUUCGGGGUAAAGUUGCAGCUGGAAUUAUUAAGCUCCUUCCAAUCCGAUCUCAACAUCAACUAGCUGACGCAUUUACUAAGCCACUUUUUGCAUCUGUCCUUCUCCCUUUAAUGUCCAAGAUGUCUGUAAAGAACAUUUAUCAUACAUCUUGAGGGGGAGUAUUAGAAUUAAUUGGAGGCAUUAUAUAACAUUUAUCAUACAUCUUGAGGGGGAGUAUUAGAAUUAAUUGUAGGCAUUAUAUGUAAUUGCACUCAUCUUAGUUUCUUUUCAGUUCGUUAGUUAGCUAGCUUUGUCCAGCUAUGUUUACUUUCUUUCAUUUUUGGGCACCAAGCUCCAUUGCUAUUUAUGUAUCUUAGUUGAUUGAACGACCAAUAGAGUUUCAAUUCAUUUUCUCUUUGUAAAUCUAAUAUAUUUUCUACAUUGAAUCAUAAAUUUCACGAAAGAAAUUGUCUCCUGUAUCCACCGGCUACAGUCAAGCCCAGGAUGAUGGUAUGUACACACACAGUUGACAUGCAAGAAAUGGAAAUCUAAAAAAGCCCAAGGACCUUCUUAUAUGUAUAUUUGCUCUCCCAAUAUUGUUCCUUAUCAGAAAAAGGUAGUCAUUGAGACCCCCCCUCCCCGAAUGGCCAAAACUCUAAUGGUCAAGGAGGCAUCAUUGAAAUGUUGUUGAAUCAUCUGUUGUGUGGACGAAGAGUCCAACCAAGCUAUGAGGAUUAGAAUAAAGGCCAAGAAGAUCGUGGUGAGCAUCUCGGGUAAGUUAAAUCUUUAUAUGACUAAUAUAAAUCUUUUCUUUGGUAUUGUGUACUAUACAUCAGUAUGUCUAGGAUACGAAACAAGAUUUUAGUUUUUUUAUUUUCCUUUCUUCAAUACUUUCUAGAAUAAUGCUAUCUAUGUAUGACCACUAGUGGAUGUGAUGCAUUUUCACUCACAAAUUGGAUAGAACGGCAAACAAUUUCACUGAUAUUAGGAUCCAUUAAGACUUAAAGUUGCAUUUUAAAAGGUCAAACUUGGUAAGAGAGGUAACCCAAGUCUUUAUAUGUUGGUCUAUAUUUCAUCAAUUUUUGAUGUGUAAUUUAUUCUUUAACAUAUAUCCGAAAGAAGGUGGUUUGUUUGAACAAACCAAUCUGAAAAUUUAUGUACUCUUUUAUGGGUCUUAGUCAAAUCAAAUUGCUUUUCAGAGUUUAAUAGACUCUGAUACCAUAUUAAGAUUUAGAGUUCUAUCUUAAAAUGUCGACUCUAGUUAGAAGAGUAGCUCAAGUUUUUAUAUGUUGGCCUAUUUUUCUACUAUUAUUCGAUGUGGAUAAGGAUCUUGAAGCUGCAAAAAACAUUUUAUAUUUAACAUUCUUUUCAUCUUCGAUGGACGUUGGAUUUACCAUUAUAAUCUUCCCUACUCUCAUGAACAUUAUUUCUAGGAGUUGAGUCGAUGUCAAUGGAGGGAAGCGGGAACAUUCUAACAGUGAUUGGUGAAGAAAUCGACUCGGUGAGUCUUGUCCAAUGCCUAUGGAAGAAGGUGUGUUUUGCUAAUGUAGUGAGCGUACCAAACUGAGAGGGUUGAAACUAAGCAACCGAAACUUGAGAACACGAAUCCGGCUACCUGUGUGUGUGCCUCUUCGAUGCUGUAAUCACUCGCCUCACUGGAAAAUAUUGGAAAUCAGGGAACCCACAUCUUACUGCUUCAACUUUUGAAUGCUUCUUAUGUUAAGUUGUCAAACAAGAAAAAAAAUGAAUCUUUUGUUGUGAAGAAAAUUAAGCAACAUUAAUUCACAAUAGAUUUUGUUGCAAAUUCUGUUUGAGAUAAUGUUACAAGUGGAACAUUGUAGUAUAAUUUCAAGAGAUCAGAAGUAUAAGUUGAGAGAAAACUUUGAUUUCAUUUCUUGGAUUGGAUAGAUAGCAUUACUCUUAUUGAAUGUGUUGGGCUGUGAUGCCAUUUGAUCAAUCCAACUAAUAGGCAGUGAUGAAAUAAGGCCCAAUAUGGAAUCAAUAGAUGAUCCAUUUAUUAAAACCUAGAAGGCCCAAUUAAACCGAGCCCAAUAUCCAGCCCUUUUAACCCUAGUCGUUCUUGGACCGUUGGAUUAACCCACUCAAUCUAACGGUGGAUUGGUUUACUAUAUAUACAUCCCUUAUCCCUUGUUUGGGAGAGAGACGGUCAUUUUUCUUGUUCUCUUUUUCUCUGUGUAUUCUGAAACCUUCAAUGACUUUCGUCUUUGUGACCUUUUCUUCUUCUCUGUGUGAGAACUUCUGUUGAUUAUCUUUGUGAUAAUCAUGUCAUUGUGUUAGUCUCCUUUGUGAGAGUAAACUGUUGGAAGUGGUCUGUCCAUUUUCGGUUCCAGUGAAGCGACUUGGUGUUUUGGGGUUGUAAGGGCUCGUGUGUUGAGUUCAGUGCCUCUGUGGUGGUUAGAAAAGGGCGUAUGGUCUGAGCCUAUGAAUAGAUCUAAACCUUGAUCCAGUGGCUUAGGUUUUCUGUAAAUCUGCUGCGUGUGUGUGUGUGUGUGUGUGUGUGUGUGUGUGUGUGUGUGUGUGUAUAUAUAUUCUGAUUUGUAUAGUUUGAACAGAUUCUGGAUUAAUAGUGGUAUCAGAGCUUUCUUUGUCCGUUCUUGAGUCUUCGAUUGAAGGUUUGAACACUGGAAAAUUAAUUUCCAAGUGUUCAACUGUAGAUCGCAAAACCCUAGGUUUUGAUUUGAGAGGACCUUGUGGUCUGUGGAGUUGAUUCAUUACUGGACUAUGAAAUGCGAGGGAAUUCUGUGUCUCCUCGCCUUGAUCUAUGAAAGAACCUGAAAUAUGAGUCCCUGUGGGUUUCGUUCUUGAGCUGGAACCCUAACUUCGAAAUUGAUUGGAAGGACUUGAAGCUGUUAUGGCUUGACUUGAAUUUUGGUGACCUGCAGAGCACUUAUCCCCCACUGCGAUAACCUGUUUUGAUUUCAGCUGGUGGUUAAUUGUUUAACCACCUUUCGGUUUGCACUUUCUUGAACCCUACACGACAGCACACACUCUUAAUUAUACUUUUAUGAGUAUAUGCCUCUAUGUGACUAUGUUGAUAUGUUCAUUUCCUGUAUACUGUAACUUGUUACAUUAGUUAGUGAUAUCUUGUUAUAUUUGCCUGUGAUCAUUAAAGUGUGGGUGAUUCAAAUUGAGCCUUGACCUGAGAACUUGAUUCUCACGGAAUCCUAGUGAAUUUGAUCAACCCUAGGUCCUGUAGAUACUGUUUUUGAUACUGAGAUAUGGUUUUUUGCCUACAUUAUUAUAUUCUCUGGUUCUUGUGGUGUUUACAUUAGUAUGCUUACUGAUCCUGUUAUUGAUUGAAAUUAUUUGUGAUUAAAAUAAUUGUGGCUCAUUUAUUUGAUUGCAUAUUUUUUGUGACCUAAAACAUAAAUUUUUGUGAAGGUCAAAUUCAACAGUUUUUUCAAAAGUUGAUCAUUUGUCUUGUUUUAAUUUUUUGGAAAACCCUGUGUGUUAGUUUUUCACAAUAAAACAUGACAAAAUCUUUUGAACUUGGUGUUUUUGAUGGAAAAGGGAAUUUUCCCAUUUGGCAACAAAAAAUGCGAGGUGUUUUAGUUCAGUAAAAAGUUUCUAAAGCAAUAACAGAUGAAUUUCCUGAUACCAUGACAGAUGAUCAAAAGGAAGAAUCUGAUGAACUUGCUUAUACCUCCAUUAUUUUGCAUUUGUCUGAUCAAGUUUUAAGAAAAGUAGGUAAACAUGAUACUGCUAAGGCUCUAUGGGAUGAAUUAGGGAAACUUUAUCUACCUAAGUCUUUGCCUAAUAAGUUGUUUCUAUUAGAGAAAUUUUUCAGCUUUAGGAUAGAUCCAACUAGAGACUUAGAAGAUAGCUUAAACAUUUUUAAUAAGUUAGUUCAAGACAUUAUCAAUACAAGUGAGAAAGUUUCUGAUGAGUAUAAGGCUGUAGUACUACUUAAUGCUAUACCUGAAGCCUACAAAGAGGUUAAAGCCGCCAUUAAGUAUGGUAGAGAUACUCUUACACCUGAUAUUGUCAUAGACUCUUUAAGGAGUAAGGAACUUGAACUUAAGUCUAAGAGAGGUAAUAGUGGCCAUGAAAACUUGUUUGCUAGAGGCAGGACUUUAAGUAGGUCUAGUAGUACUCAUGAAAGCCAUAAUAAUCAGGGAAACAACAAUAGGAGGAAGUUUAAAAGUAGAGGCAAGUCUAAGUCAAGGACUAGGACUUAAAAGUGUUAUGGGUGUGGGAAAACUGGACAUUUCAUUAAAGACUGUUAUAAAAAUAAAAAUGAACAGAAACUGAAGGGUGUUGAUGAAGGUAAUGUGGUAGAAUCUGAAGGUUCUGCCACAGUUGAUGUAUAUGCUGUGACUGAAAAUUUACCUAGCUCUGCAAAUGUGGUUGAUGAGAAUCAGAACCAAGAAUGGAUCUCGGAUUCUGGUUGUACCUUCCAUAUGACCUUUAAGAAGGUAUAUUUAGACAAUUUUAAGAAAAUUGAUGGAGGAAAAGUGGUUAUGGGCAAUAAUGUAGCCUUCAGAGUUGAGGGAGUUGGGAAUGUCACUUUGAAAUUCGAUAAUGGAUACAUUCACCCUUUUGAAAGGGUCAGGUAUGUUCCUGAAUUAAAUAGGAAUCUGAUUUCCAUGGGAUAUCUUGAUGAUAUGGGAUUGCAAGAAAAAAUAGGAGAUGGCUUCUUAAAAGUGAUAAAAGGAUCACUUGUUAUUUUGAAAGGUGUUAAAAAAAAUGGGAUUUAUGUGACCAGAGCUAGUACAGUGUCUGAUCACAUAGGUGAGUCUUCUAGUGUAGAAGCUGAUGCUACCUUAAAGUGGCACAAGAGAUUGGCCCAUGUAGGUGAAAAGGGCCUACACAUCCUUUAUAAGAAAGGAGUGUUUGGAAAAGACUCUAUAUCUAAGGUGUCCUUUUGUGAAAACUGCACCUUAGGUAAGCAGCAUAGGCUGCAUUUUAACACAGGAAAACAUAGAACCACUUCUAUCCUUGAGUAUAUACAUACUGAUUUGUGGGGACCUUCAUCCACUAUUACUCAAGGAGGAAAUAGAUAUUUCUUGUCCUUAAUUGAUGACUAUUCUAGGAAGGUUUGGAUUUAUUUGAUGAAACACAAAUCUGAAACCUUUGAGAAAUUCAGAACUUGGAAGAUUCUAGUUGAAAAUGAGAUUGGAAAGAAAAUUAAGAUCCUUAGGACGGACAAUGGCCUUGAGUUUUGCAAUGCUGAAUUUGAUCAAUUGUGCAAAGAAUCUGGUAUUAAAAGGCAUAAAACAGUACCUUAUACACCUCAGCAGAAUGGAGUGGCUGAGAGGAUGAAUAGAACCUUGCUAGAUAAGGUUAGGUGCAUGUUGAUAGGCUCAGGUGUCCCUAAGGUGUUAUGGGGUGAAGCUGUAAUGACAGCUUCAUAUAUUGUUAAUAGAAUCCCCUCAAGUGCUCUAGGUGAUAAAACCCCAGAAGAGCUAUGGACAUGACAUGUUCCUGAUUAUUCUCAUUUAAGAAUUUUUGGUUGUGCAGCCUAUACCCAUCAGAGUAUAGGAAAACUUGAACCUAGGGCCCAGAAAUGUGUUUUCUUGGGAUAUCCCGAUGGGGUUAAAGGUUAUAGGCUUUAGAGUAAAGAGGUAAAAGGUUUUAAAAUCAUCACCAGCAGAGAUGUGACCUUUGAUGAGUAAAAAUGCCUUGUUUAGAAAAUAAAGAGCCAAAGGGUUUAUCUGGUGAUGAAAGGGGUGAUAAUACCAAGCUGCAGGUGGAGCUUGGCUUACCUACUGAACCUAUUGGUGAUGAACAGGUGGAUGAAGAAGCUGAAAUAGCUUCUGGUCCUCUAGAAAAUGAAGAGGAAGAUGUUCAAGAAAAUCUGGAAAGUCAGCCUGAUGAAUUAGGAGAUUACCAGUUGGCUAGAGAUUGGACUAGGAGAGAAGUUAGAGAGCCUGUUAGGUAUGGGGAUUACCUUUCACUUGCUAUUUUGUCCUAUCAAGACUUAGUGUUUAAAGAACCAAAAUCUUAUGAAGAGGCAAUGAGCAGCAAGCAAUCUGAGAAAUGGCAUGCUGCUAUGAUAGAUGAGAUAGACUCCUUAAUGAAAAAUGAGACUUGGACUUUAGUCCCUAAACCUGUAGGUAAGACCCUUGUUGAUUGCAAGUGGAUCUUUAGCGCUACGGAGGGAAAUUCUGAAAAGAUGCCCAUAAGAUUUAAAGCUAGACUUGUAGCGAAAGGAUUUACACAAAAAGAGGGCAUAGACUAUAAUGAGAUAUUUUCACCUGUGAUAAAGUACACAACCAUUAGAGUUAUGCUUGCUCUUGUUGCUCAUUAUGAUCUUGAACUUGAGCAAAUGGACGUGAAAACUGCUUUCUUGCAUGGUGACCUUGAUGAAGUGAUUUAUAUGAGGCAGCCACCUGGUUUUAUUGAGGAAACUAAUUCUGAUCAUGUGUGUUUGUUAAAAAGAUCAUUAUAUGGUUUAAAGCAAUCUCCACGACAAUGGUACAAAAGGUUUGAUAAUUUUGUAUCCGCUAUUAGUUUCAAAAGAAGUGAAUAUGAUCAUUGUCUUUAUUUUAAAAGAAAUGAUGAAAAUGCUAUUGUUGCUUUUAUACUUCUUUAUGUGGAUGAUAUGUUGCUGAUUGGUCAGAAUAUGCAUGUUAUUAAUUAGAUAAAACGGUCUUUAAGUGUUGAAUUUGAAAUGAAAGACCUAGGACAUGCAAAGAGAAUUCUAUGAAUGGAAAUCACUAGGAAAAGGCAUCAUAGGUUACUGUACUUGAAGCAAACUGCAUAUAUUGAAAAAAUGUUGAUUAAGUUUGCCAUGCAUAACUCUAAAUCUGUUUCACUUCCAUUGGCCAGUCAUUUUAAACUUAGUAAGGAGCAAUGUCCCGUAGAUGAAUCUGACAUUAGACAAAUGGAAAAUGUACCCUAUGCUAAUGCCGUAGGUUCUGUUAUGUACACUAUGGUAUGUACUAGGCCGAUGUAGCUCAUUCCAUUAGCACACUUAGUAGAUUUAUGGCCAAUCCAGGACCUGACCAUUGGGUUGCUUUAAAAUGGCUGUUGAGAUACUUGAAAGGAUCUUCACAUGUUGGAUUGAUUUUUAGUGCCUGUAAUGAAGGUGUUGUACUUAAGGGUUUUGUAGAUUCAGAUUUUGCCGGAGAUAGAGACAAUAGGAAAUCUACUACUUCUUAUAUGUUUACUUUGUGUAAUACAUGUAUUAGUUGGAAAUCUCAACUUCAACCUAUUGUUGCUUUAUCUACUACUGAAGCUGAGUAUGUUGCUACAACUGAAGCAAUAAAAGAAGGCUUAUGGCUUAAGGGUUUGUUAUCCGAAAUAAAUGAAUUAAGUAACCCUGUUGUUUUAUAUUCAGAUAGUCAAAGUGCAAUUCACCUAUGUAAAGACCCUAUUUUUCAUGAAAGAACCAAACACAUUGAUAUUAAGUUGCAUUUUAUUAGAGAUGUUGUUUCUAAAUAACUAAUUUUACUUGAGAAAAUUGCAACCCAGUUUAAUCCAGCUGAUGUAGGUACUAAGGUAAUACCUUUAAACAAGUUUAAGUCUUGUUUACAAAUUUUGAACAUUGAUGUUGGUUAAGUGUUUUGUUCUGUACAGGUGCUAAGGUUGAUGCUUGUUGAGAAUACGGGGAAGCUGUCUUUUUGAGAAGGACAUUUAAAUUGUGUUUUACAUUUAUUAGGCUUCUUGUAUGAUCACUGGCAUCAAGGUGAAGAUUUGUUGGGCUGUGAUGCCAUUUGAUCAGUCCAACUAAUAGGCAGUGAUGAAAUAAGGCCCAAUAUGGAAUCAAUAGAUGGUCCAUUUAUUAAAACCUAGAAGGCCCAAUUAAAUCGAGCCCAAUAUCCAGCCCUUUUAACCCUAGUCGUUCUUGGACCGUUGGAUUAACCCACUCAAUCUAACGGUGGAUUGGUUUACUAUAUAUACAUUAUUUAUCCUCUUGUUUGGGAGAGAGACGGUCAUUUUUCUUGUUCUCUGUGUAUUCUGGAACCUUCAAUGACUUUCGUCUUUGUGACAUUUUCUUCUUCUCUGUGUGAGAACUUCUGUUGAUUAUCUUUGUGAUAAUCAUGUCAUUGUGUUAGUCUCCUUUGUGUGAGUAAACUGUUGGAAGUGGUUUGUCCAUUUUCGGUUCCAGUGAAACGACUUGGUGCUUUGGGGUUGUGAGGGCUCGUGUGUUGAGUUCGGUGCCUAUGUGAUGGUUAGAAAAGGGCGUAUGGUCUGAGCCUAUGAAUAGAUCUAAACCUUGAUCCAAUGGCUUAGGUUUUCUGUAAAUCUGCUGCGUAUAUAUAUAUAUAUAUAUAUAUAUUCUGAUUUGUAUAGUUUGAACAAAUUCUGGAUUAAUAGAAUGGAGGUUUGCAAGAGUAUAUAUUGUAAUUUUAGCUUCCAUGAAGAGCCGUAGAAAGCUCAUUUUCUAGUUGUCAGAUGUCUCCGGUGAUUGAGUGUUAUUGGACUGAACUGAUAGAUUCAUGUUUGAACUGGACUCAUUGAGUCUUAUUUGAUUUGUGUUUAUGCAUCGAAAAGACAAAAAAAGAUUUUUAUCUUUUUAUAAGAAUUGUAUCUUUCUGAUAAAACUUAGUCACGAAACUUUAGUUAUAGGACCACAAAAACUCUUGUACCUCGAGAUAUUUUUAGUUUAUUUUGAACAUAAACAAGUAGCUCUCAUUCUAUCAAAUCGUCGAGAACGUACAAAGAAAUAAGUGAAGCAAUCAAAAUCAACCCAUUGAUGAGAAAUUGCAUGAUUAGCGAGACAAUGGGCCACAAAUUGAUUCCAUAAUCGUAUCCCAAGAAAAUGCGAGUUGCAAGCGAUAUUAUAAUAAAAGGGUAAAAUGGUCAUUUAAUCAUGAUUAAUUAUUCGAUGUCCGACAGGUAUAAACAAGUAGCUCUCAUUCUAUCAAAUCGUCGAGAACGUACAAAGAAAUAAGUGAAGCAAUCAAAAUCAACCCAUUGAUGAGAAAUUGCAUGAUUAGCGAGACAAUGGGCCACAAAUUGAUUCCAUAAUCGUAUCCCAAGAAAAUGCGAGUUGCAAGCGAUAUUAUAAUAAAAGGGUAAAAUGGUCAUUUAAUCAUGAUUAAUUAUUCGAUGUCCGACAGGUAUACUCGUCGUCCAAUACACAUAAAGAGAUCGCUUUUUAUUGUUUGAUUCCUCAACUUGAUUCUUGAUUUGGCUUUCAGGUUUCCACUCAUUAAUGGCUGUUCAUACUUCUGGAGAAUACCAAAGAAGAUAUGGGGUUGAAAGCUGGAAGAUUGAAUAUCAAUAUUUAAAGAAAAAAAUUGGAGCAGCUUCUAAAGAAUUCAGAUCUAAUCACACUUCAAGUGUGAUUCCACAAUCCUUUAUCUGAUUAAUUCAACAUGUUAUAAAACGAAUUUAACCAUAUAUUCUUGGAUCAAAACUUAUUAAGAAAAAAAAUUUAUUGCACAUGUUUUUACUUAUUGUCUAACAUUAGUCUUAUAUUUUCACUUUGGAUUUGUGAACACAUCUUUUCAGUUCAGUGUUUAUGAGUUAAGUUUGUAUCUAAUAACGCUAAAAGAUAAGGUUCUUUAAUACAUUUAUCAUUGUUCAUGUACUAUAAGAAGCCUCCUUGUGUAUAAAGAAAUAUACAACUUUAUUAUGGAUCUUUCCUAUAUUUUAUGUAUUUUAUAUAUUAAGUUUUAAUUGGAUAUUUAAAGAAAGUUCACCUUGACCUGCUAUUUAGAGUGCACACUAAGCAGUGGUCUAUCGGUUGUUGAAUUUUGGAAACUGAUCGCUUAGACUCUAUUGCACCGAAUUACAUAUUCCGAGGGGACAACUAUUUAUUGUUCUUCAAGCUACCAUUUUCAGGCUAAUUUUCAUUGUUGAUUCUUAAAGUUAUCUUAUAAUGUGUGGACAUUUGAAAUAGAUUAUUUAUCUUUAGCUUCAUCUUUUGUGUAUAUUACAAUUUUCCUAACAAUCUUAAAUUCAUUUUGGAUAAAACCUCUUUGCCAGGGCCACAUGUGCCCUGGUAUUGGCGCCCCCUAUAGGUGGGGUGCCUUGGUAAUGCCUCACAUUUCACCAAGCCAACUUUGACUCAAGUCGUGCUUCUAAAGUUCAUAUUUGGUGUUGGUACAAGAUUUGAUGUGUUCUCUAAACUUGGCUCAUUCAUUGAAGCCCCACCUAUAGGGGCGCCAAUACCAAGACACAUGUGGCUCUGGUAACCAAGCAUGGUUCAUUGAUUUUAUACAUAUUGGGUAUGCCUCACAUUUCACCAAGCCAACUUUGACUCAAGUCAUGCUUCUAAAGUUUGUAUUCGAUUUUGGUACAGGAUUUGAUGGGGUCUCUACACUGGGCUCAGUCUGGGUUGCUGGACACAGUAAAUUGGUACUUUCAUUUGAAAGGGGCUAAUCUCAUUUCUCACACACAUUGUGCUCGUUUUCCUUUCUUUAGACAUUUUUUAUGUGUUCUAAAGAAAUCUGAGUGAUUUCUUCAAACAUUUUACUGAAUUUGUUCUUGAUUUUCAUUCUAAAAUGAAAGCCAUAUCUACUUUGAUAGAUGCUCAAUGGGCGAAUAAUGUUGGAGCACAUGAACAUUCGGAUCCAUUAGUGGACGAAAAAUUCUUGUGUUAGAAUUUCUUUAAUUUUUUACACAUUUAUUUCAAUCUUUUAGGGUUAAAACAUAUAUUUAGGACUAACAAGUUGCAUCAGAGUCAGAACCUUAAUUUUGAUAUGGUUUCUGGCUUUAAAAUGGAAACCUAGUCCGUUCUUUUUGAAAAAUCUUUGUACCAUACUAGCUGUCGAUCUAGAAUUUUUUGUGGAAACCAACUUAUUUCCAAAUCCCUGUGACUUGAUGUAUCUUCGAUUCAACAUUUGGCUGAAUUUUUUGAUGAACUCUUUUGGGUUUCUAGUGAUUCUUGAUGGCUCGUUUGUAUUCCUUGUUGGGUUGUGAUGACUUUACACAGUUUCUGGCAAUUCUCGGUGACUCCUUAUUUUAUGUUGAGUUGAGGUGACUCAUUCAAUCUACUACCGAUUCUUUGUGUUUCAGUUGGCAUUCUGGGAUAAGUUUUAGUAGAGCAAAGUUUAAAUAUAGAAAUUAAUUUGUUUUAUAAUGAAGACACAAACUGAACAUUAGACAAUUUAAAAGUUCUAAUGACACAGGAAGGAUGUUAGAACUAUUAGGUAGAGAAGAGGGUGAUAGAUUGUGCUAGCCAUGAAUAUGAUGUAUAUUAAGAGCUUUGUGGGAAACAUUGACAAGAUGGUACCAAAGGAUGGUUUGGCUUCGAAGUGUUGGAGAUUAGCCUCAAAGCUUAUUUGUUUCUUAUGGGGCUUAUCGAAGGUAAUAGGUAUAUCGCGAGCACUAACAACAGAUGAUAUGUCCUUAUGGUCACCAGGUAGGCCAUCAAGAAUUUUUAGAGUCAGAUCUUCAUAGUGGAUGGGAUAGUCCUUGAUAGCAAGUUCGACAAUCUUGCUUUUCUAAGAUUCUAGAAACUCGAUAAUAGUUAAAGAUCCUAUAGUAANNNNNNNNNNNNNNNNNNNNNNNNNNNNNNNNNNNNNNNNNNNNNNNNNNNNNNNNNNNNNNNNNNNNNNNNNNNNNNNNNNNNNNNNNNNNNNNNNNNNNNNNNNNNNNNNNNNNNNNNNNNNNNNNNNNNNNNNNNNNNNNNNNNNNNNNNNNNNNNNNNNNNNNNNNNNNNNNNNNNNNNNNNNNNNNNNNNNNNNNNNNNNNNNNNNNNNNNNNNNNNNNNNNNNNNNNNNNNNNNNNNNNNNNNNNNNNNNNNNNNNNNNNNNNNNNNNNNNNNNNNNNNNNNNNNNNNNNNNNNNNNNNNNNNNNNNNNNNNNNNNNNNNNNNNNNNNNNNNNNNNNNNNNNNNNNNNNNNNNNNNNNNNNNNNNNNNNNNNNNNNNNNNNNNNNNNNNNNNNNNNNNNNNNNNNNNNNNNNNNNNNNNNNNNNNNNNNNNNNNNNNNNNNNNNNNNNNNNNNNNNNNNNNNNNNNNNNNNNNNNNNNNNNNNNNNNNNNNNNNNNNNNNNNNNNNNNNNNNNNNNNNNNNNNNNNNNNNNNNNNNNNNNNNNNNNNNNNNNNNNNNNNNNNNNNNNNNNNNNNNNNNNNNNNNNNNNNNNNNNNNNNNNNNNNNNNNNNNNNNNNNNNNNNNNNNNNNNNNNNNNNNNNNNNNNNNNNNNNNNNNNNNNNNNNNNNNNNNNNNNNNNNNNNNNNNNNNNNNNNNNNNNNNNNNNNNNNNNNNNNNNNNNNNNNNNNNNNNNNNNNNNNNNNNNNNNNNNNNNNNNNNNNNNNNNNNNNNNNNNNNNNNNNNNNNNNNNNNNNNNNNNNNNNNNNNNNNNNNNNNNNNNNNNNNNNNNNNNNNNNNNNNNNNNNNNNNNNNNNNNNNNNNNNNNNNNNNNNNNNNNNNNNNNNNNNNNNNNNNNNNNNNNNNNNNNNNNNNNNNNNNNNNNNNNNNNNNNNNNNNNNNNNNNNNNNNNNNNNNNNNNNNNNNNNNNNNNNNNNNNNNNNNNNNNNNNNNNNNNNNNNNNNNNNNNNNNNNNNNNNNNNNNNNNNNNNNNNNNNNNNNNNNNNNNNNNNNNNNNNNNNNNNNNNNNNNNNNNNNNNNNNNNNNNNNNNNNNNNNNNNNNNNNNNNNNNNNNNNNNNNNNNNNNNNNNNNNNNNNNNNNNNNNNNNNNNNNNNNNNNNNNNNNNNNNNNNNNNNNNNNNNNNNNNNNNNNNNNNNNNNNNNNNNNNNNNNNNNNNNNNNNNNNNNNNNNNNNNNNNNNNNNNNNNNNNNNNNNNNNNNNNNNNNNNNNNNNNNNNNNNNNNNNNNNNNNNNNNNNNNNNNNNNNNNNNNNNNNNNNNNNNNNNNNNNNNNNNNNNNCAGGUAUAUAUAUAUAUAUAUAUAUAUAUAUAUAUAUAUAUAUAUAUAUAUAUUGAUGAUAAGUCAGAAGAAUAUAAAUUAACCCCCUGCAAAUAGGGCUAGUUUUUGAUUGGCAUGAUUGCAGUGGCGGAUCUAGGUGGUGGUGAGAUCCGUUGGAAGCCAUUUUUUUUGGUUGACAAUAGAUUAAGGUUUUAGAUUAUGUUACUGAUAAUUCUUUCUUCUUCUGAAUUUUCCUUCUAGUUGAAGUGGUUAUAUAUUUACAUUUUGCAAGUCCUGGUUUCGAUUCUCUUCCCAACCAAUUCAUUGUGCAAUUUUUUUAGUUUACAACAACUAUCAAAAUUAAUGCAAUAGGAAAGAGUUGGAUGAGAUUCAAACCUUGAAACCCUAUUAUAACCAUUGAAAGCCUGACCACUGUGGCAUCUAUUGGUUUUGGCACUUAAUUCAAUAAAGUAAUAUAUAUUAUAUUUAUUGGGUUUAAGAUUCCAAAUCAUGUUCUUCCUUUAAAUUAUACGAUACUUGACAACAAUGUCAUUUGGUGAAUAUACGAUUUAUUCUUAUAACAGAAUUAUAUAUGUUCAAUAUGAACAAAUUUUAGGCAUUGUUUUAUUGUCAUUUUUUUUUCAAAAUACAUUUUUAUCUAUCUUAUUUUUAACCAUAUAUUUUUCAAUAAAAAAUAAUAUUACACGCAAAUUCAAAAUAUUUUUCUUAUUUUUUACCUCACUUUCUCCAUGAAAUCAUUAUUUCAAAAUGCAUUUUUUGUUUAAAAAAAAAAAAGACAUCAAACGGGCUCUUAAUACUUUAUUGCAGCUGACGGUCGACAAUCAACGACUAUCCGUGCUGACUCAAAAUCCUAGAUUCGCCACUGCAUGAUUGGAUGUAAUUAUUGUAGUUUCAAUUAUUUAAGUCCGAUUGGAUCCUUUUGAUAGCUUCAGUAAAAGUUUUGAGCUUUAUUACAUUAUUAAUAAAAUUUCUUAGACCACUUUGAAAAUAGUCCAAAAUAGAACUUGCAGUUUAGUGAAAUUAGGGAACAAAGUCCUAAACUUACUUGAAGGGUUAAGGGGAUGCCCAUGGCAUAAGUGAAUGCCCUCGUCGUCCAAUACACAUAAAGAGAUCGCUUUUUAUUGUUUGAUUCCUCAACUUGAUUCUUGAUUUGGCUUUCAGGUUUCCACUCAUUAAUUGCUGUUCAUACUUCUGGAGAAUACCAAAGAAGAUAUGGGGUUGAAGCUUGAAGAUUGAAUAUCAAUAUUUAAAGAAAAGAAUUGGAGCAGCUUCUAAAGAAUUCAGAUCUAAUCACACUUCAACUAUGAUUCCACAAUCCUUUAUAUGAUUAAUUCAACAUGUUAUAACACGAAUUUAAGUAUAUAUUCUUGGGUCAAAACUUAUUAAGAAAAAAAAUUUAUUGCACAUGUUUUUACUUAUUGUCUAACAUUAGUCUUAUCUUUUCACUUUGGAUUUGUGAACACAUCUUUUCAGUUCAGUGUUUAUGAGUUAAGUUUGUAUCUAAUAACGCUAAAAAAUAGGGUUCUUUAAUACAUUAACAUUGUUCAUGUAAUAUAAAAAGCCUCCUUGUGUAUAAAGAAAUAUACAACUCUAUUAUGGAUCUUUCCUAUAUUUUAUGUACUUUAUAUAUUCAGUUUUAAUUGGAUAUUUAAAGAAAGUUCACCUUGACCUGCUAUUUAGAGUGCACACUAAGCAAUGGUCUAUCGGUUGUCGAAUUUUGGAGAUUGAUCGCUUAGACUCUGUUGCACUGGAUUACAUAUCUCGAGGGGGCAACUAUUUAUGGUACUUCAAACUAACAUUUUUAAGCUAAUUUUCAUUGUUGAUUCCUAAAGUUAUCUUAUAAUGUGUGGGCACAUGAAAUAAAUGACUUAUCUUUAGUUUCAUCUUUCGUGCAUAUUACAACUUUCCUAACAAUCUUAAAUUCAUUUUGGAUAAAACCUCUUUACCAGGGCCACAUGUGCCCUGGUAUUGAUACGCCCUAUAGGUGGGGCCUCGAUAGGUGCCCCACCUAUAGGGGGCGCCAACCAUGGCACAUGCGGCCCUGGUAACCAAGCACGGUUCAUUGAUUUUAUACAUAUUGGAUAUGCCUCACAUUUCACCAAGCCAACAUUGACUUAAGUCGUGCUUCUAAAGUUCGUAUUCAAUUUUGGUACAAGAUUUGAUGGGGUCUAUACACUUGGCUCAUUCAUUGAGGCCCCACCUAUAGUGGGUGCCAAUAUCAGGGCACAUGUGGCCCUGGUAACCAAGCACGGUUCAUUGACUUUGUACAUAUUGGAUCUGCCUCACAUUUCACCAAGUCAACUUUGACUCAAGUCGUGCUUCUAAAGUUUGUAUUCGAUUUUGGUACAAGAUUUGAUGUGGUCUCUACACUUGGCUCAUUCUGGGUUGCUGGACAGAGAGUAAAUUGGUUCUUUCAUCUAAAAGGGGCUAAUCUCAUUUCUCACACACAGAGUGCUCUUUUUCCUUUCUUUAGACAUUUUUUAUGUGUUCUAAAGAAAUUUAAGUGAUUUCUUGAAACAUUUUACUGAAUUUGUUCUUGAUUUUCAUUCUAAUAUGAAAGCCAUAUCUACUUUGGUAGAUGCUCAAUGGGUGAAUAAUGUUAGAGCACAUGAACAUUCGGAUCAAUUAGUGGAUGAAAAUUCUUGUGUUCGAAUUUCUUUAAUUUUUUACACAUUUAUUUCAAUCUUUUAGGGUUAAAACAUAUAUUUAGGACUAACAAGUGGCAUCAGAGUGAGAAACUUAAUUUUGAUAUGGUUUCUGGCUUUAAAAUGGAAACCUAAUUUGUUCUUUUUGAAAAAUCUUUGUACUAUACUAGCUCUCGAUCUAGAAUUUUUUGUGGAAACCAACUUAUUUCCAAAUCUCUAUGACUUGAUGUAUCUUCAAUUCAACGUUUGGUUGAAUUUUUUGAUGAACUCGUUUUGGUUUCUAGCGAUUCUUGAUGGCUCGUUCGUAUUCGUUGUUGGGGUGUGAUGACUUUACGCAGUUUCUAGCAAUUCUCGGUGACUCCUUAUUAUUUGUUGAGUUGAGGUGCCUCAUUCAAUCUACUACUGACUCUUGGUGUUUUACUUGGCAUUCUGGGGUAAAUUUUAGUAGAGCAGAGUUUAAAUAUAGAAACUAAUUUGUUUUGUAUUGAAGACACAAACUGAACAUUAGACAAUUUAAAAGUUCUAAUGACACAGGAAAAGAUGUUAGAACUAUUAGGUAGAGAAGAGGAUGGUGGAUUGUGCUAGCCAUGAAUAUGAUGUAUAUUAAGAGCUUUGUGGGGAACAUUGGCAGAGAUGGUACCAGAGGAUGGUUUGGCUUCGAAGUGUUGGAGAUUAGCCUCAAAGCUUAUUUGUUUCUUAUGGAGCUUAUUGAAGGUAAUGGGUAUAUCGCGAGCACUAACAACAGAUGAGAUGUCCUUAUGGUCACCGAGUAGGCCUUCAAGAAUUUUUAGUGUCAGAUUUUCAUAGUGGAUGGGAUAGUCCUUGAUAGCAAGUUCGACAAUCUUGAUUUUCUAAGAUUCUAGAAACUCGAUAAUAGUUAAAGAUCCUAUAGUAACGUUGGGAAGUCGACUUUUUCAUUGUAUAAUGCAACCUCCUGAGGGUUUGUCAUAUAUUGCAAAAAUAUUGUUCCACACAUUAUGAGAUGUUUUGAAAGAAGCGAUGUAUGGUAUAAUAGUGGAAGAACGGAUCCGAUAAUUGCAUUUAAUAGUAGUUGGUUAUGUUCGAUACCAUAAGCAAAUGAUUGAUUUAGUAAGUAUUGACAUUUUUUAUAAUAUGUAGCUCAUAUGGAGUAAAACACAUGUACACUAGAAAAGCACGUUGACGCCAACGUGGAGCAAGGGGAGCGCACCUAACAGAAUGGUACAAGGAUAUUUUUGGAUUUCUAUAAUAUCUUGUACGGGCUAGGUUAGUAUAUAUAUUAUAACUCUAUUAUUUUCAUAUUGUGAAAAUUAUAGCCGCUUCACUCUCGUAGAUGUAGGCUACUGUCAAACCACUCUCUCUAUUGAAUUUGUACUAUUCAUCAUUAUCAUUAUUGUCGUACAUAACACAACACCAUUGAUAUAAGCUAGUCAUAAACCCAUGAGAUCAUACCUUAUGAGUAUUGUAUUAUAUUGCAAUUUCUAUGAGGACUAAUUUCCUACGAGCAAGAUACUCUAGUGUCUAGCGCUUCGACCUUCUUCCUCCCGCUCGAAUAAGCCCUAGUUUCGCUUGAAUGAUCAAUGACGACACUUCUACAAUGUCAUCUAGUCAUCUUGUCCUACUCUUGUGCCGUAUAUUUCCUCAUUGUUCCCAAUCACGACCUAAGUGCCUCUAUAGCUCUACCCACUUCACACGCUCAGUUCUCACCCUAUGAAAACCCAUGACAAAGAUCAUAUUCCAAAGCCAAUUCAAAAACUAAAUAUCACCCCUUGAUCUUGAUUCCAUUAUUCUACAGUCUUUUGCCACAAUCCUUAAACGUCCACUUUGAUUCUAAUCCAUGUGUGAGGAGUUUGAUGGCCUAUUAGGUAAUGAAUUUAAAAGACCUCCUCUCCCUUCUAAUUCCAAAUUAUUUUCAUUUGUAAAUGGGCUUUUCAUGUUAAACGGAAACCUAAUGGUUACAUUCAUUGUGCAUGACGAAUGUUUUUCAUCAACGCUCGUGGUAGACUACAAUGAGAAUUUUAACCUAGUUGUCAAUUCCACCACCAUCCAUCUCAUUUUAAUCUUACCUUGGCACAGCAUUGGUCUCUACGUUGUUCAAUGUUAGUAAUACAUUUCUUCGGGAUUCACUAAUGAAAAUUAUUUACAUGUCUCAUCUUCAACAAUUUGUCGAUAUAGAAACUUCCAUUAUGAUUGUCCAUUUCAUAAAGGUAUCUGUAAUCUCAAACAAGCUCAUCGAGCUUAGUACAAUGAAUUACGAAACUUCUUGCUUGCCAGUGGGAUUACCAAUUCCAAAUCUAACACGUACGUCUAUAUUCAACUGCAACUCCAACCAGUGUUGAAUCUUAGUUUUGGUUUAUGCUAAAGACAUCAUUGUCACGAGAAACUCAAGUUUUUAAUAUCUUUGUUACUCAUUUGGUACCAUUUUUUCUAGAGAUGUCAAAAAUCCUAACCGAACCUAAUCCCCAUAGGGACAUAUCCCAAAGUGGACAAGAGUUUCUGGCUUUAAUCGAGUUUGCAUCCAUUUAUAUUUUAACAAUAUUAAUAAAAAAAAAUGCCCAAUUUGUAUUAUAAAAAUUUUUUAAAAAAAUGAAUAAAUAAAUUUACCUAUCAUGCAAUCCAAUCUAACAUCGCGUUCCAUUCAAGAAAAAAGAAAAAGAAGGAGAAAAAAUAGAAAAUUGAUUAAAAAAAGCAAAAUAAAAUAUAACGGUGCUAUAAAGUGGAUCCCACUUUAUUGUCAUCCCUAGAUUUGGAUACUUUUUUCCUGGGGAUAUAAGUUAUUUUUCUCUACAAGGCCUUUUUCUCUCACAACAUUAGUUUGUAUCUCAGUAAUCUUCUGCACAACAUAAGUUGCAUGAGUGUGAGUCAGUGUCAAUUUCUAUGUACAUGACAACUACCUUGAGCUUAAUUGAUGUCACUACUUUUCAUGAUGCUUUUAAAUAUAGGCAAGUUCUUGGCAACUUGCAAUAUUCUUUACUCACUCGCCAGGGCAUUGUUAUUUAGUAAACCAUCUGUAUCAAUAUAUCGCUGAUCCAUUUCUCACACUUGGAUCGCUGUUAAACUUAUGUUUCUCGACUUUUUUGGCACUUUGGGCUCUUUCUUUGUCGCCAUUCUCCUGUCUUGUUACAUGCCUUCUCUAAAUCUGAUUGAGAAGAAAAUGGUAAUGAUUCCACAUCCAUCCAUGCCAAUCUAGUGAUUCUUGAAUGGAACCUAAUUGUUGCUCAUUUUUUUUUAUUGAAAUCGACUAUCAUAUGGCUUAAAUAUUUAGUACUUGAAUUCAGCGAACCAAUUUCCACCAAUCGAGUAAUCUAAUUUCAUACUAUUAGCACCACAUACUUAAUGACCUAACACUAUUUCUCACCUCGAAUGGAAUACAUUAAGAUUCAUGUGCACUUUGUUCAUGACAAGAUUUAGACCGGUGAACUCUGGAUUUCUUGUGUUGUCUUGUCCAAUCAAUUUGUUAAUGUUCAAACUAAACAUUAAUCAUAUGCGUCCGCAUCUACUCCUAUCUGAUAUAGGUGUCACUAAUAAGACUGCUUUCUUGUGCGGGGCAUAUUAUAGAUAUUAAAGUAAUUAGAGAUAGCAUAGUACGAUAAUUAGAGCUUGAUCUUGUGAAAUAAUAUUAAAGUAGUUAUAGAUAGUGUUACACAAUAGUUAGAACUUGUCAUUACUCAACGUGCAUCAUAUAUUUCUGUUACAGAAUGUAUACAUAUAUAUAGCACAUACCAGGAGAUAUUCUAGACUAUGCACUAAUUUAGGCUAUGAUUGAGAUUGACCCUCAUUGUAUGUGGAGUCAGAUGACAAACUAUACUUCCCUAUAAUUAUUGAAUAAUGUUAUUUAAUAUUAGUAGAAUUAGAGUGCCAGUCUAAGUUGACAUACUUGAUAAGUUCAAUUAAAUUAAUAUUGUGGUAUUGCAUUUAAAUGAAUUUAUUGUUUAGUGUCAUGAAAUUAGGGUGGCAACAGUUCGGUUCAGGUUCGGUUUGGCCAAAACCAUCACCGAAUCACCAAUUUUUUUGUCAUACCAUAACCACGUAAGUUGGUUCGGUUCGGCUUAGUUAGGACGAUUAAGAACAACGAAAAUAAAUUAUUUUUUAUAAGUUCAGCUAUCAAAUUGGAAAAAAAAAUUAUGAAAAAAAAGGUCAAUGAAAACAAAAACACAAUACCAAGUCAAUUUAACAAACAAUAUCCCAAUUUCCAAAGGCAAAAUCCGAAUUUAACAAACAAUAUCCAUAAAUGUUUAAUAUUUGUGUAGUAGGGUGUAGGGUUAUUGGGUUCAGUUAGUUGGACUUAAUGGGUUGGUAAUGGGCCAAAAAUUUGAACUGAACAGAAUCAUAGAAAGACUAAUGGAAAGCCUAAUUGUCCAAUUAGUUUUUUUUUAACAGGUAAUCGGUUCGGAGUUGGACGACGGUGUAAAUAUCAUACUCGUCCCGCUCCAAAUCGGGGCAUUAAAAUCAAAUACCAUAUCCACCCCAUUGCGCCAUUGGUUCGGUUAAUCGCGAUUUUCGAUUUUGAUAGUUCGAAUUGCCAUCCUUACAUGAAAUUGCAUCUCAACUAAAGUUUAACACUAAUGGUGCUAAAGUGCAUUACUCAUAAUUAUUAUAUGAGUAAUGCCAUUUAGCACUAUUAGUUAAGCACUGUUUAGGUGGCAUGCAAUAAUCAUUAAUUGAAAGACUGCCUUAAAAGUAGAAAAAUGAGUCACAUUUAAAAUGUUCUAUCACUUGCAUGCCAUCUAAGUUGGUGCUAUGUAACAUUAUUCUUAUUACUUUUCUUGAUUGACAACUUGCACCAAUAGUCAUCUUGCAACUUAUUGAUAUACUAAAAUCAAUGUGAGAUAGAGUUUAUGUAUUUGAGUUGGAGUCGAUCAAGUUUUUAUAGAACCUAAAUAAUCUUCAAAUGAAUCAUAGUUACUCAAGUUGUUUCUUACCGCUCUAAGCAUCAAUCCAAACACAUUCUUAUGUCAAUCAAUAUGUCAAUUUUUACAUGAAUCAAUUCAUCCUUUGCUGUUAGAGUUACUUUAGUUAGCUACUUUAGCAGAGAUGAUCAAGUUAUACAAAAGCUCAUUAGAAACAUCAAAGUUAGAUAUAAACUGUAAGGCUUAAUUACAGUUUUGUGUACUGUUACAGAAACAUUCAAAGUUUUUCGAGUAAUAUAGAUCAUUUCACUAAUCCUUUUUAUUUUUAUUUUUUUUAUAUACCAUUGUAUGAUUAAAUAAAAUUAGUAUAAAACAUCAAUACUUCAUCUACAAUGUACAUAGUUUAUCAACAAUGUUAAUAGCAUUGAGUUUAUAUUUCAUCAUAAUUCUCCAGACCAAUUAGAAAUAUUAGGAAGUUUCUAGUAUUUGAUCUUGUCUUCCCAUUUCUUUUAAUCAAUACAUAUAAUUAAUCAAGCAACCAAAAUAAAAUUUUUAACACCAUAAUACCAAUAUAAAAGUUACAAAUCUAGAAUAAAUCACUAUUACUCAUAGGAGUCACUUUGUAGAGCCCAUAUAGAAAACCUUGAAGGCAUGUCAAUUAAUACAUGUACUAUGCUGUUUCAAUUAUAAGUUAAUGUACCUCAUUUUCUUUCUUACACCAUAUAAAUACUUUAUCAACUAGGCCAACACUCAUCAUAAUUUAGCAAAUAAGACUUAGAAAAUGCACCGUUUUUUAUCCAUAACUCUUCGACUUAAAUCUAAGAUGAUAUCGUCAUGCCAUUAUAGAAGCAAAGAGAAUCUGACCUAUAUAAUUAUUAAUAGGGUAAGGAUGCUUUAGCAGAUUUCGUCUAAUCUGCAAUUUAGGAAAAAUUGCAUCAUACAACCAUUUGUUAAGGGGAUGCCCAUGGCAUAAGUGAAUGCCCUAGUCGUCCAAUACACAUAAAGAGAUCGCUUUUAAUUGUUUGAUUUCUCAACUUGAUUCUUGAUUUGGCUUUCAGGUUUCCACUCAUUAAUUGAUGUUCAUACUUCUGGAGAAUACCAAAGAAGAUAGGGGUUGAAAGCUUGAAGAUUGAAUAUCCAUAUUUAAAGAAAAGAAUUGGAGCAGCUUCUAAAGAAUUCAGAUCUAAUCACACUUCAACUGUGAUUCCACAAUCCUUUAUAUGAUUAAUUCAACAUGUUAUAAUACGAAUUUAACUAUAUAUUAUUGGGUCAAAACUUAUUAAGAACAAAAUUUAUUGCCUAUGUUUUUACUUAUUGUCUAACAUUAUUCUUAUCUUUACUUUGGCUUUGUGAACAUACAUUUUCAGUUCAGUGGUUAUGAGUUAACUUUGUAUCUAAUAACGCUAAAAGAUAAGGUUCUUUAAUACAUUAACAUUGUUCAUGUACCAUAAAAAGCCUCCUUGUGCAUAAAGAAAUAUACAACUCUAUUAUGGGUCUUUCCUAUAUUUUAUGUACUUUAUAUAAUAAGUACUUAGAGUGGGAGAAGAAGAUUGAGUUGAUAUUCGAUUGUCACAAUUACUCGGGGCAGAAAAAGGUGAAAAUUGCGGUUCUUGAGUUUUUCAACUAUGCAAUAACUUGAUGGGAUCAAGUGGCGACGACGAGGUGGAGGAUUGGGGCACAACCUUUAAAUACUUGGGAGGAGUUGAAGAUGUUAAUGCGAAAAUAGUUUGUACCUAAUCACUAUUACCGGAAGCUUCAUCAAUGGUUACAAAAUCUAUAUCAAGGCACUAGGAGCAUAGAGGAUUACCAUAAGGAGAUGGAGAUGCUUAUGAUUAGGGCGAACGUGGAAGAGGAUAGGGAAGCCACUAUGGCACGAUUUUUGAGGGGGUUGAAUAGGGACAUUGCCAAUGAAGUGGAAUUGCAACAUUAGGUGGAGAUUGAAGACAUGCUACAUGUGGCAUGAAGGUGGAAAAGCAAUUGAAGCGAAAGGGGACAGCAAGGUACUAAGGUGGAUUUUCGAUUUCUAAUCCUUCUUGGAAGCCGAGGUAGGAAAAUAAUAAAGGAGAUGGAGCUAAUAGAAGAGAAAGACCGGAGGCAUCGAGAGGAAAGGAGGAAGGAGCUAGCAAGACUACACCAAAGGUAGAAUCCCAGCCUUCAAGGAAUCUGGAGUCAAGUGUUUUCGUUGCUUGGGAGUUGGACACAUUGCUUCACAAUGUCCAAAUAAAAGAACCAUGAUUUUGCAAGACAGCGAGGAAGUGGAGAUCGAGAGUGAAGGUGAUUAUGAAGACAUGCCGGAGUUGGAGGACAUUGACGAGGAAAACACCACAGAGUAUGCAGUUGGGGAGUUGUUGGUCACAAGGCGAGCACUUAGUGCUCAAAUCAAGGCGGUUGACUUGGAGCAGCAGUGGAAAAAUAUAUUCCACACAUGGUGUCACGUCAACGGGAAGGUAUGCAGUGUAAUAACUGAUGGUGGAAGUUGUACAAACGUAGCUAGCACUAAUGUAGUGGGAAAAUUGGGAUUAACACUAUUAAAAUAUCCUAAACCCUAUAGGUUGCGAUGGUUAAAUUAAUGUGGGGAGGUUGAUGUGACAAAAAAGGUGUUGAUUAAUUUUUCCAUUGGGAAGUAUUAUGAUGAGGUGUUAUGUGAUGUUGUACCUAAGCACGCGGGGCAUAUUUUGUUGGGGCGACCUUGGUAAUAUGAUAGGAAAACAAUGCAUGAUGGGUAUAAAAAUAAAUAUAGUUUUGUGAAAGAGGGAAAGUCUAUCACUCUUGCACCAUUAAGUGUAUGACGACCAAAUCAAAUUGAAAAAUGAGGAAGAAAAGAGAGUGAGAGAGUUAGAGAAAAAGAGAGAAAAUAGUAAGAUUGCCGAUGAGGAAGAAAAAAGAGUGGGGCCACAUGAGAGAAAGAAAGAGAGUUUUCCGAGAGGAGAGAAAAGCCAAAAGUGAAUUUCUUUGCAAAAGGGAGUGAAAUGAAAAAGGCAAUAGUGGAGAGACAAUCAAUGAUUCUUUUGGUAUUUACUCCUCAAUUUUGAGGAGUCUAACACAUCCCUCCCUAGUUUGACUACUUCUUUAUUGCAGGAACUUGUCGAUGUGUUUCCGGAAGAUGUGCCUAGUGGAUUACCACCCAUUAGGGGGAUCGAACAUUAAAUUGAUUUCAUACCUGGAGCUGUCAUUCCAAACCGACCAGUUUAUCGAAGUAAUCCAAAGGAGACAAAGGAGUUUCAAAGGUAAGUGGAGGAGUUGAUGAGCAAGGGUUAUGUAAGGGAGAGCAUGAGUCCAUGUGCCGUACCUGUAUUGUUGGUGCCAAAGAAAGAUGGAACUUGGAGGAUGUGCGUGGAUUGCCGAUCUAUCAAUAACAUUACGGUAAAGUAUGGUCACCCAAUUCCUAGGUUAGAUGACAAGUUAGAUGAAUUAUAUAGUGCUUGCAUCUUUUCUAAAAUUGACCUUAAGAGCGGGUAUCAUGAAAUUCGUAUGCGGGAGGGUGAUGAAUGGAAAACAACAUUUAAAACGAAAUAUGAGUUGUAUGAAUGGCUAGUUAUACCCUUUGGACUCACAAAUGCACCAAGCACGUUUAUGCGAUUAAUGAAUCAUGUUUUGCAUGCUUUCAUUGAAAAAUUUGUUGUAGUUUAAUUUGAUGACAUUCUAAUCUAUAGCAAGGACCUAGUAGAGCAUUUAGAACAUCUUAAAUGUGUGCUUGUGGUUUUAAGAAAUGAACGACUUUAUGCUAAUUUCAAGAAGUACACAUUUUGCAUGGAUAGAAUCAUAUUUCUAGGAUUUGUGGUGAGUGCUAAUGGGGUUGAAGUUGAUGAAGAAAAUGUAAAAGCUAUUAAGGAUUGGCCAACACCUAAAAACAUAACCGAGGUUAGGAGUUUUCAUGGGUUAGCUAGUUUUUAUAGGCGAUUUGUUAGGGAUUUUAGCACACUUGCCACACCACUUACAAAAAUUGUCAAAAAGAGUGUUGGGUUUCAAUGGGGUGUAGAAUAAGAAUAUGCAUUUAACACCAUCAAAGAAUUUUUAUGUAAAGCACCUGUUUUAGCGCUUCCUAAUUUUGACAAAACUUUCGAGAUUGUGUGUGAUGCAUUAGGAAUAGGUAUUAGAGCUGUUUUGACGCAGGAAAAGAGGUCGAUAGCAUACUUUAGCGAGAAACUAAGUGGGGCAGCUCUUAACUAUCCUACUUAUGGCAGGAGCUUUAUUCUCUAGUUCGAGCCUUGGAGACAUGGCAACACUACCUAUGGCCAAAGGAGUUUGUUAUUCACAUUGACCAUGAAUCAUUGAAACAUUUGCGAGGUCAAGGUGAUUUGAACAAACGACAUGCACAUUGGAUGGAAUUCAUAGAGACUUUUCCAUAUGUCAUUCGAUAAAAACAAGGUAAGGAAAACAUAGUAGCCGUUGCAUUGUCGCGAAGGUAUGUGCUUCUCACUUCUUUAACUGCAAAAUUACUUGGUUUUGAGUAUGUUAAGGACAUGUGUAAAAACGAUCUUGAUUUUUCUAACAUCUAUAAUUCAUGUACUGAGAGGGCUAUUGACAAGUUCUUUAAAUAUGAGGGAUAUUUGUUUUGAGAAAAUAAAUUAUGUGUUCCUAAUUGCUCAAUGCGUGAAUUGUUGGUUAGGGAGGCACAUAGUGGGGGUUUAAUAGGUCACUUUGGGUUAGCAAAGAGUUUAGACAUGUUAAAUGAACACUUUUAUUGGCCUAAAAUGAAGAUUGACAUAGAACGAUUUUGUAGUCGUUGCAUAACUUUUAAAAAGACUAAAUCAAAAGUUUUAUCCCAUAGACUUUAUACACCUUUAUCGAUACCUAGCGAACCUUGGGUUGACAUUUCAAUGGAUUUUGUGUUAGGUUUGCCUAGGACUAAAAAGAGGCGUGAUUCAAUUUUUGUUUUUGGUGAAUAGGUUUAGUAAAAUGGUACACUUUAUACCAUGUCACAAAAUCGAAGAUGUCACUAACAUUGCAGGAGUUGUUUUUCAAAGAAUUAGUGUGUUUGCAUGGUGUUCCCAAAAGUAUUGUGUCCGAUAGGGAUGUUAAGUUUCUUAGUCACUUUUGGCGGGUCUUGUGGAAUAAGUUAGGCACGAAAUUAUUGUUUUCUACAACUCGUCACCUAUAAAUCGAUGGUCAAACUGAAGUAGUGAAUAGAACAAUGACACAACUAUUGCGCACUGUGGUUAAUAAAAAUCUAAAGAAUUGGAAAGAAUGUUUGCCUUUCAUUGAGUUUGCAUAUAAUAGAGCCACGUAUUCUACUACGUCGUUUUCACCAUUUGAAAUUGUUUAUGGUUUUAAUCCUUUAACAUCUAUGGAUUUAGGACCUUUGCGUGUGAAUGAACGAGGUAGUUUGGAUCGAAAAAAGAAAGCCUAAUUGGUAAAGACACUCCGUGAAAAGGUAAGGGAGCAAAUAGAGAAGAAGAACAAUCAACGAACAACACAAGCAAACAAAGGCCGAAAAUAUGCCACUUUCGAACCGGGAGAUUGGGUUUGGGUGCAUUUCACGAAAAAGCGAUUCCCAGAGCAAAGAAAAUCAAAGUUAUUGCCACGAGGAGAUGGAUCGUUCCAAGUGAUUGAGAAGAUCAACGACAACGCUUAUAAGAUAGAUCUUCCAGGUGAGUAUAGUGUUUCUGCAACUUGCAAUGUUUCUGACUUAUCUCUUUUCGAUGCAGGUACAGAUUUGAGGUCAAAUCCUUUCGAAGAGAGAGGGGAUGAUGUGAUCCAGAAAGCACAAGUACCAAAGUCAAGUUUAGAGUCGAGCCCGAGGAAAGAUCUGUUGAUAGUCGAGGGGACGAUGACGCGAUCGAGGGCCAAGCACGUGAAAGAGGCGAUGGGAUUGCUCGUCAAAACAACGGUUGAUGAAACAAUGUUCGGGAUACAAAAUGGAGUAAGUUUCAUGUUUGGGACGAAGGCCGAAGACUAUUGGAUCAACGUGUUUAAAGUUGAAGAAAAUGGAGCUGGAGUAUUAAACCAUGCGGCCGUAUAGGUCUAAAGUCCUGCAGUCGCAUACACUCAGUAGAAGUCCCAAAGUCGCGGACCAAUUGCACUAUGCGACCGCAUGCUCUAAAGCUAUGCGGCUGCACCGAGGCGAAUUUUUUCAAAUUUCGCAUUUUCCUUAUUUUAAUAGAAUUUCAUUAUUAGUAGAUUUUUAGCUAUUGUGGACGAAUUUUGCAUUAUUCUUAGAUUUUUUCCUAGUUUACUUAGGUUCUCUAAAAUAGUAUAAAUACUUUAUUCCUUAUUGUAAAACAUUACAACUCUCAUAUUAUUGAAUAUUAUUCGUGAGGCAUUAAUUGCUUUCUCUAGUUUUUCAUUGAACAGCUUGUGAACUUACCAAGAUUAAUCUUGUGGUAUUCAAAUUAAUCGGGUGAGAUUCAUUUAAAUUUCGUAAUCAAAAGGUCCGCAUAUUGUCGGAGAUUCGGAUUGCUUGGUUCCAAUUUAUUGGGUUUAAUAAAAAAUCUUGUCUUUGGCUUUCUUGGGUUUGAUUCUCAAUUUGUUAUGGGUUUGGUAGCGAUCGCGCUACACGGGUUCGCAUCAGAUUUCUUCGAACAUUUUACUGAAUUUGUUCUUGAUUUUCAUUCUAAAAUGAAAGUCAUAUCUACUUUGAUAGAUGCUCAAUGGAAGAAUAAUGUUGGAGCACGUGAACAUUCAGAUCCAUUAGUGGAUGAAAAUUCUUAUGUUAGAAUUUCUUUAAUUUUUUACACAUUUAUUUCAAUAUUUUAGGGUUAAAACAUAUAUUUAGGACUAACAAGUGGCAUCAGAGUCGGAACCUUAAAUUUUAUAUGGUUUCUGGCUUUAAAAUGGAAACCUACUUUGUUCUUUUUGAAAAAUCUUUGUACUAUACCAGUUCUUGAUCUACAAUAUUUUUAUUUUUAUUUUUAUUUUUUGGAAACCAACUUAUUUCCAAGUCUCUGUGACAAAUAUGUAUCUUCGAUUCAACAUUUGGUUGAAUUUUUUGAUGAACUCGUUUUGGUUUCUAGCGAUUCUUGAUGGCUCGUUCGUAUUCCUUGUUGGGGUGUGAUGACUUUACGCAGUUUCUGGCAAUCCUCGGUGACUCAUUAUUUGUUGAGUUGAGGUGACUCAUUCAAUCUACUACUGAUUCUUGGUGUUUCAGUUGGCAUUCUGGGAUAAAUUUUAUUAGAGCAGAGUUUAAAUAUAGAAAUUAAUUUGUUUUGUAUUGAAGACGCAAACUGAACAUUAGACAAUUUAAAAGUUCAAUGACACAGGAAAGGAUGUUAGGACUAUUAGGUAGAGAAGAGGGUGGUGGAUUGUUCUAGCCAUGAAUAUGAUGUAUAUUAAGAGCUUUGUGGGGAACAUUGGCAGAGAUGGUACCAGAGGUUGGUUUGGCUUCAAAGUGUCGGAGCUUAUUUGUUUCAUAUAGAGCUUAUCGAAGGUAAUGGGAUAUCGCGAGCACUAACAACAGAUGAGAUGUCCUUAUGGUCACUACGUAGGCCUUCGAGAAUUUUUAGAGUCAGAUCUUCAUGGUGGAUGGGAUAGUCCUUGACAGCAAGUUUGACAAUCAUGCUUUUCUAAGAUUGUAGAAACUCGAUAAUAGUUAUAGAUCCUAUAGUAAGUUUGGGAAGUCGACUUCUUCAUUGUAUAACGCAUCCUCCUGAGGGUUCGUCAUAUAUUGCAAAAAUAUUGUUCCACACAUUAUGAGAUCUUUGAAAAGAAGCGAUGCAUGGAAUAAUAGUGGAAGAUCGGAUCCGAGAAUUGCACUUAAUAGUAGUUGGUUUUGUCCGAUACCUUAAGCAAAUGAUCGAUUUAGUAAAUCAUUGGCAUUGUUUAUAAUAUGUAGCUCAUAGAGUAAAGCACAUGUAUGCUAGAAAGCAGGUUGAUGCCGACGUGGAGCAAGGGGAGCACACCUAAGAGAAUGGUACUAGUAUAUUUUUGGAUUUUUACAAUAUCUUGUACGAGCUACGUUAGUAAAUACGUCGUAACUCUAUUAUUUUCACAUUGUGAAAAUUAUAGCUGCUUCACUCUCGUAGAUGUAAGCUAUUGUCAAACCACAUAAAUCUCUCUCUCUCUCUCUCUCUCUAUUGAAUUUGUACUAUUCAUCAUUAUCAUUAUUGUCGCACAUAACACAACACUAUUGAUAUAAGCUGGUCGUAAACCCAUGAGAUCAUACCUUAUGAGUAGGGUAUUAAAUUGUGAUUUCUAUAAGGACUAAUUUCCUACGUGCAAGAUACUCCAACGUCCAGAGCUUCGGCCUUCUUCCUCCUGCUCGAGUGAGCCCUUCUUUCGUUUAAAUGAUCAAUGGCGACACUUCUACAAUGUCAUCUAGUCAUCUUGUCCUACUCUCUCGCCUUCUCAUUGAUCCCGAUCAUGACCUAACUGCCUCUACCUCCACCUUACACGCUUAGUUCUCGCCCUAUGAAAACCCAUGACGAAGAUCAUAUUCCAAAACUAAAUCUUAGCCCUUGAUCUUGAUUCCAUUAUUCUACACUCUUUAGCCACAAGCCUUAAACAUCCACUUUGGUUCUAAUCCAUGUGUGAGGAUUUUGAUGGCCUAUUAGGUGAUGCAUUUAGAAGAUAGCCUCUCCGUUCCAAUUCCAAAUUAUUUUCAUUUGUAAAUGGGCUUUUUGUGUUAAACGGAAACCUAAUGUUUACAUUCAUCAUGCCCGACCAAUGGUUUUCAUCAACGGUCACGGUAGACUACAAUGAGAAUUUUAGCCUAGUUGUCAAUCCCACCACCAUCCGUCUCAUCCUUAAUCUUGCAUUGGUACGGCAUUCGUCUUUACGUUGUUCAAUGUUAGUAAUGCAUUUCCUCGGGAUGCACUAAUGAAAACUAUUUACAUGUCUCAUCUUCAAGAAUUUGUCAAUAUAGAAACUUCCAUUAUGAUUGUCCAAUUGCCAGUGGGUUUACCAAUUCCAAAUCUAACACGUAAGUCUAUAUUCAAUUGCAACUCUAACCAGUGUCGAAUCUUAGUUCUGGUUUAUGCUAACGACAUCAUUGUCACGAGAAACUCAAGUUUUAAUAUCUUUGUUACUCAUUUGGCACCAUUUUUUUCUAGAGAUGUCAAAAAUCCUAACUGAACUAGUCCCCAUAGCGACAUAUCCCAAAGAGAACGAGAAUUUCUGGCUUUAAUCGAGUUUGCAUUCAUUUAUAUUUUAACAAUAUUAAUAAAAAAUUGCCCAAUUUCUAUUAUAAAAAUUUUAAAAAAUGAAUAAAUAAAUUUACCUAUAUAAAAAAAAUGAAUAAAUGAAAAAUGAAUAAAUAGAAAAUUGAUUAAAAUAAAAUAGAAUGGCACUGUAAAGUGGAUCCCGCUUUAUUGUCAUCCCCAGAUUUGGAUACUUUAUACUUGUUUCUUGGGGAUUAAGUUAUUUUUCUCUACAAGGCCUUUUUCUCUCACAACAUUAGUUUGUAUUUCAAUAAUCUUCUACACAACAUAAUUUGCAUAAGUACGAGUCAGUGUCUAUUUCUAUGUACAUGACAACUACCUUUAGCUUGAUUGAUGUCACUACUCUUCAUGAUGCUUCUAAAUAUAGGCAAGUUCUUGGCAACUUGCAAUAUUCUUUACUCACUCGCCAGGACAUUGUUAUUCAGUUAACCAUCUGUACCAAUAUAUCACCGAUCCAUUUCUUACCCUUGGAUGGCCGUUAAGCUUAUGUUUCUCGACUUUUUUGGCACUCUGCACUUUGGGCUCUUUCUUCAUCGCCAUUUUCUUGGCUUGUUGCAUGCCUUCUCUAAAUCUGAUUGAGAAGAAAAUGGUAAUGAUCCCACAUCCAUCCGUGCCGAUCUAGUGAUUCUUGAAUGGAACCUAAUUGUUGCUUUUUUUUUUUUUUUUUUUUUUAAAUCAAGUAUCAUAUGGCUUAAAUAUUUAGUACUUGAAUUCAGCGAAUCAAUUUCCACCAAUCGAGUAAUCUAAUUUCAUACUAUUAGCACCACAUACUUGAUGACCUAACACUAUUUCUCAGCUCGAAUGAAAUACAUGAAGGCUAUGUUUGAUUGGUUCAAAUUCCAUGGAAAAUGGAAUUCUAAUUCCACUUUCUUCCAAUUUUGGUUGUUUGAUAGGUUUUGAAUUCCAUGGAAUUUGGUUUCUUGAUUUUCUUGGAACUUGAAAUUUUCUUGAUUUUCCUUGAAAACCAAUUCCCACCAACAUGGUGGGAACUGGCUUUCUAGUUCCCUGUUACGUAUUUUUUUUUAUUUUAUAUAUAUUUUUUAAGGUAAUGGAAACAAAUUCUAAGAAAUAUUGCACAAAAAUAUUUCAUUUUAAUUGGCAAUUUUUAUGUAAAACAAAGUCAAACGAACACCAAAAGAUAGAUGAUUUUCUUGAUCUUUUUAUUUUUAUUUUUUUUGUUGGCAAUGGAAACAAAUUUCAUUCCCAAUACCAGUAAAAUCUAUCCUUUUAAUUGAUAAUUUUCAUGUAAAAUAAAGCCAAAUGAACACCAAAAAUACUUUUAUUUUAAUAUUUUUCACAAGAAAAAUUAUACCAAUCAAAUACAAUAAUUUACAAUUCUCAAGAAAAUAAUUUAUAGGCAAUUCAAUUAUCUAGAAUUCGUUUUCAAUUUAAUUCAAUUCCAUCUUUGCAAUCUUGUGAAAUAAUAUUAGAGUAGUUAUAGAUAGUGUUACACAAUAGUUAGAACUUGUCAUUACUGAACGUGUAUCAUAUAUUUCUGUUACAGAAUGUAUACAUAUAUAUAGCACAUACAAGGAGAUAUUCUAGUCUAUGCACUAAUUUUAGGCUAUGAUUGAGAUUGACCCACAAUAUAUGUGGAGUCAGAUGACGAACUAUAGUUCCUUAUAAUUAUUAAAUAAUGCUGUUUAGCAUUUGUGGAAUUAGAGUACCAGAUCAAAGUUGACAUACUUGAUAGGUUCAAUUAAAUUAAUCAUGUGACAUUGCAUUUAAGUGGAUUUAUCGUUUAAUGUCUUGAAAUUGCAUCUAAUAUGAUGUUUAACACUUAUGGUGCUACAGUGUAUUACACAUAAUUAUUACAUGAGUAAUGCAAUUUAACACUAUUAGUUAAGCACCAUUUAGGUGGCAUGCAAAGACCAUCUUAAAAGGAGGGAAAUGAGCCACAUUUAAUUUCUUCUAUCACUUGCAUGCCAUCUAAGUUAAUGCUAUGUAAAAUAUAUUACAUUUUAUUUUUGACUGACAACUUGCACCCAUAGUCAUCUCUUAACUUAUUGAUAUACUAAAAUCAAUGUGAGCUAGAGUUUAUGAAUUUGAGUUGGAGUCGAUCAAGUUUUUAUGGAACCUGAAUAAUCUUCAAAUGAAUCAUAAUAACUCAGGUUGUUUCUUACCGCUCUAAGCGUUAAUCUAAGCACAAUCUUAUGUCAAUCGAUUAGUCAAUUUUUACAUGUAUCAAGUCAUCCUUUGCAGUUAGAGAUACUUUAGUUAGCUAUGAUGCCCGGUCAUUGCAUAAACUAAAACAAAGCAUUAAAAGCCUAACAUAUUAAGAAGGAAAUGAAUUUUAUAAAAAAAUGAAAAAAAAAAAAUAAAAAUAAAAAUCCAACUAUUCGAUUUUCCCACUAUAAUAUUACUUAGUCCUUGUGGGGGUGGUCCAUCGUUUUUGUGGUGAAAAUAAGGUCCAACAUUUUAACUUUCCGUCGAAGUUAACUUUUAGACCAACUCAAUAGAAAUUUAGGAGUGAUUGUUGGAAUUGCCAGAAUUUCAGAAAAUUAAAGAAUAAUUUCACUAAUUAAAGUUUGAAAUGUUUUGGAGUGAAUAUAGUUAGUUCGAUCUCAGGAGGAGAGAAUUUGUUCCUAUUCUAGACCAAAAGAUCAAGCCACUUGCCUGCUCAACGUCAUUUUAGUCAGAGUACUGACCUAAAGUUUGUGCCAUCGUGUCCAAGAUGUUGUACUCCUGAUUGGUUGUUGAGAUCGGCCAUACAGGUCAUCAUGGCUCCUAGGUUGCAGCUGUGGCUUAGGCAAUGAUUACUUGAUUUUCGUGAUCAUUGCUAGCUUAUGAUUAAUUGAAAAUAAGGUGCUAACGUCGCAGAUGUCACAUGUCUUUCUAGGAGAGGUGGAUUGAUAGGUGAGGACCGAUUGUCAAUAAUUGUGAAUCACAAUGUUUCUUCAAAUUACGAUAGCCAUUUCUCGAAAUGUGCUCAUACUUCGAGAAUCUAACCUAUCAGUAGUAUAGAAAUCGUAUUUUAACCUAUUUUUUACUUUACGUGCAAAAUAUUUUAUUGUGUGGAUGUAUGAUCAAAAAUGUGUAUGAAAAAUAAAGAGAUUUAACACAGAGAGUCGAAUAGGGGCUAAGAUCUCAAUCUCGCCUGCACGCAAUAUAUGUAUAAGCUAAAAUAUAGUCAUAAAAGACAUUAUUAUACCUAUAUGUACUUGUUCUAAGUUAUUUGUAUGAAUGUUAGAAUUGAAAUAAGAAAAAUGUCCGUCUCAUUACAAUAAUUUGUUCUAUUAAAUACUCUUACCGUUUCAUAAAGAUAAACUUAUUUUUCAUUCUCGCACAUGUUAAGAAAAUAUAAUUUUCGCUUAUUUUUUCUGGUACAACCAAUGUUUGAAAAAUCGAACUUGUCCAAUCAGUUCAAUUGGGAAUCAGGAUCGAAAUCGGUCCAAUUAGGCUUAUAAAACCCCCAAUUAAAAACCCGUCCCAAAGUCAAGUAAAUCGUUUAAUUUUUGGAAAAAUCGUGGCCCUUUGUCUAUUUAACCGAUUCAAUCUAUGUAAAUAUACAUUUUUUGAAAUUUUUAAACGUAUGUGUGCAUACAAGUUUCGUAAAAUGUAUAUUUUUAAUUCUAAAAAAUCACGGUUAGAUCUCGGUUCAACUUUUUGACCUUGGUUAGAUCUCGGUUCAACUUAAAAAUCCUUUUCUUGUCCGAGUCGAUGAUCGGGUCAUUUUUUAAAAACAUUGGAUACGACCCCAUGUUAAUAAUCAUUUAAAUAGGAAUAGUUCAUAUUCAUUAAUAACAAAUUAUAUGAAAUCAUGGUAUAUUAAAAAAAUUAAAAAUCAACUAUACUCUCAACAAAGAAAAUAACCUAUAAUUUGGAACAUAUGAAAAAGGAAAGCUAAGAUACUUUUCAAGAAAUAGAGAGAUCAAACUUGCCCUUAUUUAAAGCAAUUUCUCAAUAAAUUUUACUUUUUAAUGACACAUUCUCUACAAAAUUAUUAUUACAAAACAAUAUUUUUUACAAAUAUGGAAUCAAACAGAUCCUAACAUCAACAGUUCUAUAUGUACAGGCUCAGUAAUAUAAAUACUUUUGCAAACAACACGGGGCGACAUUUGAUUGGAAGUUGCCAAAAAAAAAAAGAUCAUAUAGUGUAGCACCUAUAAAAGAUGUGCAUUAUUCUCUCGAUUGUGUUACAUGUACAUAAUUGAUUUACAUAAUGAUUUCCAUAGACAUAACGUAAUGAGAUAUGAUUAUGUCAGAAUUUAAUUAUUUUUUAAUUACAUAUUCUCUUAAUAAAAUAAUUUUAUAAGUAAAUAUAAAAUAUUUUCUUACCUUUUAAUCACAUUUUUCAAAAAAAAAAAAAUCACUAUCAUAAAAUAUCUUUUUUUUUUUUCAAAAAAUGGGGCUCAAAUAUAGUUCACCAUCAUCUUUUAUGUUAGUUGCAUAUUAACAUAACUUACAUUCAUAUUUUGUAACAUGAUUAAAUUGUAAAAGCUUUUCCAAAGGGCAAGCUAAAAUUCAGAGAAAAAAAAUGCGCACACAAAAAGGGAAAAAAAAAUACCAAUAAAGCGUAUCUUCGGUACUCCAAAAAAAAAAAAAUGCGCACACGAAAAAAAAAAAAAAAUUACUAAUAAAGCGUAUCUUCGGUACUCCAAGAUCUCAAUUUUGAUCGAGACUUGAACAAUUCAGAAAAUUUCAAUACAUUCUUUAAUUUUGUAGAACACUAUUCAGUAUUUGGUGUUGUUAAAAAUUAUAUUUUUAAUAGAUUUUGAUAAAAAAUUAAUGAAAUAUAUAAUUGAAUUUAUCAUUAAUUGUUGAAUUUAAUUUAAAUUUUUUUUUAUCAACUUUUAAAGGUGAAUACUGAAAAGAAAUUAUAAAUAACAGUGCACAAAAUUUUGUCCUUUAAAUGGCCCCCUUAACAUAUAUUUUCACCAUUUGCAUGAUCAGUCAGUCAGAAGUUCAAUUAUUCUUCACUUGUUCGAGUCUCUGAGUUCUGACCACUUCACAAUGAGAAAACGAUACAAAAGACAGAACCCAUUACCUCAAUUAUUAUUUCACUUGUUAUUUGCAAAUCGGCAACGGAAGAAAGGCCAGAGACUGAACUAAUAUCAAUACCUGCCACCCCACGUGCGUCGACGCCGGAGAUACAGACGCCGUCCUGUCAAAGGUCGCCGAGGAAGGAAUCCAGCACAGCCAAGUCAUGGACUCCAACUUCGUUCAUUUCGCCGAGGUUUUUGAGCCCCAUUGGGACACCCAUGAAGAGGUUUUUGACUAAUAUGAAGGGGUAUUUGGAGGAGGUGGGGCAUUUGACGAAGCUGAAACUUCAAGAUGCUUGGCUUCCCAUUACAGAAUCACGAAAUGGGAAUGCCAAUUAUGCAGCUUUUCAUAAUCUGAAUGCUGGUGUGGUUCCAGGGAGAACGUUGGUGGGAAAUGCAGCUUUUAUUUUUUAUUUUUUUUAAAUAUCAAAUUGGUAUGAACGUUGGUGGAAAUAUCAGCUAGACGUGAAGAAGAGAAUAACUUACACCAUUCGGACACUGGGAGAAACACGUGUCAAAAAAAAAAAAAAAAAACUAAAUUUUAUGUGACAUACCCAUACUUCUUAUAUUCAUAUGUCGAGUAAAGUAUACAUCUUUCCAUCUUAUAGUCCCUUUCAAACACAUUGCAUGAAGGAAAUUGAAUAAAUUUACUAUGGUACGUAAGUUCGGAGAAUUUUUAGCUUUCAAUAAUCCCUACUUUACUUGGUCCUCAUCCAAAUACAAAAGGUGUCAAACUUGGGUUUUCCAAGUUUCCCUCAUCAUCUUAUUGCCAACUUUUCAUCAACAUUGGAAUAUUAUUUUCAUGUGUUAGGAGAACACAAAUUUAAAUAAACGCACUCCGUAACUGAAUUAGACUUGCAUUGUACAUAAUGACAGAAUUAUGAUAUAUUUAACAUCGCGCACCCAGACACACACAUGAACUGCCGGUAAGUAUUAUAAAGCAUGCAAUAGUACGAUCAUUUAGCUUAGACAAAAGAAAAUUGUAUUAUAAUUAAGGAGGGUAUCAUGACGAAAUUAAGUUCAAUUUGAUUCAAAUUCUUUAAAACUCAGUUUUAAACAUAUUCUCUCGAUAAAAUAAUUUUGUAUGUAAACUCAUAAAUUUUAAUCUACUUUUUAAUUACACACUCUUCAAAAAUAUCAUUUUUGAAAAAUUUAUUCUCAAAAAAUCUAAACUUGAAGAAUGUUUAAUUUAAAAUAAAGAAGUAAUUGUACUUGAUCCCCAUCCUAUUCUUUGUGAAGUAAGUUGGUACUCAUUCUUUGAGAACGAGACGUUGUCCUCGUCCUUCCACUCAAAUUGCCCAUAAUAAUAAUAAUAAUAAUAAUAAUAAUAAUAAUAAUAAUAAUAAUAAUAAACUUGUCAUCUUUGUUUCUGCAACUUCCAUAGAUUUGAUUUGUCAAUAUAUAGAAUCAUUUGUCAUCUUAAUGCUUUCUAUAAUUGCUUCUACUUUUUUUUUUUUUUUUGGGUUACUACGAUUUGACAAUAUAAUGACUAAAAUUUAAUUUAUUGAUCAUUUCUAUUCCAACUUAACAUACUUUAAAAGUAUAAUUACUAUAUGCGUUGUUCAGAAUAUAGUAGAAAUUCUUGUGUACUUCACGAGUUUCCUAGUAUAGUUAGACCUUUUUGUAUAUACUCAUGUUUAAAAAAAGGUUGAACCCCAACCUUAAGGGCCCCCACCAACCCUGCCCUGGGCCAUCGUGGAGGAGAUAAAUCGCAGGAUGUGCCUCCCAGGAGCCAGGGUGGAGAGCACAUGGAUAGGCCAAGGCUGUUAACCCAUAUGAUAACUCCCGCUUGCAACAAAGCCAAUUCCACCUUGCGGGGAAUCGAACUCUGCACACUGCCGCUCUAAGUCCUAUUCGCCCUCCCCUUUGCCACUGGGAGAUAUGCCCUGGGGGCGUAUAUACUCAUAUUUAAUUAUAUGUUUGGCAAACAAUAUUAGAUAAUAUAAAAUAAUUUGAAAUGUAAGAUAAAAAAAAACUAAAAUUUUAAUCUUUAACAAUUUCCUUCAUUACCUAGAUAACUUAUUGACAGCUGAAAAUUGAAAUUCCAAACUCUAGUUGCAUGUACCAUACACCAUGUCAUAUAAACAUAAAUAGCACAGUGAAUAAAAUUUUAUCUUUCUUCUUCAAUAAUGUUGUCCAUUUCACCGAACAAGUCCGAAGACAUUUUCCAGGAUCAUAAUAUCUUUGUCUUUGGAGCAUAUUUUAUGGAUCUCUAUUUCCUGUCUGAACUCUUUUCAUCUUUUAAAAUCAAGAAUUAUUUUUUUUUUUUUUUUUGAGGGUUUUUAAUUUGUUUCUGCAACUUCCAUGAAUUUCAUAGGUCCUUGUACUGUUGUACAUAAUAGUAUAAAUUAAUACCAUUUAUUAUCUUCUGGGAGUAAGUUAUGCUCGAAUAUAUACUGUGCAUAUUUAAUUUGACUGACUACCAUAAUGAACAAUUUCGUUUUUCCCAUUUCUUAUCCUACAGAACGCUAAAAAGGUUCAAUAUAUGCAUGUUUCGGUAUAUUAAUAAAUGAUCAGAUAAUUACUAUUUGACUAAGCAUAGAUGUUCAUUUAUAGGUUUCCUGUUAUCACAAUUCGUUACCUAUUAUCACCUUAUAGUCUUCACUAAAACUUGAUCAUUUUUCUUUUGCAUAUAGUUGUAAAUCUUGAAAUUCGUGAAUUUGUUCAUUUAUAGGUUUCCUGUCCAUCGUCGUUACACUAAGAAUUACUACGACAAAAGACGUAACUAAGAUACAUAAAUUUGUUAAUAUAUAUACACGCCCAAAAAGUUUAAAAUGUUAAAGAGUUGCCAUAUUUAUUUAUUAUUAGUGCCUUAAUGUUUAAGAAAAAUGAAUUGGACAGAGUUGAAGUAUCAAUUUUCUUGUACAUUGACAUCGUAGUUUGGCCAUACGUUCGCAAGCCUCUAGACGAUUUUGGUUAUUCAAGUACCGGCGAACUCUCUUGGUCUAACUUCAAGCCAUACUGAGAUUGAGGCUUGACAAAGUUGAGGAAUCGAUCAAUAAAAUCAUGGUUGGGCUUCGUUGUCAACUCAAGAUCGGUGUAAUUAGGUUGACGAUUCGACCAGUAGACUCAUGGCUAGACGCAGUUGUCAACUCAACAUUCAUAUUCGGUGCAGUGUGGCCGGUGCCGUUAGCCUUUGGUGGUUCAUUUGUCACUUGUAAAGAUUUCAAAAUUUCUCUUUCAAGGUGAAACAUCUUUCUGAGUGUACAACCAAAUCCAGAAACGAGCACAACCCACUUUUUACAAGUUUAUCUUCACAGCAAUAAUACACACAAUCUCCCUUUUAAAUUACAGACAGUGGAAAUCCCUACAUGUUGUGUUGAAUAUAUUGUCAAUUUUCUCAUGUAGUGGAGACCUUAUCAAACAUAUCAUGACAAGCUACAUUUCACCACAAGUUCUCAUAAAAAUAUCCUGGUGACAUAAAUACAGUGUUUUAGAUAACUUCACACAAUUUUAAAUUUAUGGCUAAAUUUUAUUGCAAUUCCAUUUGAAUUUUAGAUUUCUAUCUUAAGAGAUUAAUUUUAUCAAAAGGAGUAAAAGAUCUUAUCUAGUUAUUAUUGAUAUUUUUAAGCUUUGAAACGUUACUCUUAUAUACCAUGACUUUCAAACUAUGAUAUUUGUUUCACAAAACUGAUCUUACAAUGAGAUAAUUACUCAUUUAGCCAUUGUUUGAACUCCAUUCUUUUAAAAAUUCAUAUUUCAAAAUUCAUUUUCAACUACAUAUUCUUCAAUAUAAUAAUAAUACGCGCAAAUCCAAUAAUUUUCCUUAAUUUGUUUGACAAAACUGAUCUUACAAUGAGAUAAAUACUCAUUUGGCCAUUGUUUGAGCUCCAUCUUCUAAAAAUUUAUUUUCAACCACAUAUUCUUCAAUAAAAUAAUAAUACACACAAAUCCAAAACUUUUCCUUAAUUUUUAACAAGACAUUCCCAUCAAUUUACUAUUUAAAAUAGAUUAUUUUCCCUAAAAUGGGCUCAAACAAGGGCUUAAGCUUUAAAAAAAUUGAAUUGUUUGUUUAAACCUCUUUUUUCUUUGAACUCCAGUAUAUCGAGUUUAGAACUUCAUAUUAAGCCCUUGUUUGAGCCUCAUUCUUUAAAAAAAUGUAUUUUUCAACAGUGUUUUGAUAUCAUUUUAACCACACGUUCUUCAAUAAAAUAAUAUUAUACUAAAUCAAAAAAAUUUUGUUUUUUUUUUUUAACCUCACCUUUCCUAUCAAUACACUAUUCAAAAAUUCAUUUUUCCCUCAAAAUGGAGCUCAAACAAGGGCUAAAUUGUCAAUUUUAUUAAAAAGAGUUACUAAAAUUCUCAUAUACUAUUACACCAAAUUUUGUAACUAUAUCCUUUUUUUUAUAUAUAAAUUAAAGUUAUUUAAAUAGUGAUAUCGUUGUGCUGUCCUUGUAAUGACCAUAGUAAUGACGUUAAGACCAUCGUUAUUAAUACAAAAUAAGAAUCCUUUAUCUUAAAACAUUAGCCCUAUUUAUAAUAAAAAGUUUAACUAUAGAAUUUUCAUUUUCCCUUAUUAUUUUUAUGGUUUCACAUAGAUAAUAUGUGUAAAUUAAAUACUCUUUGCUCUCAUAUCUGAGACAUUUUCAUGAUAUUUUAACUUGCACAUUGUCGUCAUUUUUAUACACAUUUGUUUACACAUCUCUAUGUGUCUAAAAUCUCUUCAUUGAUUAAAAAAAAUAUCGUUAAAAUUAAUGCACCAAAAUCUGUCAAGUCACAUGAGUGUAAAUCAAGAUGUCAACUUUGAUAUACUUACGAUAUGAUUGUAAGAAUAAACUCAAGUUGACAAAAAUAUUAAACGUGUUGAGUUCGUAUGCAGUCCGACUCAAUUGAUGAUUGCUACUACUUGGACAAAACAACACGGCAAAUAUACCAUGAUUACUCAUAGUAUUCAUGUAUACACCAUUCCUUACAUUGAUUGGGAGACAUUUCUAAAUUAGGGCAAGCAUAAUUUAAAUAUUAGGAUGCGUUUCCAAAUUAGGACAAGCAUAAUUUAAAUAUUGGACAUUCAUAUAAUAUUAAAAAUUUUAAGAAUGUGAAAAAGGUGGGGAUUGAAAAAGUAAAAUUACAUGGACAAGUACCCAAUUUCACUCUCUUUUUAUCAACUCUCUCCUUUUUUUUUCAAUUUUAAUUUUUAAAUAUCAAAUUGGUAUGAACAUUGGUGGAAAUAUUAGUUAGACGUGUAGAAGAGAAUAACUUAUCAAAUCGGUAGGAACGUUGGUGGAAAUAUCAGCUAGACGUGCAGGAGAGAAUAACUUACCCCAUUCGGAGACAGGGAGAAACACGUGUCAAGAAAAAAAUAAAAAAAAACUAAAUUUUAUGUGAGCUAGCCAUACUUCUCAUGAUCAUUUGUCGAGAAAGGUAUACAUCUUUCCAUCUUAUAGUCCCUUUCAAACUCAUUGUAUGAAGGAAAUUGAGUAAAUUUCCUAUGGUACGUAAGUUCGGAGAAUUUUUAGCUUUCAAUAAUCCCUACUUUACUUGGUCCUCAUCCAAAUACAAAAGGUGACAAACUUGGGUUUUUCCAAGUUCCCCUCAUCAUUAUCUUACGGCCAACUUUUCAUCACCAUAUAUAUAUAUAUAUAUAUAUAUAUAUAUAUAUAUAUAUAUAUAUAAAGUAGUAUGAUCAUUUAGCUUAGACAAAAGAAAUUUGUAUUAUAAUUAAGGAGGGUAUCAUAACGAAAUUAAGUUCGAUUUGGUACAAAUUCUUUAAAAUUCAUUUUUAACCAUAUUCUCUCUAUAAAAUAAUUUUGUAUGUAAAUUCAUAAUUUUUUUCUACCUUUUAAUCACACAUUCUUCAAAAAUAUCAUUUUCGAAAAAUUUAUUCUCAAAAAAUCUAAAUUUGAAGAAUGUUUAAUUUAAAAUAAAGAAGUAAUUGUACUUCAUCCCCAACCUAUUCUUUGUUAAGCAUAAUAUAUAUAUAUAUUAUUAAACUAGCCUAUCAAGAAUAAUUUGGCUCCUUCCAAACUGGAGGGAUAAAACAACAAUAAUGUGUUUCUCGUAAAAGGAGUGCUACUUGGGCAGGAAGUUGUCCAAGAAGAAAAAUUCUUCUCGUAUAUGAAGUUACUGGAAAUGGACCACUGGGAAAACGACAAGUGUCAUCCAGCUGGCUCAGAUUGCGAAAACAAUCGUUUAUAUUCAAAAUGGCAUAAUAAUAAUUGAAAAUGGGUCCAUGAUUAUGAGCAUGAAGUUUUACAAACUAAAUGAAGGGUCUUCAAUAAAGGUUUUACAAACUUAAAAACUAUUAGGAAUAUAUUUCAAUAGCUUGUGAAAUUACAAUAAGUUUCCCUAAGAAAAAGGUAAUCUGUAUAAUAUGUAAUAAAUUUUAAAUUAUACAGAAAUUGUCUUUUUAACUUUUUCUGUAUCCACCUUUCUGAUUCUAUAUAAACGGGCAGACCUCCAUUUCUCAGCGACUCAAUUAUCAACACAGAAUACGAAGGCAUUGAGAGAGAGAGAGAGAGAGAGAGAGGAUGGAGAAGAUUAUUGCAUUCUUUGUGCCUGUUUUUACCUUUCCGUUUACUGUAUUUUUAUAUGUAAUUUCACUGAAAAUGAAAAGAAAACAUUCAGAGAGGAAAACUAAGCUCCCUCCAGGCUCCAUGGGGUCGCCUUAUAUUGGAGAAACUCUUCAGCUCUACUCCCAAGAUCCAAAUAUCUUUUUUUCUGACAAAGUAAAAAGGUUUCUUGCUUUCAUUCUCAAUUACUUACCGUCCAAUUCUGUCUAAUACUAAAUACCUGACAUUCCCUGAUAGAAUUUUUCUAACAAUAAUUCUAAACGGGGCAGGCACCCUGCUGGCUGCCAAUAGGGGGACACUUGUCCCCCCGGACAAACAGGGCCCUGUUUGCCAAGCAAAUCUCUUUUUCUAAACUGUAUGUUCUUAUGCAGGUAUGGAGAAAUCUUCAAGACUCAUGUACUUGGUUGCCCUUGUAUAAUGUUGGCCAGCCCAGAAGCAGCCCGAAUCGUGCUAGUCACUCAGGCACAUUUGUUCAAGCCGACGUAUCCAAAGAGCAAGGAAAACUUCAUCGGCCAGUCUGCGCUGUUUUUUCACCAGGGAGAGUACCAUAUGCGGCUUAGGAAGCUCGUCCUUGGCGCGUUAUACCCGGACGCAAUCCAAAACCUAGUGGCAGAUAUUGAAGCCAUAGCAGUGUCUGCAAUGGAUUCGUGGGCCGGUGGCCGUGUCAUCAACAUUUUCCAUGAGAUGAAAAAUGUUCGUCUCUUUGAAUUCAUGCUAACACCCAUUUAAAAAAAUUGUGCACCUAUCACUUCUUUAAUGAAAAAUGUCGUUGGCAUGCACACGGGAAGCGUUGAAAACCUAGAUUUAAAUGAACAAAUCUGUCUCUUUUAAGAUUUUACAUGAGAAAGCUAAUUUGUCAUUUACCAUUGAUUACCUGCAGUUCUCAUUUGAAGUAGGUAUACUCUCCAUUUUUGGUCAUUUGGAGUCCCAUUAUAAAGAAGAAUUAAAGAAGAACUAUAGCAUACUCGAUAGAGGGUACAAUUCUUUUCCAACAAACUUGCCUGGAACUCCAUACCAAAAGGCAAGGAAGGUAAAAUAGCGAUAAUUAUACUUUGUUACAUGGCACUAUAAACGAGAUUUAACUUCUUCAUUUUUUAUUUUUAUUUUUGUGUCUACCGGCUUAAUACACACGGGUUGAAAAUGGACUCUUAUUUUGACUAAUCAUAUUUACCAUUUUAAUGUAUGAAGGCAAGGAAGAGGUUGGGUGAAAUAUUAAGUAACAUUAUGAGAGAAAGAAAGGAAAAGAGGUUUACGGAGAAGGACCUGUUGAGUUGUCUGCUAGUUUCGAAAGAUGAGAAUGGUGUAACUCUAAAUGAGGAUCAGAUUGCUGACAACAUCAUCGGAGUACUUUUCGCAGCACAAGACACGACUGCGAGUGCCAUGACAUGGAUUCUCAAGUACCUUCAUGACUACCCAAAAAUUCUCGAGGCCGUCAAGGUAAAAUCUAGAAGGCAUUUUGCAGUUGUUCUGGAAGACUGGAUUAAUACAAGGUUCUCUAAGAAAAACGUAGCUCUAUUUUCUAUUUGUGGGGUCAAAUCAAUACAUUCUAAGAUUCUCGUGUCUCUAGAUCAUUCUCAUUUCUUGACCUUAUUCUUAAAUUUGCUUUGUAAACGUCGUAGAUAAUAUGUUUCUGAUUUGCAUGCAGGCUGAACAGAAGGCAAUAUACAAAUCAAAUCGAAAUGAAAAUAGUCAUUUAACAUGGAAUCAAACAAGAAAUAUGCCAUUUACUUACAAGGUAUUUGACUACCAUAAAUAAUAUAUUUGGUAUAUUUCGUUUAAAUUAGGUCGGUAAUGUUAACACCAAAUUCAUUUUUUUUUACAAAAUCAUUUACAAGUAGUAUCAUUCACUUUCAUUCUCUACGUCUAACUUGCUUCCAUCAUCCUCACGUAAUAUUUUGACCUGUACUCUUUUUAGGUGAUUUUAGAGAGUUUAAGAAUGGCAAGCAUUAUAUCAUUCACAUUUCGAGAGGCAGUGACAGAUGUGGAAUAUAAAGGUAAGCUUUCUUGUAAGGGAAAUGUACCCUUUUCGAGGGUGUCCUAAGCCUGGUAAUAUUACCAAAUAAUCCACUAAAUUUUGCUAUUUAUACGCUGGCGUUCACACGCCCCUCACAUGAGGUAGGGGCCCAUGCCCAAUAAAAGAAGCGUGAGCCCCCCUUGUGUGAGUGACGUGUACAUCGGCGUGCCCAUGGACAGGUUGCACAAUUGUAAUCCACUUUUUUGAAAUAAAUGUUUUUGGGUCACUGAAACUUUGGUAUGAUUUUGGUGCCAGGGCACCUAAUUCCGAAGGGAUGGAAGGUCAUGCCUUUAUUCAGGAAUAUUCACCACAAUCCUGAUUUCUUUGUUGAUCCUCAGAAGUUUUUUCCUUCCAGAUUUGAGGUACGAGUUAAUAUUAUUCUUUUAAUGGUUGACAUUAAGUGCAUAUUUAGCCCCUAUCUUACAAUCAUUAUCCUAAUUUUCUUUUUCUACGUGCUGAUUUUAACCACACAUUCACACAAUAAAAUAUUCUGCACGUAAAUUCAAAAUUUUUUCAUACUUUUUAACCACAUAUCUUCUAAAAAUUCACUAUUCAAAAGUUUAGUUUUGCCAAAUAAUGGCCGUCAAGUAGGGCCUUAGUGCUUGUUUGAUACUUUUCAACUUAUCAAACUUUUUGCUACAAAUUGGAUCCACAACUUUUUAUCAAUUUUUUUCAUCAAAAGUUUUGUUAAACAAUCCCAUGGUACUUAGAACUAAAUCUAACAAUAGUUUCUUAGGGCAUAUGAAAAUAGAUUAAAUAUUAAUGCCAACCAAUUAAACUUCAUUUUCACCAAAUAUUGACCUAAAUAAAAAAUUGAGUUCGACUAAAAAUUUAAUGACCACCAUGACUUUUAAUCCGAUGAAAGUAUGGUACGACAAAUCUUUUUUUCCUCAAAAUAUAAAGAUUAAAGAGACUUAUUAAGGAGAAAAAAAUUGUAGGAUGAAGCAACGAAUAUUAAUUUAUGGUUUCUUGUAGGAUGUGUUGAAACCCAAUACGUUUAUGCCAUUUAGCAGUGGAGUACAUGCCUGCCCCGGUAACGAACUUGCGAAGCUAGAGAUGCUCGUUAUGAUCCACCAUCUAAGUUCUCAGUUCAGGUACUUUAUCAAACUACAACAAGUAUUUUUGGAAAUGCGUUUUUUAGAUAAAUUAAAUCAUAAAUAACCAAUUCUAGUUUAUACUACUCGGUUCCUCGUAUGUUCAGUUGAAUUCACCAAACAUGUCAUAUAUGUAUUUUUUACUCCAUAUAUCACAAGUUUUGAUUAAAAUAAUAUUAUCUUUUUCUUUCCCCCUCAAUUCUGUCUUAUACUAUUAAGUUUAUCUUACUAACUACGAGACGACGUUGGUGAGUGGUCUGUGAUAUUAGGUAUUAUUUGACAAUUGUGUUUGCAGGUAUGAAGUGGUGGGAUGCCAAAGUGGGAUUGAACAUGCGCCAUUCCCCAUCCCUUUCCAUGGACUCCCUGCCAGAUUUUGGAAACAAGAACCAACCAAUUAAGUAGGACAUACCAAGACAAUUGUUUCUUAACCAAUUUUCACUUUUCCUCUCUGUUCCCAUAAUCCAAUUUCCUCUCCAAACUAAUAUGGGGAUGGCUUUUUUUCCUCAAAAUGAAUUAAUAUAGGUUCAUAAUCAAUGAACUAAUAAUCAAUGAAGAAUUGUAUUCAUAUAUCUCAUCGGUUAAAUAUAGAAAAAUACGUACUAUUUUUAUUGUAGGGUUGGUAUUGAAAUUGACUUGAUUCAAUUGAAUUAUCUUGUUUCUUGGCUUUGUUGACUUGAAAAAUCAUUUUAUUUUCUUGACUGUUAUUGAAAAUCAAUUAUUACUUUUUCUCGAGAAAUUUGCUUGAAAGAGAUCAUAUGUAGCGAGAAAAUGGAAAAUAGUCACUUUUUAUUUUCAUUAAAAUCAUGGGUAGAAGUUAAGGCUUCGAUUGUAAGUGAGCAGUCUUUGAGAGGCACAGUCUGAAAUUAAUUAAAUAAAAAAAGAAGAGAGAAAGAGAAAAAGGAAAAGGAUUACGUCAACAAUUUUUAUUAAUUCCAUUCUUUCAUUUCAAUUCCAACAUCUCUGCCCUUAUGUUUUUGUUUAUGAUAUUUGUGAUGCCACUGGUAGUUUACUUAAUGAAAUGUUGAACUAUUGCAAUGUUUAAAAUUGUUUAUCAUUUUUUUUUUUAUAAACUAGUCGAGUACAAUUCAAUCAUUUGGUCAAAAUGAUCGAUUUAAGUUCCUAGUUGGUUCUAUAUUGGAGGAAUCGAGUUUGGGAACUUCUAAUUUAUGUAGAAUUAAAUUAUCACGCAAUUUGCAUCCGCUUUUCACAAAUUUUCCCUCGAGUAAUGCAAUUCAACAUUACUGAUAGCAAGCACUAAUUUAAGAGGCAACUUCAUAACAUUAAAUAAUUGAUUCAAAUAAAUGUAAUGUCAUAUGAUUCAUAUAAUUAAAUCUAUUAAAUGUGACCAUCUAAAUUGGUAUUUCAGCAUAGUUGGUGCUUGAUAACAUUAUUCGAUGUGAAAUGUGAUGUUGGGUGAUAUUUGUUGAUACCACGUUUUUGAAUGUUUCAUAAAGUUCUAGUUGUGAUGAGAGGCCAUAGCCAGAUGGUAAGUAUAUGAUUGGUCAAGUGAAGGUGGGUUUGGUCCAUAAGAGCAAUCUCUAAAAGAAUACUACUGCUUUUGUCGACUACAUUUGACGCUACAUUUCACAAUACGUAGUGAAUUAUUUCAUUUCAUAACAUAUUUUAGUGGAAUUGUAUUUUUUUAUGAAUGAGAGCUCUCUUAAUGAAUAAUGAUAUAUGACGGGUAUAUUUAAAUCAGUCUAAAUAACAAUGUAUGAUAUUUAAAAAUAAGCUCAAUAUAUGACAAUAUUAAAAAUGAGAAUGAAAAAUAUAGUCGUUAUGAGUCUCACACAAGAGAUAGAAAGUCAAAUAUAAUGGCUUGAUGUGAUGGAUAACGGUCAUAUUUUUCAUUUUAAUAAGCAAAUAAUGAGAAACAAACGGGGCUUAUUAUUGAACUUAUCAUGCAUGGCUACAGAAAUUAAUUUUAAAACAUCAACUAGAAUAUAUAGCAUUACCUUUCUUAAAAUAUUAUUUAACUAUGUAAGUCAUCGUUACUAUAAUUUUUUUUUUUUUUUUCAAUUAGUGCUAUGUUGACAUAUUUUAAUGUAUCAUAUUAUCGAAAAAUUAGCUUAAAUGGUCUUAAGCCUAUGCUCAUCUUGCAUUUCUUGGUCCCAAAACUUUAAACCUUGACAAUCAAGUCACAAACCUAUGCUUUUUGGCAUAGUUAAUCCUUUUAGAAGGUUUCCGUUUAAAAUGGCAGUUAAUUUUGUGUGUAGAUUGUAAUUUUCUUAUUUUAUUUUUAUCUGAAGGGGCAUAUUUUUCCAAUCAAUAACAACUUAAGUAAAAAAAUGAAAUUUAAAAAGAAAAAAAUUUUAAAGAAAAAAAUAUAAUAAUAUUCUUCUUCCACCCACCCUAUAUUUCGUACGUACAUAGACAUAGGAACAGGAAGUAUGACGAGCAGAGUAAUGAUUCGCCUGUACAAGCCACAUGAAAAAUGUCAUUUCAAUAAUAAUAAAAAUGUUGACAUGCCACGAGUAGCUCAAAUUCUCCCACUUAAUUAAUUAUAUGUAGGUCAAAGAUCUAUAUAAUUUGAUCACAAAUUAACAAUUUAAUUAGUCACUUAUUAUUUUUUUAUCACAAAUUAAAAAUUUUAUGUAAUUAAUUAUUUUACGAUCAUAAUUCAAAAAAUUUAUAAGUCACAAAUUAAAAAAUGUAUAAGUCACGAUUUAUUUAUUGAUCACAAAUCACAAAUAUUAGAAGUCACAACUAUUAUACAGUCACAAAUUAUCAAAUUAUCGGUCACCAAUUAACAAAUUUUUAAGUUACAUUAUUUUUUGGUCACAAUUUAUAUUUUUUAUUGGUCACAUUGUUUAUUGGUCACAAUUUAGCCAAUUUAAUGGUCACAAUCAACAAAAUUUGUGACCACCACUAACACUUGUGAUCACCAUCUCACCACUUCUUUGAGCACUACCACCACUACCAUCGUCCACAAAACCACCACCUCCACCUCAAACAAAUCAACCGAUCGUAGAAAAUACAACCGCAUCGUCGACACCAUAUCCACCACCAAGAAAAAAAUUAUUACAUUAAUCGCCACCGUCACGACCAUAGACCGGACCCAAAUUUCCUAAAUCUCCUGUCAUCCACCACCACCUGCACUACCUAGAUUGUGACUACUAUCACCAAUGCUAAGUUGUGACUACCAAAAACUAUCGCUACUUUACCACCACUUCACCACCACUGUGACAGUACUACAAAAUAAAUCCAAAAUCAGAGCCGUAAUGGAGGUGAAAACCACUGCCACAACCACCACCAAAGCCAACAUCACAAUCGCCACAUCCAUAGUAUCAUAGUAGCAUCACCGCCACCGCCACCCAAAGCAUCACAAUUUUCAUUUACCUCUACACUUACAUAUUGUAUAUAGGAGUACCAAAUAGUACACCAUAAAAUACAUGUCUUUAAAAUAGUUAUGAUUAAUUGUCAUAAUUGUAAUAUACAAAUUCUUAUAUUUAUAUUUGAAUAUGAGAUUUACAAAUACUAUCAAGAUAGAUACAAUUAUAUAUUAUAUACGGGAGUACCAAAUAGUACAAAAACUAAGAUAAGAUUAAAAAUGAUUGAAUCUUUACAAAGAUAUGAAUACGGUGUUAAAAAUUUUAUUUUACACUAUAUUAUUUGUCAUCAUUAAUUAUGAAAGUUGGAAAUCAUAAUAAUGAAAACAUAGAUAAUAAUGAUGAGAUCUGUGAACAAAUUGAAUCACAAGGAAAUUUCUCAAGAGAAAUUUUAAUAUUUGACAAAAAAUUGGCUAAAAUAUGUAAGACAAAACUUACAAUAGAACCUAAAGAAAUCUUUUCUCAAUCAGGUUUCUUAGAAAAAUUUAUGAACAGAAAUAUACAUGUAUAUUAUAGUGUAUCUCAGCAGGAUUUUGGAUUCUUUCAUCAAUCAAACUCAUUGAAAUGGGUUGAUCAAUUUAUUUGAAUAAAACUUUAUGUUUUAACCAUGCCUUCAUACACUUUUAUUUCUAUAUACAAACUCAUGUACGGAUCUUUAAAGAAUCAAUGGGACUAAGAAGUACCUCCAGACAGGAGGCCAUUAGGGAAGAAGCCACACCCACAGUAUCAUAGUAGCAUCACCGCCACCACCACACCCAAAGCAUCACAGUUUUCAUUUACCUCUACACCAUAACCACACCGUUUUCCCUCUCUAUGGUAGCGUAAAAUGCAGAGGAAAUUUUAUAUUGCUGUGAAUUAAGAUGCCUACUUUUACAGUUAUUGCCUUGGAGAAUUUGUUGGAUCCUCGAGUCCGAGAUUCCUGCAAAAGCCCCCCAAGCCUAACCAGGGAGUGUCAAACAAUGAUGGCGAAGCAACUGAACGGAUAGAGGACUCGAGCACGAAUCUGAGAGUUGGUGGCUCCAGGAAUAUAUAUAUCGCUAACUCUAUACCUGACGCCGGGACCCACUAUGAUUUAGAGAAUUCUUCCUCGAAUUCGUCCUCGCCUUCGCCGUAUGUCAUCAAUUAAAAGAGAUCUAAACCCCGAAAAGGACGGAAAUGAUUUGAAUUUAGAGGACAGUUGGUGGGCGAUUUUGUAAAUGAAGGUGAGAUAUAGAGAGAGAAUGAAAAGGGAUGAAGACAACUAUGGAAGUGAAAUAUAGAGAAAGAAAAUGAAAGUGAUGAAUGAAGAUAAAUUUAGGGUUUGGUAGGAUGAAUAUGUAUAUUUAAUUUUGUAAUAUAAUUAUUAAUAUUUAAACUAUAGUAAUUAAUUAAUAAAAUAUUUGAUUUUUCAAAUAGUAAACUUUACCUAUGAUUCAUGAAAUGAGAUCUCUAAAUCUAUUAGAUUGUGUAAUUUCCACUAAAAUAUGGAAAAAUUAGGCCUUAUACAGCCCCAAUGCAAAGAAGUUGAAAAAUACUUCCUCCAAGUUGAAAAUUUGAAAUUUACGUCAUUCCAUAUAAUUUUCUUUGCGGGUCAAAGGGUAAAAUUAUUUGACAAGACCUUCUCUAUUUUUGGCGAUUAGGAUUCAAUUUUCAGCUUCACUUCGUAGUUCUGCGAUUUUGGGUGAACUAUGUUCAAUAAUUGUUUUCCCCCCUUAUAAAAUUGAAGUGUCAAUUUUAAGCUUCACUUCAUAACUCUGCAAUUUUGGGUGAAUUAUGUUCUAUAUAUAUAUAUAUAUAUAUUUGCCAUUAUAUAAUCAAAUAUAUGGUGUUGCAUUAAAGUGUCAAAUUCAAGUUUAAUAUUUAUGAUUAAUUAGCUAGCAAAUCAUCUGAAUAUAUGUUAAGUAGCAUGUCGGUUUCAUUGAAGUGUCGAAUAUAAAUGAAUUUACGUAGCAUGUUAAUUUCACACAUUUUUAGUGUUUGUCAUCUUUUUUGAGUCUAUGUCACUUUUUUAUAUAACUUUUUUGGAUCUAUGUAACUUUAAUUUAAUUUGUGUCCCUUUUUUUUAUUUAAAUUUCUGUCACUUUUUUGAAUUUUUUCAUUUUUUUUAGUAAUUAUCAUUUUCUUUCAAAUUUUGUCAUUUUUUUAGUGUUUGUCACUUUUUUCUAUCGUCUUGGAAAUUUAUAGCACUUUAUUUUUAGUAACAAACAUCACUUUUUAAUAAAAGUGACAUUGAUGUAAUUUUUUAAUCAAAAAGUUAUACUAAAAUUUUAAAAGUGACAUUGUGUCACUUUUUAAUUUUACACAGUAUUUUUUUAGUUCCAAAAAACGUUUCAUAUGAUUUUUCAAAACACACCUAAUUUUAAGGGUAUUUUUGUAAGUUGCCCAUAAAAUAUUGUCCAUCUCAAACCUUAAAUCCAUUUGCAAUUUCUUAUCUUCUUUCUAUAAGGAAUUUUUAAAUGAAUGUGUGAGCUUAAAUUAUUGUGUAUUAAAUUAAAAGCUAUCAAAUUCGAUUAAACCCAAUUAAAAUGAUCUAAUAAGUUCUGGUAUUUUGGGUUUUAAUGCAUCCAAUUAAAGUGUGAGUAUUUUAUGUAUAGAGACUGGACCCAAGUUCCUAAUUCUAUGAUGGGCUAAAUUAAGUCAAAUGGCGUCAAUAUAUAUAAAUACACUUAUGAUCUCCAGAUCACAUGUGCAUUGCUCAUUCUGUUGUGCCUCCCAUCACCAGAUAGAACUAAGGGCUACGUGUUGAUUUAGAAUACUAAACCGCAAGAUUCAACUAUUGCAUUAACCAUGUCUCAUCAAAUCAUGGAAUAUGACUGCGAAAUUUUGUCAUUGGGUUGCGCAUUGUGGAUAUUAUAGAAAGACUGAUCAAGUUUUUUGUGACAAUAAAUCAGCAGUGCUGUAUUCCAAUAACAGGAGCUCGAUGAAGUCGAAACACGGAGAGAUCAAGUUCCUGACUAUUAAAAAAAGAGUUUAGAAUGGACAAGUGUCAAUAGAGCAUAUCAGGACAAACUCCACGGUUGUAGAUUCACUUACUAAAUGAUUGAUACCCAAGGUCUCAUGCACAUUGCUUAUAUGGGUGUAAUUUGAAGCUUGUAUUUUUUGCUUUUUAUAUUGGACACAUGUUUGGAUAUAGUUUGUGGUUAAAGUUAUUUUCAGUUUUAAAAUUUUGGUUUACUAUCUCUGAACUUGCUUGAAAGGAUCUCACUAAGGUGUUAAGGUGGACCAAUUUAAAAUAGACGUGUUACAGAUCACUUUACAUGUAAUUUUCAUGCUACACAUCUAUGCUUGAUCUAUUUCAUUCAAUUAUAUCGAUAUGUGUAACCAUUGAUGAGUUUAGUUAUGAUGAAAGUUGCAAAAGCCGCUUUGAUCCUAUAUUAAUAUGAUUGAUGGAUAGGAUUGUUUAAAGAUGCAUUCAGUAAUGAUAGCAAAAUUCUGAGUACUGAUAAGAUUAUGUUUAAUGCACAAUUAUAAGAUGACACAUAGCCCAAAUAGGAGAUUGUAAGGAAUUUUUUUAAACAAUCUUGUGAGCUUAUAUUUGUAAAUUAUUGUGUAUUAAAUUAAAGGUUGUCAAAUUUGGUCAAACCUAGUUAAAUUAAUCUAAUAAAUUUUCAGUGUUUUAGGCUUUAAUGCAUCCAAUUAAAGUAUAGGUAUUUUAUGUGUAGAGAUCGAGCCCAGGUUUCUAAUUUUAUGAUGGGCUAAAUUAGGUCUAAGGGCGUCAAUAUAUAUAAAUACGGUUAUGUUACCUAAAUCACACGUGCAUUGGUCAUUCUGUUCUGCCUCCCAUCACCAGAGAGAAUUAAGGGCUGCAUUUUGAUUUGAAAAACUAAACCGUGAGAUUCAACUAUUGCAUUAACUAUGUCUGAUUCAGAAAUGCUUCUACUUUGAUUCUUAAAUUUCUCAAUGAUCCAACAUGAAAGAUCCGAUGAUUUUUUGGCAACAAUUUUUCCUACACUUUCUACUCUCUUCGUGAAUUUCGUUCUCAUCUAUCUUAAAUUUGGUUGUCUAUCUUCAACAACGUAGAUGUUUCCUAUAUUAUUACGAAUAAUUCUCCUCAAACAGGACCAUAAGCAAACUGCCAAUAGGGAGGACAUGUGUCCCUCUUGAAAAAAUAGGGCCAUGUGGCCCUAUUUAUAUAGCACGCCCCGUUAUGAAUAAUUCUAUAGGUUUAACAAUGUUACCUUUAAUAGUGUGCUAUUUAUUGGUCGAUAAUUUGUGGUUUUUAUUUGUCAAAUACAAGUAUUUCCAUUACUUUUUUGAUUUGGAAUAAAAUUGCAUUUUUUAUGUCAUAAAAGUAUUACAUAUCUUGCACUAUCUUUUUCGGUAGAAAUUUAUACAUAAAGGCCCUAAAUUUCGUUUGAUAAUUUUGUUAACAUUUUAAAGAUUUGGUAUAAUUUUUUUUUUUUUAAUCAGUGAAUGGAGCAUAUGACUUCUGAUUUAUUCUUAUAUUAACAUAAAACAAUGAUGGUAGUGUCCUUAAUUUGAAGAAACUUGCAAUUUUAUUUUACUCUUUGCACGAAUACCACUGUAAGACGAAUUUCGUGUCUUAAAAUACAAAAAACGUUACAAUUUUUUAUUUUUGAGAAAUACAAGUGAUGUUGACCUUCUUGUGAUUGCAUAAUUGUAGAAAUCCACAUAUUAAUGAUCUAAAUAUUUGAAAACGAGGAGUCACGUGCUUGAAUCCUGGUUUUCGAGAAUUUGUUGAAAAUUUAAUUUGUUGAUACUUGAUUUAAUCGGUACUUAAGUUACGGGGAUGAACUUGGACUUGAAUUUGAUUCGGUUUGAAGAAGACUUUGAUCUUCUUGAACUUGACGUGGACCUGUUCGAUUAGAAGAAAAUUUUGAUCUUCCUGGGAUUCACGAGAUUUAGGUUUGAGAGGAUUUCUUCUCUUUCUCCGACUUUGAAAUUUCUUCAACACUUCAUGAUUGUCUUCUCUGCUUUCACUUCUUGUUCCUUUCUUAUAGACAAUUGAUUCUAUUUAUAGGAGAAAAUUUGUGCUGAUUUUGGUAAUCACUCAAUUAUAUUCAAUUAAAAAUGAAUAAUUGAGCAAUUAUAAUUUUUAAUUAUUUGUUUAUUUAUUUAAAAGUGAUAUAGGCCUUUGAGUUUAUGGAUCUUAGUAGACUUUAAUAUAAUUGGGCUAAUGAUUUAAAUCGACUCAAUUCAUUUCCUUUAUUUUUUUUAAUUUUUAUGUCUAUAAAUGACCCCUCAAGAUUUAUUUAUUUGUUAUUAAAUUAAUAAAUCUUGAUUUUUGAUUUUGUUUUUCAAUUUUGGAUUUGGUUUUUACUCAAACUUCCCAUUAAUAAAUUAUUACAAACGAAAAAUUUGAGAAUAAUAUAUGAAUUUGAUAAAAAAAAAAAAAAUUAUCCUUCAAAUUUGAGACUAAGAAUUUUUUAUGUUAUUUGAUUAUUUAUUUUAUACAAUCUAAAAAAAUUGAAUUUGAACAGGCUUUUUGUGCUUUAUGGUAAAUUGGGUUUAAGUGAAGUCCGAUAUCUGCUUAUUUAUAUGAAUGAAUUAUGAGAUUUGAAAACAAGUCUGUUAAGCCCCUGUUUGAUUAACAUUAAAUUAAAUUACAUUACAUUCCAUUUUUCUCUCUCCUUUUUUCAACUAUACAAUCUUCUAUAAAAUAAUAUUACACGUAAAUCGAAAACUUUACCUUCUUUUUCAACCACUCAUUUUUCUAAAAAAUACUAUUCCUCCCAUUACCAUUUUCAGGUAAUGGGGGCCAAACAGGGUGUAAAUCUUGCAAACGAAGGUAAAUAAUUCUCUCUCUUUGUGUGUGUGUUUUUUAUUCAUAUUUUCUUUUCUUAGUUUCCGCCACCCAAGGAGACAAAGAAUUGGUUUCUUGGAAUUGGUGCAAUGGAAUUAGUAAAUUGCACCAAUUCCAAUUGUUUCCUCGGUUUUUGCCAAUGGCAUAAACCUUUAUGUAUUUAUUUGUUUGUUUCUUUGUUUCUUUCUCUCUUUUUUUCUCGUUAUUUUAUUUUAUUUUGGAUUUUCGUCGACGGCGGAAAACAAAACAAAGCAAAUUCUAUCUUAAACCAAUUUGGAAACAAAUUCCAAUGGAAUUGUUGGAACUUUCACCAAUUCCAAUUUGGAAUUAAUCGAUAGAAAUCUAACAAUUUUUUUUUAACUAAUAUUUCUUGGUUUUUAUGUUGGACCUCCUUUUUUUUGCCAAUCGUAGAUCUUUGGUUUUCACGGAAACCAAAGUGACCAAUUGGUUUCUACCGUGCAUUUAAUUAUUUUUUUUGACACAUGACACUUUUUUUUUUAUUAAUUUCUUCUUCCUUUCUCUUUCUUCUUGUUGACUAUUCUAGUGAGGUUGUUCUAACAAAAUUGAAACUAACAUUCUUUAUUUUUUUAUGUAGGUAUUCAAAUUUUUGGAGCAAAUCAAGGAUUUUGAGGUUUGAGAUUUUCUUUGUAUAGAGGUUAAAUUUUGUGCCACAAUUAUUUUGUAAGUUUAGAAAAUAUAUGCUUAUAGAAAGACUCAAAAUUGCAAGCAUUUUCGCGCACAUUGAGAACCAAAGACUGGUACUUUUCAGCAUCCAGUGUACUUUUUUUUAGACUAAUGACAUGUUCCUUCAACUGUCCAAGACACUUUAUGUUUGGGACCAAGGACUGACAUUUUUGACUGUCCAUGGCACUUUGUAUUAAAGAUCAUGGACUUGUUCCUUCGACCGUCCAAGACGCUUUAUGUUUGGGACCAAGUACUGGCUCCUUUGACUAUCCAAGACACUUUGAGUUAAGGACCCAUUACACGUUCCUUCGACCGUUCAAAGCACUUUGUAUUUGGGACCAAGGAUUGACUUCUUUAACUAUCCAAGGCACUUUAUGUUAAGGACCAAGGACUGGCUCCUUCGAUUGUCCAAGACACUUUGUGUACUGGUCAUUUACAUAUUUGGGAAACUCAUAAUUUUAGACGACAAUCGAAUUUAAAAGAUCUAUUCUCCCAUUUUUUACUAAUUUGUUUAGGCAUGGCUGGACCAAGUUCUAGCGAUAAAGUAUACUCUAACAUACAUGAAAUUGUUGAGCUUAAAAAUUAAGACAAAAGUUAGCUACGGUUCAAAGAUACUGAUGCGAAGUACCACGCCCAGACUGGCCUAUAAGGUGAACUUAAAUUUAGCGUCCAUAUGUCAACGAUAGGUCAUUCUCCUGACCCUCUGGGGCUAUUGACGGAGUUGUAUAUGUCUACUAUUAGUGAAUGUCAUGAUAGUUUGGAUACUGGCAAGUCCAAUCGCUUUAGCAAUCAUCUUCCCUUUCUGUGUCCUUCUCCUUAUCAUUCCUAGAGCAUGGAUAGAGCAUGGAGUGCAACCCAAAGACCGUAAUUUGUGAGAGGAUUGACAAUAAAAAAAUACGAUGGGGAAGGGCACUGACCAGUCGAUGAGAGAUUUUGUUUCUUCCAAAAUUUCGAGAGGGGUCUUUAUGGAUCCAAAAACUUCUGCUUAAGAGGAAUCUUUGCGAGUUAGCUUUCGCAGUCGAUUCUGCUACAAAAGAUUACCAUCGCUUAAACUCUAUCUAUAGUGUUCUGUGAGGUUGGUGUCUAGAGACCAACACCUUUUGUGACUGCCAAUGGUAAAAUUGGCAUUUCUAUUUGGGACAUCUGCAAGAUAAGUGGGCUUUCGAUCUUGACCGUACCUCUUUAAUGUUUUCAUAUUGAUAGCCAAUGUGAAUGAAUCUAAUUGGGUUACUUAUAAAAAUUGGAUUAAUUUUUGGUUUCAAGAGAAUGGUUGUGUCCAGAAUCCUCGACAACACAAAAAUUAUAAGAAUGCUAUAAAUUUAAAUCCAUUCAAGAGGUGUCAUCAAAGAGUAUCAAAGGAAAUACGAAGACCCACAGUGGUAGACAAGCCGAGAGAUAUUUCUUGUUCGGAUCUGCAUCAUUGGAGUAAUUUGUCAGUAUCUCUGUCUAUAGAAAAAGAAAAGAAAUUAGAGAUAACAUCUUAUCUCUCAUGUGGCUUUGUCGUUUUGUUCUUUCAUCUGGGGUCAAAUAUAUAAGAGUUGGGACUUUUAAAGCAUUUUCUAGGAUAAUAGGCGGGUAUACUUACAGUAUGGUUCUAUCCAUAUUAGCAAGGAUUUGUAGAGGACUUACACGAACAUCGAACCAUCAGACAAACCCAGACUUUCGCUCGAUUUCACAUUCAUUUCCUGGACAUUUUCUUUAAGCUUGGGCUACAAUUUAUUUUGUCAGAGGUGUUUAUGAUCAUGUGGAAAAGAGUUAUUCUAGUCCUACAAUCUGAAGAUAUGUUGACACUCUGAAUACUUUCUAGUCUUAGGAAAAAAAUGUUAUUGAUUGUUGGGACCUUAUUUGUGGAAUGAUGGACGCUAAUGACUUUUGCUAGAAUCCAUUACACUUAUCGUCUCAUCUUGAUGUACAUGUGGAUGACCAACUGAGGUCAGCAAAUACUUCAAAAUUCAUGAUGAGUAUUCAUUUUGAAUUUGUUUCUUAUCGCCGAGGAAAUUCACCUUUCAUUCUUAAGGCGUAUAAUCCUCACAGGUUUGCGAGACAACUUGACUUUAGACAGAAACUUCCCUGUUCACCAAGAAAGUUGGACACUGUCCCUAAUGUAGGCAAAUGUAUAGCGUUUGGUUGUCAUUGACUUGAACGAAAACUGGGUGUGUAUUUCACAUUCCAUAGUAUGUGAGGGAUACUCAUCAAAAUGUUGAUGUUGAGUACGAGGCUUGGUGGAAUAGCCAAGUAUUGCCAAUGUUGACUGGGGUCCAAGUACAGGUUUUAUUUUCUAGCGAGAGCUGUGACUUCGUUCUUGGCCUAACUCCGAACAAGGUCAUAGCUAGAGGGUUAAACCCUCCAAAUGUUGUUCCUGAAGAGACUUCUUGAAAGAGGAAACCAAACCAUCAAAAUGAAAGAGGUAUUAAGAGAAUUAAAAUUAUAGUUUCCUCAGCAAAGAUUGUUGUCACCUCUAAGCGUACUGAUAAGGUGCCAGAAGCGAUUUUGAUUCCAGAUCACAGUGGUCCUAAGGUACCGAGAAAAACUUUAACCCUAGAAGAUGAAAGUUCUAGAUUUAACUUUAAAAAAUUUUCAUUGAUAGGCUCGAUUUGUAGUACAUCUUUGUCGACGAUUUUGUAAGCUUCAUUAUUGAAUGUAUGAGUAACAAGAAACAGACCAUCCUAUAUAGGCUGAAACUUGCUUCCUAUUUUUCUUGUAAUUAUGAUAAGCUUGCGUACGGAAAGUACCAGAUCUCCAACUUGAAAUGAUCUUAGUCACACUUUUUUGUUGAAAAAUUUUACCAUUCGAGUUUGAUAGCACUCUAAGAGCAUUUCCACUUCUAAGCAAUUUUCAUCCAAAACUUCUAACUCUUCCAAUUGAAGGCGGGUAUUUUCUAUUGUUGUCAAACCUUCUUGGAUGGAAAUUAGAAGUGACAGGCUUUAACACUUCAAAUUAUGUAUAACUUCCACUCCAUACACUACAGCGUAAGGGGUGGCUUGUGUUGGAGUCCAACAAGUAGUUUGAUAAGCCCAUAAGACUUCACCAAUUCUCACAUGCCAAUCUCUUUUUGAUUUGGAGACAACCGUUUUUAGUAGACUACAUAAUAUUUUGUUAAACGCCUCUGCCAAUCCAUUAGCUGCUGCAUUGUAUGUGGAUAAGUUGUAUUGUUUAAACCCAAACUUUGCACAUAAAUUGUUUAUGUGGCUAUUGCAGAAUGGCUUGCCAUUAUUAGUUAUAAUGUUUCAUGGGAUCCCAUAUCGAUAAAUGAUCUGGAUACAGAUAUCUGCAACAUUUUCUUUCUUUACUUCCUUCAAUGUUAAGACUUCAGCCCACUCCAAGAAGUAGUCAGUCCCUGUGAGAACGUAUACAUGCUUGAUUGAAGACUUUGGAGUUAUAGGUCUAAUUACAUCAAGACCCAUGCAUCAAACAAUCAUGAAGCUUCUAUUGGAUGUAAAGGUUCCAGAAGUUGAUGGAUGAAAUUCUCAUGGACUUGGCAAGUUUUACAUUUUUUUGACAUAAUCCAUGGAGUCUUGUACCAUAGUUCGCCAGUAAUACCCUAUCCUCUUUAUUAGGAAAUGGAGUUUAGGACCAGAGUGAUAAGCACCACAAAUUCCCGAGUAGGCUUCUUACGACAUGUGUUGCUUCAUCAUUACUUAAGCAUCGAAUGAAAACUCCAUCAAAUGAUCAUCGAUAUAGAGUUCCCUUAUAAAAGACGAAGCGGGAAGCACGCCUCUUGAUUUUCAUUUUUUACUGUGGAUUAUCUGGUAGCUUUUGAUGUUGAAGAAAAUCGAUUAUUGAGUGUCUCCAAUCUUCUCUUUCCUCAUCUUCAACUACUUCAACACUUUUGUUCUCUUCCAAAUUGCUAGGUAGCAAUGAUGGAAGCACCCAUCUUUGAGCAAUUGUUAUGAAGUGGGAGAAAUCUUCAUCUGACCCAGUUAAAAUAGUGGCCAAAUUAGCUAAGGCAUCAACUUCCCUAUUUUUACUUUUCGGGAUGAAUUUGAUUUUUACCAAAUCAAAUUGUCUCAUAAGCAUUGACGCAUUUUCAUGGGUUCAAGUCUAAAUUACGGACUUCAUACUCAGCUAAAAGUUUGUUGAUUAUCAAUUUAAAAUCUCCAAAGACUUUCAGCUGGUAGAUAUUCAUAUCUAACGUUGUCUCGAAGUUAAGGAUAAGGACUUGAUAUUCCACCAUGUUGUUUGAACAUUUCUCUAUUAAGGCAAAAGAGUAGGGCAUGACGAGAUCAUGAAGAGUGACAAAGACUACUCCUGCUUCAACACCAUAACUUUUGUCUACCCCAUCGAAGUAUAGCCUCCAUAAUGGUAUGACUUUGGGGAAUAAGACUUCUUCAUCGGAAAGGUCUUCCUGAAGUUCCCAUUCGGCUGGAAUUGGAUGGAUAGUAAGGAAAUCUGCCAAAACUUGUUCUUUAAUGGCCUUUUGUGGAAUGAAUUUGAUAUCGAACUCAAAUAACAGCAUUGUCUAUUUUUCAAUUCGUCCAGAAAGAAUUAGCCUGGACAUUAUGUACUUCAAUAGAUCAAUCUUCGAAACAAGAUUAAUUUCGUGUGAUAACAUAUAAUACCUCAACUUUUAGCUACGAAGAUUAACGUAAGAGAUAUUUUUUCAAUAGGUGAAUACUUUAUUUCGGCGCCUACCAGUGUCUAGCUUAAGUAAUAGAGUGCUUGCUCUUUUCCUUCAUUUUUGAUUUGGAUAAGAAGUACUCCUAGAGAAUAUUCUUGUGAUACAACAUAAAGAUUCAGUGGCUUCCCAAAACUAUGAGUACCAGUGAACGAGAUAAAUAUUAUUUAAUGCUUUGAAAAGCAUUUCGACAAGCAUCGUCCCACUCAAAUGGUACAUCUUUCUUUACCAAUUUGUUGAAUGGAUGACAAUGUCCAGCAAGGUUAGAGACGAAUCUUCGAAUGUAUACAAUUUUCCAUGAAGACUUUUCAACUCACGUAUAUUUCUUAGCGUUGAAAUGUUGAUUAUAGUGUCAAUUUUUGAUUGAUCUAUUUCAAUGCCCUGGUAUCGAAUAACGAAGCUGAGAAAUUUUUUAGAGGUGACACCAAAUGCACAUUUCAAUGAAUUCAUCUUCAGUUGAUAUCUUCGAAUUUUUUUGAAAACAUCCCAUAAAUCUUGUAAAUGAUCGUCACGUCGUUUUGUUUUAACAACAAGAUCAUCUACAUAGCAUUCCAUGUUCUUAUGCAACAUUUUAUCGAAGAAAUUUUGCAUUGCUCACUGGUAGGUUGCCCCCGCAUUUUUUAAUUCAAAAGGCAUAACUUUGUAAUAAUAUAAGCCUUAAGGAAUACGAAAUGAUAUAAGUUCCUCAUCUUUCGGAUUCAUCCGUAUCUGGUUGUAUCCAAAAAAUUCGUCCAUAAAGGACAAACUUUAUACUUGAUAGUUGCAUCCACCAUCAACUCCGUUAUUCGAAGUGAAAAACAAUCUUUCGGAUAUGCUUGAUUCAAAUCCCAAAAGUCAGUGCAAAUUUGUAAUUGCCCAUUUUUCUUCUUGACAGGAAUAAUGUUUGCGAUCCACAUUAGGUAUUUCAUUUCACGUAUAAAUCCAGCUUCAAUAAGUUUGUUGACUUCUACUUCAAUUUGUGGAUUAGUUCUGGUUGAAAUCUUCUUUGUAGUUGCUAGAUCGGUCAAACUCCAUGUCUUACUGUAAGGUAAUGCACUGCAACCUUAGGAUCUAACCCCGACAAAUUCUUGUAAGACCAUGCAAACACAUCUUUGUAUUCCUAAAGCAAACGAAUGUACUUAGAUUCCUCUUUUUGACUGAGGAGGGUACUUACAAAUACUGGUUUUGGGUCUUUUUUGGUCCCCAAGUUCAAUUGUUUCAAGUUAUCCACAGUAGCUUGUCUUUGGUCUUCAAAUGUGGGUGGGGCUGGGUUAAGUUCAUCAUUUGUGGUAGGACUUUCAGGCUCGGAUUCUGAGUUAGAGCUUCUUCAAAAACUAUGUGACUGACAGAGUCUUCUUUCUUAUCUUCAUUGCCCUUUAAGGAUAGGCGAACUUUUUGAUGUCUUCUUGACUGUUGAGAUUUCGAACUUGGAUCAGAAGUUUUAAUUCCAAGUCGAGAAAAAGCAUAUUAUCUUUAGGAUGACAUCUAGGGAGCUUGUACAUUCCUAUCAAUUUGGGUGGAAGAAGAAGGACCUUCACUUUACCUUUAGAAGAUAGAGGCUUUACCUUUUAUGUCGACUACUGGGGAUGGUUCUCCUUUUAAUCUUUUAAACACCGAAACUCUAGCUUUCUCAUUUUCAACACUGAAGGUCUCGACUAUUCUGAUUUUUCUUCUGCAACUUUGUAAUUUUGAAUCAUGAUGGGGUUUGAGGAAACCUUCACGAUCUUAAUCUUUCUAGGUAGAUUGAGAUCAUAUCCCAAACCAUACCUAGGUCGAGACACCAGGUCUCUAUUAGAAUUAGAAGGUACACACCCUCCUGAAAUGCCAGCAUCAAGGUCACCUAAUUUUCGAGGCUCUUAUUUUCUAAACUUGACAUUUUCAAACAACUUUUUGACUUGAGAAUUGUAACAUCCUUUGAAUUUCUGUUUUGAUUCAAGAGCUGCUUCUUGUUUGGACGAGCUAGAAGCACCAAGCUUUGAUAUGUCUGGAAUGGAUGUCGAAGCUUCUGAUAUAGGUUUGUGUUCUCCCAAAACCACCGUAAGUUGAUGGGGUAGAAGCAAUUUCGAAAUACUAACUAUUGUAAGAGUUAUCUCUUUUCUCAAUAUCUCAAUAUCGGUGGAUUCUAUUUGAGGUUUUUUACCUCUAGAGAAUCCUUCAGAUGUAAAUUUUGACUUAUCUUUGGUAAGUUGAUGAGAUUGAGCAGCACUAGAUGUAUCAUGAUCAUCUAUAUCUUCAUUGAUUUUGAAUCCAAACAUGGUCAACCCUACAGAGUUACACUCUUCAUCUUCAUUGUAAAAUUUGGUAUCAGCAAAGAGAUUCUUCUUCUAGAAAGGUUUGGACUCAGCUACCACACGUUUGAUUUCUCUGUCCCUACUAUAUUUGAAGCAUGGUGCCAAGUCAAAGGUAUUACUCUAAUUUUAUGCAGUCAAACACGUCCAAGGAAUAACUUGUAUGAUGUUUUAGCAUCAAUGACAUAGAAGAGAGUUGAGGAGAUUAACUCUCCUAUUUGCAGCUUUAGGUGAAUCAUGCCAAUGGCUCCUGACUUUUUUGAUUGAAUCCUUGAAUCAUGAUUUUCCUUCUAGAUAGAUAACCAACAUUAAUUCCAAAAUUUUUCAUUAUUUUGACCGACAUAAUAUUUACAGUAGAUCCACAAUCGAUUAUUAUGCUACUUAUCCUACAUUGUCGAAUAUAAUCACUAAUAUACAGUAGUCUAUUAUGUAAACGAAAACCCAAUUGUAAAUCAUUAUCAUCGAAUGUUAUGGCAACCAUACAAUCUUGUUGGAUUAUGCAUCCAAUAUGUUCUGAGACUUUGCCUUCAUAUUCUUCCCAAUCGAUUAAUGCCAUGAACAAAGCCAUUCGAUCAUCGAAAUGAAGACUAAUAGACUCUGCUAAACUCGUGUUGACUGGGCUAUUGUUGAGUCGUGAGAUAGUAUUAUUCUAUUUUGAAUCCAAACAUGGUCAACCCUGCAGAGUUACACUCUUCAUCUCAUUUUUUUUUAUCCACAUUGAUAACAUUGGAGGUAAAACAUUACUUGUCAAAGAAACCCUUGGGAAAAUAAUCUCCCAAGGUUGGUAAUCUAGGAGGAAUAUGUGAAGUAGCUUCUAACAUCAUUGAUUUAGUAAAUACUCUUGGCUUAGCUUUAGACCUUCUUCUUUGGUUGUUCCUUGGUCUUGAUUUUUUGUUAUAAACACUAGAAUUUGGGAGUUGUGGAGCCUUUUAACAACGUCUUUUCACAAGAGUCCAUGGCCUUGAUCUUCUUCUAGUGCUUCUUAUUUAUUAGGUUGAAUUUUUGUACCCAAUUUUCCCAUCUUUGGUCCUGUAAGAGGCGUAGGAGGUGACAUUUUAUUCGUUUUGUUUAACAUUCUUUAUUUCUCUUUCUUGCUUAUAAAGGUAGACCAGCCAUCACCGAUCUUGUCUUCAGACUCCAAGCAGAAUCCCAAACAUCUAAGUCACUUGUCAUAAUUUCGUAAAAGGUUGGACGAUUGGAUGCACUUGGUCCAUCUAUCCCCGGAUAGAUGUAAUUAAUAUUGAUUUCUCCGUCUACCUCAAAUUCUACUGGGAUGGCUCCUUUUGAAAGUUGAGGUCCAAACUCUUCAAUCGAGGAUUUACAGGCAUCGUGUACAUUAGGUGUCUUCCCUAUAAUGAAAAUUGGAUCAAAUGAUCCAGACAAAACCAUCGAGCAGACGGUUGUUGGAUUCUCUUCGAUAUCAAGUUUGAUCUUAUUUUCUUUAUCCAGGCGAACAAUAAAAUCUUUCAAGACGGAAGCAUUUUUCCAUUGGGUAGUUAAUGAUUCCAUAAAAUUUAUAGUAUUUAGGAUGAUUGAACUUACAAGCUUUCUAGGGUCUUUUUGGUACUGAAAGUUUGAUUAUCUUCUAUUCAAGAAGUUGAUCUAGGAAUUUAGAAUCUGAGAAUGGGUACUUCUUUCCUUCAUGUUCUUUCAAAGUCACGUGACCUCCACUUUGGACUUGUGCUUUGCUAGGUCUAAACUCUGGCUUCAGUUUUAGGUUCGAGCUUAACCCCUUGAAGGCUAUCUUUGCUGGAACAGUAGAAAUCACCACAGCUUCUUUGGAUUUACUUUCCUUGAUGUCCUUCUUUAUUUCCUUCUUAGAAUCUUUCUUGUCAAGUGGAUCACUUGAUAAGUAACUCCCAUGCCUUGCAAUUUAGAGCUUCAAGUCAUGAAUACGUGUCACCAAUUCUUCGAAUGAGUGAGGCAUAUUUGCUUGGAGAUUAUAGAGUAAUCCCCAAUGCAUGUUUUGGUCGCACAUAUACAUGGAAGAUGCUUCACUUAUUCAUUCUUUAUAAUUAAGAAUGAGGUUCAUCCAGCGUUCGAUGUACUCUACAAUAGUUUCUUCCUUGCUCUGCUUCAUUCGACCAAGUUCUGGAAGGCUGGCAGUUCGUUGGGUGUUGUAGAAGCGUGUUAGAAAUUCUCGAUCGAGUUGAUCCCAACUAUCAAUUGACCCAGUUGGUAAAUCUGUGGGCCAUUCAAACGUGUCACCUUUAAGAGAACAUACAAAUUGCUUCACCAUGGUGUCAUUGUAUGCGCUUAUAUUGUUGUGUGUCUCAAUGAAAUGAGCAACAUGCUAUUUUUGGUUGUUCUUUCUAUCAAAGCAUUGAAAUUUUGAAGGUUGCUAACUGAGUGGCAUCUUUAUUUCGUCGAUUUGACAACUAUAGAGCUUGGCAUAUACCUUUGAAGAUUGCAAUGAACCAUCAUACUGAGUACGAAUGAUGUCUGCAAUCAUAUGUUGAAGUUGUUGAAUGGAUAGAGAGCCAACAGAGAGUUGAGUGGUAUCACACAAAAUGUUUGGACCAAUUGGCGCACUUGGACUUCUAACUUUUUGGCCUUGGAAAAUCCUGAAUUUUUAUGAUCUUUUUUAAUCGGCAGAUUUUGCAACUCUAGCCCAUGCAUGAGCGCAGCAAUCUAUACAUCUUUAUCUUCUAGUGACUUUGUUAAUUUUUCAAUGGCUAAAGUCAUUUGUUGAAUUCAAUCAUCUGAGCCUGAUGCCGUUUCUAUGACCAUCACUAGCUCAAGUGAUUCUUCAAAUGAAGAAUCAUCUUCUACCUUUGCUGAGAAGUGGCAUGAGAGGAUCCAAAGAAUGAUCUAUCAUUGGAGAUGGAGCCCGAACGAGAGCUUUUCGCCGAACUCAUAGUCUUUUUUGUUGAAUGAGAGUUUGAAUUUUUAAAGGCAAUUUUAAUUUUGCCUUUGUUGGAAAAUUUCAUCAGUGAUGGGACCAGUUGAGUUUUCCCAGUUUUGUUUGGGCCUUGAUCGCGUGGAAGAGUUUGGGAAGUGUCUCUUCAAGAUGAGUUAUAGUUGGUUUUGCCUUUUCGCUUACCAUUGCUGAUAUAGUGACUGAAAGUUGAAGAUUCUGAUAUCAAAAGAUGAGAGGACAAGAAGGUCCCACCGAGUAUGCUAAGAAAUUUAUACGAUGAAUUUUAUGUAUUGAAAUACAGAAAUCCUUACAAAUUGCAUUUUUUAGAAAUACAAGUGAUUUUGACCUUCUUGUGAUUGAAAAAUGGCGAAAAUCCUCUUAUUAAUGAUCUGAAUAUUUUGAAGACGAGGUGUCACAUGACUUGAAUUCUGGUCUUCGAAAAUAUGUUGAAAUUUUGAUUUGUUGAUACUUGACUUAUCCAGCACUUGAGUUUUGGGACUUGGACUCGUGCUUGAAUUUGAUUUGAUUUAACGAAGACUUUGGUCUUCUUGAAUUUGGCGUGGACCUGUUAGAUUCGAAGAAGGUUUUGAUCUUUUUGGGAUUUACCGAAUUUAGGUUUGAGAGGAUUUCUUCUCCUCCUUCGACUUUGAAAUUUUUUCAGCACUUCAUAAUUGCCUUCUUUGCUUUCACUUAUUGUUCUUUUCUUAUGGACGAUUGGUCCUAUUUAUUGGAGAAAAUUUGAGCUAAUUUUGGUAGUCACUCAAUUAUAUUUAGUUAAAAAUGAAUAAUUGAGUAAUUAUGAUUUUUAUUUGUUUACUUAUUUAAACGUGAGAUGGGCUUUCGGGUUUAUGGACCUUAGUCGACUUUAAUUUAAUUGAACUAAUAAUUUAAAUCGACCCAACCCAUUUUCUUUAUUAUUAUUAUUAUUUUUUAUGCCUAUAAAUGCCCCCUCAAGAUUAAUUUAUUUAUUAUGAAAUAAAUAAAUUAAUAAAUCUUGAUUUUUGAUUUUAUUUUUUUUUCAAUUUUGGAUUUGAUUUUAACUCAAACUUCCCAUUAGUAAAUUAUUAUAAAUGAAAAAAUCGAGAUAAAAUGGGAAUUUGAUAAAAAAAAAAAAAAAAUUAUCCUUCAAAUUUGAGAAUAAGAAUUUUUUUUAUGUUAUUUGAUUUUUUUAUUUAUUUUAUACAAUCUAAAAAAUUUUGAAUUUGAAUAGGCCAUUUGCGCUUUAUGGUAAAUUAGGCUUAAGUGAAAUAUGAUAUCUGUCUAUUUAUAUGAAUAAACUAUGAGAUUUGGAAACAAGUCUGUUAAAUCUUGCAAACAAAGGCAAAUAAUUCUUUUUUUCUUUUUUCUUUUUUUAACUCUCUCUCUCUCUCUCUCUAUUUUUUCCCUUAUUUUCUCUCUUUUUUCUCAUAUUUUCUUUUCUCGGUUUCCGCCACCCAAGGAGACAAAGAAUUUGAUGCGAACCCCGUAGCAAUGGAAACUACGAAACCCACAACGAGAUUGAUGCGGAACCCAAGAACGCCAAUACUAACCCGAUUUUGAAUCUUGAACCUCAAGAAUUGAACCAAGAAAUCCUAGAUUAGCGAAAAAACUAAAACCCCUUGAUUACAAUUAAAAGAACCCACAAUCCGAUUGUUUAGAAUGACAUAAGAAACUAAAUCUUGAUAAGUUCCAAGAUUGUUCAAGAAGAACAAGAAAUUGAAAGAACAAUUCUCUCUCUAUAAUAUUAAGCAAAAGUCAAAAGUUCUUACAAUGAAAAAUAUUCUCCUAUUUAUACUAAUGAAUAAAAACGUCCAAAACCAUCAAAUUAUGGUAAUAAUUUGAUUUCAUAAGAAUUCUAUUGAAACUAGGAAAUUCGGCCAAAAUUAGAAAAUUCGCCAAUUUUUUGGCUUGUGCGGCCGCAUGGUGUAUUUCCAUGCGGUCGCAUGGUUCAACAAGAAUUGGUCUUUUGGUUUUCGGUAUGCAUGUGUGCGCCACAUAUUGUUUUGCCUGUGCGGCCGCACAUACUUGUUUUCAGUCUCCGCUUUCGUUGCUUGAUAACAAAUUGAUCCAAGUUGAUUCGGCCUUCGACCCGAACAUGAAAGUUGCUCCAUCUGGAGUCCUGAACAUGGUUCCAUCAAUGGUUUCUUGAACAAGCAAUCCCAUCGUUUGUUUCACUUGCUUUGCCCUUGAUCGCGUCAUUGGUCCGCCAUCGACUAUCAACGGGUCUCAUCUCGCACUUGCCUUCGUUGGGCUCGACUCCUGGAUCAUAUCAUUCCCUCCCUCUUCAAAAGGAUUCGUCUUCGAAUUUGAACCUGCAUCAAACAGAGAGAGAUCAGAUACAUUAAAAGUAGCUGAAACAUUAUACUCACUAGGUAAAAUCACUUUGUAUGCAUUGUCAUUGAUCCUCUCAAUGAUUUGAAACGGUCCAUCGCCUCGUGGUUGCAAUUUUGACUUCCUCUGUUUUGGAAAACGUUCUUUUCUGAAAUGCACCCAGACCCAAUCUCCAGGCUCAAAUGUAACGCGUCUUCUUUCUUUAUUUGCUUUUGAUGCAAUCAGCUUUCCUUUCUCUUUGAUCUGCAUUCUGACCUUUUCAUGGAGUGUUUUCACCAUCUUGGCUUUUCGUUUCCCAUCCAAGCUACCUCGUUCAUGCACAGGUAAAGGCAUUAAAUCCAUAGGUGUUAGUAAAUUAAAACCAUAAACAAUUUCAAAAGUAGAAAACGAAGUAGUAGAAUGUGUAGCUCGAUUAUAUGCAAACUCUAUAAACGGUAAACACUCUUCCCAUGAUUUCAGAUUUUUAUUGAUUACUGUCCUAAGUAGUUGAGUCAUAGUUCGAUUAACUACCUCAGUUUGUCCAUCUGUUUGUGGGUGACAAGUUGUAGAAAAUAAUAACUUAGUUCCUAACUUACUCCACAGAACACGCCAAAAAAUUACUCAAAAACUUCACGUCCUUAUCAGACACUAUACUUUUAGGUACUCCAUGUAAACGUACUAUUUCCCUAAAGAAUAAGUCUACAAUAUUAGUAGUAUCGUCAGUUUUAUGACAUGGUAUGAAGUACGCCAUCUUACUAAACCUAUCGACCACUACAAAUAUUGAAUCCCGACUCCUUUUUGUCCUAGGCAAACUUAACACAAAGUCCAUAGAUAUGUCUACCCAAGGUUCACUAGGUACAGGCAAAGGAGUAUACAAACCGUGGGAUUGAACCUUAGACUUAGCCUUUUUAAAAGUUAUGCACUUUCCACAUAUUUGUUCUACUCCAUGUCGCAUUUUAGGCCAAUAAAAAUGUUCCCCUAACAUGUCUAAAGUCUUUUGAACCCCGAAGUGUCCCAUUAAACCACCCCCAUAUGCUUCCCUUACCAAUAAUUCACGCAAAGAACAAUUAGGAAUGCACAACUUAUCUUCCCUAAACAAAUAUCAUUCAUCCCUAUAGAAUUUAUCAAAUGCACCUUUGUCACAUGAAGCAUAAAAACUAGAAAAAUCACAAUUAGAUUCAUACAUGCGCUUAAUAUGCUCGAAACCAAGUAAUUUAGUACUUAAUGAAUUUAAAAGCACGUACCGUCGAGACAACACAUCAGCAGCUAUAUUUUCGUUACCUUGUUUUUACUUGAUGACGUAGGAAAAUGUCUCGAUAAACUCCACCCAUCUCGCAUGUCUUUUGUUCAACUUACCUUGACCUCGCAAAUGCUUUAAAGAUUCAUGACCGAUGUAUAUCACGAAUUCCUUUGACCAUAAGUAGUGCUGCCAAGUCUCCAAUGCUCGAACAACUGAAUACAGCUCCUUGUCAUAUGUCGGAUAAUUCAAUGUUGCCCCACUCAACUUUUCGCUGAAGCAAGCAAUAGGUCUCCUUUCCUGCAUUAACACUGCUCCCAUACCUAUUCCUGAUGCAUCACACUCAACCUCGAAUGUUUUAUCAAAAUUUGGUAAUGCCAAAACAGGUGCUUUACAUAGCUUAUCCCUAAUUGUGUUAAAUGCAAUUUCUUGAGAUUCUCCCCAAUGGAAACCUAUACUCUUCUUUACUAUUUCAAUCAACGAUGUGGUGAUGGUGCUAAAAUUUGUUACAAAUCGCCUAUAAAAACUAGCCAAUCCAUGAAAACUCCUAAUUUCAAUUAUAGUCUUAGGUGUUGGCCAUUCUUUAAUAGCUUUUAUCUUUUCUUCAUCGACUUCCACCCCGUUAGCACUAACCACAAAUCCUAAGAAAACAACUCUAUCCAUGCAAAAUGUGCACUUUUUGAAAUUAGCAUAUAGUUGUUCCUUUCACAACACAACAAGCACACAAUUUAAAUGUUCUAAAUGCUCAUUUAGGUUCUUGCUAUAGAUUAAGAUGUCAUCAAACUAAAUUACAGCAAAUUUCCCAAUAAAAGCAUGCAAAACAUGGUUCAUUAAAUGCAUAAAAGUGAUCGGUGCAUUAGUGAGUCCAAAUGGCAUAACUAACCAUUCAUACAAUCCAUACUUAGUCUUAAACGCCGUUUUCCAUUCAUCACCCUCUCGCAUGCGAAUUUGAUGAUACCCACUCUUAAGAUCAAUCUUACUAAAAAUGCAAGCACCAUACAACUCAUCAAACAUAUUAUCUAGCCUAGGUAUUGGGUGACGAUACUUUACCGUGAUAUUGUUGAUAGCUCGGUAAUCCACGCACAUUCUCCAAAUCCCGUCCUUCUUAGGCACCAACAAGACAGGUACAGCACAUGGACUCAUGCUCUCCCUGACAUAACCUUUGCUCAUCAACUCCUCCACUUGAUUUUGAAGCUCCUUCGUCUCCUCGGGAUUGCUUCGGUAAGCUGGUCGAUUCAGUAUGACAGCUCUGGGUACAAAGUCAAUCUGGUACUCAAUGCCUCUGAUUGGUGGCAAUCUACUUGGCAUCUCCUCAGGGAACACAUCGUCGAACUCCUGCAAUAAAGACUUAACCAAACUAGGGAGGGAUGUGUUAGAAUCCUCAAAAUUGAGGAGGGAUUCCUUGUACACUAACAAUAUCAUUUGCCUAUUAUCACUCAUAGCCUUUUUCAACUCACUCUCUUUUGCAUAAAAGUUGACCUUUGGCUUUUCUCUCCGCUCAGCUGACUCUUUUUCUCUCCUCUCAUCUGACUCCUUUUCUCUCCGCUCAUGUGGCUUCUCUCUCUUUUCUCCACUCUCAGCCACCUCACUAUUUUCUCUCUUAUUGAUGGUUUCACUAUUGCCUCUCCUUUUUCCUGACUCUCUUAUUCUCUCGUCUUCCUCACUUUUCAGCUUGAUUUAAUCUCCAUACACUUGUGCCGAUGUUAAUGGCGCAAGAGUAAUAGUCUUCCCAUCCUUGACAAAGCUAUAACGAUUCCUAUAUCCAUCAUGUGUGACCCUUCUAUCAUAUUGCCAUGGUCUUCCUAACAAGAUAUGACCCACAUGCAUAGGCACCACAUCACAUACUACUUUGUCACUAUAACUCCCAAUUGAGAAAUUAAUUAAAACUCUUUUAUUCACGCUAACUUCCCCACUUUUAUUCAACCAUUGCAACUUAUAAGGCCUAGGUUGUCUUAACAAUGCUAGUCCUAUUUUCUCAACUAAAAUUGUGCUAGCUAUAUUCGUGCAACUCCCACCAUCAAUAAUCAUACUAUAUACCUUAUCGUUGACGUAACAACAUGUGUGGAAUAUAUUUUCUCGCUGCUGCUCCGAAUUAUCCACUUUGACUUGAGUGUUAAGAGCUCUCCUUGACACCAACGAUUCCCCAAUAGCAAACUCCAAUUUUUCUUCUUCUUCAACGUCCUCCAAUGCAGGCAUGUCCUCAAACUCUCCUUCACUUUCACUCACCACCUCUCCAUUAUCCAACAACACCAUUACCCGUUUAUUUGGGUAUUGAGAAGCAAUGUGCCCUAACCCCAAGCAUCUGAAACACUUGAUGUCUCAAUUCCUUGAUGGUUGUGAAUUUGUUUUGGGUGCUGUUUUGCUAGCACUUUCUUCUUUCCCUUUCUGCCACUCAUUCCUACCUUUAGGUACAGCUUUAUCACUUUUGUUGUUGUUGUUCCACCCUGGCUUCCAAGAUGGAUUAACACUCAAAGUUCCUAACGGCUGCCUAGCUAUCCCUUUUCUCUUCAAUUGUCUCUCUACCUUCAUAGCCACAUGCAACAUGUCUUCCAACUCCACAUAAUGUUGCAACUCCACUACAUUGGCAAUUUCCCUAUUCAACCCAUUCAAGAAUCAUGCCACGGUAGCCUCCCGAUCCUCCACCACAUUGGCCCUAAUCAUGAGUAUUUCCAUCUCCAUAUGAUAGCCCUCUACACUUUUCGAUCCUUGAUAUAGACUUUACAGUUUUUGAUGGAUCUGUUAGUAAUAGUGGCUAGGAACAAACCUCUUUCUCAUCAAUGACUUCAAUUCCUCCCAAGUGUUGAUUGCUCUUCCCCCACUCCUACGUUGUGAAGUAAUCACUUGAUCCCACCAUGACAUUGCAUAGUCACUGAACUCCAAAACUGCUAACUUCACAUUUUUCUCCUCCGAGUAGUUAUAACACUCGAAGAUCAUUUCAACCUUCCUUUCCCACUCCAGGUAUGCCUCGGGAUCACUCCUUCCUUUGAAUGAAGAAACUGUCAUUUUUAUAUUUCCCAAAUUUCCAUCAAAUUCCUCCCCGCGAUCAUUCCGACCCCGUCUGUCGAACCUAUUGCCUCUAUUCCUCAUCCUUCCCAUAUCAACACCGUGAAAUUCAUCUUCGCCCAUGUCACUCCAAUAUCCAUACUACUCUCGCCUUUCCCUCCUAGGCUCCCAUCUAUGCGGUCUUGUGGCAUUGGAUACAUCCACUCGAUGCCCCCGACUAAGAUUAGCCACCGAUGUAUCUAAUCUAUUCAUCCAAGCCUCCUGCUUCUCCAACCUAUCUCUCACAUCUCCAAAUGCUCUCUCAAACCUCUGCACCAAAUCCUCCGAUGCAUUGCUAUUAUUGCCUUGUCGGCUUGAAUUUGAUUCUGCCAUUUCUGACAUCCUAACACUAAAAUUUUUUAUUUUACUGCCUCACCAAAAGUCACUCGAAAACACACAAGGGCUUUUACCCUCUAUUAAGCUCACCUCCCUGCCUUUAGCCACUCAGUUCUUUCAACAAUUGCCUCUAGGAACAAUCAAUGAACUCAAUCAAUCAAUCAAUUCGUGUAGAAUUCCCCAAACCGGAUGUGACUCAAUAAUUGUAAUAAAGGACUCAAAGAAAACUUUUAAAAUUUGACUUGAAUUGAAGGAAUGUAAUGAUUCAAUGUGUCCAAGUAAUUUAGAAACGAUAUUGAAUAAUAAAAGUUGGUAUUUGAAGGAUCAAUAAUAUUUAAUAAUUUUUUUUUAUAUCCAAAAAUCAAUAACAAAACCAACAAAGAAAAUGAAAACUGAUUUGGGCAAAAAUUGAGCCCAGAAACGGAAUUUGAAGAUUUUUGAUGAAACUUUUGGAUCAAAGGAUCAAGAAAACCUUUUGGACACAAGAACACAAGGAAUUGAAAAAAAAUAGAAAACAAAGGAUAUAGCCUGAUUAAAUUGGAGCCAAAGCUCUGAUACCAACUGAUACGAACCCCGUAGCAAUGAAAACUACGAAACCCACAACGAGAUUGAUACGGAACCCAAGAAUGCCAAUACUAACCCGGUUUUGGAUCUUAACCCCAAGAAUUGAACCAAGAAACCCUAGAUUAGCGAAGAACCUAAAACCCCUUGAUUACAAUUAAAAGAACCCACAAUCCGAUUGUUUAGAACGCCACAGGAAAUUGAAUCUUGAUAAGUUCCAAGAUUGUUCAAGAAGAAAAAGAAAUUGAAAGAACAAUUCUCUCUCUAUAAUAUUAAGCAAAAGUCAGAAGUUCUUACAAUGAAAAAUAUUAUUUUAUUUAUACUAAUGAAUAAAAACGUCCAAAACCAUCAAAUUAUGGUAAUAAUUUGAUUUCAUAAGAAUUCUAUCAAAACUAGGAAAUUCGGCCAAAAUUAAAAAAUUCACCAAUUUUUUGGCUUGUUGGCCGCAUGGUGUAUUUCCAUGCGGUCGCAUGGUUCAACAAGAAUUGGCCUUUUGGUUUUCGGUAUGCAUGUGUGCGGCCACAUGUUGUUUUGCCUGUGCAGCCGCACAGACUUGUUUUCAACCUCCGCUUUCGUCGCUUGGUAACAAAUUGACCCAAGUUGAUUCGGCCUUCGAUCAGAACAUGAAAGUUACUCCAUUUUGAGUCCUGAACAUGGUUCCAUCAAUGUUUUCUUGAACGAGCAAUCCCAUCACUUGUUUCACUUGCUUUGCCCUUGAUCGCGUCAUUAGUCAGCCAUCGACUAUCAACGGGUCUCGUCUCGCACUUGCCUUCGUCGGGCUCGACUCCUAGAUCAUAUCAGAAUUGGUUUCUUGGAAUUGAUACAGUGAAAUUGGUGAAUUGCAUCAAUUCCAACUGUUUCCUUGGUAUUUGCCAAUGGCAGAAACCUUUAUAUAUUUAUUUUUAUUUAUUUAUUUAUAUUUUUUCGUUUCUUUCUCUUUUUUCUUCUCGUUAUUUUUUUUUAAUUUUGGAUUUCCAUCGAUGGUAGAAAAUAAAACAAAUUUUGUUUGAACCCAAUUUGAAACUGGUAAAAACCAAUUCCAAUGGAAUUAUUGGAACUUUCACCAAUUCCAAUUCGGAAUUGGUCGAAAAACCAAAAAUAUAUUUGGUUUUAUGGAAAACCAAAGUGACCAAUUGGUUUCUACCGAGCAUUUAAUUGUUUUUGCUCCUUUUUUUUAUUCGUUUCAUCUUCCUUUCUCUUUCUUCUUGUUAACUAUUUUAGUGAGGCUAUUUUAACAAAAUUGAAACUAACAUUUUUCAUUUUUUUAUGCAAGGAUUCAAAUAUUUGGUGCAAAUGAAGGAUUUUGAGGUUCGAGAUUUUCUUUGUGUGGAGGUUAAAUUUUGUUCCGCAAUUAAUUUUUAAGUUCAGGAAAUAUAUGCUUAUAGACAGACUCAAAAUUACAAACCUUUUAGGGCACAUUGAGGACCAAAGACUGCUACUAUUCACCAUCCAAUGCACUUUUUGUUGGAAACCAAUGACAUGUUCAUUCGAUCGUCUUGACCAAGGACUCGCUCCUUUGACUAUCUAAUGCACUUUGUGUUUGGGACCAAGGACUGGUUGAUUCGAUUGUCCAAGGCACUUUGUGCUUGGGACCAAAAACUGGCUCCUUCGACUCUCCAAGACACUUUGUAAUAAGGACCAAUGACCUGUUUCUUCGACCGUCCAAGGUACUUUGUGUUUGGAACCAAGGACUGGCUCCUUCGACUAUCCAAUGCACUUGUGUUAAGGACCAAGGACAUGUUCCUUCGAUCGCCCAAACACUUCGUGUUUGAAGCCAAGGACUGGUUUCUUCAACUGUCCAAGACACUUUGUAGUAAGGACUAAUAACCUAUUUCUUCGAUGGUCCAAGGCACUUUGUGUUUGGAACCAAAGACUGGCUCCUUCGACUGUCCAAUGCACUUGUGUUAAGGACCAAGGACAUGUUCCUUCGACCGUUCAAACACUUUGUGUUUGAAGCUAAGGACUGGUUUCUUCAACUGUCCAAGACACUUUGUGUUAAGGACCAAGGAUUAGCUCAUUCGACUGUUCAAGACACUUUGUGUUGAGGCCAUUUACAUAUUUGGGAGGCUCGUAAUUUUAGACUAUAAACAAAUUUAAAAGAUCUACUCCUCCUUUUUAUUGCUAAUUUUUCAGGCAUGGUUGUAACAAGUUCUAAUGAUAAAGUAUACUUUGUUAUACAUGAAAUUUUUUAUCUUAAAAAUCUAGGCAAAAGUUAUCUACAUUACAAAGAUACUGAUGUGAAGUACCACGCCAGACUAGUCUACAAGGUGGACUUAAAUUUAGCAUCCAUAAGUCAACGAUAGAUCCUUCUCCCAACCUUCUAGAGCCAUUGUCAGAGUUGUAUAUGCCCACCAUUAGUGAAUAUCACGAGAGUUUGGAUACUGGCAAAUCCAACAACUCUAGCAAUCAUCUUUCCUUUCUGUAUCCUUUGCCUCAUCAUUUUCGAAGUAUGGAGUGCAUCCGAAAGGCCGUAAUUUGUGAGAGGAUUGACAAUAAAGAAAUACGAUGGGGAAGCACACUGACCAGUCGAGGAGAGAUUUUUUUUUCCAAAAUUUUAGGAGUGGUCUUUAUGAGUCCAAAAACUUCUACUAAAGAAGAAUCUCGCGAGUUAGCUUCCGCAGUCAAUUCUGCUACAAAAGAUUACCAUCGCCCAAACUCUAUCUAUAGAGCUCUUUGCGAGGUUUGGUGUCCAGAGACCAACACUUUUGUGAUUGCCAAUGUUGAAAUUGGCAUUUCUCCUUGGGACAUCGGCGAGAUAAGUGGGCUACCAUAGGUCAUUACUAUGAGGAUGUAGUCCCAAGCGUUUCAGAGUUGACGGGUCAUUUUUCCAAGUCUUAUCUGUACCUCUUUAAUGUUUUCGUAUUGGUCGCCAAUGCGAAUGAAUCUGAUUGGUUACUCAUGAAAAUUGGAUUGAUUUUUCAUUUCGCGAGAAUUGUUAUGUCCAUAAUCCUCGACAACACAAAAAUUAUAAGAAUGCUAUGAAUUUAAAUCCAUUCAAGAGGCGUCAUGACAGAGCAUCGAAGGAAAAAUGGAGGCCCGUGGUGGUAGUUAAACCGAGAGAUAUUUCUUGUAGGGAUCUACGUCAUUGGAGUAAUUUGCUAGUAUUUUUGCCUCUUGAAGAAGAGGAAUUAGAGUAUCACUUUAUCUCUCCCUGUGGGUUUGUCGCUUCGUUCUUCUAUCUAGAAACGAAUGUAUAAGAGUUGGGAAUUUUAAAGCAUCUUCUAGGAUGGAAGGUGAGUACAUUUAUAGCCUGGUUCCAUUAUAUUAGCGAGCAUUUAUAGAGGAAUUACACGAACAUCUAAUCAUUAGACAAACUCAUACCUUGGCUCGAUUUCAUAUUCAUUUCUUGGACAUUUUCUUUAUGCUUGGGCUGCAACUUAUUUUCUCCAAGGUGUUUAUACCAUAUGGACAAAAGUUAUUCACGUCUACAAUCCGAAGAUAUGCUAGCACUCUAAAUGCUAUUCAAUCUUAGGAGAAAAAUGUUGUUGAUUGUUGAGACAUUAUUCGUAGAACGAUGGAUGCCAAUGACUUUUGUUGGAAUCCAUUACCCUCAUCGUCUCAUCCUAAUGUGCGUGUGGAUGACCAAUCAAGGUCUGCAGAUACUUCAGAAUUCAUGAUGAGUAUUCGAUUUGGAUUUUUUUCUUAUCGCCGAGGAAAUUCACCAAGAAAGUUGGACAUUCCUCCAAUGGCGACAUGUAUCUCGUUUGGUUGUCUUUGACUCGGAUGAAAAGUGGGCUUGUAUUUCACAUUCCAGAGUACGUGAGGGAUACUCAUCAAAAUGUUGAUGUUGAGUACUAUGCUUGGUAGAAUAGCCUAGAGUUGCCAAUCUUGAUCAAGAUCCAAGUACAGGUCUUAUCUUCUAGCAGAGGAAUAAAAUAAAAGUGAAGAAAAUAUGUGGAAAGAUUAGCAGGGGAAUUGAAUUGAUUAAAGUAAAGAAAUUGAAGAGAGGUUCGCAGAGGAAUUAAUAUUUUAUUAAAGACGAUAUGUGGAGAAAAUACAAGAAUUCAGCAAUUAAACUUCACCUAAACUAAAUGAAAAGCUACAUGUUUAUACGGAUACACCAAACCCUAGAAAUAUCAUAGAGAUAGAAAUAACAUAAAAAAUAAUGUGGAAUAAAGUAAAUAAUAUUUUUCCAACAAAAUCACGUGAAAAAUAAGGAAUCUAUAUUUCCAAUAAAAUCACGUGAAAAUAAGGAAACAAUAUUUUUCAAAAAAUCGAGCCUAAUUUGGGGUGCAAAAUCUAAUAAUAUAAAGAAUAAUGACAAUGUCCUUAAUUUUAAGAAGUUUACAAUUUUAUUUUAUUUUAUUUUUUUGCACGGAUGCCACUUUUUUUUUUUUUUUUUUUUUUUUUCCUUUUCCACGGAAAGUUAAUUCAUUAAUGAAAUUAAAACUUAAAAAAUAUGAUAUUUGGUAGUUUUCUUGGUUAUGGUUGGUACUCCUCCAGCCAGCCUUACACAGAAAACAUAAAAUUCUCAAUAAAAUCAUUUUCAAUUUAGUUUGACCUAUCCCACUUGAUAAAAAAGUUGUUUAGCUUAUUUCACUGCAAGUCAUUUUCUAGCAAGUUGGUGCUUAAUUUUAACUUUUUAUCCAAACAUGUUUAUUCUCACAAUCUAACUUAUUCAUUGGACAAGAUAUACGGUAGAUGACUUUACCCAAGUAGUUUCAAUCUUGCUGAUUGCUACUUGUGCUUUUAAUCACACUCAUGCUAAACGCUGACUCAUAAGCAACAAGUGCUUGCCAUGCUCGUAUCCAUGUGCUAUAGGGAUAUAUCAGGGUAAAGUCAAAUGUUUACUUAGUGAUCUGCCGUAUAUCAAGUCCAAUGAACAAGUUAGAUUGUAAGAAUAUACGUAUUUGGUUAAAAAAUUAAAAUUAAUUAUCGACUUACAAGUAAACUACUUGCAAUGAAAUAAGCUAAACAACUUUUAAUUAAGUGAGAUAGACCAAACCAAAUUGAACAGGUUUUAAUUGAAAUUUUUAAAAUUUCUAUGUGUAAGUCUGGCCGGUGGAAAGCCAACCAUUUUAGUCCAGUUAUGUUUUCUCUAAAGUAUGUGGCUUGCUUCAAAAGAAAAAAUAAAAGUGCCAUUCGUUAAAAAAAAAAAGAAAAAAGAAAAAAAGAAAAAGAAAAACUGCAAGUUUCUUCAAAGGGUAAUUGGUGCAAAACGUCCAUACCUUUCAAGAUUAUUGUGGAAAACGUCCAUAACUUUUAUUUUUUGGCAUUUUGUCUAUAAUUUCAACCUUCCGUUGCGCUGAAGAUCCUUUUCAUUGUUUUGGAAUGUAAAAUGACAAUUAUACCUUCUUAUUUAAAACAAAAAAAAAAUAAAAAAAGAGGAAAAUUUAGAAUAAGUUGCAACCCUACCCCUAAACUUUUAAAAAAGUGCAAAUGAGUCCCCAAUACUUAAAAUAUUGAAAAUAACAAAAAAAAAAACACUUUCUCUUCUCUUCCUCCUCGGUCCCCUGCCUCCUUUCAAGCCAAAAAAUUCCGGCCAACCACUGGAUCUCCAUACCAUCGGAAAGCCCUCACUCCCCUCUACACAUACUACCCAAUAGUCUUCCAUUAAUUUCAUUCUAAUGGCACAAAUUUUCCUUCGCGCUGGUUAGGUUUCAUUUCUCAGUUUCUGAAUGAAUAACCAUGUCCAGCGACAAUAGGGAAGACGCAUAUGCUCAUUGGAUGCUCCAUGAGGUGUAGGUACCUCAGGUGGUGGUUCGUGAUCAUGGGUCCCACCACCAGCAUAAAAAAAAUCGCCUGAAAAUUGCACAGCGACUGUGUUCGAAGCUCACCCGACUGGGUUUGAUUGUGUGCAUUAAAGGAUGUUUGAGGACCAUGGACAGGGACGUUUUAUUGUAUAGAAUCGAUCUGGAGGUUGUGUAGGGCAUGGGUGUCGUCGGAAAGAUUCCAGCCAUUGUUUGUUGCGUGAGUAACCUGUUUUGGCUUGAAUUUUCAGGCAAAUUAAUUGGAGUUAUGGCCGGAUCUUGGGUGGGUUGCGAAGAGGGAAGUGAGGGCUGUAAGAUGGGAUAUUAGUCCGGCAAAAAUGGUGGUUGUGUAGGGCAUGGGUAUCAUCGGAAUUGAAGAUUCCAACCACUGUUUGUUGCGUGGGUAACCUAUUUUGGCUUGAAUUUUUGGCCAAAUUGAUUGGAGUUAUGGCUGGAUCUUGGGUAGGUUACGAAGAGUGAAGUGUGGGCUUCAAGAUGGUAUAUUGGACUUGUGCCCAAGAUGGCCAGAGGGUGGAGUUUUGGUGGUCCAUAAGUGGUGGUUCUAAAAUUUUAGUUGUGAUGGAUUAAGGGAGUAUUGGAGACUCAAUUGCACUUUUUUAAAAAUUUAGGGAUAGGGUUGCAAUUUGUUCUAAAUUUCUCUCUCUCUCUCUCUCUCUCUCUCUCUCUCUCUCUCUUUUGGUUUUUUUGUUUUAAAUAAGAGGGUAUAAUUGCCAUUUUACGUUCCAAAACAGUGAAAAGAACUUUCAGCGCAACGAAAGGUUGAAAUAAGGGCAAAAAAGCCAAAAAAAAUGAAAGGUAUGGACAUUUUUCACAAUAAUCUCGAAAGAUAGUCAAUUACCCUUUCUUAAAAGUAAGGACACUGUCAUCAUUGUUUCUAUGUUAAUAAAAGACUCUAAAUCCAAAGUCCUAUAUCUCGUUCACUAAUAAAAAAUAAUAAUUAUUAUACCAGAUCUCUAAGAUGUAAACACAAUUAUCAUCGAAAUUUUGGGACCUUUAUGUAUUAAUUUCUUUUGUACAAUUCCUAUGGGAAAAUGAUAACUGCACAAUAUACAAUAUGAGGUCUAUAUGAUAUAAAAAAUGCACCUUUAUUCCAAAUCAAAAAGGACAACUAAGGAAAUGCUUCUGUUUGACAAUUAGAAACAAAGAGCCUAUUGACCUACAGAAUAGCACAAUUGUUUCCUGUUUUAUCAGAGUUAUAAAAAUUACAUGUUUUUAUGAAUUGAUAGUAAGAUAGUGACAAUAAUAAAAUAAGCAAGACCAAAAUAAGAACACUAACUUUAUGUGGAAACCCAAGUAGGAAAAAACCAUAGGUAGAGGAGGAAAAAUCUACUAUAAUCAAUGGUAGUUGUGUUUACAACAAGAUCUCAAUGCUCUCAACUAAGAUCUAAAACUCUCAAGAUAUCGCAUGAAUGUUAUGAGAAUAAUACGAACCAUAACUUUAUUUAUAUAUAUAUAUAUAUAUAUAGAAACACAUCAAAACGCAAAAUGAGCCUGGGCUGGAUAACCCUAUCGCUUGAGCAACAGGUGAGCGAUAACCCCACCGCUCGAGAGCUAGGUAGGAAAUCUCUAUAGAAAAUAUAUAGGUGCCACUCAAGCAGGCAACUAACGGAAGGUAGCAAAAAUGCAGCGACUUUUCUUCCCAGUCUAUAAUUUUGAUUUCUUCAAGAUCACUUCAAUUAGGGCUCCAAUACCACUAGAAUUUGGGUCACAUUACUACAAAUCUACAUGCACACCUUGAACAAAAUUCAAAAAACACAUUUUCAAAGUGAACAACACUCUUCCUUUUCCAAACAAGCCCUAAUGGGCUAGAUCAAUAAUAAACACCAACUAAGUUUAAGCAUUGCUCAACUUAACACUGAGAAGUGGUUUUGUCAUAAUAUCAGGAGGAUUAUCCUUGGUAUCAACCUUGCUCACUACAAUAUCACCUAGAGCAAUCACUUUACGCAAAAAAUGAGACCUCACAUCAAUAUGUUUAUUCCUCUUGAAACAUCUGAUCCUUAGUUAGAAAAAACACUCUGACUAUCACAAUACACUGUAAAAAUCUGCAAGUCUUCAUUGAUUUCACCAAUCAAUCCUCUUAACUACAUAGCCUCCUUAUAUGCCUCUGUAAUGACCACAUACCGGCCUCUAUUUUAAACAAAACUAUUGUAUUCUACAAAAUAGCUUUUCAACUGAUAACACAAUAUCCAAUGGUGAACACAUACCCUGUAAGUGAUCUCAUCUUAUCAAGAUUCCCUACAUAAUUUAAGGGCCUGUUUGGGAGCGAUUUUUUCACCCAAAAAGUUGAUUUUUUGACCGUUAUUUCACUAUUUCAUCCAUCAUAUUUGACUUCUUCUCUCACAGGUGGACCCCACUUUUAUCCUAACGGUCAAAAAAUCAAUUCUCAAAAUCACUCCCAAACAGGCUUUAAAUCAACAUAUCCAAUGACUCCAUCUACAUAUCUACCAAAAUGCACGCAAACAUUAGUAGAGACGUUUAGGUAUUUGAAUAUCCAUUGCAUUGUUUUCAAAUGUUCCUUGUUAGAAUUUUCCAUGUACCUACUAAUUGCAUUGAUUGCAUGUGCCAAUUUUGGUUUUGUACAAAUAAUAGUAUACAUAAGUGAACCAACUACUCUGGAAUAAGUAACUUGAGACAUAUAUCGAUGUUUUUAUCUAAUUGAGGACACAAUGCAGAUAAUAAUUUAAAGCGGACAGUUAACGGAAUACUAAUAGCCUUAACAUUCAGCAUAUUGAACAUUUGAAGCAUUUUUUUAAUGUAUCAUUUCUGACUCAAAUAUAAUCUGUUAGCCUUUUUAACCCUCAAAAUUUUCAUGCCAAGAAUUUUCUUUGUUGCACCUAAAUCUUUCAUCUCAAACUGCUUACUAAGUUGAACUUUCACCUUUCUGACCUCUACUUUGUCUUUGGCUGUAAUGAGCAUGUCAUCAACAUAUAAUAGCAAAUAUGUGAUGAUCUACCAUCUUCCUUUCUAAAGUACACACAACUAUCAUAAUUACUAUUAAUAAAACUAUGAGAAUUCAUGAAUGAACCGAACCUUUUAUACCACUACCUUGGUGACUGCUUUAAUCCAUACAAAAACUUUUUCAAUAAGCAUACAUUGUCUUCCUUUCCAGAAACUAUAAAACUCUCUAGUUGUUAAAUGUAAAUGUUCUCCUCAAAUUCUCCAUGCAAGAAUGCUGUCUUGACAUUUUUUUCUACUCAAACUCCAAAACAUUCUUGGCCACUAUACAAAGUAAAGUCCGAAUUGAGCUUUGUUUUACAAUCGAUAAAAACACAUCUGUCAAAUCAACAUUUGAAAUCUGACUAUAACGCUUUGCUACCUAUCUGGCCUUAUACUUAGUAUCUUCAAUCCCUAAUGUCCCUUCCUUUUUUUGAACACCCACUUGCGGUGAACAAAUCUUUUUUCUAUAGGUAGUUUCACCAAGUCUUAAGUAUUGUUUUUAUUCAAUGAUUCUAUCUCCUCCUAUAUACCAAUCAACAAUUCGCUAGAAUUACUGCAACUGACUACUUUGAAUAUGUAAAAGGUUUCUCAUUAGAGUCAAUAUCUUCAGCCACAUUCAAUGCAUAAGCUACCAAAUCUACCUCUCCAUACCUUAAUGGAGGUCUAAUCUAUCUGCGAGAUCUAUCCUUAACAAUUGAAUACUAUGGUGUUAACAUUGAUGUAGGCAAAGUAUGUAACAUAUUACUAUCUGUCAAUUAUGGACUAAAUUGCUUUGUAGUAGAUUGUUUUGAAACAUCUGAUUGUUCCUAUGGACCAAUUUCCAACCCCAUUUGAGUUGAAUGAUUCUAUUCAUCUGUUUUAUUAGAAUCCCCACGAGGUGGACCAUGAAACGUAGUAAGUUUAUCAAAUGCUACAUCUGUAUUAAUUACCACCUUUCUUGUUUCAAGACACAACAAUUUAUACCCCUUCAUACCUAAUUUAUACCCAAAAAUGAUAUACUUUCUAGAUCUAGGCUCCAACUUCCCAUUAUCCACAUGAACAUAAGGAAAAUACCCAAAAAUGUUCAAAUCAGAAUAACAAGAAUGUUUACCGGACCAUCUUUUUCAAUGACAGUUGAGGAUGAGCGAAUAAUAAGAAAACAAGUUGUGGCAGUAGCAUCAGCCCAAAAAGUCUUAAGCAACCAUCAGAAUUUGAAAGCAUACAACAAACAUUUUUCCAUCAAAGUUCUACUCAUCUAGUCUACUACACCAUUCUAUUGAGUUCAUCUGAACAAAACUCCAACCUAUUAUCUGUGAGUAAAUGUUUAACCUACAUUCCAGUCUGCUUUUCUAUCAUUAUUUUCCACUCUUUGAAUUUUCCCAAAUAUAUUACUCUUCUGUUUCAAGAAGAGUACACAAACUUUCUCGGAGAAAUCAUUAAUCACUGUCAACAGAUAAUAAGUACCUCUUCUUGAAGGCACCAUAGCCGGUCCCCAAAGAUUUGAAUGGAUAUAUUCAAGUAUUCCCUUCGUGUUGUGUCUUCCUAUAGUGAAUCUGAUUCUUCUCUAUUUACCAAAGACACAAAACUUAUAAAAUUUCAUCUUACCGGUCUUUUACCCAUCAUGAAGUCCCCUCCUACUCAAUUAUGCCAUACCAUUCUUACUUAUAUACCUAAGUCAUAUAUGCCAAAAUUUAUCAAUUUCCUCAUCAGUCAAAGAAAAAGUAAAAAUUGUUAUAUUUCCUGUAAUUGUAAAACCCUACAAAAUGUACAACCAUGUAGAGUUUUUUUAUCCUUUUAUGAUAGUAAGAGAACCUUGACAUACUUUCAAAAGUCUACAUUCACCAGUGUAUUUAUGACAUUUUGAGUCAAGUGAAUUCAAAGAUAUGAGAUUUCCUUCAGUUCUGGAACGUGCUUGAUUUCUGUAAAUAUUCUGAUAGCACCAACAAAUAUUCUAAUUUUGACUAUAUAAAUUCUAUCAAUUUGGCAAGGCAAGUUGCUUUCCAUAAUCACUAUAUCUCUCGGAACUCUUUUAGAUAUAGUAAACCAAUUCUAUUGGGACACAUAUAGAAAGUAGAUAUCGAGUCAAGAACCCAUUCCUCACAAAGUUGUAAAUCUAUUCAAAAAUCACAAGAUGUCCUCCUUUAUUUUGCCCAUUUUCCACAACAUCAGCCUUAGCAGUGUUAACAGGUUGUUUUCCCUUUUUAGUAGCACCAGCAUCAUUAUUUCUGUUUUCAACGAAUAACAAUCAACUUUGAUAUGUCCAUUCUUCUUACAGUAAUGACAUACUUUCUUUGGAUGUCUAAAUUUCGAUCUGCCCCUCAUAUUUUUACUAAGAUUCCUAUCUUGAUUAUUCACAAUAACAAUCAGGCCUUCAACCUAACUCCCAAAUCCUCUAGAAAGAUGUCUCUUCUUCUCUAUAGAUAGUAAAGUAUCAUAGACCUCUUCCACAGUAAGAGUAUCCCAACUAUAGAGAAUAGUUCCUCUAAACAUCACAUAUAAUGGUGACAACGAGCACAACAACAUCAAAGCCAAGUCCUUCUCAUCAUACUUAACCUCUAAUGUCUCCAAUUGGACACAAUUUCUUGGAACAUAAAUAAGUGAUCAUCCAAUGAUGCUUAUUCGGACAUCUGGUGAGAAUACAAAUGUUGUUUUAAGUGUAACUUGCUGAUUAAGCUCUUUGUCAUACAAAGUUGCUCCAACUUCAACCAUAACAUAGCGGCACUUUCUCUAUUCGAACAUUUGGAGGGAUUUGAUUUUAUAGAUGUAGCUGAAUUUUGGAUUGGGCUUUCUGAUCCCUACAUCGUUGUUCAUCCUGCAUCCAGGUUGAAUGCAUUUUAUCAAAGCCAAGCAAGAAUUUCUCCAAAUCUAUUUGUGCGAGAACUCAUCUCAUCUUUACUUGUCGUAAAGUAAAUUUCGUGUUCUAAUCCAAUAACAAAAUAUCAUAUUUCAUCAUUGCCAUGCGAACUAAUCAACCUUGCUCUGAUACCAUUUGUUAUGAAUUGAUUGCAAGAUAAUAACAAUUAUGAAAUAAGCAAGAAUAAAAUUAGAACACCAACAUUUAUGUAGAAACUCAAGAUGUGGAAAAAUCACAGGCAGAUGAGAAGAAAUCUACUAUAAUCAAUAGUAAUUAUGUUUACAACAAGAUCUCAAUACUCUCAACUAAGAUUUACAGCUCUCAAUAUGUGUAUAAAUGUUAUGGGAAAAAUAUGAGUCGUAACUUAUAUAUAUGAAAUCCUAGAAGUCAAGUUAUAGAUGAGAAUAGAAGUCCAAAAAUGCAUCAAAAUGAGAAAUGAACCUAGGCCGGAUAACCCUAUCGCUCCAGUGACAGGCGGGCGGUAGCCCUGCCACUCAAGCUUCAAGUGAGCAACAAGUCUCUGUAGAAAAUAUGUAGGUACCGUUUGAUAAGUAAGCUAGUAAAAAUGCAGUGACUUUUCUUCACAGUCCAUAAUUUUGAUCUCUUCAAAACCACUUCAACUAAGAUUCCAAUACCUACUAGAAUUUAACUCAUGUGUUGUCCGAGACAAAAACCGAUCGACAUCUUAAGGUCAAUGAGAAGGAAAAUAAAAAAGAACAUAGGAAGAAGAGAUGAAAUUGCAAGUGGAUUUACGGUUUGAAACAAGCAAUGUUUUAUAUUCUCAUUUUUAAUCUUGGGUCCAGGCCUAAAUUGAUUUUUGGCUAGGUAAACUUAUUUGGGCAGGGUAUAUUAAAAAUAGGUCAGAGGCUUUUAGGAUUUUUUUUUUUCAAUUAGACUGAAUUGGGAAAUCUAUUUAUUGUUUAAGUUAGUAAAUUUUCUAAUUUUUUCAAUCUAUAAAUUAUAGAAAAUAGGUCUGGUUCAAGAGUUCCAGAUCCAAUUAAAUUUUCUAUUGUUCCGAUUAAAUUAUCUACCUCUAAUUACUAUGGAAAUUGUUACAAAAGGCUAGAGGCUAUUGUUGCUACUCGAAUUUCAAUAAUAACUAAGUCCCUACAACUUACUCAUAGCCCAAUAAAGAUCAACCAAUACCACCAAGGGGAUCAUUGUUGUGCAAUUAAUUCUUUUCGGUAAAAAUCACAAUGUCUCUACAAGAUCUUAUGGGUUUGUUGCACAAAUUUUAUUAAAAUUAUUUUUCUCUGAAAACCAUUUUCAACCACAUAUUCGGUGAUAUUCACAAUUUCUUUUUUCACUUUUCGACCACACAUUUUCAUUUAGAAAAUUCAUGUCAAAUUUAGAAAUAAUUCUCAGUGACGGGAAAAUCCAACUGCAACCACAUAUAAUAUAGACAAUUCUACAAUUUUUAGAUAAAAUUGAAGAAACUAAAUACAAGCCUUUUAGCAAUUUUGAAUUAUGCUAGACAUUUUAGUAAACAUUUAGGAGAGGAAGUAGAAUCACUGUAUAGUAGAUUGUCUAGCAAAGGACAAAGAUAUUUUAAUCAAUCAAAUGUAGAGCUAGUUAAAAAGAUAACAGAGGAAGUUAGAAAUUUACUGCCAUUAGAAUUACUUUUUGAUAAUAAAUAUAAAAUAAUAGAAACAGAUAGAUGUGAAUUAGGAUUGGGAGGAAUUUUAUAUUCCAAACCAAAUAAAUAUAGCGAUAAAAAAGAAGAAAAGAUUUAUAGAUAUGCCAAUGGAAAAUAUAAAAUAAAAGGAAAACACUUCACUAGUUUAGAUAAUGAAAUAAUGACCACCAUCUAUAGUAUAGAAAGCUUUAAUUAUUCUUAAAUACUGAAUUUAAAAUUAGGACGGAUUGUGAAGUUAUAGUAACAUUUAUUAAAAAGACAAAUUUUGAUAAAAUAAGACAUAAAAGAUGAUUAAAAUUAUAUGAGAUAUUGAAUAGCUAUAAAAUCAAUAUUAAACGCAUAUACAGGAAAAAUUAUAUAUUGAUAGAUAAUUUAAGUAGACAAGUUAUUAAUUUACUAACCCAUUAUUUUCAUGGUGCAAAAGGACCAGAUGAUGAUGAACUUUGAGGAUGUCACUCUAAGAGAGACCCCACAAGGAUCUGAUAUCUAAUUCAAAGGAAAUAAUUUAGAAAGACUUCCAAAAAGGGAGCGUUGUCUACUAGAUAAUCUUUGGAUGACACAUAACUCUAAGCAAAAAUUAGAUUGCAAUAAUGCCCUAACUAAUUAUUUUAGAUAGCUUCAUAAUCAAGUAAAAAGAAAAAAAAUUUAGUUUCAUUGCAGUAAUUAAGGAUAAAAAUCUAGGCAUAAAUAAUUAUUGGCCAAAAGUAUUUCAAUAAGUAGAAAGAUUUCCAAAACCCUUUUUCAAAGGAUUUUACAAAUUAGAAGAAGUUUUAAAUUUCUGUAGAAAAAUGAUAGGAUUUAAUUUUUAUAAAUUUGUAAGAGUUAGACAGGGUAUGACCAUACAAAACGUUACUUCCCAACCAUCAUCUUCAUCUUUAUCAAUGCAACUUUUUGAUAUUUGUGAAACUAUGACCAAGGUGGUUAAAAUUUUGAAUCCUAGAAAGCAUUCAUUAGAAAAAAAAUGCUACAAAUCCUUCAAGAUGAAGUCUCUUCAUCUCAACGGGCCAUUUGUAAAUAUCAAAACAAAAUUUUUUACCGACAAAAUAGCUUAAAAAGACUAAGUUCUAAGAAUAUUUAUGAAAGACCCAUUUCCAAAGAUAUUGCUUCUAUAAGUAGAAAUUACUCUUAUAAAAUAGAAAAACUUAUUGAAUUAACUGACUCUACAACAGAAGGGACAAGAAAAGACUUUAUAUGAGUUAUAACAGAAAAUUGACAUUGUGCCAACAUUGUUCGAGAUUAUAUAAAGAAAUCAAUCGUACGUAAGAUAAUUGAUUUUUCUUAAUUCUGAGCUACUAUCACAACGAAAAUCGAUAUUUUCUUAAACAUGGCCCCAAAUAUGAUUCAUCUACUAAAAAUUCAACUUUUUUUAGACACAAUUAUGCUACAAUUUCCUUUGACUAUGCAAUCUUUGAAGAUGACGACUUUUUUUAUCGAGCCUUAUGGUUUGGCAUGACAGACACUAUAUAGUUUUAAAUAUAUCUUUCGUAUUUUUUCCACCUAGACUUAAACAGAUUCUUGAUCAGCUAAAAAAUCACCCUUUGAUGAUCCAAUUCAUUUCCAGACCACCUCUUGUAAAUAAUGGUAUAGUAAUUACAGUUUAUCAUUAUAUUUUAAUAUACGAAUGAGCUAAAAGAUUUAGACAUUAUUCGAAGACAAAUACUAAAGUAAAAAUUAGACAAAUUGAUUAUAAAAGACAAAUCUUAGAAAUCAUGACGAUGAUAGAAGUUCAAAAUAAUAAUUCAAGAGCUAAUUGUAGCUCCAGAGCAAAAUAAUGAAUAUAAAAAGCAUUCGGAUUCUCUUUCAAAAGAAGUGCAUUGAGAGCAUUGUACUCACCUCAUAUAUUACUUGCCCUAUCAUAACCUUGACCUCUAAACUAAAUAUACUUAAGUUAAAUCUAGAGAAUAAGUGAUUAAUAGAAUCCUUAAGUGAGAGAGAGAUGUGGUACUAUAGAUAGUUAAACUCAAAUAAAACGUUCCAUUAUUUGUCCUUUCUGAUUCACAUAACGUAGAACAAUUGACAUUUGCUCCUUCAUUGAUACAUUAUGAGAUUCAUCAACAAGAAUGAAAAAUAACCCAUUACCAAUAUCCUUCACAAUAAAAUUAAGUGUUUCAAAUGCAAUAGCAUUUACAAUAUCUUUUUGAAUUUUAGGUGAUAUUAACUGAAGAUUUUCGUGAGCAUUCCUCAAAGAGACAUCCUUAAUAUCAUUAUUAUAAUCACAUAACCACUGUAAUAGUUCAAGAAAAUUUCUUUGAUUUCUUGAAUCUCCAAAUUUGUUAUGUCCACGAAAUGAAAGCCCUUGUCAUAGAAACAAUCGGACACAGCCAUUUGACGCAUUCAAAAGAAUUUGAUACUCAUCUUUUGUUCAUUUUGACUUCUUAAAGAGAACACAAUCAAUAUUUUGUUCCUAAUUCACAAAGGCCUCAUACUUAAUCCGCGCUCGGUUAUGUGCACUACAAUUUUCCCAACAGCAGUUUGAAGCCUUCCUUUCUUUUUCUAGUUGGAGAAUCCUCCAUCAACAAAAGAAUCACACCCACCAUGUUCUUCACUAUUUGGGUUGAAAAGAUAACAAUAAAAGAAAAAAUAUGACAUCUUUUGCUAUAAUGUAUUCCAACCAAUCAGGACAGUUAUUAAACCAAGAAGUUUUUAAUCACCGUAACAACAAAUCUCCAAAUUCUUUCCAUGGACACAAGUGAUUCCAAGCUAACAUGGACCCCUUUGUACGUAUACUCUUCAAAUUUCAUCCUAAACACUAACAUUAUAAUUCCCAAUUUGAGUUCUUAAUCUAAGAUCCGAAGGCAAAUGUGCUAAAUAAAUUUUAUCUCGAACAUUUCUUUGACUCCUAGUCUCUGAUUCUUCUGAACAUCUUUUUUUUUUUUUUUUGAACACUCGUUUCGACAAUAAUUUGGUCUCCGCUUGAACAUACGGAUUUUUGUUUAAAAUAUUUCUCCAUGACUGUUAAAAAAAAAUCAAUACAUAGAUAAAUAAAUAUCAUAUUUCAUUUUUCAUCAAAACAUAACAUUAAAUUCAUAAUAAAGAGCAAUUAAUUUCAUAAACAAUUUUAAAUCACCAAGUUAGAGAAAGCCAAUACUUACUUGGAAUUGGAAUUGAGAUUUGUAAUGCCCUGAACUCUUUUUCAUUAUUAUUGUUAUUUUUAAAUAAAAAUGAAAAAGAGUUCGGGGCGUUACAGAAUGGUAUCAGAGCACGACUUUAGCCGAUUCUAUAGACUUGUCAUUUAUUUAGAAAAAAUAGCAUAUAUUUUUUUUAAUCUUGUUAUGUGCUUUAUGUGUAUAACUUUUUUUUUUCCUUAGAAUGAUAAUUUAUUUUAUUUUGAAGACAUAGUGGUCUGUGUGUUAAAAAAAAUGAUGCUGCCAUUUUUUUUUCGAACCAAUAGUUAGUAAAUUUUCGAAAAAGACGAGGAAAACUUUUGUUGAUUUUUUUCUGUGUCAACGAAGCCAAGGUUUCUGCAGUUGGAUUCUAAAUAAUUUUCCUUUCCUUGCUCAAUAUUUUGGCUAUUGGUUUGGUCAAUUGGUCUAGAGUUUUUAUGCUAUUCUGCCGUCGAUAUAAAAUCCGAUAAUAAGACCAACGAAGAUAAAAGAUUCUGCAGCAUUAUUGAGCUAUUUACCAAAUUUACAUGCACUAAUUAAUUAAUGGUUUGUGUUUAACCAAUGUGGCAGUGAUUUAUAUGUUAAAGUCAUCAUUCAUUCAAUUUCUAUCCUGUCAUUUGCGUUUAUCAUUAGUAAAGUAUGCCUAGAUCCAUGGAAGCAUGCCUCUGUUGCAAACUUAAAGUAGUUAAUAUGACAGCCAUUCACGUUUAAAUGAAGUAAACUGAAAAUAUGCCAGGACAUCGAAAGACUUUUAUAUUGAGUAAAUUCUUGCUAAAAAAAAUGAUGGUAUUAGCAUGAACACCGUUGCACUUUGUUACAAGCAUGGAUUACGGUUUCAUAGUUUUAAAGGAAAUGAUUAUUAAUAUUUUAUUAGUUACCUGCCAAUAAGUGUCUACUUGCUAUUUUAUUAUAUUUUAUACAUCAUGAGAUUUUUAUUAAACAAGUAUUGAAGUAAGAUCCAGGCUCGUGGCAUUAGCGCUCGUCAAUCUACUACCGUCCGAUGAAUCCAAGGUAUGAACGAAAUGUUAUGUUUAAGCUUAAUUUCAAGCAUGAUUUAUUAAUCAUUUAAGCUUGAUACGAUGAAAUGCUUAUAAUGUUAGAAAGAAAUGUAUUACGCAAGUUAUUAUUUUUGUACAUAAAGAUACGAUGGUUAGUCAUUUUAUUUAAAAUUACAAGAGCAGAAUGCAUAAGUUGAUUUAUAAAGAUAGAGCAUAAUUGAAUGUUUAUGUGAUAUACAUGGAUAGAACUUAUCAAGACACUAGAAAGAAGAGAAAUAGAAGUCACGUAUCGAGAGCUUUUGGAUUAAAUAAGAUAAUUUCGAGGACGAAAUUAAUUUAAGGGAGAAGGGAUGUAACACCCCUCAUUUUUUUACUAUGUGAACCUGAACUUAUUAUUUAGCAAAUGAAAAUGUGAAGAUUUGUCAUUACAUUAGAAGUCCAAAGUUGAAGUGGUAGACUUGACUCACGUAUUCGUAUAAAUAAUUUAUUUGCUUACGAGUUAUGAGCACUUUUAGAAAAUUAUUUGAAUAAAAUAUUUAAGUAUUUUUAAAGUUGAUGAAAAUAUACUGAUAUUAUACUCAUUUUGUAGCUCGUGUUAAACAAUAUAAUUUGAGCUUCAGAAAAAAUAAUUUCGAGAUAGUUAUGCCCAAGUUAUUCUAAUAGAAAGAAAAUUAUCAUUCUCAAAUAUUAUAUUAAUACAUUUAUAAUAUAAAAUAAUAACCAAAUGAAUAGUUUCAUUGUAUGGUUACGUAAUGUCAUCCACUCUAAUUGAUUUAGAAAUUUAUAAUACAUUCCAUAACCAUGACAUUAACUCUAAUUAAACGUGGAGGUGUCCUUUCAAAUUUAUAACCGUAACCAUCCCGUUCACUUUAAUUGAUUUUCAAUUAAAUCAUAGUUGUUUAAUUACAUUAAUCCUCAAUUAAUGAUCAGGUGGCUUUUCAAUUUGUAACCGUAAUCAUAAACGUCCACUUAUGGUGGUUUAACUCCAUUAUCCUUCCAUUAACUUGAAAUGCCUUUUGAUGUUAAGUAAGUUACGUGUGUGGAAUAUAUAAAUAGGUGUAUUUGAGAUGAAAAUUAUAUUCUACAACAAUAGUAUAUUGUACACUCCACACCACUAAUAUUUUUAGAAUUUAAUAGAGUAUAAUAUUUAUAUCUUUUCACAAAGUCAGUUUCAAGUAAAUUCGUGGAUAUCAAAUUGGGGUAAGAAUACAUGGUGCAAGUGGUAAAUUCUUAAUCCUUGAUAUAUAUGUAAAUUUUGGCAUGAGAUACUUUAAGGCCUUCGGGUCGAAUGCUAUGUUAAAUCCUUCGGGAUAGACCGUUAGGUCAAAGAGAAGAAGUUAAAUCCUUCGGGAUAGACCUUCAGGUCAAAGAAAAAAAAUUAAAUCCUAUGGGAUAUGGGGAUUCUUAAGAAAUUCCUAAGAAAUGUCGGUAUGUUAUGCUAUUUUUAUAUUUAUAUCAUGUGUAAAAGGAUGUGCACGUAUUCUUAUUGAGUGUUUUCAAAAUACUCACUCUUACAACAUUUUCAGAUAAGAACGGGUCAUGAGGACGCGUGGAAGAUUGACGGAGCGAUGCUAAUGUGGUCGUCAAGUAAAAUUUCUAGAAAAGACAAUCGUCAAUUUAUAUAAAGAAUAUCUUUGUGUUAAUAUUUAUGCACAAUAUUUAUUAUGUUGUUUAAUAAUUUGAAAUUGAAUAUUUUCGAUAUAUUUCCGCUUAAAUUAGAUAGAGAAAAGUUUUGGUAGCACCUUGAGCUCAUUUUUAUUUAAAAAUAACAAUAAUAAUGGAAAAGAGUUCGGGGCGUUACAAGAUUUGACUUUCGAGAAUGGUUCUAAUAUUUCCAGCUCUGUAGUUGUAGCUCUUGUAUCUUGUAUUUGUUUUGUUGAAUAAUUAUUUUUAGUCAUCCACUACAUUGAAACUAUAAUUUAAACAGUUGAUUGUUCCUAAUUUCAAAUAUUAGACUUCACAAUAUUUUAAAAUUUAAACAAUUGAUCGUUCCCAAAUUGUAAAAAAUCAGUUCCAUACUUCCAUUAUUUCAUACCAAAUCAGUGAAUAUUUUCAUCCAACAUUUUCAAUUCAUCAAUUUUAGACAUGCAAAUCCAAACCCUACAUAAAUUUUUCACUGUAGUCGAGUAGCAGUAAGCUACUAACCUAUAGGCUAUAACAGGGACUGGAGAACGGCUGGGUGGAAGGGGUUUUACUUUUAUUUGAUUUGUGUACUGUAAGUAAUAAGGAUGAUGUGUCGAUGGCGAAGAGAAAACUGGCAAAGACGAGAGCUAGAGAAGAGAGACGACUGAUGAGUCACGUUUGGCGGUACGGGAAAAUGGGAUUUGGCCAUUUGGGAAUAUUAGAACCCAUAUAAGUUGGAUUGGAUAAAUCAUUAAAUGGAUUACGGUUAUGGAUAUAUGGAAUACGGAUAUAGUGAAUGGAUUUGGGCUUGUCAGCUACUAUUGGAAAAUUGAGUCUGGCUGUCUGGUAGUUGUUAGGUUAUUAAAAAAAUCCCAAAUUUGUGGGGUCAUUUGACCCCACAUGACCCUAUGUGGGUCCAUCCCUACAAAUAAUGUCUAUUUAUCUAAAAAUAUCAUAUUUUCUAUUUCAUAAAUUGGGAAUGAUUCAUGCAAAUCAUGAUCAGCUUCAAUUUUGUUGUUGAAUAUUCGUCCUUCAUUGAUCCGAUGUUCAAUCUUCAAUCAAUUUACAAGAUUCUCAAAAUUGUAAGAGUUAAAAAAAAAAUAGAUAAAUCAUGUGUCCCGUAGGCUCACAGCUUUGAAUCUAAUUGAAAAGAUAAUUAAAUUAAAUGAUGGAGUCGUAAUCCACCUAUCUUUUUAUAGACAUGAAAUUACAAAAUACAUCAAGAACUAGUCACAAAUAAUUAGAUCACAGUUUAAAAUAAGUCAAUCAUUACAUAAUUAAAUAUUUGUAGAUAUCGCUCGGCUAGAACAUUCAAUCAAGAUUCAAAAAUAAUAAGCACGUGGACGACAAAAUUGCUUCGAUACCAGUUGUGAGAAUGCAGAAGCCAAAUUACUCAGAAAUUUAAAAAAAAUUAAAUUCAAUAAACAAGAUCGUCUAGAUGUUCACGUGUACGUUAUUCAAGAAUAAAUGAUUCGAAUCGUUUCCUAAAUUCGAUUGGUAAUUUUUGAAUUAAUUUUAAAUCACAAACUUCCAUACUUUUGGAUUACGGGCUUCCAGUUUUUAUUUGCAAGAACUCGAUGUUUCAAAUCUCCAAGUCUUUUAUGGUGUUCUCCAAAGUCAAUACUACACAAUUGGCGGGCACAUUAUUUUAAUAAAAUCAAGAGAUUAAUUCUUGGACGGGAUAAAUUGAACAAAAUAAGAACAUAAUUAUUUUCUCUUUCCAGAUUUGAAUACUUUGGAAUUAUGCAUUUUGAUUGCUGUAUUCUAUAGGAUAUCUAGGUUCCAUUAAUCUCUAUUUAUAGAGAAUAAAAUAUUUUCAAUCCUUUGUACAAUAAUAAUUCAACAUUUAAAUAUAAGUCCUAAUUAAUAUCUAAAUAGGAGUUUUAAUUAAAGUUCACAUCCAAUUAAUUUACAUUUAAUUACUUGUAUAGUCAUAGAACUUCAAUUGCAAUUAUAAUUAAGUUUUCAACUUUUACAGCAAUAGUGGAUUUGUUUCUGCCUUUUGUUGAAUCUUUUCCAUGGCUCUGCUUUUACUUGAGAGGGGGCGGGGUGUGCUCUUGGCAUAGAGAAUAUCACUUAUUCUAGUGUUCUAAUCCUUAAAAUCAGGUACAAAAUUGAUUGGUGGUAGAGUCGUGAAAACUUUUAUUUCUUCCAUAUUUUAGACCUUAGCUCGACAUUCACUAUUAAGAUGAGAUAUCAUUAUCUCUAUCUCACACUAAAGGGAAAUUAACAACAAAUAUUAAGUCCAAAAUUAUUAUAAUUAUAGUAAUUAAGACCCAAUACUUUACAGAGCUACCACCGGGAUCUGAUGGGACAUAUAUUAUCCAAGUCCAAUAAUUAGAUCCUGUCUAGUCGGCCGUAGACCACUCAUUCUAAUUAUUAUUCUUUCUUUUUUCACUAGAGGUAAAAGAUUGAACUCUUGGGAAAUAUAAGAUUAAAAAAAUCAAUAAAUCUUUAAUACUUUCCUUUAUCAAUAAAUAUAGAUUUAAUAAUUAGAUACGAACAUAAAUGACCAUUUUGCUGUUCUAAUUAUUCUCAACAACUAAGUAUCAUUUUCUUCAGUUGUUAUGUGCACAAUUCAUAGAUGUCGAAGUUUAGUUAUCACUAAGCACUGAACUAAGAUUUUAAUUUUUCAAUAGAAAAUAAUUAAGUAGUUACUCUAUCCAUUUUUCAAGGGCGAUGGUUCUCGAUAUCAAUUCAUAUUCUCUACUUCGCUCAUUUUGAACUCCCAACUUACCGAGAUAUUUGAUCAAUCAAAUUGAUCUCACCUAUUGAUAAGGCAAAGAAUCAUUAAAAUCACAAAAAGAUAUAGGUAACCUUAUCAAAGUAUCCAGUGAAAUACACAGCGAUCAAAAGAAAUUUAGUUCUCUGUACCGUUAUGCCAAAGAAUUAAACUCGACACAUGGUCCAUUAAAUAUACUUCAAGUGUACUAGUGUCACCUUUAACUAUAUCUAUGAUAAGAACAAAUUGCAAAUCCGAAUAGUGAAUUGGUCAAUAUCACAAUCUUUUAAUACAAGAUGUCAACCCUUAUACAUUGACUGUGAAUAAAUUAUUUAUGAUCAAAAUUUAAGUUGUGCUACACUGUAUUUCUCAACACAAGUAUCCAACUUAUAUUAUAUCAAGUGAUUAGAUGCACUUUAAUUCUCAUGCUCAAUAAUAAAUAAAUGCAAUAAAAAAAUAAAAUCACUUUAUUAUGAAUUAUUAUUUUAUCAUAAUAAAAUAUACUAUAUGGACACACAAUCCAACAGCUGCCUAUGUCCCACAACUUUUAACGACUUGCCAAUAUUCUUUGAACCUCAAGAAAUUCUCCAUGUGAGUGCUCCAAUGAUCAUAAUGACUAUCAAAGCGUGCAGUUGCAAGUUGAACAAAAUUUUCAGAGGCAAUUUGGAAACGACUGCUGCAAAGAAAGAAAAAAUUUAUUGCCACAGCACACUUUCUUUCUCACAUUUCCAUAACUAGGCUCUGUACCACUAUUAUAAAUUGAAAAUUAAAUACGAAAUGUGAAUGGAGAAAAAAAAAAACUUUCAUACUAUUGGCUUAUUCAAUUAACAAAAUGGCCCUUUAAAUAGACAAUACAUCAUUAAAAAUAAGCUGAAAAAUCGCAACUGACGCUCUAUGAUGUGAUAUAAAACUAGCAAAAAUGACUAUAACUAGGACAACAUAACACAAUAUAACAAACCACGUGAAAGACAAAUUUGACAAUCCAUAACAAAUACGAAUUAUAAUCCACUGAAGCCCCUUUGUUGGAAAAUAAAAAUGUCAUAUAAUUAAGACCAGGUACCAUAUGCAUUAUUGUUUUAUUGAUUAAUAAUAAUGUACUUUGAAACGGUUCCGUCCAUACCCACCACAAAUAAAUAAAGGACCUUAAUCAUUUGGUACCAUCAAUGUUCCAACUUUCAAAGCCUUAAUUUUUUGCGUUAUAUUUGAUCUUCGAACCUAAAAUUCGACAAGAUUAAAGAAGAAAGAGACUUAAGAUUGCUUGUCAAUUGUUUUAUUUAUGCAGGGCAACUCGUGUGAAUUAAUAAAUUAAAUUAUAAACUCAAACGAUCUUCUAAUUUUAUCUUUGUUUAUAAGAUUUACGAGAAAAUUAAGCUUGAGAACCCUCAAUUCAAAAGAAUGUCAAAAGCAAAAAUGUUGAGAGGCUCAAAUUUAUUCAAUAAUCCAAGAUUGAGUCGACCCUAGUGGACAUCAUUUAUAUAGUUCAAAAUUUAGUCUUCAUGAGGGCUAGGGACCUUGCUUGGGUGAAGCUCAGAUUUUGUUAGAAAAAUAUGGUUCUUUGUCGAAAUCCAACUCUGUUUAACUAGCACUUAGCUGUUGAUCUAAAACCGAAUAAGAAUUUGUUUUAAACUUAAAAUGUUCUCUAGAUUAGUAGAAGGCAUAUCCAACUGAAGUGUGCACACGUAAAAUAAGAAGAAUAGGUUUUUUAGAAUAGUUAUGCUUGUGAGCAUUGAAAGUAACACUCCAUCAAUGCUCUACAUGGUUUUCCAUUAAUUUUUGUAGACGGGUCUCGAGAUGGUCCCAAGUUUCUUUGAGGUUCACGUGUGGUCUUACUUGGGAUGUUUCGUUAUUCAUCUAUUGUUCUUUUUUGAGGAUGGGGACGGAGUUGGAAUGUUCUUUGGUAGUUUUCAAAAGUAAAUUAUGUAUAUUUUUAAAUUACUUAUAUUAUCAAAAAUAAUUUUUCAAGUUGUUCUAUGUGCUAAAAAAAAGUUAUUGUUUUAAGGGAAAUUUUCAACAUUGAUACAAGUGAAUCUAGAGACUCCAAAAAUAAAGUGAAAAAGCUAUUAUAAAUGUACUCCAUGGGAAACUAUAUGUUCAGAGUUCCUUCCAUUUAUAUUUCCUAUCCUGGAAUUGUGCACUAUGCGUAGUUGAAAGACAUGAAAUGUUGUGAUUUACAUCCAUUAAUUCUUGCACUUUUACGAUUAAUUAACACAUAAAUGUGCUAAGUACCCUUAUAUUGUGAUUUAGGUUGCAUUUGGAUGAUCAUGAAAUAAAAUAGAAGAAAAGAGAGAAAAAGGACUUAAAUGGAAGAAAUUGAAAGUUCAAGGACCAAUUUGCAAAUAAUCUCUAGAUGAGACGAGCAAUGGAAUGAAGAUUAAAGAUGGUGCGGGAUCAAUUGGAUGCAAUUAGAAGUUGAAGGGUUGAAAUUGCAAGAAGAAUGAUUUAAAAGAAUCAAAAAUGGAAUUCGAGAUUAAAAUACAACUUUUAGAAGAAAUUUUGCCUGGGCAACAGCCCAGUUAUAAAGUUCGAGCUACUGUCCAACACUAAAAAUCAAUUACUGAAGCCAAAAGCCAUGCCUGAACGACUGCCCGAGUUUUGCAUGAGCGACAGCCCAAGUCAAUUGUGACGAGAAAAAUUUGGUUUCCUUUUCUGAUUGAAAUUUUUAUGGAAACAAAUCUUGUACAUGAUAUACCCAAAAUCUCGUCCAAAACCUAGAGAAUGCCCCUAGCCCUAUUUUUUUUCUCUCUCUUUGUGCUCAAGAUCCAUGAUGUGCAACUAAUUUCUUUUGCUUGAUCGAAGGAGACGGAAGCCUUGGACCAAUUAUAACUGUGAGAUCCAUUUGAUUUUUAUUGAUUAAUUCAUAUAUUUAGUGUUAAAUCUUCUUUUGCACUUACUUCUAUGAUUGUUGUGUUUAAUUUCUAGAGUGCACGCAAGUUUAUUAGUUUCAAUAAUCUAUAGCUAAGUUAAAUAUCAAAUUCGUAAUUAUUUGAUUAAUUUAACUUAUGAAGCAACUAACAUUAGUAAUUUGCUGCUUUAGAAAAUUAUUAGAUCUUAGGGAGAAGUUUUAUGUAGGUUAAAUGCAAACUCUUGGCUUGGGUUAUCUAGUUCAUUGAUUUCUCUAAUUCGCAAAGCCAUUAUGAAAUUAAAUUCUCGCACUUGUCUAGGAUUGUUUGAUAAUGAGGAUUAAUUAGAUUGCUUGUUUCUAAUUAAUUAAAACUAAGGAAAAAUAGGAAAAUUGUUUCGAAUGAGAAAUUUAUUUUUCACAAUGAAGGCUACAAUUAUGAAUUGAUGAUUAUUGGUAGAUCAAUGACCGGUUAUUAAUUUCCAACGGUGUAUAUGACGUAGAUCAAGGUUUGUUUUAUUGCUUAUAUUUAAUUAGGUGAUUUGUAUUAUUUCAAGAAAAUCAAAAUCCCCUAUUUUAGUUAAUAUUGCAUCAAAAAGUAAAUUAACCACUCUUCGUGGGAUCGACCCUUACUUCCACUACUACAUUAAUUUUAAGAAGUAUAUGCUUUAAUUUGGAGUGCCUACGACAGCACGCAUCAUUAGUGUGCUCCCAAAUUUGACUUAAGGUCGCAUUUCAAGAAAUGUGACUUUGCAAAUGGAGGCCUUUUAUGAGAUUUUGACACUUGGCACAAUCCUGACCAUUUGAUGACGAUUUAGGAUGGUUUUAGGGUUUGUCUAUAUGUACAUUGGGGUUGACAUGUACCAACCCCUUAGAAGAGGGAGGCCACGAUUUUUUUAUUUGUCGUGGGGCCCCCUAUUGUGAGGGGGUCUGUGCACCAGGGUAUUAACAUCGGUAUACAAAUAGAAAAACCUGUAGUUUUAUUGCCUUUACUCUCUGUUGUUUCACUUGAAAUACUUCAUUCUACCUUUUCAGAUUUCUGCAAAGAGAGAGUUUACGCUCGUUUGGUAAGGGUUUCAUCUUGAAUCAUUUUCUCUCUUGAAAAUCUCAUUCGCAAUUGAGAUCAAUGUUUUACUUCCUUUGAUUCUUGUAUUUUCUGAGUGGUUCCUAUAUUGUGUUGUUCAAAGUAUUGUUUUGAGGCUUCUUUUAUGAUUCCUUGAGUAGAUUUUCAGUUUCAUCUUUGAGAAGAUAACUAUUGUGACUUUAUCUUGUAUUGGUUCAACGUUUAUAAGCUUUGUUUUCUUUCAAAGUUAAAUAGUGCAAUCGAGCAUUAUCCAUUUUAUAUGGAUAAUCAAUAGGGGAUUAGGUAUUAGAAGCAAUCAUCGAACCCUCGGAGCUUCAGCCGAAACAAUUCUUUGUGUUGAUUUUCAUUUCUUGCAAGCUUAUUUUCUACACUUAGUUUUAAGUUUGACAAAUAAGUUAUACCUUGUUGUUUUUGGGCAUUUGAGUAGUAUUAGAGCUUGGAUCUUGAAUUGCAAAACCAGCUCUUCAAGGAAACUAAAGAUCUUAAAGGGACCUCAAAUUUUUGUGCACCGUUUUGAAGGAAUCUGAGUUUUCUUAUAAAACUCACUUGAUAAGAUUUUUUAAAAUUAUGCAACCUGCAAUUUUAAAAAAUUAGGGUUUCUUGCUUUUUUCCUUAAUUUACAAUACCAUUACAAAAUAUCCCCUGGAUACUAUUAUUUGCCCAAAGUCUCUUAUGAGGUUUUGGAAAUCUGAGAUUAAUCUAGUACUGGUGUAUAACGGGAGGAAUAAAAAUUUGCGAUCUAUAUUUGUGAUUCUUGUGAUAUUUUUUGUUGCCUGUCCACUGUUAAGUACAUAUUCUUUGACUAAGUAAAAACUCUUGUAUGUAACUCGAAAUAUUAUACCAUUACGUGCACUAUUGUGAUCUUAAACUGAUCUUGUUUAAGUGUUGGUUCUUUACCGUGUGUCUUUCCCUAUCUCUAGUUAAACUUGCUUGUCAGUUUCUUAUUUGUGAUGGCCAUUGCUAAGUUCGAAAUGAGUCAGUAUGAUGGGAGGGGGAUUUUAAUAUGUGGAGUCAGAAAAAGAAAGGUAUCUUGAUGCAAAUGAGAUAUGCUAAGGCCUUAGAUAAUACUUGGCCUACUAGUAUGAUCCCUGCUAAAAAGAAAACAUUGCUUAGAGUACUAUGUUUUGUACCUUUCUAAAAUGUGAUUAGAACCAUUGGUGAAACUAAAACUGUUAUUGAACUUUGGACCAAUUGCAGGCUCAGUAUAUUACCAAAACUGUUCCAAAUAAGUGCUAUUUGUUGACAAAGUUCCUUUUUUUUUUUAAAUGGAUCCUCUAUUGACUUGGAUUAAAACUUGAAUAGAUUUAUAAAACUUACCAAGACGUAGCUUUUUGUGAUGAAAAACUUUCAAAAGAUCAAUUGGUUAUGGUCUUAUCAAACUCCAUUAGUGACAAUCACAGAGACCUCAAUAAUAUCCUUAAAUAUGGUACGGAUGAAAUCACUAUUGAUAUUAUAAUCAGUGCCCUUAGAAAUAGAAUUCUUGAAAUAAAAUCUAAAUUUAAAGAUCGUCAAAAUGGAGAAAAUUUAUUGGUUAAGGGUAGGAGCAUUGGUAAAUCUAAUUAUCACUCUAAAGGCAACAAUGAGUGUAAAAAGAAAUGGAGUGAUGAGAAUAAACUCUAAAUAUGUUUGACAUGUAUGACUGUAAACUUGUAACUUUCCCAUUAAUCAAUCAUUUUAAAAUUUCCUCCAAUUGCUGCCCUAAAACUGAGGAAGUGUAUGAUAGAAUGUCUAAAAUUCCUUAUGCAGAUGUUAUUGGGUCUAUCAUAUACUUGAUGAUAUACACUAGACCUGAUCUUGUUUAUAGCGUUAGUGUACCUGGCAAAUUUAUAAGUAACCCAAGGGAAGAACAUUGGGAUGCAUUAAAAUAGCUUUUGAAAUAUCUGAAAAGAACUUUGAUUUAGGAUUUAUGUUUAAAAUGAGGAGGUAACUUCAAAAGGUUGUACUAAUUUUGACUUUAUUGGAGAUAGGGAUAAUAGGAGAUUAACUUCAUCCUAUUUAUUGCGUGGAAGUUUCAAGAGAUCUUGAAUUCAAGCUCAGAAAAACCACUAAACGAAUACCACCCGACCUCGGCUCAACCAACACCCUUCUUUCACUUGGACUGGUUCAAGAUUUCUUACCCACAAAGGAUGAUGGUCGUGGUGACUACAAUAUAAAGCAAAGAAUGAAGCAACAGUGGUUGAGUUUCUCAAAACUCACGCCAAAAGUGUAUGUUGAUGUUCAUUUAAUGGUUUCUUGAGCCAAGAUUAAAGAUUUCUCAAAGUUUCUAAUAAUAAAUGGUAUCAGAGCUUAUGUUAUUGAGAAAUUUGUGAUUUUUUGGGUCAAAGAUCGACUGUAAAGGGCUAAAAAUGAAGCUGGAACAUGGUAGAAAGUAGGGAAAAAAAUCUAGAUACAUUGAAAAUCAUCUCUGUCGGAAUUUUUUUAUUUUUUGCAUUUCUCGGCCAGACAACUCAUCGUUUGGAGAAACCAACGCCAUAUGAAGACUGCGCAAGUGGAGGAGCACCUGGGAGACUGGCCUGUGAAGCUCUGGCAUGACGAUAGUUAGGCCACCUGCAAAGACAGAAGUCUCAUGUAGUGAAAGUCUGGCAGAGUUUGGUAACAACACUUGAAGACAAAAUAUUGCUGACAACGAGGUAGACCUUGCGAUGGUGCUUAUUUUCUGUUUGGUCAAAAUAGUUAAAUCUAGACGAUUUUGCCCUUGGACAUUGGGGUGUCGAUGCUUUUUUUGUUUGCUGUAGUUUCUGGAGGCUUUAAAGCGAAUGGUGGUGGCCCUAAAGUGAUGAAUUUUGUAUAUUUCUUUGUUUACAAACAAGCAAAUAUUGUCCACUCGGUAUCAUGUUCUUUCCCUUUUUUAUUACAAUUACGGCUAUCAUGGGGGUAGCCACCUACUUUUCACAUUAGAAGCCAAUGUGUGGGGUAACAUUAGGUUUGAGGCUACCGUGUGGGAAUAACCAUUGUCUGUUGCUAAACCUAAGAAUUAUUUUUUAAUUAUUUACCUUAAAUUCUUUGUGAAUUUAUUACUAAAUGUUUGUACACUGCUAGAAUUUCAUGUGACCUUAGAGAAGUUUGUUUGAUUAUUCGGUGUGAAUUGUGUCGUUACUUUGCUUGUGGUCAUAUUUGGUGUUGAUGGCAAAUGUAUGUCUAAGACAAUUGCAAAAAGUAAUGCAUUUUUGAACAUCAAUAUUUCGGACAUGUUGAAAGAGAUUGUCGUAGGAAGGAUAAUAGAAGGAAAAAUAAAGAGAGAGGUGAGGUAAAUGUUGCCACUGGGUUUGGCUAUGAUCCAAGUGAGGUUUAUUAAGAGUAAACUUGAAUAUUGUAUGUUCAUUUGUGUACAAUCCUUUCUCAUGUAUGGCCGCUUAAUUUUAUUAAGAUGUUAUAUGUUACAUUUUCAAUCUGUUUGACAUGUUUAAUUGCAUGAAUAAAGAGUAAUCUUAAUGCGUUUGUAUACAUAGCGUGUUGACGUCUAUGUCAUACUCUUUUUGCUCUAUGGUUGGUACAGGAAAGUGUGGUAGUGAAAAGAAAAAGGGGCCGCUACUUUCUCCUUUACAUUUGUGAGUCUAUGUCAUUUGUGAUAUUAUAUAGGGUAGCCAGGUGUAGGUUAUCCUCUUUCUCUUUAUGAGCCUUUUUAGUAAUGCAAUAAAGAACUAACUAUUUCUUAUAUUUUCUUUGUGAGUGCCACAUACACCCUUCUCUCUGUGAACUUCUUGAGAUUUAAUGAGGAAGAAAUCUUUUGGUACGUUGGUCAAUUUAAACUGAGCCCUAACCUUUGUGGUCACCAAAGGUGUCAAUUUUGUUGUAGUGGUGCUAACAGUAAGCGGGCUGUGUUUCAUUUGGUAAUGUGAAGUAUAGAUACCUGAGGCUGCAUUGGCGAUAUACACGGAUAUGUGGAGAGUGAAAUUUGGAUCACGAGUAAAAAUGUGAUAUAAUGUCCGGAAUCCUCUAUCUAUGAAAGACCUUGUACAAGUAAAGUGUGAAAGAGACACUUUUAUCACUUCUGUUAAGUAGAGACACAUUAUCCACUUAGGUUGAGACAAAUGAGGUAGUGACAGAAGAUUAUCUUGUGGAUUUAAAAUCUAUUGUGGUUUAACAAUUAGACAUGAAUUUAGUGAUCAAUCUAGUGAGCAUGGUGGACAGUGAGAGAAGAUAUAUGUUCUCGAGGUACAAGCAAUACGAAAUGAGAUAGGAUAAGUGUAGUGAGAUCUUUUCAUGGGGUUAUUUAUGCACUUGUUGCAUAUGUGUUAGUCGUUUGAUUGAUUAACUUGAUAUUAGUUUACUAUUUUGUUUAAACAUAUUUGAAAGGACUUGUAUGUUAUCCUAUUUUAUAUCUUCAUCACAUGUUUAAAUGCUUUUAAUUGAUUACUAUGAUUACUUGCUCCUAUUUGGGUAUUUUUUGAAAUCGGCCCUGAUUAGUGCAUUGAACAGGUAUGGUACGUCUUUCGGGUCGAAAACAUGAGUUAAGGUCUGUGAUUUCGACGAUGGUGUGAUUUAAUCGUUGUGUGGAAGCUUCGAAAAAUCUUUAAUACGGUCUCAGAAAAACCACCAAACGUAUCACCUGAGCUUUGCUCGACCCACAACUUUACACUUGGUUGUCUUCUUUCCAACACCCACAAAGGAUAGAACUUUGGUAAUUAAUGUGUACCCACAAAGGAAAAAGAGAAUAAAUGAAGGAAUGGUUAAACUCAAAUUUUACCUAAGUUGGUUACUGCACGUUUUCUCUUCACAAUUGCACAUUAACUCACGGCUGCAAAAAAUGAAGAGAUAAUGGAUGUAUACAGCAUUAGGUUAGAUUCCAAACUUGGGCCAAAUACUUUCAAUGGGCUAAGACAGAUAACAACUAGGAAAAAUUCAUAAAUAAGAUGUUAACUAUCACAUAUUUCAAAAUUAAGAACAAAAGUUUCAAAUUUAAAAAAUCAAAUAUUUAUUACAAUUUAUUUAUUAUUUAUUUAAUUAAUUAUAUAUUUAAUUAAUUAAAUAUAUAAAAGUCACCGAUGUAUGCAAUUUGGUCACAAAUUCACAAAUUUAGUUAUUUACAUAUUAUUUUUCGAUCACAGAUCAAAAUUUUAAUAUGUCAAAAAUUAUUUUAUGAUCACAAUUCAAAAAUUUUAUACGCCAUAAUUCGUUCAUCAAUCACAAAUCACGAAUAUUAUAAGUCACAACUUAUUGCACAACUUAUUGGAAAGUCACAAAUUAACAAUUUUUUAAGUCACACAUUAUUUCUUGGUCAUAGUUCAUCUCUUUCAUUAAUCACAUAUCAUUUAUUGAUCACAGAUUAAUUUAAUGGUCACGGUCAACCGAAUGAUUUGUGACUACCAUUAAUGCUUGUGACAACCAACUCACCACUGCCUCCAACAGCAUCACCAUAACCGUCGUCGUCGCAGCCUGAACCUCCAUCACCUACUACAACAAAUCUAACACAUUGCCAAAAAAAAAAAAAAAAAAAAAAAAAAAAAAAAAAUUAAUUUGUGACUACCAUUAAUGCUUGUGACAACCAACUCACCACUGCCUCCAACAGCAUCACCAUAACCGUCGUCGUCGCAGCCUGAACCUCCAUCACCUACUACAACAAAUCUAACACAUUGCCAAAAAAAAAAAAAAAACAAAACAAAACAAAACAAUUCAUUGCACCAAAUCCAUCGCUACCUUACCGCCACAACCACCGACAAACAACCAUUUUCAACUACAAAACCACCACCCAUCAACACAUCUAUGCCAGAUUCACUAACACCACCACCUCCAUCAACAAAACCACCAAUCCACCACCGAUCUAACACCACCAAACCCAAAUAAUUAGUCACAACCCACCUCUAGAACCACAACCUGGCUACUACAGCACCCGCAAAACGACCACACCAUCAUCGUACAUAUAGCACACAGCCAUUGCCAUCGUUAUAUCCAUCUCUUCUAUCUCAGUCAACACAACAACACUUCCACGCCCCAAACAAAAAAUCCACAAACUUACCGCUACCAUUGCACAUAAUACCACCUACGCCACUGUAGGCAAAAACACCACAAAACUAACGUAAUAAGAUAAAAGGAAUAGCCCGAACUCCAUCUUUGGUUGCCACACUACAGAAACAGUAAGUGGUGCUGUAAUCUUGACAUAGAAGUGAGGCAAAUGGCGUCCAAAUCUCAGGCAAAUGGCAUCCAGAGCAUGAGGGGUUGCUGCCCAUCGCUCACACAACAUCGAUAGCGUCGUGUGAGUGCAGCACCGCCAAUGUGAGGAUAAAGACAGAAAAGGAGAGAAACGAGAUAUAGAGAGAUAAAUGAUGUGAAAAUCAAUUAGGUUUUGGGAUGAAAAUUGUAUAUUUCAUAUUUAAAUAUGAAAUAUCUGAUUUGUAAAAUAUGAAACGUCCCACUUACUUUUAGAACAUAGAUCUUUAAAAGCAAAGUGGGGUAUGAUUUCCUCUAACCCUCUAACAACCAACCAAUUAGUUGGGUUAACACACAUAUCACUCUCCAAACCUAAACAACAAAUGGGAUAACUCACAAAUGGGUUGUCCUGAAUGAAUUGGUAGUUUUUGAGCCAAGCCAAGCACUAUGGUGUCGAUGAAUUAUCCAACAUAUAUUUUAAAUCAUAGCCAAAAAUUUAUUUGGUAUAAAAAAUCCAACACUAUUUUUAUACAGUUUGUGGUACUAUUAUAAUUUGGAAAUCACAACUUCAAAUGGUUGUGUCUCUAUCUUCAACAAAGGCAGAAUAUAUUGUUUCCAUCGAUGCCAUUAAAGAAGGUAUUUGGUUAAGUGAUUUGUUAGGUGAACUUGAUUUUGUUGAUGAAAAUACAAUACUAUUUUUAAAUGACCAAAUUGUCAUACAUUUGAGAAUAAAAUCCCAUGUUUUAUGAUAAAACUAAGCACAUGGAUAUUAAAUAUUGCUUCAUAAAAGACUUCAUUUCAAAAGGGAUACUUAAAUGGUAAAUUGUUACUCAAUUUAAUCCUUCAGAUAUAGGUACCAAAGUAAUACCUUUAAGUAAGUUUCAAAAUUGCUUGAAGUUAUAUGAAAUAUAAAUUUGAAAAAUCGAGAGAGUGCUUAUGUUGUUUCAUUCAAAGUGUUGGUUUGAGGGUUAUUUUGUGAUUUCUUGAGUAAAUCUACAGUUUCAUCUUUGACAAGAUUAGUAUUGUGACUUUAUCUUGUAUUAGUUGAAUUAUUGUAACCUUCAUUGCCGUUUUUGGGUAAAUAGUACAAUCGAGUAUUAUCCAUUUCAUAUGGACGUUCAACAAAGAUUAGGUGUUAGAAGUGGUUACUGACUUUGGGACUUCGACUGAAACAAUUCUUUAUGUUAAUUUUCAUUUCAUGCAACUUUAUUUUCUGUACUUAGUUUUGAGUUUGACAAAUCGCUUAUAGUUUGUGUCUUUGGGCAUUUCAUCCUCUAACAUGCAUUGACUGUAUACUUUGGAUUCGCUUAUCAUAUCCAAAAAAGGAAAGAAAUAUGCAUGUAUACAUUUGGUACGCUUCACUAUGAAGAAAGAAAGAAAUAACAAUCCCCCCUCAUGAUGUGGCCGAGUUGGUGUGAGCGCGGCGGCUUUUAGUCACAAGUUCGAUUCCCCCUAUCAACACUUUCUCGAUCAAAUUUGUCGCAUCGGGCUUGUCUAGUUCAAUUUACCUAGCUCGCUAUUACGUCAGCUCGAGGGCUUAACCAGUACGCACCCGAAAAGUAGCAGCUGUGAGUUCCCCGUCAUAAAAAUAAAAAAAAUAAUAAAUAAUAAUAAAGAAAUAACAAUCAAAAAGUGUAUAGACACUGAAGAGGAUGUUGUCAUCCAUCCCGUCUAUCUCGUUUCUAGAAUGGAUUGACGAACUAAAAUAUUGCUCUAUUGAAAUUCUAUUAUAAUUGUCAAUUAUCCCGUCCAACCCACCUAGGAUGAUCGAGCACAAAAAUGUAAAAUUUGAUAAACUUAACCUGGAACUUAUUGUCUGAACUUGACAGCUCUGAGAUGAAUCAUCAACAUAUAUAUUUGUUCAUACUUUCUACAUUGUACAAUGGAAUUUUAAAAUCAACAUAAAUAUGUUGGUUGAGUCAAAUAUACAAUAUAUCAAGCAUGCCUAUAGAAGUAGAAGUGAAAUUACUAAAAAUAUGAAUCUCCAAACUUAUUCAAGGGAUUUUAUUUUCUCACCCAUGGCAAUGGAUUUCUUGCAAUGAGCAAUCGCUGCUUGAAUUGCACUCUGCAACUCUUCCUUAGUACUGUCACAUGCUGCGGUAGGAGUAAGAGUUCCAUUUGCUACUAAUAGACCAUUGUUUGUUGGAGAUAUUCUCACUGAACUUGGUUCUGAAAACUCCCCCCUUCUUCCUCUCAACUUUGGCUUCCCCCUAAUGAGUAAAUUUCAGGAAAAUGAAUAGGAUUGCCUGUGUAAUUUAUUCCCUCUUCUAAAGAUCAGACGGGGUCGAGCCAUUCUCGCGUAUCUCUUCAAAAACCGACUUACAUUGAAUUUUAACUUCUUUUUCUGCCUUUCUUUACAUUCCUUUUCUCCUUUUCGCCAUUUCAAUAAGCUAAACAAAGAAAAAGGCUUGGAAUUUGCUCUUCCUUUAGCAUCAAGCUGGGAUCAAUAUCGUUGUCAGUACUGUUGAUUGUCUGAAUGGAUUCUAAUUCUUUUAUGGAUAGGGUAAAACUAUCCAAAGAGUUGUUCAAAGAACGAGGGGAUACCGGAAGGUGGGAGAGUAGAUGGAGAGGAAGCAAAUGGCCAUGGAAAAAUAUAUCAUCUGCUGGAGAUAAAUCUACGGCGAAUGAAGAAGUGUUCUUAUUAUUUUCUGAGGUUUUUGCAGGGGCUGAAGGAUGAAGAGAAAUGGUGAAGGAGAAUUCAUGAGAAGGAGAUGAAGAAGCUGAAGGUGGCAAGGUUGCUGCAAUUGGUUGCAGCUGAUUACUCUCUCUCUCUCUGCUGAUUUUCUUCAUGCUUCUCUCUCAUCUUAUGAUGAUGUUUGUCUAUGCUUCAAUGCUAAAAGAUAUGUCGGAUCUGAAGUUUUUCUUGACUUGCUUUGAUAUGAUAUUCUCUGGUUAGAAAUGUGAGGAAAUAUUUUUGAAGGGAUAAAGAUGUUAGGAAGUAAUAUAGUUCGUGUGUGAGUAUCAAGAGGAUAUGUAGGGCUAACGGGUAGGCGUUGGAUGUGGGUAUGGGGUUACGGAGUGGGACAGGGUUUCAUUUGUUUUUUGAAGGGAAGGGGACUGUUCUCGGCAGGUUUGUUAAAUGAAAUCCGUAUUUAAUAGUGCGUUUCAUAUGGACUCGAUGGGACAUAAUAAUAAUAAUAAUAAUAAUAAUAAUAAUAAUAAUAAUAAUAAUAAUAAUAAUAAUAUUGAAAGUGCUUAUGAACAGUCUAAAUUAUAAAUUAAUUAAAAUAUUGAUAAAUAAGUGGAUAAUUUUUAUAAAUCUUAUAAAAUUGUAGAAUAAGGAGAAAUUUGACCAACUAUAAUCAUUAUCCAAGCAUGAGUUCAAAAAUUUACAGAUAAUUAAAAUUUUAUAUUGUCGUAAAAUAUCCGAUAAUAAUGACUGAUUAGUUGAUAUUAUUAUGCCCAUGUUUGGUUUCACUAAAAAUUUAGAUUAAAAUUAAAGUUAAAGUCAACAAUUAAUUUUAACUACACAUUUUAUAAGACUCAUAACUUUUCAUCCAAAAAUCCCAUUAUCUUUUACCAAAAUUUUCAAAAAAAUCUGAUUUUAUCUAAACUAAACAAGGGCCAGAAGGAUAGAUAACUUUCCUACCUUAGAAGAAUGUUUUCUAUUCAAAUUGUCACUCAUUGAAACCUUAUAUAUAACAGUCAGUGUUAUGAUGAAAUUCACACGAGUUUUGAUACCCUUAUUUUCUUCUAUUGUUCUUGCUUUUCUUCUUAAUUUAAUAGCAUGUUAUCAGCACGAGUUCUAGUGAAUUUAACUAGGAAAAAAAAAUUCCCCUGCAAAAGACAAGUUAAGAAUCCGGUAUGAUAAAUUUGAUUAUGCAAUCUUAAUAUGAAAAUUAGUUACGAAAAAUUUAAGAUAUGCAUUUUGUCAUUACUUGUGAAAAAGAAUGAUCUAAUAUUCAAUUAAAUUUUUUUUUUUAUUUUGUGGCCUAAUAUUCAAUUAGAAUUUGUGGGGGUGGAUAUUGCAUUGUUGCUCCUGUAGACCACAAACUUAAAUAUCAAUAUCUAUAAAAUAUAUUAUAUGGCUCAAAAAUAUAUACACAUAUAUUUCAAAAGAAUAUGGUGUCGUUCAUGAAAAACAUAAAACUUAUUUCAUUGUGUUUAUGGAGAAGUACAAACUAAACGAUUAAGUAUAGUGGUAUAGUGUUGUAAUUCUUGAAGAAAACACUUUAUUAUUUUAUAAUAUUUAUAUGGUACAUUAUGUUAAUACUUCGGAGGAAGUAUAGUUUUCCUGCAAUAUUGUGAAAUAAUAUUUUGUUUUUAAUCUUGAUGAAACAGGAGUUUAUAUUGUAUUAUUGCUCCAGAAGAAAAAUAGAUUUCUUAUUUAUCAAUAUUUUUUAAAAACAUAGUGAUAUUCUUGAAUAAUAAAUUUUAUACAAACUAAUAUCCUACAUAAUUUGAAAUUUUAAAAUUUUCAUAAAAAGCUCUAGAAGGGCCAAAAGUUUAUCAUAUGGGUGAACAAAAUGUAAUACUACAUUAAUUUUCUCCCCAUUUCAAAUGAAUAAUGAUAUUAAAAAUUCACAUAAAUAUUAAUUAAAGAACCAAAAAAUUCUUUCAAUGAAUUCCUUGUGUUUUUAUUCUCAUGAUAUAAUGUUGUAAUGUGACCCAAAUUCUUGUGGUUAUUGGUGUUUUAGUUGAAGUGGUCUUGUAGAAAUCAAAAUUAUAGACAAUGAAGAAAAGUUGUUGUAUUUUCGCUAGCCUAACACUAGUUGGCAGCUCGGGCUGCACCAACAUAUUUUGAAUAGAAAUUUUUCACCCUUUUGGUGCUCAAACGAUGGGGCUGUCACCAUCUUUCGCCCCCCGUAGCUUGAGCGAUGGGGUCAUUAGUGCAGCCCCUCUUUCCAAGUUUUAAUGUCUUUUGGACUCUUGUUUAUCUUCAACUCAGUUUCUAGGGUUUUAUAUAAAUAAGCCACUACUUAUAUUGUUCAGAUAACACUCAUACAACAUCUUGAGAGCUUUAGAUCUUAAUUGAGAGCAUUGAAAUUUUGUUGUAAACAAAUUGCUAUUGCCAAUAGUGGAUUUCUCCUCCUCAACCCAUGGUUUUUUGCCAUGUUAAGUUUUCACGUAAAUCUUGCUGUUAUUUAUUUUGUUCUUGUUUAUUUCAUUACUGUCAUAAACUUUCGAUCAAAUUCGCAACAAGUGGUAUCAAAGUGAUUUUGGUAACUUGUUUGUUCAUAUCAAGUGAUAUCAGAGCCAGGUUGAUUAUCUAGCAUGGCAAUGAUGAAGUAUGAUAUUCCAUAAUUGGAUCGAAACACAAGAUUUACUUUAUGGAAAGUGAAGACGCGAGCAAUUCUCACACGGAUGGACUUGAAAGAAGCCUUGGUUUUGAUAAGAUGCCUUCAACCUGGAUAUAGAAAAAAAGCAACGUAGGGAUCGAAAAGCCCAAUCCCAAAUUUAUCUACAUCUAUCAAAUUAAAUUCUUUAAGAUAUUCUCAAGGACAAGAGUGCCUCGUAUUAUGGUUAAAGUAAGAGCAGCUUUGUAUGAAAAAGACAUUGACCAGCAAGCUUCACUUGAAACAGUACUUGUAUUUUCACAGGAUGUUCGAAGAUACAUCAUUGGAUGAUCACUUAACUAUGUUCAAAGAAAUCAUGGCCAAUUUGGAGACAUUGGAGGUUAAGUAUGAUGAGGAGGACUUGGCAUAGAUGUUGUUCUGUUCACUGUCCCCAUCAUAUGUGACUUUUAGAGAUACUAUCUUCUAUAAUCGAGAUAUUCUCACCGUGGAAGAGAUCUAUGAUGAUUUGCUAUCUAAGAAGAAAAUGAGGCAUCUUGUUCGAGGAUCUUGGAGUCAAGCUGAAGGCCUGGUCAUUCGUGGAAGAAGUCAGGAUCAAAAUCUUGGUAAAAAUAUGAAGGCCAGAUCGAAAUCGAGACGUACAGAAAAGUUAUGUCAUUACUCUACGAAGAAGGGACGUAUCAUGGUUGAUUGCUAUUCUUUUGAAAAAUGGGAAUAAGGUUGUCGAUCCCAUUGAAAGGGAAAAAUAACAUGUUAACACAACGAAAGCUGAUGUUGUGGAAGACACACAAAGUGAAUGAGAGCUUCUUGUAAUGUUUAACAUAGAUUCUAAACCUUGUGAGGAAUGGAUUCUUGACUCAACUUCUACUUUCCACAUGUGUCCUAAUAGGAUUGGUUUACAACAUAUGAAAGAGCUUCGAGAGCUGCAAUGAUAAUGGGAAACAAUGCGCAUUGUAAGAUUGUCGGAGUUGGUAAAGUCAGAAUCAAAAUGUUAGAUGAUGUUAUCAGAACACUUUUAGAUGUCAUGCAUGUUCCAAAAUCAAAGUGAAAUCUAAUAAGUUCGAGUACAUCUGACUCAAAAGGUCAUAAAUACACUGGUGAAUGUGGAGUUUUGAAGGUGAGUUGGGGUGCUCUUACUGUCAUGAAGGGAUAAAAAACUCUACAUAACUAUAUGUUUUGCAAAGUUACAGGAGAUACAACAGUCUCUACUUCUUCUUUGACUGAUAAAGAAGUUCCAAAACUUUGGCAUAUGUGACUUGUCAUAUGAGUGAAAAUGGUAUAGCAGAGUUUAGUAGGAGGAGAGGGAAUACUUGAAUAUAUACAUUCAGCUCUUUGUGGACCGGUCAGGGUACCUUCAAAAGGAAGUACUUAUUAUCUAUUAAAAGUGUUUGAUGAUUUAUCCAAGAAAGUUUGGGUAUUUUUCCUAAAACAGAAGAUUGAUGUAUUUGGAACCUUCAAGGAAUGGAAAACAAUGAUAGAAAAGUAGAUUAAGUGUCUACGCACAGAUAAUGGGUUGGAGUUUUGUUAAAAUGAUUUCAUUAGCUUCUACAGAGCUGAAGGCAUAUUGAGACACUUGAUAGUGCCCAGAACUCCUCAACAGAAUGGUAGGCAGAACAAAUGAAUAGAACUUUGAUGGAAAGUAUUCAUUGUAUGUUUUCAAACUCUGUGUUGCCUAAGAUUUUUUAGGCUGAAGCUACUACCACAAAUUGUUUUCCGAUUAAUUGCUCACCCACAAUUGUCACUGAGAAAAAGGCACUAAAAGAGGUAUGGUCUGAGAAACCUUCUUGUUAUACUGAUUUAAAGAUUUUUGGGUAUCUCACUUAUGCUCUAUAUAUAAUGGGAAGUUGAAGCCUAAUUCAAGGAGAUAUGUCUUUCUUGGGUAUAAAUCAGGUAUGAAGGGAUAUAAAUUAUGGUGACCUGAGACAAGAAAGGUGGUGGUUAGUAGAGAUAUAGCAUUUGAUGAACUGACUAUGGUUCAUAAUUCAUCUCGUAUGGAUUCUGAUAAAAAUGAAGAACAGAAUCAUUCAACUCAGAUGGAAUUGAAAAUUGGUCCAAUGAAUAAUUAAAGGUUUUAGAAAAGUCUAGUUCAAAAUUGAUAGACAGUAAUACUUUGCCUACACCACCAGCAACACUACAGUAUUCAAUUGUUAAGGGCAAACCUCACAGAUAGAUUAGACUUCCACAGAACAAUGGAGAAGUAGACUUGGUAGCAUAUGCUUUGAAUGUGGCCGAAGAAAUUGAUUCCACUGAGGAACCUGUUACAUAUAUAGAUAUCAUCAGCAGUAGUGAUUCAUGCAAAUGGUUUAUUGCUAUGCGAGAGGAGAUUGAGCCAUUGAAUAAAAAUUGUACUUGAGACUUGGUGAAACUACCUAAGGAUAAAAAUGUUGUUCGCUACAAGUGGGUAUUCAAAAGGAAAUAAAGGACAUUAUGGAUUGAAGAUACUAGGUAUAAGGUCUGAUUGGUAACGAAGGUUUAUAAUCAAAUUCUAGGUGUUGACUUCACAGAUGUGUUCUCUUUGAUUAUAAAGCAUAGUUGAUUGUAAAACAUGGUUCAAUUCAAGCUUUACUUGAGAUAGUGGAAAAAAGAGUGACUUAGAACUUGAGCAAAUGGAUGUCAAUACAUCAUUUUUGCAUGAAAAACUUGAAUAAAACAUUUACUUGCAACAAUCAAAGGUUUUAAUGUUUCUGGGAAGGAAGACUCUAUGUGCUUGUUGAAGAAGUCCUUAUAUGGACAAAGCAGUCAUCGAGGUAGUGGAACAAAAUGUUCGAUUCAUUCAUGACUGCUCAUACUUUCAGCAGAAACAAUUACGAUAGUUUUGUGUACUUCAAAAAGGAAGAUGGUGGAGCGAUAAAAUAUUUGCUAUUAUAUAUUGAUGAUAUGUUCAUUGUACCCAAGGAUAAAGUAGAGGCCACAAAUUUGAAAUCUCAACUUAGUAAGCAGUUUGAGAUGAAGGAUUUGGAUGUAGCAAAGAAAAUUCUUAGUAGGAAAUCUUGAGGGAUGGAAAGUCUUUCAAAUUGUAUUUGAGUCAUAAUGGGUACAUUAAGAAGGUGUUUCAAAGGUUCAAUAUGUUGAAUGCUAAGGUUGUCAACACUCCCUUGGCUAUCCACUUCAAAUUAUCAUCUGGAUUGUGUCCUCAAUUAGAUGAAGACAUUGAUUAUAUGUCUCUGGUCCCUUAUUCAAGUGCAGUUGGUUCGUUAAUGUAUACUAUAGUUUGUACAAGACCGGAUUUGGUACAUGCAGACAAUACAAUUAGUAGAUACAUGGCAAAUAUUGGCAAAGAACAUGGGAAAACAAUGAAAUGGAUAUUCAGAUACUUGAAGGACUCAAUUAAUGCUUGCUUGUAUUUUGGUAAAAAUAAAGCUAGAUUUAUUGGAUAUGUCGAUUCAGAUUAUGCAGGAGAUCUUGAUAAAAGGAGAUCACUUAUAAGAUAUGUAAACACCCUUGGAGGUUGUGCUAUUAGCUGGAAAGCUAUUUUGCAAAAUAAAAUAGCUUUUUCUACAAUAGAGACAUAUAAGAAGGAUAUGCGGUUAAGUUGUUUGAUUGUUGAAAUCAGUGAUGGCUUGCAGAUUUCUACAGUAUAUGUGAUAAUUAGAGUGCUAUUUUCUGAUUAAGGAUCAAAUAUUCCAUGAGAAAACUAAGCACAUUGGUGUGAAGUAUCAUUUUGUACAUGAAGUGAUUGCUCAUGGUAAUAUUGUAGUGGACAAGGUUAAUACAAAAGAUAAUAAUGCUGAUAUGAUGACAAAUCUACUUUAUAUUGCUAAGUUUAAGCAUUACUUGAAUUUAGUUAGUGUUUAUCAUUAAUUUAGUCCAUUGGGUCUUGUUUAGAAGAGAAUGAAUGUUGUUUGCUUUAAAGAUGUGUUUUUGGAAUUUCUUGUAUUGAAAUUUGGUUCAAGGUGGAGAUUUGUUAUAAUGUGACCCAUGUUCUAGUGGGUAUAGAAGUCUUAGUUAAAGUAGUCUUGAAGAGCUCAAAAUUAUGGACCAAAAAGAAAACUUAUCACAUUUUUGCUAGCCUAACGCUAGUUGGCCGCUUGAGCGACACCAACAUGGCAGGGCCCUCUCUCCCUAUCACUCAAGUGACAGGAUUAUUCGGCCCAGUCUGUUUUAAUGCAUUUUGGACUCCUAUUUAUUUUCAACUUGAUUUCUAGGGUUUUAUAUAUAUGAGUUACAACUUCUAUUGUUUACAUAACAUUCAUACAAUAUCUUGGGAGCUCUAGAUCUUAGUUGAGAGCAUUGAGAUCUUAUUGUAAACACAACUAGUAUUGAUUAUAAUGUAUUUUGCCUCCUCUGCUAGUAGUUUUUUCCCAUCUUGGUUUCCACGUAAAUAUUGGUGUUCUUUAUUUUGUUCUUAUUUAUUUUAUUAUUGUCAUAAUCUUUCGAUCAAAUUCGCAACAGGUGGUAUCAAAGCGAUUCUGGCAUCUUGUCUAUUCAUAUCAAUAUAUACACUAGUUGGCUUUCACUAGCUAAAAUCGAGAUUGAAUUCCUUGUAUUUCUAAAAAUUAAUUAGGGUGAUUUAUGAGAUUCUUUCUAUUCACGUUGACUACCUAAAUAUUAUUUGUAUCUAACAAAUACAUCUCCUAUAUAAUUGUAUGUUAUUAUUUUGGCUAUGUUUGAGUCCCUUUUGUGUAAAAAGUGAGUUUUCUAAUAGUGAUUUUUAUGAAUAAUGUGUAAUUAAAAAGUAGAAAAAAAAUUUAAGUUUACGUGCAAAUUAUUCAUUUGAAGAAUAAUGGUUAAAAUUAAGCUUGAAGAAAAAUGAAUUUUUAGAAAAUGCAGCUCAAACAUGGGUUAUAUAUUCAUAACCUGACAUUUGCAAGAUUAAUUGCUCAAAAUUUUAAUUAUGAGAAUGAUUUUCAAGUUAUAUAAUAAGAAAGCUAGUGAGCAUAAAUUUCAAACUUUUAAUAAAUAUUAGUUAGGAUAAAAAAAAAAUGGUUUAACACUAUUAUUUAUUAAAUAUCUCCAAUUAAUUUUUGAACCAUUACUAUUUAAAAAAAGGGUUUUCCAUUUUAUGUCUAAUGAUACUAUUUUUCGUGGACAACGCUUCUACACAUUAUGUCAACAUCAAAGUUCUCCCUAUAUAGUUAGUUAGCUUAUGGUCAAAGCUUAAUAUUUCACAUCUACGAUUUUAAAAUAUUCAAUAUAUAUACAAUUGUUCCAACAUAGAGCACUAAGAUAGACAUUAAACCGUGAUACUAAUUAAAUUAUAAAGAUUUGUCGACUUCAUUUUGAUUACACAAUUUUCUUAGUAUUGGGAGGAGGUACUAAGAAGUUGAAAAUAAUAAACAUAAACAUAAGGAGGAGGUAUUAAGAAAUUAAAAAUUACAAACAUAAAGCAUCAUUUUAUUAUUUAGAUCAUUAUACAAGAUAAUGUGAAUUAAGAAUUUGAAAAGAUAAUUCAUUUAAGUGCAGUUACUCAUAAAAGAAUUUGACAAUAUAUUAAACAUUAUAUUUACAUGCUCCAACUCAAGUUGACGUCAUGGAGUAAGAAUCCAUUUACAUUAUACUUGAUAAAUCAAUGGCACGCUGAUGCGUGAUAAUAUUUGAUUCCAAGAUAAAAAUCUAAAAACAAAAUAAAAUAAAAAAAAUAGAGCGAAUAGUAAAGAUUUUCCCAUUAAGAUAUAUAUACUCUUGGUGAGUGUAUAACCACAUCAAUUUGUAAAACCGAAUAGAGGUUCAUGUAGAUGAGGUAUUGAAAAUUGAGAUAUCUCAAUAAAUUUUAUUAUUAUGAAUGGAAGAAACGAAAUUGAAAAGAAAAAGUUGCUAAAAACACUUUUGUAGAUGAUGCGGCAUGUUAUAUUAUGAACAAUAUAGAGAAUGUCAAAAAAAAAUUCAUCGAAAAAUACGGAAGUAGAAAUGAAUGGCUAAAAUAACAUGACAUAAUUCAGGCAAAAUUGAACGUAAUAGAGAUAUCUAAAGUUUUUGGACAUGCAGUUCAAACACCUAAACGUGUAAAGUUAAUUUUACAUAUGCGAAUAUCAAGUGAGAAACUGAAGUCACAAAAUAUAAUGCAUGACUCUUAACAUAAUAAAUUUUGGAAAAAAAUCGUAUAGAUAAAUUUUCAUGUGGAGGAUGAAAUCACAAAUAUAUAUCUUGUUAACCUAAUAUGCAUAAUAUCUAAUAAAUGUGGUUAUAAUUAACCCAUCGACAAGAUUAUUAAUACUAUUUUUUUAAAUAUGUUAAUUAUUCAAUAUGCUUAUAAUUCAAGUGAUAUUGUCAUAGGGAAGUAUAUAUAAUUUGUACACUUCUUAGUCUUCCCCUUUUUCUUUUUUUUUUUCUUUUACCAAGAUUGUAUCUCGUUGUUCUUCUCAAAAAUGCUCUUUUUUCCUCAUUAGAAUACUUUAGAAAGGUUCUUCCUAGUGAAAUUUUCACGAUGUAUAUUAUGUGUAAUGAAUAAUAAUAACAUACGUGACAUUUACUCUCAAUAUAACUUUAUGAUUUUACUCUCGUAUACUAUAAAUUGUAUAUUAGACUUCCGAAGGAAGAAUAAUAAAAUUUAUUUUUCAAUGGACCAUCAUACGGAAUGAAGUAAAAAAAUAAAUAAAUAAAUAUUAAUAUCUUUUAUGAAGACGAGUUUGCUUAAUACUAUAGCAAGACAAUAUUGAACAUAAUUCAUCAAAAUUAUAAUAUAAAUUUUUGGAAGAUGGUACAUUGAAACAUUGGCACAUAAUGAAAGACUCAAUAUAAGAAUUUUCAUUAGUACUUGUCACGAUACCGUACACUUACAGUUUAAGUGAACAAUAAUUCUAGGCAAUUUUUUUUAUAUAGAGGAACAAUUCUCUCAUUUAGUAGUCAGAGAAUUAAAGUCAUUCAUGAACUAUUUCUCUCCCAUUGAAAAGAGCGAUUGGCAUUUGCAAGAACUUUCAACAAAAAUAAAAAAAGAUGAGUACCCCCCCCCCUUCUUGCUACCACCAUCAACACCAUUUUUCGCUUUGAAUGGACCAAAACCAAAAAUAUUAUGAAUAGAAUGAAAGGAGAUAAGCUAGAAAGAAAGUUUAGUUGAAACUCAGAAAAAGAUACGUAGCUUGAACAAUAUUGAAAUUCAAUUUAGAAAAUAUAAAUAAUGAAAAUACACAAAAUCAAAGAUCACUCCAAAAACAAAAUCUCCACCCGUGAAUUAUUAUCAUGAUAAAUGAAUUCUUAAGUCCACAUAAACAAAGAUACGAUUUGAUGUUUUGUAUAAUUAAUGUGUAUAUAAAAUGCAAAUAAAAAUGAUUCUUUUUUCUUUUUUUGGUCUAGAAAAGAACAUAUUGUCCCUACCAUGAAUGAUUUUCAUUAAACAGAAACUUCAACUGUUUUUCGGCGGACUCUCACUUCACCAUUCAGUGUAAAAAAUAAAUUAGGAAUUCUUUAGUCAAUAAAUUUGCCAAAAAAUAAAAAAAGGAUUAUGAUGAAGGCAUCUUGACUAGUCAGCUGUUGAUUUGAUAGCUUAUAUUGAUGAAAUAGCUAUGUCGAUCUCUGUUUUAUAUUUUAGCUUAUAAAUUAUUAAGUCAUAUGAAUAUUUUAUAUGCAGUAAUAGAGAUGAUUGCUUAAAUGUGAAUUUAAGGGGGCAAAAAAAAAAUCAUCGAGAAAAUUGUAUUCAAUAAUUUAACAAUGGGAAUAAUGGUUGUAUGAAAAGGCGGAAAAGAUAUUAAGGCCUUGUUUGAGCUCCAUUUUGGGAGAAAAAAUAAAUUUUUGAAUAGUGUAUCAAUGGAAAAUGCAUAAUUAAAAAAUAAGGAAAAGUUUUGAAUUUGAGUGUAAUAUUAUUUUAUUAAAAAUGUGUGAUUGAUAUAAUAUCAAAAUACUGUUUAAGAAUGUAUCCCAAAAAAAAAAAGACUCAAACAAGGGUUAAAGUUUGAUAAAGAUGGGUAGGGACACACGAGUGUACUAAGUGCUCCAUUAGUCCAUUUCAGAGUUUGGUCGCUUAUUUAAGGUCAAAUUCUAAAUCUUGGAUGCAUUCUUUGGGUGGACAGGCUUAUCUUCCCCCACUUAGCACUCAAAAUUAUUGUGUGUGUGUGUAUAUAUAUUCGUUGCACUCAAACCCCAUAAAACAUUUAUUUAAAAAUGACGCGAGUAAUUAGAUGAGCAAAUUACAUUAGAAAAUAAAAUAAAUAAGAAACAUCUAUGAAAAUGUGCGUAACUUUCGAAUCGAGUUUCAGAUUUAUGCAAGCAAGUAAAAUUCAAAACACUUUUUUUCAAUUUUGCACAAUUUUUUGGGACAAUGUUGGCCGAAAGUCAAACUUUCGGGCUCAAAUUUUGUCGUUUAGAUGUCCAUUUUAGGAAUUUUCUAAUUUUAGUCCAUUAAAGGGCAUUUUCAUCACUUUACGCCUUAUUUUAGUUUUAUUUAGAUUUGUGUGUUGAAUUAGAAUUUCUCUUUGAUUAGGAUUUGUUUUGACUAGUUAAAUAUUUGUUAAGAGUUUGAAAAUUCUAUAUUCAUUUUUUAUUAAUAAUAAUUUAGUCUUCAGUUGCCUCGUUAUUUGAUGGAUUCUAAUAUAUCUCAAGUUUGUUCAAGUGCAAGUCGAACAAUAGUCGUUCAUGUGUGUUAGAUGGCAGUUCAGUCUCCAAAUAAAUAUUUCUCAUUAACUAGGACAUGGGUGCUGUUCAGGGACACCCAGUGAAAUUUAUCCUAUGAAUUGUAAAGUUGAUGUUUUGUACCAUGUUGAUUGACUUGUCAUUCUUUAGAGAAAAGAACAAGAUAUUGAAGCCGCUAAUGGGAAAAGUAGAAAAGAGAAUGUUUUCCCACUAAGUAUGUUUUGUGGGAUGACUUUGAAAUCACUGUUUCAUGCCAAAGAUAUUGGUCCCACAUCCAAGUAUCAAUAUUUUUAAACCAAUCUUUCUGAAUGUACAUAAUAAUUUAUAUUCUGAUUUACCGAAUUUAUACUUGGCAUAAUCUUACAACAUUUUUCACAUCUUACACAUUUAAUUCAACCAUCACAAUCUUACCACAUUACUCAUCUAUCAAUAAAGAUGUCAAUGUUAAUGUACAAAUAGCUAAUUGUCUUUCAACCUUACCCCUCAACACAAGUAUUGAGCAGAGAAAAAGAUAAAAGGAUAAAAAGAUUUAGCUCUUAUUUGGUCCUUAUUUCUGAGCAUUUAUUUUUUAAAAUUAUUUUUUAAUUAUAUAUUUUUUAUUAAAUUCAUUGUUAUCAAUUAAAAUGGAGAGAAUAAAAGCGAGUCCAUGUCCCAACUAGGUGAACCAUACCAAAGCAAGCUAAACCAUCUGCGAGCCAAAUCACAUACAAACUCGAAAUAACAUUAGCAAGCCUAUAUCGAUUUCACCAACUUUUCCACAUUAGCAAAAGUCAUUAUCAUAGUGCACGUGAACAAGCAUGGCAAGCAUGAUUUCACAUCCAAUGAAUAAAGAACAAGAAAGAUAACAUAUAACAAUUUCAUUUAUAAAUUAACUAAUCAAAGGUUGCGACAUGGCAUUAACCAAAAGAUGUAUUUACACCCCGCCCGAGGCUUUGAUAAGAAUCUAUAAGUAAGCGCCAAUUGAAAAAGAAAAGGAUAUGCAAAUUUGAAUAGCUUCCUCCCAAUUAAUCAUUUCUCCUCUUUCUCUUUAUUGAACAUAAGAUUAAUGAGUUUAGCAAGGAAAAACCUUGAUUAGGUAAGAGGAAUUUAUUAAUCAUCAUUUAGAGGUCAACAUCCACAAUUUUUAUUAACUAUUCAAGAAUACAUUUCAUCAACUUUUGUCAAUAUAUACUAAAAAUCUAAUUUUUAUUCAAAUGGUCAAGUGCUUAAUCAAAUUCGUAAAUCGGAGACUAAAAAUUAAGCCCCUAUACGGUCUGGCCAAAAAUCAAAUUUUUAAUUACUUUUGAUAAAAGUUAAUGGCAUAUAGAGUUAAAAAUUAAUAAAAGAUGUGAAACCAAUGAAAUGUAUGAUUAAAAAUAAAUUUGAAACAAAAAAUGAGUUAUAUAAAUUUGGAACAGCUAUAUUCAGAAUUCUAUACAUGUGUGUACCAUAAUUGUUUUCAACAAGUUUUAUCUUUUCCCAAUAUAAGACAAAGUUACAUCAAAACGAAAUGUUAAUGUUCCAUCAUGUUAAAAAUAUUCAUAGUAAAAUAUAUAUAUCAAGACUCAAUCGCACUUUGCAAGUGGAAAUACUGAUUAUAUUACUGCUCCAUCAUGUUAAAUUCGUGAUAUAGGCAACUAAAAAAGUAAGCUUGCUGCUCUUCAAUACCACCAACUAAAAAAAAAAGAAUCCAUUUCCGAUUGUUAGCUUCUAAAUUUUUUGGGCAUCCAUCUCAAUGUCAUUCCUGAUGCUCAUCAUGGUCCUAGCCAUUCAGACAAAGUGUAAAACUGAAGAUAAGUGGGCAGAAAUCGAAGAAGUUUUUGGAAUUUACUGUUAAAUGUGGCAUUAAUUUGUAAUCUUAGGAAAUAAGGUUACAUGCACUUGAAGAAAAUGUAUCAGGAAAAUACAUGAUGCACUUGAAGAAAAUGUAUCAGGAAAAUACAUGAUGCAAAUUCAUGAAUUAUUAGGUGUCCAUUUAUAUUCCCAUGUCUCUAGAGUUAUCCAUGUGGUCCUAUAAAUAGAGGUCAUUCUUGUAGUCUCAUUGUAAGAAAAAAAAAAAGAAAACAUUAUUGAGUGUGCUGUAGCAACUCAAAAACUAUCAAUAAAAAUUCAAGUUUUUCUUCAACACUUCGUUUCCGCACUAACAAAUUUGGUAUCAGAGCCAUAACUUGUAAUUGCAUUUUUUCAUGGCUUUAAUACAAACAGCUUCGUUGUUUACAUAUUCUUCCAGUCAAGUCCCAAUCUUCGAAGGCGAGCAUUAUGAAUACUGGAGCAUCCAAAUGCAAACUUUCUUCAUCUCCUUAGAUCUUUGGGAUGUCAUUGACGAUGAGGAGUACGAAGAACCAUCCGAAGACAAUGAAGAUUACGAAAAAUUGCAAAAAGAAUUUAAAAGAAAAGAUGCAAUGGCUCUCCGCUAUAUUCAACAAGGAGUCGGGAAAUCAAUUUUCCCUCGUAUCUUUGGUGUUAAUAAAGCCAAAGAUGCUUGGGAAAUAUUGAUGCAAGAAUUUCAAGGAACGGAGAAAACGAUCACCUUGAAACUUCAAUCCUUAUGGAGAGACUUUGAUAAUCUCCAAAUGGAAGAACGAGAAUCGGUUUGUGUUUUUUCUUCACGAGUAGCCGAGACAGUAAAUCAAAUCAAAAGCUGUGGUGACACAAUUACAGAUAAAAGAGUCGUGGAGAAAAUGUUAAGAUGCCUUCCUCCAAAGUUUGACCAUGUUGCAGCCGCAAUUGAAGAAUCGAAAGACUUGUCCAAAAUGACCAUUUAUGAGUUAACCGGGUCACUUCUUGCCCAUGAGCAAAGGAUCAAUCAUUCGAGUAACCAAUCUACUACCGAACAAGCUUUCCAAUCAAAGCAAACAUCAAAAAGAAGAAAAUAUUAUUGAGUGUGCUGUAGCAACUCAAAAACUAUCAAUAAAAAUUCAAGUUUUUCUUCNNNNNNNNNNNNNNNNNNNNNNNNNNNNNNNNNNNNNNNNNNNNNNNNNNNNNNNNNNNNNNNNNNNNNNNNNNNNNNNNNNNNNNNNNNNNNNNNNNNNNNNNNNNNNNNNNNNNNNNNNNNNNNNNNNNNNNNNNNNNNNNNNNNNNNNNNNNNNNNNNNNNNNNNNNNNNNNNNNNNNNNNNNNNNNNNNNNNNNNNNNNNNNNNNNNNNNNNNNNNNNNNNNNNNNNNNNNNNNNNNNNNNNNNNNNNNNNNNNNNNNNNNNNNNNNNNNNNNNNNNNNNNNNNNNNNNNNNNNNNNNNNNNNNNNNNNNNNNNNNNNNNNNNNNNNNNNNNNNNNNNNNNNNNNNNNNNNNNNNNNNNNNNNNNNNNNNNNNNNNNNNNNNNNNNNNNNNNNNNNNNNNNNNNNNNNNNNNNNNNNNNNNNNNNNNNNNNNNNNNNNNNNNNNNNNNNNNNNNNNNNNNNNNNNNNNNNNNNNNNNNNNNNNNNNNNNNNNNNNNNNNNNNNNNNNNNNNNNNNNNNNNNNNNNNNNNNNNNNNNNNNNNNNNNNNNNNNNNNNNNNNNNNNNNNNNNNNNNNNNNNNNNNNNNNNNNNNNNNNNNNNNNNNNNNNNNNNNNNNNNNNNNNNNNNNNNNNNNNNNNNNNNNNNNNNNNNNNNNNNNNNNNNNNNNNNNNNNNNNNNNNNNNNNNNNNNNNNNNNNNNNNNNNNNNNNNNNNNNNNNNNNNNNNNNNNNNNNNNNNNNNNNNNNNNNNNNNNNNNNNNNNNNNNNNNNNNNNNNNNNNNNNNNNNNNNNNNNNNNNNNNNNNNNNNNNNNNNNNNNNNNNNNNNNNNNNNNNNNNNNNNNNNNNNNNNNNNNNNNNNNNNNNNNNNNNNNNNNNNNNNNNNNNNNNNNNNNNAUGGAGAACGAAAGCACUACUUGAGCUUGUGCACUCGGAUAUUUGUGGGUUAAUGCAAACUCCCACUUUUGGAAACAAGAGAUAUUUUAUUCUCUUUGUUGAUGACUUCACAAGAAUGAUAUGGGUUUUCUUCUUCAGUCAAAAAUCUGAGGCAUAUUCCACAUUUCUUCAAUUCAAAGCUCAAGCAGAAAGGCAAAGUGGUUUUUUGAUAAAAACUUUAAGGAUAGAUCGUGGAGGUGAAUAUCUCUAUAAUCCUUUCAUGGAAUAUUGCAGAAAAAAUGGCAUCAAAAGACAAUUAACUGUGAGUCGAACUCCGCAACAAAACGGCGUGGCCGAAAGGAAAAAUCGCACAAUUGUUGAAAUGGCAAGAAGCAUGCUAAAAGGCAAAGGACUUCCAAAUCUGUAUUGGGCAGAAGCUGUAAACACGGCAGUAUACAUUCUCAAUCGGUCUCCAACAAAGGCUGUACGGAAUAAAACUCCAUACGAAGCUUGGAACAAAAAGAAGCCAAUGGUUGAUCACUUCAAAAUAUUUGGCAGCAUUUCUUAUGCUCUUAUCCCUUCUCAAAAUCGGGAGAAAUUUGACGAGAAAGGACAAAAACUUGUCUUUGUUGGAUACAAUGAUGAAUCUAAAGGAUAUCGGUUAUUAGAUCCAACUACAAACAAAAUUACAAUUUCACGAGACGUUGUUUUUGAUGAAGCUGCAUCUUGGGAUUGGAAAGGAAAAGAAGUUGUGGACCAGACACCAUACCAUUUUGUUGAUCCAUUAACAUUUAAAGCAGGUCCGUCACAAGUUGGAAAUUUAGAGCAUAAUCCAAACCCUACUCCAAGAAGUGAGGAAGAAUCUGAUCCAGAAAGCCCUCCAAGAAAGACACGUUCACUACAAGACAUAUAUGAGUCAUGUGAACUUGGGUUGUUCUCUAGGGAACCACAAUCAUUUGAAGAAGCCUCAAAAGAAGUAUGUUGGACAAAAGCCAUGAAUGAAGAAAUGUCCACAAUCGAGAAAAACAAAAUUUGGAAGCUUGUUGCCUUGCCAGAAGGGAAGAAAAUCAUUGGACUCAAGUGGGUCUAUAAAAUAAAAUACAAUGAAGAUGGGUCGAUCCAAAAGCACAUUGUUGCAAAAGGGUAUUCUCAACAGCCCGAAAUUGAUUACACUGAAACAUAUGCUCCGGUUGCAAGAAUGGAGACAAUUUGUACUGUUUUGGCACUGGCAGCUCAAUUGGAGGUAUGUGUUUAUCAACUUGAUGUAAAAUCGGCAUUCUUAAAUGGUGAAAUUCAAGAAGAAGUUUAUGUCGAGCAACCCGAAGGAUUUGAAAUCAAAGGACAAGAAGGAAAAGUCUAUCGUUUAUACAAGGCACUUUAUGGUUUAAAGCAAGCACCGCGAGCAUGGAAUAGCAAAAUCAAUAGCUAUUUCAUCCAAAAUGGAUUCAAUCGAAGCACNNNNNNNNNNNNNNNNNNNNNNNNNNNNNNNNNNNNNNNNNNNNNNNNNNNNNNNNNNNNNNNNNNNNNNNNNNNNNNNNNNNNNNNNNNNNNNNNNNNNNNNNNNNNNNNNNNNNNNNNNNNNNNNNNNNNNNNNNNNNNNNNNNNNNNNNNNNNNNNNNNNNNNNNNNNNNNNNNNNNNNNNNNNNNNNNNNNNNNNNNNNNNNNNNNNNNNNNNNNNNNNNNNNNNNNNNNNNNNNNNNNNNNNNNNNNNNNNNNNNNNNNNNNNNNNNNNNNNNNNNNNNNNNNNNNNNNNNNNNNNNNNNNNNNNNNNNNNNNNNNNNNNNNNNNNNNNNNNNNNNNNNNNNNNNNNNNNNNNNNNNNNNNNNNNNNNNNNNNNNNNNNNNNNNNNNNNNNNNNNNNNNNNNNNNNNNNNNNNNNNNNNNNNNNNNNNNNCAGUUUUUCAUGCCAGAUCGAAGCAUAUUGAACUACGUCAUCACUUCAUUCGAGAUUUGGUAAGUCGAGAAGAAAUUUGCAUGGAAUUUAUCAACACAAAUGAUCAGCCAGCAGACAUUUUAACAAAGACAGUCACAUUUGACAAGUUCGAAAAGAUCAAGAAAAAACUCAAGAUUACAAAUUAAGAGGGGGUGUUAAAUGUGGCAUUAAUUUGUAAUCUUAGGAAAUAAUGUUACAUGCACUUGAAGAAAAUGUAUCAGGAAAAUACAUGAUGCACUUGAAGAAAAUGUAUCAGGAAAAUACAUGAUGCAAAUUCAUGAAUUAUUAGGUGUCCAUUUAUAUUCCCAUGUCUCUAGAGUUAUCCAUGUGGUCCUAUAAAUAGAGGUCAUUCUUGUAGUCUCAUUGUAAGAAAAAAAAAAGAAAACAUUAUUGAGUGUGCUAUAGCAACUCAAAAACUAUCAAUAAAAAUUCAAGUUUUUCUUCAACACUUCGUUUCCGCACUAACAUUUACAAGGUCCAUUAGGUCCUUCUCAUCUAAAAUAGAUGACCAGGCAUUUUCUGCAGUAAUUUUGAACCAUGAUGAUAGAGAGCUCCUGCAAACAAGCUAGGUGGUACUAAAAUCUAGUCAAAAGAAGAAAAGAAAACUAGACUAGCGGUCGAGACCGGCAGGACCAUGCCAGGCCUUACUGCUUCAUCCUGCCUGGUUCAUCCUCUACCUGCCUCUAUCUGCAAAGACAUUACCAAAAAAUCUCUCCCAAGCAGCGUAUUACAACCCAUGAAUUAACAUGUUUGGACAAGGUUAAUUCCAAGGCCAAAAACAGGAGCGCCACAUGGCGGACAGCAGCCCUUUCAAUAGGGUGGCGCCCAUGUUGUUGGCCCUGGAAUUCACCCUGGCUGUCUAGCAGGGUUGAAAACCCAUUGAGGAGGGCCUUAGCCAAGGAAGGAGAGAGUGGCCAAGUGGUCAAAAGUGACAGACUCUAAAUCUGCCCAAGUCUACAGAACAAUCACCCAGAUACAUGAAAAACUCAUGUGCCUACAUUAUAGAGAUGUCAAACGGGCAAGGUCGCUGCCCUUCAAAGCAUGCUAAAAACACAAGGCCCAGUACAGCCCAUCUUGACACCUCUAUACGUGCAAUGUAAAAAAAUUUCCUUGGUACAGAAUUUUGAAAAACAAGUUCAUUGGGACCCAUCAAAAAAUGCAAUAUAUACAAUGAGAAAUGCUAUAACACAAUUGACAGAUUAACUAUAUCUUAUGAAUAAACAACCUUCACUUGGAAAUUUGUGCUUUUAUCAUGGUUACGUAACUAUUGCGUGCAAAUAUCACGGGGAAUUUCUGCGAGAUGCUUUUAGUUCUACAUUUAGUGCAAGGCUCAAGUAAGAAAAAAGAAGGAUUAGGUCAGAUUCUUAUUUGACAUCAGCUAUCUACAAUCAUAAGUUACAGUUGGCCGAUAAGAUACAUGUACAUUUGGCGUCAGUUGAAAGGCAAUAAGAUUCCAGAUAAUGUCGCUACCCCAGAAAACAUGUACAAAUCAUAGUGUCUACUUUCUGGUUAAUCUAGAGCAGUCUUCAUGAGAAAGUGAAGUCCUUGUGUCAUUUAUAAUCUUGAAUGACAAAUGCAUUUAGCGCCCGCUUGGUCCCCAUUUUAUUCUCAUUUUUCCAACUUUUGUCAACAAUAGUGGGCCCCCAAUCAAAAAAUCAAACGGCUCCCUGACAAAAAUUUGAGGCAGCAGCUUUUCAGACAUUUUGUUGAAUUUAGAAUUUUUGUCUUUCCACCUCUGCCCUCCAUCUGAAAUUUUAUUCCUUCAUUGUAGCACUUGUUGUCAACUGGAAUUUUAUUUUUUAAUUGAGGGCAAAAUGGUAAGAGAAAUUCAACGGCAUGGUACCUUGUUCUUUCAUUUCUGACGAUUUCUUCAAUGCUGUCGCCAUCAUCUACCACAAAAACUGUAGAAAAAUGAGAUAAGAUAGAAAAAUUGACAAGAACGAGCAUCAAACAGGGGCUUAAUAGGAUUCAACGGUGAAUUCCUUCGUGUAGAGACAGGCGGUACCCUUCUCAAGGACGGGGAUUAUUUUAGAUCCCAAUCUUCCACAUUCUUCGGUACAGAAACGUCAAAGAGGAAUUGACCAAGAACCCCACAAGCACUUAUGCUUGGUGGGCUAGAUAGACUUAUGUAAGGCUCUUUACGUUCAUCCUGCAAAGAUCCAAAAUCUCUACCCUCGUGAUAUUCUAUGGAAUUUGGAACAUAUAAGAAGUCAUUUAAGUCAAGGACAAUCCUCUGGAAACUCUGACUUGAUCUCUCUACGGCUUUUUUUAGAUUGGUCCAGAGAUCUCAUCAUGUGUGCCCUCGAAGCCUAUCUUCUCACCAUCAAGUUGCCGUAAUCUUCUAGAAUAAAUUACAGAAGCUUUUCCAAGCAGCUCAGUCACCGCAGCCUUUUAUUCGAUUGGAUAAUGCCGAAAAUGACCUGCACUACAAACAUAACAUGCAAAAUACAAUAUCAACAAAUAUGAAUUUUUCUAAGAUGCAAUAACAAAAACGUUACACGCCAAUGGUAGUUAGGAAAUCCUCCAAAGAAAAUCUUGCAUUACAGAUUUCAAAUUACUAGUGAUUUACUUAAAAGAAUUAUAUUCCAGUAAGUCAGCUGAUUGUCGGGGACCUAAUUUCGUUGCACCCAAUAAUUAGAACCAUGCAACCUUAACGUUCAAUAAUUUUCGCCCCUCACGAGAAAACGUUAAGUCAGUCUUACAACGCUCACAAAUAAUUUAACCAAUGAGGUUAAAUUAUAACUAUUUUGAGUAGAGAAUUUGUAGGAAAUAUAAGGAAAACAAGGUUGGGAGAACUCUCUUUAUAUAUAGCCCCCAUUUGGUUCUAAUUUUUCACCCAAAAAAAUCAAUUUUUUAACCGUUACUUUCCUAAGUCAACCGUUAUUUUAAAUUUCUUUACUCACAAGUAAAACCCACUUUUUCUCGCUAACAGUCAAAAAAUUAAUUCUCAAAAUCACUACCAAACAAACCCAUAAAUGAAAGGAAAACUUUACAAUUCUCUGAAGUAUUCAAACAAUUCGUUGCAAAUGAUUUACAAAUGAGACUACAUCUCUAUUUAUAGGCAAAACUUUGCAAGUUGUCUUGAAAUCAAUGGCCAAAAUUAAUUUUGAUUCAAGAGUCCUCAUUUGUUGCAAGUUACAUUAACCUCCUUUAAUCAAGUGGUAAUUCUAUACACUUUCCAAUCCAAGAUGCAUGUUACUUUCCAAUCUUAUGUUAGUUGACAUCAAAUGGCAUAUCUCUACAAUUCACAUGCAAUUGAAUAAGUCAUUUUCACAGUAGCCAAAUUGAACUUUAUUUCCUCCUUGACAUUAUCUUGCAAGUGGCACAAGUGGAUAAGUGGCACAAGUUGGCCAAGUUGUCCACUUGUGUCCCAAAACCAUUCGGCCGUAGCCCAUUGUAUUUCUCCUUCCCAAAAUAGUAGUUUUCAACUUAGAGAAAAAGAAAACACCCCUCCAUCUCAUCACUCAAUCAGCCAAAAUGGAUUCAACAUCUUUCUCAAAAGAUUUUGAGACAAUGAGAGGUGCCCUUUGUAAUUUGUUUCUCCCAAGAUCUUCCAAGUCCAACCUAUAUGGCUUCAACAUGCUUACAUGAAAAACUGGAUAAAUCUUCAAAGUACCCAAAAGCUAGUCAGUGGAAACUCUUCCAACUUUAGCCAUCAUGGGAAAAGAACCUUCUAACCGAGCCUUUAUUAACUUUGCGAUAGGCUUUGAAUUAUUGAGGCAACACUUUUACAAGUUCUUGAUCUCCAAUGUUGAACUCCAAUAGUCUCCGUUCAGAUCGACCCACUUUUUCAUACGUUUUCAAGCUUUCUCCAAGCAAGAUCUAGCUAAGUCCGCAUGAUCUCUCCAUGACUUAGCCAUUUUUUGUUACUCCGGGACUUCGAUCUACAUCACCAACCAUAUGCAAGGUAUGAGGCGUUGUGGGCUGUCACCCCGUUGCAAGUUCAAAAAGACUAUGUCCUAUGGAUUCACUUUUCUGCAAGUUGUAGGAAAACUGAGCUAUGUCUAUCAACUUCACCCAAUCCCACUGCUUAGCAUUAACAAAGCGCUGAAGAUAACACUCCAACGGUGCAUUCGCCCAUUCCAUCUACCCAUCCGUUUGUGGGUAGAAAUUGCUAGAAAAGUGCAAACCCGAUCUAAGGAGCUUAAACACCUCCAUCCACAAUUUUCCCAUAAAACUGGGAUAUUGAUCACUUAUAAUAUUCUAAGGCAACCCCCAAUACUUCACAACAUUUUUGAAAUAUAACCUUGCCGUCUCCUCCGCGGUGCAAUCUUUAAGGGCCGAAAUGAAAGUUGUAUUCUUUGAAAAUCAAUCAACAACAACAAUUAUUAAUUCGAGCCCUUCGGACUUUGGCAAGGUACUAAUGAAAUCAAUGACAACCACGUAUCAUGGUUGAUCAAGAACAGGAAGAGGAUCAAGAAGCCAACCGAUAAUGCAAGUAGACUUAGUCUAGGGACGCAGAUAGCCUGUUUUGGUAGAACGCAGGCUGGGGUACGGAGGAAGUUUUCCCAACACAAAAAUGAGGUUUCUCUAAGUUAAAAAAUUGCUAUUUUGGGAAGGAGAAAUACAAUAGACUGCGGUCGGAUGUUUUGGAGACACAAAUGGGCAACUUGUACAAUUUGUGCCAAUUGUCCACUUGUAUCACUUGCAAGAUAAUGCCAAGAAGGAAGCAAAGUUAAAUUUGGUUGCUAUGAAAGUGACUUGUCCACUUACAUGUAAAUUGUAGAGAUAUGCCGCUUGAUGCCAACUAGCAUGAGGUUAGAAGGUGACAUGUAACUUGCAUUGGAAAGUGUAGAGAAUUACUACUUGAUCAAAGGAAGUUAAUGCAACUAGCAACCAAUGAAGACCUUUGGAUCAAAAUUAAUCUUCGCCAUUGAUUCCAAGACAACUUGUAAGGUUUUGUCUAUAAAUGGAAAUGUCUCAUUUGUAAAUCAUAUGGAGUGAAGUGAGAUGAAUACUGGAGAGAGAUUGUAAAGUUUUCCAUUCAUUUAUAUAUAAAGAGAGUUCUCACAAGCUUACUUGUUUUCCUUAUAUUUCCUACUUCAAAUCCUCUACUCAAAGUUGUUAUAAUUUAGCUUCACUGGUUAAAUUAUUUGUGAGCGUUGAAAAGCUAACUUAACGUUUUCUCAUGAGGGAAAAGAAUUAUUGAACAUUAAGGCUGCACGGUUCUAGUUGUUUGGCUGUCCGUGACAUGAUGCUUACCAACUGAGAAAUGAAUUUAGUUAACAAGGUGCAGCGAGCCAUCUGAUUGCAUAUAACAAAGAAGGAAGGUUCAAAAACACGACUAUAUUUUAUUUCCAUGUAUUCUCAGAUAUGAAGCUUUAAUUUAUAUCCUAAGUAGCCAGGUUGAGAAGUAGAUGCACUAGCAACUGCAAUAAUGAAAGCAGUAGAGUGCAGAACAUGACUGAGAAUUCAAGGCAAUAGAGUGUCUCUAGGGCAAAUUUGUAGCAUUACAAAACAUUAAUAAGUUAAAUGCAUCAUACUUCAUCUAAACUAAUUCAAGGCAAUAGAAUGUCUCUAGGGCAAAUUUGUAGCAUUACAAAACAUUAAUAAGUUUUAUACAUCAUACUUCAUCUAAACUCAUAUUUUAUAAAUUAAAACAAUAUCAUUUCUAAUAGUUUAUUAAUAUUAGAUAAAAAAAUAAAAUAAAAUAAAAAAAGAGAAGGGAUUAAAAUCUCUAUGUAAGCUAUUCAUUUAGCAGGAGAAAUGUCAAAUAUAACAGUCUGCAAUAUACACAGAUAUUAUUACUUGGACCAGCAGUUCCUGCUUCAUUUGUCAAACCUAUAACCUGGGACAGGUUAUGGCAAAUGAAAAUAUGAAAUAAGAAUCUGACUUCAUCAUUGUUGCUCUGGCAAAAAUUGCACAGAGGCAUACUUGUGUUUGUAAGGUGCUGAAAAUUUGUAAAUUGGAAACCUCGUGUUAAAUUGCACGCCCUGAGUACAUAUGCCCUAUGAAGUGAAUUUUGUGUCCUUAGGUCAGACCUUUCACUGAGCCACUGAAAUACUGCAUCCAGUGGCCAAUACUGCUCCAUUUAAGCUAACACAAUUUCGUUCGCUCUUAUGAGCACUUAUUUCAGUCAACUGUGCAUAAAUAUAGCCUAAACAUCUCUUCAAAUUUUAUCUGCAUUAAGCCCAUCCCAAGAAAAUCUGACUGUAUAAUACGUUUAUAAGCAUACCUACGUGAGAUGAGUUAUUCCAUUUCCAUCAGCCCUGAGGUCUCUAAGCCUUUGGGUCAAAAUGCAAAUUAUCUGACAUGGAGCGAGAUCAUCAUCUCUUCAAAACAUCUCUUCAAAUUUUAUUUGCAUUAAGCUAACCCAAGAAAAUCUGACUGUAUAAGACGUUUAUAAGUAUACCUACAUGAGAUGAGUUAUUCCAUUUCCAUCAGCCCCGAGGUCUUUAAGCCGUCGGGCAAAAAUGCAAAUUAUCUGACAUGGAGCGAGAUCAUUUCUGGGAAAAAAAAUUAGGUACGAUGCCCCCCAUGCUCUGCAUAAAGAUAAUAAUUAAUCACUGAACAAUCAGUAGAAAGCAACUUGCCAUGGCAUUCCGUGUUUGGCACUUUGGCUAAUCUAAAGAAAUAGUUACCUUCUCCAUUCAUGUUUGCAUACUUACCUUAAGUGGAAAAGAAGUCACUUCUAUUUAAUUAACUCUCACCUUAUUGUCAAAUGAGUAACUUUUUCCAUCUUUGACCAUUAAAAUUUUAUUUAUAUUAAAACUUUUGACUUUACUUAUCAGUAAACUUAUUAAGAUUAACAAAACAUGCUGUAAAUUUAAUGGAUGCUUACUGCAGAGGAGUAAAGAUUCUGCCAAUACUCUGCACGUUGCGCUUCAAAUCUGCCAAGGAAGAAGGCAUCCAGACUGGACGAAAUGCCAUUUGCAAUCCAUGAUGCUAGGAAUGGGGCAGAGGACAUAUCGAGAACAGAUGGAUGAAGAAUAAAGCAAGUGGCCAAGUCACUUGUUAAAAUCCACUGGAGUAGAAUAAAAAAUGUGGCCAGAAACACAGUCUUUAACCGGUCGUAGUCGUCCUUCAGAUGAAACACGCCAUUAGAUAAGCCAUCACUUGUAUCAAGGUUCUUCAUCGAACAAUAUAGUAGAUAACCAUUACUAUUUCUUCUAAAAUGAGAAUAUAUGAUGAGUCAAUGACUAUGGUAUCCGAUUUUUGUUUGUUAUGGAGAAUGGUUAGAGCUCUAUGAUAUUAAUUGUUCAUUUUAUUGUCUAAUCAUGUCCAAUAUUGUGUAUGAGUGCUAAACUUUGGCCAUUAAGCAUCACGGAUGUUUUGACCAACAUCGGUAAGGAGAAACAUAUGCAUAAGCCAUCAACGGAAUGAGAAGAGUAUGUAGAAAGCUACAGAAACAUAUGUUACUUUUAGAAGAAAUGGAAGUAUGUGUUCACAAUUAUAUAAAUAAACAAGAUGUCGAGAUGAAUCAUUAUGAGAUAAAGCAUACCAUAUUGACCUGCUCUGGACACUUUCCUUCAAUUAUCUGCAACCAAAAGUAAAACAGGUUGCGUGUCAACUAUAGCUUCACAUGAAACAUUCAACAUCUGUGGUCUCUAAAAUGAUGAGUGUGAAUAAAUAUAAAAAAUUUACAAAUAUUUUAAGUUCCAGUUGUUGACUACGAGAAUGGCAUUUACCUGGUGAACCUUGUACGUGCUAGCUUUUGGGCCACCAGAAAAAGGCGCAAAGACAACUGGACAUGGCCUGAUUUUUAGCUCAUUUAAAUCAAAUCGAAAUAAAUAUGAGGAAAAGUUAAAACAACAACAUAUAUAGCAAAUUUAAAAUAUUUAGCCCCCGUUUGAGCCACAUUAUUGUAAAAAUGAGAAUGAAAAAUAUAGCUAUUAUGAGCCCUACACAAGAGAUAAAAAGUCAAAUGUGGUGGCUUGAUGUGAUGGAUAACGGUCAUAUUUUUCAUUUUAAUGAGGAAAUAAUGGGGCUCAAACAGGGCCUUAAUAACUAAGUCUAUUGUCAUUGUCAAAUCCCCAUCCCCAGGAUUACUUCGAAUAGUUUCUUUAAUGUAACAAAGAUACGACUCCAAGAGCAAGUCCACCAUUAUAGAUUAAAUAGCAAAAUGAACCACUCAACAAUUCAUGCUUUAUGGUAUGGCUGGGCAUUUGAACUAGAACUGUCGGUUUCAUUCAGGUUCCACAAAAAAAAAAAAAAAAAUUAGGAACUAGAACCUAGUACCAAAAAAUCAAUCAAAUAUAGGAUGGUUCUUAGUUCUUGAAUCAAAACCAUAUGUACGUGACUUUACAAUCGAAUUUAUCUAUUUAUAUAAGUUUUUUCAUUUUACAAUUUAUUCAACUUGACCUAAUGACCUGAUAGGAUGCAGAGGAAACGACGUGAUGGGAAAAAAGUUAGACCAAUGUUGAUUAUCAUGUUUUCAAAGGAAUGAAUUUUUUUUUUUUCUUUUUUGUUCAUCAUUUGUAGAAUCUAUUAAUUCCUUAUUGUUGGUUUCUAAUUUUAGGUUUGUUCUUUGGCUACGUGAUUUCUUUAUGCUCUGUUAGAUAUCAGAUGCUAUUUGAUGACAUAUUUUGUUAGUUAUUGGAUGUUAUUUUGUUGCAUAAUUGCAGUGGACUAAGAAAUCGUCGAAAUAUGUAUUUUGAUGCAUAUUUUAUUUUUUCUAUUUCAUCUAGAUAUUAGAAAGAUAAUUUGUAUUGUCGGUUCACGAUUUUAAAAAAAGAUACAUAUAUUAUAGGUAGAACCUUAUCCAAACCCAAAUAGACGGUUUGGGAUCAAGUCUGGUUUCUGUAACUAAGUGUACCCAAAUGGUUCUAUUUACAAAAUAUCCGAAGUAUAAUGGAUAGUUUUGAGUAUUAAACUACCCGUGCCAACCCAGUAGAUGUCCAUAACUAUUUUAUAAUUUUGAGCGUUGGGCUAUUAAAGGUAUGUCUAUAAGACGAAAGCGAAAAUGAAGAUGCUAAGAUUUGUUUGUAAUUAUACUAAAAUGGAUCUCAUAAAAAAAUGAGAAUAUACAGUAGUAACUGGCGGUGACACCGAUUGAUGAUAAAUUGAAGGAAGCACGACUUAGGUUGCAGGGUCAUGCUUUGAGUCUAUUUAAAAAGGCUAUAUUCAUAAGAACUGACGUUAUCUCAGUGGAGCAAAUUAAAAGAGAAGGUGGUAAACCAAAAUUAACAUGGUCAGUUGUAGUUGUAAAAGGAUCGAAUUGCUUUAGAUCCCCAAUAGUUCUCACAAUGAAUAACCAACUCUACAUUUAUCAGGUAAAAGGCUUAGUUCGUUGUUGUGUUUGCUUGUUUGCUGGAAGACCAUUUGCUGUCAAAUUUAUAACAGCUCUACAUUUCCAAACUUGGAAAGCUUUUAUAACCUCAAAGAAGUUCAGCAGAUUGCUUUGAUGCAGAGCUACUCAAAUACAGAUGGUGAAUACAGAUAAAGAUACUCCUUUAAAAAACUUCUUAUACAAGAUGCAGUUGAAUUUUAUAUGACUGACCUGGACAAAAUUGUUUAUAAUUUCUAGUGCCAACGAUGCUGCUUUGUCGGGAAAGAAUCGGCAACCAUACGAAAAUGAGAAUUGUAAACCGAAUAUUUGUAAAAGAAAAAAGAAAGCUAAAGGAUAGAGUAUGCUUUAUGUAAAUUAUUUAUCAUUCUGCAUGCACCAAGUUCAAGUACCAGCGGUCUAGACAGCAUUUAUAACCGAGAUAUUCAACCAUCCCUACCUAAGAUAUAAAUAUAGAUAUUUCUGAAGAUCCACUAAUGACAAAUUUUCCACUACUAAGACGACUAUGAUUAAUUACAUAUUCUUCAUAACAUAACAACUUCAUGCACAAUCGCUUGAAAUCUCGUUAAAGCCGUCUCUUCUACGAAGAAGGUAUUUUGUGUUCGAAAAUGAGACCCAUAUAUAAGAACAUUGCCAGAGAUGGCCCAUUGAAUUGGUCGCACCUAAGAACUGGAUUAUCAAUGCCUUAAGCGCUUUACAGAUUUGAGUUCUUGAUGAAUUUUCUCUCUCUAACUGUUGGUCGUUCACGUCUUUAUGAUUGAUGAGGACAUGUCAUUUGGGCCUAAGGUUUCUUAAAUUCUAUAAACCAAGAGAAAAGUUUCAUUUUAAAGAAACUAUAUUCUUCACAUUCAAUUUCCCCCCUGUAAAAAGCACUCUGAAAGAUGCUAUAACUUCCCAAACAGCCGUUCAUAUCUAUCAAAAUAUUUUUCUUUCCUUUGGAUACCAAAAAAAUAUUAGAACGCCGUCCAAGAACGAUAGACAACACAUGGUGGCCAAGUUACAUUAACUUACGGACAAACAAAAAAUCACUUUACAGCUCAUGCAACUUUUUACUCAAUUCUGCUAAAGAAGUAGGGCAAUCUAUUCUCCCAUCGCUGUUACAAGAUACCAAGUUGGUUAGGACAACAUCAAUCAAGACAAAAGUUGCAUGACAAUACCAAAAGUCCAGAUUCCUAUUAUUCAGACCCUCACUUGUUAAGGAAAAGUUAUAACCUAUAGAUAAUAUUAUUACUUCAAACAGCAAUUGCUCCAGUUGCACUAUUCCUCUUUCCUCCAGAAUACAAUUCAUCAAAUAUCCCAAUUGUAAUACUAUAUAAUAUCAAGCAUGAAUUCAAGCCCCUGACAAGAGUAUCCUGCAUAUUAACGUAAUCUUUUAUUACUACCUCAACCCACACAAAAAGAACAUCACAUCUAUAUGUGUUUAUCCAUUCCAUGGCCCUCAGCCAGCAUUUUGCAUUUUUUUCAGUCAAGAGUUUCAUUCAAAGUAAUGGUUCCUCCAAAAAAAUUGGAUAAAAUUUUAUAAACUCCAUCAGCUCCAAUCACCUUAUACAUCACUCGGUUCAAACUCAUAAUUUAAAUUAAAGUCAACCAAUAUUCACUAAAUCCCAUGUAAAUCCAAUCCAGCAGAAACAUAUCCCAAAAUUAUAUUAGUGUUUUAAAAAUCACUCUACUAAUUUAAACCUCCCAACAAAAAUCGAAAAACAAAUUCAUAUUGUGCAGCAUAAUCAAGAAACUCGGAAAAAGAAGAUAACACAAUCAAGAAACCAUAGGUCCAAAAAAAUAAAAAUAAAAGUAAAAUAUCACAAACUCACAAAAUGUUGGAAGAUUCAGAUCAGAAUCAGAUUCUAAAUCGUGAAAUUACCAAAAAAAAAAAAAUGGAUGAUGGGAGGGGAGGAGAGAGGUUAAUCUUAGAUUAUAGACUGAGGAAUUGGGAGUGGCAAAUGAUGGAAUUCCAACCAAGAGGGGAAAAUAGAUCAACAUAAUUCUUCAAGUGCUUAUCCUGACUUGAUAUCCAUGAAAAUACUACAAUUAUGCCUUCCACUUUCCCUAUUUCUUCUCCACCAAUAAUACCUUCCUCCAAACCCCCCACAUCUUUUCAAUUUCCUCGAGGAGAAAAAAAACAAUUUCCUAGCACAAUUUUCUGACAAUAAAGAAACAAAUCCCUUUGAACAAAAAGGUAUUUAGCUUUUAAUUGUUUAUUUGUUCAUGUGGAAUAGAUUUUUUCAAGAACUCAUCCGAAAUUCUAAUUGGGGUGUGCCCAUUUCUGCUUCUUAUGGUCUUUCUUGAAAAUUAUAAAGAAUGGAUACUUGUUUUAUGAGAAUUUAUGUGAUGGUUUUAAAUAACAAAAAUGCUACCUAUAUAGCCUAUGCUGUACAUUUUGUUUGACAGGUAUCUCAUAAAAUGUAGAAGUCGUGAUUAUUUUAAUCGUGGGAACUCGUGAUUAUUUUGAUCGUGGCCCCACUUCCUCAUGUGAGAAGGCUAUCAACAAUGCUGUGAAAGAAGUUGUAAUUGUAGCACAAUUUUAUAUAUAAUAACUUGGCUGUGUCGACUUGCAGUUGUUUGAGUUGUAAGGAUUGUAACGAGCAAAGCUUUUUGUAGAACUCAUAUGACCCCUUUGUUAUUUUUGUAGUAUUUUCGAUUGGUGAUAUUCUUUCAAUUUGAGGCCUUGUUACAAGGGACACUUUUUCAAUUCCAUGCUAUUCAUGCCCUCUCAAUCUGAGAUAAUUUUAUAAUUUUUAUUAAGAUUGUUCUUUCAAUCCAGUGUGUGUGUGUGUAUCUUAAUUUAGACCUCUUGUCAACUAGGUGUUGGUAGGAGACGAGACUCUUGCCUCACCCGAGUACUGGUACGAUCCUCUAUAGCUUGAUCUUUCGAGAUUCACAGCAUUUGCAUUGGUCCCACAAUAGUGGUGUCACUCCCAAGGAGACCUUUUAGCCAUUUUUCUUGGCAUCUAAAUCGUCCCUCUAUUUAUUUGGUCGUGAAUUUGCUUCGAGUUCACUUGCCUUAUCAUUUCCUAAUAGUGGAUCUCCUCUUUGAUCAAAUCUACAAAUUCAUCGUACAUUUUGGGUGCUUGAUUGCGAACAUCUCUUCAGAAAGGGAUAGUCACGUCUAAAUCGAACAUCAAAGCCUGAAAAGUUGUAUCUUGUCGAAUGCUUUUUACAUCAAAAUGAAACGGUUGAGACAGCAUAGCAAAGGUUCAUCAAGAUCCUGCCUAACAUCAUGGAUCUUCCCAAUCGGGGUCAAACAUUUUCAUGGUGAACAUAUAGACGAAUUGGUCUUUAGGUAAGGGAACUAUCGAUGCUACCUAGUGAAAGCUUAUUAUACUAUUUUCUAGCUCCUAUUGAGAGUGUAACAUGGAAGUCUUGUAAUUUGUAUAUUGAGCUUGCCCUUAAGAAGUUUAUGUACAUGUUAUAUUCCCAGACAUGGUUUGAGGGAAAUUUUCUAGAUUUUCAGCAUGGCAAAUUUUGGGAAGGCUCUUUAACGCUUUGAUUAGCUUGGUAAAAGAGAUACAUGUCAUAGCUCAUCGCCUUUGGCCAAAACUGCUUGCUCCCCACCCCCUUUUUCGAGAGCACAUAGAGAAGGUUGGUCCUUUUAUUUGAUGAACUUAUUGGGUUAAUCUUGCCCAACUCUUUUACCACAUCCUCUAAGGACCUCGUCCUAGAUGACAUUGAUGCCUUCCAGCCUAAGAUACUACCAGGCUUUGAAGAUCUAUGCUCUCACUCAUGAUAAGAUGCUUGAUUUCCCAAAAGUGGUGCGUAGGUUGCUUGAUUGGAGGAAUUUGAUGUGUAUUCUCUAUGCAUAGAGCCCUCUACGUUGCUCUCACAUUCAUUCUCUUGGAGAGGCGGAAUACCUUUUCUUGAUGCAUCAAGAGUUGCCUUAUAGUAACAUUUUCUUUAGCAAAAUGUUAAAUGUUGGCCGCCAUGUUGCUAUAGCUCGAGUUAGCUUAGCCACGGUUCUUUAUGGAUUUGGGUUUCUUCUCAAAGUAUUUCUUGUUGAAACAACAUGACUUUCAUUCUAGCUCCCCUCGGGUUCUCAUCGCUGUUUGAUCCACUUUACUCUUCUUCUUUUUUUUUUACUUUUCUUGCUUCUCGCAUAUUCUCUUCUGGAGCUCAGCAUUCUUACAUCUUUGUUUAGAAUCUACUUCUUAGUAAAAGAUAAAAUUUUGUGGAUAUCAUUUGCAUGCAAAUAAUUAUCGAUGCCGAGUUCCUAAAUUCAUCAUCACUGAUAUUGGAAAACUCUUUUACAAUAGUCAUAUAAAUAAUCUUUGCGCCAAGUUUGGGCUCAAAAAAUACAACCCAUACAUGUACAAUGCGAAAACUACUUUGUUGAAAAAUAUUGUUUCCAAUUUAUUAGGAACUGGCAUGAAAAAAAUUGAGAAAGUCUUUGGGUUUGUCACACUACUUACUGGACUCAACAAAAGUUACUCCUUAUAUCCUUGUGUAUGGAGUGGAACAUUUCCUUAUAAUGUCAAAUUUCGUAAUUGUAUUAGCCAUCCAAGAAGUUUUGUUGAUGAACGAGAAUGUUCCUUUUUUGACUUGAGGAGUUUGCAUCUUUGAUUGAAAAGCGAUUAGAGGCAUAAAUGCUUCGAGAAUGUUAUCAAGCUCGGAGGGCAAAGGGCUUCAACAAAAAUGUGUAGCCAAAAUAAUUCUAAGUUGAAAAUAAUUAACUCCGAGAGAAAUUCAAACUUCAAGAAGAAAAAGAAGCUUGGAGAUUGAACACAAGAAAAUUUCUCCAGUGCAAGGUCAAAAGUUUCAAGAAUAAAGUCUUCUUCAAAUCAAAAUCAAAACAAACCCCCCAAGUCCCGAAAAUUCAAGUCAAGCCCAAAUCCUGAAGAUUCAAGCAAAUCAAGUUUCCAAUAGACAUCAAAGUCUAAGAUUCAAGCCAAAUGAUCCCGUAGUCUUCAAUACACUACUCACUAAUUAGAGGAUUGUGAAUUUUGUAGUCAUAAGAAAAUUAUACACUUAGUAAUUUUCCAAAAUCAAUUUGCAAUAUUUUUUAUAUCUUGUAUAUGAAAAUUGUUGUACAUGGCCUAUUUCGAUAAAUAAGAUUUGUGUGCGGACUUGGGCAAAACAAAUGUUACAUAUGUGCAGUUGAAUAAUAAUGAUUUGUCACUUAAUUUGUACUACAGAAGUUUGAUCUUCUACAACCAAUGGAAAAAAUAAAAACUUUUCACUGCUGAAACGUGAGAUCGAUUUCAUUGUUUUACAUGCAUAAUUGACGCAUGCAACAGUCAAUACAUGAAGUCAUCAUGCUCAUAUUGCAAUCCAUGAAUGGUACAAGUCUCUAUCGAUGUAAAGUAAAGACAUAAUAUGUUAUACAAAGGCAUUCGAAAGCUUGUAAUGUGAAACUUUUGUAUGUGUGUCAUCAUUUAUAAGGACACGGCCUACUCCAGAAAUUGACAAUUAAUUGCCAUGAAUAAUGUUAUUUGCAUUUGCUCACUACUGCAAUUAACAUACAUGUAACGGUUAGUGAUUUAUUGUACAAAGUAAUAAAAGACCACCACAUUGAUGUAUCAAAUCACUAACCACCAUAUAUACGCCACAUAGAACGAUUACGACAGUGAAUGACUGCAUAUAGCAUUACGCAAUUGCCAUAUAUCAUCUUAGUUGAAAGUUGGAACAACCCGAAAGCAAACUAUAUAAUUACGCAUUGAACUGUGUAAAACUAUAACUAUUAUAUUAAAUUAAAAUUCCAUCAAAUUAAGAGGUAAACAUUUAAUGAUAUUUCGACCUAAAAAAUUGAUAAGCUUCGGGAGAAAACAUGAUAUUAAUAAUAUUAAUUAAGAGGAAAUUACAAAAAAAAUGUCUAUUUUGAAAUAAUCGUUUAUAAAAAUGUCCAAAAUUUUUCAAUAUCUACUUUUGCAAUUAUUUGGAUGAGAGUAUCACUAAGUACCUUCCAUGAAAAACUACAUUAAAAUGAUGUUCUCGAUAUUUCAAAUGUUGUUCUCGAUAUUUGAAUCUGUUUAUAUUUCAAAAGUACACAUAUUAAAUCAAAAUAUUAAAUGUUCUCGAUAUUUCAAAUGUUGUUCUUAACAUAUUAAAUAUCUAGAAUGACAUUUCAUUCCAAAUAUGACAUUUCUCUCCAUUUUAAAUGUUGUUCUCAACAUUUCUGUGUCUAGUAUUAAUUGUGAUUUGACAUGUGCAAUAUGAAAUUAUUUAUUCUUCAUUAAGGGUAAAAUAGAGAAUUUGGUGUCAAAUUUAGCCAUUUUUGUAAAGAUUAUCAAAAAUGAACAUUUUUAAAUUGACAUAUGUGAAAUUGGACAUUUUUACAAAUGUCCCAUUUAUUAAUUGGUCAAACUUCAUGAUCAUCACGUAACGAAAACUAUCUAUUGUCUAACCAAGGAUGACAGAAAAUAAAAAUUGUCUCGUUUAAUAAACUUCUAGCUGGUGAAUGUAUCACUUGAUUAUAAUUAAUGUUAUAUUAAAUAAUAAAAAAAUUCUAGUAAGACCAAAUGUUCACGUAGGACAUGACUAUUCUCCAAUAGUUUUUUUUUUUUAAUUUAAAAGAAAAAAAAAUGUUAAACAUGCUACGUUGAGUACCAGAAAUGAUUAACAAUUAUUAUAGUGUGCUUAAGGGCCCAUAAUUAUUCUAACUUUUGUCACUUGCUGAUGCUUUUGACCUCUGCGAAUCAUUUUUUGAACAAUGAAAUCCAUAACAUAAAGGUGAUUAAGUGAGAUGGAGCCUUAAACGAAUCCCGGUGAGCAGUUGCAUUAAUUAAACACGUGUGUGUGCAGAUAGCUGUACAUUUGUCCUUAAUCUAUUUAUUGAAUAGCAAGUUUUUAUUUUUUAUUUAUUUUUUAUUUUUUAUUUUUAAUGAAGUUGCACAUCAACGACAAAAAUUGUCCAAAUCUUCAUUAAACCACACAUGAUCCUCACAUUUCUAAAUUUUAACUUCGUAUAAUUGAAUUGUGUUUUGCAAAUUGGACCAAUAUUUAAAUGGGACAUGUUUGUUAUUGGAGUUUUUCAUGAUAUUUGUACUUGAUUUUAAUUUGUUAAAUUAUACGGAAGUCAACGUAUAGUUGACUAUCUUGGUAACUAUGGCUUAUGCUCAUCCAUUACAUAUAACGUUUUGUGAUGAUAUUAGGCAUUUAACACAUUUGGCCCCAAAAAGAAACACAACUUUUUUUACAUUUAGAUGUUCAAUAUUUAAUAAAAUAAUUAUAUAUUUUGUAGGUAAAUGGACACCUUGAUAAUUUUGUAAUUAAUUUUAUUAUUAUCGUUUGAUGUUGAGACUUCAUAUUAAAUAAAGAGGAAAUUUCACAAAAUGUCCAUUUUUACUUAGUCAUUUGCAAAAAUGUCCAUAAUUGCAAAAAUGUCUAAUUUGGAAGAAUUUAGACCAAAAUACCCUUAGUAACAAUUUAUAAUUCCACACUAAGACAAAAAAGGGACAUUUUUGCAAUAUUGUUAUUGGUCAGUAAAAUUUUGACACAUAACCUGUCAUAUUUAUUUCAAAAAGUAUACAUAUCAAAUUACAAUAAAUGCUAUAUUUUUCAUUGAUUCAGAAAUGUAGAGAAACGCCAUGUUCAAAAUGAAAUGUCAUUCUAGACAAAUGAAACGGUGUUCAAAUGUCGAGAAUGACAUAUGAAAUGUCUAGAAAUAUUAUUUUAAUGUAACUUCUCAUAGAAGCUACUUCUCAAAAUUCGUGACAAAUUGAUAAAAAAAUCAAAUGUCGAGAACGACAUUUAAAAUGUCGAAAAUACAAUUUCAAAAUGUAGCUUUUCAUUAAGGGCAUAAUAGACAAGUUGGCACUAAAUUCGAAUGAGUGGACACUUUUCAACUCAUACCUUUAAAAUUUGACAUUUUUAAAAAUGCCCCUUAAAUACAUGUUUCUAAAAUUUAUUUUCCAGCAGCACAAUAAAUAGUCACAUUGCUCACAAUUAGAAUGGUCAAUAAAUGUAGUAGCGUAAUGCACUUUAAUUCUUCACAGAGAAAUUUUACUAAAUAUAAAUUAAUAUAUAGUUUCAUCAAGAAUAAUAUUCUUACCAUAUGCAUCGUGUCUUACUCACACUUAAAAAAUAAAAAAUUGGGAGGUGUAGUUUGGUGAGCCAAUCACGCUUAUGGAUUAAUACCACUUUAUAAGUUUUGAAAAGAAGUCAAACCAUUCUCUAUCUCAUAUAUGAAGUUGAGAUUCUCACUCACACUUAAAAAAUAAAAAAUAAAAAAUUGGGAGGUGUAGUUUGGUGUGCCGAUCACGCUUAUGAAUUAAUACCGCUUUAUAAGUCUUGAAAAGAAGUCAAACCAUUCUCUAUCUACUAUAUGAAGUUGAGAUUUGACAGAAAAUGGAAGAUAUGCAAGUAAAAUUUGUUAUUCGGCUCGAUCCUCAACCUCCAUUUAACUUGGUCUUUGUGCAAUCAUGUCGUCAUCUUAUUAUGUUCAUCAAUUAUGCUUACACAUUUUUGGUAGAGCUCCACAUCAUUAAUGGAAGUAAAGAUUUUAUUUUAUAAGUUUUGUGAGGCCUAUGAUCAAGUACCAACAUGGUGAAGUGAUAGAAUAUGAUCCUAAUAAUUGAAUUUGUAAUCUGACUAUGAAAACCCUCAUCCGCAUGAAUACUUUCUUUAAUGUAAAUUCGAUUUGUGUUUAAAAUGUUCAAUUUUCAAUAAUAUAUUAUAGUCUUUCGAACGCUACGCCAUGGCCAAGUGAGGGAAUGCAUUAAGCACAUGAUAGUGCCUGCUUCAGCGAGGAAAGAAUCCAUUUUAUUUUUAUUUUUUUGGCUUGUUUAACAUAACUUUUUGUUUUUACUUUUAUUUCUGCUUCCUUUAGAAGAGUGAGGUUUUUGUUUUUGUUUUUGUUUUUUGAAAUUACCUUAAUUUUCAGUGGUGAAACAAAUUUAUGAUUAUGAUCAUCUUCAAAUGCUUUAACAAUCUAAUAGCCACCUUCAAUGUCGUUUGAGAUUCGCAUGUUAGCCUUACAUCUACCUCUAACCGUUGAGCAACUUUUUCCUUUUGUAGAACCCUAUAUCUGACAAUUCUCUAUUUCACUUAAUCCUUCAAAAAUCUUCCUACUAUAAUAUUUUCUUUCAUGUGAGCACACAAAUUUAAUAAGUGUAAAUUCAUUUAUACGUGGGUGUUACUUAACUACUGUUUGAGUACGAAUCCAUAAACCAUUUUGUCGUCCAUAGUCUUCGUGUUAUGCCCUUGCUUCCUUUGCCGUCUUAAAUUUCAUCCCAAUGUAAGGCGCUUUGCCUUGUAUUGACGAUAACCCAAUCUCAUCAAAUUGAUACGCAUGUACAUAAUUACCACAAUUGGUUGCACCCAUCUACAAAACAAUUUUGAAAGAAUCAAUCAAUGAUAUUGAUUGCAUAGAAUUACCGAUAAUCAAAUUCAUUGUUGAAUAACUCGUACAUAUAUUUUCUUAAACAAAUUGUAGCAUACUUAAUUUUUAAAGUAUUCCCUGUUGAAGUAUAUAAUAACAUUUAUUAACCAUUUUAUUAACACUUCAAGCUAGUGAUAGCAACGGGGCGGGGUUAACAUUUAUUAAUCAUUUUACUAACACUUCAAGCUAGUGAUGGCAACGGGACGGAUUCGGGGCAGGGGGCUCCCACCCAGUCUUGCCCCGCCCCAACCCCACCCGCUCCGUUUAGGCGUGGUUGGGUUCGGGGUAGUUUUUUGCCCCAUUUACUACCCCAUUUAACUUUUUUUUUUUUUACACAUUUUCAAAAUUUAGAGUUAUAUUAUUAAAUUAUUAAAUACAAAUUCAAAAUUUAAAAAUUCAAAACAAAUAAUGCUCAAAUUAAAAUCAAUAUUCAAAGAAACACUUGAAAAAACAAUAUCCAAUAUAUUCACAGGGAGGGUUCGGGGCGGGGCAGUCUCAACCUAUCGGGGCGGGUUUUUUUGCCCCAUUCAGGACCGGGGCAUGGCGGGCGGGGUAAAUUGUCAUCUCUACUUCAAGCAAAUUAAAACUCAAUUAUAACCUUUAAAUCACAGAUGAAUCAAGCAUUAUGCUGAAAUUGAUGCAACACUACUCAAACUGCAUGAUACAUUAUGUGGAAAUCAAAAGAAAAUAAACACGGAUCCUUUUCCCACCAUUCAUGAUAAAUCAGAUUUGGAUAUUAGAGGAAAAUCAGAUUCAAGAACAUGAUAUAACACAGUUUUGUAGAAUGAUCAAAAUAACAAAAUCGAAACCUCACGUGAGAUUUUGGUUGAAAAACAGUUAACCGCUUACAGAAUCAUACCUAAAAAAAUUACUUCAGUUCUUAUUCUGCUUUCUCCUAAAUAAAUGAUUUGAUGACACAAUAGGAAUCCUCUAAAAAUUUAUACAUGGGCAAAGAAAUUCUUUACAUGCAGUGAUGAUUUGAAGAUUCAAUUUUGUGAGGGAGAUGAUGAAUUUCGGUGGUGAUGGAGAAUGCAUAAGAUGAUAGAAAAUCAUGAUGUUGUUGAGAGAUUUUAGGGAUUAAUAUAAGGUAAUUAGGGGUGUUUGGAAGUAAGAUUAUGAAUUCUUUCAUGUUUUAAUAUAUAAACUCCUAGCAUUGGAUUGAUUUUAAUUAAAGAUCACGAUUAUUUGUCAUAAAUACUUGUCAAAUUAAUGGGUAGACUUCCCUAUGCUCAUCAGAUAUGAGCCGCUGGUGAAUUUGUCGGAUAGACAGAUCUUUGUGAAAUUGAAUCAAUUGCUUAGGUGAUUGCCCUUUAGCCCUUUGUUUGACCAAAAAGACUCCCAUGAGUUGGAUGGGCUAAUGCUUAAAGAUAAAUUUCAAGAGAUUCCCUAUUUUAAUUUUUGAAAAUAGAGAGUGGGUAAAUAUACGAAGAAAUUAAUAAAUAUUUCUUGAGAAAAGUAAAAGAAGAAGACAAAAUAGAAAGUAUUAUUGCAGAGAAUAAAAUUUAGACUCUCUAUAUAAUGCAUAAAAAAAUUUUUACAAAUAAAAAGUUUGUUGAAGUUGAUCUAAUGAUGGUAUAAAUGAAAGAUUUGGAUAAAAUUUGUAAAAAAAAUAAAAAUAAAAUAAAUAAAUAUGUUGUAAAUGGAAAGUCCAUUAAAGUUUAUUGGUGAAUGACAUUUGUACCCCUGUAACCCUAGAAAUUAUUACCAUUGUAUCCCUAAUUCUUACCUAUAAAUAUAGGGCUUUGAUUUUCAAUAAUAUACACAAAAAGUUUAUUGAAUUUUCUCUAUUCUCUUUGAGUUUUCUCUAUUCUCUUUUCCUCUCAUUUUAUAACACGUUAUCAGCAUGAAACUCUUAGAAGAUAGUAAUUUUUUUUUUCAUAAUCAUCUAUCACGUAUAUCAAAAUUAAUUUGAUAAUACGUGAAUUUUACAUAUACAUAUGUUGAAUCUGCAAUACGUGAUCUCAUCUUUCUCGAUCAUUAUGUUUUCUUUGUACCUCUCUUUGAAUUAAUUAAUUUUUUUUCCUUUACAUCAAUCCACGUGCAUUUUUAUGGAGAUAUAUUUAUGUUAAGUCAAUUGAUAUGUAUUAAUUCAUGUUCCUAUACCCUCCUUGUAUUUAGAUUAGUCCUUUACAUUCUACACAUGCUUAUAAUUUUUUUUGGUUUAAUUGGUCAAUGUUCUUUGUAAGCAAGCUUCAAUUCCAGAUCUCUAUUUUGGCUUAUUCCAUAUAUAUAUAAUAUACAAUUAACAAAUAACUGUACCCAACUCAUCUUUUCUCUCAAAUCCAUUGGUUUCUGCAAAUUUCAUGCUUUAAUUGGUUAAUACUAAUUCAAUUCUUUUAAUUGCACAUAAUUAGAAUUUCAUGCCAUAAUAUGUGAAUAGGUGUCUACAUGUCACCAAUUUUUUUUUUGUGUUUCACUCGACUCACGUUAUUAAUUGAAAAUAAUAUUUUACAUGUGUUUGUAUAUUAAUUAAUGGUGAGCAAUUGGAUGUAUUAUCAUUUUUUUUAUGUUUAGUUAUGAAACAUUACAUUAAAUUUAUUUUUAAUUGUUGUUACUCCUGAAGUAGCACAACAUUAUAAUUAAUAUUCUAGAAGAAUAUUAAUCAUAAAUCUAUUCGUUGUUGCUCCAGAAGUAGCACAACAUUAUAAGAAUAUUAUUUACUCCUGAAGAGUAUAAAUUAUAACUCUCAAUAUUCCAGAAAAAUAUUGACAUAUUGCACUUGAAGAAAUAAUAGCAAAAUAUAAUGUACUUCAGAAGUAGCAUAUGUUUCGAAGAACAUAUUAUUUCAAAUUAGUGUUUAUCCCUAGAAGAAAACACGUAAUUUAAAGUCAUGUUGAUAUUGACUAUUUGAUUAACUUGUGAUGAUUAAUCAUAUUCUUCGAAACUAAUUAUAUUUUUUUAUUGUGUAGUUAAAUAAAUGGCAAACAUUACGAAACUUGAGUUUGCUGCACUUGACAUAUCUGGUAAAAAUUAUCUGUCAUGUAUACUGGAUGCUAAUAUCCAUCUCGUCUCAAAGGGUCUGGGAGAGACAAUAAAAGAAGGAAACAACGAAUCCUUGCAGGAUCGUGUAAAAGCACUCAUUUUCCUUCGUCACCAUCUUCACGAUAGAUUAAAAAUUGAGUAUCUCACUGAGAAAGAUCUACAAGUUCUUUGGAAAAAGUUAACUGAAAGAUUUGAUCAUCAAAGGACUAUAGUCCUCCCCAAAGCCCGUUAUGAGUGGAUGUACCUUUGUUUGCAAGUCUUUAAAACGGUUAGAGAGUACAAUUCUGAAUUGUUCAGAAUAUGUUCAAAGUUGACUUUGUGUGGAGAAAAAUCACUAAUGAAGAUAUGUUGAAAAAAACUUUCUCCACCUUUCAUGCCUCGAAUGUGCUCCUGUAGCAGCAAUAUCGUGAGCGUGGCUUCAAAAAGUACUCAAAACUUAUAUCUUGCCUAUUAGUUGCUGAACACAAUAAUGAAUUGUUGAUGAAAAAUCAUGGAUUACGUCCAACUAGUUCUGUACCAUUGCCUGAAGCAAAUGGUACUACAUUGUCUGAAGCAAAUACAAUAUCAAGACAAGGACGUGGAUACGAAUUUGGAGGUGGACACAAACACGGACGUGUACGUGGAAUAAAUCAUGGAAGAAAUAAUCAACAAAAUUAUCAACAACAAGGUAAUAAAUUCAAAAGGCACAAAGCAAACGAGAGUGACAAAUCUAAAAAAGAGCAUGAAGAAAGUUGCUUCAAAUGUGGAAUGAAAGGGCAUUGGGCACGUAUGUGUCGUACCUCAAAAUAUCUUGUGGAUCUCUACUAGAGAUCAAUCAAGGGAAAAGAAAAAUUAGAGACUAAUUUUGCUGAUUAUGAUGGUCCAAUUGAUGUGACUCAUUUGGAUGUCUCCGAUUUCUUUACUGAUCCAAAUGAAAAUAUUGACCAUUUGGUUGGGGUGGUGUGAUAGAAGAUAUAAAUUAAUUUACUAGUAUUUCUUUCGUUUUAGAAAUUCAGUCUGAAAUAUGUUUUUACUUUUUUGCACAAAAAAAAUAAAUAAAUAAAACUCUAUUAUGCAAUGUUUAUUUCAUGAUAUUAAGUAAUGUUUACUUCUUUAAAUCUAAAUUCAAGUUUUUUUUUAAAAAAUUUGUUUAUUUUGUUAUAUUUAUAUAUUCAUGAUGAAUAGUCAAGACAGCUGCUUAAUUGAUAGUACAACUACACAUACUAUUCUUCAAGAUAAAAAAUACUUUUUGGACUUAAUAUUAGCCGAAAAUAAUGUUAACACGAUAUCGGGUGCGUCGAAUAUCGAUGAAGGCUCCGGAAGAGCUUGUAUUAUUUUACCAAAUAAUACAAAAUUAUAUAUUGACGAUACACUUUAUUCUAACAAAUUCAGAAGAAAUUUGCUUAGUUUUAAAGAUUUCGCUGCAAUGAAUAUCACAUUGAGACAAUGCAAGAAAAUAAUGUUGAAUAUCUUUGCAUCACUUCUUUUGUAUUUGGCAAGAAGCAGAUAAAAGAAAAAUUUCAUGCACUUCCGUCUGGGAUGUAUUUUACAUUUAUAAAAAUGGUCGAAUCAAAUAAUGUUACGAAUCAGAAGUUCAUUGAUUCAAAAAGUUUUAUACUUUGGCAUGAUCGACUUGGACAUCCAGGAGCCAUAAUGAUGCGUCGAAUAAUAAACAACUCACAUGGACAUCUUUUAAAGAACCAAAAAAAUUCUUUUUUCUAAUGAUUAUCCAUGUGUAGCUUGUUUGCAAGGAAAGUUAGUCAUUAAACCUUCAACUACAAACGUCAAUAUUGAAUCUCCAACUUUCUUGAAAAGAAUACAUGGAGAUAUAUGUGGGCCAAUACACCCACCAUAUGGACCAUUUCGUUACUUUAUGGUAUUAAUUGAUUCUUCUACAAGAUGGUCACAUGUUUGCCUACUUUCAACUAGGAAUGUAGCAUUUGCUAGACUACUUGCUCAAAUCAUAAAAUUGCGUGCACAAUUCCCCGAUUACUCAAUCAAGACUAUUCGUCUUGACAAUGCUGGUGAAUUUAGAUCACAAGCAUUUGAUGAUUAUUGUAUGUCGAUUGGGAUUGAAAUUGAACAUUCAGUUGCACAUGUUCAUAUACAUAAUGGUUUAGCAAAAUCGUUUAUUAAACGUCUACAACUUAUUGCUAGACCAUUACUUAUGAAAACAAAACUCCCAGCUUCUGUUUGGGGUCAUGCCAUAUUACAUGCUGCAUCAUUGGUUCGUAUAAGACCAACUGCCUAUCAUCAAUAUUCACCUUUGCAACUUGCAUUUGGUCAUGAACCUGAUAUUUCUCACCUACGGAUUUUUGAUUGUACUGUCCAAGUUCCUAUUUCACCCCCCACAACGUACUAAAAUGGGUCCCCAACAAAGAUUUGGGAUUUAUGUGGGUUUUGAUUCACCAUCUAUUAUUAGAUAUCUUGAACCUUUAACGGGUGACUUAUUUACAGCACGUUUUGUAGAUUGUCAUUUUGAUGAAAUGACUUUCACAACUUUGGAAGGAGAAAAACUACAUUCUGAAAAACAAGAUAGAAUUUCUUGAAAUGAGACAACUCUAUCUCACUUUGAUCCCCGCAGCAAUCAAUAUGAACAAGAGGUUGAAAAAAUCAUUCAUUUACAAAGAGUUACAAUUCUACUACCUGAUAUAUUUGUUGACAUGAAAAAAGUGACAAAGUCAUUUAUUCCAGCAGAAAAUAUUUCAGCAAAAAUUAAUGUCCCUACAGGACAAUCUACUGUGGCAAAUGAAUCUCAAAUACGCCAGAAGCGUGGUCGACCAGUUGGUUCAAAAGACUCUGUACCUAGAAAAGAAGAGUACAGAAGAAAAACCAACCAAAAAUUUCAGAAAAAAUCACAUUAGAAAAGAUUGAUCAAUUAAAUAUUGAAUGUACGGUUCCUGAAGAACCAGAGGUGUCUGAAAAUAAUGAGAUUUCAAUAAAUUAUAUGAUAUCUCAUAAAUUAUGAGAACGGAAUAAUAUUGUUAUAGACAAUAUUUUCGCCUUUAACAUGGCUCUUGAUAUUAUACAAAAUGAGGAUCCUGAACUACAGUCUGUUAAUGACUGUUGAAAUAGAAAUGAUUGGCCAAAAUGGAAAGAAGCCAUACAGGCAGAAUUAAAUUCUUUGGAGAAACGAAAAGUGUUUGAACUAGUAGUUUGAACACUUGAAAAUGUAAUUUCUGUUGGAUACAAAUGGGUUUUCGUACGAAAGAGAAAUGAGAAUAAUGAAAUUACAAGAUACAAAGCCCGACUAGUGGCUCAAGGUUUCUCCCAAAGACCGGGAAUUGAUUAUGAGGAAACAUACUCUCCCAUAAUGGAUACCAUCACUUUUAGGUUCUUAAUUAGUUUGACCGUGUCAUAAGGGCUCGAUAUGCGCCUUAUGGAUGUUGUAACUGCCUACCUAUAUGGUUCACUUGAUAGUGACAUAUAUAUGAAAGUCUUUGAAGGAUUUAAGGUGCCAGGAAUAAAUUAUACAUAUCCGAGAACUAUGUUCUCAAUUAAAUUGCAAAAAUCAUUAUAUGGAUUGAAACAAUCCGGACGCAUGUGGCAUAAUUGCCUUUGCGAAUAUUUGUUGAAAGCGGGUUAUAAAAAUGACAAUAUCUGCUCAUGUGUUUUCAUAAAGAAAACAAAUAUUGGAUUUACAAUUUGGCAGUUUAUGUUGAUGAUUUAAAUUUAAUUGGAACUCCUGAAGAGCUCAACAAAAAUGCAGAUUAUUUGAGAAAUGAAUUUGAGAUGAAAGAUUUGGGGAAAACCAAAUCUUGUCUUGGAUUACAAAUUGAACAUUUUCCAGAGGGAUUAUUUGUUCAUCAAUCUACUUAUACAGAAAAAGUCUUGAAGCGCUUUUAUAUGGAUAAUGCACAUCCAUUGCCAUCACCUAUGGUUGUUCGAUCACUUGAUGUGAAAAAAGAUCCAUUUCGUCCACUUGAAGAUGGAGAAAAGAUUCUUGGUCUUGAAGUGCCAUACCUUAGUGCAAUUGGAGCAUUAACUUAUCUUGUAAAUUGCACUCGACCUGACAUAGCUUUUUCUGUAAAUCUCCUUGCAAGACAUAGCUCUACGCCAACUCAAAGGCAUUGGAAUGGUGUUAAACAUAAUUUUCGUUACCUAAAAGGUACUAUUGAUAUGAGACUAUUUUAUUCUCAAAAGUCAGGAUCUGCUUUAGUGGGAUAUGCAGAUGCAGGUUAUCUCUCCGAUCCACAUAAAGCUAAAUCACAAACAGGAUAUGUGUUUACACGUGGAGGAACAGCUAUAUCAUGGAGAUCUGUGAAGCAAUCCUUGACAGCAACAUUCUUACAUCAUUCUGAGAUUAUUGCAAUCCAUGAAGCAGGGCGAGAAUGUGUAUGGUUGAGGAAUAUGACCCAUCAUAUCCAAUCAUCAUGUGGAUUGACUUCAAUAAAAGAUAGUCCAACAAUUUUGUUUGAAGAUAAUGCAGCUUGUAUCGCACAACUCAAGGGAGGCUAUAUCAAAGGCGACAGGACGAAGCAUAUUUCUCCAAAAUUCUUUCAUACACAUGAACUUCAGAAGAAUGGUGACAUUGAUAUUCAACAAAUUUACUUAAGUGACAAUGUGAUUGAUCUAUUCACAAAAACGCUGUCAACAUCUACAUUCAAGAAAUUAGUUCAUGAGAUUGGAAUGCGUCGACUCAAAGAUUUUCAGUGAUCAAUAUUAGGAGGAGUAGCUGUACUCUUUUUCCUUCGCUUAGGUUUUGUCCCAUUGGGUUUUCCUAGCAAGGUUUUAAUGAGGCAGCAUUUAAUUUUAAUACUCCAAAAUAACUGUACUCUUUUUCCUUCAUUUAAUUUUUUUUCCCCAUUGGAUUUUUAUCAAACAAGGUUUUAACGAGGUAGAUAUUUUGUAAUAUGUCAUUCAACGAAGAGUGUUGUAAAUGGAAAGUCCGUUAAAGUUUAUUGGUGAAUGACAUUUGUACCCCUGUAGCCCUAGAAAUUAUUACCAUUGUAUCCCUGAUUCUUACCUAUAAAUAUAGGGCUUUGAUUUUCAAUAAUAUACACAAAAAGUUUAUUGAGUUUUUUCUAUUCUCUUUUCCUCUCAUUUUAUAACAAAAUAGUAAUAAUAAAUGAAAGAUUUGGAAUUACAACUGUAUUAUUCCUACGAUGGUUAUGUUGCCACCAUAAUUUCUAUUUGUCACACCACAAUUUAAUUGUAGUUAAACUCCCAAAUCCAUGCUCAUUGUAAUAAUUAUUUCCUUUAUUUUCGUUGAAUUUUUAUCUUCAACUUUCAUUAAUUAGUACAUCACGUCCUGACGAUAAUUUAUGUUAAAAUAUUUUGUGUACAUGCUCUACAUUAAGGGAAAAUAAAAUUUUUUUAAUUUUUAUAUAUGAUAAAAAAUAAGUUGUUGUAAGCUGUUUUUUUUUAACAUAAAUUGUUAUCAAAUACAAAAUAUAUUUGUAGUGGUCCAAAUUAUCCGUUGGGCUCUUGACCCAAUCCAUGUAUAUUGAAUGUUCCUAGCCCAAACUAAUGUAUGCCAAUCAUGCUCAUCCUUGACCCACUAAUGAUUUAUCAGUCUUACUUUGUGUCCGACCUAUCACACGGUGUCACGUAGAGUCUAAAGGAUAAACUUCUCAACAAGCAAAUCAGUUCAACUCACCAUCUUUUCUAUAAGAGUCGUGAGCUAAGGGUAAGACCAUGUCUUACGAGGUGUUCAAAUGGUUAUGGUAACUCUACCCAAAGUUGGUCGAGUUUUUCGAAACUCGGAAAAUAUCAUCCUAAUUAAUCAAUCCAUCUGGUGUCCACAUGCUCCACUAUUUGUGGAUCAAACAAUUUUGCUGGUUCUCUUAUAAAUAUGAGGGCCAACUAUUCAAGGGGAGAAAAAAAAAUUAUUGAGCCUACACAGCUUCCUCAAUAUUUAUCCAAUUUAGAUAUCUUAUUGCCAUUACUAUCACUUUUAUUUGUCACCUCUCACAAUCAUAUCAUCCAACCACUUCGCUACUAUCACUAUUUCAUCAUGCCAAUCAUAAAUAUCAUCAAUGCCUACUUUUAGAAUCAACUAUAGAUUCGAACAUCUACAAUUUGGCGCCCACCCCGUGGGCCCCAGUGAUUUUCAACACAAAAAAUAUUCCACUAACAGUAAACAUUUUGAUCGCAAUGACGGAAUCCCUAUUAUUGUCAAAGCUAGCAGCCAUGCUUGUUCAAUUUACUUCUCAAAUGGCUGAAACCAACCAAAAGUUCUAGCAGCUAGAAGUAUAAAAUGUACAACUUAAGCAGACAAUUAGAGAGCUCUCUACACUCUCAACGUUAGCUGGGACCAAGAGCCACAUUCAAUUUCACACUGUAGUGAGAACCAUAUAGUUACUUGACAUGCCAAAGCGUGACAUGCUAGGUAUAUGAAGAACUAAUGUCAAUACUAACAAUGUCAAUACAGGCCACGAGACAGACAUGGAGGACGAGGUACUGCUUGACGACCUACCCAUUGUAAAGGAGCUGGUACCACAGGUCAUUAAUACAAAUUACCAAAACACGGACUCUUCACGCAACGAAGGCACUAGCCCAAAUCCGAUAUCGAUCAACGUUUCGCCAUGACAGAGGCCAUGAUCAACCAUAUCCUGAGUGUACCUAUACCGAUCAAGAAAAAUAGGCAAAGCUUUGCGGACUCACCAUUUGUCUAUUCGAUAGCUCUAGUUAAAAUGUCAAUAAAUUUCAAUUUUUCCAAUAUGAAGAUGUAUGAUGGCACCACCGACCCAAAUGCCCAUAUUGCCCAAUGUAAACAAAGAAUGUUCACAGUAACCAGGCCCGGUUCUGGGGCCAGGCGAAUAAGGCCUACGCCUCAGGCCCAGAUUCCAAGGGGGCCUCAUUUUUAGCCCAGAAUUUUAUUUUAUUUUAUUAUUUUUUUCGGUUGAACCAAACUAGUAAUGAAGAAGAGUACCUCACAACUUCAAGCCCAAAUCCAAUACCCUUAGUCUUAAUCCAUUUAUCCAACUUAUACAUCCAUAAAUCAUAAUCUAUUAUCUGUCAUUUACCCAAAAUUCCCAAUUUCCCAAUCCCCAAUCAAAAACCCCUUUCUCCCAAACGCUCGUCUGAGUAGUCCGUCCCCUUCGUAGCGUCGCCGAUCGCCUCUGUCUCUCUUCUCGACUUCCUCAUUCCGACUUCCAGAUUUCCUCUUCCUUGAGUCAUCAGUUACGGUCCAUGGAGUCGGACACCAUCGUAGUUCACACCAAUUCCCUUCCGUUGCGGAGCACAGUUCGCUGUUCACCCCUGUUAGCAAGCAAGUGCUUGGCAGUUGACUAUUAGUUUAGUAUGUUAAGAUUAUUAAUUCCUUUUGAGUUAUAUGAUUACAUUUACACUAAGUAUUCAACUAUUCAUUCAUGACUUUUACCUUUUACUUAUUAUAAUUUUGAUUACAUGACUUUAACUAAUAAAUGCUCUUUUUCUAUGUUACUGUUAAAUACUUUAAUAUUAAUGGGUUAACUGUUAUCUAGUCUAGGAUGGAGUCGAGGACUUGAAAAUGCUACAACUAUGUUUAAUGAUUAUUGAUUAAUAUAUAAUUUGUUGUACAAGUUUGAGACGAAGAACUCUCAAAUCUCAAGUAAUGACUAAUGUGUGAAAUAGUUUAUAGUUAAUUUCAAUAACUUAGUUUGAUAGGUCUUUGUGAGAAUAUAUAGUUGAGAACUUGAGAUAUUAUUUUGUUAAUGAACUUAAGAAAAGAUAUCUUCAGUUUUUACAACCAGUAUACUAAUUUGAAUUAAUUUAUUUUGUUGAUGAAACUAUUUUAACGGUGAUUAGCUCUUAUUAAAUGUGUUAUUUCCCUAAGCUUGACUAAAUGUGCGCCUAUUUUUAAGUAUUGGUGUUUGAUGUUAAAUUUUUGUUUCAGGUUCGUAAGUUAUGACGAUGAAAUUCGCAAGGGUGUGAUUCCAUAGUUUUUGUCGCAAUUCUGCUUAUCAAGUAAGCAGUGGUUUUCCCUAACUUGUUAUUUAAGAGAUUAGAAAUGUUUGGAGCCUUGUCGGCUUAUAUAAUUGCAGCUUGGUUGGCUUAUAUGAUUGAUUAUUGUACGAUCAACUAUUUCAGAAGAAAGAUAGAAUGGAUUGACUAUGUUGUCAAUAGAGAAAGAAAUAGUUGAAUAGCUAAACUAUUCAAAUUUUAUUAAUGUUUUUGCCUUUUAGACGAAUAAUAUUUAACUAAUUACUUGAAAUAUUUUGGUUUUGUUAUUUGAUAAUAUAAAUUUUUUAUAUAAUAUAUCUGUUUGUUGUUUUAACUAAAUUUUAAGUUAGCAAUAAGUUGCAUAAUAUACCAUUGCAUUUACGUUGAUUUCGGGAGGGGGCCUAAUUUAUAUGCUUUGCCUUGAACCCUGACAAUCACAGGACCGACCUUGAUAGUAGCAAACCCACAUGAUCUCUAAGAAGCAUACAGGUGCAAAGGAUUCGGCUCUAGUCUUAUAGGGCUAGCUUUAUAGUGGUACACCAAUUUAACUAACAACUCAAUAUCAUCUUUUGUACAAUUAAAUGAUAUUUUUGUAGAGCAAUUCGCAAGUAGCAGAAAAUUAAUUAUUCGAACAUCCUCUAUAAAAUUGUACAAUGCACAGAAAUCUCUACUUUCAAAAAAAGAUUUAAACCUGACUCAGACCUCUACAAGGAAUUGACUAAGUACGCUUACUACACAAUGAAAGAUGUGUUGGUAGAGGCCUAGGCUCAAAUCAAGAGGGAAGAUGACGAGGCUAAUGCAUUUCGCAACCUACUCUUCAAGAUCAAAGAACCUAAAGGUAUCCAGAGGAUACAAAGACGACAAACUGACCCAUAUCCAAAAUUGAUUGUAGAAUCUUGUGAAGAACGGACAACUAGAAACUAUUGAGUGCCUUCACCAUUCUUACGAUAGACCAAGGAUACCCGAGUACAACCUUAGCAUUUUAUCAGUUGAAGUUGUAGCCAUAAUAAAAGGGAAGGAAAAUACCAUCAAAUUGAUAGGAAAAAUGAGAAGUCAUCUAGGCAACAGGCGUGAUACAUCCAAACCGUGUGCAUUUUAUGGUGAUCACGAACACAAAAUUCAUGAUUGUAUUGGUUUGUGAUUGGAAGUUGCUAAUCUACUCAAAUGUAGGCACUCACCAAUCUCCUAACAAAGAAAGGAAAAAAUACAUUGUUUCUCGGCAACCAAUGCUACAAUGAACCACACAAUCUAUGAAUUUCCAAGCACAUCCAAAGCUCGGUCGAGCAAUAACUUCAUCACCAAAGGAUCGAAGGUUAGCGGGAUCACUUAUUCUGUUGUACAAUGAUGCAUUCAAAUAAUUGGAUAGGUGGCGUGGAACGAAUCUCGAAAGCUUUCAAUAAGCUGAGAAGGCCAUCCCACUACGCUUAACUUUACAAGUAACGAGGCAUCAAACCUCCAAAACCUUCAUUGCGAUGCUUUGGUUAUUUCGUUAUGUAUUGCUAGCUAUCUUAUGAAAAGAAUUUCUAUCGACAAUGUGAGUUCUACUAAUAUAUUUUUCCUUGAGACAUUAAGAGAGAUGUAGGUCCCAGAGUCCAGCAUUAUAUGCAAUAUUACCACACUCAUAUGAUUCAAUUGAGAACACAAAACUACACUAUGAGAGAUGAUGCUCUUGGUCUAUGAUGAAGAAGUAAAUCUUCAUACCAAGUUCCUUGUCAUCGAGUGCCCAUUGGCCUACAACGUUAUCAUAGAAAGACAUUGGAUAUAUGCAAUGAAAGAUAACCUUCAAGCUAUCACAAGGUCAUGGGCUUUCCCAUUUCCUGGAGAGUUAAAAAAAUAUGAGGAGAAUCAAAGAGUCUCACGCAACUGCUAUAUGAAUGCUUUCAAACCCUGACCAGAAUGAGUGCACUAGAUCCAACAAAAAGUAAGCGAAUCGCUUGAGCCAGAUAUGGAGGACAUCAACAAAGUCCAAUUAUAUCUAGACAUUUCAAAGCAUACAGUGUAGAUUUGAGAUUAAUUCCCAUCAGACAUCUGAGAUGUAAUAAUUGAAUUUCUAGCUUGACAUCAAGAUCGCUUUGCAUGGUCGCACAUGAAUAUGACAUGUAUUGAUCCUUCAAUAGUAACCUAUAAAUUAAAGGUCAAUCCCACUACUAACUAGUUAGACAGAAGAGACACAAAUUCGCUCCAAAAACGAUAAAAAUUAUUAACGACAAAAUACAAAAGCUCAUUGACAUCGGCUCAGUACGUGAAGUCUAAUAUCCAAAUUGGUUGGCCAAAGUCGUCAUCAUUGAAAGGAAAAAUGGCAAAUGAUGGAUCUGCAUAGACUUCAUAGAUUUAAUAAUCGUGCCCAAAAAAUUCCUUCCCUCUAUCACAUAUCGACACUUUGGUGGUCUCCACAGCAAGGUAUAAGUUACUUAGCUGUAUGGAUGCAUUCUCAAUAUACAACCAAAUCUUAAUGCAUCCAAGUGAUCAAGAGAAAAUGGCUUUAAUAACGGGAGGAGAUGUUCUAUUACUAAGUCAUGAUAUUCGACCUAAAAAAUGCAGAAGCAACAUACCUGAUACGACCCAUCCCAAAUCACUAUAAUGAACCCGACACGUGUCGUGCGCCAAUGAAUGAUACCAGCUAAAUGCCAGACCUACCACCAAAUCAACUAUGAUUUGCUUUGACUGUCACAUAAUUAUAUAAAAAUUUGACAGAGUUUCCUCUAAGAUAUGGACUAAAAUAACCUGAAAGUUUAUCAACUUUCUCAAAUCAAUACAUAUAAUUUAAAACAAGGUACAUCAGCCCUUCCAAACACAACUAUUCAAAAUAAAGUACGAUUGAAUGGAAUUUACACUUCUUUACAAACCAGAGGACUCCAAAUACAUUACUUAUACAAAUUAUGUAGUGAGGCCAUGAUAUAAAUUGACAAAAGAUGCAUCUACCCCAAAAAAUUAUGAACUGUAUAAAUUGACAAAAAGAAACAUACAAAUAACAACUGAGGGGCUCAAUUUGGUAAUUCAACAGGCUCCGAUGUGGCUUAACACAGCUACCGUCUGAUAAGAAAAAGGGAGAUGAAAUAUAUGAGUUUGUAACUCAAUGAGUGGAUAAUUUUGUAAACAAAUAUACUUUUUCCAUUUAUGCUAACUUUCUAAAAACUGGUUUAUAAUAGAAAUAUCAUUACAUAGUACUUUAAGCUAAAUUCUGUAUUCUGAAAUUUGAUAAGUUGUAUAAUACUGAAAAAUCACACUAAAAAGGUACCCGGAAUAACUAUACUUAUGUAUCGAUUAGCAUCGAUAGACAUGGCAAAGAUAUCCAAUUCUGAAAUUCUGUAAUUCUAAAAUUUUGGUCAUACGAUGCACAGCUUUCUGGUCAUACACCAUGGAAACACAUUAACAAUAGUGCAAAGUAGGUAAAAUCACCAUAAUUAGUCAUACACUGUGGAAACACAUUCACACUAGUGCAAAGCGGGUAAAAUCACCUGGGUACUUUCUAGUGAUUUUUAGAAAAUAACUUUAAAUAUGCUGAACUAUUUAAUACUGAAAUAAUGUGCCAAUGAAAUGCUUUAACUGAACUGAAUUUAACUUCAAAACACAACUGUUAAUAAAUCAACUUUUUUCUGAAAAUCGUGUUUUCAAAUCAACUGUAUGAAUUAAUAAAUUUUCUAAUUUAAUAUAAAUUUUAUAAAUACUAAUUUCUUAAAAAUAAGUUUAUAUCCACUCACACAAUACGAGCUACACACUAGGCCACUUGGUAAGCUUUUCCAAUUUCUUUGUCACCACAUGAAAUACGUUACAAAAUAACUAAUUUAACUACUAUUAAAAUCAAGAAACCUUUUAUCUCUAAUGAUAAAAUAAUUAAACUAAAUUUUCCAAGACUUGCGAAAUUUUUUUAAAUUUCCUUUAUUCAAUUGGAGUUAAUUUUAAUUUCUAAUAAUACCUUCACACAUGGGUACUUUACCCAAAUUUACUUUCAUCCCAUUCAUAAAAAUAAUUAUACUUUCUGAUCUAAUGCAAACUAGUAACCAUAAUUCCACCUAUUUAAACUUUCAUCUUGUUUCUCAACUUCAUGCUUUCAUAUGAGUAUUCCAUCAAUAUAAUCAUUUCCAUGAAAUAUCCUUACUUAAGAAUCCAAUUAAAAAUUCUAGGGUUUGCCAAAUUUUUUUUGAUAUUUCUUACCUUAAUUCAAACGGAGACUAACCAAUCAAGAAGCUUGAGCUAGAGAUCAUAAUCCUUUCUCUAAAUCUGAAAUUUCGAACCAAAUUAAAACCCUAGAAAUUUAACAUAAAAUUUAUCUACCUCUUGAAGAAAAUAAAGAGAAAGGAAAAAUGAAAAUAAACCUUGAACUACAUCUUUCCCUUCUUCUUCCUCUUUUUCUUUUCCUUUUUCUCCUUCUUUUUCUUCACUUUUUUUCCUUUCUUCCUUCCUUCCGCCGAUUUUUCUCCUUCUCUGCCGGUUUCAAGAUUUUUCCUAUUUGUGUGGCUGAGUGAUAUAUAAAAAAAUGGGCUAGUUGUUGUACAAUUGCCACAUGCCCUCCAUAACAUCAACUUUUGCAAAUUAUGUCCUCAUUAAUAUACUUAGGAUCCGUUUGAUUGCAAAUGUGGAAUUUGGGUGAAAAGAAAACGAAUUUCAGGGAAUUGAAUUGAUGAGAAAUUGUUUUACUGGGAGUUGUAAAUUAUUGUGUUUGAUUGAUAUAAUUUUUUACGUGAAAAUUGUUUAAAUUAAAUUUUUUUUGAUGUCUGUUUGGUUUUGUUUUACAUGAAAAAUGUCAAUUAAAGGGAUAGAAUUUACUGGUAUUUGGAAUGAAAUUUGUUUUCAUUGCCAAAAUAAAAAAAAAUUCAAGAAAAUCAUCGAUUUUUGGGUGUUCGUUUGAUUUUGUUUUACAUGAAAAUUGUCAAUUAAAGGAAAAUAUUUUUUUACAAUAAUUUUUAGAAUUUAUUUUCAUUGCUAACACAAAAAAAGAAGGAAAAAAAAAUUGAAAACCUGGAAUUCACUUUCCUACCGUAUAGGUGGAAAAACCAAUUCCUUGAAAUGAAGGAAAAUAGGCGCGUGUGAGGCUUGCAUGGAAAGUGAAUUCCAAGGAAAUGUUUUGCCAUCAAACACUAGAAUUUGGAAAAGAUGGAAAUUAAUUUUCACUUUCUAGGGAAUUCAUGGGCAAUCAAACGGUACCUUAGAAUCAUUUACUUCCCAAAAAUAGAAAAAUAAAUCCCUAACUUUUCCACCUUAAACCUUCCGAUUAUUUCUCAGUAUAAAUUAAACUCCAAUAAUUAAUUUAUUUUAUUUUAGUCUCUAUUUGACUUUGACUUUGACGAGUCAAUCUUUGAAUUUUGACUAAACAAAAAUCGGUUGUAACAUCUUACUUCCUUAAAAGAAUUUCAUUCUCGAAAUUCCACUGGCAUCUGAUUAGGUAACGAAUAGAUGAGGAUACUGAAUACGCAUCUGAUCCUCAUGCUCCCAGGUUGCCUCUUCUACCGUCUGAUUCUGCUAAAGCACCUUUACAAGUAAAAUUGUCUUGUUCCGCUGAAUUUGCACCUUUCUGUAUAGAAUUCUCACUGGCUCCUCUGUAUAAGUCAAAUUCUCCUUCAAGUGAACUAGAUGAGACUCUAGAACAUGAGAAGGAUCUGUAAUGUACUUUGGAGCAUGGAGACAUAAAAAACAUCAUGGAUCCUAGAUAAUUCAGUUGGCAAAUCUAAUCGAUAUGCAACUAGACCAAUUCGCUCAGUAAUCUCAUAUGGUCCAAUGUAUCGUGGACUCAAUUUUCCUCGCUUGCCAAAUUUUAAAACUCCCUUCCAAAGCGACAAUUUUAGAAAUAUUUUAUCUCCAACUAUGAAUUUCAGAUCUUUUCUGUGCCUAUCUGCAUAACUUUGCUAUCUAUCUUAUGUUGGUUUUUCAACUUUUCUCUGAUCAAUUUCACAUUUACUGAAGUCAUUUGAACCAAUUCAGGGCCUACUAACUUCCUCUUACCAGCUUUAUCCCAGCAAACUGAUAUUCUGCACUUUCUACCAUAUAAAGUUUCAAGAAGAGCCAUUUCUAUACUGGAGUGGUAACUGUUAUUGUAAGCAAACUCCAUCAAUGACAAAUGUGAAUCCCAGCUACCCUGAACUCUAAAACACAAGCCCUCAACAUAUCCUCAAGAGUCUGUAUGGUCCUCUCUGACUGACUAUCUGUCUGAGUAUGAAAAGCUGUACUGGGCCAAAAUUUAGAUGUAAAAUGAGGGUCUCUGUCAGACAUAAUAUAUAAUGGAGUACCAUAUAAGCUCACUAUCUCGUCCACAUACAACUUUGCUAACUUAUUUAAAGUAUAAGUGGUUUUGAUUGGCAAAAACCUUGCAGACUUGGUCAAACGAUCCACAAUAAUAACCCAAAGAUCAUUAUGACCAUUCUGGGUACGAGAAAGACCAAAUAAAAAGUCCAUAGUAAUGUGCUCCCAUUUCUAUUCUAGAAUAGGCAAUGGCUAUAAUAGUCUUGUUGUUUUCUAACGAAUUGGUUUUACCUACUGACAGAUAAGACGUUUGGAUACAAAAAUAUGUUAUCUCUCUCUUCCACAAGUAAUGUUCUUUCAACGUAUCAUACUUUCAAUGUAUGAUACAUUUUAAUACAUUUUGAUAGAGUCUUCUUUAAAAGAUGGACUAAAAUCACCUGAAAGUUUAUCAACUUUCUCAAACCAAUACAUAUAAUUUAAAACAAGGUACAUCAGCUCUUCCAAAAACAACUAUUCAAAAUAAAGUACGUUGGAAUGGAAUUUACACUUCUUUACAAACCAGAGGACUCCAAAUACAUUACUUAUACAAAAUUAUGUAGUGAGCUCAUGAUAUAAACUGACAAAAGAUGCAUCUACCCCAAAAAUUAUGAACUAUAUAACUGACAAAAAGAAACAUACAAAUAAUGACUGAAUGACUCAAUUUGGUAAUUCAACAGGCUCCGAUGCGACUCAACACAACUAUUGUUUGAUAAAAAAAAGGAGAUGAAAUAUAUGAGCUUGUAACUCAGUGAGUGGAUAAUUUUGUAAACAAAUAUACCUUUUCCAUUUAUGCUCACUUUUCAAAAACUGGUUUAUAAUAAAAAUAUCAUUACGCAGUAUUUUAAGCUAAAAUCUUUAUUCUUUAAACUGAAUAAGCUAAAUUCUGUAUUCUGAAAUCUAAUAAGCUGUAUUAUACUGAAAAAUCACACCAAAAAGGUACCCGGAAUAACUAUACUCAUGUCUCGGUUAACACCGAUAAACAUGACAAAGCUAUCCAAUUCUGUAAUUCUGGUCAUACGCACGCAGAGCUAUCUGGUCAUAAACUAUGGAAACACAUUCACAAUAGUGUAGAGCGGGUAAAAUCACCUAGGUACUUUCUGGUGGUUUUUAGAAAAUAACUUUAAAUAAACUGAACUAUUUAAUAUUGAAAUAAUAUGCCAAUGAAAUGAUUUAAUUGAACUGAAUUUAACUUUAAAAAUAACUGUUAAUAAAUCAACUUUAUUCUGAAAAUCGUGCUAUCAAAUCAACUGUAUGAAUUAACAAAUUUUCUGAUUUAAUAUAGAUUUUAUAAAUACUAAAUUCUGAAAAGUAAAUUUAUAUCCACUCACUCAAUACGAGCUACAGACUAAGUCGGUCGGUAAGCUUUUCCAAUUUCUUCGUCACCACUUGAAAUACGUUACAAAAUAACUAAUUUAACCACUAUUAAAAUCAAGAAACCUUUUAUCUCUAAUGAUAAAAUAAUUAAACUAAAUUUUUCAAGACUUGCAAAAUUUUCCUAAAUUUCCUUUAAUCAAUUGAAGUUAAUUUUAAUUUCUAAUAAUACAUUCACACGUGGGUACUAUACCCAAAUUUACUUUCAUCCCAUUCAUAAAAAUAAUUAUACUUUCCAAUCUAAUGCAAACUAGUAAUCAUAAUUCCACCCAUUUAAACUUUCGUAUUGUUUCUCAACUUCAUGCUUUGAUAUGAGUACUUCAUCGAUAUAAUCAUUUCCAUGAAAUAUCCUUACUUAAGAAUCCAAUUAAAAAUUCUAGGGUUUGCCAAAAAAAAUUUGAUAUUUCUUACCUUAAUUCAAAUGGAGACUAACCAAUCAAAAAGCUUGAGCUAAAGAUCAUAAUCCUUUCGCUAAAUCUGAAAUUUCGAACCAAAUUAAAACCCUAGAAAUUUAAUAUAAAAUUUAUCUACCUCUUGAAGAAAAUAAAGAGAAGGGAAAAAUGAAAAUAAAUCUUGAACUACAUUUUUCCCUUCUUCUUCCUCUUUUUCUCCUUCUUUUUCUCCUUCUUUUUCUUCCCUUUUUUCCUUUCUUCUUUCUUUCUGCCCAUUUUUUUCUCCUUUUCUGCCAAUUUCCAGAUUUUUCCUAUUUGUGUGGUUGGGUUGUGCUUCAUAGCCCACGAGCUUGACAAAGGGGUUGACACCCCACACACACAUGGGGAGAUCGGUAUUAUUUUAUUCAAUGGGACCCACCUCGGCAUGUGAGAGGGUGGUCAGCCGUGGUGUCAACCCCGCGGGUCGUUUAGCAUUUUUCUUGUGUGGUUUGAGUGGUAUAUAAAAAAAAUGGGCUAAUUGUUGUAUAAUUGUCACAUGCCCGCCAUAACACCAACUUUUGCAAAUUAAGUCCUUCAACAUUAAUAUAUCUUAGAAUUAAAUCUUUUACUUCCCAAAAAUAUAAAAAUAAAUCCUUAACUUUAAAUUUUAUCCACCUUAAACGUUCCAAUUAUUUUUCAAUAUAAAUUAAACCCCAAUAAAUAAUUUAUUUUAUUUUAGUCUCCAUUUGACUUUGAUUUUGACGAGUCAAUCUUUGAAUUUUGACUAAACAAAAAUGGGUUGUGGCUCAUCAAUUCAAUGUUUACCAAAUUGCUCGAAAAAGUGAUGAGUGCCUACAUAAACGAUAUGCUCAUCAAAUCAUUUGUAGUGACUGACCACAUCAGGUACCCGGGUAGUCUUUCUAAGUCCUCAAAACGUAUAAUAUGAAACUCAAUAAUUAUAAAUGUUCAUUUGGUGACUCUUUUGAAAAAUUUGCAGGUUAAUAAGCAAGGGAUAGAAUUAAAUUCAGACCAAGUAUGAUCAAUCAUCAACAUCCUGUCUCCUAGACACAUCAAAGACAUUUAGAAGUUGACUAGACGAUUAGCUGCGAUCAACCAGUUUAUAUCAAAAUAUUAGAAGAAAAAUUGCAUUUUCUUUAACACAUUGCGAAAGAACGAAGAGUUCAUUUCGACUCCGAAUGUAAGAAAGCUCUACAAAAAUUAAAGAAUUAUUUGACAAGUCCACCGCUCCUAUCCAAGCCAAAAGACAGCGAGAUGCUCUACCUUUACUUAGCAAUAUCUUUGUCUGCAGAAAACGUCAUACUUGUCCAGGAGGAGGAUAGAAAGCAGCAUGUGGUGUGCUACAUUAGUAGAUUCUUGCUCAACUCUGAAUAUCGGUACAGAAGCUGAAAAAGCUUGCACUCGUCCUCGUAAUCAAGGGAAGGAAGCUAAGGCCCAUACUUCCAGCACACCUAUAACGGUGCUUUUGACCUUCCUAUAAAAGAUGAUCCUCCAUAAACCAGAAUUGUCGAGCCGACUAGUGAAAUGGCAGUAGAACUUAACGAAUAUGACUUGACUUACCAACUACGGUCCGCGGACCACUAUCAAAUCACAUGUGCUUGCUGACUUUAUUGUUGAUUUUUCAACCGACAAACAUGUCCUGUCCAAGAAAGAAAUUUUUGCAGUAACGGAGAGCUUAAUUUCGAAAGAAUUGACCUAGCGUUGGAUGGAUCAAGCAACUCUAAUGAAAGUGGACUGGGCAUAAUCUUAACCUCAUCCGAAGCCAACAUAAUCGAACGAGCAAUACAAUGCUGAUUCAAAGCAACGAAGCUGAAUAUGAAGCUCUAAUUGGGGAUCUAUCACUUGUAAAAGACACGGGUAUGAAGAAAAUCAAAUUGUCGAACGAUUGACAAAUAGUCACCCACCAAAUCUAAGGCAACUACUCAAAGAACAAAAAUGGCGACAUAUCUCAAAAUCGCAAAAGAGCUUCAGUCUUUCUUCCAGGAUUUUGACAUAAUCUAAAUCGUUAGAGAAGAUAAUAAUAAUCAUGCUAACGCACUUAGAAAUUGCAAUACUUUAUUAUACUAAUUGUAUCAUGUUUUAUAUUCUAACAAAAAAUUAUAUUUUAUUUUUCUUUUUGAAAUUUAUUAGAAAAUUAUGUUAAUCUUCAAAGUUCUAAUGUUAAAUUUAUAUAAUAAAUAAAAAAAAAUCAAUAAAACUAUUUGUACAUCCAAGAUUGACACCCCGGAUGACACUCCCCUUACAAGAGAGGGGGGUCCACACGUAAUAAAAUAAUUGUGAGCUCCCCUCUUGUGAAGGGAGUGUCAUCCGGGGUUAACACUUCGGAUGUACAAAUAGCAAAGUCCAAAAAAUAUAUAAUAAUCACUUACAAAACAUAUACAUGCACGUUGGAAAAAGGAAGGAUCGCUUAUAUAUUGAUAGGUGUGCAUGGCAUAUGGCUAAUUGUAAUUGGAACCUGAAUUUCAAGAAAGGAAAAAAAAAAUGAAUGGGGAUUCUAGUGCCACAAGUGAUAUAAUUUUAGAAAACUUCCCACAAUCGAAUUGUUAAUCAAAAAUGAAUAUUUCUACUCAAACAGGGGCCGUGACAGCCUUAAUAGGCGCCCCCUCCAAUAGGGGGACGCCCAUGUCACAGUAACAAGCCCCAUCAAAAAUAGCAUAGACAAUUGUAGAAGAGGUGAACUUGAGACAGAAGGUUAAUUGAAGGUUUAAUUCUGAUUUUCUUAUUUCUUUUUUAAUUUUAAAAGUUUCUUGAUUUGGCUACUUGUGCUUCUUUGGAAGUGAUAAUGACCUGCUAAAUUUCGUUUAUCUUCUUCUACGUUUCUGAUUAUUUUCUUCUACAUUUUGUGCCCAAGCCUUUAUUCUAUAACUAAUUUUCAAUGCUACAAAAGGGUGAGUAGCAUUUUAUGAACUCUUUGAACCUUUUUUAAGUACUUUUUUCCUCUUGAACAAUCUGGAUUAUGUUUUUGAAGUUUUAGAUGUAUACAAGUAUGGACGGAGACAAAAUAUUAUAAUAUAUUUUUAAAACUCUUACUUUCAAUAUUUAGUUGUCACCAUAUUUCUAAUUUUGUUGGUAACAAAUGAGGCAUCUUUGACAUUUUUAGUUCACUUCCCAUAAAUAAACGAUGAAGAUUGAUUCUAUUUUAUGAUUCAUAUUUUUUCUAGAUUAUUUUUGUUGACGCAUAAAAAUUCAGCCCAAAUCGAACAGCCCAAGGAGUGAAGCCUAAUUGGAUGAUCCCCAAAUCAAAUAGUCCAAAGAAUGAAGCCCAAUCGAACAAAUCAAGAUGAAGGCCCAAAUAAGGAGGCCCAAGAACGCGGUAACGCCAUCGCCCAAGUUUGCAAGUCGCCCAGAAUCUGAGCGAAUGGAGUGUCAUACAAUCGCCCAGAGCUGUUACUCUAUUCACGCCCAAACCUUCAAGUCGCCCAAGGUCUUAACAAACAUAAAGCGUAGUGGUUAUCAAGAAGUGCAGUUAUCAAAGCAGUUAUUAAAGCAGCCCUAUCACGUUCCACGAUUCAAGGAAUUCAAUCGAAAGCGGUUGAACGAUGAAGAGUAAUGGCAGCAGUUAAAAAAUACAGUUUUCAUGACAAGUUGGCCAUUACAAAGAAAGUGGGCAGUUAUAGGACGAUCAAGCAGUUUUUAGGACGGUUGAUCACAAAGAGAUCGUCCAUGAAGUAUAAAAGGGAGAAAGAACAUAGAAGCAAAGGACCGAAUCAAAAACUCUCGAACAGAGAACAUGUAAUUUUCAUUUCCUUAGCUUAGACUUAAACGCUUUUCUUCCAGUAACUCGUGUGCUUGCGCCCAUUGGAGGCACAUUGUUUUUAAUUUCCAAUUGUAAAAUCAUCGCCAAUAAAAGAACACCCCUUUUUGGGACUUUGUCUCAAGAGGUUUGUCCCUUACACAAUCGUCUGAUCAUUUUUAAUUGUUAGAGACUAACCCACGCGAAACAAUUUGGCACGCCCAGUGGGACAGUGGUGUUAGGUGUUGAAAGUACAAAAGGUGAAACAAUAUGCCUCAGAGAUCCGAUAAGGAAGUAGCAAGUCAGGGAGGAAUCCAGUCUGUGAUCGAGCGAUAUGAGGAGCAGCAUGCCUCUCCACGAACAGAUGGACAGAAUCAGAGCAGUAACGGUCGUUAUGAACCAAUGACAGAGUUGAGUCCUCGAACCAUGCGUACAUUACUUGGAGAACUUACGCAAGACGUCAUUAAACAGGUAAAUCUUCGAAUUAUUCAUAAUAUGGAAAGAUUUACGCAAAAUGGGAAUGUACACUAUGACAACAUGGCCAAACAAUUAAAGACGUUGAACGAAACAAUGAAUAAGUUAGUAGGCCAAAUCUGUCAACCGGCUAUACCUCUUACAAACCACUUUCAAACUAGGACAAUUGUGGGACAUAAUCCCUCGGUCCUAAAUCCGAAUCAAGGGGUAGAACCGCUUUCUGGUCCCUCUACUUCAAACCAAGGGGGUACUACAGUGCCAAAUCAGAACAAUGGUAGUGGUAUGCCUAACAUGGGGGGUAAUCCAAAUGUGAGAGAUAAUGUCCUAAACAAUGGACAGAAUAUUCCACGUGUUAAUGAGGGAAUAGAUGUUCGGGCUAAUGGUAAUGGCCCUAAUCAUGGUAAUUUUGUUGCCAAUCAAGGACCAAACAUUAGGCCUCAUGCAAAUCAACCGGUUAGCCAACCUGUAGGAAUACCAUAUGACCCCAACGUCAUGUUGAGGAACCAGAUUAUGGAAAUCGUACAGGAUCAGAUGGCUUUUGGGGUGCGUCCCGUCAUUAGGCCGACGUACAUAAAGCCAUAUCCUGAUUGGAUAGACCAAGCAUAUCCAUGGCCUAGAGGGUACAAAGUGCCAGAAUUCUCACUGUUUACCGGUUUAGGAGAGGUGUCUACUCUAGAACACAUAGGGCGAUUCACAUUGCAAAGUGGUGAUGUAACCGAUUACCAUAAAAUGAGACUUUUCCCUAGUUCGUUAACAGGAGUAGCUUUCUCCUGGUUCAUCAACUUGCCAGCGAACUCUGUUCAAAUAUGGCUACAAUUAGAACAGUUGUUUCACACUCAGUUUUAUAAAACUGAGUCUGAAGUUACUUUGGCUGAUUUGGCGAAUCUACGUCAAAUGCCAAACGAAUGGGCAGAAAGUUUUCUCCAAAGGUUCAAGACAGCAAGAAGCAAGUGUUUUGUACCUCUGGUCGAAAAAGAAUUUGUCAAAAUCGCUUAGGGCUGCUUGAGCUUUGAUUUAAAAAAGAAGUUCCAGGACAAGAAAUUUCCUGACCUUUUCCAGUUGAGUGCGAAUGUGAUUAGGUAUGAGCGAUUGAUAAGAGAGGAAGAACAAAUGAAAAAUUUCAGUAAAGGGACUUAUUACAAAGACCCAAAUUUUGACGUUCAUACCAUCGACGACGAGUCAUACGAUCAGGCCGAAAUGUGUUUGGCAGAAUUGGUCAAAGGAGAUACAUAUACUUGUCCUAUAAUAGCCAAGCCUAGACCAUCGGGCAAAGAUGAGCCCAUAAAAGAUGGAAACAUAAAGGCUAGAACGUUCUCGUUCGACGUAACCAAAGCUGACCUUAUAUUCGAUAAAUUAUAUAGGGAUAAGCAGAUAAAAUUGAGCGAUAAGCACAAAUUGCCAAACCCUGAACAAAUUAAGGGUAAAAAAUAUUGUAAGUGGCAUAAUGCAUGGUCACAUUUGACUAACCAUUGCUUGGUUUUCCGCCAUGUAUUGCAGGAUGCCAUUGAAUUAGGGCGAAUUACGUUCGAUGAUAAGAAAAAGAUGGCAGUGGACGAGAAUCCUUUCCCACAGCCACUUGGAGUAAACAUGGUAACAUCUGGAUUCAAAAACAAGUUGCCAAAAUUCAAGUUGGUCGUAAACGAUGGAGAAGAGGAUCCUAGACCACAUCCCAGCGUCUUUGAACGAAUCAAGAGGAAAGAACCAAAAAAGGACGAAGACGUCCUGUGUGCAAGGUGUAAAAGAGAAGUGAAUGGAAAUACGGAGAAACCAGGGAUAUGACAGCAUCCUCAUCACCCUACCUUCUUCCCAAACACUCAACUUGGUAGAGGGCGAGGUACAUCAUUCUUAGAGGACCGCCUUUUGAGAGGCAGUUCAGGCCAGUAGAUAAUGGAAGAACAUUCAGGCCGCAACCUCACCGGCCAAAUGUAUGGCAUUCAUUCUAGUACAAUGCAGGAAGAGCAAUACCCUUCGAUGAGAUGACUAGGACCCAACAAAGGCAUUUUCAACGAAACUACGGACGGAUGAUGAGGCAGCAACAGGGGAUGCCACAUCCUAAAGCGCCUAAACUACUUAAGGUAGCCAAUCAAAACUUCCUCAAAAAUAAUGAAGAGACCGGUACAGAUGAAUCAAUGAAGAAACUGCUAGAAACUUCUUCUGGGAGAUCAAGGUUUGAGCGAGACAGAAGGGAUGAAGAAGAUCUAGAUCAGCCCCUCACUAUCCAACUCGGUACGUUGCCUCCUGUCGUGGCCAAUAAUUACUUACUGGCCAAUGAAUUCAAGAACAAAGAAAAAGAAGAAGAGAGGGAGGACAACGAAGGAGAAGCCUGCGUGCUGGUAUGUGAAGAAGGCCAGACUUCUAGAGAGGCCUACAACGAUGAAGAGGACAACGGGAUGACAGACAUUGAAGAAGAAAUCGACCUAGAAGCAGAGAGAAGAAAAAGAAGAGUAUCGCGCAAUACUCUGUUAAAGCAACUACAUCGAGAGGGAGUUCACGAAGUAGACUUGUUGGGGGAACCAUCUGGGCGCCCUUUCGAUUUCUACGUACUGUACGGGACACCCAAAAGGAAGAAGAGAGUACCUCUCUCUGAAAAGUAUGGAUCACCUCCAAGAAUAAUGUCCCCUCCCACAGGUUAGGUAACUGAUGAGGAAGCAUUAGAAAGAAGUAGGAAGGAAGUUCAGGAGACAGAGGAUCAGCGCGAUGUACUGCACGUCGACUUAUCACAGGGGGAUAAUUCGACAGAAAACAAGCAGGAAGUAGAAAUAGAGGCUGCCAAAAAAGUUAUUUUUAAACGGCCAGCCAUGAAAUUGACUAAACACUUGAGGCCAUUAUACGUUAAAAAUCUAGUUAACGGCGUCCCAGUGGCAAAAGUGCUUGUCGACAAUGGAGCAGCUAUAAACACCAUUCCAUCUAGGAUGAUGAGGAAGUUCAUAAAGAUAGAGGGUGACAUGAUUCCUACAGAAGUCAUCCUCACUAGCUUCAAUGGAGGAGCGAUUUCAGCUAAGGGAGUUAUGCCAUUGGACAUAACUAUAGGGACGACUACUAGGACCACUGUCUUUUUUGUAAUAGAUGGUCCUACUAGUUACAAUGUGCUAUUAGGAAGAGAUUGGAUACACGGAAGUCGCUGUAUACCCUCAUCACUCCAUCAAUGCCUGAUCUUCUGGAAUGACAAAGGCGAAGCUGAGGUGGUACAGGCCGAUCAUAGGCCUUUUGUCGCAGAAGCAAACUCGGUGAAAAAGUUCAUGUACGAAGGAAACUAUGGACCUGUCAGGGUAGUACAAGACGGGGAAGAAACUCAGGUUGUCGCGCAAAGCGAAGAACCAUUCUCAGUGGACGCACUCACUGAGAUGUUUAAACAGAUGAGGCCAAAUAUAGUAGCCCUAGAAGAGCCAGUAAUUGGCAAAAGAAUAAUUAAGGAGUCUUGAAUGGACUUUAAGUUAUGAAAGCAAAUGGCCGACGUUCAGGACUUCAAAGCCAGACUGAUGGCUUUCAAUAAGGAAUGCAAUGACAAGGCGAAAGAAGAGACAGCCCUAAAAGCGCUGAAGGAUAAGUUGGCAGUAUUUGAGUUAGAGCAAAGCAUUGGCCGAGAAGUCAACAAGGUGGACUAUUUAGAAGAGAAAGUACUUACAAGGGAACUAAACGACGAAGUAAUGCGGAUCGCCAAACCUGGAUACGCUCAAGCACAAGACCCUCUGAUCAAAGUAAAUAUUGGCAAUGAAGGAGAAGAUCGUCCAACAUUCAUCAGCCAAAUGCUCGACCAAGAGGUUAGUAACAAGUUAAUAGCUUUGCUAAAAGAGUACAAAGAUUGUUUUGUUUGGGAAUAUGAACAAAUGCCUAGUUUAGAUAGAGACUUGGUGGAACAUAGGUUACCAACUAAGCCUAACUUUAAAUCUCAUAGGCGGCCUCCUAGACGUUUUGCUCCCAAUGUACUCCCUGAAAUCAAGAAAGAGAUAGAGCAAUUAUUGAAAGCAGGUUUUAUUAGAACAGCCAGAUAUGUCGAAUGGUUGUCAAAUGUCGUGCCAGUACUAAAAAAGAAUGGUAAACUAAGGGUGUGUAUAGACUUUAAAAAUUUAAACAUAGCUACACCCAAAGAUGAGUAUCCAAUACCCACGGUGGAUUUUUUAGUAGAUUCAACUGCCGGACAUGUCAUGUAUUCUUUCAUGGAUGGGUAUUCAGGGUACAAUCAAAUUUAUAUAGCUGAAGAAGACAUACACAAAAUUACUUUUAGAUGCCCAGGGUCUCUAGGAUGUUUUGAAUGGGUGGUUAUGCCUUUCGGUCUAAAAAAUGCAAGGGCAACUUAUCAAAGGGCAAUGAAUUUAAUCUUUCAUGAUAUGAUAGGCAAGUUUGUUGAAGUGUAUGUGGAUGACAUAGUAGUCAAGUCCAUUAAAGAAGAAGACCAUUUCGAACAGUUAAGAUAUUCGUUUGAGCGAAUGAAGCAAUAUAAGCUAAAGUUGAAUCCCUUGAAGUGUGCAUUCAGUGUUAAUGCAGGGAAUUUUCUUGGUUUCUUAGUACACAAGAGAGGGAUUGAACUUGAUAAAAAUAAAGCGAAGGCGAUUUUAGAGGCCAAACCACCUAGCAACAAAAAAGAAUUGCAAAGGUUUCUAGGCCAAGUAAUUUUUUUAAGACGCUUUAUUUCUAACUGUGCAGGGCGAACUAAAGUCUUUUCGCCGCUUUUAAAGCUGAAAAAUCAGGACGAAUUCGUCUGGAAAGAAGAACAUCAAAAGGCUUUUGAAAGCCUGAAGACAUAUCUAUCAAGUCCACCAGUGUUGGUGUCACCAAUUCAAGGACGGCUAAUGAAAGUGUAUGUAUCGGCUGAAAAAGAAUCAAUAGCUGGAAUGGUCGCACAGGAAGACCAAUUUGGUGAAGAAAGGGCAAUUUACUACUUAAAUAGACGGUUAACGAAAUGUGAAUGUAAUUACUCUGCUAUCGAAAAAUUAUGUCUUACAUUGUAUUUCACAUGUACAAAAUUAAGAGCUUAUUUACGGCCCGUAACCGUUUAUUUUAUUUCUAAAGUAAAUUUAGUCAAGUAUAUGUUCUCGCGCCCUAUUUUACACCAAAGGGUAGGCCUUUGGACACUAGCUUUAUCAGAAUUCGAAAUACAAUAUAUACCUCAAAAGGCAGUCAAAAAGCAGGCUUUGGCUAACUUUCUAGCCGAUCAUCCAUGCCUUGAUAUGCUUGAAGAGAUCGAACUAGAAAUCAAUUCAUUCGAGUUAAAACCUUGGGUGUUGUAUUUCGAUGGGUCAAAAACUUCUAAAGGUGCAGGAGUAGGAAUAGUAUUGAUUAAUCCUUUAGGGAUUUGCUACAAGUUCGCAUUCACUUUAGAUAGAAUGUGCACCAACAAUCAAGCCGAAUAUGAAGCCUUAAUUGUAGGCCUAGAACUAAUGAUAGAUAUGGGAGUAAGAAGUGUGAUCGUUAGGGGCGAUUCUCAAUUGGUGAUCCAUCAAUUGAUCAGUGAUUUUAAAUGACAAAGUGAUUCCAUUAUAAGUCAAUACGAGAUCGCCUAAGAAUUAUUAGAAGAAUUCGAUCAAGUAGAACUCCAAUGCGUUAAUAGGAUAUAUAACGACGUGGCAAAUGAGUUAGCCCAAAUGGCAUCAAGGUACUCAAAGGUUUUGAAUUGGAAGUCUACUUGUGAGUAUGGAAUCAUAUUGCCCGUGACUUAAAGAAGGGCGAGAAAGAUUGAACUCCACUGCAUACAAGAUGGAGAUGCAAUGGAUUGGAGAACAGAGAUUAAAAGGUUCCUUAAAGAACCAAUGGAGGGAUUAGUAGGAAAAUGAAGCUGUGUUUGCUGAACUAUAUACUAAUAGAUGAAGAGUUGUUUAAGAAACGCUCUUAUGGUGUAUUAUAAAAGUGUGUAAGUUUGCAAAAAGUCAAGACGAUCAUGGCUGAGGUGCACGAAGGGAUAUGUGGAGCUCAUCAAGCUGGCCAAAGGAUGAGAUGGUUAAUUAUUAGGAAUGGAUAUUUUUGGCCAAAGAUGGGAGAACUAUGCCUUCAGUAUGCAAAGAGUUGCUUAGCAUGCCAAAAGCAUGGUCCAAUACAAAGGGCGCCAGCACGAGAAAUGGCACCUAUUAUUAAACCUUAGCCGUUCAAGGGUUGGGAGAUAGACCUGAUAGGGAAGAUUUAUCCCCCAUCGUCCAAGCAACAUACUUUUGUUAUAGUUGCAAUCGACUAUUUCACCAAAUGGGUAGAAGCAAUACCUUUGAAAGAGAUCACCCAAAAAAAUGUUAUAGAGUUUAUCCGUGAUCACAUUAUUUAUAGGUUUGGAAUUCCACAAACGAUAAUGGUAGAUCACGGAACAUCUUUGAAUGGGGAUCAAGUGAACAAAUUUUUGAGCGAGUUUGGGGUUAAAUUAGUAAACUCCACACCAUACUACGUUCAAUCCAAUGGACAAGCGGAAUCUUCUAAUAAGAUUCUAAAAAAUAUCAUUAGAAAGAUGAUAGAUAAAAAUGUCAGAAAUUGGCACGAAUGUCUGAAUAAGGCUUUAUGGGCUUAUAGGACAUCACCUCGGUCAAGUACCAAGAUUACUCCUUUCCAACUUGCUUAUGGACAGGAGGCUGUUUUGCCUAUGGAAAUCAACGUGCAAUCGAUCAGAGUGUGCUUACAGCAUAAGUUGAAUGAUGAUGAGUAUGCCGAAUCACUAGUUCAAAAUUUAUUGGGGUUAGACGAAUUAAAGUUGGACGUCUUAGAUAGAUUACAAGAGCAAAAAAAAAGAAUGACUAAGUUUUAUAAUAAAAAAGUCAUAGCCAAGUCGUUCAGCCUGGGUGAACUAGUUUGGAAGACGAUACUCCCUUUGGAUAGCAAAGAUCCCAAGUACGGGAAGUGGUCGCCCAAUUGAGAAGGACCAUACAAAAUAAAUAGUAUAUUGCCCAAUGGAGCGUAUCACUUGGAGGAUUUAGACGACACCAAGCACGUAAGAUUCAUUAAUGGUAAAUAUUUGAAAAAAUAUGUUCCUUCUUUAUGGGAAUGUGAACAGAUAAAAUCAUAAUCAAAUAUGGUGAACGAUUAAAGGAUAAAGAGGUCAGAGCGAAAUACGUUCAAGUGAAGUCCUUUAUUAUCAAACGUUCAUUACAAGAAUACAAAAAUACAAAUAAUGGUUGUUCUAGGAAAUAUAAUUAAAAGUAAGCUAAUCUCCCGGUUGAUCGCUGAGUAAGCCUCACGCCGCCUUCCUAAAUGCAUCACUGCAAUGGUGGGAUCGCCGAGUAAGAGGGUGUACUGGCCUCACCGCCUUCCUAAAUGCAUCGCUGCAAUGGUGGGAUCGCCGAGUAAGAGGGUGUACUGGCCUCACCACCUUCCUAAAUGCAUCGCUGCAAUGGCGAGCAAAGAGGCUGAGAAGCACUCCCAGCAAGCAAGCUGAGAAGCACUCUCAGCAAGCAAAGUGGCGCACAAGCAGCCCAAAAAUUGCCUUCUAUCAUUGACUCCUUGUAAAGGACAAAGAGACGAUGGGAAGAACUUUGAAGGUAAAAACUUCGCUGCUGGCCAGAAAAUAUUUCCUAUACCUCCCACACCAAAGGUGACAUCAAGGUAAAUUGUAAAAUGGACUGACUAAACUGUCCAUUUUUGGUCAGAUUGAUUGUCAGAAUGCCAAGCAAUGGCAGUAAAUUAGUUUCGAAGAAGAAAAUAAAGAUGAAGAUAGAAGAUGGAAAAUGCGAAGCAUUUAUAGGAGGUGGAGACGAAGAGACAGAAUAUGAACAGCUACAUUUCUGCCUAAUAAACGGAAUUAAAUAGCCCAAAAUCUUGGGAAAAGUGGUGGAAAUAUCAAAAGAAAAUGGACAAGAUUUUUUAGCACAAAGCAGUCAAAUGCUUAAAGAAUUGACGACUAAAAAACAAACGUCAAAUAAAUGCACAAAAAGUUAAUGUUCAUUAAUGAUGAACAAAGCUACAAGAGGAAAAAUCAAAUUACAAAAGAAAAAAGACAUCGUAUGUCUUAAUUACAGUCCACCCCAUACUGAACGAAUUCGUUCCCUAAGUUUUUUCCAAUCCUCGUUCUGCCGAGAGGAAGUGAUGUUCAAUUCAGCCACGACAUCAUCAUCAACUUCCAACUUCUUGUACUGCUCGACCAAGGACUUAGUUCGCUCAAUUCCUUGGGAGGCGUUGCACUUUUCAGCAGCCAUUCUCGCCCUGUAGUCGUCCAUUUUGGCUUGAAGUUCCUUCAUCUGAGCAUGCAAAUUAACCAUCAAAGAGUCUUCAACCAUGACUUCGGAAGAGAUUUCUUUCAACUCGUCCUCAGCCUUGUUAAUCUCCAUACGCAAAGACUCUUUCUCAGCAACGGCUUGAAGAUAUUGAGUACGUUUGGCCUUUAGUUCAGCAUUCUUGGCCAGCAAAGAAAGGACCUCGGAGUGAAUAACCUUCAACGUCGCUUUAAAAUCGGCAGAAAGAUUGAGCGACGGAAGCAUCAAUGCUUGCUCCAACUUUGCACUCAAGUGCUCAAGUUUAUCCUUGUGUCUGGUGGCACUGGCCCUUCCAAUAUCCAUAUCCAUGAAGGAUACGUACUCAAGUAUCGACUCCUUGAGGACCUUCAAAUCUUCCUCUGAAGAAGCAGCAGGAUGAUCAGAUGGAGCAGGGCAAGACGUCUGGAGUUGCCCCUAGGAAGCGAACAAGUCUUGGAUAGAACGCACAAUUUUGUCAGCAUCCUGCAAAGAAAAUUGCCAAUAUUAAAGAUCCUCACUACAACGAACAAGAUAGAAAUAGAAGUAAAGCAAAGACUACCUCAUCAACAAUCGUAGAAGAUGGCAUGUCCUCAGCCAAGCUUGCCGCCAACGACUCCUCCAUUCGUGAGGACUUCCCCUUAUCUGAGCGAGAAGAUGUUGCCACAACGGGCGGACUCAUAGGAGUAUUUGCAAAACUCAAGAGCAACAAAUCAGAAACCAACAGCACAAGCAAAGGUAAGACAUCAAAAGACUAAAUUACCUUCUGCUUCAAUGUUUGGGGGGUUGACACCCUGGUAAGAAGGUGGUUCAUCCAUGGGUUGUGAUGAGAACUCUGGGACUGAAGAUGUCUCUUUAAGCGUAGCCUCCUCAUCAACCGGUUUAGAUGAAGUAGCCUCAGCAGAGGAUGAUGGAGUAGGAGCUGUCGAUGCCAAAGCCUUUGAAGGAGAGGCUGAGCUUUUCUGAGAAGUGCAAAAGAUCAUCAGCACACAGAAAAGUUUCAAGUGUGGAAAAGUAUACUUGUGAGUAAACCAAUUUAAUUACCUUCCUCCUGACGAUAAGAGGGGCAUCAUCAUCAUCAACAUCAUCCUCCAGAAUGGGAGAUACUGAGGCUGGCCGUUUACGGCUUGGGGUACUCUUGGCCGUAGUAGGCUUGGCAGGGAGAGAAGAAGAUGGAUGAACAGACUGUUUAGUGCGAUGAGAAGGAGAAGGACUACGAAUGGACAAGGGAGUGACUAAAAUAGGAGGAGGGGAAGAAAUGCUCGGUUGGUCUAAUGAAUGAAAGGCACGAUUGGCGUCAAUCGCAAAUAAUCUGCGCUUCACUGACGGCCAGAGCUGUUCAAAAAGAGGGUGAAUUGCGUGGCUAGAAUUGAAAGGGGCUAAUGAAAAAUGGCUAGUUAAAAGAAGAAUACGAGCAUCUAUAGCCUCUGCCUCUGCCUUAGUAAUGGUAUAAAAACGGUCAACUAAGUUCCUUGAAUAGCAAGGAGGAACAGGCCAAGUUUGGCCAAAACCAAGCUGACGAGCAAAAAAUUGGGGAGCAUAAAUCUCUACCCUCGCUUUGGCAUUGGUCCCAGUUAGAAUAUCAUGAAAUAGCUCCCUCCCGCUUAAAAACUGGAUCCAAAUGAGCAGGGAGGUGCUCGCGCUAUCUAUAGUGGAAGGGGGAUGUACAUAGUUUGGAGUCAAAAAAGGAGAAAAAGGAAAAAAGGAAGGGAUUGAAUCCAAAGAAUAAAAGAAUGAAAAAAUGUCCCUUCUAGACAUAUUUACAGGAGCUAAGGGCUCCAUGGCUAGCCCAUAACAGCUAGCAGAGGAGCGAGAGAUGGAUGGAGCACCAAGCAAUGGAAAAUAGGAUCUCAACCACAGUUGAGUGAACCAAAGAGGUCCAUUACCAGUGGGAGAUGCACCAUUCUUCAAUUGAGCUUGAAGAGAGGCCAUGCUUCUAUAAAGGGCAGCCAAAAACAAAGAACAUAAAUUCAAAGGCCUGCCACGCGCCAAUUCGUGCGCUAUAGGUAAAUAACUCAGGGAGGGCUUUAUGCUUGGCACGCACAAAACAUAUUUACAAAGCCAAACUAAAAGGAAGGCCACUCGCUCAGUAUGGGAAGGCUCAGCGCUCGAAUGAUUGUGAAGGGUUUGCAGGCUUGAAUAAGAAUCGGUGUAGUUUUUACCAAACUUUGGAGCGCCACCAGAAACCAAGAUACUAGGAAAAAUGGUAUCGCCCAAAGGUGGUAGAUUCACUAGGGCCCCAACAUCCCUUAAGGUAAUAGACAUGGGGCCAAGAGGGAAAAUAAAGGUAUUAUACUCAGGAGACCAAAAACUCAAAGCAAUCGAAAAGAGUGCUGAAUCAAAAGUAGGGGGACGAAUAGAGAUUUCUAACAAAUCAGAAAUCCUAGCGCUAUCAAAAAGUGCCUUAGUAGGACCAUGACCCACAUGGCGAGCAUGCCACCUACGAAAAGCUACAUCAGAUUUAGGCCAAGUGCGAAUACCUCUUUCGCGAAGUGGCCCCAGCGGCAGAGAGUUUAGAAAAGGAGGGCCAUGAGUGUAAGGAAACAGCUGACCCGCCGCCGCCUGUUCAACUGCCUCUGCAUUGUUGAAAAAAGGACCCAAGUAGAACUCAUUACGUUCGACAUCGACGGGCGCGAGAAAACUUGGAGUUAUGUAUGGGCGACUCAGAAGUUUUUGAAAGUCAUCAAAACUAAAGGAGUCGCCAGCUUGAGAUUGUGAAGCAGCCAUUUGAAAAGGAACGAAGUUUUUCAGGGUUACGUAGCAGGGAAGCAAGAGAUGAACAGUAAAUCGUGAGAGAGACGCAAAAAAUUUGAGGCGUGGUUUAAUAGUGCAGUGAAAUGGCGUGUUUGAGGUUUAUAAGGGUUUGCAAAACGACGCACCUUUUCAAGUUAUAGAAGAAAACAAUGAUUGAAAUUCUUGAGAAUUUCGAAUGUUGCUGGAAACACAAAGUGAAUAUGGCAAAAUUUAUUAAUUAUUAUUAAUUCUGCCAUAUUGGGGGGUAAUUGUUAACACAUAAAAAUUCAGCCCAAGGAGUGAAGCCCAAUUGGAGGAUCCCCAAAUUAGAUAGCCCAAAGAACGAAGCCCAAUCGAACAAAUCAAGAUGAAAGCCCAAAUAAGGAGGCCCAAGAACGCGGUAACGCCAUCGCCCAAGUUUGCAAGUCGCCCAAAAUCUGAGCGAAUGGAGUGCCAUACAGUCGCCCAGAGCUGUUACUCUAUUCUCGCCCAAACCUUCAAGUCGCCCAAGGUCUUAACAAACAUAAAGCGUUGUGGUUGUCAAGAAGUGCAGUUAUCAAAGCAGUUAUUAAAGCAGCCCUAUCACGUUCCACGAUUCAAGGAAUUCAAUCGAAAGCAGUUGAAUGAUGAAGAGUAAUGGCAGCAGUUAAAGAAGACAGUUUUCAUGACAAGUUGGCCAUUACACAGAAAGUGGGCAAUUAUAGGACGAUCAAGCAGUUUUUAGGGUGGUUGAUCACAAAGAGAUUGUCCAUGAAGUAUAAAAGGGAGAAAGAACAUAGAAGUAAAGGACCGAAUCAAAAACUCUCGAACAGAGAACAUGUAAUUUUCAUUUCCUUAGCUUAGACUUAAACAUUUUUCUUUCAGUAACUCGUGUGCUUGCGCCCCUUGGAGGCACAUUGUUUUUAAUUUCCAAUUGUAAAAUCAUCGCCAAUAAAAGAACACCCAUUUUUGGGACUUUGUCUCAAGAGGUUUGUCCCUUACACAAUCGCUGAUCCUUUUUAAUUGUUAGCGACUAACCCGCGCGAAAUAAUUUUUUGUAGAUAUGAUUCUAUUAAUUUUUAUUCAACUAUUACGAGUUUCUCAUAUCUUUUUAAAUAUGACAUCUAGUUACGACGUCAUUUUGAUCUAUCUUCUUUAUUCUAAAAUGCUCAAAACAAAUUCUCUACUAUAUUUCUGAAGUCUUUUGCAAGUCUCUUCAAUGUUCUACAAAAUAUAUAUGUCGAGCACAUAUAUUGUUAGCUAGUUUUAAACUUUGACUCAUUUGCAUCUCAUGCACAUGGACGUCCCUCGCUUAGUCCUAAUUUAUUCUUAACAAGCGUUGACUGCAUUUAUAGGUUUUUAGUUAUGUCAAAAUCAGAGUAUAACACACUUAUUCCAUAUUCAAAACUGUAAAUACUCUUGAAUAUCUCUAACCCUUAUAGUAUAUCUUGAAAGAAAAAGUUUGAGAAAUAUAAUGUUACAAUGUUGAUUGAUUGGAAGGCACAGUUCUUUAAAUUAAAAAAAAAAUAAAAAUAGGCUACAUAUACGAGACAACAAUUUAUAUUACCUUUUAAAUUAAUUUUUUCAAUUUAAAUGUAACCAAACAGUUAUUAUCAUAAACAAAUACACCAGUUCACAAAUUAUUUAAAUACUAAUGUCUAUGGAAAAUUACGAUAGUUUAUUUUCAUAAAUAUUCAACAAUUACAUAUCAAAUUUAAAUAAUUAAAUAUUUAACAAUUUACUUUUUUAUGAAAUUAACAUAAAGAUUGAAUGAGAGAAUAUGGAUAGAAUUGAUCAGAAAUUUUUAAAUUAAGGAUGAAAUUACAGACUUGUGCAAAAUUGAUGAAGAUUGGUCACCUAAUUUUAACUUGUUCACAUCCAUAUAUUUCCUCUUCCUAGUUCUUGUCGUGGAAUAGAGAGGACAAAAUCCCGUUCAACCCACUACUCGCCGCCUCACCCGAGUGGUGUGGGGAUUACCUGCCUAAUUCAGUAAACGUGUGGGGGGCGGAAUGGGGUUUGUUGCCUCAAAGAACGUAUGAAAAACAUGAUCGCCCCGCUACCCAUCACGUUUAACGUUAAUUUUAAAUAUAAAUUUUAUCAAACAAAAAGAAGAAAUUUAUCAUUAUUUUUAAAGAGAACAUGAGUUGUUCUUAACAAAUUUAAAAAAUAAUAAUUAUAUUCACUGACUAAAGAUAUAAAAAAGUAAAAACAAAAAAAAUAAAAUAAAUGGGACAAUAAACCCCCGCCUCGUCCCAAUCUCGCUCUGAACCCAACUCGUCUUGUUUUAAUUGGAUAUAGAAGCAGGGCAAUUAUAAUAAAAAUACCCAAUGCAAUUGGGGGACAGAAAUAGCUGACCCGCCCCCACAACCAUCGCUACUAUGGAGAGUGGUGUUCUCUUGCAUCAAAUCUGUGGUGUUACUAUCUCAUCUUCAAUAUUUUAUUUUUCUACAAAUCUCAGCUUUUCAAAAUCCACCCCCUCCCCCCGGGUCAAAACUCUAGUCUCUGAGUGGAAACUUUGUACAAAGUUUAGUUAACAUUUGGAUAAUUCACUCUUAUAUUUCAUUUUUUAUUACCUACGCUGGUCCUUCUUUUUUUUUUUUUUUCAAAUAAAUAGAUGUUAAAAUAUGUUGUUCGGAUUUACAUAAUUGUGGUCAAUUUACUCAUAAUGUUUAUGAUAAAGCAUAUUUUGGUUAAUUUGGAAUACAACUUGUGCAUGAUAUUAGAUGUCGAAUCAUAUUGAAAUGGAUAUUUAUAAGGAAAAAUUUGAUAAAUCCUAUCAUUAAUGUUAAAUUUUGAGAAAUGAGAAGCAUUUCACGAAAAUCAGGUCACUCUAAAAUAAUUAAAAAUAUAUUAUUUAAAAUAUUGUGAACCAAUGUGGUAGGUUCCCUCUAUUAGAAGAUUCUUAAAAAAAAAAAAAAAAACCGAUGACAUUAUCAAAAUAAAAUUCUGCAAAUUCUGGAAUGAUAUUUAGUUAAAAGAAACAUUAAAGGUAUGUUAUGACUUGGGACAUAUGACUCCUACUAUGUGAUCUUGGAUGACUAUUAACAAAAAGCAAUUAUAUGACUUAUUAUGUAUCUUAUUAUUACAGUCCAUACAUAUGGAAUGAGUUGACAUGAGAUGUAACAAACAAUUGUGACUUUGACUUUGACUACUUCUAUUUGAUAAAAUUACGACAACAUCGUGUGACGGUUGUUCAUGUAGAAAUGGUUGUCAAAUGCAACAACUAUGACAUUUGAUGGGAUAUUUAGCAACAUGUAUUUAUAGCUCAUAUGAGUCGUAACCAUUUAAAGUUGUGAUAUUGAAUUUAUUGACCUUCUAAUUAUGUUAGUGAAGAAAUAAUGACUAUUUUAUAGUACAAAUCAGGUGAUUGAUCCACUUGCACUCUAUAUAUUGCAAUAAAAAAGAGACCAUACCGUUAAAAUUAUCUUAAUUUUGGGAACAAUAUUAGAAACGUAAAAAAAUAAAUAAAUUAUACACGAAAAUUCUGAAAUUUUUGAAUUAAUUAAAUUAAUGAAUGUGAUUUAACAAUUUUUUUUUAUUAAUAACUUAAUUUGUCAAAAGUAAAAGCUUUUUUUAUUUUUUUUUAUGGGAAAAUUUCAUAACUAAGAAAUUAAUUAUGGCACAUUUCACAAAACAAGAAAACAAGUUUCAAAUUUCUAAAAUCAGAUUUUUAUUAAAAAUUAUUUAUAAUUUAAUUAGUUAAUUAAUUAUUUUAUUAACUAAAUAUAUUUAGGUCACGGAUCUAUACAAUUUGAUCACUAAUUAACAAUAUAAUUAGUUACUUAUUAUUUUUUGGUCACAAAUCAAAAAUUUUAUGUCACAAAUUUUUUUACAAUCACAAUUCAAAAAUUUUGUAAGUCACAAUUUGUUUAUUGGUCACAAAUCCAAAAAUAAUUAGUUACGGAUUAAUUUUUAGUCACGACUUAUCAUAUUAUUGGUCACAACUUAUUUUUCGGUCACAAACACAAAUUUUAUAGGUCACAUAUUAUUUUUCGAUCACGAAUCAAAAAUUUUAUAGGUCACAGAUUAAUUUUUCGGUCACAACUCAAUAAAUUAUAAGUCACAAAUACAAAUUUUAUAGGUCACAUAUUAUUUUUCGAUCACGAAUCAAAAAUUUUAUAGGUCACAGAUUAAUUUUUCAGUCACAACUCAAUAAAUUAUAAGUCACAAACACAAUUUUUAGGUCACGUAUUAUUUAUGAAAUAAAAAAAUGGAAAAAUUAAUUUGUAAGAGUUUAUUUAUAGCCUACUUCAAAAUUAAGAGAAGAAGGUUUGCAAUUUCAAGUUUCAGAUACUAUUAAAAUUUAUUAAUGAAAUAAUUGAUUAAAAAUUUAUAUAUUUGGUCACAACUUAUCAAGUUAAUUGGUCACAAAUUAUUUAUAAGUCACAAAUUCAAAAUUCUACAGGUCACAAAUUAUUGGUCGGUCACAGAUCAAAAAUUUCAUAGGUCACAAUUCAUUGAUCGGUCACAAAUCAAAAUUUUUAUUGGUCACAACUCAUUUGUCGGUCACAAAUCAAAAAUUUCAUAGGUCAUAAUUCAUUGAUUGGUCACAGAAUCAAAUUUUUUAUUGGCCACAUUUAAUUUGUUAGUCACUAAUCAAAAAUUUUAUAGGUCACAAUUCAUUGAUCGUUCACAAAAUCAAAUUUUUUACGGUCACAAAUCAAAAAUUUCAUAAGUCACAAUUUAUUGAUUGAUUACAAAAUCAAAAUUUUUAUUGGUCACAACUUAAUAAAUUAUAGUCACAAUUGCAUUUUUUAGGUUACAUGUUAUUAUUAGACACAAAUUACUGGUCACAAACACCCCCUACAUCCCAUCUACCCCGACCACCACCCCCCAUGACAACCGUCACAGUAACCACACCACCACCACACGCCAAACUCUGAAACCAACAACCUCCACUGUCGCCAAAAACCACCACAACCACCGCCACCAAACACACUAACAAUGUUCAAUUCACAACCUCACCAACACCACCCAAGCGUAAUUUUUCAGCUAGUUCCACCCACCAGAACCAUCACCACCUCAACACAUCGCAGAACACCAACGUGCCACAAUCACCACGACCACCAUCGUUGAUCAUCACCGCCAACGCCAAAAUAUGUAAGCAGCCACCACCACCACCACCACCCAAAUAUCACCUAAAAAUACCAUAGAUAACAACUCAAUCCAAAGCCAUUCCCACCUCCACCACUACAGUGAACAUCACCACCACCGUAGCUACUACCACCACCAUAUGAUCGUAGCCACCACCACAACCCACGACACAGCAAUAAACACCGUAGCCACUACCACCACCAUAUGAUCGUAGCCACCACCACAACCCACGACACAGCAAUAAACCACGGUCUCAUCUCAAAAGAUCUCCUUCUCUUCUUGUAGAUCUUACAGAUAUGCUUCAUGAAUCACGAGGUACAUCACGGCACCACCACCACCACUUCAUCAUCACGACAAACCAGCUAUAGAACUCUACAAAUUCACCACACCGCAACAACAAAUCCACCACGGCACCAUAGCCAUUACAACUGUCACAGUCGAUCCAUAGCUAUAACCAUCGGUGACGGCGACAGAUCGCUGUGAUGCAUGGUGGUGCAUUCCAGAUCGCUGCCGAAGUAGAUGAGCCAAUAGAUCUCUGCUAGUCGCUGAUGGGAACGCCGUGCCGCGCCUCAACUCCACCGAUUAGAAGGGUGGUCGCGCCUCCGAUGCCGAAAUUGUGCUUCCGGGAAAGGUUGAGAGAGAGAAGGAGACGGCGAUUUUCUUUUUAAUCAGGGAGGCGACGGGUGUUUUAGGGUAGAAUGGAGAAAUGUGAGAGAGAGAGAGUUAGGGUUUGUGAGUAAUGAUAUUUAUUUUAUAGAAAUAUUAAUUAAAAUAAAAUUUUUGAUUUUUGAAAUAUUAAACUUUCCCCCUGAUUUUAGAAUUUAAGAUUUUAAUGAUAUGAUUUUGUGUAAUUUCCACUUUUUUUAUUACUCGCUUGCUUGAGGCCCAUCUGAAAAAAAGCCCAAAUUAAAGGCAGAGAUAUCCAACUCUUACCCAGCCUGUUUACAGUUUAUGUAUAGAGCAAAGGGGACGAUCGGAUCUCUUCCUCGGUUUACGCUAAAAUUCGGGAACAAUUCAUCGCCCCUGGGCACCAAUUUAUCUCGUGGUGCUGUGCUUUCUACUCAACUUCUGCAUCACCAAACUUGGGAGGUAGUAUCGGAUUUUAUUAGUGUAAAAAUGGCUUUAUAUGAUGAAAUCGCAUUCUAUUUGAAUGUUGUGUGAAUGAUUUAAUUUUAUCUCAACUCCUUAUAAUUUGUUCCAAAACUGUUGAUUCUUGAUGAUAAUUUUCCUCUAGCAACAUUGAUUUUUUCGACCACACUUCUCUUGAAUUUUUGAUGCGGUUGUUCACUGUUUUCUCCUAGCUUUGAAAACUUGCUGCCCCUCAAGUGUAAUACGUGAAAUACCCAGGACCAAAAUCCAGUGGGGGCAGUUAAUAUACCCCAGGUCCGGCUCCGGCCCUGUACACAUUUGAGUUAAAAUUCAUCAAAUAUGAAAAUUUUGUGUUUGUGCUCUUUGUUAUGAUGUGUAGGGUCAUACUAAAAACGGUAUGCCUAAUCAUUUUUCAUGACCAUUUACUUGUUUGGGCUUAAUUUUUCGUUAUUGAUGUUUGGUUUUUGAUAUUGCAUUAUUUAAUAUUGCUGAUGGGGAAAUUUUGAUGAGUCUACAUAUUAUUGGAGUGGUAGAAGCUUCUGGUAGUACUAUGGCUUGGAAUGUUACUUCACAUCUUAUUGAUUCGCGAACCCUCACAAAUGAAGCUGAAAUUAAAAGGAAAAGGGGGUUCUGAUUUUUUAUCUGAUGAUCUGUUUCUACAAAAUAUUAUGUGGUUUGACUGUCAUUCUAAUUGGUGUAAAGUUAUCUAACAAUUAAAAGUAUAAAAUAUAAAAAUGUUUACUUUUCUUGUGUACAACAAUUUUAUUGUGAGCUUGCUUGAUACUGUCUGUUACCAUUGAUGGAUGCUAUUUAUUCCCAUGAAAUGAAAAUAUUAAAUAUUAAAAUGUUAGAAUGAUAAGAACAAAAAAAGAAAAAAACUGAGAUGUGUUGAUAUAGGAAAAUGAGAUGUUGUAUUUAACAAGUGACAAAACUUUGUAUUUAGUUAGCCCCUAUUGGUUAAAAAUGGUUGCAAACUUCAUACAAUAUAGGCCCACUAUAGGAUUUUAGAAUAAAAAGUUACUUUCUUACGGAAUUAAAUGAAAGCCGACUUUGGGGUGAUAUGUUGUUUCUUUGGCAUGUUUGUGGAUCUCUAUUUCAAAAUAAUGGUAUAGACUGAACUAAGCACUUUGUCAGAAUGCUCUCCGGAAGACGAAAGCUGCCAACUUAUUAUCAAUAACUUGAGUCACCUUAAUUUGGGUAAAAAGCUGACUUUCCCUUGCCAUUCUGGUUGUUCAAGUAAAAACAAGGAGAAAACUUGUGGCUACCUAAAAAAUACGAUAAUUGGGCUGCUUUUGGGAUUGGAUGUGCAAACAUGGUAAACUUUUUGGUUUAUUCUUCUAUUUUGUGGCUUAGUCUGAUGAUUAUGCUCAUAUGUUGGUCAACACGUUACAGAAGUACAUUUGUUAGUGCCCAAACGGAAGAAGUUGUUUUAUGAAUUAAGCUCCUAGAUAUUACUGUAAGAUGCACAUAAUAGAUAGAUCCUGGAAGAUGUACAGCUGGAAGGGCCUAUUUCCCUGAUAGGAUUAUGAGGACUGUAUAAUCUGAUUCAAAUGCCAUGAUGGAAUAACAGGAAACUUUGGUUUCUACUAAUUGCAGGAUUUGGGAAUUAUUUUAAUCAAUAGUUGGUGUAGUCUUUUGCCUCUUGUUUGGUCCUCGACUUUGCAAUCUAGGUUUUCUUACAGCAUCUUUGGCUAAGCUUACAAAAAAAAAUAAAGUUAAUUUUUAAGGGAGUGUUUGAUAGAGAUUUUUAUGUAAAAAUACAUUUUAGAAUAGUAAAUUGAUGUGAACUGUGUGGUUGAAAAAUAAGGAAAAGUUUUUGAUUUACGUGUAAUAUUAUUUUAAUAAAGAAUGUGUGGUUGAAAAGAAAAAAGAGAAAAACGUAUUUUGAAAAAAAUAACUACCAUACGGGGCCUAAGUAACUUUUUGUCUUUAGAUAACUUACUUUUAAUAAAAAGUUAUUUUUUCUCAAAGUAAUACCUUAGUGUCAAAAUAAAUAAUUCAUUACCUUCUUUGAUCAAUAAAUUUUUUCUUUUUGAAAGAACUUAUUUACCUGUUAGAAAACCUUUUAAGCAUAGCCAAACUUGUAGCCUGCUAUACAUUUGAUGCUCUUGUAAUGGAUCUUUUGAUACGUGCAGUGUUCAAUCAUGAUUGAGAGUGGAAAUUUAAUCCUCAAAUCUCAUUAUGAGAUCCUCGAUGUGAAGGAAGAUGCUAGCUCUGACGAAAUUCGUACAUGCUACCGAACUGCCAUUCUGAGUUAUCAUCCAGAUAAAAUGCAAACGACAUCCCAAACAUCAAAUCCUGCAAACGAGUUGGGCGGAAGGUUUUUAGAGGUGCAGAGGGCUUGGGAAAUCCUCGGAGAUUCAAAAUCUCGUGCACUUUAUGAUAACGAGCUGCAAUCUUCGAGGCAAGAUUCUGCAACUGCUGAAGAUAUCAGAUUAGAGGAUCUGUCAAUCGAAGAGGUUGGUGAUAUUUUUGAGCUUUCGUACGGCUGCAGAUGUGGCGAUUACUUCCUAAUCGAUUCUUUGGAGUUGUCAGAUAUGGGAUAUCCACUGUUGAAAAAUGGGAGUAAAAUUGUUUUGCAAGCGCCUAGAUCUCCACCUGCAUCUGUUGUUCUUCCUUGUGGGUCAUGCUCGCUUAAAGUACGGUUAUUGAUUAAUUCUGAUAGUAAGCUUCAAACUGAGUUGAGUAAUUGAUAAUAGUUUUUCCAUUAAUCUGCAAUUUUGGUCUGAGCAAGUGAUUUAAGAUUAUCUAUAAUUUUGUGGAAUGUAACAGAGAAUUGGAAAAAUGACAGGUCAUUUUGAUUAAAAUUUGUAAUGUGUACUGAUUCAAUUGUUCAUGCAAUUGUUGUGGCCUGUGGUGCCAUUAUUUGAAUAGCAAAGGAUUUGAACUCGCAAGAGAUCUAUUGCAUAGUUUUUAUUAAGGUUAGACAAAACUCUCGAAUCAAAUGAGGCCGAAUUGGACCCGAUUCGAACUAAAUCGAAUCGAGCAGUUCUUCUUAAAUUAAAUAUUUGAAUGGGUGUUUGAAUCGAGAACCGACGGGUUCGAUUCGAUUUUCGGAUCUAGAUCAUGAAUUGAAGAAUUGAAUAAGAACUAAAUCUCUAUAAUUUUUUUAAUUUAUUUAUUUUAAAUAAGUCAAAUUAUUUUAUUUUUUUUUAAAUAAAUUUGUUAAUUAAUUAAUUUAGCUCAAAUCCAAAAAUAUGAUUUUCAUAUUUCUAAUUUUCAAUCUGAGUCCAACUUAAUCAAACUGUUCUAAGUUUUAUCCAAAUAUGUUAUUCUAUCGUAGUGUUAUUUUUACCGUUUUGGAGAAAUUGAAUUAAAGUUGGACAGCAGCUCUCUUAAUUAUUGUAAGCUUGCUAUCGUCCUCUUCCUGUGAUUAUAACAAUCAAAUCUAUGAAAAACUCACCAAAGAGAAAUGCAAAAGACAUAUAAGAUUGGAUUACGUUAUUUCGUAAGAGUUAAGAUUAAACAUGUCAUUAAUUGAAUUAAUUUAGUUUUAUAAAUAUUAAAAAAAUUAAUUAUAGUAUAGAACCUGGGAGCCGAAUCCGAACGGUUCCAUAAUUAACUUGGGAUCCGACGGUACUAUUUAUUAAAUACCUGAAAAUUUCAGGUUCGAUUCGGUUCUAAUGAGAAUCCAACUAAAUCGAACCAUGUCCACCCUUAAUUGUCGGCAGACCAUUUUAUCAUCUUGUAAUAUUAAGGAAGAAAAAAGUAGGUGAAUUCUUGUUGGUUGUGCUGUUUAAACCCAACAAAGCUGUGUGUAGAAAUGCCACAGGCAACACACAAUUGGGUGAGGGGAAGAGUGGGGGAUUUUUUUGGUAUCCUUUAUCACGACUUGGGAUUCACAAAUUAUGGGUAUCUGGUGGAAUUUUGUGAGUCCUUUUUUUGUACGAAUGACUUUCUUAGUUUAAACCAUACUAAACAUGCUACAGUGACAAAAAUAUCAAUUGCAGACCCUUGACAUUCUGUUCUCUGAAUAUCAUAAACAAAUCAAUAAAGAGAUCCCUAAACUAUAUCGAGUUUUGUUAAAAAAAUAAAAAAUAAAAAAAAAAUAAGGAAAAGAAAAAAUCAACAUAAAUAUUAGUGUGCCACAUUGCUUGGAGUUGUAUGACGCAUGUAGGGUUGAUAAAACCCAACUCAACCCAAUUGAUAAGUGUAUUUUUAUAUGCUUAUGUGGUUAUUAAAUGAAAGCAGCUAUUGUUAAUUUGAAUGAAUUAGAGCUUAAUUAUGUUUUAAGUAAAACUCGUGACAAAUUGGGUGAAUUGGAAGAAAGAAGCGAAAAAUGGACUGAAAAAGAAGAAUACGAAGUUCGUGAUAAAAUUGCAAAUAUCCAAUAAUUGAUUCAGACAAAAAAAAAAUGUAUAAUUGAAGAUUAUUAAGAGUCAAUUGAAUGUAAUUAGAAGUCAAAAAACAGUGAAAUUCAAUAAAAAAAUUCUAACAAAUCAAUUUUCAACUGUACAAGUAAUGUUCCUGAAAUUUAGUCGGAGAUUGAAACCCAUUUUGACAUAGUAGUCGCUCUAAUAGAAAAAUUGCUACUUUUUUUUAUUAGUUGUAGCCCUUCGAAUUAACUUUUUAACACAUUUUGAAUCUUCUUAAUCAAAUAUUGAAAUAGAAAGUUAUGACAAAAAAUUAACGACCGAGUAAAGAUAUAAUCAUGUUUGUGCGAAGACAACUUUCCUUAUUUAAUUGACACUCUUUUGGAACCCAAACUUAAACGUAUUUUUUUGACCUAAUUUCACCUUAUAUAAUAGAAUACAUGGACAACCAUUGAAGGAUCUCUCCCACCUCUCAAAUCACUUCCAUGUCAUAAAAUCAUUCAAGAACGAGAAUCAAAUUCAUCAUAAGUUGGAGAGGAGAACAAAUCUAACAUGUAGAUAAAUCAAGAAACAUCAAGAACUUGAAAAAUCAAAGCUUGGGGUUGAACACUAAGAAUAAAAAUUAGACCGUGACAUCUCUUUCUUAUAUUUAUAAAUUUAGGUGAUGUUUUUCUAUUCUUCUUCUUGUUUGAUCAUUUGACAUAUGUUUAGCUAGAUUCUUUGUAUUUGAUGAGGAUGAACCAUAUUAUUUAUUUAUUUUAAUUCAAACUAAUAGUUUAGUAAUUCUUGUUUUCUUGAUUAAUUUUAUAUUCUCAUUGCAUUAUAUAAUUAUUUUGCCAUCAAUUAGAUAAUUAGUUGUUUGUUGCAGUGUCAGAAGACUCACAAUAAGUUUAGAAUGUAAUAAAAUUAACAUAUGUGUAAUAGAUGUUAUGAAUAAUAUUUAUUUCAUGUGCAAUCAUGUAAAUAAUAUAUAGUUUAUGUAUUCUAAUGAUUCGAAUUUAGGUUAAGGAUAGACUUGGGUUGUGGUUAGAAUAGAUUUAUUUUGUCUUAGAAAAGAAAGUUAAAUAUAUUAAUUUUAUUGAACGUUAAGAACAUAUGAAUGGAACUAGAUUACAAAUUAAGACUUAAAAUAGGUAACAAUAGAUGAAUUCGAAAUUCAAUAACAGCUUUCUUAGGUUAAUAUAGACUAAUCAACAUUAAAAACUCUUUCGUUUACACACUUCAGAUUACAUAUAAAUUAGUAAAUUUGAAUUAAAAUUUAUUACUUGUGGGACGUAAGCUCUCAAUUCACUCAAAUCGAUUACUUAUCCAUGAUCUCGUAUGCUUGCGGGAUUUAGUGAUCGAGUUUUUGGCGUCGUUGUCGGGAAUAAAGUAUUUAAUUUUAGUUUAUUAGUUUAUUUAGGAUUUGACUAUUAUUAUUAUUAUUAUUAUUAUUAUUAUUAUUAUUAUUAUUAUUAUUAUUAUUAUUAUUAUUAGUUUUUUUAAAUUUAGGCUUCUCACCAUAUCUCUCUUUUGUUUGGUUUUCUACCAAGUACUAUUCAAUAGCACAUGGAUGAUUCUUACAUUAACAAGAGAGCAAACCAUUUGCAAUAAUUAAUCUCAACGUGGAUGAUGAAGAUAUGCUUGUAGAAGACAUAUAUUGUUAAUUUUGUUACGGGUUGCAUUAUACUGGGCACGGCUUAUAAAGACGCACUGUUGAACCCCUAAGGUUCAAGCUUCUACAAUUUCAACAAUAUUUAAGUUAUCAAAAAUGAGCAAUUGAGAAAUUUAAUGAAAACUACAUACCGGCAAUCGAUUAUGUAUCAUUAGACAUGCUUGUGGGAGUUGGUUCCUUUCAUGUUGAAUGAAGAGAUAUUUGUAAAAUAUUAUAAUGAACUUGCUAAGUCAGAUGAAAACAAAUGCAUAUGGAGAUGGCAUAUCUUGGGACAAAUUUAAAUGAUGGGGAUAUAAUCCACUUGAAAAGAUUGAAAGGAAAUAAGUGACAUUGCCAAUGAAUUUAGAUAGUGAACCGACCAUUUAACUCGAAGAAAUAUCAAUUAUUGAAGAAGAGCAUAAAGACGAUGACAAACUAAUUAUAAAGGAACCAAGCAAAAAUGUGACAAUUAAUGAUGAUGAAAUUUACUCAUAUUCUUUUGACUUCAUCGAUUGUCCAACAAUUGAAUUUAUGAUUAAGUCAAAGAAGGAAGAAGUCUACAUAAUUAGCUUGGAAUAAGAUGGAAUAAACGAAUCAUAUCACAUAGAAUGAGGUAAUGUUAAGGUUUGAAAAAUUAACGAAAGUGGACCAAAGUCAAAAGAAACAAAUUAAGCAUGGCAUCAAAAGCUUUCUCCAGAAUUUCAUGGUGCAGAACAUGAAAGUCAAGCUAAUGACUAUAAAUAAGCACUUAUUGGAAUGCAAUUCAAUUUCUUCUCUUUUAUUUAUUUUUACUUUCUAAAAUAUAGGAUUAGUAAAUUUCAUUUUUUUAGUAGUUUUGUAUAUUUUAUUGCUUUUAGUAAUUUAGAGUAUCCUUAUUUUCAUAUUUUCCUUUAAGAAGCUUUAGAGCUUGUUUAACUAUGCUCCAUGGUAUAAUUGAAUUUUAUUUAUUUAUUUAUUUAUCUUGAAGAAACAACAUGACAUCUAAGUACAUUGGAUAAGGUAAAAUACAUAACAAGUGAUCCAACACUCUUAUGCCAGUCUAUCUACCACCUUCAGAUAUAUAUAUCAGGGGAAUACUUAGUUCUCUUAUUUAUCCUUAGUUUUUCUAUAUUACUUGUUAUAUUUUUAGACAUUAAGGGCAAUAUCUAUUAUAAAUUUGGGGAUUAAAAAAUAUCUAGUUUUUAUCUAUUUUUACUAUUUGGUACUUGCAAAAAAACUUCAAAAAUUAAAAAAAAAAAAUUAUCUUCAGUUUUAUUUUUGCUUUUAUAUACUUUUGUUGAUUAUAUAAAUUCGUCUACUAUGAUGCAUAUAUUUGGAACCAUCUGUAAGGUUAUAAAUAGUGAAAAAGUUGCAUGAUAGGUUGAUUUAUGCUUAUUAAUGUAAAAUUUGACAUUUUUGCACACAAGAUUAUUGUUUUGCAUCAUUAAGGAUUAAUUUGAUUCAAAUUUUGAAUAGUUUGAAAUAAAUUUAGUGGACCAUAGAUGCUAAAACUAGAUAAACACUAAAUUGUACAUCCUUAAACCUAUUUUCAUAUAAUUUGGGGGCGACUGAACUGUUGUAGGGAGAUAUUGAGAUAAAUAUAGAUUAUAUGCAUAUUCUGUUAAUUGUUUAAUGCAAAUAAGAAAAAAAUUAAGUGUAAAUUUUUGUGUCAAUUUUUGAGAAUGAGUGUUUAGUUAGGGGCAUUGUACUGGACAUUGCAUGGGAAAAUAAUUUCAAAGAAGAAAGAAACUCACAUUAUUAAACUUCUUUUUAUAGCCUUCAUGACUUAAGUUUAUAAAGCUUAAUUGAGAUAAGUUUGAACAUAAAAUGAAAAUGAAAAUAGAAAUAAAAAGAGAAAAAGCAAGUAACAAAAGGUGUACUACAUGCGUUGAUUAAACUCCAAAUACUUGUUUUAGAGAAUUAGACAUUUGACAAAGGAUUAUUGGCCUAGUUGAUUUUUGGAGGUUGAAGUAACCAAAAAUAAAGAGAACUCUCAUUUGUUGAUGUGUUAGCUGCAAUUAGUAAGAUCUAACCAAAGUAAAGGGGAUAAUGAUUAGUAUAAAAAAUCCAACUUUAGAUCACACUAUAGGAAAAGAGUUUUAAAAAAAAAUUAGUUUGAAUGUGAACCUUAUGCGAGAAUGAAGUAAAUAUUUGACCAAUUAGGGCCGGGACAUAAGUCACCUAAUGAGAACUUGUUUGAGCCCCAUUUUGAGGGGAAAGAAUGCAUUUUUAAAUAGUGAUUGAUGGAGAAUGUGUAGUUAAAAAUUAAGGAAAAGUUUUGGGUUGUGUAUAAUAUUAUUUUAUUGAAAAAUAUAUGGUUGAAAAUGGAUUUUAAAAUUUUUUUUUUUUAAAAGAAUGAGGCUCAAACAAGGGCUGGAUUUAUGAUGUUUAACAUGAAUUUUCACACACGGGCGUCGAUUUUGCAUUAGAUAAGUAGAAAUUAAUUUUAACAUUGUGAUUUUGAAGUAGCUCAUAACGUUAACACAUAAAUUUCAAUCCUAAGACCAAUGACAAAUUAUCUAAUCAUGUUUGUUUAAAAAAGUUUUGGUUAAGUUAAGCUAUAUUUUGUUAGAGGCUAAAUAAUUGUUCAAGUUUGGAGGUAUUUGAUAAGUUCAUUUCUAUAUACUUAUUUGGUUAUUAAAUGAGAGCCAUUAUUGUUAAUUUGAAUGAAUUAGCGCUUAUUUAUAUUUUAAUUUUAUUUGUUAGGUAAAAAUCGAGAUAAAUUGGGUGAAUUAGAAGAAAGAAAUGAAAAAUGGGUGAAAAAAAUGAAAUAUAAAGUUAGGGAUCAAAUUGUAAAUAUCUAAUAGUUGAUUUGAACCACAAAAUGAUAAUUGAAGAUUACAAGGAGCCAAUUGUAUGCAAUUAGAAGUCAAAAAGGAGUGAAUUACAAUCAAAGGAUUCUUACAAAUCAAUUUUCAUCCGUACAACUUAUAUUCCAGAUUUUUAGUCGGAGAUGGAGACCCAUUUUAAUUUAGUAAUCGUUCUAAUAGAAGAAUGGCUACUUAUUCAUUAAUUGUAACACUUUGAGUUAGCAUUCUAAUCAUUUUGAAUAAAUUCAAUCGAGUAUUAGGAGAGAAAUUUAUGACCAAAUUAUUGAUGAGUGUGCAAAGAGAUAAUCAUGCACGUGUGAAGGUAUCUUUUCUUAUUUGAUUGAAACAUUUUAGGAACCUAACUUGAACGCAUUUUUUAAGCUAAUUUUGCCUUAUCUCUAUCUAAUAUAAUCAUCCAUGGAAGAUCUCUAUCUCACCUCUCAAAUCACUUCCAUAGCAUAAAAUCAUUCAAGAACGAGGGAAAAAUUCAUCAUAAUUUGGUGGGGAGAACAAAUCUAGCACAUGGACCGAAUAAAAAAUAAAUCAAGAACUUGAAUAAUCAAAGCUUGAGGUUGAGAAACAAGAUCAAGAAUUAGACCGUGCAUCUCUUUCUUAUAUUUAUAAAUUUCGAGUGAUAUUCUUCUUGUUGUUUUAUCAUUAGAAACAUGUUUAACUAGAAAUUCUUUGUAUUGGAUGAAGAUAAAUUCUUUUUUUUAAUUAUUUUAAUUUAAACUAGUAGUUUAUUAAUUUUCCUUUUCUUGAUUAAUUUUACAUUCUCAUUGCAUUAUUUAAUUAUUUUGCCAUCAAUUAUAUAAUUAGUUGCUUAUUGUAUAGUUAGAAGACUCACAAUAAGUUUAAAACGCUACAAAUUAAUAUGUGCACAAUAGAUGUUAGGAUUAAUAUUUAUCACUUAUGCAAUCAAGUAGAUAACCUAAAAUUUAAUGCAUUCUAGUCAAUCGAAUUUAAGCUAGGAAUAGACUUAUAUGUGAUUAGAAUAAAUUUAAUUUGUCUUGAAAAAUGAAGUUAAAUAAUUAGCUUUAUUGAUUGUCAAAAAAGCAUGAAAUGAAUUAUAUUACAAAUCAAGAAUUGAAAUAGAUAAUAAUAGGCGGAUUCACAGUCUAUUAUAAUCAUCCAUAAUUUAAUAAAAACCAAAUUUUUAUGACUUAUUAGAUUUAGAAUAAUCAACACCAAAAACUCUUUUGUUUACAUAAUUCGAAUUCCAUAUAUAACUAGUGAACUUGAAUUGGUAUUAACUCACUCAAAUUUAUUACUUGUGAAUGAUCCCUUACACUUACUAGAUUUUAUCAAACACUGAUCAAUUAAAAAAUUAAUGCCUAAAAUAAAAAAAAAAUCCAAAUAGAUACAAUAGUGGAGAUAAGAGAAAGACUUAGAAUGUACAAACGUCCUUUAUUUACAUAGACUGAUUGACACUAUUUACAAAUGCAAAGUUAUUUGAUGGUGAACUAAAAUUAAAUAUGGAAUGAUGAAGUGAAUGAAUUCAAAAAUUGUUGUAAAAAAAGCUCCAUAAUUUCAAAUUUACACAUUAUUUUUUAAAAAGAAUUUCUUAUAUAGAUUAAAAACAAUAGAUGUUUUCAAGUGAUUUUAAACCGUAAAAAAUUGUCCAAAUUUAACAAAAAAUAAUAAUCAAAUCCAACUUGAAUUGAGCCCAAGCCCCAACCCUAAAAUUGAUUGGUUUGGGUUGGGUUGGAUUGAGUUUAAAACAACAAUUGGGUUGAGUUGGAUUGCGGGGGAGCACUUUAAAAAAUUACGUUUCUCACUUUUCUUUGUUUUCUUUGAACCUUAAAGAGUUACUUUGCAAACAUUUUUUUUCCUUCCUCCCAAUGGCAGAUCUAGGUAGUGGCGAGCUUGGGCGGCCGCCCUAGCUGGAUCCGCCAGAGUCUUUACUAGCCGCCGGGUGGAAGAUUGGAAGUUGCAGAGCCGCGACUGAACUGAAAAAGGGAGGAUCGGAGGAGGAAGAUGAAAUUUUGAAUUUGGGUCUUUUUUUUUAUUAUUUUAGUUUAGGCCUUUUUCUUUGGGCUGAUGAGUUGGGCCUCUUUGUUGGAAAAAAAAAAUUAGACCCAAUCCAUGGAUGAUGAUUGAUGGAAAUACACACAUAACUGCAACCACACCUCCAAAUCAGAGGUAAUAAUCGUAGCAAACCCUUCUGUAACUGCUCUCCUUCUCCCUGCUGUUGGCCGCAGAUGUUAUUACUUAUUUCGGUGGUCAAAACCUCAAUUGGUGGCAUUAGAAAUAGGACGCCUAUGUCCUGGUGAGAAACUUCUAAGUUCUAAUGGCUCAUUUUUUCGAUUUCCAUGUGUCUGCCUUGGAUUAAUGCAAAUUAUGCAAACCUGUAUACUUACUUUUUUGUUUAAUAUCUUUUUCAGGAAAUAAGAAUGGGAUACUCUUGCCUCACACAGAGUUCGCCUGAGUGCUGCUCACGCAUGUGACUUGUGAGCCCUCUCUUCUCUUUCACUUUUUUGUUUGUUUGUUUGUUUGUUUUGUUUUUGUUUUUUGUCCUUUUAAUUCAUUUUUUUAUUUAUCUUUUAUUUUUGAGCUAUGAAUCUAUGACUUGUGUUUUACUAGUUAUGAUUUAUGUUUUAUGAGUUAUGACUAUGAUUUGUGAUAAAUAAUUCAAGAUGAAAUCCCUACCUUCUAGUUCUAGUUCGUGUUAGGUUGUUGCUAGUUCAUUAGAUUUGGAAGAUUAUAAAUAAUUUGAACUUUGUUAAUAUAGCAAAUUAAUAAUACUUGUUAAUUAACUUUAAUUAUAAACUGAAUAUUGGCAUUUUGUUAAUAUAUUUUGCCUAUUUAAUUGAAAAAUAAAUUAAGGCAAUUUUGCAGAUUAUGGAACUAUUUUUUCAUUCGAAAUGAAAGUUUGUACAUAGUUUCAGUUCUAGUGGUGCAUCUAGUUCUAGUCCGUACGGUUUUUUGAAUACUAUUUAAUUAAAUAUUAAUAAACGAUUCACCUAUCAUGGAUGCUGACAGUUGACAGUUAACAUUCAACGUUUACGGUCCGUCCUAGCUGAACUAAGACCCUGGAUUCGCCCCUACUUCCUUCCACCUAUUUUUUCCUCCCUCCAUUUCAUAACUACGAAAGAAUAUCACUAACACUAUCAAUACAUAUAAAAAUUCUAGUCAAUGAAUUGUUGAUCAGUUAAUUGAUGUCGUUUCAAGUUUUUGUGUUCGUUCUAUAUAUGACAAAGUUGUCGAUAAUCCUUACAGUUCUCACAUGGCCCUGUUGAGAAGAAACGAAUUGCCACUUGCUAGGGAACUUUCUAAGGUAGCUAGGAUGCUGUGGCUGUUUCAAACUCGGAUCCAGCUUCCAUUCUUUUGGAACCUGCAUAGCCACAUUUACAAUGACACUCAGAUUCGACGUGAAAGGUUGGAAAUACGAUUAACGACGACCAAUUUUCUAAAAUCGAUUCAGGUCAGUCACCUUCUCGUGUCAAGGUUCAAAGGAUACAAUUGGAGUUUAACUAGAUAAUAUUCGUCACAUAGCAUGAGAUAUGUCAAGGCUCAAAUUGCUCCUUAACCCAAAGUUCUUAUUUUCAGUUAAAAAAAGCUGAAAAACUUCUAGGUUUCCUCCCAUCUCUUUAAUAUGGUUUUUAAGGUAUAACAAUACGUUACAGGUUAAUUCAUCGUUUUAUCUCUCGAACCAGUCAGGAUAGUCUGGUUAUCAAAACACUAAAGAAAACAAGAUGAGAAAAAUAGAAGAUCUUGAUAUUUUUUGCAAGUCACCUUUCAAACAUUAUUCACUUUUGUUCGUGAGAAACCUACAACCGUAUCGUUGACAAGUAAUAGAAUUAACAAGUUUAAAGUUACUGUCCCACAGGAAAUAAACUCAAUUGAAAUUUACCAAUUUUAUAUGGAAUUCGAAUUACAUAACACAAAAGAGAUUUUUAAAUUGAUAUUUGAUAAAUUAAUUUAUGAAAUAUUUAAAAGUUUGGUUUUUAUAAUUUAUGGAUGAUUGUAUUAAAUUUACGCUCUUCUAUUGUUAUCUAUUUCAAUUUUCAGUUAUGUAAUCUAGUCUUAUUAAUGCAUUUUUGACAGCCGAUAUAGUUAAUGUAUUUAACUUUUUUUUCAAGAUAAAUUAAUUCUAUUAUAGUCACGACUCGAAUCUAUUUCUAGUUUGAAUUUGAAGAAUGGAAUACAUUAAAUUUCAGAUUAUUUAUAUGAUUGCACACAUGAUAAACGUCAUUUUUAACAUCUAUUGUACAUAUGCUAAUUAUACUGCAAUCUAAACUUAUUGUGAAUCUCUCAAUACUACUACAAGUAACUGAUUAUCUAAUUGGUGGUCAAACAUUUAAAUAAUAUAAUAAGUGUACAAAAUUAAUCAAGAAAUGUAAGAAAUACUAAAUUACUAGUCAUGAAUUAAAAUAAAUAAACAAUAUGGUUCAUCUUUAUCCAAUACAAAAAUAGAUCUAACAUGGCAUGCUUUUAAAUAAAUUAUAAGAAGAAUAAUAGGAAAAUAUCACCCGGAUCAUGAAAAUAAUGCAAGAAAUCUUGAUCUUCAAUAUCAAGAUUGAGUUCUUCCAAAUCUUGAUGUAACUGGCUUCAAUUCCUUGCUAGGGUUUGCUCCCUUCUCUCAAAUAUAGCAAUUGACCACUUGUUCUUGAUAAAUUUUAAGAUAUUACUGUGUAUCUAGAAGCUAGAAAGAGUUCAUUUCCAUGUUUAGAUGUUGUUUUGUAUUUAUAGGAAUUGAAAAUUCGGGUUAAAAUCAUGUAUAAAUUCAAAUUAGGAAGAGUUUUAUGUCAAACAGAUUUUAUGUCAAGGAAUUUACAAGGUUUUUUCAAAUGAAUGAUUUAACUUGGGAGUAAUUAGUGGUUUUGCAAUGGAGUGUUUCAGCAAAGAACCUCGGAUGGAGAUGCGCUUCGGCCAGAGAGAUCAACCCUUUUCAUUGAUUUCUUCAUGUUGUCCUUGUUGACUUUUAGAUGUAUUGCCUCCACGCAACUUCGACUUGGCUUCCACUGGAAGCUUUGGAUACAAAGCGAAAUUUAAUAUUUAAUAUCUAUUCCAUAUGGAUUAAAAUCUCUAAAUCAAAGCAAACAAUUAAUUUUCAUCACAUAUUUCGUGGAUUCUACAAUGGAUAAAUAGCCAAAACCCCAUGUUUGAAACAUUUUUGUGCAAGCCCCACCGUCAUCAAGAAUUAUCAAAUUGAUCGUUAAAAACACUAAAAAAAUGUCAAAAUUAAAAAGGAAUAAAUGCAAUUUCAGUAUCUAAACUUUUAUUUUUUUUUACAAAUUAAAUCCAAAUUUUUUAUAUGUACCACCUACAAUCCAAAUAUUUAAAACUUUAUUUUCCACGCCACCCUCUUCAUCUUCUUCCCCAAAAUAUUCUUUUCUAGGUUUUCCUUCACCAAAAUCUAUGAUUUCAUUCCUAUUUACUAGUCGAUGCCACGUGCGUUGUACGAUUAUUGUAUUUAAUAUGUCUUUAUUAGCGUGAUGUAGAGAUUUUAGUUUUCUUGUCAUAAUCGUAACAUGCUUUUGAAGUUUGAAUUAAUUUUUUUUGGCAUGAAUUUUCUCUGACAAUUAGUAAAAAUUAGAUUUAAAAUUGUAGGGGAUAUAAGUAAAAGAUAAUUUAUAAUUUUAUGAGAGUCCUGCACGCGACCGUGCAGAGUCAGCACCAAUUCCAUGCGAGGAAGUCCCCGCACAGAUGCGGAUUUCCUGCACAAUUCGUGCGGAGUCCUCACACAGUUUGUGCGAGGACUCCACACCAAUUCCUUCGAGGAAGUCCCGCACAGUUUGUGCGGGCACUCCGCACCAAGAUUGCUACAAAAAGCCAUAUUUCACGAGUUCUAGGUGUUUGCAUUCUCAAAGUGAUUAAGAGAACUAAUAUCACCAAAAUUCAGCAAAAAUAAAAAUGAGAAUAUUUAUUUAUAUAAGCAAGGGAUGAAAAGUGGAAAUAACUUCCUAAAAAAUGAAAUGUACUGCAUUCAACAUUGAGAAAAAAACACGUAACAUGUAAUCAUAUUGUGCUGCUGGCUCAUUUUCAAUUAAUUACUACCAAAAAGUUUUGCAACGAGAAUUCUACAGUUAUAAAUAGAGAUUCAAAUGGCCUAUCCAAUCACCUUACUAUGCUCUGCUUAAACUUAUAGCUAAAAACUUAACAGAAACAAUUUGCAACUAUUAACUAAAAUAACAAAACCCCUUAUACUUAGAGCAAUUCAAUUAUUUUCACCAAACUUAUAUGCUUCACCUAAUCAUUCAUCGAUUUCUUGCUAAUUUCUUUAGUCCUACAUUUUCCUACUUCAGGUGCCAAACCAUGGCCUAAAAAAUUAAUCUAUACUUCUUUUUUUUUCCUCUCUAUAAUCUGUUGUUCUUAUGGCCAAAAAUUCAGUUUAAAAAGACUUAUACAAACUGAAAAUACACACAUUCUUAAUAUGCAUAAAGUAUGAAUAAACCCAUAUCAAGAGUCCCAACAAAAAAAAAAUUGAAAAUAAGUAAAAAGGCAGAUUUUUUCCCUAGUUGACUUUAAAAAAAAAAUUAAAAUUCAAGACUUCUUUUCUGCAGCACAUAUCAAAAGUCUAUUCACGGCAUCAUCGGAACAAUCAUCAACAAACAAAACCCAUACACCCAAAAUUAAUGAAAUGACGAAAACUCAAACAUCUAACACAUAAAUUUAGGGAUUAAGAUAAGAUAAGCCCAUACCUUCAAAAUUAUUAGUGUUAAAACCCAAAAAGUCCCCGCACAGUCUAUGCGGGGACUCCGCACCCAGAUUACUACAAGAAGCCAUACUUCACGAUUUCUGCCAAGAUUGCUAAUGCAUGAGAUACACAAGAGACCUAAAUGAAUUAACAAGCCAAUAAGCAUUUUAAUUUACAUUAAACCAAGAAUAUACCUCUCUAUUCACACAAAAACCCAAAAUUGUGAAUUGAAUGAACAAAAUUAUAAUUAUCAAAUAAAAUCGAGGAUAUACCUCUCUAUUCACUCGAAAUAAAAAAUUUUGCACGUAGAAUCUUGAAUAAACAAAAUCAUAAUUUGAGAAAAAUGGCAUGCCAGGAAUUUACCUCUCUAUUCAUGAGAAUUUUGCACGAAAUUAAUCACAGAAAAACGAGAGAAGAAUUGAAGAAGAAGUGAGAGAAGAAAAUGAUGAUGAUGAUGAUGAUGAAAGCUUGUGUCUGGGUUUGCGUGGGGAAAUGGCUUCACCGUCCUUUUGAGUAAGAAAAAAUGGGUAUGAUUGAUAUCUACAGUAAAAUCACUGUUUAGCUAAAGUAGAAGUCCCGAAUACUAUUGCAAUUAUAGUAUAUUUUAUUCAUCUUUCUAUAAUAAGUAGUUAGAUUUAAAAAAAAAAACUGCAAAUGUGGUGUUUUGCAAUUACAGUGAAUUUUAUUCAUCUUUCUAUAAUAAGUAGUUAGAUUUAAAAAAAAAAAAAAAAACUGCAAAUGUGGUGUUUCUACAUGAGUUAACUUAUGCGUGUUUUAUAUAAAUCUCCUUGUUCUGUUUGUUAGUGAAGAUCAUGAAUUGGCCAGCUCUAAAAACAAGAUUCAGUAACAUUUAUAGAAUAAUAUAUUAAAUUGGAUAGCUUAAGGAGGUCGCCAGAAUUUGGGGUGGCCAUAUUGCUCAACCCCAGACGGUGUUCAAGUAUCUGUCUAUUCAUUUUCUGUGUAUAAUCGUAUCCAAGAAUGAGUCAUGUAUUCUAGCGAGAAAUUAAUAUCAAGAUUCCAGUUCUUGACAUCUUGUUUAUCCAAAAUUUUUCCUUUAUCUUGGUGUAAUCUAUGGUCAUAGGUAGUGUUUUUGUGGAAUCAGAUCUUUGUUUCUCAUUUUUUAAGUUGGAUUUCAAAUCUUGAUAUUUGGACUUUUGAUUCUCGAAGUGUUCAAUAAUUUAACUGUAAUUUUCAAGAAAAUAGGGGGAUGGACUUACUAUAUGUUCUUGGAACCAGAAAGAGAGGUGAAUUCUAAUUACAUAAUUAAUUCAUUAUUUAAACAUCCCAUUCUGAGACUUGGGGAAAUGGACUUCUUGUAUUUUCGUGGAUCGAAGAAAAUGAAUUGGGGUGGGGGUUGGAAAAUAAAGUUCUAGAGAUUUGGGAUUGUAGGUGGCAUAUAUAAAAAUUUGGAUUUAAUUUGUAAAAAAUAAUAAUAAUAAAUAACAAAAUAAAAAAAAUUGGGUAUUGAAAUUACAAUUAUUCCUUUUUAACGACAAAUUGAUGGAUCUUGACGGUAGGGAAAUUUGGGAUGAGAUCAAUGCACUAACUGAUGCCCACCCUUGUACUUGUGAUGCUCGCAAAAAAGUCGAAGACACAGCCAAUACCGAACGACUCUUUCAAUUUCUUAUGGGCCUCAAUGACUCAUUCUCCAACAUUCGAAGCCAAAUUCUCACCAUGGACCCCCUGCCCACAAUCUCCAGAGCAUAUGCCACCAUACAUCAAAAAGAGACACAACGCCUCCUACAAAUUCCAUUGUUACCCAAUCCCGAAAAUUCGGCCAUGGCUGUCUCACACACCAAUUCUUCGGUCAAUCACGGUUUUUGUUCUCGCAACAGUAGAAAAUGCACAAAGUGUGGGAAAGAUGGACAUCAAGAAGCCUCCUGCUUUGAAAUCAUUGGCUAUCCUUCCCAUUGGAACACCAAUAAGCCGAAGCAGCCCCUGCGGUCCACACCUGUCAAAAAUCGGCCACAGGAUUCAGGCAGUAAUCGGCUACCCACAGCGAACAUGGUGUCUCGUACCUCAGCCCCUUCCACAUCGAGUGCAAUCCCUGGCUUAUCUGACGAGCACUACUGGCAAUUGAUGGAAAUGUUGGAUCCUAGCACCAUUACACACUCGGCCUUCUCUGGUAUCUCUCUAUCACCUCUCCAAAUCGCCCUAGGUCCUUGGAUUAUAGAUAGUGGGGCUUCAGCCCACAUUUCUUGUGUUUCUAACUUACCCAAAGCCUCACAUAUUUGGGCCCAUAGUCAAUCCCUUACAUUACCUACAGGCUUCAAGGCCCACGUCACACAUAUGGGCCACAUCCAUAUUUCUCCCCAUUUAUGUCUACAUAAUGUUCUUUUUGUUCCCGAUUUUAAAUACAAUUUAAUCUCAGUAAGUCAACUCACAAAAUUGUCUAAUUGUGUUACCAUAUUUUCCUCUUCUAUUUGUUUAUUUCAGGACCUAUGUAUGAGAAAGCUGAUUAGGAUGGGUGAAGAACAUGGAGGCCUCUACCAUUUUAAACCAUUUAAUCAUGUUGCAUUUCAACUCAUAGCGAAUCCUGCUGCUACACCGGAUGUAUAGCAUCUUCAUUUAGGUCAUCCUUCAAAUUCUUGUAUUCCAAAAAUUUUAUGUGAUUCAAAUAAAGUUAGAAAUUGUGAUAGUUGUGUUCGCGGUAAACAUACGCGCCUUCCCUUCAAAUUGGUCGAAAAUAAAAGUACUUUUACCUUUAACCGAAUUUAUUGUGAUAUUUGGGACGGAUAUUCCACACCCUCUACAAUUGGUGCACACUAUUUUCUCACAAUUGUUGACGAUUUUUCACGUGUUACUUGGGUAUACCUCAUGCGUUUUAAAUCUAAUACAUUUACUUACCUAACCACAUUCAUUAAAAUGAUCCACACGCAGUUUAAUUGCCCUAUCAAACAUAUUAGGUCCGACAAUGGUCAAGAAUUUCUUUCUCAUCGUAUGCAACAAUUCUUCCUUGACCAUGGGAUCAUUCAUGAGCGCACUUGUGUUGAACCACCCCAAAAAAAUGGUGUAGUAGAAUGAAAAUAUCGUCACCUACUAAAUGUAGCUCGAUGUCUUCGCUUUCAUACACAUUUACCUAUUUCUUUUUGGGGUGAGUGCAUACUUACUGCAUCCUAUCUGAUUAACCGCGUAUCAACUCCCACGCUUGGUCACAAAGCGCCUUAUGAACUCCUUUUCAACAAACCUCCUACCUAUGAUCACCUCCGUGUCUUUAGAUGUCUUUGCUAUGCACACACUUUAAGUGUCCAUCGGGACAAGUUCUCUCCUCGUAGCACACCAUGCAUAUUCCUAGGCUACUCUCAAAUUCCACAUACUUAUCGUGUUCAUAACUUGCAAACCAAGAAAAUUUUCUUCUCUUGUGAUGUCUACUUUGUAGAAUCUAUCUUUCCCUUCGCUCCUACGAUGCAACCUUCACACAUAUCAUCAGAUACCAAUCAGCCCCUCGAUGUCCCUUACAGUACCCCACUUCCAACCAACGUUUCACAUGACACCCCUAGCCCAUCUCCUUCAUCCACGCAGACAUGGAACCAACUAUACCAACACCACAAGUUGUUGAUGGACCUACCAACUCCCUAGAAAUCGUCACCAGCUCACCCCCACUCAACUCAUCCCCACCAACUAGACCUCGAUGCACGAUUACUCGUCUUACAUAUCUUCAAGACUACAUUUGUUCAGAUUUACCUCCAGAGGGACCACGUUCAUCAUCUCAUUGCCAGUCUUUCUCAGGUACAGUUCACUCUCUACCUAAUUUUCUUUCUUGUCGUUUCUUUAGUCCAAAACAUUUUGCUUUCCUCUCUUCUAUCUCCAAAAAUGUUCAAGACCCCGUUCUUUACUCUCAAGCUAUUCUUGAGCCGUAUUGGCAAUAGGCAAUGGCUUUUGAAAUUCAAGCCCUUGAAGUCAAUCACUCAUGGACCCUUGAACAUCUUCCCCCUGGUAAGAAGGUAAUUGGUUGCAAAUGGGUUUAUAAAACAAAAUUGCAUGCCGAUGGUUCCAUUGAACGCCAUAAAGCUUGUUUUGUUGCCAAGGGUUUCACUCAGGUUGAAGGUCUUGACUAUAAUGACACUUUUGCUCCUGUGGCUAAACUUGUUACUGUUCGAUGUCUCCUUACUAUAGCUACAGCUAAACACUGGAUUCUUCAAAAAUUGGAUGUUCACAAUGCUUUCCUCAAUGGUGAUCUUGAUGAGGAAGUGUAUAUGCGACCACCACCAGGAUAUUGUCGUAAAGGGGAGACUCGCGUUUGCCAUCUCCACAAAUCAUCAUAUGGUCUCAAACAAGCCUCACGUCAGUGGUAUUCAAAAUUAUCCCAUGUUCUCAUCCUUACAAGUUUUGAUCAAUCUGCUGCUGAUCAUAGUCUCUUCAUCAAAACCAAGGGUACAACCUUUACUGCCGCUCUUGUCUAUGUUCAUGAUAUCAUUGUUGCUGGUAAUGACAGCUCUGCCGUUAGUUCUAUCAAACGCCAUCUUGCAUAGACCUUCAAAAUUAAAGACCUUGGCGAUCUCAAAUAUUUCCUAGGGAUUGAAGUUGCUCGAUCUCCUAAAGGCAUAUUUAUCAAUCAAAUGAAAUAUACCUUGGACAUUCUUACUGAUUCAGGUGAACUUGGCUCUCGCUCGGCAUAUUUUCCCAUGGAACGACAUUGCAAACUUAAUGACUCAGAUGGUGAUCUUAUGGACGAUCCUAGCUCAUAUCGACACUUGAUUGGUCAUUUGAUCCUAUAAUGCUCGGACUCGGGUACGGGUAUCGGGUACGGGUACUUAUCUAAGUAUCAAAUCUUUUAUUUUUUAAAAUAUAGGAUACGGGGACAUGGUUAAAAAGAAUCCAAAUUUCGGACACGGGUACGUGGGUACGUCUUUCAAGCUUCAAUUUUUUUAUAUUAACCCAAGAUGUCAUUUUGAAUAGACUAAAAUCAAUAGUUCAUAAAAAGGAAAUGAGUAUUAAAUAAGAUGUUAAGACUAAUAAAAUACAAUUUUGGGGUUUAGUUUUCAAUUAUAGGAAACGGGAAAGAAAAUGAAAAGAAAAAAGAAGAAGUAAAAAAAAGGGCGAAAUGUCCGAUUUAAAUUUGGAGGAUUCUACACAUAUCCCAUACGCAUACCCUUGUCGUGUCGUGUCCGACACGGGUAUUUCAACCAUUUCGAAGAGUCCGAGCAUCAAAGGUUUGAUCUAUUUGACCAUCUCUCAUCUGGAUAUUACCUUUGCAGUCAACAUUUUGAGUCAGUUUAAGCACACUCCUCGCAAGCCUCAUCUACAUGCUGCUAUACGCUGGCUCCGCUAUCUGAAAACAACACCUGGUUAUGGAUUCUUCUUUCCAUCCAACUGCAACCUUCAGAUAUCUGCUUUUUGUUACUCUGAUUGGGCAAGUUGUCCACUCACACGACGUUCCACAACUGGUUUCAUCAUCAAAUUGGGCGAUAGCCCCAUCUCUUGGCGCACCGAGAAACAAACAAUUGUUUCUUGCUCUUCUGCUGAAGCUGAAUAUCGUGCGAUGGCCACUACAACUUGUGAACUUGUUUGGCUUCGCCUCCUUCUACAGGAACUUACUGUGUUGCAUCCACAACCUAUUCUGCUUCAUUGUGACAAUCAAGCAGCAAUCUACAUUGCACAUAAUCCGGUCUUCCAUGAACGCACCAAACACAUUGAAUUAGAUUGCCAUCUUGUUUGUGAAAAAAUCAAAUCUGGUCUUAUUACUCCCUCCUAUGUUUCAAGCUCUGAACAUGUAGUUGAUCUUUUUACUAAACCAUUGGGACGUGAAUUAUUUGUCUUCUUUUGGUCCAAGUUGGACAAUACGGGCCUCCAUGCUCCAACUUGAGGGGGAGUAUUAUAGCCAGCUCAUCAACAACAAUCAACGACAAUCAACACAAAGAAUUUUCUUUUAUAGUUAUUUCCAUAUCACAGUUUUUACCAUGUAUAGAUUGGAUUCUCACCUAUAAAUUUAUACAAAAUCAUUUUAACAUAUAUGGAGGAAAUAAUAUAAUCUUCAAUUCUUUCCUCAAUCAUACCUGUGUAUGUCGAGAUUUGUUAUUUAUAUAGAGUAAUUUUAUUUUGAUACUUGUUAUUAAUUUUUCUUAUUGAAAUUUUUUAAAUAUGAAUAUUUCUUUAUUAUUUAAUAAUAAAUUUGAAUUAAAAAUAUACGAUAUUUUUGAUAAAGAAAGAAAAAUUACCACUAGUGUGUUUGAGAAGUAUCGGUAUUCGACAUGUAUCGGAUGUUACUCACAAUAUUGCUAAUGAUAUAUUUCAACUAUGGUCUACGAGAAUAAGAUAUCGUAUGGAACACGUAAUAUCAGCUAAUGAAAGAUAGAAUAAUAGUUGUUUUUAGUACGGCAUGGUAUGCUACAUGAAUAUAUUGUCAACUCUAAAUAUUUUUUCAAUUACCCACAACGUUGCCGAUUAAAAUAAAUUUAUCAAUAGCAGUAAGAGUAGAACAAAUAAUUUAAAAUUGUAGAAAGUGAUAAAAGAGCAAAUGAACUUUCAAUCGAAGUCUAAAUAAACACAGUUUCUUUAAAACAAAUUGGCCUCCUCACUCUACGUGCUUGAGGCUUAGUUUGAGCAUCUGUUUCCUAGGAUACAACGAAAAAUAAGUAGAGUCUAAGCACUGCAUAUACUACUCCGGUGAACUGACUUAGUAUCCGAACAAUAUCACCAAAAUUGAAAAGAAAUUUUUUUUCGACCAAAUAGAGAGCUGUAAAACUAUGUAGCAUGCAGACAAAGUAUUGAUUCUUGUGUGGGAUAUGGAAAACGAGUUCCAUAUAGACUUAACCCCAUGAAUGGUGAGUUAAAUCUGUCUAUAAGUGUAUUAUCUCAUCCAUAACUCUUGGAGUUUCAAUAGUUUUAGAAGUUAAAAGGUCAGUUGGAGGAAAAAAUUGACAAAACGUAGGCCUUCCUAAGGGCUCAAUUUUGGUCCCUUCGGUCUGACAUAUGUGUGUACAGGUUGAGCCCACACACAAGUUCAAGGUUCGAAACCUAUUUCGGUCUAUGAUUUGUACCUCUUACGUGCGCACGUGAUGAGAGCCUCUAUGCUAUAUAUGAUCACACCCUUCAAAGUGUAAUCCUAUAUGAGGUGGUAUUUGCCUUCAUUAUUUUUCUAUGUGGAACAAACCUUAAUUGGUGUCCUUCAAACACAUAAACUCCUUUCAAUUGGCACACUUUGAGCUCCAAUUUUUCAUUCACCCAAGCAUCAUAUUUGACAAGUAAAUAUAUGAUUUCAAUAUUCUCACGACGAACACAAAUCAAUCUUGAUCUUCCAAAAUAAACAACCAGGUCCCACUCAAAAUUUAUGCCAAAGUAAGCCAUUCAACUCAUUUAUUCAAUGAUGUGCCAUCCUAGAUGAAGUGUCCGUGCAACAGAGGUAUUAGGUGUUCGUAAAGUGUUCUUUGAUGGUCAUCCAUUUCUUUUGAUGACUCAAGUUUUCGAGCUUCGCUCUACUAAUCUGAGGAGCAGCGGCCUUCCCCACUAAUCAUCCAUUGUUUAUACCUAUGGAAAUGGUGCCAGUAGCAUAUGGAAAUGUUUAUACCCCUGAUCAUUUAUGGAAAAUCGUACGAGGCCCAAGGCAUGGUAAUGAUUUCAGAGUGGAUUUAGAAGAUACUAUCUGUGCGUUGAAAAUUCUAAAUUGGUUUUAGAUAAUCGUCAAGUUGGCUAUGACACCAAGAAUAAAGUAGCGAAAGGAAGGAUACCUUGCAUAUGAAGUGAUUGGCUAAGGGUUUAUGAGUGGAGUUCUGCAUAUUACGUGUAGUAUAUGAUUUUAUUUCAACAUUUAUUCAUUGGGCUAUUUGUGGCACCAAGAAUAGUGGUGGCUAAAGGAAGGACACAUGCUUAUGAGUGGACCUCUACAUAUUAUGCAUAGUAUUUGAAUUUUUUUUCCUUUUUUUUUUGGCAGAAAGAACUGAAUAAAUAUUGAAGUUAAUGGGCUUUGUGUAACGCUCCGACCCCUGGUGGACCAGAACGCUACUUACUUUAAUUAGCUUAACCGGUGGUUUAGUAACAAGUGUAUACGUUUUAACGGAAUCUUACAUCUUCGGAUAAUAAUUUAAAUAACAAUACUUCAAAUACUUUAAACACAAACACUGAAUCAUUUUUCAAAACAACAAAAUAUAAUUUAUUUGAAGAAAACAUAACUUGUUCUCGCAUUCUGCGUUAUUCAAAACUUUAAAGAAAUAACAUUGGAAAACAUUUCAUAAAAAUAAAUCCAAAUCACUUAUUCACCGGAUUUCCAUGGGCUCGUUGCAUCAUUCUCCAUCUUCUCCUCCAUCCAUGCCCGAGGUAGAAUUCCUUCAAUUUGUAGAGAUGAGAUUAAACCCAUGAGUUGAAAAACUCAAUAGGUGUCAUAAGUGCAUUCGUGAUCAAGCUAUACAUUUCAAAACAUUAACUUUAUAACUCUUCAUACAUGCCGUACCCGGAGGCACCAUUUGAUAUGAAGGGGCAUGCCGUACCCCAGGGCACCAUUUGACAUACGAACAUUUCUUCAACAUAAAGGGGUAUGCCGUACCGGAGUACCAUUUGACAUACAACCAUUAACAUAUAGGGAUAUGCCAUACCAGAUUACUAUUUGACAUACAAACAUUAACAGGAAUCGAAACUUAUAACUUAACACGAUUAAACACAUUGCACCUCUACCUACUUUGAUUGAUGUUUUUGAAACUUUGAAAACUUGGAUUGAAAAUUUCGAUGAAACUUGGACGUUGAAAGAAAUGCACUCCUUGGAUGUUUGAAAACCGUUGAGAAUUGAUGCUUGAAGACACUUUUUAAACUUCUAAGAAAAAUAGUUUUCCUCCCUCUCUUUUUCUCUCUUGGAAACUCUUUCUUUAGUAUGUAAAAACUCUUGCUUUUGUGUGAGAAAAAAUGAGUGAAAUGAGGUCUCUAUUUAUAGGUAAAUAUUCCAUAACUUAAAGCAAAUGAAGGGUCAAAUUUCAUUUAAGAGAGAAAACAUAGUUUCCAUUUAAGUUUGAGGUUAAAUGCUUCAAUUUAGUGGGGGGUUUUUAUUGCCAAAAACGUGGGUGGCCCUUUGAGAAAAUAAUUGAUGAAAAUAAAUAUUUAAAUUCUAGAGAAAAACGAGAAUUUUCAUUUCAGGCAGCUUCGGUCGACCGGUUGUAGUCCGGUUGACACUGCAUAACUUUCAGUGUUUCUAUCAUAACUUUUUUUCCCGAUAUCCGAUUGAGGUAAUCCAAAGUGCGUUGGAAAGCUAACUCAAAAAGCUACAACUUUUAUUUAGAUAUCAUUUUCCAAAUUGAAUGUUUCCUAUGUUGAAAAUGGGUCUCAAAAGAGACUAAAAAUCUGAAGUAUACUUUAGUCAUUCAAUAUUCAUGUCUUAGUGCCACUAAGGUGUCUAGAAUUAUUUGGGGUUCUACAUCCCCCACACCUUAAUUAAAAUUUCAUCCUCAAAAUUUACCUUCUGAUUGGGCGAAUAGUAUUGGAUACUUAUCUUUGGCUUCUUCUUCUUUUUCCCAAGUGGCUCUUCUACGCCGUGAUAAUUCCACUGUAUCUUAACCAACUGAAUCUCUUUAUUCCUUAGUUUAUACACUUUUUGAUCCAAUAUCUUGAUCGGUAGUUCCUCGUACGACAAAUCUUUCUGUACCUCCAAGGUUUGAUAACUAACUACAUGAUUAGGAUCAUGUACAUACUUCUUUAUCAUCGAUAUACGGAACACAUUGUGCACUGCCGAUAAUUCAGGUGGCAAAGCUAGUCGGUAAGCCACAUUUCCGACUCUAUCCAAGGUCCGAUAUACCGGGGUCAUAGCUUGCCUUUCUUUCCAAAUCUAAGUACACCUUUCAUCGAUGCUACUUUCAGAAACGCUUUAUCCCCAACUUGGAAUUCUAAAUCCUUCAUCCUUGUAUCUGCAUAGCUCUUUUGUCGAUCAUGUGCUGCCUUUAUUCUUGCACAGAUCUUAUCGAUUACCUCGACUGUCCUUUCAACUAUUUCUUGUCCUAAAACUCUCUUCUCUUCGACUUUGACUUCAUCCCAAUGAAUAGGGGAUCUACAUCUUCUACCAUAGAGAGCUUCGUAUGGUACCAUUCCAAUAGUUGCUUGGAGGUAAGUAUGACUCCCAAUUACCUCCUAGAUCCAAAACACAUGUUUUCAGCAUGUCUUCCAAAGUUUGGAUGGUCCUUUCAGACUGACCAUCGGACUGAGGGUGAUAUGCUGUACUAAAGUUCAGCUUCGUUCCCAUAGUUCCUUGUAUACUUUUCUAAAAUUUGGACGUGAACCUUGGGUCUCUGUCAGAUAAAAUGGAUACAGGUACACCGUGUAAUCUCACAACCUCUUUAAUAUACAACUGUGCCAAUUGGUCCAAACUGAAUGUCGUUUUCACUGGAAGAAAAUGAGCUGACUUCGUUAGUCGAUCCACUACUACCCAUAUAGCAUUAUUUCCUCUUGCUGAAUUUGGGAAUCCAACCACAAAGUCCAUCGUGAUAUUUUCCCAUUUCCAUUCAGGUAUAUCUAGUGGAUUUAACAAUCCAGUUGGUUUUGGGUGUUCUACCUUAACCUAUUGACAUACUAUGUACUUCUGCACGUAUAGCCCUAUACUUCUUUUCAUAUUUCUCCACCAAAAUGUAUCUCGAAGAUCUCGAUACAUUUUUGUACCACUGGGAUGUGCGGUGUACGGGGUGGAAUGAGCUUCUUUCAAUAUCUUAUUUCUUAAGGCUUCAUCCUUAGGCACGCAAAUUCUUCCUCUAAAUAUCAAUGCCUGAUCCUCAGCUACUCCAAAGUCCUUUUUCUUAUCAGUACCAAUUUCAUUCUUAAUCUUCUGCAAAAAUGAGUCUUUAUUUUGUGCUUCUAUAAUUCGAUCUCUAAGAGUAGGUCGAAUUAUUAAAGCUGCUAGACGAGCAGUGACUUGUCCUGGUGUGAUAACCACUUCGAUCUGCAACUUUUCCAAGUCCUUAACUAACUCCACUUGAGAGGUGGGUAGUGACGUCAAUUGUCCCAUUGAUUUUCUACUUAGAGCGUCGGCCACAACAUUAGCCUUACCCGGAUGGUAGUGAAUAGUGCAGUCGUAAUCGUUCACCAAUUCCAACCAUCGUCUUUGUCGCAUAUUCAAUUCCUUCUAUGUGAAGAAAUACUUGAGACUUUUGUGAUCUGUGUAGAUAUCACACUUCCGUCCAUACAAGUAGUGUCGCCAUAUCUUCAAAGCGUGUACUACCGCUGCAAGUUCUAAAUCAUGCGUCGGGUAGUUCUGCUCAUGUUUCUUCAAUUGUCUUGAAGCAUAGGCUAUCACUUUUCCAUUCUGCAUUAGUACACAUCCCAAUCCUCGCUUGGAUGCGUCGCUGUAUAUAACAAACCCUUUCGUAUCUUGAGGUAUUGUUAAUAUAGGUGUUGAUAUCAACUUCUGCUUAAGUUCUUGGAAACUUUGUUCGCAUUUUUCUGUCUAUUGAAAUUUUACUCCCUUCCUUGUAAGCUGCGUCAUUGGUUCAGCUAUUUUGGAAAAUCCUUCUAUGAAUUUCCUAUAAAAUCCAGCCAAUCCUAGAAAACUCCGUACUUCGCCAACAUUUGUUGGUGCUUUCCAGUUGGUUACUGCUUCUACUUUUGCUGGAUCUACUUCAAUCCCUUGGGCAGUAACUACAUGUCCAAGAAAUCCAACUCGUUCAAGCCAAAACUCGCACUUCUUGAAUUUGGCAUACAACUUCUCCUUGCGUAAUACCUCUAAGACUAUUCUCAAGUGCUCUUCAUGUUGCUCCUUACUCUUGGAAUAUAUCAGAAUGUCAUCGAUGAAGACUAUAACAAACUUAUCCAAGUAUUGAUGAAACACUCAAUUCGUCAUGUCCAUGAACACUACAGGUGCAUUGGUUAGCCCAAACGGCAUCACCGUAAACUCGUAGUGUCCAUAUCGAGUUCUAAAAGUUGUCUUAGGUAUAUCCUUUGUCUCUACUUUCAGUUGAUGGUAUCCCGAUCGUAAAUCGAUCUUGGAAAAUACCUUAGCUCCUUUCAGUUGAUCUAACAGAUCCUCGAUCCUCGGGAGUGGGUACUUAUUCUUGAUGGUUAAUCGAUUUAUCUCCCUCUAAUCGAUGCACAUCCUCAUGCUUCCAUCUUUCUUCCUUACAAACAACACUGGCGCACCCCAUGGAGAUACGCUUGGUCCUAUGAAGCCCAUAUCUAGGAGUUCUUGCAACUGCUUCUUUAAUUCUUGUAGCUCCUUUGGGGCCAUUCGAUAUGGGGCCUUAGAUACUGGUACCACCCCGGGAAUUAGGUCUAUGGUGAAUUCCACUUGUCUAUCGGGUUGAAUGCCAGAUAGAUCUUCUAGAAACACAUCUACGAAUUUCCGUACUACUGGUACAUCUUCAACCCUUAUUGUCUCUUGUUUCCCUCUUGCGAUACUUACUAGAUAUCCUUGACAUGUGUUCUUUUCUCAACAUCUUCUCAAGUUGUAAAGCCGAUACUAGUCGAAUAAGGGGUUUCGUCUUCAUUCCAAGGAACGAAAAUGGUUCCUCUCCUGGUUUCUAAAAUGAUACUUCCAUUUCCUUAUAUCGGAUGGUGGCGUAAUUACAACCUAACCAAUCCAUGCCUAGUAUUACAUCAAAAUCCUUCAUUUCUAUCAUGUAUAGGUUCGUUUCCAUUAGUUUUCCCUCAACUUUGAUACUUACUGACUUGGCUAUCCUAUCAGUAUUCAAAGGGUUGUCCGAAGGAAUACUAACUUCUAAUGUACCUUCUUAUCUUCCGUAUCCACCAGAUGUGGAGCAUACUUUGAAAGUUGAUCAAACUUCCUCUCAUACUCAGUCAGGGACAUAGUCUUUUGCUUGAUUUGGAGGAAUUCACUUUCUUUGUGAUCCCUCAAAGACUGGGGAAAAUACUUGUCCAUUACUUCUCCUUUGAAUUGCUCCCAAGUCAAUUCUUCUUAUUGCUUAGGGGUCCUUGUCCUUGACAUUGAGACCCACCAGUGACUUGCAUUACCGGAGAACAUGAACUCAGCACGCUGAACUUUCUAAGCGUUUGUGCACCCUAUCAAUCGGAAUAUACGCUCCAACUUGUGAAGCCACUCCUCGGUUGCAAGUGGAUCAGCUGCUUUGUUGAAGGUAGGGGACUUGUGCCUUCGAAAUUGCUUGACCACUGAAGUAUGAUUUGGAACAUUAGGAGCUAGUGGUAGGGGUUGAGCUUGGUUCGGGUUUUGCCUGCCUAGGUCUUGAACCGCUCGGAGGAGGUCUCUUAUCAAGUUUUGGUUUGCGCGGGCCAUUUCUUUUAGACAAAGCAUAUGGUUCUUAUUAGUUUCAUUCUUCAAAUACUAAAGCAAAGAAGAUAGUAUUUUAUUUCUUGAUAUAAGGGAAGCUAUUACAAGGAUUUAAAUCUAAUCCCUAUAAGUUCUACGGAUCUUCUUUGGUGGAGCUUCAUCUUCGAGGAGUCUUCCGCAUCAGGUUUGGCUCUAUGUUCAUCUCAACUUGUGGCUCAGGCUCAGGAUCAUUCUCUAAAUCAUCCUCGAGUUCUUCUUCGAGAUCUUCUUCCUCGGCCAAAGCUUCCUCCUCAGGCUCCUCGUGGGUUACAUCAUCCCACAAAUCAAUCAGGGCAUGGCAAUACCUCUCAAACUCGAAUAGGUUUGGGUUGCUUGCUAACAUUUCAUCUCUAACCGUGACUCCCAUAUCUCCCCAUUGAGGUGGGAGGGAGUGUAUGAGGUUAUUUAUGGCCUCAAUAUGUGUGAUCUCCAUACCAGCAUUAACCGUCUUCAUGCAUCUCUCAUGGAUGUCAUACACAUGUUCGCUAAGCGAUCAGGUCAGAUCAGUUACAUAGUUUUCAUAGGAAUGGAUAGCAAUUCUACAGUUCAAUGCUUCUCUAUAUGCCCUAGCCGUUCUACGAGCCAUGUCUGUUGCAUUUUCACAUACAUCAUACUUUUUUUUGCUUAAAGAAAACAUGCAAAUAUUUAAACUUUCAUAUCAUGCAAUUUCCUUUAAACCCUUAACUUUUACCCAAGUUCAUUACAUAUCUUUAAAUAACACAUCUCUAAAUCAUAUCAAAACAUCAUAACAUAAACAUAAUCAUUAACUUUAAACAUAAACAUACCUAGGCCAUAGGAUGAGAUUGAUGGAUGGAUGCACGAUGCCAUGGAAUACCUUAACUUAAACUUUUCAUUUUCCUUUUGUUUUUUUAAAAAAAAAAUACUUGAUCUACAGAACAGGCUAAACCUUGCUUUGAUACCACGCUGUAACGUCCCGACCCCUAGUAGACCGGAACGCUACUUACUUUACUUAACUUAACCGGUGGUUUAGUAACAAGUGUAUACGUUUUAGUGGAAGCUUACAUCUUCGGAUAAUAAUUUAAAUAACAAUACUGCAAAUACUUUAAACAAAAACACUGAAUCAUUUUUCAAAAUAACAAAAUGUAAUUUAUUUGAAGAAAACAUAACUUGUUCUCGCAUUCUACGUUAUUCAAAACUUUAAAGAAAUAACAUUGGAAAACAUUUCAUAAAAAUAAAUCUAAAUCACUUAUUCACCGGAUUUCCAUGGGCUCGUUACAUCAUUCUCCAUCUUCUCCUCCAUUCAUGCCUAAGGUAGAAUUCCUUCAAUCUGUAGAGAUGGGAUUAAACCCGUGAGUUGAAAAACUCAAUAGGUGCCAUAGGUGCAUUCGUAAUCAAGCUAUACAUUUCAAAACAUUAACUUUAUAACUUUUCAUACAUGCCGUACUCGGAGGCACCAUUUAACAUGAAGGGGUAUGCCGUACCCGAGGGCACCAUUUGACAUACGAACAUUUCUUCAACAUAGAGGGGUAUGCCGUACCGGAGUACCAUUUGACAUACAAUCAUUAACAUAGAGGGAUAUGCCGUACCGGAGUACCAUUUAACAUACAAACAUUAACAUGAAUCGAAACUUAUGACUUAACACGAUUAAACACAUUGCACCUCUACCUACCUUGAUUGAUGCUUUUGAAACUUUGAAAACUUGGAUUGAAAACUUCGAUGAAACUUGGAUGUUGAAAGAAAUGCACUCCUUGGAUGUUUGAAAAUCGUUGAGAAUUGAUGCUUGAAGACACUUCUUAAACUUCUAGGAAAAAUAGUUUUCCUCUCUCUCUUUUUCUCUCUUGAAAACUCUUUCUUUUGUUUGUAAAAGCUCUUGCUUUUGGUGUGAGAAAAAAUGAGUGAAAUGAGGUCUCUAUUUAUAGGUAAAUAUUCCAUAACUUAAAGCAAAUGAAGGGUCAAAUUUCAUUUGAGAGAGAAAACAUGGGUGCCAUUUAAAUUUGAGGUUAAAUGCUUCAAUUUAGUGAGGUUUUUAUUGCAAAAAAUGUGGGUGGCCCUUUGAGAAAAUAAUUGAUGAAAAUAAAUAUUUAAAUUCUAGAGAAAAACGAGAAUUUUCAUUUCAGGCAGUUUCGGUCGACCGGUUGUAGUCCGGUUGACACUGCACAGCUUUCAGUGUUUCUAUUAUAACUUUUUCUCCCGAUAUCCGAUUGAGGUAAUUCAAAGUGAGUUGGAAAGCUAACUCAAAGAGCUACAACUUUUAUUCAGAUAUCAUUUUCCAAAUCAAAUGUUUCCUAUGUCGAAAAUAGGUCUCAAAUGAGACUAAAAAUCUAAAGUAUACUUUAGUCAACCAAUAUUUAUGUCUUAGUGCCACUAAGGUGUCUAGAAUUAUUUGGGAUUCUAUACUUUGUGACAUAGAGUGCAAUAAAACCAAAUAGUAGAAUUAUAGAAGAAGGGGGAGUGAAUAGAAAGAAGAGGGCAAAAGUGAAGAAUUGGGGGGAGGGGGUUGGUUAGAAGGAGAGAGAUAGAAAAGGAACAACAAUAGAUAGACGGAAGCAGAAUUUAGGAGAGAGGAAGAAGAGGGAGAAAAGGAAGAGGAAAACAAAUAAGAAGAAUAUUGAGAAAGAAAGGAUUUCUAUCAUUUCUCCCUAAUUGAAAGAACUCGACUCCAAUUCUAAGCAAAGAGGACUAUCUUUCUUUCUGACCAAAUAAUGAAAUUGAUUGCUUGAUGUCAAAUCCUAAAUUAGUUGGCUGAUUUUCUUCUUUUGAGUUGUGGUUGGGGAGAUUUUUGGGUGGUUGAAGAUGGCAAAGGAAGUGUGUGUAAAUUUUGAAUUUCAACAUGAAAUUUGUGUACAACGGAAAUGACUUGCUCUGCUAUCAAAUUGAUGUAUACUGCAAUAAAACCAAAUAGUAGAAUUAUAGAAGAAGGGAAAAUUGAUGUAUACUGCAAUAAAACCAAAUAGUAGGAUUAUAGAAGAAGGGAAAAGGGUAGAGAAUAAGAGAAAUGGGGGAAAAAGAGAAGAAGAGGGGGAAAGAGAAGGAGAUAUGUAGAAAGUGAAGAAGAGACAUUAGAAGCAGAUUUAAGAGAGAGGAAGAAGAGGGGGGAAAGGGAAAAGGAAAAUGAACAAGAAGAAUAUUGAGAAAGAAAGAAGAAAAGAGAGGAGAAAGAGAAGAAGAGGGAGAGAAAAAGAGAAUUUAGGGAGUGAAUAUCAAGUUUAUUUUAUGUCAAAUUUGUAUCUAUUACAAUGCACAAACCUCCUUCAUAUGGGGUUUUGAAAAACCUAUUCUAAAUAGGAAACAAUGAAUCAAAUACUAGAGAAUCUAGUAAAUAAAUAUAUAAUAAAAUCCUCGGAAAUCCAGUAAAUAAACCCUGAUAAUUUUUCCCAAAAUAAGAAUCUAAAUAUGGAAAAUAAUCAUAAUAAUCUAAUAGGAUUUACAUCAUUUUUUCGUGGUCCCGUGGGAAUGUGAGACAAUAUCAUUUAAGAUGUAUGAGUUUUAACUUGUCGCGACUCAUCAAAAUUUUCACUUGCGACCUGGAAAGAAAUCGAUUUGAAAAGUAAUUUUCCCCUUUUUUGAGUAAAGAUCAUGUCUUGGGCUUUAGUAGUGGCUCCACAGGUCUUUUAAUUCUUUUUAUGAUGAUUCACAUUCUUUUCACAUGGUUAAUCCUUUGAUGAUGCUAUUAUACUCUCAAGAUGCUAAUACAAAUUACUAUUGAUUUGAUGUGUAUUACCACCCUGUGUUUGCCUUCUUUUCAUUGUUAACUGUAACCUUGUGCUACAAUUUACUCUACCGUAAUACAGGCAAAACAUGGAAUUAACUGUCUUGAGCUUCCUCUCAUUCAGCACAAGAAGUUGCCUGAUUCUGAUAGACUUCCCUCUGUGUUGAGUGGUAAGUUUCUGACAUGAUUGAUGGUUAUAGGAGAUUGUUUUAGAUUAUCUGGAUGCAUUUGUUCACGUUACGUGCAUUUCAGAGACAGUUUUUUUUUUUUUUUUUUUAAUUUUUUUUAUUUUUAUUGUGAGGGUUUGUUUAGAACGUUUGCUUCAUCAGUUAAUCUGUGAUCCCUAUUGUGUUUUGUGUCAUUAUUGUUUUUAUCUUACAUCUUUAAAGACGAUUCAUAUGGGUGCACAUAAGAUGUUAAUGCACAGGUUGUCAAACUUGAUUCCUCAUUGACCGUAAAUAGUAAAUAUCUUGGCCACAUUUCAGUUAGAUUCGUGAAGAGAGACAGCUCCUCCUUUUGGGCUGUGAGGCACAAGGUACCAAGGUUAUCCAAUCACAGGUUGUAAAUUCACAUGGAUUAAAUUUCUCUAUGCACAUUGUUGUUAUUAUCUUUCUGACUUUGGUGUGAAUGCCAGAUCUUGUGUAUCUAGUCUCCCGCGGAAGUAAAUUGCUAAAUUGAAUGCUUGUUCUUAGUUGCUUUGAAAUGAAUGUUGUGAUCAGACAGAAAAUAAAACUCUCUCAAUCCCCCUUCCCCCUCUUACACAUGUUUCAUGACAGUUACUUCUAUUUAAAUUCACAAAUUCUACAAUGGAUGCACAUUAUGAUUUUUUCUUGCUUAUCUAUUGCUGCAGAUACUGCAUUUGAUUGGAUUGUCAUAACUUCACCUGAAGCCGCUCUAGUUUUUCUUGAUGCUUGGAAGUAAACUUCACAUGGAUGUUGGCACGUCAUUUAUUAUUCUAGAAUGGUCAUUAGUCAGUUAGAGGAAAACUCUAUAAAUAAGAUGGGAGAGGGGAAUUAGAGGGGAUUCAAUGAAUUGUUUAGAAAAAGUGGGGGAGAGAUCAAGGCCUCUCGAAUGCCUUUGAUUAUGUUUAAUUUCAUGACUUUCAUUCCAGUUAAUAUCAAUACAAUUCAUCUAUCUUUACAAUAUACUAUUCCAGUAACUCCAUGGACAUCUUGCAGUCACAUUACAAUUUCAGUGUUUUACCGGACAAAUUACUUCAUAACACUUCCCAGUUGGUCUAGCGGUUUUCUUCCAGUAGCAGUAGCAACAAACAAUAGCAGUAGCAGCAACUAAUCCUCUGCAUUAGCAUCCAGAAUCUGCAGUUUAUCAACCACAUUAGCUAGGAUCUUAUCAUAACCUUAAUUUUUCCCUUUACCUUUUGCUCUCCACGUGUGUCAACAUGAAGGAAGUUCCCUUUGGGUCAGGAUUGUUAUGAUGGAAAAUGCUGCUUAAACAAAUCAAAUGUCAAACUUAGAAGCUGUGGCAUCCUGAGGAUGUUCCUGAGAACAAUAUUUAGCUUGACUAUCUUAAUAUUUUAUAAUUCUUAUGUUGACUUGCUUGAAAAGGUUAAGAAUGUGACUUUUUGAAACAUAAACUGGAAAAAAUUCAUAUCUGAUUCUUUCAUGGGCAUAAACUGAUGACUAUCGGAUCUAUAGGCAGCAAUGAUUAGAAAAACCAAAAAUAAAAAAAGGAAGCCAAAGAUUAUUACAAGCUAUGAAUUUAUGAAAGUUGGUUUAUUGAAUUGGAAUAACUCCAAAAUACAUGGUGAAACACUAUGUAGAGCACCGGGAUAUCACAAUGAGUAUACUCAGAGUGGGUUGGUAAAGAAGUGUUUUAGCGCAGGUUUGAUGCAGUGGCGGACCCAUGACUGGGCCCUUCAUUUUUUACAUUUACAAAGUAGGCCCUUCUGUUGAGAAUCACACCAAAUCAAAUCAGUUUCCUGAUUUUUAGGGAAACUUGGCUGUAUAUUUCGUAAUUAUAGGGAUCCUAUUCAUUUUCAAAAAAUCAGUAUUGUAUAGCUGUAUAUUUCAGUUACAUAGUUGUAGCUUUAUUUUCUAUUUUAUUGACUGUAUUGUAUCUAAAAAAGGGUGACUAUGACUACUUUCCCAUUCAUUCGAUACAAUAUUCUUUUUCUACCCAAUCUAUAUGGUAUCAAAGCCGACAUAAUUGGCCUCUAUUUUUUUUUUUUUGGGUUCUUCCUACCCAUUACCACGUCAGAAAUCUCUAAAUCAACCCCUACCACUGGUGCCAAUAUCAACUCCUCUAAACCUCCAACUGAACCUCUCUCUCAUUCCGUCCAAAUCACCACGAUUCGACUCAAUGGGAACAAUUUUCUCAGGUGGAUCCAAUCCGUUCGAAUAUAUAUUAGAGUGAAGGGGGAAAUCAGUUACUUAAUUGAUGACAUUGUAGAGCCAGAAAAACUGAUGUUGGCCAUGCUGUUUAGGAUGCUGAAAACUCCAUGAUAAUGGCCUGGUUAGUGAAUUCUAUGGAGGAGGAAAUAAGUGCAAACCACAUGUAUUGUCCUAUUGCUAAAGCCCUGUGGGAUAAUGUCACCUUGAUGUAUUCAGUCCUUGGAAAUCAAUCCCAAACAUAUGAGUUACAACUCAAAUUGGGGGAAGUCCGUCAAGGUGAGAAUUUCGUCACUAAAUAUUUUAAUAUUCUCAAAGUUUCCUUGAUUUAUUCAAUGAUGACCAUGAGUGGAAGAACAUGGAUGGUUGCAAUUACUUUAAGAAAAAGGAGAUCUCACGAAUUUUCAAAUUUCUGGCUGGACUCAAUGUUAAUUUUGAUGAAGUAGGAGGCAGGAUUUGAGGUUGUAAACCUCUUCCUUCCCUCGGUGAAGUUUUUUUCUAAAGUUCGACGUGAAGAAAGCAGGAGAAAUGUCCUGCUUGGCAAGAAAAUCAUUGCUGGACUGGUGGAAAAUUCGACAUUAAUGGGGAUUGCUGUUGCUGCCAUCGUGCCCCUAGGGGUGAACCCACUAAGUACGAGGGCGGUCAGCCGCCCCCAUUGAUUUUUCAAAAACCUUCAAUUCGACCUUAUUAAAUUUAAAUUCUCAGAUUUUUUUUUUUUUGGUUUUUUCACAAUUUAUUUUAGCCAAUUUUCCAUCUCUUCCCCACUGAAAAAUAAUUUUAGAUCCACCCCUGUGUGUCCCUAAUACUUAGCGUCGUCAAGAUGACGAAUCGAAGGUUUGGUGUGAUUUUUGCAAUAAAUCACGACAUACUUACGAAACUUGCUAGAAACUGCAUGGAAAACUUGCUAAUUGGAAACCUGUAGAGUGGAAGAAUAAUAAAACUAAUUCGAAUCAUGCCCUAACCAAAGCACAUACUGUGAGACCACCUCUCUCAGUGAAGAACAAAUAGAACAACUCCUAAAGCUACUGAAAUCUGCUCCACCGACUCCCGGUACUCCUGUAGCAUCCUUGGUUCAAACAAGUAGAACUUUGUGUGCCUACUCUUCAUUAUCUACAUCUUGGAUCAUGAUUCAGGUGCCUCUCAUCACAUAACUAAUCUAUCCCAUUUGUUUAUAUCUUAUGAACUCUUUUCUGGAAAUAAAAAAGUACGUACUGCAGAUGGAAAUUUAUCUUCCAUUGCUGGCCAUGUUUCAUUCGUUUAUGAGAAAAAAAUAUUCUGAAAUCUGUUUUACAUGUCUCAAAACUCUCUUGUAACCUUUUGUCAGUAUGUCAUUUAUCUAAAGAUUCUAACUGUCGUGUUAUCUUUGGUGUCUCUUGUUGUGAAUUUAAGGAUUUAAAUGUGGGGAUGAUGAUUUGCAGUACUAGAAUGAUAGAUCUCUACUAUUUUAAUGACAACUGUGUUAGGAAUAAACAAGCUCAGGGUUUUAUUGGUGGUAUCCAAUUAAAUCUUGUUUAUGAUCAAAUAAUACUAUGGCAUAAUAGACUAGGACAUCCUAUUUUUUCCUAUUUAAAGUACUUAUUUCUAGAUUUAUUUAAAGGAGUGGAUUGUAACUCUUUGGUUUGUGAAACUUGUUUCCUGGCUAAAAGCCAUCGAAACUUUUAUAAAAUUAAACUUUUUUGUGCUUCAAAACAUUUUUAUCUAAUACAUAGUGAUGUUUGGGAUCCUUCUAAGAUUACCACUUCAACCUGAAAAAAAUGGUUUGUGACAUUCAUUGAUGUUCAUACACGCCUAUGCUGGCUUUAUUUAAUGAAUUCAAAAAAUGAAGUUGCAAAAUUUUUUAAAGAUUUUUUACUCUUUGGUCGAAAACCAAUUUCAAACUAAAAUAAGUGUUCUUCGAAGUGACAAUGGAAUAUAAUUUUUUAAUGAAUGUUUAGGAAAUUUUUGUACAAGAAAAAGGCAUUGUUCAUCAAUCUAUUUGUAGGGAUACUCAACAAAAUGGAAUUGCAGAACGUAAAAAUAGAUACUUAUUUGAAGUUGCUAGCGCUCUUAUGUUUCAUAAGAAUGUUUCUAAAUAUCUUUGGGGAAAUUCAAUCUUAACAAGUUGUUAUCUGAAUAAUAGAAUGCCCACUAGGGUUUUGAACUAUAAAACUCCUUUACGAACUCUUAAAAAAUCUUUUCCAAACACACGUCUCAUCAAUAAUCUCCCUUCAAAACUUUUUGGUUGUACGAUGUUCAUUCAUGUUCCAUCCCAUCUUCGAUCCAAAUUUGUCUACGAGCUGAAAAAUGUAUUUUUUAGGCUACUCUCCUAAUAAAAAAGGCUAUAAGUGUUUUAAUCCCGACACUAAAAAAUUUCAUAUUAGUAUGGAUGUUCAAUUUCUUGAAACAACUCCAUUUUAUACUAAAACCUUUCUUCAGGGGAAGAAUCUAAAUGAUGAUUAGUUUUGGCAACAAGAAGAACCAAAACUAGUUUCUUUUUUCCCUCAAAUAAAUUAGGAAAUGAAUACUUUACCUAGAGAAAAUAAGAAAAAUACUGAGCUAUAUAUGCCAAGUAAAAAUGUAUCACAAAAAGGGGAAAAACUUUACCACCUAUGCCCACUGAGCUACGUCUUUACACUAUAUGUAGGUUCAAUCCCAAUAUUUAGAAUCUUCCAAUCAAUUCUGAGCAUGGUCAAUCAUCAUCUCCUAGGUCUUCAAUUCCAGGUAAUCUUCCUAAAAAUCCUACUCCUUUACCUUUCUUUGAUCAUGACAUUCCUAUUACCAUUCAUAAAGGAAUUAGGAAUUGUACCAAACAUCCUAUUGCCAAAUAUCUGUCCUACCACAGACUUUCAGAAAAAUACAAAGCCUUCACAACAAAUGUUUCCCAUCUAUUUGUACCUAGAACUAUACAGAAAGCACUACAACACUCGGAGUGGAAGUGAGCAGUGUAUGAGGAGAUAAAAGCACUUCAAAAAAAUAGAACCUGGGAAAUUGUUGAUCUACCUAGGAAAAAGAAGAUAGUAGGGUGCAAGUGGAUUUUUACAAUCAAAUGUAAGUAUGAUGGGAGCAUUGAGAGAUACAAGGCAAGGCUGUUGCUAAAGGUUUUACACAAACUUAUCGAAUUGACUAUCAAGAAACCUUUGCACCUGUUGCAAAAAUCAAUUCCAUUCGAGUGUUACUUUCUCUUGCAGUACAUCUUAACUGGCCUUAGCAACAGUUAGAUGUAAAGAACACUUUCUUAAAUGGAGAGUUGGAGGAAGAAGUGUUUAUGGACUUACCACUAGGUUUCGAAGAAAACUUUGGAGAAAAGAAAGUUUGGCUAUUAAAAAAGUCAUUGUAUGGUCUUAAGCAAUAUCCUAGGGCCUGAUUUGACAGGUUCGGAAAAGUCAUCAAGCUUCAAAAGUAUUUGUAAAGCUAAGCCGAUCAUACAAUGUUCUAAAAACACUCAAGAGAAGGUAGAAUGGCAAUAUUAAUAGUUUACGUGGAUGACAUAAUUUUGAUUGGAGAUGAUAUUGUUGAGAUUGAUAGAUUGAAGAAAGCCCUAGCUCGUGAUUUCAAAAUCAAAGACUUUGGUCCUCUUAAAUACUUCCUUGGAAUGGAGUUUGCUAUAUCCAAGAAAGGUAUUUUUAUCUCUCAAAGAACGUACUUGAUCUACUAGAAGAAACAGGUUUACUCGGUUGCAAAGCAACAGAAACCCCUAUAGAACCAAAUCUGAAGCUUUAGCGUGCAAGUCUAGAAGAAAUGAUUGACAAAGAGAGAACCAACGCUUAGUUAGGAGACUAAUUUCUCUCUCCCAUAAACGUCCUCAUAUUGCAUUUGCAGUGAGCAUGCUAAGUUAAUUCAUGCACUCACCUAAUCAAGGACAUUUUGAUGUUGUGUACAGAAUUUUAAGGUACUUAAAGGGGACCAUGAAAAGGAAUUCUAUAUGAAAAUAGGGGACAUCUCCAAGUUGAAGUGUUUACAGACGCAGAUUGGACAGGAAUGUAAUAGACAGAUGAUCAACUUCGGGAUAUUGUACCUUUGUUGGGGGAAAUCUUGUAACUUGGCGUAGUAAAAAAUAAAAUGUGGUGGCUAGAAGUAGUAUUGAGGUGGGGGUGUAGGGCAGUGGCACAUGGUAUCUUUGAGGUUCUGUGGAUCAAACAUUUACUUGAAGAACUUAAAACUACCCGUUCCUUACCUAUAAAGGUAUUUUGUGAUAACAAAGAUGCUAUUGCAAUCGCACACAAUUCAGUGCUCCAUGAUUGAACUAAACAUGUUGAAGUUGACAAAAACUUUAUAAAGGAGAAAUUGGAGAAUGGUCUGAUUAUUAUACCCUACAUUCCCAGGUCUGAACAGGCAGCAGACAUUCUUACUAAAGGUCUACCAAAGAAGUAGUUUGAUACGUUGGUGAGCAAGCUAGCCAUGAACCACAUCUUCCAACCAGCUUGAGGGGGAGUGUUGAGAAUCACACCAGAUUAGGGCAAAUCAGUUUCCUGAUUUUUAGGGAAACUUGGCUGCAUAUUUCAUAUUUAUAGGGAUCCUAUUUAUUUCCUAAAAAUCAUUAUUGUAUAACUGUAUAUUUCAAUUCCAUAUUUGUAGCUUUAUUUUCUAUUUUAUUGACUGUAUUGUAUCAAUAAAAGGGUAAGUAUGACUACUUUUCCAUUAAUUCAAUACAAUAUUCUUUUUCUACCCAAUCUAUAUCUUCAUUUUUUUACAUUUACGAAGUAGUUCACAUAAUUUUAAGCCAUAAUUUUUACAUAAUUCUGUCUCGCCCCCACUAAAUUAUGUUCUUGGAUCCGUCCCUGCUUUGAUGGCCAUUAUUUGGGAAAAACAAUGUUUUGAAAAGUGUUUUUUAGGAGAAUGUGAGAUUAAAAAAUAAGAAAAUGUUUUGGAUUUACUUGCAGAAUAUUUUAUUGUGUUUAUGUUUGGUUGGAAAUGAGUUUGUAGAAAAAAGAGUUUUCAAAUAUUGGUUAUCGAACCCGGGCAUAAUGGUCCAUGAGAUUUGGAUGAACACAUUAAAGGUCAUAAGCAAAUGUUCUUGCUGCUGCUGCUUUUCCACUCCCCAUUCACCUGAAAAAUUCUUAAUAGAAUUUUAUUUAUUUCUCUUAUUUUUCCAUCCUAAUACUGCUUUUAGCUGUUAAAUAGACGUAUAAUGAUUAAAUCAAUACAGUAUGCUAAUCUUAAUCGCCAACUGUUCUAUAAUUCAAUUAUUAUGUUUCAAUAUGGAGUAAUUAAAAUUUAACAUCCACCGUUAAGAGAAGCCAAUUUUGCAAUUUAGUUAGACUGCCCAUUUUAACAAAUUAUCAAUCUUCGAAUUAAGCAAAGAUCUUAAAAUUUAUACAAUGCCUGUUGGAUCCUUUAGAUGAUGAAACAUGUAGGUUUUGCUUUGCAUUACUUUUGUACUCAUGCGAGCUGGUCUACUCAAGUAUGACUCAGCUUCACGAGAAUUCUUUUAUUAGAUCCUACUAUUUCAAACUUAUAAUUUUAUCUGUAAGGAAAUAUGAAACUGAUUUAACCUGCUAAUUGAAAUUGUCUGUUUCAGAAGAAGGCCUUGCCAAGCGUGGAUUCCAGGUUACUAGGCUCAAUACAUACACAACGGUAUGAUACUCUUGUAAUUUUGUAAAUGUUCUAAUAUCUCAACAAUUUCAUGUAAUUUAUAACUUUAAAUUUUAAUUUGCCUCCACAUAAUGCAACAGAAAAUUUAACAUUACAGUUACAGUCAUCAAUUGCAAGUGUUUAGAUGUCACUAAAUAUUGAUCAACAACAAAUACUCAUCUUGUUUCUGUUAAUUUGGUGGCCUCUGAUAAUUUCCUGUAGGAACCUGUUAGUCGUGUGGACCAAAAGUUCUUGAAUGGGCGGUUUCUGCUCCUGUUGUUUCUGUAGCAUCACCUUCUGCAGUUCGGUGUACUUUUCUGUUAUAGCAGUUCUGUUGAAAAUUAGUCUAUACUGUUGAGCCUGGACUAAUCUUCUGAAUAAAAAGUUUCUGAGUUGAAUUCAAACCUAAGCACAACUCACAUGGGUAUUUGUGUUCACAUAUUAAAUGGAUUGGGUGUACAGUGCUCUUUCUACAUGGUUUUAUGAAAGACAGGCUAUCAGAAAAUGUGAAAUAUGUUAACGGUCUAUUUGUGUUACAGGUGUUUUCGUGAAUAUUUUUAAGACUCAUUUUGAGUGUUUUUUUAUUGUGAAUCUUAGUUGAGGGGCUUAUGUUGUACCAAGUCCAACACUCUUCCCAAAAAUAUUUACCAUUUAAUCUUACCAAUUCACUUGCAGGAUCCUGUUCGUAUUACUGAAUAUGUUAAUUACAGUUUACUACUUGUGGACUUAUUGCCAUUGAAUGUGUUGGGAAAACACCUUCCAAAGAUAGCCCAAAGAUCAAACAAAGUUGACAAUGUGAAAAUUUCCAACCACUUCAAGAACAAGAAAAUGAGGAAGAAAUGAUUUUAAUGGAAUACAUGAAGAUCAAUGUAUUUGGAUUACUUGAACAAGCCUCAAGUUAAUCCCCAAAAAAGAAAAUAACUUUGAAUUUAUACCCAAGAUGAAUAACCUUCUAUCUUGUAAAAUUCUCUCCAAGUUUUCUCUCUUCUUUCUCUCUAAUUUUCGGGUGCAAGGGUUGUCUUAAUGAAAGGGGGGAAAAUGGCAAUAUAUAUAUCCUAUCGGGACGCCUAGGCGCCAGGUUCCUGGCUGUCUUCAUAUUCGGGGCACCUAGGCGCCAUGUGAGUGGCGCCUGGGCGCCCGGCAGAACCAGCAGAACCAACCCCCUUCCUCUCUUCCUUUCUCACAAUUCUCCAUCUCGUACAUCAUUUGAUAGACCUCAAAUUUUGGACGAACACAAGAAGAAGAAGCAAGCACCGACUCGGCUGCACCAUUCAAAUCAUGAUUGCCUACGUACCCAAAACUCGAGAUCAAGCCUCCGUAGUUCACCUCCACCUUCAUAAACACUCCACCUCAUUUCAACCCCGCCCCGAAGGGCCAUGCCCUCUCGGGCAUAUCAACACGGACUAAUGUGAAGCAAGUCCAAGCAAUGUUGAAACUUGCUACCCGUCACAACUUUGGUUAACAUGUCAGCUGGGUUCUCAUUUGUGUGUACCUUCGAGAGUGAAAUAUCACCUUCCUCUAUGACAUCACGCACAAAAUGAUACCUGACGUCGAUAUGCUUGGUUCGAGCAUGAUGAACCUGAUUCUUAGCCAAGUGAAUCGCACUCUGGCUAUCACACCACAAGUCCACACAAUCCUGCCCAAUCCCCAAAUCAUCUAGAAGACCCCAUAACCACAAUGCUUCCUUCACUCCCUCUACCAUGGCCAUAUACUCGGCCUCUGUAGUAGAAAGAGCAACUGUAGCCUGUAACAUCGAUCGCCAACUAACUGGGGCACCAUGUAUGCAGAACACAUAUCCAGUAGUAGAUCGUCGUCUAUCUAGAUCACCUGCAUAAUCCGAGUCCACAAACCCACUUAUAUGACAUGCAUCUCCACCAAAACAUAAACCCGUAUCCGCGAUACCUUUUAAGUACCUCAGGAUCCACUUCACAGCUUCCCAGUGUGCCUUCCCCGGAUUCGCCAUGAAUCUACUGACCACACUCACCGCCUGUGAAAUACCUGGGCGUGUACACACCAUGGCAUACAUCAAACUGCCAACAGCACUAGCAUAAGGUACACGAUUCAUGCGUACCUUUUCUUCCGCUGUAGUAGGAGACUGUUUACCAGAGAGCCUAAAAUGUGGAGCCAAUGGAGUCACCACCGACUUUGCACCUUGCAACCCGAACCUAGCAAUAACCCGCUCAAUGUAGCCUUUCUGACUCAAGAACAUUCGCCGGUUCGUCCUCUCUCUUCUAAUCUCCAUACCUAGUAUUUUCCCAGCAAUCCCCAUAUCCUUCAUCUCAAACUCUUUACCAAGUUGAGAUUUCAACUUAUCUAUCUCCACCUUACUUUUCGAAGCGAUAAGCAUGUCAUCCACAUAUAGAAGAAGAUAGAUAUAGUUACCUCCCCGAAGUUUUCGAAUAUAAACACAACAGUCAUACUCACUUCUGGAGAAACCAUGCUUUAGCAUGAAGGAGUCAAAUCGCUUGUACCACUGCCGAAGAGAUUGCUUCAAUCCAUAUAGUGAUUUUCUCAAGCGACAUACCUGACGUUCCUUAUCCUCAACCUUGUAGCCCUCAGGUUGAUGCAUAUAGAUCUCCUCAUCCAAGUCCCCGUGCAAGAAGGGGGUUUUGACAUCGAAUUGUUCCAACUCAAGAUCAUGAUGAGCAACAAUACUCAAUAGCACCCGAAUGGAAGUGUGCUUGACCACAGGAGAAAAGAUCUCAUUGUAGUCAACUCCCUCUCUUUGUGCAAACCCCUUAGCCACUAACCUCGCUUUGAAUCUUGUACCACCGAGUUUGGUAGGAUCCUCCUUCUUUUUAUAUAACCACUUGCAACCAAUAGCUUUCUUACCUAUGGGCAAUGGGACAACCUCCCAUGUUUGGUUCUUGUGGAGUGAUUCCAUCUCUUCUUCCAUUGCCGCCGACCAACUCUCGCUAUUGUUGUUUAAAAUAGCUUCCUUGAAAGUGGUAGGCUCAUCAUCCUCCACCGAGAGUGCAUACUCAACCAAAUUUGUCUGCCCAUAGUGCCUCAAAGGUUCAUCUGACUCCAACUUUAGAACUUGCUUGUAAGUACGGCAUGGCCUAGAGGAAGCCAAAUUAUCUGCAAGCUACUGUUGUUGCUGUGCCUGUACAUUCUCUUGCUGAACCGCCUCUUGUUCAAGUGCAUCAUCACUCUCAUCUUGAGUGUCUAUUUGAUGCUCCUCUUGAACAUGCCUAGAAUCAGGUUGAUCUCUAGGUUCUAUGUCAACAACUUGAGACAUUGUAGUCUCAACACCAUCACCACCGGGCACUGUAGCUUUCAACGACGCUACCAUGGAGUUCUCAUCAAAAGUAACAUCUUUGCUGAUUAUGAACUUAGAAUCCUCUACACACCAAAGGCGAUAGCCUUUAACACCUGCCGCAUACCCCAAGAAUAUAGCCUUCUUGGCCCUCGCAUCAAGCUUUCCCUCGUUGACAUGAUAGUAGGUUGUGCAUCCGAAUGUUCUGAGUUUCUCAUAAUCUGCAUGUUCUCCUGUCAAUACCCUAUAAGGUACAUCUCCAUCAAACCUUGAAUGUGGAGACCGGUUCACUAUGUAGCAAGCAUUUACAACCGACUCUGCCCACCAUUCUCUACCCAAACCAGCAUAGGAUCGCAUACACAUCGAUUUCUCUCGAAAUGUGCAAUUCAGUCUUUCCGUGACCCCAUUCUAUUGCGGUGUAUUUCUUACUGUCCAAUGUCUCACAAUGCCUUCCUUACCACAGAACUCCUUGAAAGCACCAUCUGUAUACUCAAUACUGUUAUCAGAUCUCAGUGUCUUCAAUUUCUUUCCAGUUCUAUUUUCAACCAUUACUUUCCACUUCUUGAAAGUGUCGAAUACCUCAUUCUUAUGCUUCAAAAAAUAAAUCCAAGCAUAGCUAGAAUAAUCAUCAACAAAUGUAACAAAAUACUUGGAACCGCCUUUGGAAGUGACAGAAGCCGAACCCCAUACAUCCGUGUGCACAUAGUCAAGAAUGCCUCUACUUCUAUGUUUGCUUGGCUGGAACUGAACUCGAUGUGAUUUACCGUACACGCAAUGCUCGCAAAAAUCCAUGCAAGACUUCUUCAAGUUCUUUAGCAAACCUUUCUUGACUAGCAAAUCUAGCCCCUUUUCAGACAUAUGCCCAAGCCUCCUAUGUCAUAGCCAAGUGCACUCACAUGGGUCUCCACCACUUCCACUUGUUCCAACUGCUACAUCUUCAGUAACUGUAGUACCCUGAAGAGCAUAGAGAUUACCUUCACGGAUACCCUUCAUCACAAUCAAAGAACCACGAACAACCUUCUUUACUCCAUUCCAUGUUACAAUCUUGCAACCACCGGAGUCUAAGGCACCAACAGAGAUAAGGUUCUUUCGCAAAUCAGGAACAUGUCUAACAUCCAUCAAUAUUCUAACCACUUCAUCAUGCAUCUUGAUUCUAAUUGAACCAAGCCCCACCGUUUUACAUGAAUGCUUAUUACCCAUCAACACGGUUCCACCAUCAGUGCUUCUAUAGGUAGUAAACUACUUCCUAUUUGGACACAUAUGGUAAGAGCAUCCAGAGUCAAGAAUUCACUUACCGGAGGUCUCUUCAUCACAAGAGAUGGUGUAGCACUCAUCGCUUUCCCCUCCUUUCGAGACAUAGCUUACCUUUUGCUUGACUUGCACCUUCCCACUGUUGUUGUUCUUAUUGUUCUUCUUCCAACCCUUUUUGUUUGGACAAUUCACCUUGAAAUGUCUAAGCUCGCCACAUUUGAAACAAGACCUUUCCGCAACAGGUCUAGAACUCGAUCUAGAUUUUUCUCCCUUGCCCUUUGGUCACACAUUGCUUCUACCCCUUACAAACAAUCCUUGAGCUUGCUCCUUGUUACCAAUGGUAGACAUGUCACUAGUUGCAAUCUUUCGAAGAUCAUCCGCUAGAAGUGACGUUCUAGUGUCCUCCAUCACAAGUUUAUCACCCACAAGCAUCAAUGUUUGUACUAGGUUCUCGUAAGACUUUGGCAAUAAAAGAAGUAGUAGAAGUGAUUGAUCCUCAUCAUCUACAUCCACAUCAAUGUCUUUCAAGUCCGAUAUGAUCUUAUCAAACUUGUUGAUGUACUCCCGGAUUGGUGUACCUUCAUCCAUCUUGCAAGUAUACAAUUUGGACUUCAAAUAGAUCCGAUUUGUUAAAGUCUUCGUCAUGAAGUUCGCCUCCAACUUUGUCCACACCUCCGCCGCCGUUACCUCACUAUCAACCAAGAAAGCAACAUCUCUUUCAAGGCAAAGAAUGAUAGACGCUCGUGCCUCAAGAUCUAGCUCUUCCCAAUCCUCGUCCGACAUAUCAACGUGCUUCUUCUCCUUUCCCGCCAAUGCCUUGUGCAACUUUUGAGAAAUCAACAAAUUUUUCAUUUGCAUUCUCCAAUAUGAAAAAUCAUUCUUCCCAUUGAAUUUCUCUAUCUCAUCCUUCCCAAUCUUCACCAUUCCUCUAGUAGACAUGAUUUAUCCACUUGUUUACCGAAAAUAAACCACAAAAGUUCACUUGGGAAUUUUCACAAACACCUUGUGCACAACAAAGUUCAAGCAACUCACCACAAAAUCGAAACUUAACCACCUUGAUUUAGGAUGUAGCUCUGAUACCAAAUUGUUGGGAAAACACCUUCCAAAGAUAGUCCAAAGAUCAAACAAAGUUGAUAAUGUGAAAAUUUCCAAACAACUUCAAGAACAAGAAAAUGAGGAAGAAAUGAUUUCAAUGGAAUAUAUGAAGAUCAAUGUAUUUGGAUUACUUGAACAAGCCUCAAGUUAAACCCCAAGAAAGAAAAUAACUUUAAAUUUAUACCCAAGAUGAAUAACCUUCUAUCUUGUAAAAUUCUCUCCAAGUUUUCUCUCUUCUUUCUCUCUAAUUUUCGGGUGCAAGGGUUGUCUUAAUGAAAGGGGGGGGGGGGGGGGGGGGGGAAAAANNNNNNNNNNNNNNNNNNNNUAAUGGCAAUACAUAUAUCCUAUCUGGGCGCCUAGGCGCCAGGUUCCUGGCUGUGUUCAUAUUCGGGGCGCCUAGGCGCCAUGUGAGUGGCGCCCAGGUGCCAUGUUUCUGCCGGGGAGGCAGAAACUGGGCGCCUGGGCGCCCGGCAGAACCAGCAGAACCAGCCCCCUUCCUCUCUUCCUUUCUCACAGAAUGCUUUUCUCGAAGCAUUUUCCUUUCUGCAGAUUUCUAUGAAUUUUGUUUACCUUCUCUUGUCUUUUUAUCCCUUAUUAUUUUAACGAAUGAUUGCAUAUCUUCCUUUACAGUGCUUGGAUAAAUCUAAUCCCAAAAUCACAACAGUGGAGCAAUUCUGUUGCAUGUAUUGGUGAGACAACUGCCUUAGCAGCUAAAAAUCUGGGUUUGAGGAAUGUGUAUUUCCCAACCAAUCCUGGCCUUGAAGGGUAAUCAAAUAUCCAUUUGGAACUUUUGGGAAAUCAUGCAUAUACUUGUUUCUGAUGCAAUUGUCUCUGUCUCUAUGCUCUAUGAGUGGUAAAAAGCACUAGCAGUUUUCCGUUCUCUUUACUUUCUGAGAUGUGCGUGAUAUAGUUGAAGAGUUCACUAUUUAGGUGAUAAUUUAGAAGAAAUACGAGGAUGUGACAUAAAUUUACGAUGCAGGGAGAUAUAUUUUAUUUGUAUAUGCCAUGUCUCAGUGCAUAAUUUUGUAUAGUAAUGGCAUGUUUAGAAAAGUGGAUUGCACAAUAGUAUUAAAGGAGAAAAAGAAGUUUAAAUAUUUUUAAUUGUAGUGUUCAUUGUUCAAUCCUGUUCAUUAGUGCAUAUCAAACAUGUUUUAAGUAUCACUGGGUUUAUCCUUCUGUUGCAGGUGGGUUAAUAGCAUUUUAGAAGCCUUGCAAGUCCAGGAACAAGUUCAGAAAGUCUAGGAGUCGUAUGUUGAUGCCCUUCUAAUUUCACCUGGUAAUUUCUAUAUACUGCUUACACUAAGUUGUUUCCCAGUGAAUAAAGAUGCUAUUGAAGAUUAAAUAUAAAUCAGUAAACGUCUCCUCUCUAACAACUUUAGCUUCUAAACGGCAUGGUUCAACACAGUAUCAAAGCACACGUGGAUCAUGAGUUCAAAUAUUGGGGGAUUAUUGGAGAACACUUCUUCCUAUUUCUUUCUCUUGAUAUCCGAUGAUCAUGGUGAUGCCCGUGAAUUCUUAUUUUUACGUAGCAAGUACUUAUUAAUUUGUCUCCUGGACUGGAUCUAUUAUGUCAGAUUUUCACGUACCCGUUGAUAUGCUAUUCCCAAGGACUAUAUCCUGGUAGUUUGUCGGUUAAAUUAAUAAGUGGGGNNNNNNNNNNNNNNNNNNNNNNNNNNNNNNNNNNNNNNNNNNNNNNNNNNNNNNNNNNNNNNNNNNNNNNNNNNNNNNNNNNNNNNNNNNNNNNNNNNNNNNNNNNNNNNNNNNNNNNNNNNNNNNNNNNNNNNNNNNNNNNNNNNNNNNNNNNNNNNNNNNNNNNNNNNNNNNNNNNNNNNNNNNNNNNNNNNNNNNNNNNNNNNNNNNNNNNNNNNNNNNNNNNNNNNNNNNNNNNNNNNNNNNNNNNNNNNNNNNNNNNNNNNNNNNNNNNNNNNNNNNNNNNNNNNNNNNNNNNNNCGAAGCACAUAGACGUUACUCAUUUUAGCGAAUAUACCUCAUCAGGAAAAUGAAACCUUUAGAUACGAGUAUAUAUCUAACAUUUGAAAUCGGCUUCUAGUAGAAGUGUGUUUCUAACAUUAUCUAUCAUCGUCUAUGAUUUUUAUCAGUGUAGGUGGCAGUGAAUGUCGUGAUUUACUGUUCAAUUAUUAAUGCAUCAAAUUACAUCAUAAUUUUAUUGAACAAUGAAUCAGAAGACCUUGUUGUCAAUUACAUCGCUGAUAAUCACCACUCCAUUGACACUCCAUAAAAAACAUGAAAAUGAUUCCAAAGCUGUGGUAUGACCAUGCAAAACCAAUGCUACAUGUUUAAAACUUUUAUCCAAUGAAUAUCCAUUCUUUUUUGUUCUUUAGGGAGAAAUUGAAAUAUUCGUCAGCAAGUCUGUCUCCAACUUUUUAAAUUGAGCAUUUGUUUGAUGCCAUUGAAAAGAGUUUUUUAAUUUUUUCCCCCUUUUGGGAAAAAUGAGUUUUGAAACAGUAAUCUUUUUAAUAGAAAUUUUGAGUUUAAAAAGUAAGAAAAUUUGUUGGAUUACGUGUAAACUAUUUUAUUGUGAGAAUAUUUGGUCGAAAAUGAGUUUUAGGAAAAAGGAGUUUUUGAAGAAUGGUGGACAAACGGGGAUUGAAUGAGUUAUGUCUUAUCCUUUGAUUGAGUUAAUAAUUAUACAGUUGCCUUUGAAAAUCGUUCAAAUCUCUAUUAAAGAUGUCCUGCUUCAAAUUUAUAUGCACUAACUUCAGUUGAAAAACAAAAUUAGUAUCAUAAAGUCGCACUGUGUAAAGGCCAUGACAGAAUGCUUCAUUAGACUGUUCAAGUAAUAAUAAGGCCCAAUGUAGCAAUGUUAUAGGUUUGAAAAAGUAGAAGAGAUUGGUAUUAACUAUAUUUCAAGUCUUGGGAGGCAUAUUACUUUUGAUCGUGGGUGGUCAUUGGCAUUUUCUUGGUUUCACGGUAAAGAUUGUCGAAGACGAUCUAGAAAAUCCAACAAAAUUGUUUACUAUAUGGAGCUUCGAUGGGAAGAUGGUGUACGAAAACAUCAUUGAAUCGACUGAGGGCUUCCGCUUUAGCCACUUUGUUGGGUGGGAGGAUGUGGCAGUGUUUUAGAGCUAAAUUGAAUGACCAGACUGUCGCUAUAAAGAAAUUACAUACACCAUGUAACGUCCCAAAAUUUCAUAUAAUAGAAUUAUUUGGGGAUAACGAUUUUGAUCUAGAUGCCUUUGGUGGACUCAUUCUGUAGUUCGUAUUUAAUGGCAUGUCAUGGACUCGAGAAAAGUUAAUUCAAAUAAGUUAGGUCCAAGUUAUUGAAGUUCCGAGAAAUUGUCUUUAAUUGGUAAUUAAUGAAGUUGGUUUAUGAUUUAAUUUCUAUGACAGCAUCACGUGUAGGACAAAUUUUAAUCCUAUUUUGAUAAUUGUUAAUUGUAAUCCUAUUUUGAUUUUGAUAAAUGUUAAAAAGGUUAAUUGUAAUUGUUACGAUCCAAAUUUUUCUAGUCAAAAAUAAAAUGUUGAAUUGUCAAAGUCAAAGUCAAAAGGGAUUAAAAUGAAAUAAAUUAUUUUAAUUGGGACUCAAUUUAUUAUGAAAAUUAUUUUGAAGGUCUAAGUUGGACAAUAUAAAAUUUUAGAGAUCUACUUAUAUAUUGCUAGAAGUUUAGAAUUUAAUGUUCUAUUAUAGAAAUGUUGGAGGACCUCCUUUGCAAUUUUGAGUUUGUAGCUACUUGAUAUAUUACAAUAAACCCAUUUCAAUUAUAAUUCAACACACACACACAAAUAAUAGGCAAAAACGGGAGAGCGCUGAGAGAGAAACCGAGAAGAAAGAGGAAGAAAAAGAGAAAGAAAGUGAGAAAAAGAAGAAAAGAAAGAAAGAAAGGAGAAGAAGAAGGGAAAGAGGUAGUUCAAGGUCUAUCUUCAUUUUUCCUUCUCUUUAUUUUCUUCAAGAGGUAGAUAAAUUUUAUGUUAAGUUGCUAGGGUUUAAUUUGUGGCUAAAAUUUCAUAUUUAUGCAAGAUGAGUACAAAUUGGAGUUCAAGUUUGUUGAUUAUUUAAUUUUCAAUUUCAUUAAGGUAAAAAUACCAAUUUUGGCAAAUCCUAGAUUUUUAUUUGGGAUUCUUAAUUAUGAAAUGUUAGUGGGAAUAAUUAUAUUGAUGGAAAACUCUCAUCAAACCAUGAAUUUGAGAAACAAGAUAAAAAUAAAAAUAGGUGGAAUCAUUGUUACUAGUUUUCUUUAGAUUGGAAGGUAUAAUUAUUUUUAUGGGUGGGAUGAAGGUAAAUUUGGAUGUAGUAUAUAUUUGUGAAGGUAUUAGAAAGUAGAAUUAGCGCUUAUUGAUUAACGGAAAAUUUGGAAAAAUCAUUCAAAGUAUCGAGAAGUCAAGUUUUAGUAUUCAACUAUUAAUAUUAAGAUAUACUUAGUAUGAGAUUUGUUAAAUUAGUUAUUUUACAUCGUAUUUCAGGUAGUGACGUGAAAGCUGGGCAAGACUGGUAAAUUUAACAAGAUUGCAAUACAUGGAUAUGUGAGUGGAGAACCUACUUUUCCAAUUAAAAAAAAAGGGGGGAAUUUCCUUUUUAAUUUUAUUUUAUAGAAGUAUAUUAAUUACCUGAAAUGUCUUAUUUUCAAGAAAUUAGUAAAUGAGCAAGAUUGUUUUGAAAUUUUCAAAAAAUAAUUGAUGUGAUUAUCUUACUCUAGUGCACUGAGGGGAUACGGCCGUGUACUAGAGUCAUGUAUUUAACUCUUAUACAUUGAGGGGUUGCAACCGUGUGUAAGGAUAACUCUUAUCCACUGAUGGGCUACGGCCGUGUGUAAGGGUACCUAUUAUACAUUGAGGGGCUACAAUCGUGUGUAAGGGUAACUCUUAUCUACUGAGGGGCUACGGCCGUGUGUAAGGAUACCUAUUAUAUACUGAGGGACUACAGUCGUGUAUAAGGAUGAUCAUGUUGUUUCCAUCUUAUACACUGAGGGGCUACGGUCGUGUACAGAGUGUUGAUCAGACGGUUUAUAUGCGUCUGACUUUGUAGCUUUUAGAUCAUCAGUAGAUGUUUACAUGGGGUAUAUUUUGAUGUGAAUUUUAUGUAUAUAGUGGUUUAUUAGCCUUCAACUUAUAUUUCCCCGUUUGCUAUUCAGCUUAUGGAAUUCAGAUUAUAGAAUUCAAUUCGUUCAAUUUUCAGAGUAAAGCUUCCAAUUUAUAGUAUUGAGCAACAAUAUUUCACAGAUUUUCAUAGAUUUCAGAUUAUUUAUAUUCACUAUAUUUUACAAUUAUUGAACUAGAAUGAAGAAUAAAGAAUUUUAUCAUCCAAUUAUGUCAGUUUUAAAAGUGUUACUAAAUUUUUGAAUUUCUCAAAGUUUUAGUAAAGCAAGAAUUAUACAUAUAUGAAAAAGUAUACUUAUUUUCAAUUUAUUCACUCACUGAGUUACAAACUCCAAUUUUUUUACCAUUCUCUUAGCAGAUAGCAUCUAUGUUGAGUAGCUUUGGAGCCUGUCGAUCCACCGAGAGUGCCAGACACACACAUUGUCAUUAGAUGUAUGAUUCAUUUCGUCAAUUUAUAUAGUUCAAAUUUCCUUUAGGAUACAUGUAUGUUUUGACAGAAUCGUUAAUUGGUAAUUUAUAGAUCCAUACCAUGGGCUCACUGCAUAUUUAAUAUUCUCAUUGCUUCUGGGGUCUUUUGUUUAUAAAGCAUGGUAAAUGUUUUGAAUUGUUUGUAUUUUAAAGGACUAGCGUGUUAUAUUUUAAAUUAUCUGUACAGUUUUGAUAAAUUUGAUAUUUGUUUAGGUGAUUUAGUCCAUAUUUUAAAGGAAAUUCUGUCAAAAUUUUUACACAUAUAUGUCAUAGUCAAAGUAGGUCAAAUCUGCUUUGGUGGUGCGUCCAACACUUAGUUGGUAUCUACCAUCGGCUCACAACACAUGUCAGGUCUAUUAGGGUGAUUCGGGACGGGUUGUGUCAGUAAUCCCAACUUAAUCCUUUUUACAGCAAAUGUACGAGAAAAUCAUCAGUGGAGUACAAUCCAAAUUCAACUUUUUGAAACUAUGUUUAAUUAAAAUAUUUAAAACACUUAUCAAGUUGGUAGCCACUUGUGUGCAGUGCAUUAGGAGUUAAUCUUUUUAUUUUUGGAUUAGAAGGAAAACUAAUUUUAAUCAUAAUUUUAUUAGAUUUUCAUUGAUUACUGGUUUAGUUCAAUUAAACAAGUAGAAUCCUACUUUCAAAAAGAAAUCUCAAAUCUCACCGAUUUAUACCCCCACAUUGAAGCAAAUCUGCAUUCGUAAGUUAUUACUUUCAAAGCAUACAUGCACCCAUUUGGUCACAGAAGCAGAGAGUUUAAGAAAGUUUUGAAAUGUACAAUCAUAUUUUUCUUUUCGAAAUUUUGUUUGAUACGAGGGAAGAUACAUAAAGCAUAAGUGGUUCGUCGAUACAUGCAUGAAUUGUUGGUUGACCUUUGGGUUCGACUUAAUAAAACAUGAACUUUUUUGGGUUCUUUAAAACGAAAUAUGAAAUAUCUCAAGAAUUCGAAAUGAGUACGUGAUGAGUGUCUCAUUUUAUCACCGAUAUACUCCAAAUAAAUUGUGGUAUGAGAUGUUUAUUUUAUUGUUAUAUAAUUGUAUAUGAAAACUGCAUGUAUCUUAUUAGGUACUAUCAAAUACUCAUUCUUAAAAUAAUUUACAAGUUAGUUGAGAUCGAUUGAAACUGUGGCAGAAUAGUGAUGUGGACUACCAAGAAGAUUUGAAGAACUAAAAACAUUAAAUUUUCGAUCUUUCAAUUGAUUAUUUAGUUUUAAAUUGUUCAAAAAUAAGUUUGUUCAAUAGUUAGGUAGUUAUAUCUAUUUUUUUAAGGAAAUACAAGUUACAUGCUUUAAAUUGAUAUUUAUUAUUGAAAAUAAAGAGAUUAAUUUUAUUAUUAUCGUUUUCCACAAUAUCGUGAAGGAAAUUGAAUUUUAGUAUCAUUCUAAGGUUUAUGAAUAUUGGGGUGUUAUAAUUUGAUAAUAAAGCACAUGUUUAUCUUUCUGUAUUCUUUUUAACAAAAUAGUUAUUUGUUUCAAAUAAAUGAAUUUUAAUAGGAAUUUACCAAUUAAAAAAUUUGUAUUUUAAGAGUUCCCACUUAUUAUUUGAGUUUUCUUGAUUUACGUAUUUGUAAAAUUGAAUGGUUUAGUCAAAACGACCUAAAUUGUUUAAAGAGAGUUUGAGAUUUAAGUGGUUCACUUAUAAUCUUCCUCCUCACCUGAAAGCCUUUUAGUUGCACGCUAUUCAAAUCAUAAAAAUGAAAAAUAACAUUUCAAACCAUUCCAUAUUUAAGAAAAUUUUAUUUUUAACAAAUUCUAUUUCAAGAGAAUUCCUUUUUAGGAAAUUUUUAUAUUGAAAAAAAAUAAAAAAAUAAAAGUAUUGUCAUAGGAUUUUGCCACUUUGACAGAAAAAUUGUAACAGAUGCGAUGAUAUAAUCCCAGUUGGAAAUAGAUGAUUUGAUGGGGAUGUUUAUUGUGUUUGAAAUUGUCCAAUAAUGGGAUGUCAUGUGAUAUUAUAUCAAAAAUUAUGUCAACUAUUAUGUUCCUGUAGCAUGAUUGAUUUUCAUAAGAAUUAUGAGUUUAAGGAGAAUAUUUUUGUAAAGUUUUUGUAAUGUCCCCAAAUUUUCAUAGAUUAGAAUUUAAUUUAUGUGUGCUAUAUUUUAAUAUUUUGGAAGUUUAGUGACUAAAGUGUAUAUAACGUAAAAUUUAAUCUUUUUGGGCUUAAAAUGUAAAUAUUGGCGGGUUAAUGAUUAAUAUAUGAAUAUUGGGCUUGUUGGAUAGAUCGUAAUUAAAGACACAGUUUAGGCUCGAGAAAAACUUUAUUUGGAUUAGUCGAGCCCAAGUUAUCGAAGCCAGAAGAUAUAACAUUAAAAUAUUAUUUUUAUUACUUUUGUUUUUGGAAGAAUUUACGUGGAGAGAGAGAUGAAAGUUGUUGAGAUAUUUUAUUGUUUUAUUAUUAAUAAUAAUAUUUUAUUAAGUGUUUUGAAUUGGGAGGUCUCACGUGAAGUACUAGGAUUCUAAGUAGGGGUAGGUAAGUGAUAAUCGAUUUGUUUAUUAAAUGAAAUAAAGUAGAGAGAGAGAGAGAGAAUUAUGGGGAGCCCCAACCACGUGAGUGAUUGUUGAGAAACCAAAUGGAUGUGUAGGGUAAUGUUUGGCUGUUGGGUGAUUGGUUAGUUGACAGUACAUGAUCUUAUAUUGAUAAGGUUUGGGUCUCCGAUUUUUUUCAAAAACAGUUUUUUUUUACUUUAUCUAAAUAUCCACUCUCCCACAUGUUUUCCUAUGAAUACUUCUACAUAUGUAUAUGGAAUGAACUGCACGAGAAUAAGGACACAAAAAAUAUAUUGGUACGUGCACACAUUGUCAAUAGAGGCAGAAAAAUAUAGAAGAAAAGAACGUGAUUUUAUUAUUUCUCUUCCGGAAAUUAAAUCAAGGUAGGAUUACGAGGUGCAAGUGGGUUGUCCCAUUUAAAUUAUUUCUUCAUAUUUGAUAAAUAUUAUACUUAUGAAAGUUAUGAUAUGUAUAAUGUAAUUAUGAUAUGUAUGUUAUGGUCAUCCGGUACCAAAGAUAUGAUACGAUAUGAACUCUUACCGAUUCUAAAGAUAUGAUAUGACGGUAUGAUAUUUUGACGCGUGAUUUAAUAUUUUAAUUGGGAUUGCACAAUUUCUCGUACCCUACUGAGUAUUCCCAUAUACUCACCAUUUUCCUACUCCUCACAGGUUAGACCGGGUCAUGUUGGAGCGUGGUGGUUCGAAGGUGUGGUUGUGUCUUGUUUCACCAAAUAAAGAUCUAAGUUAGCACGUAAUGUUUAUUUAUUUUCAGUUUAUUUCAAUAAACAUUUAUUUAUUUACGAAUAAAUUCUCGUUUAUGUUAGUUGCAGAUGAAUAUACGUAUUUUAUGAUUUUUAAAUAGAAGUUUGAACUAAAUGUUAUUUUCCUUCCUAUCGAUUUGCAAAUCUGUUCUUUCAUAUACGUUGGGAAGAAAGAAUUUAAUAGUUUGCAUGCCUAUAUUUGUACUUUACUUUGAUUUUCCCCAAAUUGAUGGAAAUUUAGGGUCAACACAAUGAUUCCCUGCCACCCCACACCUUCAUUUGUGUCCCAUCACAUCCAUAGCAUUAAUUAUGAUAUGAAUUUGAUAGUUUUUGCUUGUACGUGUUAGUCAUGAAUCAAUGUCUUGUUCGUAGUUUUUUUUUUGACAUAAAUGAAUUCUGUUUUGGAUUUUUUUUGUUUAAUUGCAGUAAAUAAACAUUCCGUGAGUUAUUUAAUUCCAUCCGUUGCCUUUGACUUAAUUAAGUAACUAAUUGAAAUUAUGCACUAAUUAGGGGGAAAUAUUGUGUUAUGAACCACUGUAUUAAUUAUGCCAGGAGUUAGCAAAUUCAUGUUUGUCUGCCACACCCGUGUCAAAUUCGUUUUAAUUCAUAAGUCUUAGAUAUAAAUUUAUUGGAUCUCCCGAAAUACAUAGGAAUAAGAUGUUAUUUUAAUUUGACUUGAGUGUUCAACACGUGAAGAUGAUUGAUAAUUGGAGAUUCAAUGAAAGCAAUAUUUUUUUAGAAUUCAUUAUAUAUAUAUAUAUAUAUAUAUAUAUAUCCAUGUGUUUUAUUUAUUUUAUAGAUGGAACUAGAAAGAUUUUCAUGUUGGAUGUUUAUUAUUUUAAUUAUUUAUGGAAUGAAAGGUUUGGUAACGAUUUCUAAAUCUAUAUAAGAUUUGGGUCGUUACAGUUUGGUAUCAGAGCAUAGGUUUAAAUUCCUGUAGACUCACAUGUAUUCUCAUAAUUCGGUUUUAAAAAAAAAAAAAAAUUAUUGUGAACAGUGACCGGACCGUUCACGUGAACAGUACUCGGUACUGUUCACUGUUCACGUGAAUAGUAUUGUACUGUUCACGUGAACAGUGUAGGAUAAAAAAAUAAAAAUAAAUAAAAAUUGUGUGAUGUUAUAUAUAUAUUGAAUUUUCUUUUUUGUUACAUGUUAUAAAAGGCUUAUUUGCUUAUUUAUUUUCCUAGAUAAUAUUUGUUUAAGGUUAAUAUUUAUUUAUUUAUUUAUGAAUUUAACGAUAAUAUUAAAUUAAAAGUUAUGAAAUAUGUGAAUGAUCUUUGGCACUCAACGACCACCAAUCGACCACCCUCCAACGACUCUAAGGUAUGUAAAAAGGGUAAGAAGAUAAAUGUACUUAAAGCUUUUUGCGAGAUUUAAAUGCUUUAAAUUUCCUAUCUUUAAAUGUUAAGACAUCCACGUUUAUUUUUCCCACUAAAUUAUGAUAUAUAUUGUCAUAGAUAAUUAUAACUUAUUAGACUUAGUACUAAGUGUGAUUGGUGACUUCAUAUUAAAUUUUAGGAAAUGGCACCACCUACUCAUACGAAUUUGAUGCGCGAUUUACUACGAGCGGUACAAGAGUUGAGCAGGCAAAAUCAAGCACCUCCACCACAAAAUGCACCGCCACAGCAGAAUGCACCGCAUUUUGCCCCUGGAGCUAUCUCAGUGGUUGAGCAGUUUCGUAGGUACAAGCCUUCCACUUUUGACGGUAAUUCUGAAUCACUGGUUGUCGAAGAGUGGAUAAGAGGCCUGGAGCGCAUAUUUCGACACAUUGCUUGUACGGAUGCACAGAAAGUAUUAUGUGCAGAAUUUAUGUUGAUUGGAGCAGCUGGUCACUGGUAGGAAUCUGUUUCACGUACAAGGACGGAAGAGCAGCACCGUAAUCUGACUUGGGAGCAGUUUAAAGAUGAAGUGAUGGCAAAAUAUUUCCCACAGGCUUUGAGAGAUUUCAAGGAAUUAGAAUUUUUGCAGCUCAGACAAGGGAGUAUGUCACUUACUGAUUAUGAAAGACAGUUUGAGCAGCUCUCAAGAUAUGCCCCGCACUUGGUGGAUACAGAAGUUAAGAAGAUUAGGAGGUUUGAGAAUGGACUGCGCCCUGAGAUCGGCAUGAUCAUUAUGUCCCAUCGUUUCACCUCAUAUCGUGAAAUGUUAGAGAGGGCUCAUGCUAUUUCCUAUCAGAGGACUACCUUUGAACAGUAUGCCCAGCAAAGCAAGGGGUCAUCGGGAAAAAGAAAGUGGAAUGAUCCAAACAAGGACAGACGUAAUUGGUAGAGUAAAAGGCCAAACACAGGAGUUCGUAUUGGGGGAGCGAGUGAGAAUAUUACACCGUGUCCUAAGUGUAAUAAACUCCACAGGGGUGAAUGCUUACUCGGGAAGAACAUGUGUUUCCGAUGUGGUAAGCCAGGGCACAUUGCUCUCAACUGUACAGAGCCACCAAAAAGGAAGGAUGAUGAUCAGGACAAGAACAAGAAAGGAAAGGCCCGAGUUUUCACACUAAAUCAGCAUGAGGCGGAGCAGGAUCCGAAUGUGAUAGCGGGUACUAAAUUAUUAAUAUUUUAACGCACUUGCUUAUGUUCUUUUCACAUAGGACUACACAUUGUUCCAUCUCCGUCCCUUAAAUGUUAUUCUAACACUAUAAAUUAUAAAAACAUGUAUUCUGUUAUUAUCUGAUGUGCCUGCUUAUGUACUUUUUGAUUCUGGGGCUACCAAUUCUUUUAUCUCUGCAUCCUUCGUCGUUAAGUCCAACUUUGCAUGUGUAAGAACGAAUAAUGAACUAGAGGUUAGCAUCCCUUCAGGAAGAACUCUUUGUACAAAUUAGAUGACUAAGGACAUAAAAUUAGAGAUUGACGGAAAAAUAUUAGAGGCAGACUUGUACCUUUUGGAGAUGAAAGAUUUCGAUGUUAUUUUAGGCAUGGAUUGGUUGGGAAUUAAUCAUGCAACCAUUCGAUGUUACGAGAAAGAAGUAUUGUUUCAUAGACCAGGAGAGGAAGAGUUUCGUUUCUUGGGAGCAAAGUUCAAGUCUUUACCGCUCCUAAUAUCAGCUAUGCAAGCAGAAAAGAUGUGAAGGAAGGAGUCAUGCCAGGGAUUCUUAGUUAACAUCAAUAGUUCUCAACAUACAGAAAUGACCGUUAAUGAUAUUAACAUCGUCCGAGACUUUGCAGAUGUAUUCCCAGAAGAUUUGCCAGGCAUUCCACCAGAUAGACAAAUGGAAUUUACAAUUGAUUUAGUUCCUGGAACGGCACCAAUAUCUAAGGCCCCAUACCGAAUGGCACCGAAAGAACUACAAGAAUUGAAGUUGCAAUUAGAGGAGUUACUGGAGAAAGGCUUCAUACGACCAAGUGUAUCUCCUUGGGGAGCACCUGUACUUUUUGUCAAGAAGAAGGAUGGGAGUAUGAAGAUGUAUAUUGACUAUCGGGAAUUGUACCAUCUGACCAUAAAAAAUAAGUACCCACUGCCAAGAAUAGAAGAUUUGUUUGACCAGUUAAUGGGUGCUGCAGUAUUUUCAAAGAUCGACUUGAGGUCAGGGUAUCACCAGCUAAAAAUCAGGGCAAGCGAUAUACCGAAAACUGCUUUCAGGACUCGUUAUGGGCAUUAUGAAUUCACUGUCAUGCCUUUUGGUUUGACCAAUGCUCCAGCUGUAUUUAUAGAUCUCAUGAAUAGAGUAUUCCAUCAGCAUUUAGAUCAGUUCGUCAUAGUGUUUAUUGACGACAUACUUGUGUACUCAAAAGACAAGAAGCAACAUAAGGAACAACUUCGAAUUGUACUUGAAACUUUGAGGAAUGAGAAAUUAUAUGCCAAAUUCAAAAAGUGUGAAUUUUGGCUUGACCGUGUAGUUUUUUAGGUCACGUUGUUACCACCCAAGGAAUCGAAGUAGACCCCGCUAAAGUGAAAGCAGUAACAAAUUGGCUAAGGCCGAGCGAUGUGGGUGAAGUCCGCAGUUUCUUGGGAUUGGCUGGUUAUUAUAGAAGAUUCAUUGAAGGCUUCUCAAAGAUAGCAGGGCCAAUGACUCAAUUGACAAGAAAGGGUAUAAAGUUUCGGUGGACAGAAAAAUGUGAAAAAUGCUUUGAAGAACUCAAGUAGAGACUAGUGUCAGCUCCUGUAUUGACGAUACCUGAAGGUUCAGAGGGAUUUGUGAUUUACAGCGAUGCCUCCAAGCAGGGCUUGGGUUGUGUACUGAUGUGGCAUGGAAAAGUGGUUGCUUAUGCCUCGAGACAGUUGAAACAGUAUGAACAAAACUAUCCAAUGCAUGACUUGGAGCUUGCAGCAGUUGUUCACGCCUUAAAGAUAUGGCGUCAUUAUCUUUAUGGUGGGAAGUGUGAAAUUUAUACGGACCACAAGAGUCUCAAAUACUUUUUCACACAGAAGGAACUAAACAUGAGACAGAGGAGAUGGUUGGAGUUAGUGAAGGAUUAUGACUGCACAAUUCAUUACCAUCCGGGUAAGACUAAUGUAGUUGCAGAUGCCCUAAGCAGAAAGACAGGAACACAGUUAGCAGUUUUACCCACAGUACAGGAACACUUGAUAAGGGAGUUUGAUAAAUUGAGAUUGGAAGUUAUCACGCCGCCAACUCAGAUUUCAGGGAGAAUAAGAGCAUUCAUGAUUCAACCUACACUUCGAGAUCGAAUUAAGGAGGCACAGGAUAAAGAUCCAUUUUUAUAGAAGAUAAAGGCCAAGAUUGGUACAGAUAAACAUAUAGGGUUUGCAGUAUCUGCAGAUAAUGCGCUAACUUUCAAAGGAAGACUGUGUGUACCUAAGGAUGAAAGUAUAAGAAAUGAGAUAUUAGAAGAGGCUCAUUCAACCCCUUAUUCUGCUCAUCCAGGUGGUACGAAAAUGUACCGAGAUCUCCGGGAUGUAUUUUGGUGGAGAAAUAUGAAGAGAGGAAUUGGUCUGUUCGUGGAGAGAUGUAUUAUCUGUCAACAGGUUAGGGCAGAACAUCAAAGGCCAUCAGGAUUACUGAAAUCGUUGGAUAUUCCAGAAUGGAAAUGGGAACACAUAACGAUGGACUUUGUGGUAGGCCUCCCGAGAUCAGCAAAAGGUCACAAUGCUAUCUGGGUAGUGGUGGAUCGUCUGACGAAGUCAGCCCAUUUUCUUCCAAUUAAAGUAAACUUUAAUUUGGAACAGCUGGUACACUUAUACAUCAGGGAGAUAGUCAGGUUGCAUGGAGUCCCAGUCACCAUUGUUUCAGAUAGAGACCCGAGGUUCACAUCUAAAUUUUGGAAAAGUUUGCAGACAGCCAUGGGAACAAAACUGAAGUUUACCACAACUUAUCAUCCUCAGACGGAUGGACAAUCAGAAAGAACCAUCCAAACUUUGGAAGAUAUGCUAAGGGCAUGUGUUUUGGAUCUUGGAGGUAGUUGGGAGACACACCUGCCGUUAGUGGAGUUUGCUUACAACAAUAGUUUUCAGGCCACUAUAGGAAUGGCCCCGUAUGAAGCUCUUUAUGGUAGAAAGUGCAGAUCCCCUAUCCAUUGGGAUGAAGUCGGGGAAAACAGAAUUUUGGGUCCAGAAAUCAUUGAACGAACAGUUGAGGCAGUGGAUAAUAUUAGAGCAAGAAUAAAGGCCGCACAAGAUCGACAGAAAAGUUAUGCUGACAGUAGAAGAAAGGAUUUAAAAUUUCAAAGAGGUGACAAAGUCUUUCUAAAGGUAGCACCAAUGAAAGGUGUAUUGAGAUUUGGAAAGAAAGGAAAGUUGAGGCCGCGGUUCGUCGGACCUUUCGAAAUUCUUGAAAGGAUUGGUAGUUUGGCUUACAGACUUGCCUUGCCACCUGAACUAACAGCAGUGCAUAAUGUGUUCCAUGUUUCGAUGCUCAGAAAAUAUGUUCAUGAUCCCAAUCAUGUAGUAAGCUAUCAGACGUUGGAUGUACCAAAAGAUCUAUCAUAUGAAGAAAUUCCGACGGUAAUUUUGGAAAGAAAGGUACAUCAACUUAGGAAGAAAGGAGUUCCACUGGUCAAGGUGCAAUAGCGAAAUCAUGGACGAGAGGAAUCAACUUGGGAGAAAGAAGAAGAGCUUAGAACCAAGUAUCCAGAACUUUUCAAUUAACCAAGGUAAAUUUUCGAGGACUUAAAUAUUUAAGGAGGGGAGAUUGUAAUGUCCCCAAAUUUUCAUAGAUUAGAAUUUAAUUUAUGUGUGCUAUAUUUUAAUAUUUUGGAAGUUUAGUGACUAAAGUGUAUAUAAAGUAAAAUUUAAUCUUUUUGGGCUUAAAAUGUAAAUAUUGGCAGGUUAAUGAUUAAUAUAUGGAUAUUGGGCUCGUUGGAUAGAUCGUAAUUAAAGACGCAGUUUAGGCUCGAGAAAAAAUUUAUUUGGAUUAGUCGAGCGCAAGUUAUCGAAUCCGGAAGAUAUAACAUUAAAAUAUUAUUUUUAUUACUUUUGUUUUUGGAAGAAUUUACGUGGAGAGAGAGAUGAAAGUUGUUGAGAUAUUUUAUUGUUUUAUUAAUAAUAAUAAUAUUUUAUUAAGUGUUUUGAAUUGGGAGGUCUCACGUGAAGUACUAGGAUUCUAAGUAGGUGGUAGGUAAGUGAUAAUUGAUUUGUUUAUUAAAUGAAAUAAAGUAGAGAGAGAGAGAGAGAAUUAUGGGGAGCCCCAACCACGUGAGUGGUUGUUUGGAAACCAAAUGGACGUGUAGGGUAAUGUUUGGCUGUUGGGUGAUUGGUUAGUUGACAGUACAUGAUCCUAUAUUGAUAAGGUUUGGGUCUCCUAUUUUGUUUCAAAAACAGUUUUUUUUUUUUACUUUAUCUAAAUAUCCACUCUCCCACACGUUUUCCUAUGAAUACUACUGCAUAUGUAUAUGGAAUGAACUGCACGAGAAUAAGGACACAAAAAAUAUAUUGGUACGCGCACACAGUGUCAAUAGAGGCAGAAAAAUAUAGAAGAAAAGAACGUGAUUUUAUUAUUUGACUUCCGGAAAUUAAAUCAAGGUAGGAUUACGAGGUGCAAGUGGGUUGUCCCAUUUAAAUUAUUUUCUUCAUGUUUGAUAAAUAUUAUACUUAUGAAAGUUAUGAUAUGUAUAAUGUAAUUAUGAUAUAUAUGUUAUGGCCAUCCGGUACCAAAGAUAUAAUAUGAUAUGAGCUCUUAUCGGUUUUAAAGAUAUGAUAUGACGGUAUGAUAUUUUGACGCGUGAUUUAAUAUUUUAAUUGGGAUUGCACAAUUUCUCGUACCCUACUGAGUAUUCUCAUAUACUCACCAUUUUCCUAUUCCUCACAGGUUAGAUUGGGUCGUGUUGGAGCGUGGUGGUUCGAAGGUGUGGUUGUGUCUUGUUUCGCCAAAUAAAAAUCUAAGUUAGCACGUAAUGUUUAUUUAUUUUCAAUUUAUUUCAAUAAACAUUUAUUUAUUUACGAAUAAAUUCUCGUUCUUGUUAGUUGCAGAUGAAUAUACGUAUUUUAUGAUUUUCAAAUAGAAGUUUGAACUAAAUGUUAUUUUCCUUCCUAUCGAUUUGCAAAUCUGUACUUUCGUAUACGUUGGGAAGAAAGAAUUUAAUAGUUUGCAUGCCUAUGUUUGUACUUUACUUUGAUUUUCCCCAAAUUGAUGGAAAUUUAAGGUCAACACAAUGAUUCCCUGCCACCCCCACCCCCUCAUUUGUGUCCCAUCACAUCCAUAGCAUUAAUUAUGAUAUGAAUUUGAUAGUUUUUGCUUGUACGUGUUAGUCAUGAAUCAAUGUCUUGUUCGUAGCAUUUUUUUUGACAUAAAUGAAUUUUGUUUUGGAUUUUUUUUCUUUAAUUGCAGUAAAUAAACAUUCUGUGGGUUAUUUAAUUCCAUCCGUUGCCUUUGACUUAAUUAAGUAACUAAUUGAAAUUAUGCACUAAUUAGGGGGAAAUAUUGUGUUAUGAACCACUGUAUUAAUUAUGCCAGGAGUUAGAAAAUUCAUGUUUGUCUGCCACACCCGUGUCAAAUUCGUUUUAAUUCAUAAGUCUUAGAUAUAAAUUUAUUGGAUCUCCCGAAAUACAUAGGAAUAAGAUGUUAUUUUAAUUUGACUUGAGUGUUCAACACGUGAAGAUGAUCGAUAAUUGGAGAUUCAAUGAAAGCAAUAUUUUUUUAGAAUUCAUUAUACAUGAUUAAAUACAUAUAUAUCUAAUAAUUUGUUUUUAAGUUCUUCCAUGCGUUUUAUUUAUUUUAUAGGUGGAACUAGAAAGAUUUUCAUGUUGGAUGUUUAUUAUUUUAAUUAUUUAUGGAAUGAAAGGUUUGGUAACGAUUUCUAAAUCUAUAUAAGAUUUGGGUCGUUACAGUUUUAACCAGGUAAUAACAUGAAAAAUCCUUGGGGACGUUCACUGUUUGACCACUCUCCAAUUGAUUCUAGGUAUGAAUUGAAUGUUAUUCUUUUAUCAUAAUUACGAGUCAUCUUGCUUCAUGUUAUGAAAUGUAUAAGCAUGUUUACCUCUCGUAGUUUAUUAGUUGAACUAUUUUACAUUUUAUAUGAAUAUUGUUUAUGUUGGGAAUCUACUUAUACAUGCACAGUGGAAAAUUAAAAUUAUUUUGAUUCCCACCGAGAAUCCCUUUGUGUUUAGAUAGAAAUCGUGAUAAGAUUGUACCUUUUCAAAUCUGAAAAUUUCUUUACUAUUAUUUUCGUUCCAACAAUCUUGAUUCGCCACCUACAGCUGUCCAAUUGUCCAGCCUCCAACGGUGAUCCACACAAAGAAUAAGAUUGCAGCUAAUAGGGUUUUCUCUCUUGUGCCAGCAAGAAUAAUGAAAAUCAUAUAGACCUCAAACCCUAACCAUGUAUUUAUAUACACCCAAAUGGGCUCGGCCCGAUCCGGUCCAAUAUUUAAUUAAUCCAUUUAAUUAAACCCGAUCUGUGAAUUAAUUAAUCCAAUUUAUUAAUUUAUACAAUGAUGUUAAAUUAACUAAUUGACAAUUUUCAAUCUUCCAAUUCUUUUUUGUGUGUGACCCAUUAGGUUCCCGACCACGAUGUCUAACGACGUGAAAUAUUAUUUUGAUCUAAUCAAAAUUGAUAAAUUAAAACACUCUUUUAAUUUAUCGUCAAUUCACACUCGCCGUCCCUGAUUGACAUCUAGCAAUGUGUCAGGGCAAUACAUGUGACGAAAAAUGUCACGUGGUAUGACAAAAUCAAAUUCGUUCGUUUACCGUGAAACUAUAAUCCCUUCGUCAAUAUGAUCCGAUCAAUUACGAGAUAUGGAAGUGUGUCAAUCUCGAUCAUCGAUCAUAUCUUUCACUCCACUAUUAAGUCAAUAUAAGUCGAAAACUCAUUUUCGACUUAUGAAUACACCUUGGCCAAGGAUUUCAUCAUCGACUUAAUUGAAUGAAACACAGAUCAUAAUCUCCUACAAUCUAAGAGUGACAAAUCCUUUAUUGAUUAAUCACAACCUUCAUACGAUUCUUGACGUACCCGAACGAUAUCGUAUUAGCGGCCUUUUUCAGAGCAACAUCCAACACUGUCAAAGUAUGACUAUCCUCAUGUAAGGUACCAUGACGACAUCAAGUCAAAGGACCAAUUCCAUUACCGAACGUUAGAGAUUAACCACUGACACUUAGAUAGUUAUCCAUGUGGAAUCUCUUGGCGGGUCUCCAAAGUUUUGUUCUAUAACAAAACAUCCACGUGUUCAUUUAAGUGUCACCACACUUUAGCUUGCGAGAUCAGCUACUUACUUUACAAGUAAGAAAUGUCACACGUAAUGAUCUAUCCAUAAUAACGAUAUCCGUAUCUCGUUAUUACUUACGACCACGGAUGAUUUAAGAUUCAAUCAGAUGUAAUUUAUAUCUCACAAUCACAACUCCUUGAUUAACAAAUUACGAAUAUUUGAAUCUACGGACUCUAUUAUUUAUUUAAUUGCCUAUUAAUUAAAUAAUAGAUCUGUCAUUAAAUUGCAUUAAUUAUAUAUCAAAAGUAUUUAUGUCCAAAGUUGAUUGGACUUAGGGCAUAAUACUUACAGUUUAUUCGAGCAUAGAAUGAAAUAAAUUGUCAUUGAAAAAUUAAGCAUAAUUAAAUUUAUACAUUUCACACAUGGUUAAGACUAGACAAAUAUAGUUGAACGAAUAGAAUGGCUAGAAAGAAUAUGAUUUACACAAGUACCUUAGGACCUAUGAUUGUAGCUAUUUGAGAGUAUGAGUACUUUGUGUCAAAUAUGGCCAUGACAAGUUAAAUGCAAAAUUUAAUACAAGGAAUUGAGAAUGGACCAAGAAAAAUCGGAAGGAAUAUUUAAUUAUUUUCAUUCAACCGAUGUAGUAGAGGUUUGCAAUUCAUUGAGUUUCAUUCAAUCAAUGUAGAAGAGAGAUUGUUGUGUUUAAUAUUUCUAAGACAAAAUUUUGUUUUGUAUAAAGAAAAUUUCGAAACAACAAAAUCAAGUUACAAUCAUCAGUGAUCUGUUAAGAGUUGUAUAGGAUCUUGAUAGACAAUAAGCACAGACUGACCUUCAAAUUGCAUCGAUCAAUGCUAACAACACAACUCAAUUGUUGAACAGUUCCACCGUUAUGAGCCCUCAGUUUCCGAUGGCAAAGUAGACUCACUGGCAACUGAAGAAUGGAUAAUCUUCAACAUCUCUCAUCCAAUGAUGCUCUGAAAGUAUCAUGUAAAGUGUUCACGUUGGUUGAUGUAGUGGGCUAUUGGUUGGAAUUUGGCUCAAGCACUAGAACUAAGGCAUGCAACAAGUUUUGACUAGGAUACAAUUCAAAGAAGUGAUAGAAAAAUACUUUCUACAAGCCCUAAAAGAUCAAAAGGAGGUAGAGUUUCUAAAACUUAACAAGGAAAAGUGAAGCUUGAGGAAUAUGAGAGAAAGUUCGAAUAGCUCUCUAGGCACGCACUGCACCUGGUAGAUACCAAGGCAAAAAGCGAGGAUGUUCGAACUAGGAUUGCAUCCAAAGAUUGGUAGAAUAAUGACCUCCCACCAAUUAACCACAUACAAUUAGGUUUUGCAAACUGCUCAAGCAAUCUCAAAUAAAUUAGAGAUUGACCAAACUUUUCAACAAGAGUUUUGAAGAAAGUGAAAAUGAAAUGGGUCCAACAAAGAGAAAAGGGAUGGACAAAACAAGAAAUUCAACAUAGUAUGGAGUUCAUAACAAGUUGUUACACUCUGUCCUAGUGCAAUAAGAUGCAUAGGAGUGAGUGUAUAUGGGAGUAAUAUGUGUUACCGAUGCGACGAAGCAGGCCAUGUUGCUAAAAACUGUAAAGAAGCCCCCUCGAAGAGAAAUGAUGAGCAAGGCAAGAAAGCGAAAGCUAGAGUUUUUGCCUUAACUCAAGACAAGGCAAUGGAGGAUUUGAACAUGAUGGCAGACAUUUUUUUUAUACGUGGAAUUCCUGCUUAUGUUCUUUUAGGCUAUGGAGCCACUCUUCCAUUCACUUUUGCUGCCUUUAUUAAUAAGUCACUUAUUACAUGUGAAGAAUUCGAUAGUGUUCUAAAAGUUACUAUCUCAUUGGACAAACCUUUGAAUACCAAUAAGAAAACUAAAGCGAUUAAAGGACUGGGUGUUCAAAGUCGUUUAUCUUAUGAGAAGGCUCUAACAGCUAUUUUUGCAAGGAAGAUACACAAAUCGAGAAAUAAAGAAAUUGUAUUAGUUAAGGUCCAAUGGUAGAAUUCUGGAAUAAAAUAGUCUACUUAGGAGAGAGAAGAUAUCAAGGUCAAGUACAUGGAAACCUUCAACUAGUUAAUGUAAUUUCUAGGACGAAUUCAUUUGAAGAAUGAGAGAUUGUAAUGCUCCAAAAUUUUAUAAAAUGAAAUUAUUUGGUGCUAAUGAUUUUGAUCUAGAUUCCCUUUUUAUAAUUUUGGGAAAUUGAACGAUUAAAGUGAAAUAGUAUUAAAUUCAAUUUUAUUUGGGGCAAAUAAUUAAAUAUUGAUGGCGAAGAUAAGUAUAUCAAUACUUGGCUUGUCUUGUAGUUCGUAUUAAAAAACGCGUCGUGGACUCGAGAAGAGUUAAUUCGGAUAAGUUAAGCCCUAGUUAUUGAAGUUUAAAGAAAUUAUCAUCAGCUAAUAAUUAAUUAAGUUGGUUUAUGAUUUAAUUUUUAUCGCAGUCUCGGUUCAAUUGUAGAAUAAAUUGUAUUACUAAUUUGAUAAAUGUUAUUUAAUUAAGUUUAGUUAAUGACUUAUCAAGUUGGAAGCCACGUGUGAGUAGAUUAUUAGAGUAUUUUUUUUUUCCUUUUUUAGAUUGGGAGGAAAACUAAUUCUAAUCCUAAUUUUAUUAGAUUUUCAUUGAUUACUGGUUUAGUUCAAUUAAAAAACUGGAAUCCUACUUUCAAAAAAAAAUCUCAAAUUUUACCUAUUUAUACCCCCCAACAUUGAACCCAAUUUGCAUUACUUAGAUAUUAUUUUCAAAGCAUACAUGCACCCAUUUAUUUACAGAAGCAGAGAGUUUGAGAAAAAGUUUUGGAAUGUGCAAUCAUAUAUUUUUUUUUUCAAAAAUUCGUUUGAUCUAUCCAGGUAAGAUACAUAACAUGUAAGUGGUUUGAUUCCUUAUAACUUUAUUUGUGUAUAUAUAUAUAUAUAUAUAUAUAUAUAUAUAUUAUUAGUGGACCUUCGAAUUCGACCUAAAAAUGCCUUUUUAGUUCUUUAUAACGAAAUGUGAAAUCUUUCCAGAAUUCAAAAUUACUAUGUGAUGAGUGUCACGUUUGAUCACCGAGUUACGUUAAAUGAAAUUUGGUAUGAAGUGUCUAUUUUAUUGUUAUAUAAUUGUUUAUAAAAACUGCAUCUUAUUGGGUAUUGUCAAAUACUCAUGUAACAACCCGGUCUUUAUGCCAAAUCCGUUAACUUAUGUACUGUACAAUUUGUGAGAGCUUGAAUUUAUCUUACCUCUUACGAAUUUCUGUCGAGUCCCCAAAAUUCAAACAUAUGACAAUCACCUUAUGAGAGAUUUUAAUUUGAAUUAUAGUACCAAUUGAGCAAGUUGUUUAAUAAGUACCUGGAUUCAACUUAAAUUUCUCAUAAGGUGGAGGUAUUGGGUUCAAAAUUUGACGAUAGAAAGUCAAGAGGGAUAAGAUGGAUUUAGCUCUCCCAAAGCGAACAGUAUGUAAGUUAAUGAUUUAGAUACAGUGAGAGAUUGAAAAUAAGUUUGGAGGUAUGCAUUCAACAAGAAAAUGAGACAGUUGUCCAUUAAGGGUAAAAAAUAAUCAACCUAAAUGAUUAUAGUGAUUGAAUUGACUAUGAACACACACAUCGAUCGAGUAUUAAAUAAGUAUAAAUUUAUUUUGGUGGCAUUGCUUAUGAGACUUAUUUGAAUUGUCAAACAAUUUCAGUACUUAGGACGAAUACAACAUGCUAUCUAAUACUUUGACGUUUAUGUUUCAUUGCUUAUAUGCUCGCGAUGGAUAAGAGUUUAAGUUUGGGAUAUUUCAUAGGCAUAUUUUAUAAACGUCUUUAGUCUUUUAAACUCAAUUAUGGAUAAUUGAAAGGAUGUCUAUCUAAUUUAGUAAAUAUAUUAAUUUUAGGUAAAAUUUGACAUGAAUACAAUUAAUGCAAGAAAGGCAAUUUUUAACUUAAAUGGAGUUGAUUUGGAGCAAUUAAAGUAAUCGAAUUGCACGUGAUCAAUUAUAAGUAUUAAGAGGCAAUCCUAAGAAACUCAUAAGUUUUGUGAGUAAAGUUUGACAUUUGAAAAGUUUGGGAACUCUAUUGUAAACUUUCAAUACUUUUAACGGAUCAAUUAUGAAAGAGAAAUGAUGAUGAUGAUGAUGAUCAAAGUAUAAAGAUUUAAAGAUGAAGGAUCCAUGAUGAAUAAAGAAUGACUCGAGCAUUACCAAGAGGAAGAUUCAGGGAACAAUUUGAAAGAAAGGCAAACAUUGAUCUUGCAAACGCAAGAUUGAUGGAUGCGAUCGCAAGGCUGCUUAAAUUAAUUCAAACAAGUAAAAAUGAAAUAAUGUACGAUCAAAAUGGUUAAUACCAUCAAUCACAUGGAAUUAACAGACUAGGAUUUUUUUUUUUUUUUUCGAAUUUCAUUUAACCUCAUUUUGGAAAGCAAUUAGGAUAGAAUUUACACCUAAUUCCUGGGGCAAUAUAGACAACCUUUCAUCUGUUGUAAAAAGAAGAGGCUUUUGGGAUACAACAAACAUAUAUCUUACAAAGAAGAAGCCUUACAGAUAGAACAUAGAUAUUUCUCGCAUACUUUGAGUGAACUUUUUAUACAAAACACAUAUUUCAUACAUCUUCACUUGGGUUUGAAGAAGAAGAAGAAGAAGAAGAAGAAGAAGAAGAAGAAGAAGAAGAAGAAGAAGAAGAAGAAGAAUAUAUUCAAGGAGAUUGAUCAAGAACCAUUGAAAGGAUUCAAAAUUGUUUUCCAUCUUUCUUCUACCUUUAAUUUCGGGAAAUGAUGUAAUGAUUCAAUUCAUAUUUUUGUAUUACUAUGAUGCUCAGUUAAAUGUAUAGAUGAUAUGAUAAUGAUAAACCCUAUAUUUUGAUACAUUUAUAUUGAAAUCGAAAAUCCAUGAUUUGAAUUGAUGUCAUUUCAUUGAUUCCUUCUAAAUUGCGUUGGAUUUCACUUGACUGUCUAUGGUUCCAUUGUUUGUGCUCGAGGUAAAAGUUUUGUAUAAAUAUAUCACCAUGCUAUUAAGUAUUUUGAUUUAAGAUCUUUUAUUUCUAAGAGGUGGAAUAGAAUAACCCGGUGACCGAGAGAUAACUAUCGAGUAUUUGGACUAUCCGGACACAAACUUCGGGAAAUGGUUCAUGCGUGUUAAGUUUCAAAUAUUGACAUUUAAAUGUUUGUAUGGUUUUGAACGCUUCUUAUUGUCUUCAUGCUUUUUCAAUUACAAGGCCAUGAAUUGAAUUAAUAUAAUUUCUAUUGUCAUUUGAAAGAAGGAAAAUACAGCACAUGGUAACAAUCAUUGUAAAGUCCUAUAGACUUUUCCUAUGCUUUGUAUGAUCUCAUUGAUGUUCUUGUAAUUGAUUGUAUGAUCUCAUUGAAUAUUUUUUUGAUUGAAUGUAUCUUCAUAUAUUCGCGUCCAAGAUAUGAAUAUUUCAUGUCAUGUAUGAGAUAGAUUUAAUUUUUAUCAGGAGAGGUUAUUGAAUAAAAUAUGAGCACUGAUAUACGAGUCCAAAUAAAUGUUAACCAAUUAUGAGAUUGAUAUUAAGAUGGAAGGAUAUACGAGGAUUUGAUGUCCCGGUGACUUAUUGUUUAAUUGAGCCCCCGGUGGCACAGUAUGCCUUCGAUAUUAAGAUGGAAGGAUAUACGAGGAUUCGAUGUCCCGGUGGCUUAUUGUUAAUUGAGUUUAUACGCGCUUCCCAUUUAGUUAAUUAGAUCAAUUAGUUAAUUUUAGGUAUGAUCGGUAAAUAUAAUCAAUCUCAUCUUAAUUGUGAUAUUCGAUUAAAGUUCUCAUUAAUUGGAAUUUAAUUAAAUACUUAGUACUCGUGGAAUUAAUAUGUGAACCAAGAUCGACUUUAAUGUUUGUUUAUGACAUUGUUCAUAGUGGUAUUUUAGCACAGCAAACACAAUUAUUAGUUUAAUCUUUUGGAGAUAAAACAUCUUAAAAUAUAAGGCUAAUUUAGGGAGCCUUUAAAACAUUUCCUCUCCCUCUCUCUCACACACACGCAUAGGUGACUAUAUGCAAAUCUACAUGGGCUGUACUUGCUGUACAUGCAGUUCGAGCUAGACUGUACAAGCAGCUCAACCCAAUCUAUAAAUACAUUUUUUGCUCACUCUAACAAAAAUUGAUAGGCACCAAGAUUAUUAGACUAAGAAAAAUGAUUAGGAUGGUUGAUAGUACGAUGAUUAAGUCAACUAUUAGUAAAAGCUAUAUGGAGAAUUGUGUGUGGGAGAAAUAAAUAGGGAGAGAUUUGGCUAGAAUUCAAAGAAUGUGUAACUUUUUCUUUACACGUCCAUGAAUAUUUAUAGGGACAGAGUUAUAAUGGAAUUAGGUUAAAAUAUUGCAACCCCUAAUUCUACAUGGUGUGUUGUGAUUGAGCAUAGAGUUUUGAAUGAAGUAUGGUAUGUUUCCUUUGUCGGGUUUACUUCCUUGUAAGGCUAAGUUUCCUUAUAGAGAUUGAUUUUCCAUGAUCUUUUCUAAUUCCUCGGCAUCCUCUCCUUAUUUUAACAGAUUGACAAGGCUAUAAAUUUUAGAAUCGAUAAAAUUGUCUCAUUCCAAGAUUUAUCCCAAUAUUGAUUUUAUCUCCAUGUUUCAUGGAUCCUUUGACAUCAACAAGGUAUGGGUCUCAUCCAAAGGCAAUAGGUCACUAGGCCCAUUAGAGCCACAUCCUCCCAUCUCGACACGAGGGGUUCAAUUCGAAGACUAUCACCACUAUCCAUUACUAUGAAUAUUGUAAGAGCUGAUGGGAUAUUUCAUACGAGGCUUGUGACUUGAUUCUUUUGUGCAGGCGAAGACCAUAGGAAAACAUGUAGCAUGUUGGCUCUUGCUCAUGUGGUGUUCGUAAGUCCUCUUGACUUCCAAGUGUACCCAGGAUGUAACAGUGGUCUCUCAAGUUCAAUUUUGUUAUUUAUACUAGGCUUGUGGCUUAUUAGUUUGCUUGUGUUACGAAAAUUUGAAAGUGAAAGGCUUGUGAUGCAGUUGGGCCUCGUUGCUCUUUGGCUAAGAUUGAAUUUAUGCCCAAAAGAAUUUCACUGGCCUUUGCUUACCAUGAUGGUGGUGUGGCGAAGAUGUCUUGACAAAUGCCUCUUGGCCAAGCUAUAACAUCGAAGUAUAACAACUUCGUUUUGAAUACCGUUGUAGAUUUUCCUAUUCCGAUAUAUAAUGUUCAUUUUGAUAUUUAAACCUCUUGUUAUAGUAAAUUCAUUAUUGUCGUUAUAGUGAAAGAUUUACGCAAUUGUCAAACUCUAUUUCUCGCACAUUUUAUUUAUUUCUAAAUUUACUAUGACAUAUUGAGAUUAAUGACUUUUUUACAAAGAUCGGUAGUCUAAUCUUAAUGACACAAAAGAUAGAAAAGAAAUUUCCUUUUUCUUAAAAUCCACCAAUCCAAUAUAACUAGAUCAACCCUUCAAGUUCGCAUUAUUUGAAAAUAGUGCCACAAAGUUACUUUUUUCAAUUGUACUCGAGGAAAAUAAAAAAUAAUAAAAUAAUGAUAUUUAUUUAUUCAUUUGACUCUUUAAUUGCAUAUGCAAAAUUAAUUAAAGUUAAUCUUGUUUCCCAAGCUUUUGGUAAUUCAUUCUUUCUUCACAAUUGUCAUUGUCUUAGAAUAAUCUUUCCCUACGAACCGUCAAACCAAGCACGUAUUCCCUGAUCUCACGGAUUUCUUCGGGUAACACUUUACAGCCUCAUAUUUAGACUUUUCGUCGGCUAUAUAUUAUUAAUAACUACAGAUUACAUUUACAAUUUUUAAUUAUAAUUAUUAUACGUUUUUUUUCUUCAGAAGGCUGCUAAAAAAUACAUAAUAGUGGGUACAAGUAAUAUAUUGAGGUUUCAAAUGAUUUUAGGCCACCGUCAACGCAGAAUGAACUAAUUCUUAACCAGCAAUUCGAAAUUAAACUGAAUGGAAAUUUUACUUUCGAAAAAUCUUGGUGAAAAUCAAAGAGAAUUAUGUUCAUUUUUCUCUCGUCUCUUGCUCUUUUAAAAUAUUUUGUCAAGAUCGAAUGAUUAUUAUAAAUUGAAAUAUUGUAAGGUCAAUGUAUAAGAAUCUCAAUAAUAUAAACGAUCUUUUUUUUCCCUUAUCUAAUAUAAUACGAUUAUAUAUCCGUGAAAAAUUAUCCAACAAAUUUUUUAUGCGAAAAAAAUAUAAUUUUAUUAAUUGACUUGUUGAAAUGAAUUACGCAUGCAUAUAUCUAUCUUGUGCUUGAAGGAAAAGUCGCGCAUUUGCGUGUAAACUACUUAUUUUGUUAUUAAAAGUACAAUCUAACAUAAACUACGUCAGCAGAAACUUUGAGAAAAAAAAUCAGAAAUAUUUACAACAAAGGCUCCAAAUCUAUAGGAUAGCAACAUGUUGAUCCCCAACCUAGAAAUGAGCAAUAUAAUCCUCAAACUUUCAAAAUAAGUGCAAACCUAGUCCUAACAUAUAGAAAAAAUAAUAAUAAUAUUCAUCUAGAAUCCAGAUAAUCAUCUGUCAUUUUUAGAUAAUUCUAUGCAUGGGACAAUGCAGUAGUAGUUUCACUAUAAAUGAAUAUUUCUAGUCUCUUCAAGAAUACUCUUACUCAUAUGGAAAUAAUGUAUCUUAUUUAGGAUUAACAAUGCGAUAAGUCGAGCUCGUUGACCAAGGGACUACACUUCGCUUGGCCCAUGGGCCUUGCCUAUGAUGAGCCGUGCCAACCUACAAGCUUUUUGAUUUUCUUGGUUCAUUAAUCUAAUUUAUUUAACUUAAAUGUGAGUUAAAAAAAAAAGGAAACUCUAACAUAAUUAAAUAACAAUGCAAGGAAAAUAUGACACAAUCGCAAAGUUCAUGUACCCAAUGCUUUACUUGCAAACGUCGACUCGACUCAUUUACUUGUUGUAGAACAAGACUAGCAGAACAGUUGAGCAGUCGAUUUUCUUUUGGUUAUGGACUUUCCGGUUGUAGGGUGAAGGUAUGACAAGGGAAUUCCAUGCUUUUAAGAAGCUUUGUUCUAAGCCUCGGGAUGAAAUUCGAAUCUCACUCAAAUAGGGCAGGUGAAGGAAAAAGAUCUCUUAUACGACCACGCUCUAAGCUAAGUUUAUCAUUGGAUCACUCUUGAUAUACGAAUUUACUAGAGAUAUCAUCCAAUUCGAUUGAAGUAAGGAAAAUACAAAUAGAAAUAGAAAUCAAAAGAAUUAGAAUUAGUUUUGUGAAAAGUGAAUCCAAACAAUUGUGAACCACUCAUUGCCAACCUAAUCCUGUUUUUAAUUGUUCACGAUAAGACAAAAGGGGGCAGUUAUCAUGCCUCGAUAUGCACCUAUUCAAAAAGGUUGAGGACUAUAGUCCCACUACCGCUAUUUAUACGGAUCCAUUUAUGCAAUUUUCUUGAAAAAAUCAGAAAAUUUGUGAAGUGUCAUCAGUAGCGGCAGGUUUGCCAACAAUAAAUCCUGUCUACCAUUUCUUCUCUCCUCUCUAUAAAUAUAACACCCUACAUAUCUGCUUUCCUUUGUCCAUUAGAAUAUACAGAAACUAAACUCAAUGGAAAUGGAAGUGAUUAUCUCUGUAAACAAAAUGGAUUUUGACUUUAACAGUCCACAUGUCAGUGCACCUUCGACGCCCAAGCGUUUUGGGGAAUUCUAUUGCAGCGCUCCGACAAGUCCGACGCAUUUGGCGCAGUUUUAUCGUGAUUUUGAUGAUUUCUCGAACAGAGCCAGCGGAGUCACAUCGAGGGUGCCGUUUGGUUCCCCUAAGAAUGAAGGUGAUUUUGCUUUUGAUAUUGGUGAGGAGUCAUCGGAAAAGGAGUCUCUUUCGGCGGAGGAACUGUUUGACGGCGGCGUAAUUAAGCACCUAAAGACCCCAUCGCGGCUGCAAGCUUCCACCGGAGCAAGAAUUAAGGGUGAUUACUCACCAAGGCAUAAGAAAGAGGACGACCCUUUUGCAAUCUCUUCUCAAAGCGCCACGGCGGAGCACAGUCACAGAAGAGGAAGAGAGAGAGCUCCUGCAGCAGGUUUAUCUUCAUCAAGCCGAAGAGCAACGCGUUCACUUUCUCCUGCGAGAGAUUCUGAUCAAAAUUCACGGGAUCAAGAAGAGAAAAAACAGCACAAUACAAAGAUUUUGUGCUCAUCUUCAUCCUCAAAAUGUCACAGAAAAUGGAGAUUGAAGGACUUUUUCUUGUUCCGAAGUGCAUCUGAAGGACGAGCAGCAGAUAAAGAUCCUUUAAGGAAAUACACAGCAGGGUUCAGAAAAUCAUAUGAAGAUGCUAAGAAUCCGAAUUUCCGGAGAAUGGAUAGCCAGGAUUCUGGAUCAAAUUCAAGUAGAAGAGGAAAAGUUUCAGCUCAUGAAUUGCAUUACACAACAAAUCGUGCAGUUUCUGAAGAUUUGAAGAAGAAAACCUUCUUGCCAUACAAGCAAGGCAUUCUGGGGCGCCUUUCAUUUAAUCCUGCCGCCCAUGCACUGGCUAAUGGUUUCGGGUUUUCUCGUAAAUGAAUAUUCGUCCGGUACAGUUGAGGACGGCAUUGUGAGAAGGAAUAAUUCUCUGCUAAUUAUAAUCUUUUUUUAUUUUUUUUUAAUGUUUUGGAUAGGUAUUUUUUUUCAGAUUUUGGUCAUGAGAUGUAUAAAAAUAAAAUUUACACAUUGAAGCAUCAUAUCUUAUUGUGGAAUUAUUUAUCAAUGUACUAAAUUUUAUUGAUCCUAAAAAAUUUAGGGUCUACUAGAUAAAAUCUUGUUUCAUUACUUCUUUUAGCUAAUUGCUAUGUAGCUGUUCAAAAACAACUAUUCAACGGAAUAUAUUCUACGUUAUGGAUGAUUUCUAUUCUUUGUUUGAUGAAAGACGGAAAAAGACAUCGAUCAUAGAAGGUGACAAUUCAAAAGUUUGAGACAAGCAAUUCGAGACGACUCUUCUUUCUGAACAACGUCUGAGUUAUGGGGAUAUUUAUUGAUAUUUUAAUAUUUAAAACCUUUAAGAAACGUAUUACGAAUUCCGGAAAAUAAACCCAUGGACAAAAAUGAAGAGAGAGAGAGAGAGAGACUAGCGUGCAUUGUGGACUAUCAAUUUCUUUAAUCUAGAAGACAAUUUUUAGGGCGGUCCAUUUGUCGCAUUUUACUCUUUGGUGAAAUCAGAAAUGAAAUGGAAUAUAAACAACAAUUCAUGCAUGAUAUAAAGUUCGACAUUUUUCUAUGUGGCAGUAAGAUAUACCUUGAUUUUAAACAUAUCCAUCCCAUUGCUAGCCAAAUUUUCUCCAUUGACAGGAUAUCAUGUAGGAAAAUUUGUUACCUUUUUAAUCACAAGAUCUUUCGUGUUGAAUAAUCAAGAAUAUAUAAACUACUAUAAAACCUGAAUUAGAAAUGAUUAAUACAAUAGUUGAAUCUUGCGGUUUAUUCUUCCAAAUCAACACACAGACCUUAAUUCUUUAUAAUGAUGGGAGGCAGAACAGAAUGAGCAAUUCACAUGUGAUUUGAAAACCAUAACUGUAUUUAUAUAUAUUGUCGCCAUUUGACCUAAUUCGACCUAUCAUAGAAUUAGGAACCUGACUCAGUUUUUACCCAUAAAAUAUCCACCCUUUAAUUGGAUGUAUUAAAAUUCAAAAUACUGGAAACUUAUUAGAUCACUUUAACUAGGCUUAACCAAAUUUUAUAGCCUUUAAUUUGAUGCACAAUAAUUUACAUAUAUAAACCCACACGGUCAUUUAAAAUUCCUUACAUAUCAAACUUGUUUUCAACCAAAAAUAUACAUCUAAUUUUAUUUUAUAAAUACGAAAAGAACUAGAGAAUUGAAAUGAAACAUAAGCUAUUGUUUGACAAACAUUAUUUAAAAACUUCUUUUUUUUUUUGUACAUAUUCAUUUUUAAUUACACAUUUACAUUAUAAAAUAUUAUGCAUGUAAACUCAAUAUUUUUUCAUACUUUCUAACUGCACAUUCUCCUAAAAAUUAUUUUUUUCCAAAUGAUGAUUGUCAAAUAGAAGACUAAUUAAAUUGUUCCUUGUACAUGACCAAAAUGGAAUUAUAACUUGCUUUUUGUAUAAAUAAACCAUCAACUUUAUUUUUGAAUUGGAAAUGUUAAAUACCUAUGUUGAUGUAAUUUCCACUUCUUUACUCUUCUUUUUUUCUUUCUUUCUUUUCCCCUUUUUCAAAAAAAUAAUUUGGUUGCCCAAUUCUUUGUGCAGAACUGUUUCUCCUACUUAUAAAUUUGAUACACUUAUUUAUUAAAUAAUCGUGACAUUUAAUUUAAGUAAAUUCAACGCUCAAUAUUUUAUGGAUCUCAAACAGUUAUAACAAACUCUCCCAUGAUUUUAGUGAAAUACAUAUUAAGUGUUGGAUUGAUUUAUAUUAAAGGUCAUGAUUAUUUGUUAAAUAAGUGUGUCAAAUUUAUGACUAUUAGGAAUUUGGAAUGUUCUCGUUCUUUGUGCUCUCUUUGUCCGUGUAAUUUGCAACCCAUGUAUCAUAAAUAAUUCUCAUAUACGAAUCAUAAUUGAUUGCCUAUUUGCGUUAUAUGUCCCCUAAUUACUAGCAUUCGUUUUCUUUCUUAAUUUAUAUAAAGAUUCAUUUCCCUAAUAAAUCAAUAAAAAAAAUGAAAUCUUUUACAUUAUUGCAUCAUUUCAUCGCUAAACAGUAGUUCCUUUUCCUUUUCCUAAUAGGACUUUUCUAUUUCACAUAUUUGGGUCGAAUCCAACAAUUUCCAGUUGAUCCAAAACCUCCCAAUCACAGCAUACAUUGACAUUGAUUAUACCACCAAUUUACCACUGUUCUUCAAAUAAUUGUAGUAGACGAGAAAAUUCAUCAAACUGUUAUAAAUUAGAGAAAAAAGAGAAAAAAAAGUAGAAGUUAAUUGACUUGUGUAUUUUAUUAAGAACCAAAAUCACAUAUAUCUAGAGAGAAUAAUUAGGAACACAAUGGUAAUAAAAACUAGGGCUACAAGGGUCUAAUUUUCAUCCACUAAUAAUCAUAUUAUUUAUAACACCCCCUUUCAUUGUUACAUUACAAAAUAUUUGCAUCGUCAAAACAUUGUCAAAAAAAUCUAGUGGGACAAAAUUUGAUCGAAGGAAAAAGAGUACAAUUACUCCCAUUGAUUUCAAUUCUUGUAUCAAUUCAUUAUUGUCUUAUAAAUCAGUAUUUUUAAAAUUGCAAAUUUUGGUUAAAUAUAUCUCAUGUUGUCUUGUAGGUAUUCAAACAAUAUCGUCUACGUACAAGAUAUUUAUAAAAAUUUUGUGACCAUAGUAACAUGAUGAUUGAAAAAUAGAUUUUGUUGAUCUUUUUGCGAGUUUCAUACAUAUAAAAGCAUUAUUUUGAGGGUAAAUGUCUUUAUACGUAAUUGGAUAUUCAUUAAAUAAAAAAUAUGCCUCAUUAAAACCUUAUUCGAAAAAAUCUGUAGAAAAAUCCUAAUUAAGGAAAAGAGUACAUUAUUCUUUUGAAUAGGGAUAAAAGUUGUCUCAUUAAAAAUCUUAUGAGGAAAAUCCAAUGGGACAAAACUUUAUUAAAGGGAAAAAGAGUAUAGCGUGUAUUUACUCCUCCCUCAUAAUAAUAUCUCUUAAAUUAUGUAUCAGGCACAUUAAAUCUGUCAGUGAUAAUAUUAAUAGUCAUGCCAUAUGAAUUGAUUGUAACCGUAUUUCAAGUUUCACGCAUUGUUAUGAUAACAAGAUACAAACAAUGAUUUCAUCCACCACGAAAUUCAGUAUGUUAAGAGUCGUUCAUUCAUAUUGCGACAUUAUUUUUCUAAUUUCUUUUUCACACAAGUGUACACAUUUUGAUUUUUGGGCUGCAAGUCCAGAAACUCCAAAUUUCCUAAUAAAUUCGAAUUUAAUAAGAUUGUGUCCUUUUAUUUGGCCAAUUAUAUUUUCGAUCGAUAUGCGUCAACGAAUUUAUUUCGAUAUCCUCGAAUUCAUAAAUAAGUUGAAAUAUCUCUCGAUUGAGUUUUAACUAUUGGUAAGGCGUAGAGAUAUCAACGAGCCGAGCCAGCUUGUGAAUCGAAACUCCUGACUCGGACUCGGCUUGGCUUUUUUAAGACGGACUUUUUUCGGCCCUAGCCGAGCAAAAGCUUGGUCAAAAAAUUAAGGCUCGACAUGCGCUUUCAGCUCAGGCCUUAUCGAGCGAGCUUGAUUUUUCUUUUUUCUUUUUUUUCCUCUCUCCCUCUUAGCUGCCUAUUUGGCAGCUAUUUGCUACCUCAAUUGACAAUAAAUUGAGUUUCUUUCUCUUUUUUUAAUAACGGACCGAAUCGACUAGAGCCGACUCUCUGAAAUAGGGCUCGGUUUGGGCCUUAGCUCGAUGCCUCCGAGCCAUGGGUGACCCAAGGCUCGAUGCCUUCGAGCUACGGGAGACCCUAGCCGAUGAGCUUGAUUGUCAUUCUUAAUAAGACGGUCAUAUUUCUUUUAACUAAACUAGAACUUGAUUUAGUGGCUCUAUCCAAUAGGUGUGCAACAAUUUUUUCUCUUCGAUUCUUUUUUUCGUAGUGACAUAAAUUAUUGAAAUAUCUCAAUUUUCAACAUAUCAAGAACCUGAAGGUCUUCUGGAGUUUUAUGAUUUGUUAUGUCUAAAUAUUCGUCAAGAGAAUGGAGCCAUCUUUGUUAAUUUCUCCAUUUUUGUUUGAAAAUUUUUAUAUUAGAAUCAAAUAUCAUAACAUUUCAAGCAUGCCAUAAAUUCAAAUAUAAUAUUACCAAGACAUUAAUUCGAGUUAGAGCAUUCAAAGUUCGUAUAUGAGAUAUUGUUGAUCUCUUUGGUCAGUAAAUGCAUUUAAAUAUCUUUCGAACUUUUGAUUCCAAUUAUUUUUGUGAGAAUUUAAAUAAUGAUGCAUUUGUACAUUAUUUUAGUUUCUUAAUUCUUCUUCCUCAUACUGAGAAAAUUGUCUAUUCAAAUUGAUAAUUGCAAACCAUAUUAUAAAAUAUCAUCAGUCUGAAAUAAAAAGUUCGAACAACUCAUUUAUUCUCUAAAUUAUUUACUUUCCAUGUCAAUGCAUUGUGGUGGAUCAAUUUUACAUAUACUACAUUAUCAAAAUUAUUUGAUGAAAAAAUUAGGCUCGGACCAUAUGCCUAGUUAUAGUAGGGAUAACUAUGAUGAUAUGACACGUAAUAGCCUUUCCUAAAUAGAAAUGGAAAGUACUUCGUUUUCAAUUAAAUUAAUUGGAGGUGUAUAACAAUCAAUAAUGUUGAAUCAUUUAUCAACAUUUCAUCUAGUACAUAUUAAAAUGUUGAGAUUUACAAUUACUAGAUUAAGAGGUUACACCGUCUUAACUGUAUAAUCUGAAAAUUCUACUCAUAAUUUAAAAUUUGAGAAGUAAUUUCGCAAACUAUAAGUUAUAAACAUCAUGCAACCAUCGAGCAUACAUGUUAAAUCUAUUAGAUACAAAUAAUAUUUAGAUGGUCUACGUCGAGGAUAAUGAAGCCCCAUUUAUCACCCUGAUUAAUUUUCAGAAAUAUAAUGAAUUCGAUCCCUAUUUUUAACUAGCGAUGAUCAAUUUUCGAUAAAAAAAACAAAUAACGUAUAGGAAUUUAUUGGAUUGAAGAUUCAGGUUCUUUGUUGAAUGUCCAUUUAAAUUUUUUAUUUCAUAUCAUUAUUGAUCCAAUAUGAUCCAACUGGUCAUGCCGAACAAUAAUACAUUCAUUAAUUAAAAUUUUGAGUUAAUAUAUUAUUCGUUCUAAUUAUACUACACAUUUUAGAAACUUAUCACAUUUCACUUUAAUUUAGAGGGGAAUAAAUUAUUAUCAAUAGUAAAAUUUAUUCUCUCACAUAACGCAAUACUAACCCUUCUAUAGUAUCAAAACAUAUUCUUCUAAAAUAUUGCUAUAUACUUGGUUAUGAUUACUCGCAAGUAAUAAAACAAUAUUUUUCAGGAAUAUUGAUAUAUUAAAUUAAUCAUAAUAUUUUUCUAAAAAUAUUAAUAUGCAUAUAUUUGUGCUUCUUCACAAACACAAUAUGGUAUUCUUCAAAAGAAUAUUAAUAUAUAUUAUUUUUGCUUCUUCUGAAGCAAUAUAUCAAUAUUUUUCUGAAAUAUUGAAAUUUUAAUGACAUGGUCUUCAGGAGCAAAUAAUUCUAUCUAGAACAUUCACAUAAGGUAUGUGUUAUGAUUUUCCUAGAAUAUCAACACCAUAUUUCUUUAGUAUAAAUGUAAUUUCUAGUUGUGCUUCUUCAAGAGCACAAGAUAAAUCAAAAUAUUUAAUUAAUCUAAUAAUUCACAAGUAUAAUAUAUAGCAGUAUAGAAAGACUUUUAAAUAAUUUUCAUCCUUGAAUUUGAAAACUUUAGAAAGCGUUAAAUAGUUGAAAAUUUUAUAUUCUUCAAAGAUAUAAAUUUGAAUUUUUUUAUAAAACUUAAAAUUUGCUACUGUCCCACAAAUAAGCCGUUAGAUUUUGAUAAGAAUAGAUUGAUUUAAAAUACAAUGAGCUAUAAACAUCUUGUCCAAAUUUCAUUACGAUCAAACCACGAAUGUUGAGUUAUCAACGUUUUUAUCACAGUUGCUCAGACUGUCCAAAUUCUACAAAUUUUUGCACUGUUGAUUCCAAUAUAAUAAUACAAUCAUUCAAUAUUAUAUAGAAUCACUAUAGGGUCAAUGAACUUUGAGUUUGUGACAUUAUUUGACUCAAUCAUUUUCACUAAUGUACGUAUAGUAGAUGCGAGAAUAGAAUGUCAAAAGUUUUUCUUUUGUUUACUUCGGGUCAAAUAUAAAAAAAGUUAUGUAUAGAUAUUCUAUAUUUUUUCUUGCACAUUCUCCAUGUGAUAUUCAUUGCAUUGACUAUCUUUAAAACUAAUCAAUUUUUUAUUUUAAUUUUUUUUUAAAUUUGCUUGCAUAAAGUGUAUUAUUAAUAUAUAAUUUUGUAUUAUUAGAUAAAAUAAAACAGGUUCUUCGGACCCUUCAAUGAUAUUUGAUGCAUCUAAUAUUGUAUCAAUAUUAUUUUUUGUUAAUGUUAAUUAUAAGUACUUUUUAUUUUAAAGAAUUUUUUGCAUAGUUACACUAUCUUCUAAACAGAUAUCUUAAUAAUCCAUCUUAAUCUUUUUAACAUUCCAAGAUUUAUACUUUUUCAAAAAGAAAUAAUAGAAUAUUCUCUGAGAAUAUUCAAAAACUAAAUAUUAUGCUUUUUCGGAGCAAUAAACUAAUAUCUUCUUGAAUAUUAAUAAAAUAAAAUAAAAUAAAAUACUUUUUUUUUAAUUACAACACAAUAUUGAGUAAUUUAAUUUAUGUUUCCUAGGGAGCACAAUGAAAUAUAUAUUCUUCUAGAACCGUGCCACUUCGAUAACACAUUAUAUUUUAUUACUAUUUCUUCAAAAGUAAUAUAUCAAUAUUCUUGUGGAAUAUUGAAAACUAUAAUUUAAUGCUCUUCAGGAGCAAUAACAUAUUAUUGUUUAGAACAAUAAAUUAUGUAAGAAUUUACUCUUUAAGAUUACAAAAAUAAUUUAUGUUAGAUCUAUUUUAUUAUUCUCUUUGAGAGCAAGUAAAAUUUAAUUAGAAUACUAACGAUUGUGAACCAAUGCUACAAGUCUUUGUAUAAGCUUUUGAGAUCAAGGUUGACAAAGCUGAAGAGCAGUAGCAUUCCACUGACCUGCAUCACCAAAUAAUGCCUUUACAGGCAUGGAAACGUGUCUACUUUAGGAGCAACAAUAUGAUACGGUUUAAAUUUAUUGAAAAAAUAAAAAAAAUUAAUCAAUUUAUAGUAGAAUAAUUUUUUUUUGAACAAAAGUAUAAAAUUCACAAAUUAAAUAUAUUAGACAAUUGCAUAAAAAUAUGCUAUUAUAUUAAUCUAAUCAUGCAAAUUAUAUUAAUGUAAUCAUGCUACUAAAUUGGGAGAACAUUCAAACGGCACGGAGAUGGAUGUGUGCCUUCAUUAAUUACAUAUUAUAAUAAUCAAAUUGUUUGUUAUAAUAAGAGUUUUGCUAUAUGGACAGGGCCACAUAGGCGCAGACAACUGACCAAUAAGAGGAUGCCACAUCGCCGCCAUUUGGAUAAGGCCUACGUGGCCUUGUCCAAGAAGAAUUAUUCAUUAUAAUAAUUCUCUCAUUUUUCUCCUCUAGACAAUUUCUAGUCAGAUUUUUGUUCAAGAUUUGUCAGUGCAAAUUCAAUGAUUGCCAUUGCAAAUUGAUUACAAGGCACCCUCUUUCGCUAGCACUGAAUGGAAUCAAUUGGAAAUAUAUUCCUCUGAAGUCUAUAGAGGAAUUCAAGAAUCACUCGAGCUAAAAUUAGAGACCAAAAGCAAGUUGAGCUUUAAAUUAAAAAAAUUUGUGCUGAUAACAUGUUAUAAAAAUAGAGAAAAGAAUAGGACAAUGAAGAAGUCAAUAGAAUUGUAUAUUAUUAUUAAAAACCAAAGUCUUAUAUUUAUAUUGAAGAAUUAGGGAUAAAAUCAUAAUAAAAAUUAGGAUUGUAUGGAUUUAAUUUUCAUUUACUCAUAAUCAUAUUAUUUACAAUACAAACUUGUUUUCGUAAUUUGCUUCUUCAAUCUAUAAUCUUCAAUUUUCAUUUUUAGUGUCACAUAACUCAUAUUGGCGACUUCGCAAUCUUUUGCAAUAGCAGAAGGCUUUCCUUGAAGCGACUCUAAUGUGACAACUCCAAACUUUCUAUGAGUAGCGUAUACAAAUUACCAACCUUUUUACCUCAUUAAUGCGAUAUAAUUAAUCUUCACAUCAAUUCUCCCAAUGCAUGCUGAAUAUUUAUAUGUCAACGUGUCCAGUGCUCCCAACAGUGUCAAACUUUUUCUCAAUCUUGAGACCUAUUAAUAACCGCUCUGCUACAUCAAAAAUCUUCACACUUAAAAUACUUGAACCUUUAACUUCAAGUUUAUGAUUAUUAGUCAUGACGACAUCAUGAGCAUCUAAUAGCUUAUAAUCCUCAAAGCAGUCCUUGUGUGGGCAUAUAUGAUUACACAUCCAAAAUCCAAGAGUUACUUGAAGAGUCGUAAUUUGUGACACAAUAAUCACUAUCAAUAUCAUCAUCAACCAUGAUCGUAGAAUCAGAGGCCUCUUUAGACUCUAGACUCUUCUUUACUUUAAGAUGAUAUGUCAACUUCUCACAUUUUGCCUUAAUGUGUCCUUUCUUGUGGCGGUAUUAACACUUGGCAUUUCUCCUAUAAUGACAUUGAGAAUGAUCCCUCCGGACAUUAUUUCUUCCUCGCGAUUUACCACACCUCAUUUCAGACUUUGUCUAGAGUACUUGAUUUAAAACCUUCUUCACUAUCGAAGUAGAUUUACCAACUAGUAACGUGGUGACCAAUGUCUCAUCUGACUUAGGUAAGGAAGACAGCAAAAUUAUUAUCUUAUCUUUUUCCUCAAUUUUUGACAUCAAUAUUAAACAACUCAGUUCACACUUAUUCAAAUGAUUCCUAAGAUCAGUGUCCUCAUCUAUCUUCAAAUCAUAUAAUUAUUUUCUCAGAUAUAAACAUAAAUUAAAACAUAUCAGGAUCUUUUAGCAUUUUGAAUAACUUAAAAUGCAAAUUUCUUAUUCAAAACACUAUAAUUUACCUAAGCAAUCAUGCUACGUGGUCAAAGUUAAUGACUAAAAAGUAUUUCCAAAUUACACUUGACAAUUUUUCAUUGAAUAAAGGGUAAAAAAACAUCAUAAAAAUACUCAAUUAUUAGCUGCCACAUCAGUCUAUUUUUUUAUUCCCUAUUUGUUCAGCAUUAUUCUUACCUAAGUACAAGCCAAUCUAAUGGUGUUGACUGUCUCCAGUUUCAAUUCUUCCAACUCCGCUUCUUCAUGCCUUGUGACAUCUUACCUUACAAAUCUUUGUAAAGUCCCUAUUGCAAGAGAAUAACUUCAACUGUACUUCACAAAAUAUUUAAAUUAUUUUUCUCGCCAAAUCGUUUACCCUCAAACUUUGCACAUGCCAUCAUCUUCGAGGCAGUAUCCCGAGUUUGAAUUUUGAGCUCCGAAACCAGUAGACUUCGCAGGAUGAAAUUGGCAGAAAAUGAACAAGAACCAAUGAGAGGUUGAUUAGGGACGAGAAAAACGAAUUGCAGAGAACGAGUCACAUGAACCACCAAAAUCAAACCAAUAAAAUGAAAUAGAGAUAUCAAAUUAAACACAAAUAAAUAUGUAAUCGUUAAAUUCAAUUUUACCACGUCAAUCUGCAGAAAUUUUCGGUGCUCGCAGGCGACAGAGAUAGGUGGAAGAAAGGGAUUCUAUGGGGGCUCAAGAGAGAGACUGUAGAAGUGAUUGCUUUUCUCUCUGUGCUAUUUUAUUAGAGAGAUAUUUAUGAAAAGGAGUUAACCAGUUAGUGAAUAGUGAAUAGUGAAUAGUGAAUAGUGAAUAGUGAAUAUCCGGUUAGUGUAUGAAAUGGGACACCAUAGAAAUGAACAGUGAAGGCUGGUUCCCUCUUUUAUAUAAGUGCAAUGAUUUUAGCAAGUUUUAAAACUUCAAGUCAUAAUAUUUUGGGUUCUAUGGAUAUAUUCACAUUAUACUUUUAGAAAUUGUGUUUCAUUAGGCCAAAAUUAUGUACUGAAUAGUACAUAAGAGAAAUAAAGAAAAAAAAUUACUAGAUUUUUGUGUCACACAGAAAUUUCUCAAUGUCACCCUCUAGGGUAUGCAUUUUGAGAGAGAUGUAAAAUUCAAUCGAACAAAUAUUAAUUUCAAAAAACUGUGAGGCCAUAUGGCUAACACUUGUAGAGAUUGUUAGUUUAAUGUCCCUUUUUUCAGUAGUAUUUUGAAAAACGACAUUCUGAAUUGACAUGCUACAAUUUGAAAUGAUUAUCUAAGGUUCCAUGAACAUAUAGAACGUCACAAAUUAUAUACUCAAUAGUUUAGGUAUAGUAAGAUGCAAUUCAAGAUGUGAUCAAAAUAUGUCGUUUACAAUCUCAGUACAUGAAGUUGGACACUUUAUGUUUAUAAAAUUACAUUGUUCUUAUUAAGAUUUGUCUAUAUUUGGCAAUAAGAACAAUAAUGUGUUUUGUGAUGCACAUUAAACGGGAACCGCAUAGAUAACUCAUUUGUGAUCGUUCGAAAUGAGACUCUAUCAAACAAUUCAACUAAAUCCUGAGUGAGUAAUAUACUUUUGAUUGCUAGUUCAAAUUUUUUGAAGUAACAAUGAGUGAAAUCUUAAUUAGAAGAUUGAUCUUGGUGCUUUGGGAAUCAGGUCGAAACAAUUAGAGAUCAUAUACUUGUGAUAGUGAAAUCCAUUAAUCAUUAAGAUGAGACGAUCAUCACUCUAAGGUAUUUUAGAUAGACAAUUGAACCUGUGCUCAGUAGCUUGAUGAUGAGAUCGUUGGACUCUAUAUUGUUAUUUGAUCACAACUAAUUCAUCUUAUGAAAAUGGAACUUAGAGGGUAAUAAUGUUCAAGGACAAAACGGUUAUUUUAUCAUUUUCAACUUAUUAAUGGUCCAAUGGGGGUUGACUUGUGGAACAAUAAUCGGAGCAUAUUUUCAUCGAAUCAUAAUUUACUUCUAUAACUAUCACUCGACUCGACAAUGGAAUCUCGAUUUUUGGUACAAUGAGCCGAGAUUAAUAGAUGUAUCUCAAUUGGUUAAGAGUUGACCCAAUUAGAAACUUCUAUUGUAGCUUAAGUCUUGUUGGUCUGAUUAGGUCCCUUUCUUGACUACAAUAAAUGUGUGACUUAAUUGGUCUACUACAAUUAAGUCCAAGAAAAUUUGUGCAAUUAUAAAAUCCUAAUUGAGUAUUAUAAAUAUGUCCUUUAUGGACACAUUUUCACUUAGUUUUUAGGGUAAGCCAUAUUUUUAUUUCCCAAAGAGGGAGGCACCUAAAGAACACAAGGGAUAAGAUAUAAGGGAAAAAGCACUUGGCUAGGCCACUAAAAUCUCCUUCAAGGUUAUCAUUUUCCUUUUAUGUGGAAGAAUUUAAGACAUCCAAUGAUCUCAAGGUGAUCGUAGAUCUUUUAUUUAUUUACAUUUAAUCUUCAAAGGGAAAUUAAUUUCCUAUUUUGAUGAUUAAAUUCAAUAACCAACAAAUGGAAUCAAAGCCAAGGUUACUAAGAGCCUUGAGUAGGAUUAAGUGCUUCGAAUCCUAGUAUAAAAUGCAUUUUUAGUAUGGGCGGUGUUAGGUUAUUUAAUUUGACAUGUUUACUACUUUAUAUGCUUAAAGUAGAUGUUUAUACAUAAUCACUUUUGGCCCUGGGAUUUUUUUUUACUUCCCAUUCUAAUUCAUUCCAUUUGUCUUUCUUUUCUCUAGAAAAAUUGUAAGCCAUGCGUCAUUAGGGUUUUGUACAUAUUUUUCAUACUUCUACACUUGUGUAUUAAAAGAAGAUGAAGUUUUUUGGGCUUCAUGCAUUUUUCGUUUCUGAUUCUUGUUAGAGAAAUGGAAGGAGAUAGAAAUAGGACAAACAAAAUGCAAAAACCAUUGUAGAAUUACAAGUGGCGGCAAUAACAACUAUCGCGACCGGAGUGGCUACAGUCGCUGCGUCCAAAUGCAACAGUUGCUCCAAGUUGUGAUAGCUGCUUCUGUUGCCUGUCAUGACAACCAUAGCUACUGCAAAUGUAGCAGCGGCGCUUGCUAUUACUGUUUGCAGUCGCCAUUGCCACUCGACGGCUGCAGCUAUGGUGGCCUCUUUUGGUGUUGCUACUGUCGAUGUCAUUGUAGGAGAUGGAUGGUGGAUGUGAUACAUGGCGAAUUUUCCAGGAUUUGUGAAAUUAGGUUAUUUUUGAGUUUUUGUGCUUUUCUUUAUGACUUGGGCAAAUAUUUUUGGCUAAGGGCUUUUGAUUUAAGGAUUGCGAAAAAAUUAAAUGGACUCAAUUUUUGAAUAUUGAAUGGGUUAGAUUACAAGGAAAUUGAAGAAUUGGGGCGAAAAUUGCUUUAUGGAUGAUGAAUGAAUGUAUGAUUAUCACAUGUCAUGUAGAUUAAAUUGAACACCACCCAAUGCACUAAACAUAUGCAUUGGUAUUGGAUUUUUUUUAUCACUCUAAAUUAAUUAGAUGUGGUUAAAAAAUUAUAUUUAACAAUUUAGUGCCAUUAUAAUUGUUUAUAUUUGGCACAUUAAUUAUAAAAUCAAAAUCCAAUGGUUCAAAAUAAUAAGUGGGGGAAGGUUUAUAGCGUGUAUAAACUUGCGGCCUCCUCCUUCAUCCAAUUUAUUAUUAAAAUACGUAUGUCUGGUGUCAAAUUACAUCGGUCUCCCUAAAGGAAGACUACGUUAUUCUAAAUUAACUGAAAUUGAAUCUUAUAAUAGAAAGUUUUAAAAAUUGGAUAAUCGGCUGAUUAUCCUAUAGAUAACAUCUCAUAUAUUUUGGAUAAUUUAAAAAUUAUUUGCAGAGGUUAUUACACUUAUAUAUGACUUUAUUUUUGGAGGACUUCCAGUAGAAGGUUCCAACAAAAUAUUUAUAAGUCAAAUGAUAAUAAAUCCUCAUUUUUAUUGUGGCACGAGAUGCCUAACUCCAUCAAAUGAGUGGGAGUGUUCCAACUUUGUGAUGAGGACAAAUCAAAAAUCUAAUUAGUGAAUAAAUCAACGCUACAAUCUUCCCGUAUAAAGUGGCAACUCUAAUUUAUUGGUUGUGAACAAAAUAUUUGUAAUCAAAAUAUAAGUUAUGUCACACUACACUUCUCAGUACAAGUACCCAACUUAUAUUGUCACAGGUAAUUAUAAUUACUUUAAUUCAUAUGCUCACAUACUCAAUAAUAAAUAAAUACAUUAAAUGGAUAAAAUCACAAUUUGUUUAUUAUAAAUUAUUAUUUAUUAUAACAAAAUAUACUAUAUGGACACACAACCCCACAGUCUCCACUUCCUACGUACUUUGUUUAUAUUUUUUAUUAUUUUAACCCCAAACCUUAGAUCUCUCUCUUUUAUUUGCACACGCAAACACAUAUUGAAAGCACAGGUCAGCAGCUACAGAAACUACCUAAGAGCCACUAACUUAGGUUGUACACGCCGCAAGAAGAUAAGUAGAAGAAGCCGAAACAAAGAGAACCAAUGCUAAAAGGAACUCAUAAAUAAGGAAUGGGUGGAGAAGACACGACUUCCAAAUAAAAGAGACGAGAUUGGGAGUAUCCCUAUGCUGCAGGCCAGUGGCGGCAUCACGAAAUUGAUACCCAUCAAUGUCGACAGCUCGGGGUUGCUCCAUCGAGGUGCUAAGAGAUUUGGGGAUUUAGAAAUUCCAAAAUGUCUAUCCAGUGUUUAUUGGGUUGAUUACAAGAGGAAUGGAUCUGGUUAUUAUCAAAAAAUGAUUUUUAAUAUGAGAUCAUAAGAAAUUAAAAAAGCGAUUCAAUAAGAGAGGGCAAACGACUAAUGAAUUCAAUGUAGUGAAGUAGUUCUUUUAUUCAAUGUCUCAAGAUGGGUUUCAAUGCCCAAUAACGUUAAAUUAAUUUUUCUUCCAAUUAACUAAGGUUAUUGAGGCUGAGUUUGAGGCGGGGACUUUAUUUCUCAUCCCCUACUCGUGAUAAGGACUUUUUUUCCAACUGUGCUAUGUGUACAAUCGGGAUUGACAAACCCAUUUGACAAUUGGACACUUAGGAGGGGGGCUCACACUGAAUAGAAAAAUCGUGAGCCCCCCUCCUAUGAGUGCAUUGUCAACAUGGAUUGUACAAGAAGAAUAAUUUCUUUUUUCCUAACCCCCACCCCAAUUCAUUGAUUAAUCUAGAAUCCCCCGCUAGUUUGGGCAGGCCAUAUGGGGGACUAGAACAAUUGAGGAUAAUUGCUCCCCCGAAUAUCAUUUUUGAAUGUGUAAUGGUUCGUGCGACUCACAAAGACACUAUACAAAUGUUAUAUAUAUACGUAAUAUAUAUUAUAUUGCACACCCAUGAUAUAUAUUUUGUACGCUCACACGAUCUGUGAUUUGAAAUCGAUCUAGCAAAUUUAUUCAUAAUUUGAUUAAUCUCUCGAAAUAAGUUGGUCGUAUUUUACGUUUAUUGUGGUUAAUGUUUAUGCAUAUAAUAUUUCUACGGAUGUGUUUUAUUUUUUGGUCCAUAUUACGUAUGAUUUAUUUAGAAUUGACAGGAGUUUAAUAGCGUUACGUACGAGAAUUUAACAUCAUCUAAGUUCGGUUUAAUUUUCAAGUCUCUCUCUAUAAUUAUGAUUUUUUUUUGGGUAUAAAAAUACAUAUAUAAAUUCAUUAUUCAAGCACAUUUAUUGAUAUUUAUUCUCAUCCCUUUAUAUCUUUUCUUCUAGAUGAUUGAUGAUUCGAGGCGGUUGGCACGAAUAUGGCUUAUGGUGGCAAAAGUUCCGAUAAUAGAUUAUUUUGUUAUCUUUAAAAUAUUUCUUUUUUCAAGUUAAAUUAUCAAAAUCACUGGAUCAUUUGAAUUAUUAUAUAUGUUUAAUAAUUUAUAUAAUAGUGUUGAAUAUUCCUUAAAUUAUUUUAAUUUAGGAGUUAGUGGCACUCGAGUCGUUAAGGAUUCAGGUUGUCAUAGUUGUCCAAUUAGUAUCAGGAUUAAUUUAAGUCUCUCUUAUGGUAAAGAUCAUGAGUUCGAAUUCUUGGGACGCAAUAGAAAUCUAUUAGAGAUAGGAUGAAUUUAGGUUCUUCCAGAACGAACAAUACAUAAAUUAACGACUUUGGCAUAAAGAUCAGAUCGUCACAUAAUAUUGGGAUCCGAAACCACAUUAAUUGAAAGAUUAUCGAGAACAACCCUAAAUUUUCUCAUAUUGAACAAAAAUCCAUGUGUCCAUGUAUAAACAAAACAAUUGCAAAAGAACAAUUAAGAAAAUAUAAAGAAUAUUGCAAAAUCAUCUAAGGGUCACUACCUCCAAGUACCUUGGCCACCAGUGACUGGGUUUGGAGUAUAUUUUCCUUUUAUGCUUUCUGAUAAGUGUGUUUUUGCACACUUAUUGGGCACUUAAUUUGAUAUAAUUAUUGACGAAAAGAAUAGAAUUCUACUCAUAGUUAAGUAAUAUUCACUUUUGUAGGUAAAAAUCACCUAAAGAAAAGAGAACAAGGCAAAAGGAAGAAAAAUGAGGAAAAAGGACUAAAAUUGUACAAAAUUGUGAAGUUGGAGGCCAAGGAAAACAAGUCAAAAAGUGGAGGAUUUGAGAUGCAAUUUAUGGAGGGCAAAAUCGAAUUGGAAGUCAAAAUUCGAGGACCAAAUUGUACAAAAUUAAAGUUGAGGGACUAGCAUGCAAAUAUUUGAAACUUGGCUUCAAAAAGAAAACCAUUUUCAUGGUUUUGGACAGAGAACCAGGCACCGAGGCGCCCAUUUUAAAAGAAAAAAUGAGUUGGGGACCUUUUUGUUCACUUUUGAAACUUCAGGGACCAAGGCUGCAAUUUUCCUAGGUUUUAAUAUAAAACCAGCAGCUGAGUUUUCAUUUGCAGUUCUUCAGUUCGAUCUUCUGCUGGGUUCUGUUUUCUGCUGGGUUCUUUCUUUUUUUUCAUUUUGCUUUCAUUUUCUUUUCUUUUUCUUGGUUAUUUUGGAGAUAUAACAUAGAGUAACAGGGAGAUAACAUCAAGGAUUUGGCAAAGCAUUUGGGGAAAAUCAUAGUCAAUCUACAAAAAAGGGUUUUAUCUAUAUCUUUGUAUUUUCUUCAUCAUUUAGCCUUAUUUGUAAUACAUUUGAUGAAUAUUCUCCUUGAUUAUCAUUUAUUUAACAUGGGCUAAGUAUUUUGUUGGGAUUUAUGGUAGUAGCUUGACAUAGGUUUAAUUGAUUUUCAAUAUUUGCUAUUUGAUAUUAAAUUGCCCAUUUCCAUGUGUUUCUAUUAUUAUAUUUAUUGCAUUUUCAUUUAUGUGGCCAAUGAAUGAAUAUGUUUCGUGAAGUGUACAUAGUUCGAGAGAAGAUUGUGUAUUUUAGACCAAAUGGUAGAAACUCUAGGUUUGUAUAGAGGAUAGAUAUAUAUCUUUAGCCCUAUGUGACCCAAUGAGCUAUUUUCAUAACAAUUUAAUGCUGUUAUUUAGUUGUAAUCGACAUAGAGAUAUAAUAGGUUAAACCAAUCAAUUAUGGUUAAUUUCACUCGAGAGAGGUAAUUAGCUAAAAUUGAAGAAUCGGAUCUAACAUCGUAAAUGAGUAAUUCGUUAAUUGGCAUAUGGAGAAAUUAAUUAGGCGACGGCUAAGCGAAACCAUGAAUCUCAAUCACGUUUUCCUCCAAAAUUCCCAAGAUUUCCAUAUUUUCCUAUUUUGUAUUUUUUUUUCUUUAGUUUCUAAAAUCAACUCUUUGUUGUGUAUUUGUUUAUUUUCAUUGUUAGAAUUAAAUUGAUUAAAGUUGUGUAAUUUAAAUUAAACAUUCCUCGAGGGAUCGACAACUCGGACUUCAAAUGUCCACUUUAUUACUUGAACGCGACCCGUGCACUUGCAGUAUGAUUUUAGCGAACAAGUUUUUGGCGCCGUUGCUGGUGAAUGUUUUAUUUCAAUUAUCAUCUUUUGUUGAUUCUAAUUUUUACAAGUUUCGUUCUUUUUUUCUUUUGCAUAGCUUUUAUAUAUUUAUUGUGUAAUUAACUUUUAACCUUAGGUCUUUGGUGGUGCAUGCUUCGUUCGAGAAGUUUUGAUCUUUUCGAGCUUGAUCCGGAUAUUGAAAAACCUUUCCAAAGAAGGCGACGGGAACAAAGGGAAUUGAGAAGGCAACAAUUGAUUGAGAUGACACACCAAGGGAGUAAUUUGGAACAUAAUGCUCAACCGGAAAAUGUUCCUCGAGGCGGCAUUCCACCGGGUUUUGGUAACCAAGCGGGUAGAGUUCAAGAGCCUAUUGUAAAUGAGGAAGAUAUACUGUUUGGGAACUUCAUGAACCCACCCGUAGUAGAGAAUGAAUCAAGUAUUGUUUACCCUCCAUAUUGACAUCCAAACUUUCAACUUCGUCCGGAUGUUAUUAGUUUGUUCUCCAAUACCAUUCCAUUCUAUGGAAGGAUUGAUGAGAACCCUCACUCACAUGUUGCACGAUUCAUAGAGAAUGUUGAAAAUUUUAAAUAUGAAGGCGUAAAUGUGGAGACGAUCCGGAUGAGGUUAUUUGUUCACACAUUGAAGGAUAAGGCAAGGGAAUGGCUUGAGACUCUACCGCCCAGAAGUAUAAAUAGUUGGUUGGAAUUUAUUCAAAAAUUCACAGCCAAAUUCUUUCCACCCGCCUGAGUAGCCAAACUCAAGCAUGACAUAACCACUUUCCAACAAUCCGAAUUUGAGAGCUUUCACGAGGCUUGAGAAAGGUUCAAGGAUAUGCUUCGAAAAUGUCCAAAUCAUGGAAUCACAAUGGGGCAACAAGUGAAUCAUUUUUAUGCCGGGUUGACUCCUUCUUGCCGUUCAAAUGUGGAUUCAUCAUCUAAUGGCUCAAUCAAGAAGAAGAAUAUUCGGGAAGCAUAUGAUCUAUUUAAGGUCAUGAGUGAACAAAGUGCUAUGUGGCCGGAUAGAGGUUCACAAAGAGGGGUUGGUGGAGUUCGAGAUGGUGAAGCUUUCUCAAUGGUUCUAGCAAAGAUCGACUCACUAGCAAAGAAGGUAGAAGGACUUUCUUCAUCUACCUCGAGCUCUCAUUCCGCUCAUAUGGUACAAUCUCCACCUAUUUGUGAUAUUUGUGAACCAAAUCACCGAAGCCCGAGUUGUCCAUUGAUAGGUAGUGGUUCAGCAUCUACCGAGCAAGUGGUAUAUACUCAAAACUUUCAACGCCAAGGAUACAAUCCUUAUUCGCAAACUUAUAACCCCAGUUGGUGAAAUCAUCCGAACUUUUCUUAUGGAAAUAAUCAAAAUGUGCUCAACUCGAAGCCACAAGAGAAAAAAAAGGUUGGGAAGAGGCUAUUGCUAAGUUGGCAAACCAUCAAUUAUAAUAUUAAGAAAGCAAUGAUGCCUCUUUGAAAAACUUGGAAUGUCAAGUGGGUCAAAUUGCCAAGCUUAUCUUCGAAAGGCAAUAGCGGGCAUUGCCUAGCAACACCGAAACAAAUCCAAGGGAGAAUGUACAAGCUAUUACCACUAGAAGUGGGGUGCAAUUGCCCGAAAUCACGGUGACACGCCCUAAGGGUCAAACCGACAAGACACCCAUUGAAGAAGAAAGGAUUAUGCAAGAACCUAGUCCAAAGGACGAGACACUAAUUGAAGAAGAAUCGGAGCCAUCAACAUCAAAGGCUCCAAUACCGGUCAAAGCCUAUGUGCCUCAUAUUCCCUUCCCACAAAGGCUUCACAAACAGAAAUUGGAUGCUCAAUUUGGAAACUUUUUGGAGAUAUUCAAGAAGCUACACAUAAACAUUCCAUUUGCCGAUGCAUUAGCUCAAAUGCCGAAUUAUGCCAAAUUUAUGAAGGACAUUCUUUCAAACAAAAGGAAACUAGAAGAACAUGAGACAGUAAUGCUAACGGAAGAGUGUAGUGCUAUCCUUCAGAAGAAGCUACCACCGAAAAUCAAAGAUCCAGGGAGUUUUACUAUUCCAUGCACUAUUGGAGAUUUAAAUUUUAGUAAAGCUUUAUGUGAGCUUGGUGCCAGUAUUAGUUUGAUGCCUUUGUCUAUUUUCAAGAAGCUGGGAUUGGGAGAAGCUAAGGCCACCACUGUAUCAUUACAAUUGGCUGAUUGAUCAAUUAAAUAUCCUCGGGGUGUCAUUGAGGAUGUAUUGGUCAAGGUGGACAAAUUCAUAUUUCCAGCUGAUUUCAUAAUUCUUGACAUGGAAGAGGAUCAUGACAUCCCUAUCAUUUUAAGACGACCAUUUCUUGCCACCGGUCGAGCUUUGAUUGAUGUGCAAAAGGGGCAGCUCGUUCUAAGAGUCCAAGAUGAAAAAGUUACAUUCAAUAUCUUGAAGGCCAUCAAGUAUCCAUCGGAAUCUGAUUCAUGCCUUCGAGUGGAUGUUGUUGAUCAUGUGGUUGCCGAGUCUUUUUACAGGCUUUCUAAGGAUCCUCUAGAAGCAUGUCUUGUUUAUCCUUUGGCUAUCAAAGAGGAAGACCCUAAAGUUGAGCAUAUGGUACACUAUUUGGAGGCUACACCUUCUCGGUCUUAUAAGAGAGCACCAAAUUAUGAGGACUUGGAAAAGAGCUCUUCACCACCACUGCCAUUUCUUCAGCAGACACCUAUACUUGAUUUGAAGCCUCUUCCAUCUCAUUUGAGGUAUGCUUAUUUGGGAGAGUCAUCUAUGCUUCCGGUUAUCAUUGCUAAUUUCUUAAAUGAAUUGGAUGAAGAGAAGUAACUCGGGUGUUAAGGGAGUACAAGGGAGCCAUUGGUUGGACUAUUACAGACAUUAAGGGAAUUAGUCCUUCACUAUGCAUGCAAAAAAUCCUUAUGGAGGAUGAUUUCAAAUCAUCAGUGGAGCAUCAAAGGCAAUUGAACCCCAACAUGAAAGAAGUGGUAAAGUAGCUUGAUGCGGGCAUUAUUUAUCCGAUUUCAGAUAGUACAUGGGUGAGCCCCGUUCAAGAGGUGCCAAAGAAAGGAGGUGUCACGGUUGUGGAAAAUGAGGAUAAUGUACUUAUACCUACUAGACCCGUGAUCGGUUGGAGGGUAUACAUAGAUUACCGCAAGCUUAACAAGACUACAGGGAAUGAUCACUUUCCUCUUCCUUUUAUUGAUCAAAUGCUUGAGCGGUUAGCGGGGUAUUCUCAUUAUUGUUUUUUGGAUGGGUAUUCAGGCUAUAAUCAAAUUCCUAUAGCCCCAGAGGAUUAAGAGAAAACCACCUUCACAUGCUCAUAUGAUAUAUUUGCAUAUAGAAAGAUGCCCUUUGACCUUUGCAACGCACCCGCCACUUUCUAAAGGUGUAUGAUGGCUAUAUUCUCCGACAUGGUGGAGAAAUUUACUGAGGUUUUUAUGGAUGACUUCUCGGUAUGUGGGGCCUCAUUUGAUGGAUGUUUGAGCAAUUUAGAGAUAGUGUUGAAAAGAUGUGAGGAGACAAAUUUAGUACUUAAUUGAGAAAAAUAUCAUUUCAUGGUCCAGGAAGGCAUAGUUUUCGGCCAUCGGAUUUCACGUAAAGGGAUAGAGGUUUACAAGGCAAAAAUCCAAGUCAUUGAGAAAUUACCUCUACAUACCUUGGUGAAAGGGAUAAGGAGUUUUUUGGGGCAUGCCGAAUUUUAUAGGAGGUUUAUCAUGGACUUUUUGAAGAUCACAAAUCCACUUUGCUCCUUACUUGAGAAGAACACUCCAUUUGAUUUCUCUCAAGAGUGCCUCCAUGCUUUUAACACUCUUAAAGAGAAACUCAUCACGGCUCCUAUCAUUGUAGCUCCGGAUUGGAAUUUACCAUUUGAGCUUAUGUGCGAUGCAAGCGAUUAUGCCGUUGGAGCAGUUUUAGGGCAAAGGAGAAAUAAAAUCUUGCAUGUUAUUUACUAUGCUAGCCGGACUUUGACUGAUGCUCAACUGAACUAUGCCGUUACUGAAAAAGAGAUGCUCGCAGUGGUAUUUGCAUUUGAUAAAUUUCGAUCUUACCUCAUUGGAUCGAAAGUGAUUGUUUACAGGGACCACUCAGCCCUCAAGUAUUUGCUAGCAAAGAAAGAUGCCAAACCUCGGUUAAUUAGAUGGGUCCUUCUUCUACAAGAGUUUGACUUGGAAAUUCACGAUAAAAAAGGGACCGAAAAUGUUGUUGCCGAUCAUCUGUCUCGACUUGAGAAAACCAAAGAGGUAGUGGAUAGGGAGAUAAAUGAGGUAUUUCCCGAUGAACAACUCUUGCAAAUUAUGCAUCUUCUACAAGCCACCCAUAUACCAUGGUAUGCGGACCAUGUGAACUUUCUUGCUAGUGGCAUCAUUCCCUCGGAUCUCUCUUACCAACAAAGGAAGAAGUUCUUUGCCGAUAUCAAGCAUUAUUUUUGGAACGAUCCAUUGUUGUUCAAACAGAGCCCGGAUCAAAUUAUACGGAGAUGUGUGCGGAAGAUGAAAUGGAGCAAAUCCUUGAACAAUGUCAUUCCUCACCCUAUGUUGGUCACUUUGAGGCCCUGAAAAUCGCAUCAAAGGUACUUCAAUUCGAUUUUUAUUGGCCUACAUUAUUCAAAGAUGCUCAUAUUCUUGUCUCCAAGUGCGACAAAUGCCAACGCAGUGGUAAUAUUUCCAACCGAAAUGAAAUGCCUUUGAAUUUUAUAUUAGAGGUGGAAAUUUUUUAUGUAUGGGGUAUUGAUUUUAUGGGACCUUUUCCUCCUUCAUUCUCAAAUCAAUACAUAUUGGUAGCGGUUGAUUAUGUGUCAAAGUGGGUAGAAGCGGUGACUUUGCCCACUAAUAACGCUCGGGUAGUAGUAAACUUUUUAAAGAAAAAUAUUUUCUCUCGCUAUGGCACCCCCCGAGCUAUCAUUAUGGAGGUAAAAAUUUUUGUAAUCGCCUCUUCGACUCAGUAUUGACCAAAUAUGGAGUAAAGUAUCGUGUAGCCACUCCCUAUCAUCCCCAAACUAGUGGCCAAGUUGAAAUUUCGAAUCGGGAGUUGAAGAGGAUUCUUGAAUUGACGGUGAGUGCCUCUAGAAAAGAUUGGUCCAAGAAAUUGGAUGAUGCAUUAUGGGCUUAUUGUACCGCGUUCAAAAUGCCCAUUGGUAUGUCUCCCUAUCGUCUUUUGUUUGGAAAAGCUUGCCACCUCCCAGUAGAACUUGAGCAUCAAGCUUAUUGGACAGUGAAAGCUUUGAAUUUUGAUGUGAAAUUGGCCGAUGAGAAAAGAUUGCUCCAAUUGAAUGAACUGGAUGAAGUCCGCCUUGACUCUUAUGAGAAUGCUCAAAUUUACAAAGAAGAGACAAAGAAAUGGCAUGAUAAACACAUUGUGAAAUGCGAGUUCUUUGUUGGGCAACAAGUUCUUCUCUACAAUUCUCGACUCCGAUUGUUUCCCGGAAAGCUCCGCUCAAGAUGGUCUGGUCCUUUUACCAUUGCUAAGAUUUUUCGACAUGGAGCAAUUGAACUUCAUCAUGAGGAAAAGGGAAAUUUCAAGGUUAACGGGCAACGAUUGAAACCAUACUUUGAAGGUGAUUUUUCUAAGGAGAAGUCCUCCAUUCCUCUUGCCAAUUUGGAGUGAACAAGGCCUAUAGUCGAGCUAGGGACUAUAACCAAGCGCUUUUUGGGAUGCAACCCAACUUUCUUAUCCUUAUACUUUUGUUAUUACAUUUUGAAUUAAUACAAUUCUUUUGUAGGUCAAAAUUUUUGUAGUCCUAGCCACCCAUAGAUCUCAACAAAUUUGGGGGUGCCUGGUCCCCAAAGUCAUAAACAAAAAAUUCAUCUACAACAUCCUUCAAAAAAAUCUAAUCGGCGAAGUUUCGUUAUCCCUCUCCUCUUUAUCUUGUUUUUUACACAUUGAGGACAAUGUGUGGUUUAAGUUUGGAGGUGAUUGUGCUUGAAUUGGUGAUAUUAUGUUGAUGUGCUAGAUAGCCUUGCCGGCUUUGCAUGGUUUUGAUGUUUGAAAUUGUUAUUGAUUCAUGAGUUAUGCAUAUAUGACCAAAUAUGCUAUUUGUGCGUAAUUUUUUCCCAAAAAAAAUAAAAAUUGCUUAUCUAUUGUGAGAUUUUGAAUUACUUUGGGCACAAUAGUCAUGAUUAAUUGUUAUCUAGAUGUGGAAAAUUUUUGAUUGAAGGAUAUAUUUUUGAAUUGCUUGAACUAGGUUGUGACUUGUAAGUUGUUUGGAAAUUUUUAUCAAUCUGUAUUCUCUUUUCUUUCACUUUAUCAUAUUAUGAGAUAAGUUUGGAGGUGGUCGAGCCGGUGAAGAAGAUUAUCUAGAAGUGUGUGAUUUCGUGCAUGUUGAAAAUAUUUGUGUAGAGUGUCUGUUACCGAGUAUAAGCUAGGUAAUGACCAUAUGCUAGGGAUCUAAGCCCCAUUUUUGUUGUGUUAAAAAAAAAUGGAGUUAUUGUACUUGUUGAAUCUUGGGCCUCACUUUGUAGCCUUUUUGACUUGAGUUAUUAAGUGCGUAGGGGUAUUUUGUAACCCGGUACCCUUUGGCCUAAACAACCGGAGAGUUAUCGACCUAAAGCUCGCUACAAGGGUCAAAAAAAAAGUUUAAGGGAGUGAGGUAAAACAUGGGAUUCGGCUAAAAAGGAAAAAAAAAAAAAAAAAAAGAGAAAAAAAUGUUAUUGAUAUUUGGGCUUAGAUAACUAGUGAGUUUGAAUUGCUUAGUAUAAACUUGAAUGUGAAAGCACUCAUUAGUAGAGAAUCAUCACAUAACUAGAGAUUGAUAUUACUAGUUAGACCCAAUCGAACUAGAGCGGGAAAAGAAAUGAGUGACUUGAGAGCAGCCUUAUAUUUACACCUCGGGGAAAGAAAUGAAUAUCUAUUUGAGGAGUGUAAAUUCCACGAGUGGGAAAGGAAAUAUUUGACUACAAAGGGUUGGGUUGGAGAGAAUCUGAAGAUUUUUCCGUCUUGACAAAUUUUUCCUAAUUUAGAUGAUAAUUGAAAGUGAUUUUACACAUAUACACCGAUCGAACAUUGGAUAAACUCAAAUUAUUUUUGUUAGCAUUAUUUGGAGCAUAUUUGUGAAUUGAUUAUACAAUUUUACACUCAUUGAUAUUUUUGGCAAGCUAUUUAGUGUGUUGACCAUGAUCACUUUUGCUUGAUUGUGUGGUAGAUAAUCUUGCUCGGGACGAGCAAGAGUUUAAGUUUGAGGGUGUGAUAAGUGUGUUUUUGCACACUUAUUGGGCACUUAAUUUGAUAUAAUUAUUGGUAAAAAGAAUGAAAUUCUACUCAUAGUUAAAUAAUAUUUGCUUUUGUAGGUAAAAAUCACCCAAAGAAAAGAGAACAAGGCAAAAGGAGGAAAAAUGACUAAAAUUGUACAAAAUUGUGAAGUUGGAGGCUAAGGCAAAGAAGUCAAAAAGUGGAGGAUUUGGGAUGCAAUUUAUGGAGGGCAAAAUCGAAAUGGAAGUCAAAAUCCGAGGACCAAAUUGUACAAAAUCAAAGUAGAGGAACUAGCAUGCAAUGUUUGAAACUUGGCUGCAAAAAGAAAACCAUUUUCAUGCUUUUGGACAGAGAACCAGGCGCCGCGGCACCCAUUUUAAAAGAAAAAAUGAGUUGGGGGACCUUUUUGUUAACUUUAGAAACUUCAGGGACCAAGGCUGCAAUUUUCCUAGUUUCUAAUAUAAAACCAGCAGCUGAGUUUUUAUUUGCAGCUCUUCAGUUUGGUCUUCUGCUGGGUUUUUUUUUUUUUUUUUUUUUUUUUUUUUUUUUUUUUUUUUUUUUUUUUUUUUUUUUUUUUUUUUUUUUUUUUUUUUUGGUAUUAAAAAAAAAAAAAAAAAAAAAGGGAUUGAAGUUGGAUGAAUUCUUGAAUUCAGGGACCAAUGUAUUGAGUUUGAAAGUAGAAGAGCCUAACAUGCAAUAUUAAAGGACUUGUGACUAAAUUACACAAACCUGUAAAAAGUCGACCCUUGCGAUCACAAGGGUAUAUUUAGUUGCGGUCGCAAAGACUUUUGCAGAAUUGCUUGUGAGAUAUAGUAGGUUAAAUCAAUCAAUUAGGGUUUAUUUCACUCGAGAGAGAUAAUUAGUUAAAAUUGAAAAAUCGGGUCUAACAUCGUAAAUGAGUAAUUCGUUAAUUGACAUAUGAAGAAAUUAAUUAGGCGACGGUUAAGCGAAACCAUGAAUCCCAACCACGUUUUCCUCCAAAAUUCCCAAGAUUUCCAUAUUUUCCUAGUUUGCGUUUUUUUCUUAGUUUCUAAAAUCAACUCUUUAUUGUGUGUUUGUUUAUUUUCAUUGUUAGAAUUAAAUUGAUUAAAAUUGUCUAAUAUAAAGUAAACAUUUCUCGAGGAUCGACAACCCGAACUUCAAAGGUCCACUUUAUUACUUGAACGCGACCCGUGCAUUUGCGGUAUUAUUUUAGCAAACACUUUCCUUUUAUUUUCUUGAUUUUAUGUUUCUCUUUUUUAGCGGACUUAAUAGCCAUUUUGCACGGAUUUGUUAGUGAGGAGUAUUUCCAAAAUAAAAAUGAAGGGUCGAAGACUGUGAUGCAAAUAAAUGAAGUUUGAGGAUAUAAAUGCAUAAGGAGUUGAAGAUUGAGAAUGUGGCUUAAAUUUUCCAAUAUUAAAAAGAAAAUGUUUUGCCCAAGUCAUUUUCUUGACUACUGUCAAGGAAAAAAAAAUAAAUAAAUCUUUUUGCGUUGAAAUUUGACUCCACAUUGUAGGAACUGUAUGGUCCACCCAUGUGAAAUCCAUUGAGUGCCAAAUCAGAGUUCCCGACAAAUUGUCGUAUGCCCAACAUGAUACAUGAUCUACAAUGUGUUACAAAUUGCCCCUGUAGACAUGUAUGUUUAAUCAAUAAAAAAAAAAGUCUGAAAUUUCCUCAAAUUCAAUAAUGAAUUCUUAAAUCAAAUCUGAAUAAUGAAUUUUCAAUCUUUUGAAUUACAAAAUUCGAAUUUUGAUCUCUAGAACUUGAUGAUUUUAACUUGCCAUUUCUAUAUAGUAUUACGUGUCAAACAUGCAAUGAUUUCAUACUUAUUCGUCCUUAUACUACAUCCUCAACUCUCUCCAUCAAAUUCUUCAUCUAUUCUUGCAAAAUAUAUUGUAGCUUAAAGUUAAACCGGUUUCAAGCAUAAUUUAUCGCUCGGGAAUUAUUCACUCAUAAAUAGAAUAUCUGCAAAUCUUGUAUUUUUGUGAAUUUAGUUAUUUUGUUAAUUGAGAAUAAGAUGAAUGAUAAUCUUCUUGGGAGAUCAUUCUUAUGUGAAAUUCAUACAAAUGUCUUGAGUGCUAUUUUCACCUUCACUCAUUUAUUAAAUAUUACAAGUUCUAGCUUUCAUAGGAAAAUAUAUUUUACUUGGUGUGCUGAAGAUAUUCUUCAACCUUCAGUAAAGUGGGGUUCUAGGUUCUCGACCCAAUUAAAUUUGGAAAUUACAUAAAUUGUUAACGUGAACGUCAAAACUGGACAUGACUUAAAAUUGAAUGUAAAGUGGUUUGAUGCUUUGCUCUCCAACUUUAAAUUACAUAAAAGUCAAGCAAUUCUAAUUUUCACAAUGACGAGUUUUUGCCACAUGGCGAUCCAAAUUCACAUAUUUAAAUACGUUGGGUACCCACGAUAGGGAUGACAACGGGAGAGAUGAGACGGGAUGGGAAGCCGCUAGGGAUUCGUCACGCCCUGUCCAAACCUUGAUCCCAGCUUAAGGUGGGGCGGUUGCAGGGGAUAGGGCAAUAUGGAUGGGAUGCCUCCUCUAUGCACAUAUUGUCCGUUUAAUUUUAUUUAAAUCAUAAGCCUUAGAUAUCUCUUUUUAAUUUUCACGCACUAACACAUACUAAAUGCCCACGUCAAUGGCUGCAAAAAUAGGGUCGGCCCUAAUAUUUUGGGGGCCUUAUGUCAAUUUCAAAUUGGGGCCCUAUAUUUUGAAUUUUCUUAUAUAGAGUUUUAGCCCCUGUUUGAUGAAGAUUAAGCCAUUGUUUGAGACUCAUUUUUUUCAUAAAAAUAUAUUUUUCAACAAUGAUUUGACACCACCAUGUCAACAUAUAUUUUUCAAUAAAAUAAUAUUACAUGCAAAUUCAAAAAUUUUCCUUAUUUUUUAAUCACACAUUCUCCAUCGUAUCACUUUCUCAAAAUGCAAUUUUUUUGGAGAAAAAUGAGGCUCAAAGGCUCAAACAACCCCUAAAAUAGAAUUUUCAUUUUUUUUUUCAAAAUGCAUUAUUAUUUUCUUAUGUUUGCAUAUGAUACUUCUAUACUACAGAAUUUCAUAAAUAUAAUUUUCAUUUUUUUUUCAACCAACAAAUUAACUUUACAUAAUUUGGGCCUCACUUAGGUGAUCGCCUAUUUCGUCUAUACUUAGGGCCACCACUGUGCAAAAACAACACAAGCCACCAAAUUUUGUGGUAAACACUGCAAGAAGAGGAGAACCCUAAACAAAGAGAGGUAAUGCUAAGAGGAACUCAUAAAUACGGAAUGGGGUGGAGAAGACAUGGCUGCUAGUUAAAGGAGAUGUGAUUGUGAGUCUCCAUCCUGUGCAACGAAGUCAUGACAUUGAUACCCAUCAACGUCGAUAGCUAGGGGCUGCUACAACGUGGUGCUAAGAAAUUGGGGGGGGGGGGUUUGGAAAUUUUGAAAUGUCUACGCUUUGUGUAAUGCACGUGCUUAUUUUUUGUGAUUAUCAUGUUUAUCUAAAUUAGUUGCGUUUAUGUUACAUUUACUAUUAAAUUAUUAUAAUUAUCAUAGUCGUGAUUAAUUAUGUUGAUAUAGUGGAAUGUGCCUUGGAUCAAAGUCGUGAUUAAUUAUGUUGAUACAGUGGAAUGUGCCUUGGACACUCUAUGCGAUCGACAUGCCUAUAGCUCCAAACUUAAAAUACAUAUGACUCUAUUUAAAUAUGCAAUUUAAUAUAAUUUGACGCCGUAUCACAUUCCUAUUAAUUUAAUUGUAUUGUCUAUAAUUAAUUUUAUUUAGUUAGAUUAAAUUAUAUAACGUAUUUAUCCUAUUAUGUACAAUCUCUUUUUUAGAUUGAACCUAGACAUUGAGUUGGAAGAUUUCUUUUUAUAAGUAAAUAAAUAAAUAAAAAUAAUAAUGAUAUAUAGUUAAUAAUUGAAUUAAUUUUCUAAUAGGAUCAAUUUAAGGUUAAGGAAGUUAAUAUAGAUAAAUAAGGAGGCGUAAUUUGUUAGAUUAGUACAAAUUAAACUAAAUAAACGCCAGUAGGUUUAGGAGUCUACAUAGUUGCCUUAUUUCACAUCUUUUUAAAAUUAAGUAGAAACUCUUUUUCCUGCCAAAAGUUUAAUUUCAAUUUCUUAUUUUGGGACUAGUAUGCUCUUGCAAUAAGGUAUGGUUCAUAAUUUAUUCAUGAUAUAAUCUAUCGGUUAACCUAUGUGUUUAAUUCUCUCUCUCUCUCUCUCUCUCUCUCUCUACACUACCAUAAAAGAGAGAAUGAGGGUUUACUGUUUAUUUUUGUCACACUCGUUUUCACACUUAACCGGUUUGGGAACUGGUUUGACAACAAGAAAAAUUCUAUUAAAAAAUACUAUAGGAAUUUUGUCAGGAAAAAUUCUAUUCAAAAUACUGUAGGAAUUUUGUCACACACCAUUGUCUACUGUAAUAUUUCUCCCUUGCUUUGAAUCUGACACACCAUGCUCUUUCUCCUAAUUCUCAAGCUAUAAACUACAAACUAUAUCUUAUAUAUUUAAAUUUUUUAAAUUAUAUUAAUAAACAAAAUUAUUGUAAAUAAACUAUAAAAAAAAUAUAUUCACUCUGUGCAUGGAGAAAAAAAUUUACGUCAUACUACAUAAUUUUUUUUGAGCAAAAUGAUGUAUUGAGAAAAUUGUUGGGAAAAAAUAAUAAAUAGUAAUAAAAUAAUUGAUUUUUUUAAAAGAAAAAUGACUUAUACGCAUUUUUUAACACAUACGUUUAAUGUCCGUUUAACUAUUUUCGAUAUUCAUUUAGAUCAUUCGAUGUGUCUAUGAUAUAGUUCUUGAAAUGAGUUUCGAGAGAAUGUAAAAUAUUUAUCGAUUCGACUAUCGUGCAAUCGUCAAUGAAUUUUUAAAGUUAACUCAUUAUCGAAAAUUUCGAAAUAUAGUUUGAAAAUGCCUAUUUUGACGUCCCGUAACAUUUGCUACGAUUAGCCGUUUCACGCAUCGUUAACGACAUGCAAUACUAUGCCGCAAGUACUUCAAAAUGAUAUUAAGAAUGUAAUAUUUCAAUUUCGUUUGAUAUCCCGUAAUGAGCCUGAGAUGAAUACAAAAACAUAAAUUAAAAAAAAAAAUUAGCAAACCUCCGUGCACGGAGGUUAAACCUCCAUACACGAAGGUUUAUGCGUGCGGGGAGUCCCCGCACAAAUAUGCAAUUUUUUUUUUUACUUUUAUUUGUAGUACAUUUUUUUAUUAAUAUUUAAUUUAAAAAAAUUAAAUAUAUCUAAAUAUUUACUUAAAAAUGUUGAAAUUAAUAUUUUUUACGUAUAAGUAACUUUUACAAUUAUAAUUUUUUUUAUUACUUUUAAAUAACUUGAAGUGAUUUGUUUAUUUAUAAAUAACUUUUUACAUUCUCGAUAGUUUAAUCUUUUUAUUAAUAUUUAAUUUUAAAAACUAAAUAUAUCUAAAUAUUUGUACUUAAAAAAUUCACAUUUUUUUAUAUAAGUAGCUUUUGCAAUUAUAAGAGAAUGAGGGAUUAAUAUUUUUUUAUCUUUUAGAUAGUGUAAUCUCUUUUUUUACUUUUAAAUAACUUAACCGAUUUGGGAACUGGUUUGGUAACAGGAAAAAUUCUAUUCAAAAAUACUGUAGAAAUUUGUCACAUGCCAUUUGAGUGCAAUGUCACAUCCACUGCAAUAUUUCUCUCUUACUUUGAAUCUGACACACCAUGCUCUUUCUCUUAAUUCUCACGUUAUUAACUAUUAAUCAUAUCCUAUAUAUUUAAUUUUUUAAAAUUAUAUUAAUAGAAAAACUUAUUGUAAAUAAAAUGUAAAAAAAAAAAUAUAUAUAUAUAUAUAUUCACUCCGUGCAUGAAGAAAUUUUUUUACGUCAUACCACAUAAGUUUUCUUAAGCAAAAUGAUGUAUUGAGAAAAUUAUUGCGAAAAAAUAAUAAAUAGUAAUAAAAUAAUUGAUUUUUUUUGAAGAAAAACGAUUUAUACGCAUUUUUUAACACAUAUGUUUAAUGUGCGUUUAACUAUUUUUGAUAUUAAUUUACAUCAUUUGAUGUGUUUAUGAUAUAUUUCUCGAAAUGAGUUUCGAGAGAAUGUAAAACAUUUAUUGAUUUGACUAUCGUAUAGUGGUAGAUGAAUUUUUAAAGUUAGCUUAUUAUCGAAAAUUUCGAAAUACAGUUUGAAAAUGUCUAUUUUGACGUCCCGUGACAUUUGCUACGAUUAGCCGUUUCACGCACCGCUAAUGACGUGCAAUACUAUAUCGCAAGUACUUUAAUAUGAUAUUAAGAAUAUAAUAUUUUAAUUUCGUUUGAUAUCCCCUAAUGAGUCUAAAAAUGAACAUAAAAACAUAAGCUAAAAAAAAAUGAAGCAACAUGUAUUAAACCUCCUCAUGUCCUCGGUGCACGCACCAAUCCGAUUUUUGGUUACCCAUUUUCUCCACCACUUAACCCUAAUUGUUCUCUCUCUCUCUCUCUCUCGAUCGGCACCAUUGUAGCAAGAAAUUCUGGAAAACCUGAAGCAACUGAGACAUAUACUUGUAAGUCUAAUCAUCACUGCUUCGACUUCUUUCUCUUCUCUUCUGUAUAUUGCUUCUAAUUUGUCGAGUUGUAUUGUUCAAUAUAUUCUUAGUUUUCAAUUUUUUUUUUUUUUUUUUGUUUUUUGAAGAGUUCAAGCCCAAAUACGUAAAGUCAUGUUUCAAGGGGGGGUUAGGUUUGGGUUGUUGUGUAUAUGUUUUUCAAUUUAUAUAGCUGUGGUAUUGAAUAUGAGAUUUCUUGUCCAAUUUGCUUUUUUUUUUGUUCCCCGUUUUCCUUCUUCUGAGAGGUCGAACCCAAAAUACCUAAAGUCUAUUAUUUUCAUGUUGUUAUUAUUUUUUUCUAUUAUUAUUUUCAUGUUAUUAUUAUUAUUUUUUUUUGUUCAAUUUCUUCGUGUUGUGUAUAAGUUUUUUUUUAUUUCUGCAGCCGUCAUGUUGAAUAUGAGAUUUUUUGUUCAAUCUGUGUUUUUUUCCUCAUUUUUUGUAAGAAACUGAACUGAAAAGACAUAUAAUUUGUUCUUCCCAUGUUUGGCUCUUUGAUUAUAUUUAACUUUAAGAAGGAGAACAAAAUGUUUCAAGUCGGAUAAUUCAUUAAAUACCCAAAUGCAAAUUCCGAAAAAGGUUAUCAUUGCUUUUCACUUGCUGCAAUUGAUACACAUGAGUGCUUAAUUUGAUGUUUGUGAUUGACAGAUUUUGAUGAAUACUGUACUACCANNNNNNNNNNNNNNNNNNNNNNNNNNNNNNNNNNNNNNNNNNNNNNNNNNNNNNNNNNNNNNNNNNNNNNNNNNNNNNNNNNNNNNNNNNNNNNNNNNNNNNNNNNNNNNNNNNNNNNNNNNNNNNNNNNNNNNNNNNNNNNNNNNNNNNNNNNNNNNNNNNNNNNNNNNNNNNNNNNNNNNNNNNNNNNNNNNNNNNNNNNNNNNNNNNNNNNNNNNNNNNNNNNNNNNNNNNNNNNNNNNNNNNNNNNNNNNNNNNNNNNNNNNNNNNNNNNNNNNNNNNNNNNNNNNNNNNNNNNNNNNNNNNNNNNNNNNNNNNNNNNNNNNNNNNNNNNNNNNNNNNNNNNNNNNNNNNNNNNNNNNNNNNNNNNNNNNNNNNNNNNNNNNNNNNNNNNNNNNNNNNNNNNNNNNNNNNNNNNNNNNNNNNNNNNNNNNNNNNNNNNNNNNNNNNNNNNNNNNNNNNNNNNNNNNNNNNNNNNNNNNNNNNNNNNNNNNNNNNNNNNNNNNNNNNNNNNNNNNNNNNNNNNNNNNNNNNNNNNNNNNNNNNNNNNNNNNNNNNNNNNNNNNNNNNNNNNNNNNNNNNNNNNNNNNNNNNNNNNNNNNNNNNNNNNNNNNNNNNNNNNNNNNNNNNNNNNNNNNNNNNNNNNNNNNNNNNNNNNNNNNNNNNNNNNNNNNNNNNNNNNNNNNNNNNNNNNNNNNNNNNNNNNNNNNNNNNNNNNNNNNNNNNNNNNNNNNNNNNNNNNNNNNNNNNNNNNNNNNNNNNNNNNNNNNNNNNNNNNNNNNNNNNNNNNNNNNNNNNNNNNNNNNNNNNNNNNNNNNNNNNNNNNNNNNNNNNNNNNNNNNNNNNNNNNNNNNNNNNNNNNNNNNNNNNNNNNNNNNNNNNNNNNNNNNNNNNNNNNNNNNNNNNNNNNNNNNNNNNNNNNNNNNNNNNNNNNNNNNNNNNNNNNNNNNNNNNNNNNNNNNNNNNNNNNNNNNNNNNNNNNNNNNNNNNNNNNNNNNNNNNNNNNNNNNNNNNNNNNNNNNNNNNNNNNNNNNNNNNNNNNNNNNNNNNNNNNNNNNNNNNNNNNNNNNNNNNNNNNNNNNNNNNNNNNNNNNNNNNNNNNNNNNNNNNNNNNNNNNNNNNNNNNNNNNNNNNNNNNNNNNNNNNNNNNNNNNNNNNNNNNNNNNNNNNNNNNNNNNNNNNNNNNNNNNNNNNNNNNNNNNNNNNNNNNNNNNNNNNNNNNNNNNNNNNNNNNNNNNNNNNNNNNNNNNNNNNNNNNNNNNNNNNNNNNNNNNNNNNNNNNNNNNNNNNNNNNNNNNNNNNNNNNNNNNNNNNNNNNNNNNNNNNNNNNNNNNNNNNNNNNNNNNNNNNNNNNNNNNNNNNNNNNNNNNNNNNNNNNNNNNNNNNNNNNNNNNNNNNNNNNNNNNNNNNNNNNNNNNNNNNNNNNNNNNNNNNNNNNNNNNNNNNNNNNNNNNNNNNNNNNNNNNNNNNNNNNNNNNNNNNNNNNNNNNNNNNNNNNNNNNNNNNNNNNNNNNNNNNNNNNNNNNNNNNNNNNNNNNNNNNNNNNNNNNNNNNNNNNNNNNNNNNNNNNNNNNNNNNNNNNNNNNNNNNNNNNNNNNNNNNNNNNNNNNNNNNNNNNNNNNNNNNNNNNNNNNNNNNNNNNNNNNNNNNNNNNNNNNNNNNNNNNNNNNNNNNNNNNNNNNNNNNNNNNNNNNNNNNNNNNNNNNNNNNNNNNNNNNNNNNNNNNNNNNNNNNNNNNNNNNNNNNNNNNNNNNNNNNNNNNNNNNNNNNNNNNNNNNNNNNNNNNNNNNNNNNNNNNNNNNNNNNNNNNNNNNNNNNNNNNNNNNNNNNNNNNNNNNNNNNNNNNNNNNNNNNNNNNNNNNNNNNNNNNNNNNNNNNNNNNNNNNNNNNNNNNNNNNNNNNNNNNNNNNNNNNNNNNNNNNNNNNNNNNNNNNNNNNNNNNNNNNNNNNNNNNNNNNNNNNNNNNNNNNNNNNNNNNNNNNNNNNNNNNNNNNNNNNNNNNNNNNNNNNNNNNNNNNNNNNNNNNNNNNNNNNNNNNNNNNNNNNNNNNNNNNNNNNNNNNNNNNNNNNNNNNNNNNNNNNNNNNNNNNNNNNNNNNNNNNNNNNNNNNNNNNNNNNNNNNNNNNNNNNNNNNNNNNNNNNNNNNNNNNNNNNNNNNNNNNNNNNNNNNNNNNNNNNNNNNNNNNNNNNNNNNNNNNNNNNNNNNNNNNNNNNNNNNNNNNNNNNNNNNNNNNNNNNNNNNNNNNNNNNNNNNNNNNNNNNNNNNNNNNNNNNNNNNNNNNNNNNNNNNNNNNNNNNNNNNNNNNNNNNNNNNNNNNNNNNNNNNNNNNNNNNNNNNNNNNNNNNNNNNNNNNNNNNNNNNNNNNNNNNNNNNNNNNNNNNNNNNNNNNNNNNNNNNNNNNNNNNNNNNNNNNNNNNNNNNNNNNNNNNNNNNNNNNNNNNNNNNNNNNNNNNNNNNNNNNNNNNNNNNNNNNNNNNNNNNNNNNNNNNNNNNNNNNNNNNNNNNNNNNNNNNNNNNNNNNNNNNNNNNNNNNNNNNNNNNNNNNNNNNNNNNNNNNGAUUGAGCUGGUGUGACUGCAAUGGUAUAAUUAUUGCAUGUUUAAUUAUUGUACAUGCAUGUAUUAGCCAAUAAUUUUUGCUUCCCCAGAAAAUUCAACUGAUGGGGAUAAAUUGGAAAAACUUUCUCGUUGUCAUUUGCAUCAUCUGCAAUCAAGCGUUAGCAAGCGCAAUCGUGCUUGGUGUACAAUCAUUUUUACAAUAUUGUUGAUAACAUGCCAUGGGUCAUGUUGUCAUUGGAUAAUUUAAAAAACAAUUUAUAUUUCCUACUAACACUUUUAUGACAUAUACAACAUCGUCAACAAUGUUGUCAAAAAUCAUUGUACAAAUGGCAUUAUCCUAGCAAGAAACACAAGGCAUACGGUGAUGCAAAUAAUGGGCAUAAGCCAUUAGCAUACGGAGAAAAGCCAAGGAAGGCAGCAAACGUUCCUUUUGAUAUUUCCUUACUUGAUAAGUUGCUGUCAGCUUUCUUCCCUUCAUUUUUCUUCCUAAAAAAUAAUUUGUUAUUUGUACUCCUCAUACAUGUGGAAUUCAUGGAUCUUAGGAUAAUCCCAACGCCUAAAAUAUUCGUUGAUGACUUUUGCAUUCCCUAGGCUAAAUUUCACUGGUUUUGUUGAAGAUAUCUAUAUAUAUGUAGAUGAAUAAUACUAUUUUUUCGAGUGUAGAUGAUUUCCUUACGAUAGUAGAAUUUGUUGCUCAAUUCUACACUAAUGGUCAUUAGUUGCUUUCUUUGCCAUUUAUGCUUGUUUUCUUAUUAUAUUUCAUUUCGGGUUUAAUUUUAAUUUAGUGAUAUUAUGGUACAUGGUGUUUGUUAUACUGUGGCUAAGUUCUCAUUUUUAGGUACAUUUGGAUUCAUUAACAUUCUUUUACAUGGCUGUUCUUUAAAACUUAGCCAAAGAUGAUGUUGCAUGGUUGAAGUGGCAAGGUUUUCAUAUUUAGGUAGAAUCAUUUUUGUAUCUAAUACUAAGAGUUGUAACCAAAAUGGUUAAAGUAGGACAAAAGCUUUUACUUAGUGUUUCAUUAUGAUACAUGGAUUGAAAUUUAGAUCUAUCCUAUAACCUCUAUAACUGCAGAUAAUGUAUGUAUUAGAUAGUUUUCUCUUAUAAUUAAAUAUAUAUUAAAUUCUUUUGUCAAAGCAAUUAGUUACAAGGUGUAAGAAAUAUUAAUUUUGUAACAUAGAAUGGAGUUAAUUCGUGAAGUUUAUCAGUUAUUAAGUACUAUUAUUUUACAACAUGUUCAUUUUAAGAGAAUUGAUGUUACUUGAGAAAUUGAAGGAAUGCAUUUGUUGCGCCAAAAGGGGAUAAAGACUGAAUAGACAUAGGUAUUCUUUGACCUAACGAAAGAACUGAAAAAUACCAUGCAUGGUGUUUGAUUAAUAAAGUGCUUUCUCUGUGUUGUGGUAUAUCUUAUUGUCUGAUGCAGGCAAUAAGAUCACUAGGGAAAUGAGAGCUUUCCAAAAUACCAUAGAAUCUUGAAGGAAAUUCAAGUUUGAUUACUUCAGGUAUGUUAGUUUCUAUUUUUUGUUGUCAAUCUUCAAAUUGUUUGUUUUCUCUUUUCAGAAAAUUUAACAAACCGUUCCCAAAAUACCAGAAAAUUUCGACAAAAAUUGGACUCCGAGGACCUCGAGUAUCUUCCUUUAUUAUUUUUCUGUGUAUUUUUUGUUGAAUUAUCUUCAUAUCUACUCUGAAGUUUUCGUUCUUUUCCGUCUAUGUUUGAAGUUCUUUGCAAGGAAAGAAAAGAUUCACGUACAAAUUGAAGAGUAUCAAAAUAAGGUAUGUCGAUUUCAUAUUUGCCUUUAAUAAGGUAUGUCGAUUUCAUAUUUGCCUUUUUUUUUCUUUUUUUCAAAUAAAUCAUUCUCACUAUUUGUUAUCUGUUUGUAUUUUAUUUGAUUUCUCUAUUUCAUUUUAUUGCUUUUUGUUGGUUGUUUAACCUAUUCGGCGUUCGUCGCAACUUGUACAAAUAAACCAUGACAAGAAUAUUGUACUUGUAAAUAGGUAAUAUUAUUUCAUUUUUUAGAUAGUAAUUAUGAAUAGGGAGAGGAGAAAGCGAUUAAACUAUUCACAUUCUCCUCUGUGAUUCCUAACAACAAAGGACUGAUGACUCUAUCGAGAAACAAAAGUAGCAACUUCAGAAGGAAAGAAUUGAAUCAAAUUGCCAUUAAUUUUUUUUGGUAAUAAAUGAAUUAAAUUUCGGUUAUUUUGUUAAUUAAUUUAGUGUUGAUUGAUUUUUUUUUUUUACCGUAUUUUAUCUUUAAAUACAUAUGCAAUCAUUUGUGCCAAAAGACAAAAGUGAAAAUUGAUGGGGUUUUAUUUUUUUUUUUUUUAUUUUUUAAAUGGGUUUGCAUUGUGUUAGAAAUGGGAAGGAUUUUGACACCAAACCGUCUGAUUAUGGAGAAAAGAUAAUAAGUUAAGAAAGAACGGGAAGUUAUUUAAAAAAUUUCAAGUUUUUUCAUAUUAUGUAGGAGAUGGGAUUUCUAUUUUUCUGGCAGAAUUUUCAUCAAUUGUCCAAAUUCAUUUGUCAAUGAGGUAAUUGCUAUUCCAUUAUGCCACAUACAAAGGAUAGAUUUUUGAAUCAAUUUUCGUCUAAGGAUUUGGUUCUAUGGUGUCUCAAAUCCAUGCAUUCGCUGCAUAGUUCUAGCCAGUAGUUCUUAGCCAAAGAGAAUAAACAUUCUAUAACUAUUUAUGAUAAAUAUGAAAUUCACUCAUUUGCUUAUGAGCUGCAUUAUUUAGAAAUAGAUUUUUUUUCCCUCUCUCAUUUUCCCUUCAAAACUCCAUUUUCUCCCCUCUUUUCCUUUUUUUGGAUGGAAAUUUUUUUAAUGGAAUUAUCCUUUUCAGACUUAGAAUCUGAUAUAAUCAUUUUCUUAUAUCUUCGAAAGACAAUCAGGUAUGACUUUUAGAUUUCCUUUUGUAAAAAUCUUAUGUUGCAAUGCUAUUGGAAUUUCAAUGAAAGAGAAUUUUUCUAAUACCCUUUUUUUCUUUUUUUAUGGAGAUUGUAUAUUCACCCAAUGGCUAUUAUUUCGAUUAUUUGUUUAAAUUUUUUUGUGUUAAGGUUGCAAUUUUUUUUGCCUUUUGGAAAUCACUUAAUGGGGUUGUCAGUCUCUUUUCUUGAUUUAAAUAUCUCUCAGGACUUAAUUUGAAGGCAUGCAUUAUGUGAGAACAUGUGAAGGAAGUGAUAAUAUUUUAAUGUAGGGUUUUGAAGAAGUUCAAAGACAAGAUAUCUGAGUUCCAGGUAAAUUAGAUACACAAUAUAAUGGAAAGGUUUGAAUUUCUUCCAAUUCUUCUUUCCAUUUCUCAUUAUCUCUUAAUAAUAAUUUUCUAUAGGCUUUAAGACAAAACAUCCAUCGAGAGUAUCGUGAAAGUUGUCAAGAGGCGUGUAUUCACAGGUUUAACCCUUAUUAUAUGAAAUGAACUUGUGUAACUCUGUGUAAUAGGUUCCUUUCUCUUUAUUCAAUUAACAAUUUCCUUUUUCAUGAACCUCAGUGACAGAAAGUCAAGCUAAUGAAGAGGUAAAACUUGCAACCACGUUUUUAUUCUAAUAAUUAGAAUGUCAUGGACAGGUUUCUCAUUGCUCAAAUGUUUUGCCGCAGACAAUUGAUAAUUGACCAGGACUGGGGAUAGUGAACAAAUCCUUAUGACAUUGUUGUUAUGUGUUAAUUGUCUCAAUGGCAUAUUUCUAUUUACAUAUCUAUAUUAAGGAAGUUAGGACUAUUGGAAUGCUACAUGUUGCAACUUAUAAGCUCAAAUUAAUAAGCAAGUAUGAAAAUAAAGCUUAAUAUCUCAUGGCUGAAAAUAAUCGUUUAUUAGAUUCACGUAUUAUAAUUUUCUGGAUGUAUUCAUCUGUUGUUUUGGUUCCAUUAAGCAUGUGACUUCGGGAUUGCCUCCUCUAAAAUUUGUUCACAUCAAAGAGCAUUCCAUGUUUUAUUGUUAUUUAUUUUUGAAACUUUAACUAAUUCAACUAUGUAAUUAUGGCCCCAUUUGAUCUAUGUACAAGGUUCUGAGAAAUUAUAUAAUUGCAACUGUUGGAUUGUCAAAAGCUUCCACAUGUUGAGCUCGUUUUAAUUUUUCAGUAGAAUUUGAAUUGUAUAAAUGUUGUCUUUAGCAUUCCUCUCAAAACGUUUGUUUUUUUAUGUUUCAUGUAUUGCUUUUUCUUAAGAGUUAUUUAGUUUUACUAGCUUCUUUUUUAAUACAUUGGUCCUAAAAUGGUUUUCUACAAUUUCCUUUGUAACAGGCAAGCUUAGUUACUAGCACCACAAGUUACCAUGUUCCACCACAAAAGUAAUUGUCAAAGUGAUUAGGCGAGUGAUGACCUGAGCAUGAACACGUGGAUAGUUAGGAACAUCUCCCAUUGUCAUUCAAAAACCAUAUUACUAGGAUUCAAGGUAAGUAUACCUCACAUUGUCUUCAUGUGCAUAUUUAAUUAUUAAAUGUAUAAAUGUGUUACUUAAAUUUGUUAUUAUGUGAUCUUGAUAUUUAAUUAUUUCGUUUUAUGUCAUUAAUGCUUCUUUAUGACAUAUUCAUACACAUCAAUGCAUCCAUAAGCAUACAAGAAGUUCCAAGAAAAAAUGAAAGUUUCCAAAUGUUAAUGAAGCAAGGAAUGUUUUUAAAGAUAUAUAUCUCGAAUAUUUUCUUACGAGGUGUAUAUCUAUGUCAUGAAGGGUGUGAGUGGGGAACCGGCACACCCGACUAAUGUUCAAUGAUAAUGUUAAUGUUAUUCGUUUUGUGGACCUAUUGGUAGGACUCGAUCGUGUUCCAAAUAAUAAAUGUACACUGCAUUUUGAUUGGCUAGGUGAUACAUCAAGUGAGCUCACGACGUCAAUAUUAAAUUUUUUUUUUUUUUUAAAAAUGAAUGAAAGAGGAUACAUAUUGAGGAAUGAUUUUAUCUUAAAAUAAUUCAUGUGCAUAUCAUAAGCAUAUAUCAUAUGCAUGAGAUUUGCUUCCUAAGCGUUCGCUCAUUUCACGUUAUUCCUCCCAAUUUUUAGAUAAUGAAGGCAACAAUUCAAGACGAUUACUUGUGGUGCAAUGGAUUGAGUACUAAUAUAUUCAAAAAUUGACUCCUUUUAGAAUAUAAAGUUAACAUUUAAUUUUAUUGUUUUUUAAAUUUAAGUGUAAAAGUUUUCUACAAGUUACGCUCAUAAACGAAGUUAAUAAUGUUCAUUAUAUCAAAGAAAAAUUUCGUUGCUUCCGCAUUUAUAAUUUUAAUAGAAAACCUUUAGCACCAUAUCUUAAGACAUCGAGGAUGUCUAGGAUCCAGGCCCCCCCCCCCCCCCCCCCCCCUUCCCCCCANNNNNNNNNNNNNNNNNNNNNNNNNNNNNNNNNNNNNNNNNNNNNNNNNNNNNNNNNNNNNNNNNNNNNNNNNNNNNNNNNNNNNNNNNNNNNNNNNNNNNNNNNNNNNNNNNNNNNNNNNNNNNNNNNNNNNNNNNNNNNNNNNNNNNNNNNNNNNNNNNNNNNNNNNNNNNNNNNNNNNNNNNNNNNNNNNNNNNNNNNNNNNNNNNNNNNNNNNNNNNNNNNNNNNNNNNNNNNNNNNNNNNNNNNNNNNNNNNNNNNNNNNNNNNNNNNNNNNNNNNNNNNNNNNNNNNNNNNNNNNNNNNNNNNNNNNNNNNNNNNNNNNNNNNUUUUUUUUUUUUUUCAAUUAGGGGCAAAAAACGACGCCGUUUGCUUGAUAUAUAUUUUAUUUUAUUGUACACUACCUCCAAAUUUACUGCAACAUGCAAUUUUCAUUCUUCGCCUACUUCGAUAUAGAUAUAUAUAGUAGAGAUAUAAGAAAAAUACCACUUUUAUAUUAAAAAAAAAAUAAAAAAAGAUAGAGAUAAUAUAGGACUGAAUUUUUUUUACAACAUAUUACUUGUAAGUAAAAAAAUUGAAGAGAAACGAAUUAAAGAGAAUUUUAAAUUGAAAAAAAAAUUAUAACGUAAAAACUACACAGCAAAAAAAAAAAGUAAGUAAUCUCUUCGUGCAUGGAGCAAAAGCUCCCGUGCAUGGAGACAUUAGUCAUUUUUUAUUUUCCAUUUUGUUUAUGUCAAACAAAUGUUCUUCUACACAUCAUGUCAUUAGCAUUAAAAAAUAAUAAUAAUUUUAGUAAAUAUAAAUUACCACGAGCAAAAAAAAAAAACUCCUCUCCACACAAUGCGGAGAGAUGGCAAACCAUGUGCGUAGAGUUGACAAACUCUCUGUACAGUGAGAAGUUAAAAAAAAAUUUAUAAAUUUUUUUUUAUUACAAUUAACAUAAAAAAAUCAUUUUUAUCUUCAACAAAAAAACACAUUUAAAAAUUAGCAAUUUCAUAAUCACUUUUUUUUUAUUCCCGAAAAUACAAUUAUAAAAAAGAAAAUAAUAUUGAAUUAUAAAAACCAAUAUCUGCGAAAUACGGUAUCUAAAGACAAUAUGUGCAAAUACGGUAUGAUGUAAAUACAGUAUGAUGCAAAUAUGAUAUACUGUAUAUAUAGUAUGAUACAAAUACGAUAUGUUGUAAAUACGAUAUGAUGCAAAUAUGGUACGCUGUAAAUACGGUGUGCUGCAUAUACGGUAUAAUGCAAAUACAGUAUGAUGCAAAUACGGUAUGCUGUAAAUACGGUGUGCUGCAUAUACGGUAUGAUGCAAAUAUAAUAUGCUGCAUAUACGGUACGUUGUAAAUAUGGUAUGCGUAAAUACGGUAUAUUACAUGUAUGAUAUAUAUAAUGCAUAUGCGGUAUGAAUAAAUCCGGUUUCAUCCACUACAAUAAAUUUCAAUACCAUAUAUGCUGUCUUUCGUAUUUGCAGUUUACCAUAUAUGCAGCCUACCGUAUUUGCAGGCAACUUACCGUAUAUGCUACCUACUUUAUGUGCAGCUUAUCGUAUAUACCAUUUUUGCACUUACAAAUACCGAGAGUGCAGAACACCAUACAUUCACUUAUCAAACGAAUGUCAGAAAAAAAUUUCAGAUUUUUACUUUUCAACAUAAGCAUAAAAUAAAUAUUAAAAUAUAUGAAAGACAAAAUAUAAAACGCAUAUAAAUAUGCAAGUUGAUUUAUAAUUAUGCAGUGGCACAUAUUAUACAUUUAAAAUUUCUUAUGUCGGUGCAAAAUAACUUUGAAGUCAUUCUAGAGCAAAUUAAACCACUGCAAUGUCUAUUCUAGAAAUACAAUUGUGCAAAUUAAUAUGAAUUAAAUCUACAUUACAUUGGACUUGGAUUUAUUUAUAACAAAUAUUGGUGAUUAGUCUAAAGACAAUAUGUGCAAAUACGGUAUGCUAUAUACUAUAUGUUAUAGUUAAGAUAUAACAUACUAUACGUAUAUGUUAUAAUACAAUGUUUAGCAUAAUAUAAUGAGAAAUUAUUGUUGUACAAUUUUUUUUUGUUAUAUUACAGCAAAAUGCAUAUUACAACAUAUAACUUACCGUAUGUGCUCUAAUACAAUCUGUGCGGCGACUUUCUAUUUUUUUUAAAAUUUAAUCAUGUAACCUAAUAUUUGUUUAGUUUGUUAUUUUAUUAAUUAAAAAUAUGUAUUAAAUCUAAUAACAAAAUAUAAUUACAAGAAUAAGUUUAAUUUCAAUAUAAUAAAAAAAAUUUCGAGGAAAUAAUCAUUGCUAACAACAAAAGAAUCUAAAAAAAUGAAGAAGACAAAAACGAAAAAAGUAAAAUUUGUGAAAAGAAGAAAAUGAAAACAUGAUACCAAAAAAUUUGGCAUUAUUGUUUGAAUGAGAAAUGUUUUAUUGAUACACAAAAGACUUUUGCAGUCACCAGGUUAAAAGUAUAGAUUUAUUGUGUUGUGAAUUUUUUUUAAAUAAUCGUAGUAAAUCUUCUUGUUACGAUAAUAAAAUUACAAUAAUUUUUUUUUUACAAAUAGCAUAAAAAAAUCAUUUUUAUCUUCAACAAAAAACACAUGUAAAAAUUUUCAAUUUCAUAAUCACCUUUUUUUUUAAAUUCCCCAAAAUAAAAUUAUAAAAAAGAAAACAAUAUUGAAUUACAAAAACCAAUAUCUGCCAAAUACGGUAUCUAAAGACAAUAUGUGCAAAUAUGGUAUGCUGUAAAUAUGGUAUGAUGCAAAUACAGUAUGCUGUAAAUACGAUCUGAUUCAAAUACGGUAUGCUGUAAAUACGAUAUGCUGCAUAUAUGGUAAGCUGCAAAUACGGUAUGCGUAAAUACGGUAUGUGGCAUAUAUGAUAUGUAAAGUGCAUAUACGGUAUGAAUGAAUCCGGUUUCAUCCACUACAAUAAAUUUCAAUACCGUAUAUGCUGUCUACCGUAUUUGCAGCCUACAAUAUAUAUAGUCUACCGUAUUUGUAGGCAACUUACCGUAUAUGCUACCUACCGUAUUGCAGCUUACCGUAUAUACUGAUUUUUGCGCUUACAAAUACUGAGAAUGCAAAACAUCAUACAUUCACUUAUCAAACCGAAUGUCAGAAAAAAAAUUUCAUAUUUUUAUUUUUUCAACAUAAGCAUAAAAUAAAUAUUAAAAUAUAUGAUGCUCAAUCUUCAAUUUUUCAAUAUUGAAUUACACAAAUUUUAGAAAUAUAAUGUUCACAUUCAAUUCAAUCAUAUCAACACUAUCAAAGAAUACAGGCAAAAUAGUUUGUAUAACCUCGUAUAUUUCUUAUUUAAGUAUGAAAUAUACAAGCAUAUUUUUUUAGAUAACACAAUACUGUUGUAAUUGUAAAAAUAAUUUGCAAUCAUUUUCUUAUAUCAUGAAAAUAUUUCUAGAUAUUACUUCAAAAACUUUCCAAAAAACUAAAAUUCAUAAGCUAAUAAAAAUAUGAUAAAUACAAAAUUCGUGCAACGCACAUGACAGCGACUAGUAUGAAGAAAAAGGGCAAAUGACUAACCUAUUCAAUGUAGUGAAGUGGCUCUUGUAUUCAAUGUUCACAUGCCCAAGAUGGGUUCAAUUCCCAACAUUGUGAAAUUAAUUUUUCCUCCAAUUUUCGGGGCGAUUUUGAGGUGGAAACCUUGUUCCCUUGUAGUGUCUCUACACGAGAUAAGAACUCUUUUCCUAGCCGGGCCAGCCUACCCUAAUUCCUCGAUUAAUCAAGAAUUUUCUGUUAUUUAGGAUAGUCCUUGUUGGCAUCAAGACAAUCGAAAAUAAUUGUCAUCCUAACCUAAAAUAUCAUUUUUGAAUGUUGAGACCCGAAACCAUAUUAAUUCAAAUGUUAUCUAGCACAAAUCUAAUUUUUCUCAUAUUGAAUAGAAAUUCACGUGCCCACCUUUAAACAAAACAAUUGUAGAAGAAAAAUCAAGAAAAUAUAAAGAAUAUCGCAAAAUUCACUUAAAGGCCACUGCCUCCCACUACUGGGCAAAUCUCCUGAAUCGAACCGAAUCGAACCUGACGGUUCUUCUCAAAUUAAAUACCCAAACGGGUAUCUGAAUUAAGAACUGACGGGUACGAUUCGGUUCUCGAUUCUAGACGAAGAACCGAAUAUUCCUAAUUUUUAUUUUUUUAUAUUGAAUAAAUCAAAUUAUUUUAAUUUUUUCCAAACAAAUUAACAAAUUAGGUGAUUAAUUGAUACUUUAUCUCCUAAGCCCUAGCCUAGCUAGCUUGACCUAACCCAACCAAUUUCUAAAUCCAAUUUUUUGGCCCAAUUAUUUGUUUCAUUUCUAUUUUUUUAAUUUUUAGCCCAAGUGUCAUUUUUAGUUUUUAUUCUUCCAUUUUUUUAGCCCAACAUCCAAGUGAUCCAACCCACUAGUGACUAACCCUAAAUAAAUUACACACAUUAUCACCUACACAUAACACAUUUGACAUUCCAAAACUCAAAUAGAUGUAUAGAACCUCCGACUUCGAGUCCGAAGCUAUGACCUCCGGGCUCCGAUGACGACCUUUGACCGUUGAUUAUUUGAAUAAGGUAGUGUGUAAGCUUUCCUAUAUGUGAUUGGUAAAUUAAUCUUGUUGGACAACUUGUUAUAUACAUGUCAAAUUGGAUUACGUUAAUUUAUAAAAUUACGAUUGAAUGUGUUAUUAGUUGUAUUUAUAUAGUGUUGUUAUAAAUGUUAAAAAAUUUAAUUAUAUAGUACAGAACAGAACCGAACCGAACGGAACUGAACCCGAACGGUUCCAUAAUUAUAUUUGGACCCGACAGUUCUAUUUACUAAAUAUCCAAAAUUUUUGGUUCGGUUCUCUAGUGUGUAAGCUUUCCUAUAUGUGAUUGGUAAAUUAAUCUUGUUGGACAACUUGUUAUAUACAUGUCAAAUUGGAUUACGUUAAUUUAUAAAAUUACGAUUGAAUGUGUUAUUAGUUGUAUUUAUAUAGUGUUGUUAUAAAUGUUAAAAAAUUUAAUUAUAUAGUACAGAACAGAACCGAACCGAACGGAACUGAACCCGAACGGUUCCAUAAUUAUAUUUGGACCCGACAGUUCUAUUUACUAAAUAUCCAAAAUUUUUGGUUUGAUUCGGUUCACUUUAAAAUCGAACCGAACCGACUUACGCCCAGGCCUAAUCAUAACAAUAAUUAUAUACAUCUCUACCUUAUUUCAAUACCAUUCCUUUCACACCAUGUGGGACCCAUCUUUAAACUAAUGGUCAAAAAUUGAUUUUCAAAAUAAGCUCCUAACAGGUUCAUAGAGGUAUAAUCAUUAGGCCCUUAUUAAGCCGAGUUACGAACAAUUUUUUUUUUCAAAAUUAGUUUUAAAAUAAAUAAAGUUUAUCUUUUGUAUAUAGGUGGUCGUGGACCAUGAGCCUCUACCUAAGUCCAAGUGGUGUGGUCUCGAGCCUUGGCGGCUAGGUGCACAUUUAUUUUUCUAGUUUUGAAUCAUCCGUAUAGUAAUUAAUUCACAUGCAGAUGCUUAGUUAUAUGCAGACAAGAUGAUCCUCCAUUAAUUUACACAAAUGGAACGAUUCCAACCAUUCGAAACUUGUGCUAUUUGAUGAUGAUAUUAAAUGGUGCUAAAAAAUAUGUCAUUUCAUAUGUGAAUCUAUUCAUAGAUCUUAUCUACACAACUAACACAUCAUAAUCAAUGACUGUCAUUACAAUAUUGCGUGACAAAUUAUCGAACUUUCACAUAACAUUAUUUAGGAAAUCUUUCUUUUGACUUUAUGUUUCAUUGUAAUAAUCUAAAGAUCUCAUGAAUCCAUUUCGAAAAUAGAACAUGACUUCAAUUCAAUUUGGCAAUUUAUACUAAUCUAUCUUUUAAUUUGAGGAAUUUCCUUUAUAUUUUCUUGCUUAACAUAAAUAUACUUUGCAUUUUUAAUUUCCAGCCUAUUUCAUUAUUUUAAUUUUGUGAUUGUCAUCAACAAUGAAACGAAUACUAGUUUUAUUGAAACAAUCUUUCAUGCCUAAUUAAUUUAAUCCUUGAGCAAUAAAAAUCAUAUUUCUUUUGGAAUUUAUGGUUGGAAUGUGAAAUAAGAAUCACCCGAAAAAUAAAAAUAAAAUCAAUUUAAGAAAUCAAGAUCGUUACUGGAUGUUUACAUGUAAAUUUAAUCAAUAAAUAAAAAAUAUCUAAAAUUUACCCAAAUUCGAUAAUUAAUUCUUAAAUCAGAUAUGAAUAGCGAAAUUUCAGUCUUUUGAAUUGUGAAAUUUCAAUUUUGAUUCCAAUAAUUUGAUUUAAGUUUCAAGCCUUCUAUUCAUCAAAAUCAAGAUUACACUAGUGUGUGGACAUCUUCUUUUAAUUACACCAAAAAUUAAAUUAUAGACCUUAGAAAAAUCACUUCAAUCCAUAUAAACUUUUGGUAAAAGUUUAAAAUAUCUACUCAAUAAAUCUUAAUGUCUCUUAUGAUUUUUAUAGUGCUAUGUUGAUUUCCAAAGGGAGUACUAUUUCAUGUUUGACAAUACAUCGUUUUCACAACUAACACCAACAAUUUUAUUUAAUUUCUAAAUUAAAAAAGGAGAUGCUAUUUACAUCCACCAUUAUUAUAUUUAUCUACUUUAAAAAAGAAAAUUAUAUUAUAUUUUUAACCUUAUGUAAAUUUACUUAAAUAUCAUUAUAAAAUUAAAUAAAAAUAUAUUAGUCUAAAUUUAUCCACUAAUAUUUAUUUUCAUUAAAUUCUUCUGGACUUUUUAUAUUCUUUUAAAUUUAUGUUUAAAUAAAAUUCUAAUAUUUAUAAAAUAUCCUCUUCGACUAUAGUCAAAACAACAAUGAAAGACACAUCAUAAGGGCAAAUGCAUAUAGACAUAACAAUAUAUGAAAAAAGAAUUUGAAAAAGUAGGAUUGCCUUUCAUUGUAAGCAUAAUGAAUUUAGUAUGUGAACAAUUCUUAAUUUUUGUUUGGAGUUUUGAUAAUAUGCAUUUUAAACUCAAGUUGUAUCAGUAAGAAAUUUUAUUACAAAUUAUUUUAGUUUUCUGUUGAGAUUAUCUUUUUUUCUCUAAAUUUUUUGAAUUAAAAAUAUUGAUAGUUAUAUUUUCUGUUGGGAUUAGUAAAACAAGAAUUUGAGUUUCCUGCAGGGAUUAUCUCUUUCUUUUUUCCCCUUUCUUUCUUUCUUUCUUGAUUUUCUUUCUAUGGAUUUAUAAGGACAAUUUUGAAAUAUAGUGCUUGUUUGGUAGGGAAUUUUGAUAAUAUAUAUAUGUCCCGUUUGGGAGUGAUUUUUCACCCCAAAAAUAUGAUUUUUUGAUUGUUAUUUUAUUAUUCCAAUCAUAAUUUUUGACUUCUUCUUUCACAGGUGGCUCCCACAUUUUUCCUAACGAUUAAAAAAUCAAUUUUCAAAAUCACUAUCGAAUAUGCCUAUAGAGUGUAAUAAAUAUAUAUCUAAUAAUGAGAGUAAACAGCGACUCUAUAAAAACUAUGACUCUUUGAAUGAACAUAUAUUAUUGAAUGACAAAUAAAGUACUAUAAGUUACAAGAUUAUUCCAAAAAAUGUGAGACUCUAGUUGCACAAUUUGAAUAAAAUUCCAGCAACAGUGACAUUAACUUUGAAAGGGACUCAAUUUUUUUUAUUUUUUUUUCAUUACUAUCUGUGAGGUGACACACUUUUUUAUCCUUAAUUUCAACGACACUUAAAAUAAUUCAUGACAUAUAUUUUUAUAUAUCAUACAAUGUCAACCUUAAUGUAUGCAUAGUUGAUAAAAUAUACAAAUAGCAUUUUCCUUUGAAUAAAUGCGUAAAUAAAUAUUUUCCAAAUAAUUAUUCCAAAAAGGAUUAGUCAAAAUAAAUUGAGAUUGUGGUUGCACGAUUUUGGAUGUUUGGACUUCCUGAAUAAUUGUAAAAAUGUUAAGUUAAUUCGAAGAGCUUUGCUGGGCCACACAAUCCAUUGUUAUUGAUCAGUUUCACUGUUGCCUUCAUCGUGUUCUUUGACCCCACCAUGUUGAUUAAUUGAACCAAUGAAAUUUCUCCGUGUUCAUUGACCCCACCAUUUUGUAUAAUUGAACCCAACCACUGUUGGGUUCAAUUAUUGAUCAGUUUGCUGGGCCAGAUGGAUGCUUGGGUUCAAUUAUUGAUCAGAGACAAUCCAUUGUUAUUGAUCAGUUUCACUGUUGCGAUCAUCGUGUUCUUUGACCCCACCAUGUUGAUUAAUUGAAACCAAUGAAAUUUCUCCGUGUUCAUUGACCCCACCAUUUUGUAUAAUUGAACCCAACAACCAGCAGACGACUUUCAUUUAUACAUUAUACAAGUCAAUCUCACUUGCAUUCAUCCCUCUUAACUCUUGCUUCCUAUCUUACAAAAAAGAUAAUAAUGGCUGUAAUCGAAGUUUUUCUAGGUGCAGUUCUCACUGUUUUGCUUGAGAAGCUGGCCUCUGGUGAGCUACUGAAAUUUCUGCGUCAUGUAGGAAUCGACGCCCAGCUGGUAGAAUGGAAGACAACUUUGAAGAGGAUCCAGGCAGUGCUUACUGAUGCUGAAAACAAGCAAACAACGGACAAAGAUGUGAAAGAGUGGCUAAUUGAUCUGGAAGAUUUGGCUCUUGAUCUUGAAGACUUAGUGGAUGAGUUGAAUACUGAAGCCUUGCAGCGCAAAUUAAAGGAAAAUAAAGGCAGCACCAGUAAGGUAAAAAAGCUCGUCCCCACUUGUUGUACUAAUCUUUCUUUCACUGAUUUCAUGUCUGAUCGCGGGAUUGCUUCCAAGCUAAAAGAGGUCAGUGGCCGGUUGAAAGAUCUGGAAGAACAGAAAAAAUUUCUCGAUUUGGUGGAAAAUGUAAGGGGAAGGUCUUAUGGAAGAUUGCCAACAACUUCGCUCGUGGUAGAAUCGAAAGUUCAUGGAAGAGAGAAGGACAAGGAGGAAAUACUGAAUAUCUUAUUUGGUGUUGAAUCAAAUGAUAGUCAAAUAUCCGUGAUUCCAAUUGUGGGCAUGGGAGGUAUCGGCAAAACAACUCUGGCCCAACUUGUGUAUAAUGAUGAAAGAUUGAAGGACAAGUUUGAUCUUAAGGGAUGGGCUUACGUUUCGGAGGAAUUUGAUGCUGUAAAAGUAACAAAAAACAUUCUUGAGUCAGUUUCUUCUGGUGGAAAGUGUGAUUAUGAAAAUUUUGACACGCUUCAGAACAAACUAAAGGAGAGCCUUUCAAACAAGAAAUUUCUAGUAGUUCUAGAUGAUAUUUGGCAUGAAAAUUACGAAGAUUGGGAGAUCCUAAGCCGUCCUUUUCUUGCUGGAAAACCUGGAAGCACAAUCAUCAUUACCACUCGACAAGAAAGGGUGGCCAAAAUCAUGUCUGAAAUUCCAGCAUACAAUCUGGAUCUGUUAUCAGAGGGCGAUGCUUUAUCAUUGCUAGCUCAACAUGCAUUUGGAGCUAAAACUUUUGACGGUCAUCCAGCUUUAAUAGAGAUUGGUAAGUCUAUGGUAAGAAGAUGUAAGAUGUUGCCCCUGGCAGUAAAGGCCCUUGGGGGGCUUCUUCGAGUUGGUCGUGAAGAUUGGGAAAAGGUGUUGAAAAGUGAAAUCUGGAUGAAUGAAGAAAAUAUUGGAAUUCUUCCUGCUCUAAAACUGAGUUAUCACCAUCUUCCUCCGGAAUUGAAAAGAUGCUUUGGUUACUGUGCUCUCUUUCCCAAGGACUACGAAUUUGACAAGUUCCAACUAGUGUACUUUUGGAUGGCUGAAGGUCUUCUGCAGGAAACAAAGAAAGAUAAGUUAAUUGAAGAUGUUGGUAGUCAAUAUUUUGAUGAACUAUUGGCUAGAUCAUUCUUCCAACAAUCAAGUGCCAAUGCUUCACGCUUUGUGAUGCACGACCUCUUUAACGAUCUAGCUAUGUCUGUUGCUGGUGAUAAAUGUUUGAGGAUGGAUGAUGAACUGCAGGAGAUUUCUGUAAAGGUCCGUCACUUGUCAUUCAAGCGCAGGAUGUUUGAAACUUAUCCUAGAUUUAACUUUCUUGACAAAGUUCAAAAGUUGAGAACCUUUUUGCCACUACCUGUUGAGGCGUCAUUUAAUUACUUAUCCCAAAGAAAUUUGCUUCACCUAUUCGCAAAUUCAUACUGCUUAAGAGUGCUAUCCUUGAAUGGUUAUGCCAUAUAUGAGUUGCCAGAUUCUAUUGGUGAUUUAAGACAUUUAAGAUACCUGGGCCUAGCUGGAACAAGACUGAGGUGGUUGCCUGAAUCUGUGUGCACUCUUAUCAAUUUACAAGUGUUGAUUCUAAGUGGUUGUAGUAGACUUACCAAAUUACCCACAAGCAUGGAAAAUCUUGUUAAACUUCGGUAUCUGGACAUUACUCAUACUUGCAAUUUACAUGAGAUGCCUCAGGGAAUUGCUCAACUAACAAGUUUGCGAACGUUAACUAAGGUGACUGCAAGUAAAAAUAAUGGAAUGAGUUUAAAGGAGUUGGGCAAUCUAUCAUUUCUACAAGGUAAUAUUUCUAUUGAGGAAUUGCAAAAUGUUGUGAAUGUUAAAGAAGCAACGGAAGCAAGGCUAAUGGAUAAGCCAAGCCUCAACGGAAUAAGGUUGGAAUGGAGCGCAGGCUUUGAUGAUCCUCGGAAUAAAAUUUUAGAAUUGAAUGUGCUUAAUGCAUUAAAGCCCCAUAAGAACUUAUCAACACUUGAAAUCAAGUAUUACGGGGGUGAGAAUUUCUCUAAUUGGAUUGAAGAUUCAGCAUUCCUUAAGUUAGCAAGGAUAAGCUUUGAAUAUUGUAAAAAUUGCACGAUUUUGCCACCAUUAGGGCAACUACCUUUGCUAAGAGACUUAAGCAUUCGAGGCAUUGAUCAAGUAAAAGUGAUUGGAGCUGAAUUUUAUGGAAAUAGAGGCCAUGGAGAAUUACCUUUUCCAUCACUCAUUAAUCUGACUUUUAGUGACAUGUCUAACUGGGAGGAAUGGGUUGGAAUAGGAGGUGUUAUCCAACUUCCUAAGCUAUGCUCAUUGAUUAUAACUGAUUGUUCAAAAUUGGUCAGUCUUCCAAAUCUUUUACUGCCAUCCCUACGUCACAUAAAUGCUGCUGGGUGUAAUGAGGUGGUGCUAAAUAGUAUGCAGAAUUUGAAAUCUUUAACCAGCAUAAUAUUGUGUAGAAUUUUCGGAUUAACUUCAAUUAUCAAAGCAUUUGUACACUUUCCUUUUACACUUGAAAGUGUCACAGUUAAUGAAUGUCACAACCUUGUGACUCUAUGGCCAGGUGAUAGUACUGCACGAAACCUAGUUGACCUACAACGCGUGGAUAUUGACAGUUGUCCUCGGCUAUUGUCCCUUCAAGAGAUUGACGUUCUUCCCGAUCUUAGGAGACUUUAUAUAAGAAAUUGUGGAGCUCUGGAGUUGUUGCCUCAUAAAAUAUCUUGUCUUGAGAGAUUGUCUAUCAACAAAUGUCCAUCGUUAAGGACGAUGAUGAAGCUACAGAAUUGCAACAUCUCGCUCGAUUAUCUAAAAAUUUCUCGUGUGAAUUUGAAUUUGGCAAAUUUACUAGGCUCUGGCUCCAAUUACCAAAGUCUCACUCAUCUACAAAUACGGUCUUGUGAUGGUCUAGAAUUGUUUCCCAAUGGAGGCUUGCCCACACCAAAUUUAAAACUACUAAAGAUAAUUGAGUGUCAACAUCUCAAGUCGUUACCUGAUCGGAUGGAUCUACUUUCAUCCCUUUCGUUCCUGGGGGUGUCUUCUUGUGCUUCAUUGAAGGAACUCUUUCCCCAGGAGGAUAUUCCCCCAAAUCUGUGUCACCUUGAUAUCAGAAAUUGCGGAAAACUAAAACCCCCGGGGGAGUGGGGCCUACACAAACUCACCUCUCUUCAAACCUUUGAAUUUGGUGGAUGUCUAGAGCUGGUUUGCUUCACUAACAAUGCUGACGAAGAACACUGUGUGCUUCCUCCAUCUCUAACAGCUUUGUCGUUGGAUGACCUGCCGAAUCUCGAAACACUAUCAAGGGGCUUCCAAAGCCUCACCUUUCUUCAACAUUUAUGCAUCUCUAGAUGCCCAAAGCUUGAGGCGUUGCCUAUGGGAGACUAUCUUGAAAAGCUUUUGAGCCUUGACAUUCAAGGCUGCCCACUUCUUAAGAAACGGUGUUUGAAGAACAAAGGAGACUACUGGCCCAUCAUUGCUGACAUUCCGGUCGUCGAAAUUGAUUCCCGAUCCAUCUAUGAUCCAUGUCCAUGAAUUCAAUUACACGAGGUAACAGAUUUAAUUUGAUACCUAUGAAUCUCAACAUCAUUUCAUGCAAAACACUUCUCGACAUUUCUGUCAAUUUUGUUUUCAAACAGAAUGUGAAUUUUCUGCAGCAAAUAGUGGAUCUCCCUUUCUGCAAUAGCUAUUCAAGUGUUCAUGCCACUCUGUAUCUUAUAUUUGUGCUUCUGCUCUGCAGCAUAAAUCAAUAUCAGAGCCGAUGUACCAACAAUCAAGUAACUGAUCGGCUAUGGCGCUAAAAUUAGCCUCUUUUUGUACUAACAGUAAGAUUCUAUCAAAUAGAUAAAAUCGGAGUGAUAAUUGUUAGUCGAAUGUGGUUAAAUUAUUAAUAUUUUGAUUCGAUCUGCUUUAGCAAACUGGAAAUGCAUUGAUUUGACUUACUGUAUGUUUAUGCAUUUUUGGGUUUUUAUGUGGCAUGCGUUUUUAAACUUCUCUUGUAGAUUGGAGGUUCCUACGCCAUUUGAAUGGAACUAAUAAAAAUGACAUCGUUUUGGUGUAGGCAUUUUCUGAUUACUUGUAAGAACACAAGAUGGAAUGAAUGUGUCUCUUCAUUAGACCUUCAAGUAAGUUUUUUGUUCGAUUCUUUUGCGUUUUAAGUGUUUGUAUAAAUGCCUCAGUGAAAUUAUAUGGCUGGAUCUGUGACUGAAGCUAUGUUCUUGCCUUUAUUAUUAUUAUUAUUAUUAAUUUCAUGAUUUUAGUAAUAUUUUCUGAAUAAUUCUUUGAAUGAACUUUUCCUUUUGGGGGUUUCCUUCCAUAAAUGUCAAGAAAUCUGUUUAGUCUCUGAAAAUUGUCUUGACUGGCCAAAAAUCCUUUCUCGUGUGAUUUUGGUGUGGUUUAAGGUAUGAGGUACCAUGUUUUACAAUUGCUAUUUUAAAAAUUUUCUUGAUUUUAUUAGAUUAACCUCUGCCGAUUGUGUAUUACAUUCAUCCGUAUGAAUUGGAUGUUUUAAUCCAAUCUGAAGAUUUGAAUCAUUGCUUCACAAUUUCAUGCAAUUAAAUUAAGAAACCGAUUAAUUUUUUAUGUGAAUGCUUUUUAAUCGAAAACUUUAUUUCAAUUUGGAAAGUUCAAUCAUUUUAAGUUUGCAGUUAUACCUCUUGCUGGUAUGCAUUUUUUUAAUGUUAUUAAUUCAUUCUAAUUCUUAUGGAUUCUAUUUCUUUGUAUGGGACUUUUUCACUGGUUAUAAAUUUUGGCUUCUUUGAAUUUUCACUUUCGUAUUUAUUUAUUUAUUUAUUUAUUUUUGGUAAAUAUUUUAAAAAAUGAUUGAUAAUAUUGAAUUAUCCUAGACAUUCUAUAACAUAAUAAAUUGAUGUACUAAUUUGUUAAAUUCAAUUAUUCAGUAUUCUGUUUCUUAAUUUAGUUGAUCAAGUAGGUUAUUUUUUUUUUUUAUCCUAAUCUGGAAUAUAUGUGCUCAGAAUGUCGCUGUGAGCAUAUUGCCUGUCAAGAAGAAUCAUUUGAGUUGAGGACGAUAAGAUGUUACAUUUUUUAGCUAUGCUGUUUUUCAGCUUACUCCAACUUGAACUCGGUACAAUUUUAAUUUUUUGAAUUAAUUCAGUUUCCUUCAACUGAUGAAUUAUUGCAGUAUCAGUGUGAGUUUGUGUGGUUAUUUCAUAUUUGCCUGUGAUUUUGUAUUAAUCAUUUGAGUUGAAAUCCUGACUCGGAUUUAUAAUCAUUGUGGACCCAAAUUGCUGAUUUUAAGAUGUGUUUUUAUAGUAAACUAAUUGCUGAUGUCAAAAUUCUUUUCAUUAGUUUUGGGUUGAUUAGUUAAUAAGUUCUUCUGUCUUUUACUGUUUGGGGAUUCAGCAUGUGUUUCAUUAAUUGGUUCUAUUCUUUUUUUAUAUGGUAUGUACUGACUUCAAUUUGGCAAUUUCUUGGGGAUAUCUUUUUUGUCAAAUUGUAUUUUCACAGAGUUCAACUGUAAAAAUGUGAAAUAUGUCCAAUUAUUUGAAUUUUUGUUGAUAUUUUGAAAUUGAUAUUAUGUAUUGAUGAGCCAUCAAGUUAAAUUUAAAACGAAUUCCAUGUUGCAAAUGCUAUUUGGAAGUUGAAUUUGCUCUGCUGGGUUGCAAAGUAUACUUGAAUUUAUUUUAUCAAAAGAUGAAUAUUUAUCAUCUCUUAGUUUCCCCUUCAUUGUCAUAUAUCUUUACGAAAUUCUUGUAGAAGUAUUUAGAUGAUAAUUGGAUUGUGUUGAUAAUGUAGCUGGAAGAUCAUACGAGGAAUUUCAGGAAAAUAGGUUUUGUUGCUUGAGUCCAUUUUAUUUAAGGUGUCCGGAAAAAAAAGGUUGUGUGAGUGUGGAAAGUAUAUCAUCCUUGCGCGUUUGGAUCUGUUAUUCAUAUUGAUAGAUGGCAUUCCGUGUGUGGAAGCAUAUUUCACUUAAAACAUAUAUUCACCUUGUGUUGUUAGGUAACUAUUGUAGCUUUUCACAUCUGCUUUCGUAAUGGUUUAUUGUUGUACAUUUUAUAGGCUAAUGUUGCUAGAAGAAAAUCGAAUUUCUUUCUGCUCAAACGAUGGAAUGAUGAUUGAUGGCAUCACCUGGUUGCUGAAAUGAUAGGAUUGUCGUAAGUUUUAACUUGCUAUGUAUAGCUUCAUUUCUUGCUUUUAGUUUUGGUCGACUUCAACUCUAUUAAGUAUUUUGAGCCAAAUAUUUUUUAUUAACAGCAUCAACAUAAUUAAAUUUAUUUUACUCUUGAAACAACAAAUAUGUUUCCUCUUCCUUUUUGAUGGAAGUUACAUCACAAUAGAUCUGUCUUUUAUAUGAAGAUUUUCUUCUUCUCAAUUGCUAUUGCACACUGUACUUGAUAUUAGUUGUGGGUCUGGUAGCUUUAAUGCUCGUCUUCUAUCGCUUAAGCUGAUGUGUGACAGCAUAUGAGCCAACAGGUAGACAUGUUCAAUUGGCACUUGAUAGAGGUCUCCCUUCAAUCAAAACUUAAUCUAAAGACAGCUCCCUCUUCAUCCUUUGUCAUAUGAAGUGGUUCACUGCACUCAAUGUAGCAUUGUCUGUGAUAACAAAGGUAUGAUCUUCAUUAAGGUUUGGGGUUUUGUUUUUUUCCAUUAAAUCACCAUUUCUUCAUCAGAUUAAGUGCAGUGGUUUUUAUUGAUUUUUCACCGAUGAAAAUUCUUGAAAUUAAUUUGACAUUUAGCCUAAUGUAGUGCGAACUUUUCUGUGGUUUUUGCUAUUUUUUGCGUGCAUUUCUAUUUCUUUUUUGUUUAUCACAUUUUGUUUGAUACUAUAGUUAUCUGUAAUAAAUUUUGCAAUGGUAAUAUUAGGCUUGCUGUAAGGAAGGCCAAGAAGGAAAAGAAAGCGAAUGAUCCAAACAAGCCAAAGAGACCUCCAAGUGCUUUCUUUGUUUUCAUGUAUGCCCAUUUGCAUUUUUGGUCUCUAGCAUUUCUGUCUAUUGUUCUUAUAUAUUAUCUUUUUUAUGCUGCUUGGCAGACUACAACAAUAAUUUGGUAAUCCAUCUAUGAGAAGCACGGUGUUAUACACAGUUUAGUUUGAAUUGUGAUACUGAAACGAUUUGUGCCAAACUGUUUUUAUAGGCUAGAGGGGCUGUUGAAUUCGACAAGGCAAAGUCUGAGGUUAAUGGUGAUGAGGACGAUGAGAACAGUGGAGACGUUAGUUGAAAUUAAGCUCUACAACUUUUUUGUACUUGAAACUUAGCUACUAUGCUGACUUUUUAUUUUGUUUUAAUUAAUUUAGGAGGAAGAUGAUGAGUAAGCACUAUCAUGAAGAAUUAUUGUGUAAAAUUUGGCUUCAGGUGAAUUUUACUGAAAUUAAUUGAAAGUAAUUAUCAAUAAUACUCCUUUUUUAAUUUUUAUUUUUUAAAGUUGCUAAUGUGUUUGUUCUUCCUUUCAGUGAGGGAACAAGCGUCUCUUUGCCAUUAACUUGGGGCAAAAAAAGAGAGGAAACGUAUGCCUUGUUUUUCAUUAUUGCCUAUUGGUACACAAGACGUAUUUAGAGGAAAGGGGUGGAGGAAGAGGGGGUUGAGUGCUUGUAGACCAUGAGCAAAAAAUGGCAGACUACAAUAAGAAUUUGGUAAUUUCAUCUAUGAAAUUCUCUAUUACAAUGCACUACGUGCAUCUCACAUGCGAAGAACUAGUUCGAUAAAUAUUCAAUAUUUUGCAGCAAGCUUCAUAUCUUGUUAAAUUUUGAAGGUCCUUCCUUUUGUGAAAUCAUUUAAGUUAAAAAUGUUAAGAGAGAAAAACAUUAAUUUAUUAAUAUCUUCAAAACUCUUCUUAUGGUGCAGGUAGAUUUAAUUUUUCUAUAAACAUUAAAUUUCUGACUUUGAUGGGGAUGAUGUUAUUAUUUUACAGAUUUUCAUCUGGUCGUCCAUUACCAAUACAAUUUCGAGACUCGAUUUGAUUAGAGACUAAUAGCUCAGUCAUCUACCAGGUCAAGAAAGUUAUUAAUUGGGUUAGUUGCUUUAAGCUUGUGGGCUGACCACCUAUAUGCCUGCUUUGCAUAUAUUUCGUUGCCAGCUCCAAUCCACAUCAUUUGAUGACGUGUUGUUUACACCAAAUUUGACUUGUACACAAUAUCUGUUACUACGAGAGUUAGAGAGAGAGGCCAAUUCAAACCAUCAUUUGGUGACACAUUUUUUAAGAGCAAUCGUGGAACCUAUAUUUGUUAAGUGAAGUCAAUGUUAUGCUGAAGCAAACAAAAGAUUAUGACGAUUGAGGAUGGUCAAGUUCACAUUUCACUUCUUAUCUUUCCAUUCUCUCUCUUUUAGAGUAAAGAUCAUUUGUAGUAUUUCGUGGCUACCAAAUAUUCAAAUACUCCAGGGAACAUUGUAGAUGUAAAAUUCUGCAUUAUAUAAUAGGAGGAAUUUUUUUUUUUUUUUUCCUAAAUGGAUUAUCAGGUAAGUUGUCAUUAUUUGCAAUAGUAAUAGGCUUUUUAUUAUGAUGUGCAGUUGCACAUGUCCAUGUGUGUCCACGUAUACUUGUGUGUGUAAAUGUGGAAUAAUGAUAUUUACAAUCUAUUCUUACCUAUUAGCAAUUAGCAUUCUAUGUAGAUGUAUUGUUACUGCCACAUUUUCCUAUAAUUUUAGAGUAGGGAUAUUUGUAAGCAUCGUACUGAAAACAACAAUCUAUAUGACAAUGAGAUAUCUGUCUUAUUCUCCUAUGAAAUUGAGUUCGUUUUAAUUUAUUGAAGAAUGUGAUAGUGACCCCAUUAUUACAUCAAAUGUUGGUAAUAAGUACUGUUAUAAACUUAGCAUACAUUUAAUUUAUUGAAGAAUGUUACAAUAAUCAACUGUCGCAUGGACGGUUGAUGGAUAAGUACUGCUUACAAAGAGUAUUACUCCUUAAAAAUGGAAAUUUACUCGGGAUAUGAAGCCAAGUGGACAAAUAUCAGACCUUGCUAAAGAAAUUUCACUCUUAACAAAUACGAUUAUCCAUGAUAGACCAUAUGAAAAAUCAAAAUUGAGGAACAUUCUAACAAUAUCCCUCGACACCCAUCUCACCCUUUUAACUAUUUACCCACCAACCCCCACACUUUAUAUAUAAAUGUUUUUUCUUGUUUUUGUCUCAAUUUUAAGGGUCAAAAUGUCAAACAAAGUUAAAAUAUUAGAAUUUUAAUAUCAUUUUGAAGUGCUCAUAGCUUAGUUUCUCGCAUCAUUAACGGCGCGUGAAAUGACCGACCACAACAAAAGUUACAAUGCGUCAAAAUAGGUCAUUCAAAAUUAGUAUUUCAAGAAUUUCGAUAAUAUGCUAACUUUAAAAAUUUGUUGGCGAUCGUAUGCUAACUGAAUUCAGAAAUCGCUUGUCAUCUUGAUCCAAACCGAUAUAGGUUGUACAUUGAAAAUAAUUAAAUUAUUUGAAAAUUUUUGACGUCAUGUGUCAUGUAAAAUUAUCCUAAUAAAAUGAUUAUAAAAUGAUGUAAAUUAUAUUAAUAUAUUUGUUGAGCAAAAAUAAUAAAUGUUAAUGAAAUAAUUGAAAAAUUUUAAAGGAAAAAAUGAGUUAUGCAUCUCUUUUUGAGACGAUCAUUUAAUUAUUUUCGAUAUUCAAAUUUUGGACCAUUCGGUAUGUCUACGAUAUAAUUCUUAAAACUAAAACAAAUUUUAAAAUUAACAUGUUAUCGAAAUUCUCUAAAUACUAGUUUGGAAUGAUCUAUUUUAAGACAUCAUAACUUUCGCUACGAUUGAAAGUUUUACGCGCCGUUAACGAUGCAAAGAAUUAGACUGUGAGCACUUCAAAAUGAUAUUAAAAAUGUGAUAUUUCGAUUUCAUUUGACAUUCCAUAAUGACCUCAAAAAUUGAGACGAAAACAAGGGGGGAAAAAAACCUUUAUAUAUGAAGAAUGGGUGAUAAGAAUGGUGAGGCGUAGGUGUGGGGUGGGGUAAAAGGGGCGGGGGUCGGUAAAAAGUUAAAAAAUUGGGCAAGUGCAGGAGGAAACAAAAGUUGCCACAUUAGUAGUGGGUAGAAUGUUCUCCUGCACACCAUUGCCAGCAGAACAAUUCUACGAAAAAUAAUACGCGAAGAAUUAAUUUCAUAAUUUGUGAUCGAUAAAAAGUUAUAACCUAUAAAAUUUGUGAUUUUAAGUGUAACGUUUUGUAACUGUGACUGAUACGCAACCGUGAUCAUAAACUAUAUGAUAUUGCGAUCUUAAUAUAUUAAUUAUAUAUUUAAUUAAUGUACCAUAUUUAAUAUUUAUGACCCGGGUUUUGGAAAAUAAAAAAAUAAAAAUUUCAAGUUCGUCAAAAUUGAAAUUGUAACUUAAAAUCUAUGUAACUAUGCAUUCUUCCCAUUAUAAAUAGCAGUGGUGGAUAUAAUUUAUCCAUGGAAAAAUGCAAAAUCUCCAUUAGACUAGAGGAACUGGCUGUCUCGGCAGAGUUAUAUAUCGAAUUUUACUUGUCAUGCUGAGGUCGAGGGCUAAGAUCUCUAGCUUACGUGUAUAUAGGCAGGGGCAGAUCCAAGCACGGGCUCCACCAUGCUAUAGCCCGUGUACGGCCCUUAAAAUGUCUACUGUAUUUUUAUUAUUAUUAUUUUUUUUUAUUGAAAGAUAAAUCCAUGUAUAUUUGUAUUGUAACCCGUGUUCAAACUCAAGACUGAAUCCGCCACUGACAUAGGCGUUUAUUUCUAACCAAGUUACGAACACCAUCACUACUAGUAGUCGAAGUGGGCAGAUAUACAACAGUUACCAUCUAAAAAUGGACCAAAAAUAGUUCAGUGUGUUAUAGCAGAUCGAUGACCACACACUUUGAGCCAUCUAGGUAUCAACUAAUCAUUUACUAUCCUAGAUUAAGAAUAAGUCAUUAUAAGUGAAGUGUGACCUCCCAUUUCCCUUGAGGAGACCCAAACUAACCAUAAUCGUAUAGAAUAGAUGUAGUUCAUAAUCACAAAUCAACAUAGAAUCAAGCAGAAAUAAUACAACCAACAGACGGUAUACUCUGUUACAUUAAAUGUUGCUUUAUUGAAUUCCUCAACAGAACGUGAAAGUGUUCACACCUCUGUUUGAGUCUCAUUCUUUCAAAAAUUCAUUUUUUCAAAACUCAUUUUCAACCACACAUCCUUCAAUAAAGUAAUAUUACACGUAAAUUCAAAACUUUUCUUUACUUGUUAACCACAUAUUCUCAAUCAAUCUACUAUUCAAAAUGCAUUCUUUUCAAAAAAAUGGGGCUCAAGCUAAGUGAAGACUUCACAACAAUGUAAAUGGUAUUCUAGCAAUCAAUAUUCCAGUUUCAAGUUGAAAUGAAAUUAAGAAAAGAAACAUGUUGAUCAGUCUUAGAAAACGGUCAUAUAAAGAUAUUAGAAAGCACAUAACAAUCAAGUGUAUGGAUGGAACCACCUUUACAACAACAAGAGAAACUGGAUGACAGGCAACAAAUACAGUAUCAUAAAGCACAACUAAUCGAAGCUAUAGGAAUUAGAAAAAUACAGACCUCGAUCGAUUGUAUGAGACUCUUAUUAUGUAUACGUAAUAGUCUAGUUCAGUACAUUUGAUCAGCCAAGAAGAGGAUUAAGAACGUGCCCAAUGAAUAGCACUACCCCCGUCAUAUCUUCUCUGAUGAUGAACAAAAAUGGAUGAUCGGCAACAAAAUCGAACUCAUCCUCGACUAAUAAACCCCUCAGUUUAACAAGACCAGCAGAAGCAGCAGCAGCUUCCGUGCCUUCCUCAUUUACCUCGAUAAAUGACUUGUGGAAAAUGCUAGAAACAUAAAGGUUCUGACCAACUUGUGAGUCCACCAUAUCUGUGAGACCACCACCAGAAAAAGGCAACACGACUCCCAGUCCCUUGAGAACUUCCGAGGCUUCAAACCCAAAUGACAAUUUGAAUUUUGGGAUACGGAAUUCACCAACUUCGACCUUUUGAUAUGGGAGGUGAUGCUCCAAGAAUCCUGAUUCCGAACUGACUUUCUCUACCAAAGCCAGCAAUCCAUCUUUGGUGUCUGGAAGAAGGAAGUUCAUAGAGAACUUGCGCUUAUCUUCACCUUGCUUAUACGGAAGGCUCAAAAUUUUGAAACCAUCAAAGGAACGUAUAUAUUGCUUCUUCUUGCUACUCAUGAAGGGUACUUGUACUGAGCUCCCAUCUAGGAGGAAAAAGUCAUGGUCCUUUGUAAUUGAUGCAUCAAACUUCUCACUCCAAGCUCCUUUGAAAUACACUGCAUUUGCAAAGAUGAGCCUCGUGGAAGCAUCAACUGAGCCAGGUGGAAGAAUUUCUUCGACAAGGCCACUUGUUUCCUUUUCAGCCCAUUGAUUGACUUCACCGAUUACCUCAACAGCCUUCAGAAAUAUCAAGAAUAAAGAACAUAACAAUUAAUACAUUGUUAAAGAAAUUUACUUGCAGAAGUAGAAGUUCUACAACAUGAAUGAUUUCACCCAGCCAGUUCCUCUUUCUCCUACAACUCAAGGUGUACAAGCAGAUAAAUAACUGUUUACAUCAUGAAUUCGUUGACAUUACAAUAGAGACUAUUAUGUGUAAGGUUUAUUCUAAAUGUCAUGGGCCAUGAAUACCAUUUACAGAUAUACUUGAAACAGAAGUUGGUUACAUGCUUAUGAACAUAACCACCACCAAAAAACAAAAGCAAAAGCAAAGCCGUCCCCAAUAAAUUUGGAGUCAGGGAGCUAGAAGCAUUUUUCAUCCAUUCGACAGGGAUUUCUUGGUGACCAAUACUAACAUGAAGACAAGAAUAAAUCGGAUGUUAUCCAUUUGAUAUUUUCAUAAUAUCAAACUAUCACAAUUCUGUAAACAAUUACAGAAUUUACAAUUUUAAAAAAAAAAAAAAAGGAGGAUAAAAAUAAUGCAAAUUUUCUUACAAUGUGAAGCACCACAUGGAUUUACAACCACUGGUGUAUGGCAAGUGUUUUAAAGUUUAAAAUUACAUGUCAUUCUAUUUUGGUAUUUGGGAAGAUGAAAUCGAAGUAAUUAGGAGAAAAUGCCUCCGGCUUGGUUGGGCUUAGUUUAGCAACUUUUGAACGUACAAAGGUCAAGUUUUCAGUUAGAAACAGAAAAAAGUGAAAAUUUUUAAAAAAUGANNNNNNNNNNNNNNNNNNNNNNNNNNNNNNNNNNNNNNNNNNNNNNNNNNNNNNNNNNNNNNNNNNNNNNNNNNNNNNNNNNNNNNNNNNNNNNNNNNNNNNNNNNNNNNNNNNNNNNNNNNNNNNNNNNNNNNNNNNNNNNNNNNNNNNNNNNNNNNNNNNNNNNNNNNNNNNNNNNNNNNNNNNNNNNNNNNNNNNNNNNNNNNNNNNNNNNNNNNNNNNNNNNNNNNNNNNNNNNNNNNNNNNNNNNNNNNNNNNNNNNNNNNNNNNNNNNNNNNNNNNNNNNNNNNNNNNNNNNNNNNNNNNNNNNNNNNNNNNNNNNNNNNNNNNNNNNNNNNNNNNNNNNNNNNNNNNNNNNNNNNNNNNNNNNNNNNNNNNNNNNNNNNNNNNNNNNNNNNNNNNNNNNNNNNNNNNNNAAAAAAAAAAAAAAGAAAUUUGACAGCACACAAACCACCUAUAGACACCAAUAAUAAGCAAAAAAAUGUUAUAAGGAAACAAUCAAACCUUGAUCAACGAUAAACAGAUUAAUGAGUUCUACAAUUGAAAAUAGAAAUUAAACUAACCUUAGUUUGAAAAUCAACAGGAUUAGAAGCAGCCUUGUAAAUAUUAUCAACAAUUUCUUUAAAACUGGGCUUGAAGCUGAGACUCUGAUCUAUCCAAACCCCAUUAGCGAAUGACAAGCAAGGCCCACCAAGGGGGCCACCGUCAGCGAAAAUGAGAGUUACAAGCUGAGAGGAGAGUGAGUUGAGUUCAUCAGUGGACUUCGAUUUGAGGAAAUUAAGCAACUGAUUAAGGGUUUGAUCUUUGGAUCCGGCCGCGAUCAGACCCAACACCACGUGAAUCGAGAGCGGCGAGAACACCAAAUUCUUUUCCUUGGCCUCAGUCGAAACCAAGUGAUGUGCAAGCUGAAGUGAUGCUUGUGUUUGGUUCUUGAUGGAUUCUCUUAGGUCCAUUUCUGUGUGCGUCGGCGUGUGGAAGAGGUGAUUGAAUCAAAAUUCGUGCGCGUUUGGACGUUCUGAAAAUCUGCACUGUGUUCACC